rnacentral:lncRNA from 1 species
UAUAGGAAAUCAACCAUUAAAAGGAAACACAACAUAACAUAUUAAGGUAAUAAUAUAGGUGUCACGGAUCCUGUGUCACACCCUUAUUUAUUUAGCAUUAAUUUUCGACCUCAUCUACGGAUGUAGCUUCAGGGGUCUCCUCAGCAGUUCGACAGCAUCUUUGGCAAUGUCCUUGGUACCAGCGGCAGCAACGAUGUCUGCAACGAUCUGCGGUUACGGUAUCCUCAUCUCCAGAUGUAGCUUCAGGGGUCUCCUCAGCAGUUCGACAGCAUCUUUGGCAGCGUCCAUGGUACCAGUGGCAGCAACGAUAUUUGCAACGAUCUUCGCUUAUGCUAUCCUGAUGAACCUCACCUGAACUGGCAUCGUGGACACCAGUGGUUUUCACGCUCUUCUGAUCUGUUUCAAGACACAAGGAGACAUAAAUAUUUGGAGCUUUAUCUUAAGCUGCGAACGUUAGGUGACCGGCUAGGCUGAAAAUUUGCAAGAUAUACGCAAGGAAAAGAAUACAAUGGAUUGAACAAAACAGUCUAGGCAUAUAAGAUAGUGCUACUUGAUAUGAAUUAUUUUACUUUAAUACGCUAUUCAAUAAAUUAUGAUUAGAAGCAUUUAAUUUGGUUUUCGACGUUAGUUUAACCUUUAGUGUGACACUAUGGAAUGUGUAUCCUUACAGCAAAACUAUAAGGAUGCAUGAAAAAUCAGAUGUGCCACUAACCAUUGAUAGAAGCAACCAAAAUUUACUUUUACUAAACAAUGAAAAAGAUAUUAGCACAUUAAUAUGACUUGCUUGAUAAUAUACAAAUAGCCUUCCACAAAAAUUCACAUCCCAAUAAUGAGUCCCCUAAUCUCCAUUCAUUUGAGUAUUUAGGUGCAGCCAAAAAAACAAAAAAGGAAGAAAAGAAAAAAAAGGGGGGGGGGGGGCUAGAUACCUGCAGCUGUUGCAUCAAAGGAAAUGAGGAGCACAAGUGCAAAGAGAACACCAAAAAGAAAGAGCAAAUUUUUUGAAGAUGCCAUUUGAUCACAAGCUCACUCAAAAUGUAAGUAAUGUGCUAAAUUAUUGCUAUAGAGUGAUAAGUGCAUGGAGUUGCAGCCCUAUUUAUAGGAACUAGGGGGGGAACACCACGCCUAGCGUGGAAUGAAUAUUUUAGGGUUAAUUUCAAAAACCUCCCUUGAGGGUUUUCAUAAUUUCACUAGCACCCUUGUUAUUUCCAAUAAUACAAUGAGCUCCCUUCUGAUGUUGAUGGGACCUAAUGUCAAUAUCAUCAGGGGGAAGAAUUGAUUUUUCCACAGACUUGUUCUGGUUUCAAUCUCGCGGAUUUGAACAACAUAUUUUGGAUCUCGGGAGUGACUAAGUGCUUACGUCUUAUUCCAUACUUUAAUUGCUUGAUACCGUGUCCUUAUCUUCCUUUUUAGUACAAGUUGGACACGUGUUAUUUUUAUGUUUUCUCAUCCUGCACAAAAUCUUGAUAGCUUUGUUGCCGGAUUUUAUUCUGCUGCUUUUCAGUAAGCGUAUUUUCCAAUUCAAAUAAUUCAUUGCUGCUUCUAGAGUCUUCCCCGCAUAUGUAGUCAUUAUAGAAGAAAAUGCUCCAUUUCCUCCAUAUGUACGAAAUCCUUGCUUGGGUGUAUUUUCUAGAUUUUGCAAAACGAUCCUUAUCCCAAGAGCUCUUUGAUAAUGUAUUUUUCUUUAGAAAAAUAUUCAUAUUCCUUCUGUUGAGGAUACGAAGAGUUGCUUCUUCUCUAUUUUUUAUUCGAUUAUCAGCUAUAGUAAGAUCUGUAGAUGUAUUUAGUCCUUCUCUAAAUGUAGAUCUAAUAAUCAUUUGGAUAGAAUCUAUAUGAAUCCAUCCUAUUGAUUCUCUUAUUUUUUCUGGUAUUUUCUCUAAUUUUCUAUAAAUAUCUUUUUUAGAUAUUAAUUGGAUCAUUAUUUUAUUAGUAGUAAGACUAUAUUCUAGUGAUUUUUCUUUGAGAUUUAUUCCAUAGAACAUAUGGUGUUUUCUUAGAUAAAAUUUUAUCAUUUCUAAUGCAGGUACAUUAAAUCCGCUAUAAGAGUUUAUUGAAAAAUUACUUUUUUGAAUUUUUGCCAGUAUUUUUCUAUCUAUAAGUGCUUCUUGACUAUAUUCACCUAAUUUUUCUGAAUGAAUAGCUAUUAUUUCAGAAGAAUUAUUUUUCUCUUCUUCUAUUUCACUAAUCUUCACUGCUUAUUUCAUAUUCUGUAUCUGUACAGAUAAAUAUAUUUUCAUCAGAAGAAACUUCCUCUAUUUCUGCAAAUCUAUUUAUUUCUAUUAAUUCAUUAUUAUUAAUCAAGUUUUCAAUAUCAUCAUCCACUUCAAAUCUCUUUUUAUUAAAUUUCUUAGGACAUUGAUUUGUUAAGUGUUCUUUUUCUUUACAAAAAUAACAUUGACAAUCUGUUGUAUUUCUUUUUUUCAAUAAUUUUUUCUUCUAAAUUUAUUUUUCUUAGUUUUUCUUUAAAUAUUUGAAUUUCUUUCUUCAAAUCUUUAUAUAUAUAUAACAUCAUUUUUUGUAUUUCAAAUAGGUCUUUCUCUAUUUUUAAAUUUUCAGGUUCUAUUAUUUUAUAGUUAUCCAAAUUCAUGUAUGCGUUCUUACUAAAUGUAAAUUUCGAUUUGAAACAAUUUUUUCUAAGUUUCUUUUUUCAAUAUCUAAUAAUAUAUUUGAUGCUUCUAAUAUUAUUUCUUCAGAGGAAUAUUUAAUAAUAAGUCGUCUUAGCUUAUUUAUUUUAGAUUUAGCUGAUAGGUCUUGACUAAUAAAAUUUUGACAUUCUUGGCAAUAUGUUAUUAUUUCGUAAGAAUUCAUGGUAGAUUUAAAUGAGCUUUUCUAUAAUGAGCAGUAAAAUUUUUAUUGCGUUCUACAUAUUUAUUAGUUAUUAAAUAUUUCUCAUGUUCUGCAUCUCUUAAGAUCUUGUAUCUAUCAUGGCAAGUAACCGGAUUAUAAUCAUACAAAAUGACAUGUAUCUACCUUUCUUGAUAAUAUGCAAUUCUUUCAUUUAAUUUAGAGUUGUUAAUUGAGCCGAGUCAAGCUCGAGCACAUGAUAAUCGAGCUCAACUAGAACCUCCGAUCGAGUUAGCUUGAGCUCGCUCGAUUAGUAGUUCGAGCUUCAAAAGCUGCUCGAGAUUGACUUGUCAAACUCGACUGAAAACUCAAACUCAAGCUCGAACUCGAGUUCAAAAUCGAGCCGAGCUUAAUGAGCUCGAGACUCGAGCUCAAACACCUAGACAUUAGCAACCAUUAUUGUCUAAUCUGUUAACAAAAUUUUCAGGCAAAUUCACAACUAAAUCUGCGGUUGAAAUAGAUACAAAAAUCACAAUUCAAGCAGUUCACAAUUCAAGUAGUCCAAACAAUUAAACAUCAGCCAUCAAGUAGUUUUAAACAGAUUCUAAAAUGUCCAAACUCUAAACCAAGUUGACCAACAUGUUUAACUUCAAUUGUCCAAGAGUUAAAAACAACUUUCUUGAGCGAAAACAACUUGUGAAUGAUGCAGCUUUUGAACGAAAUCAGCUUAGGAAAUCAGCAUGUGAAUGAAAUCAGCUUGCACCAAUCAACAUUAACUGCCACCAAAUCAGGUUGUGAAUGACUCAGGAAGUUCAACUUCCUCAAAUGUGAUUGAUUCGGCUGCAUCAAGUGAUUCCUACAAAACAAAAGUAUGAAAGUUAUAAAGUUCUUGAAAAUAAGAUCUAAUGAAACUUUUAACAACAACAAAAACAUCCAAUCAAUUACUUACGCGAGACUUAUUCUUUAGGCCAUGAAGAUUGCGGAUCCAAUUGUUGCCGCAAAGCAACAUUUGCACCGUCUCAACUGACAUAGAAGCUCGUCGAUCAUCAAUUACUCUACCUCCAGCAUUGAAAGUAGAUUCUGAAGCCACAAUUGUAAUAGGAACGGAGAGUAUAUCGACAGCCAUUCUCGAUAAGAUAGGAAAUCUCAAUCUUUUCCCUUUCCACCAAGCGAAAACAUUCAGAUUCUCAUUUGCAUCACAAGCAUACCUACCUUCUUCUAAAUAAACAUUUAAAUUUGAUUUUUCUGGUGGAGCCUUGUCAAUUUCACUCAGAUGCUUGUGAAACUUUUCUUUACCAGUUAAAACGGUGGGUCCAGUCAUUUUACUAGCUUUCUGACUAGAAGAACUAGAACCUUCAUUUUGUCUCAUUUUUACAGCCUACCUCUAUUGUUGUUCAGAAUGGGAAACAAUGAGUGUGUUUGGAUAGAGAUAAUUUGAAAAAAAAUAAUUUGCCUCACAAAUCCCAAUCACCUUUUUAUUUUUUCAAUUACCUUUUUAUCUCAUAUACAUCACAUCACAAAAAGUGCUACAGUAAUUAUCUCAAAUAAAUCAUCCAAAUAAACUCUUAUCCAAACAAACUCAAUGUGACAAUCAAUAUAUUUGACGGGAAUUUUACAUACGUGCAAGCUAAAAAAUACCGAAUUACACCCGUUCACUGCAAUUAUACAGAUCAACUAGUAGUUUAGGGUAUAUAUCGGGUCGAUCCCACAGGGAAGAGUGAACAAUUACCGGUAUUACUAAAGCUUCUCUAUUAUUUAGACUAUCAAUGAAUAAUAAGAAAUUUAACCUACUGCACUUAUACAAGAAAUUAACAAAUAAAAGCUCCUUAGGUUGUGGUAUCCCUAACUACUCAUGCAAGUGUUAUAUUUGGAUCAUUGAAUACUACAUCUAGGCUAAUUAUGGUGUAAUUUCCUUAUGCAUUUGAAUCCUACUUUCGUAGUGAAUCAAUUAUACUUAUAACUAAUCCAUACCUAUUCUCAUGGUUAUGAAAUUAGCUACAAGUUCAUUUCUUCAGUGAAAUUACAUGAAAUGAAUCACUAAAAACCACAUAGGUGCACCUCUACUUUCGUGAGUGUACUCCCUAUGUUUAGCACUUCUUGAACUAAUGUUAAAUCUCAAUUUUCAUUGCAGAAAUAACACCUUAGAUAAUCACAAUUAAUGGUACCAGAUUAAUCAUGAUUUAAAGAGUCAAAGUGCUAAAUAACUUGCUCAAAUCAUAGCAAUUAAAUAACCAAAUAAUAAAUACUAACAAUCAUAGAAAGUUCAACCAAACCCAAGGCAUAAACUUUAGAAACACAUAAUAGACAUAAAUUCCAGAACUUGCAUAUUAACUAUAUUUAAGAAUCCAAUACAAAAGAUAAAGAGUUGGAGAAGAGAUAACCCAUGUCACUUGAGCUUCAACUUCUCUUUCUUCAUCUCCAUUUUCAUCCUAAUCUAGCCAUUAUACAAGAAUGGAUGAACUACACUUACUACACUAUCCUACACUAAGGAAAUGGAAGAACUACAUUUCUGCACUCUUCAAGCUUCUCCCGUAUGAUUCUGAAUGUCCUGCAUAUAAGCUGAUGAAAAGUCCUUCCCUUACCAGUCAAAAAUUUCUGCUAUGAUUCUCCAAAUCUGAAUUUGUUAAGGGAGUAAAAAAUAAUGGCUUUUGACUUGGAACCUUGGCUAUAUCUCUUCCUUAUGUCUUCUGAAGCAUGUGCAGCCUACGUUUUCUCUCCAACUCUAGCUGGAAAGUAGUGUGAAGAUGAGAAAAAUGGCUGAGCAAAUUACAGAAAUUCGGCUGCCAGACACGUUUUUAUUUUUGACCUCACUUCAACUGCAUUUUUCUCCAUGAUGAAGGCCGAACUGGCUUUUGUAUAAAACACAAAAGUUGUAGCCCUUUGAAUUAGAGUUCCAAUGCUUCAAGAAUCAUCUAAUUUGGAGAUCGGUGGACGGAGAUAUGGUCAAAAUACCAUAGACUGGUCAAUUCUGGGUUUCAGCUUUCGACCAUCCAGAUAAGUUUCUGUGUUUCGACCUUUUGACCAAGAAAACGGCUGAAUUGGACUUUGAUGUCUUCAUACCAAAUGCAGAUAUAUCUCUUAGCUUCAAAAUGGUACCAAGAUCACCUUGAUCAGAUCAUUGUAGCUCCUGAUAUAGUCAAAAUACGAAAAUGUAUCUGAGUUGUCAAAGCUGACUUUUCUUGAUUUUUGUCCUCAAAUUGCAUUUCUUCUUUUACACUUCAUAUUUUAUUUUCCCCACUUUAAUCCAUCUUCAAUCAUCCAAAUAUCUUCUCAAUGCACUUCAUUUGAUGAUUGAAUCAUUAAACCUACAAAAUAUGAAGUUUUUCCCAUAAAAAUCCAUCAAAUGCAAUAUUUAGCCAAUUUAACAUAAAAUGUAGAUUUUUACCAAAACCUUAGUUAUUUUAGUUAUAAAACUAAAUAAUCAAACCAAAAUUAACUAAUAAAACACACUAAAAAUACGUAAAAUAAACCCUUGUCAAUAUUCAUUAUGAAACUCAUAAAAAAUGUCUCUAAUCUCAGCCAUGAAUCGAGGAGUUGCAUCCUCACCAUAAAUCACCAAAAAAGAAUGAUUAACAAGAACCAUUUUAUAUCUCGGAUCCAAAAUUGCACCCAAAGAUAGCAGCACAUUACUUUCCCCCAAAUACUUAUCAAAUUUAGUGGACAUACUUCCAGUCAUAGCCCGAAUAUGCUCAUAAGGGUCAAGAGCUUUUCAUUUAAAAGCUCUUUAAUCCUAUAGAGCUCCACAAGAAAAAUGUUAACUGUUGGAUACUCGAAUCCGGAAAUCAUGUUAGUGAUUUCAUGAAAUAUUUCUAAAAAUUUGCACACUUCUUCCACUUUCAUCAACUCAAAAUCAAUAGGAACAUAGGGAAAUCCGGGGUCAAUGUCUACAUAUCUUGGAAAGACAUCCUUGAACUCUAAACCCGAACCCAACAUCUAAUAGGUGCUAUUGCACCUUGUUGGACAGUCCAAAAUUAGCUUUCUAGAUGGCAACUGGAGCUGUUUUUUAAUUUUGGCAAAUUCAAGAAGCCUAGAUUGAGAAUUGUUCAAGUACUUUAUCCCCUCUCUAACAACAUCAAUCACAUCACCAAGUUGACCAAGACUAUCUUGCACUAAGAGAUUAAAUAUAUGUGUUCAACACCUAACAUGAAAAAUUUUUCCUCCAAUACUUAAUCUCUUUCUUAGAGAAAAAUCCUCUCUCUCCUAAUGCGCACAUCAUUAUAUGAAGCAUUAUCUACAGUUAUGCUAGAAACUUUAUUCUUAAUCCCCCAAUCAAUAAAGCACUUACUUAGAGCAUUAGCCAUAAUAACUCUAGUAUGACGAGGAGGAACAUUGCAAAAAUUUAACACACGUUUUUGUAGCACCCAAUAAGAAUCAGUAAAAUGACCAGUCACAACCAUAUAUUGAAUUUUUUGACCAGAUUUCCACAAAUAUGUGGUAAUAUUAUUCCUACCAGCACCUUUCAACAAUGAUUUCAGCUUCCUUUUUUCAAUUGUAUAAGUACUAAUGUAGUCUUCCUUAACAGUCUGCCGAUUAAUCUUUUUAUAAAAUAGAGAUGUUGCUUUUAUGAAUUUGUUGAAAACCAUAUGAUCCAUCAUAGAAAAGGGGUACUUAUGUGCAAGAAUCAUGUGUGAUGCAAGCUCUCUUACCUUGGCAUGAUCAUACGAGAAAUUUGUGAUGGAAGUGAUACCAUCACUUGGACCUUCAGUGAAUGAUAGCACUUGUUGCUUCUGUUUGAUUUGUUCCCCAAUGGCCAGCUUAGUCUGUAGGCAAGAAUUCAGGUGCCUCUUGUGCUGAGAUGUAGCUCCGGUUGCACUCUUGGCAAAAAGUUCCUUGCAAUGGUUGCACUUCACUUUGAUUGUCCCAUUAUCUAGCACAACUGUUGUUAUUUCAUCCCAUAUACUGGAUUUCUUCUUCCUUUGCUUUUUCUCAAAAGGACUAUCUUCUUCAUCUCCAUCUACUUUCUAUUCUCCUUCAUUGCCCUCACCUUCUAUCAUUUCUAUCUCUUCUUCACUAAUCUCAUCAGUUUUUUCUUCAGUGUAGUUCAAUUGUUCCACGUCUUCAUUAUUUUGCUCCAUCACAAGACUUGAUGAUGAACCUUGAAAUGAGUUGAAUCGAGAGCUGUACAUACCUUAAUCAAAACACAUGCAAUAACCAAUACAGCUUCUGAUUGGCCAAAACAGAAAUUUAGAAUAACAUUUCUAGGAAAUAAGGUACAAAAGUAACAAAACAGAUUCCAAGAAAUAAUCUUCUUUCAUGCCAGCCAGUUUUAACAUUUCUUUAACUUGUUCCUAUCUCAAGCUUAAAUUCAGAUUAAUGAAAUAACAAAGAAACAUCUAAAACCUACGAUUAAAACUUUCAAACAUGUCCCUACAUAUAUCUAAACCUUUUCAAACUUGGUUUCUAAAAUUUUUUUUCAUUAUCAGCAAGACAAUCAUUAAUUUAAUCAAUAACAUAGCAAAGCAAAUAACAAAAUUUCCCAAAGCAAAGAAAAAAAUAUUUCCAAUGACAUAAUUAUAUGUGAGGUUUGGUUCACAAAUUCAUUUGGCUUCCAUUAGUCUAUUGCAUGAUUCAGAUGCCUGUCCUUUGGUGAGCAAUUGUCCUUUUUUAAAAAAAGAGUAACUGUUAUCUUUGAAUAAUUUGUUUCAGGAAUUUCAGAGUCUUAAAUUUUGUGGCAAGGAAUUAAGCUCUUGAUCCUGUGAGUAUUAUUGCAUAAUAGGCAACAGAAUAGUUCUUGAUUUCUGUGGUUUUCAUAAUUAAGUAAGUUUCAGUUAUAUGAUAAGCAUUUGUAAGUAAUUUAUGCAUGGAUUGAAAAUUAAUUUCAUGAGUACAGACACUUGAAACAAGCAUAUACAAAACGGGACCCUUUCCCUUGUCUUCAUCACUAGUCAAGCAAAUUGCACUCUCAUUUUCUUCUAGAUCAACAAUGGUUUUCGAGGGCAAUUCUUCCAUUUGAGAAGCCAAUCGAUUUAUUCUGGAUGUCAAUAGACAUAGUUGAUCUGCCAGAUAACUCAUUGCAUCCUUCAUCAUCUCAUUCCUCAUUUGUGUCUCCUGUUGGAAUUGGUAUGUAUUAGUAGCUAUUGGUUCAACUAUUUCUUCAAGAGACAUACCUGACAUAGAUGAUGAUUCUUGAGACUCAUACUGCUGAAAAUUCAUUGGCCCUGUUGUAUAAUUAUAACUGGAGUUAUCCCACCAUCCUUGAUCAUACCCGUUUGGAUUAGGGUCGUACCACGUUUGAGACCAGGGUGAAAAUUCUCCAUAAUUAUCGAAUGGGACACUCAGAUUAUCUUGAUAUUCGGGGCACAUACCGGUUGAAUGAUCCCUGGCAUAACAAAUUUUACAGGUUGCAGCAGCCAUUCUUUCUCUAAUAGAGUUUAGUGCCUCUGCAUAUGCAGACUUAGCAAAAAAACUAGUCACAUCGCCUUUCCCGGAAACAAAAUUCAGUAUAUCACCAAAAUACGAAGUGUUAGAAGCCAUAAAAAAAAGAAGAGAAAAAUAAAUUAAAAAUGAAAACAAGGUGAACUCGAAAAGAAACAAAUUAAUCUGACACCAGUCCCCGGCAACGGCGCCAAAAAUUGACAGGUGCCGAACCUGUACAAUAAUAAAUACCUACUCGAGAAAAAUACAGAUUUUGUAUAUAGCGGUGAGUAGGGUCGAAUCCACAGGGACUGGGGAUAAUUCGUUUCUUCUAGAGUCCAAAGUAUGGGGGGUUUUGGAUUAAAUGCUAACUAAAUAAAUUAACUGCAGAAAAUAAUUGAUUAAGAGGAAUAAUUAAGGGAAAACUCUAGCCAAGGGUACACUUCAGAAAUGGUUCAUGCACUGAUCAUUGAUGCAGAAAUAAUUCCAACAUUUAGUAAUAGAUUAGUUAUAGUUGUCAUGCACGCGAUAAACAACCAACCCUUCCUUAAUUUCUCGAUAACUAAGGUACGACCGUUAGCUAUUUUUCUAACCCAAAAAUAACCCUAGGUACGACCGUAGGAUUUAAUUUCUAGAUUGCAUUAAUAAUUAGAAAGGCCCAAUCCUAACCAACAAACACGCUACGAGGGUUUGUUUAAACUAGACCAUAUGCUCCCCUGACAUAAACCCAAUUACGCCAGUUGCUACUGAGGUAGAGAUAACGAACAAUUACGGAUUCAAUUACCCAUAUUUAGCAAAAAUAGCCUAUAUGAAUAAUUAAUUAUUGCGCACUAAUCAAUCAUACACAAGGCCAUAGCAAUUAAAAUCAAGGAACAUAUAAAUACCAAUAAAUGAAGAAAAUAAUUAAAACAGAUUCGAUCUCACAGUAAUUGUUGAACCAAGUCUUCAGUUGUCCCCUUGACUAGAAUUAAGAGGUUAGUCCUCCAUUAAUGGAGAACAACCAUGCGAAAGAGCUAAGAAAAGAAAACUAAAAUUAUGCUAAAAGCCUAAACUAAAACUAUUGAUUGAUAAGAGUUCUCUGUACGUUUGUCUCCUUUUUAAAGCCAACAAUGACUAAAGCUUCUUAUCCCUGUGGUCCCCUGCUGAAAUUGAGAAUCAAACCAAAAGUGGGGCUCUACCGAAUUCCUUGCUUUUUGUUUCCUAUUGCCCGUAGGACUCCAAUCUCCUAAUCAGCAAAGGAAAUGCAAUCUCUUUGUAGCACCAUGUGGGCCCGGUUGUUUGAAAUCCCAAUUAUCUCCAAAAAGUCCCUCAUUUUUGUAGUUUUCUGUUUCACUUCCUGAAAUUGAGUCCAAUACCAAAUAUAAAUAAAUAUUAAUAAUUAAAACAAUAUUUGGCAAGGAUAAAGGGAAAAAUUAACAAUAAAAUAACCAACAAUUAACACCCUAUCAAUAUACAAAAUGGGACCCUUUCCCUUGUCUUCAUCAGUAAAGCAGUUCAAGUGUUCGGACCAACUUCUGAUUAUAAGCCUGGUCCUUUACGACUGGCCAUUGGAAUUCUUUGGUUACCAAGGUUGAUAUAGGUUAAUAGGUGGCAAAUAUUUCCAAGUUUGUAAACUGAAAGUUGUGAGUUUGCAAAUUGUAAACUGAUAAGGUGUCUGCAGUGCAUUAAAGCGCAAAGUGCAAAAGCUCAGUAGAUUAAAAUAUAGUAGAUGAGAAAUGGUACCAGAUUAAGCAAAACCUAGACAGCCUCUUAAAACCAAAAAUAAAUUGCAAUGGCAAGAAAUGGUUACCAGAUUAUGUAGCCAAUCAGCGAUAUGGUAUUAGCCCCUAACUCUACCGAGGUGGCUCCGUGGCGAACUCACAGUAAAUUGCUCACGGAUUCAUGAGAACUGGCGGUGCGUCCCUAAACGGUGCUCACAGUCAUGGACUCACGGAUUGAUUGAUGGCGGUGAGAUGGUGGAUGGAUUGGUGAUGGCGGUGAAAUGGAUUGGUGGAUGGAUUAGUGAUGGAGGUGAGAUGGUGGAUGGAUUGGUGAUAGUGGUGAGAAUUGGAAAGGUACAGCUGCGGCUGUGGAACAGGGACAGGAAAGAGGAAAGAAAAAUUAGGGCCAGGAACGGGAAUGAAUUAGGGUAAAACUAUCAGAUACAAAAUGAAAUGACGCUAAUGCCCCUACUAUUCGAGCCUGUCGAGUUGUUAGCAAGUCGAGCAUAGCUAGGCUCAUUUAAUAGAUGAGUAUAUAGACAACUCAAGCUUAGCUCAUUUUUCUCAGUAAACGAGCCAAGUUGAGCCUUUAUCGAGCCGGGUUGAGCUCGGCUCGCGACCUACCCGGUUCAAUUAACAGCAUUAAUUUAAUUACUGUAAUUGAUAUGCAUAUUCUUUAAUAAGAAAUAACAUUGAAUCACAUAUUUGACAUUCUUCCAUUUUAAGGAGAUGGAUAGUGCCAAUCCGAAUCAUCAAAUUCUAUUCCAUUAUUAAAGUAUCGAAUAGGUAUUGGAUUUGCACAAAUUCUUCAUCAGAAAUAUAAUCAUCGUUAUUAUUUAAGGGAAUAUGUAGAUUAUUUUUGGGAAGUGUGAGAUCAUUUAUGGGCACCAAAAGGUGUUGUAUUAUCUCUUUGUUGAGUUUUUAUCAUGAACAUAUUUUAGGGAAAAUUAAUCUUCAAUUAUCUUGGACUACAUUGUCUUAAAUUAGUUAAGUUUUUGUGGUAGAAAAAAGAAAUAUGUUGCAGCAUAAAUUCACUUGUCUGGUUAGAUUACUUUUUUCGAGGCCUUUAUCUGUUGACCACUAAUUGAAAUCCGCCGUGAAUGUUGAACAACUAAGAUGGGAACUGUUUCUGCUCUUGACAUUAUUGUGCAUUAAUUUUUUUUAGUUGCUGUGUGAUCAACGAAUUUCUAUAACUGUAUUGGGUUGAUUGUAAUAAUAAUUUACUUGGAAUACUCUAGGGGUUGAACCUACAAGAAUGAGUUAAUUUUUCCUACUUUAAUUACUCUAAUGAAAAUAACAAAAUUUAAAUUCAGAGGGUUUUUAAUCACUAAUUAAGAAAUUAAAUAAAUAAUUAAAUCAAAUAAGAUAUAGUUCAGCAAACAAUUAGCAAAAGACUAGAGUUUCAAAUUUUGAUUCAGAAUUGGAAUUAUAUGUCCAAUUAUUUUCUUAACAAGUCAAAGACGUAUCACGUAAAGGUACUUGAAAUUAUCUUUCGAUACAUCUAAACUAGUGUGAAUACCCAUGCUACACAUGGUGCUAACUUACAAAGGUGCUACUAAGUCGCAAACAAUCUGAAAAUGUAAAUUUUCUAUCGUAAGAAAUUUCUCAUAACAAAUUCCAUCAUUUUUGUAUCUAGAGGGAAUUUGGUUCCUUCAAAAGUCAAAUACCAAUAUUUGUGCCAUAGGGAAAAAUUUAACAUAAAAACAAUGACAGACAUCUAUUGCUCUGACCAUAAAAUAAAUUUUUAUGCUUACUGUUACGUAAUAAGUUGUUAUUGAAUCAUAAGAAAAUGAGUCUAAAAUGAUGACCUAUUACCUAACAUUUCACUUCUAUUUAAAGACGAAAGACAAUAACAACAAUAAUCAAUCAAAAAUAUUACAUUAUUGGGAAUAAUAUUUAAAAAAAAUGGAAAUGCAAAUGUUUAAAGAAUAAACAGUACCAGAAUUUCUAAUUUGAUGCGAAUGACGUUUUAAUCGGUGUAGUUGGGAUUUUGUCCUUCGAAUUUGAUGUGAGACUUCUCUUUCGUCAACGCAAAAUUGCUGAAACUUUUAAAACUGCUGUGUGGAAUCGUUACGGUGUACGUUUCAUUUUUUAAACAAAUGUUUCCUCCUUCGCAAUCUUGCGAGUUUGAAAUUUAGCUAUCGUUAAAAUGCUUGUAGGCGGGCAUGUUCCAUAGUGAAAUUAGGUUAAGGGCUAAGAUGGAUACCAUAAAAAUGUUGAAGGAGAUAAUAAGUUCUUGGGAAAAAUGCAAGAAAGUUCUCUUAAUUGGAGUGAGCAUACAAGAAAGUUGAAUGAGGAAGCUAUGUUUUGGAGGACUUUUAAUUGGAGUGGAAUUCUUAAAUUGGAGGACUCUUAAUUGGAGUGGGAAAGUGGGGAAAAUGUAUGGAAAACGUGAGCAUGAUUAUAGGAUUUUUAGAAGCAGUUAUAGGAUUAGUUAAGAUAUAAAUAUUUCUUAAAUUGGAGGACUCUUAAUUGGAGUGGGAAACGUGAGGAAAAUGUGAGCAUGAUUAUAGGAUUUGUAGUAUACUCAAUAACUUGAUAGUAUACUCAAAUCACCGAUGAGGUAACGUUUACCUAAAUAAACUUUACAGUGUCCUAAUUCCUUGCAAAAAAAAAAAAAAAGCGCUAAAUAGUCCUAAUUGCCAUUGCAAGUUACGGCAACGUGCCAAUGGCAUCUAGUCCUAAUUUUUGUUUGGGGUCAAAAUCUAGUCCUAAAUGGUUCUGCUGUUUCUUGAUCAUGUUGUAUGCUUCCGAAUUCUAUUUAGCGUGUAAUAAUUGAAAAUGGCUUAUUCUAUUCUUUCAUGGUAUUGGACAGGCGAAAACCACACCAGAAGUGUGGCAAAUUUACUAUAAACUCCUAAUAUUAUCUCCCCUAAUUUUUGUAUGCUUUUUAAAAAAUUUAAACUUUUGUCAACAAUAAACUGGUCACUCAAAUAAAAAAAAAAGGGACUGGUCACAAAUCUCAUUUUUUGCCUUAAAGAACUCAAUUUAGCAAAUUUCUUAGAAUAAUGGUGAAAAAAAUCAUAACAAUGGAGGAACCUGGGUUUGUUUCUUUUUUUGGGAUCUGAAACAGCCCUAUUCAUUUUUAAAAAAUAAAUAAAUUGGCCAUCUUACGUUCAUUAAGAAAGGAAAAAUUUUUUGGUCACUGGACAUGGAUGUCUAGCCAUCCUAAAGGGGAAAAAAAAACAAUUGUUCCGUUCUUGCGAUUUUUUUUAGGGUUAAAUAUAGUAAGUCCGUUAACUUUACAUUUAGUUGCACUUUACCCCCUCAACUUUACAUUUAGUUGCACAUUUGGGAUUUUUUUGAAACGUGAUUGUAAUUUACAAAGCUCAUUUGUAAGGGUGGUUAUAGGAUUAGUUUAGUGAUAAAUAUUUCUUAAUUAUAAAAAUAUAAAAUUGUAUUAAAAUAGUAUAUGAAUGAGCAUUUGUCUUUAAUUAAGGAGUAAAAAAGAUUUAAAGUAUAAAUAACAAAUUAUAAACGAUUUAUGAAGUAGAUAGUGGGAAAAUUUUAAAUUUUAAAUUUGACUGGUGAUAGGGUUGGUUAUAGCCCACUACUUUUUAUGUAUUAAAAUAAAUACAAAAAUCUAGAAAAAAAGAAUGAGAAGUUUGGAAGCCAUUGAGAGGCUCUCUCCUAAAAACCCACUUUGCAAUACAUAUAGAUAUAGAUUGUAUCUAAUGAAAUCUCACGUUGCUCUCGAGAUCAUAGGUAUUUAAUUAAAUCUUUUAAGAUCUUAGGUGAUAUAAUUAUGCCAUACAAAGCCUAAUCCACUUUCAUGAUAAGACUAAGUAUGUUUAUCUAUCUAAUAUAUGGUUGUAUAUUGCUUCUAAACUCAAUACAAACCCUAAGAGAGUAUCUAUAGUGGCCAAGCACAAACAUGUAAUAAAGGCAAGAUAGAUAAAUCAAAACAAAAGCGAUUUAUCUAGAACAAAUAAUCAAAUCUCCUUCACAAAAUCCUAACUCUAGAUAUAAAUUAGUUCAACAUAUUCAUAGAUAAUUCCAAGAAUUCAAAUGAAAGACAAAAUAAGAAGUUAUAAGUGAAGAAAACUUCUCAAAUUUUCCCUGCUCCAAUCUCCAUCUUGAACUUCCUCUUUGAUUCUUCAACACUUCCUUUGUGAUCUCUCAAGAAAAGAAGAUAUAAAAAGGAUCAACUAAUGUUAGCUAAAUGCUUUCUAACCUAAAAGCAUCCUAGAAUGUCCUAUUUAUAGUCUCUCAAAGUUGUAUCCGAAAUAUGGUAGGAAUAGGUCUUGAAAACUUACCAAAAAUCGAGUUUGAGUGGGUUUUCCAAUAAAGUUCAGCUAGAAGACCGGCUCUAACUCUGGCUGCGAACUUGUUUUGAGGCUCACAAAUCAUUAGAACUAGAAGAAGUCCUCGCAAAGUCCCUUUCAAUGUUUGGCGUUGGACAUAGGAUCCACCCGCGGAUCCUUGUGUCCUGGCAACCCAACGUUUCUUCUCCUUUUGUUGCGUUUUCGAUUCAUUUCCUCCUCAAUCGCGUGCUUUUCCCGAAAAAACCAACAUAUACUUAAAUUAGGCAACAUCCAUUCAAAUUAUAACUCAAAUACAACCAUUCAUUGACAAUUAAUAUAUAUAAACCACUAUUUUUUUUAAACAAUAAUACUUUUCUUAUUAAUUAAAAAAUUACAGAGAGGAGGAGAAAACCUUACCUCCUAGAGUUCCACUCCACAAAUACAAAGGUUUAGAAAACCCGAAAAUUAGGAUAACCUAACCUAUCCAACAUGAGGUCUCCACGAACCAAUCGUGGCAGUUGCAACAAUGAAUCAUACACUAUACUGGAAUCUAACUCCGUUCCGACCUUAGAUAAGCGGUCUGCAGGAACAUUCGCUUGACGGUAACAAUGAGUGACGGAUUGAAAGAAAUACCGAAAAGUGAGCAAUUGAUCCAGCUCUCGUUGCAAAGCCCAUGGGCAUCUACUAAUCCCCUUAACCAUGUGGACUAGAAGUAAAGAAUCUGAUUCCAAAUGCAGGCAACAGAAACCUCGCAUAACACACAGCUUAACUCCAAAUAACAAGGCCUUCAAUUCUGAAUGUAAACUCGAUAUGCACCCCAAUAACACGCGAAACCUAACAAAAAUAUCCCCGAGCUAUUCCUCAAACCCCCCCUCCCCCAACACCACUCCUUCCCGGAUUGCCCAGAGAACAACCAUCGGUGUUCAGUUUGGAUAUAGUCAAGAGCGGAGGGAUCCACCUGACCAGGAUGAACUUAGAUGUUUUUUUCCAACCCACCAGUGAAGAGUAAAAACAUGGCCACGAGUACCUCCCAACUUCCAUGUCUGUAAAAUGUACUUGGAAAAUAUCACAGAGAUCAGAAAGAACAAAACUAUGAACCUGCAUGACCGAAAGCAUCUUCCCUUCCCACACUGAUUAUAAACCACUAUAAUUUGUAGCUUAUCACUGUGCUUCACGGCUUUGGAAUAUUUCACCGCUCUGCGAGACGGUCUAUUCAAUUUGUUCAUUCACCAAGACUUUUAUGCUAUUUCCAUUCAAAAGCAAUAGCAUAAUUAGCAAUGGUCAUGUGAUACUAACGAUCAGAGACUCAAAAAGGGCUCUGUUGUGCUUUUGCCUCCAACCACAUGCAAAGCAUCCAAAAUUGAAGUUUAUGGUGUAGAAUAGAAAAGUGAUUCAAGUUCUAAGGUACAAAAUGAAGUUUGUCCUAUGUUACAAUAUUUCUUUUAGGGUCUAUAAGGGUAAAUGUGGAAUAAAAUGAUAUGACACCAUUUCUUAUCAAUUUAUUCCAUUUCUUUUACCGAUAUGGGCUGAAUUGGUUACUACACUAGUUAAAGUAAUGUUCAGCGUAAUAUUGAAAAUAAGAGGGGUACUAGAUGAAAUUGUCCAAAACUUCAGGAAAGGUUUAUGAAAUUAUCCAAUAGUUUAAGUAGCUGUGCCUGUUGCUUGUACAAGAGUGAAUCUUCUCUGUUUUCUUGAACGAGCUAAGAAUAUUCGUCGAAUUCCACACUUUAUUAUUAUUGACUAAUGAAGCGUCCAUGUCUCAAGCCUCCGGACGCAGGAAUAAAGAAUUUAUUGUCCUUAUACAUGUUACAGCCUUUCUUGACUGCUAAAGUUGAUAAUUGAGCUAAUGAUAAUUAAGAAUCAUAUAUAUAUAUAAUAAAGUCGUAUUCUCAUUCUUAUCCCUUCAUGUUUUCUCUUUCCUACGUGGCUUAACGAGACGGCAAAUAGUUUCCUAAUAGGAUUCUUAAUAAAUCAUAUAUAUAUAUAUAAUAAAGUCUUAUUCUCAUCCUUAUCCUUUUAGUUUAUCUCUUUCCUACGUGGCUUAUCGACAUAGCAAGUAGGUGCAACGCGCUCUAUGAGUUAACCCCCUAAUAACCUACGCUAUUCUAUCUCUCUUUUUUCUCUUGACUUUACAAUUCUAGAUAAUCCUUCCAUAAUUAUCUCUUCCAUUCUCUCACUUUUUUUCCCUUAACCCUAAUCGUCAAGCCUAAAUUUCCAGGGGAUUAGUAUAAAUAAUUUUGAAUUAUGUUUUUAACUCUCUCUCAUCUUCAACUCAAAAGUUCGAAAUAUCAAUUCAAAUAUUAGAUUAUCUUUAUCAGAUUAUCGCUAUCGACGAUACUCUACAUUUUUACUCAUAUAUAUGGUUAUCGAUCUAUUACUUAUCACUUUAUCAAGCAGUGCAGAUGUUUACACUUUUCCACAAUGUUUUUGGAAAUUUUUUUUUCAAUGCAAGGACCGGAUUUGGAACUUCAUUUUUAUUUCUUUCAAUGCAAGGACCGCAUUUGGACUUUGUUUAUGCUCGCUGUAUAUGGUCUGUAAUUUCCUACACCUUUUUCAUAGUUAGGUCAUUGAAUUUGAAUUUUCUAACUCUGCAAAAGUUACAGUUUGGUUUUUAUUUCUGGCAAGGUUUUUGUAAUUAAUUUGUUAUUUCAAUUUAUGGAUUCACUCUUCAAUUUAAGUAGAACACAUAUUGCUUUUUUGGUUAGUGAUUUAGAAGUGAUCUUUUAAACUAUGUGUUUUCACACAAUUUUUUAAUUGCCUUUGACAAUUUAUUAAUUGUCUUCAACAACGUAUUAAUUUUUUUUAUUUUCUGGGUUUCUGGGGUUAAAAAAAUUUUGUGCAGUUUUCAAUGUUUUUUUUUUAGACUUUGAUAGAAAGCUUCUAAAGAACAAGAAGGUGUCAUUGAUUACAUAAAUGACAAGGCAUCAAGUUCAUUGUCAUACAACAGUUCACGUCAUGCAAUAUACAUCAGACUAUUUAGAUUUUUUAUGUUUUUGACUUAAUAGCAAAAUACAUCUUAUGUUUUCGUUUUGGUUUCUUUUAGCCAUGAACAGAUUUAGAAGGUUGCUAUGUUCCUGUGACUUGAUUGAUUCUGAAUUAUUAUCUUUUAUUAAUAUUUUACUCGACUUCUUUUCUUUUCGCAUUAACUUUUAAGCCAUUUAUAUUAAGUACCAAAAUUGUGGGGGCAUACUCCGGGAUUCCACUGGAUUACCAAUGAUUGGUUUUUCGGCAUAUCUGGGAGAAACUACAUGUCUCCGUGCAGAGGCUUGUGCCCUUCUUAUUGGUCUUCAGAUCUGUAUACAUAACGGCUUUGGAAACAUAUGUGUACAAUCAGAUUCAUUGGUUUUAAUUGGGAUCAUUCAACGUCGUACUCAGUGUCCGUGGAAAAUUCGAAGAUACGUCAACCAGAUUUGGCAGUUAUUAGAUGAUCCACCUAGAUUCACGCACUGCUAUCGGGAGGCUAACACAGUUGCUGAUGCUUUAUCUAAUGUGGGUAUAUCUCAUCCAGAUAAACAAAUUGAGGUUUAUGAUACCUUCAGUACAUUCCCAAGGUUGGCUCGUGGGGCAAUCCGUUUGGACAGAAUAGGGAUACCUUCAAUUAGAAAAAUGAGGAUUAUGUAAGAGGAAUAUUUGAUUAUAUUUUCCAUGAAUAAAUAAAAGAAUUUAAUAAAAAAAAAAAGUACCAAAAUUGAUGUUUUGGUAACUGGUUGGCCAUUCUUUUGUUUACAGAAGAUCAGCCAAGAUUUGAUCUUCCCUAUUUUCAAAUUUUUGAAUGUCAUCAUAUUGUCAAUUUUUUUUUUUGCAUUUCGAAUUAUUAAUCACUGAAUUAGAUGUUUAAAUAUACAUUAUAAGACUAUUUUUUAAUAACAAUGUAUUUAAGAAAGGUUAUAAUAGAUUAUACAAUAAGUUUGUAUUUUAUGAAAAUAUUUUUAUGAACUACUCUAAAUAAUUUAUUAUUUUUAGACAAUUCCCAUUCAAUGAAUGGGUGCAAAGCUAGUUAUAAGAUAAUGUGGCCAUUUUUCAAUCUCUGGAUACUGGAUAGGGUAUCAAUCUCCUUUUUAUUGUUUUUUUAUUGUUUGUUUGUUUAGGUAAGAUAGACGUUCCUAUGAAUAUCAUCAUUUAAAAAUAUUUUUUUUAUUGAGUGAAUUGGACUGCCCUUAUUUUUGAAAACCAAACUUGUCCUACCACAUAGAAUCAGCUUCACAACUAAAAUCACUCAGUAUUGCUUAUUCAGAUGCAAGUAGGUUUUCGAUACAAUAAAAGAGUGACUGAAAAUAUCCCUUGUCUUGAGAUGUAGUAGCAAGCUAGUCAGAUUUCUCCAAUUUCUUGUUUGAAUAUAUGAAAAAUUCUAGAUUGCGGUUAUUUGAAAUUGUUAAAUCUAAGAAGCCUUGUUCAAAUCAACUCCAAAUUCAUUAAUCUUUGUGUUUAUGGAACAUUUUUUUGAGUAGGUAAUGAGAUUGAAGGAUGGUUUCAAGAAAUUCAUAUAUUUGGGAUAAAUUUUGAAAUUUGUCUUACAUUUACCUUGAAGAUCAGAAGAAAAUUGCGGCAGAAUUGUCAGUUAUGAACAUGAUUAUUCAUGACAAACCAAUUUGAUUAUUACUAAGAAUGGCGAAGGGAAUUAGCAUUAAGCUAAAUCUAGAACAAAGGCUAAUUUAUUAUGAGGUGGAUAUUGAAGCAGCUGACAUCAAAUGGAUCUGGCUGCAUAAGUCUUUAUCUUUAACUACUUAAUUUAGCAAUGCUCUCCAUUUUAGCAAUGUACUUAAUUUAUCUUAAUUUAGCCUAUAGCAUGCUUUAUACGCAACAUUUAUGAUCUUUCUAAAACUAAAACAUUAAAGGAUGAAAAAUAAUCAUACAGAUUACUAACGGUAUUUUGAUUACUAUACUUAAGCUUUUAUAUUUAAGGAUAUUGAUGUUGCAUUGAUAAUCUAAUCUAAUCUAAUACUAUAUAAAAGUGUUGAUGGAUGCUCAGGGAAACAAAUGGUCAACCAAGGGUACUUAGAUUUCAAUAGAGGGAGAUGAUGACAAACCAAAGGAAUAAAUCUUCGAACAGGAGCAUUGACCCCAAGGUGCUCAUAUUUUUUUUUUACUUUUUAUUUUUAAAUUUUUUUUUUUUGGUUUUGCCGAUUGCUUAGUGAAAAACUUAGAAAUUAGAGGUUUUGAAUUCAAAUUCCCCUCCCUCUCUGCGGCUUAAAUUCCAUCCUUCCUUUUUUCGAAAAAAUUUAAAGUCUAGUUAGUAAAGUAUAAUGUAUCAAGAAUUUAUUACGUGUUUUUAUAGGUUAGUUGAAAAGUAUGAAUAUUUUUGAAAUAUAUGAACUACACAAGCUUUUGUUGUGUUAUACAUUUAAAUGUGUAUUGUACAAGUGUAAUAGAAGCAUUUACUAACUGAAGCAUUUCCACCAAAAAAAUCUUGAACGAAGAUAAAGGAAAAAAAACAAUAUUCAGGUCUCCAAAUGGGAUUCAAAUCAAAAUCUUGAUGGCAUCCAAAAUAUCCAUUUUUGAGGUACUUUCUUUCCUUUCUCAGGAGCAGGAUUAGGUACGUUUCACUCCGUCGAUGCUGAAUUCUUUCACAUUGUAAUGGCAUGGCACGAUGAAGAAGCACAUAUAUACAUAUAUUGAACAUUCUGCACGUCUUAUGUCAAUCACACUAAAUUCUAGCAGGUCCAAGGUACAGAAGUUUCUGAUGUAACUGAGAUAGAGAUCAUCAAUUGUAGUAGAUUAUCAAGUAGAUUUAUUUAUUCAACAUGACAACAACAUAAGAAGAGCACUCGAACUGAGUACUCAUUACAUGCUUCCCCCGUUGAUUCUACACCAAUUCAAAGAGAAGCCGCACAAGUCUUUUACACAUAUAGGAAAUCAACCAUCAAAGGCAAACACAACAUAACAUAUUAAGGUAAUAAUAUAGGUGUCACGGAUCCCGUGUCACACCCUGAUUUAUUUAGCAUUAAUUUUUGACCUCAUCUCCGGAUGUAGCUUCAGGGGUCUCCUCAGCAGGUGGACAGCAUCUUUGGCAAUGUCCAUGGUACCAGCGGCAGCAACCAUGGCUGCAACGAUCUGCGGUUAUGGUAUCCUCAUCUCCAGAUGUAGCUUCAGGGGUCUCCUCAGCAGUUGCGCAGCAUUUCUUGCAUCCCUUAUGAGGGAUCCAACGGCAGCAACCAUGUCUGCAACUAACUAAGGUUACGGUAUCCUGAUGAACCUCACCCGAACUGGCAUCCUGGACUCCAGUGGUCUUCACGUUCUCCUGAUCUGUUUCAAGACACAAGGAGACAUAAAUAUUAGGAGUGUUAUCUUCAGCUGCAAAACGUGAGGUCACUGGCUAGGCUAAAAAUUUACCCCAAAAAAAUAUGCAAAGAAAAGUAUACUAUGGACUGAAAAAAGGGUCAGGUAUAUAAAUGGUGCGACUUGGAUGGGAAUUAAUUUGCCUUAUAGUCUACUCAAUGAGGUAGAGAUAAAACUAUUUUUAAUUUGGUUAUCGACCUUAUUUUGGUCUUUAUUGUGUAAAACUAUAGUGUGAUAUUAUGGAAUGUGCAUCCUUGUAGUAAUAUUAUAGGAUGAAGUAUCAGAUGUGUCACUAACCAUUGACAGAAGCAACCAAAAUUUACUUCUGUUAAAAAGUGAAAAGAUAUCAGCAGAUUAAUAAAUCUUGCUUGACGCUAUAUAAAUAGCAUAUGAUAAAAGUUGGCAUCUCAAUAAUGAGUCUCCUAGAGCUCCAUUAUUCAUUUGAGUAUUUAGGUGCAACCAAGAAAAAAGAAAAAAGACUAGGCACCUGCGGCUGUUACAUCAGAGGAAAUGAGGAGCACAAGUGCAAAGAGAGCACCAAAGCGAAAGACCAAAUUUCUUGAAGAUGCCAUUUGAUCACAAUCUCACUCAAAAUGAUAAUGAUGUGUUAAACUCACUGAGGUCUAGUAAAAAGAGCCUUUAGCUGAGGAGCACAAUAUUUAUAAGAAUUAGGUUGGGAACACCUUGCCUUGCGCAAAGAAAAUACGUAAGUAGCUGUGCCUGGUAUUGCUGACCAAUAGUAUUGUUUACUUAUUUAAGAGAUAUCAUCUUCCUCUAUUUUCUUUUUUUUUUUUUGUCGAAACGAUAAGAUGAUCUCAUUGCUUUGAUGAUAAAAAAAUUACAAGUGCGAGCAACGGCUCGAACGAAACUCUACAAACUAGUGUUCAAAGACACUGAGGAAGCUGUCGCUCCUCAUCCACAACAAUGCUUAAAGCAUCAACACUCAGUUUUUUACUGACUAUCAUAUUUUCUUCCCUAUACAAAACAAAAGAGCACAUGCAAAACAAUCUCUGUAACUGAGAGAUGUCUUCAAGUACUGUUGCCAUUUUGCUGUCCGUUGGGCUCUGAUGUUUUAAUUGUCUCCACAGUUCCUUGUUACAAAACCUCAGCUUAAGAUUGCUCCACUUGCGUUGUACAGCUUUACACAACACCAGCUUCAGUGCCAGAGCUUCAUCUAGGAUUUUGUUUCCAGAACUAAUGUCUUUCAGUGCCCACCCUAUCAUCGUGUUACUUUCAAAAAGCUUAACUGUGACUCCAAUUCCCGCAAAUAGCUGCCCUUGCUUCGUGGUUGUAGUCACCUCCAUUAGCACUUCUCCUUCAUUUACAUAAUUCUGAUCCUGAGCAUCUUGCCUAGGGACUGUUUCUUCUGUGCUCUCUCCUUUCUCUUUGUGCUCUAUCUGCUGCUGCUCUAACCAUUCCGAAUGUGCUUUCCUUAUAGAUUUGAAGGGAGGAUCAAAGGUAGUGUUCUCGAAUUCUCUUUUGUUUCUUUCUUUCCACACCUGCCACGGGAUGUUUGCAGUUAAACCAAUGUGUUCCAUCCCUUCUGACCUGUGCCUUGCUUCUGAGAUUCUUAACCACCACCUUUUGAAGUCUCCCUGCUGCUCCUUUGCUCCAUCCCACUGAAUGGGAGAUGCCUUCCAUAUGUUUUCCGUGUGGGGGCUAGGCUGAGAAUUUUAGUUUGAAGUCCACGCUUCAUUGACUGAUGUAGCUGUCCAAGUCUCCAGUCUCUGCACGUAGGAAUAAAGAAUUUGUUGUCCUUAUAUAAGUAACCGUCAUUCUUGAAUGAUAAAGUUAAGAAUUAUAAGAUAAUGUGCUUAUUUCUUCAUCUCUGGAUAGAAUAUCAAUUUCCAUAUUUUUUCGUUUGAUUGUUUAGGUAAACUUUCUCCAUCUCUGGACAGCAUAUCAAAUUCGCUGUCUUUUUCUUUUUCGUUCGCUUGUUUAGGUAAACUUUCAUUUUCAUGGGUCUAAAGGCCUAAAGACCUCUAUCCAUUUCAGAAAUUUACUGAUUCUAAGUUGGUGUAAUAGAGCUUUAAUUAUCUCUAUCAAGAUCUUUAUACAUCCAGAGCAACUUUCCUGUUAACAAUUUCAAAUCUAUAUGUCAAAUUCAACGACGGAAUUUAAAUUUAAAAAGAAAAGCUUAUACUUUGUAAGAAGAAGUAACGAAUUCAGGGAUUAAUGUUUCUUGCUUAUUGCGUAUGGAUUGUUUUACACGAAUAGGGUUAGAUGCAUGAUAAAUAAUGUCAAUUUAAAUUCAAAGCCAUAUUCUUUUACGUGAAUAAAUAGUCUGUAUAAGUUUUAUUCUUUUUUCCUUUUUUUAGGUACUCAACAAUUUUGAGAGGCAUAUUGUAUUUAUUGUACUCAACAAUCCUCCUUUUUUUUUCAGCUUAAACUUGAAUAGUCUAACUAGGCUACAACAAAAUUGUAUUGUUGAAGUUUCAGAAUAUUGGCAUGGUUAUGCCUGACAAAUUCUAUAUUUAUCCAUUACUUUGUUAAGCCAAUUGUAUGGUACCUAAUUUACUCCAACAUAAUUUCCAAAGAGGUUUGCAUUUAUCUGUCGCUUUCUCCAUCUAAACUUUUUGAUGUUACGUAAUAAUUUACAUCAAAACCAGAAACCAGAAAAGCUCACAAGCUAAUCGAACUCAACUUAGAUCAUUCAUUUUUUUUGAUGCCGACUUAAGAAGAGCAACAUAUCAUGUAGUUUAAAAAAUGCAAUUAACUGCAUAUGAUAAAAUAUAAUAAGAAAAAAAUUAAAUUACCAAAGGUAUAUCCAAGAUAUAAAACUCUUGUAGUUGAAACAACUUGUACUAGAUUUCUUUGUAAUUGCAGAGCUAUAAGUUGAAAAUGUUAAGUGCAUGAAGCGUGCAAUAUAUGUACUAACUUGACAAGGUGAUCUUAAUAUGAAUAUUAUGUUAAAAUUUUAUAAUUGUUGUGGGUUUUGUUCUAAUCUCUUCCAAUACCCAAGCUUGCUUUGGUUUUAUUCUUUUUAAUCACGGGCAAUCCAUAAAUACAUAAAAUACCCCACCAACCUUUACGCAAGAACAUGAAAAAGCAUUUCCACCUCAAAUAUACCAAAAAAAAAAAAAUUAAGUCAGCACUCAAGCCUGAAUGAUAUUCAAUUCAAAUUUUAAUGUCAUCCAAAAUAUCAUGUGAAGUAACUUGGUUCCUUUCUUUAGAAAGAAAGAUGGUUGGUUUUAAAUCUACCAGUACUUAUCAUUUACAUUCUAAUCGCAUAUUCACACAAAAAUGUAUGAUUUCGUACGUGUAUUUCAAAGCCAAAGCACUUAAAUUUUCAACACUCUUUUAUACUCAUAGUGAUCACAAUUUGAAGAAGAAAAGAGAUUUUCAACUAAUAUGCUACAUAAGACAACAAACUACCGCUACUUUUGCGUUAGCAUGAAGUUCAAACCUAUAAAGUAACUUUGAAUUCAAAAGUAAAUGUACUUAUCCAGAGAGUAGGGUAGUAGGAUUAUGGUAGUUAAUAUCAUCAAUUCCAAUGGUUGCAUUUACAACUUCAAUAUCACUAUCACAGGCCAGUUAGGCAUUGAUGAUCUUUAGUUGAUAGUCAGUUUAUUUUCUCAAAAGAGAAGCAUUGAAAUAUGUGGACACUAACCUAGAUUACAAGACUAGUAUACCUUGAAUUACAAAAGUAUCUGCAUUUUCUCUUACCUUGUUGGUUAAUGGGCUAUAAUCUUGGAUUAGAUCGAUUGAUCCAUUUUAAUCACCUAAUGUCAUGGACUUAUUUGGUUUUAGAGAAAUGUGGAUUUAGUAUUUUAUUGUUCUACUAUUGGAGAAUGUGCCAAACAUUAUUUAUCUCAUUCCUUUAUCUCUAUUCUAUGCAAGCAUUUAGUUUGACAUAAAUCCUUUCAUUAACUUUGAACAAAAAAUUAACAUUAAUCCUAUUCUAAAAGUAAAAAUUUAGGGCCUGUUUUUCAAAAACUAGUUUUUCAAAUACAAUAAAAAUUUUUAAAAAGUACUCUAAAAGGUCAUCUAAAAAUUAGUUAAAAUUUUUUUAAAAUUUUAAAAACAUUUCAAAAUAUAUUCUAUAAACUCUUCUACUCUUAAAUAUCCCAAAAUAUUUUUUAAAAAUAUCCCAAAAUAUAAUCUAAAAACUCUGCUACAGUAAAAUUUUUCAAAAACACCCCAAAAAACAGCUAAUCCAAAAGGAGGCUUAGUUAUUUGAUCAAGAAUAUAUACCUGGAUUUGGUUCCUCUAAAAUAAGUAAAGUUUAGAAUUUCUAAUAGCCCAUACUUGGCAUGAAAAAGAAGCAAAUUAUAUUCAAGGGAACAAUUUUUUUCUGAUUCAACUCAAUUCAUAUUAUAACACCUUAUUGCACAAUGUUUCUAUUGAUCCGUCUACUUAUUCGCGCCAUCUAGUGUAGUGAAAAAAACAAUGUCAGAUUAACAAAGAAAACUAGAGAUAAUAUUAGAAGUAACUAGCAAAUUUAUACCCAUACUAAAAGCCAAACCACGUAGCGCAUCAGUUAUUAGGAGAUCUAAGUAAGGAGAGAUAAAUUUUGGUGAUGAAUAUAAAAUUUUUCCUUCAUCCAAACAUUGGCAUCCCAAAUGACUCAAUCAGUUCUAGUAUGAUGGAGGCAUUGUGUCAGUCAGGGUACCCACAUCAUUAGGGGCAUUGUAAAGAAAGGCUGCAUAAUCUAGAGUGGUUAAUACAAACAUCAAUGACCUAGGAGAGGGAAACAAUAUCGAACUCAACAUAUGAAAGAACAGGUUGCAAAGUUGCUGGCUAGCAAUUGGAGGGGCAUGGACACCAAAAUCAGGAUGAACUGAUAAUGAGAAUUCGUAAAAGUUGAGUAAGUGUGCUCCUUUAGUAGUCCCAAUCACUUGCCUGGUUGUACGUCCUUUGAGAAUUGGGCAUUUCAUGUUGGGAACUAAAUAGAGAAUUAAAAAUAUCAAGAUAGCAGAUGUAAUUAUAUCUUCAAUUAGUAGUUUCUUAUGAGUUGAAAUAUGCUGGUUAACAGUUAGAGGGGUGCACAGACUUGACAACGUGUAGGGAGGUAUUUGUUGCGCUUGAGUCAAUGUUUAUUAAAACUGAAAAAAAAAAUGUUACAAGAGACCUUCAUAUUAAUUUUUUUGUAGUAUUCACUCGGUAUUGACUCUUUAGUCCUAAAUGCACAAACAGUGAUAUAUAAGAAUGAAGAAUAUUUGAUUUUGGUAUAUGUUAGACAAAGUUCGGCUUUAAAUAACAAUUCACAAACAAAAAGAUUUAAUCAAACAAAGUUGUCAAAUUAUGUAGUUUAGUUUUACAAUUAUAAGCCUAUCAAUAUCAAGUUUGCUUUAUUAAAUUGUUUUUGCUUCUUGUGACAAAUAUUACACUUUAUUGUCACUAGAAGUUUUGAAAAAUUUUACAGGUAAAACUUUAACUCAAACAAUAUAAAUAAGUCUUUGUUGUCAAAGUAGUAGUUGUUUGGCACACUCCAUGCACGAAAUAUUUAUCUACUUAUAAAUAGUUAAGGAUAAAAAACAUUGAAAUGUGGUAUGUAAUGGACGUUGAUUUCUAUUAUUAAUACACAUGUUGAUGAGUAUAUUCUCUCUUCUCCACUCUAUCCUUUUUCUUCGUUAUCUACCAAUGCCAAAGAUCUACCCACCUAUCCUAACAAAACCCUGUUUCCUCUACUGCUGCUCUUGAGGAUAAAAAAAAACUACAAAAUUUGCAAAAGUAAAAAACCAUUGAGCAUAACUUUGUAUUAGAUAAAGAUUGCGCCAAGAGGCCUAAAAGACGAUAUAAAUACAGGGGUGAAAUCCUGAAAACCAAAUUGUGGUUUAGAAAAAGUUAGAAAGCCUUCUAAUGGUUCAAAAAAUAUUUAGAAAACCCUCUUGUGAUUCAAACUUAUUUAGAAUUUGAACAGAAAACUGGAAAAUUAAAGUUAUCCUUCUUUACAAUGAUAUGUUAAGAGAAUACAAUGCCAUAUGAAUUCCUAGAUGGUCAAAAUGAGAUUUUCAAAAUAUGUUCGUGGAUUUAUCGAAAACUGGGGGAGUUGAACUGAAAAUUUUGAAAGUGUUCUCCUUUUCCAUUUUGCACGACCAUGGCUGUCACUGCCUUCAACUCAUGGCAACACCAACCUCAUCACCACCAUCGUGCCAUACCGAAGCCAACACCAGAACCAACAAAUCAGCAAAUGCCAAUACAAAGGCAACAUUUAUCUGAAGACCCACAUUCCUUUUUCUUUUUCACUCAAAUUAAGCUCAAGUACCAGCAGAUUUCAUGGCCAAAAAUACAAAAAGAAAAGAAUCAUUAAGGAAUAAUAAUCAGAAAAGAAGAAAAAUUGAGGGUAGGAUUUCGUCAUAAACCAUCAUACCACCUCAACAAAUGCCAGAAUCCAACAACUUCUGCUUUAACAGUCUAGAUACCUUUGAUUUUGGAGCACUCUGGCAAGGAGAUUGGAUAAUCUUGGUGGCAGUAUAUAGCAGAAUUUCUUCGAUUGUGCUUGGCUUGUGGAAGUGGAGGAUAUGGCGGUGAGUUUAAUGGUGGUAAAUGGACAAUGGGUUUCCUAGGUUGGGGUGGGAUGUGGAAUUGGUGGCUUUGGUAGUGGUGCAAAGGGGUAGUGAUCUAAGAAGAAAAAGAAGAAAAGGAAAAUAAAAAAGACAGAAAAGAUAAAGAAAGAAUAGAACAGUUAGAAAGAGCUGAAGGUCUCUUGGUUGGGGUUGGUAAAAUUAUUGGUGGUGCAAAAUGGUGGUCACUUGGGAAGAAGAAGAAGAAAAGGAAGAAGGAAAUAAAUGGAAAAGAGAAAGAAAGAAACUUUUUUUUUUUUUUAAAAAAAAGACGGAAACAAAAAGUAACUUAAUGUGAAAAACAGAAAAAAAAAAGAUAAAAGAAAACCAAAAGGGGAGCUGGAAAAAAAAGAAAAAAAUUUGUUUGAUAGAAUGAGGAUAUUUUUGUGAGAAAAGUAUAACUUUUAUGCCAAAAAGUAAUUAUUUAUCACUUGUACUCGCAUAUGAAGCGAGUGCAAUUCACUUGCUGUUAACUUCGACAACUUUUGUCGAAAUUUCAAAACAUUUAAAAGCACAAAGGGAUUUUAUAGAUAUUUUUAAAUUAUAAGGAGGAUUCUUGACUUUCACAAAAAAUCAUAGGAGAGUUUUUUAGGUUUUACCCUAUAUACAAAAGUAAGCAAAAAAUUAGAAAGAUCACUUAAGUUAAAGGUUGUAUUUUAGCACAUCUAAUUGUUUGCGGGUUAAUUUCAUUGCUUUUGAAGAUUAAUUACUACACAGACAUUGAAACCUCUGGAGCUGCAUUUUAGCUCACAAACGUUAAAUGAGUUAGCAACCAUUUCUCCAUUGUAUUCCUUUUUUUUUUUAAUAUAAAGUAACUUCUCUACCAAUAUGUAUUUUUAUUUGAAGCGUACAACCACAUGUUUAGCUUUCAAUUUGAGUUUUGUGUUGCAAUUGAGGAAAUUGGUUGUCAUAUUCAAAUAUGAUUGCAGACGUGCGUCUUGCAAACCGAAGCACUUAAAAUUCGAUACUAUUUUACAUUCUUAGAGCUCACAUUUUUAAAACCAAGAUAUCACAACAUAAUAUAACAAACGAAUUACUACUUUUGUGUUAGCAUAAAAUCCACUCACAACAUAAGAGAAAAAAAACAAAGUUACUACUUUUGUGUUAGCAUGAAAUGCACCCGAUAAAAAAAAAAAGAGAAAUCCAUCCGAUGAAGUAACUUUGAACUUAGAAGUAAUAUUGUAUUAUUCCAGAUGUUGGUAAUCAAUAUCCUCAGUUCCUACGCUUGCAGAUCGAAUUCUAAUCAGACGCGCGUAUGUUGGUGCUUCAAUAUACAAACUAAAGAGGAGCUUUGCCACAAAGUUGCACACAAAAUAAAGUAUACAAUUAACUAACAAAGGCUUGCAUAUUUGAAGGUCAUGCAUUAAAAUGCGUCGUUUCUUUUUUUAAUAUUUACCGUAUGAGAGAGCCACUUCGAAUUCACUCCUGCAAAGAAGUGUUUGGCAUUCAAGUUUUUAGGGUGCUAGUUAAGAGAACUAGGAUACGAGAAAUCAUCACAUCAUCUAAAAUCUUGCAUACUAGAAAGAUUCAGAUGGAGACAAUCCUUAAAAUCAAUAUAAUGAUGUGAGAAAUAUGAUGACACUUAGCCAUGCUUUCCCUUAGAACUUGAGGUGAUGACUGCAUUUUGUAAGAAUAAUAAGAUGGGUGUGGAGUUGGCCCAUUCAAUUUUUCAUGCAUAUCUUUGAUGAAUCAUUUUUCUCAGGUGUUGAUAAUUAAGUAACAUUAGCAUGAUUGCUAUUUAAUUAAAAUUGUCCCACGGUUUAAUUUUGGUGAAGAACUUUUGCUUCUUUUGUUUCUAAAUCAUCAACACUGUGAUCCGUAAGUGGUAACCUUGGGGCUCAUAGAGAGAUGUUCUGCUAGCUCAAAUGGUUACUCUUUAACUCUUCUGUAUUGUCCAAACACUCAUUAAAUUCUAACAGCCAUUCCUUUUCAUUGUAAUGAUUGAUAUGAUUUUGCAACCUGGCAAGCUCUUUUUGAAGCUCAUGCUUUGUUAUAUCCUCAUGCAACAUUUUAGCCUUCACCUCAAAUUCUAUAGUAUUAGGCCUGAGAAUCCACACGUUCCACAACAUGUUAAGAGGAACAUCUUGUCUGUUAUUUCAAAGUUGUGUGUGAAUUUUAAUAAUUAUGUUUGUGUCAAUAACUUGAUUAACCUAGAAGGAUUUUUUUUCAUGUUGGGUCAACUUGAUCUUCACAAAACUCCCUAUUAAUUAACCCUCAAACUUCUCAGGGGCCUUUGCAAGAUCCUCAACUAGAGUUCUUCUUAAGUAAAUAAGAUUAAUGUUUUCUUGAAUGAAUAUAGAAGAAUGACUUCUAGGAGUUCCUAAACCUGUAGUCUUUUGGUAUUAUUCCAUGCAUAGCAUCCUCAUCAAGUAAUUGACAGUAUAUAGGCUUUUAGUUUUGUUAGGUGUUUGAAUGUUUCGUGCAUAAACUGCACCAUUUAACUAGCUAAUAUAAUAAUGAAUAGCAAUUUACGAUUUUUAAAUUAACUUUAACUCCAUAAUUUGUUGCAAAAAUAUUUAUUGCUCUAGAGUGAAAGUAUGUUAAAAUUGGAAAAAAAAUUGAUAAACAUAUUCAUAUUAAUGGUUUUUGGAAAUUUACCUCCUCAAUUAUCUAUAAAUAUGAAAAUUGUUGUUUAAUGUCUGUAAUCUAUCAUAUCUUUAUCUAAUAUUCGUAUAUUUGAUUGAAAUUUAUUCGAUCACGUAUACCAUCAAUCUAGUGGCAUUUAAAACAAGAAAGUGUAUAACUACUCAAAUAGUACGGUGUUAUUUGAUAUAGUAUCCAAAAAUUGUAUCUAUUUCAUAAAUUUAAUUUUUCAACAAUAUUAAAUAGUUCUCCUAUUUGAGUUUCGCUAUAUGAGUUGUAUUAGCACUUCUCAUAUCAAGUGCUAUGCUUGUUCAUGUUUUGAAUUUGUAGGUUAUAACGCAUAAGCAUCAGCUCAUCUGGCCUCUCUUGCUGUACAGGAUUCCAUUCUUUAGUAAGGAUAUUUCCAUCAGUGCUCCUCUUCAAGUCAUAUUUUGUAGCACCAUUAUAUGUCUGACUAAGAAUUUGAAUGGAAAAUUGUUGGACGCCAGAGUGCAAUCGAUCAGUCACAGGCAAGGCCUACCUUUUCUCCGAGUUGCAAAGGUGAUUAGAGCACCAUCCAUUUUUAAAUAUCAGUUUCUGCUUUGUCCACCGAGUCAACUGAUACGAAUUCUAGGUAUUCUUGUAAACUUUUGUCUUUUUGCUGGUGAACGGAUUUGCUUUAUUAUAUUUCUACAAUCUGCAUGUCCUUGAAAUUUUACCUGUUGAUCUUUUCCCUUGCACUUUUAUCCACUAUUAUGCUACAUGUAAUUCAAUGGUUGAAAAUUACAGAGUAUGCUUCAACCUUACUAGUGUUUUGAUAUUUGGAGUUAAAAAAGGAACGCUUGCCAUCUCUUCGUUGUCUAAUUUUGGUGCUUUGUUAUUUGGCCAACCAUUUGCUAACAAACAAACCUUGGUAUAGAGACAAUUCAAAUUCUUGGAAUUUUGACACCUCUUUAUUCGACAGACAGUUUAGGUGAUUAUAAUUCUUAUAUGUUUGCUAUUAUUGAAAGAAUGAGUUACAUUUUCUAGUAUCCAAUGGUUUCAUUGAUGGUACGAGAUGUUUUGAGUAUUCCUGUUACCACUGGCUUUAGAGUCUACUUUAGCAUUGAUGGUCAAAUUAUCAACAAAUACUAUAGUACCAUCUUGAGAUCUUCAUGCGGUCUUGGAAACAGUUGAAAGAAACAUUUUCUACAAGUUCUCUUGUUCAAAGACCAAAUUCUGUAGAGUUAAGAAAAGGAUCUGUGAACUUGAACUUGAACUUGGACAGUCUAACCAGGUAAUUGAUGGACAAAAACGUAAUCUCUAAGAAGUUUCAGAAUAAUCAGAUGGCAUGCAUAAUUCUUGUGGCAGUUUUUGCUUGAUACGGUGUCUCUUUAAUUACUUCCAUUGUUUCCUAUUUCUCUAACAUAUGUACAUUGAUAAGUUUGUCAAAUGCAACCAUUGGGAUUGACCCAAUAGUCAGGGGAAAACUCUUAAAGUUUUCUUUGUUACAAGAUUCAGAAUUCGAACUUUUUGCUUGGUAGUUGAGGUUAGGAAGGGUAUGGGGAAAGAUGGGAAGGGAAAAAAAAGAUAAGUAUGUUAAAUGCACUUAUAUAAUAAACAUAAAUAUGUUGAUGGUGCAUUUAUAAUCUACUAAAAAGGCACAUAUUCUACUAGAAAAAGCACGUGCACUACACGUGAUUUAGCUAAACAAUAUAAAAGUAUGUGCUAAGCAUAUAUGAUAUAAGGAUUGAUCUUAUUCAUGGAGAUUUCGUAAAUAUUCUAUUUCAGAAGUAAAAAAUUAAACACAAUUGGAAUUUUCUUUUUUCUUUUUCAAAAUUCGAUGUAGUUAUUAAUUCAGAUCUGGCAUGUACACAAUGAAAACUUAAGGAUGGUAAAACCUGAUAUUGAUGCACUUGGGAUCCUCAGUGACAUGUUUUCUAUGCCAAUCCAAUGCCACCAAUAGUGUUGCGCCAAGUGUCAUGUUAUUAUUUACACUUUAAUUUUCUAAUAAUUCAACUUGGCUUGGUUUAACACAAGUGUAAAUAAUAACAUGACACUUGGCGCAACACUAUUGGUGGCAUUGGAUUGGCAUAGAAAACAUGUCACCGAGGAUCCCAAGUGAUAUUGAUGACUUACACACGUUUAUAUCUCUGCUCCUAUUUCUCGAAAUGCUUAGCUGUACAAGUUAUGGGAGUUUCAACAUGUCAAGCUGAUGUUUAAGAGACUAGUAUGUAGAAAUUGUUAGUUGCUCAAAUUUGUAUUUGAUACUACAGUUAUUCAAAUUUAUUAAUUGUGAUGUGCCUUUUCGUGAUCCCCCUAAGUUCCCACAUCAAUUUGGGAAGAAAGGAAACGAUUGGAAUAUGAGCUCAAGGUCUAACAGUUAUUAAUAAUUUGGGUUAAUCCGUUUGAUCCUGUUGUGGCCAACCGUUAGAUUUGGGGCAUUAUGCUUCCACAUUGGGUGAGUUUGGACCGGUGGUGCUAUGGUUCAAAAUAUGCAAGGGAAUACAAGAGCUAAGUGUUUUAAUCCCACGUCAAAUGGGAAGAAAGAAAAGGAUUGGAAAAUAAGCUCAAGGUGUAUGGGGUGAUAAUAAAUUGGUGAACGACCUUUUUGCUGAGGUUUCUGUCCAGAAAGUUAUUGGGUUAGUGCUUAGAUAUAGAGCAUUACACUUUUCUUCCUACCAAUGCCUCAAAUCUAAAUUAAAUUUGUGUCUAAGAAGAUUUUGGAAAAAGGUCUGACUGAGAACAUUUGUUUUCAUGAUGAACCAUGUUACACAUCAGUAGAAGAACAUUUUGGAAAAGUUUCUGACUGAGAACAUCUAUUCCCAUGUCAGACUCUGUUAAGUUAGUGUCAGAAAUGAUGAAGGGACUUUGCGGUAAUCCAAAUCCGGCAUAUAUAUAUAUAUAUAUAUAUAUAUAUAUAUAUAUAUAUAUAUAUAUAUAUAAUUUUGCUAGGCGUCUAGUAAAGCGAUUUGAAGAUUUUGAUAGAUCCCUGCCGACAAUUCAUUUUAAAAAUGGUUAGGUUAGUGAACUCAUCUAUUUUCCAUUUUAAGGGCCUCUUUAAGUAGUCUUCAUUAGUGCAAUACUUAUCCAGAAGUGCAUGAAAUUCAAUAUUUAUUAUGCAAUCUGUGUUAUUAUUUUAAGUCUGUUGUAAAUUUUUGUUUUAAAGAUCAUAAAUGUUUCGUGCAUGAAUAAUAUAUUGAUUUGGCAAUAUUUAGAUUUUCGAAGUUGGCAUUUCACUUUAAAAUGUUUUGGAGAAUUCUUGUUGCAUUGCUUGAAAAACUUUGCUAUAAAAAAGAUUGUUUUGUGUCUAUUGAUCACUCCAAGGAUUGUAAAGUAUGCCUCCUUGAACUUAUGUUAUGAAUCUCAAGGACUGAAGUGGAAAGAAACUUUUAGUUCAGGAGGGAAAUUGUAAUUCAAUUGCUUUUUGACUAAUAAGAGUGGAAUUGGUUGGGCAGGAAAAGUAGCUAGCAAGGAAUAACCAACAUUGCUGACGUGGCCAGUUUGUUAGAAAGUAUUUACGGGAAUCACUUGCUAUAUAUACUAGAUGGCCAACAGAAGAAUGCAGGCAAUGAGUUGUACCAUUUUCUUUUUCUUGGAUCUGAAUAAACUCUCUUUCUCUCUCUUCUUCUUACUGUCUCAUUUCCUUCCUUCUCUUUUCUUCCGGCUCAAGACAUAAAACUAGUCUUGGGAGACGAGAAUUUUUUAGGAGCACUGGUGACUAGUCUUGUGGGGAGAAAAACAACAAAGAGCCUGUCCUCUUUCUCUUUUUUUUUCUUUCGUUUUCUAUUUUACUGGAUGCUUAUGCAAUUUACUUCAAUUAAAUUGUGUUGCUUGAUCCCGAUGAUGUGCAACUAAAUUUUCCAUUUCUAGCCAAGGAAUAACGUGGAUUUGGGUCAUCAACAACUGUGAGAUCUAACUAUUUUUUAUUUUUUUUAUUCGUUAGUAUUCGUAUAUUUUCUGGUUUAAUUACUCAUAGGUGUUAGUUGUUUGAAUAUCAAAAUCGUCUGAUAUUUAAAUCAAGCUAACGAACUAUUGCCAGUUAAGACAGUUAAAUUUGCAAUUGUUUAAUUGUUUUAAAUUAGUGGCCACUAGCAUGAUUGAUUUCAUGUUAGACAGUCAUACGAUCUAAUUUAAAUAAACCCUACUAGUGUAUUUAUCGAUUAGAACAUGGUUUUUCUAGUUUCUAAUGCAAUCAAGGAAUUAAAUUCUAUGGGUGUACUUAGGGUUGUUUCUUGGUUAGGGAAGUAGUUAACAGAAAUACUUUAACUAUCGAGACACUAAAGAAGAGCUAGCUGUCAUCGCGUGUUUGACAACUAUAACCUAUUUAUUAACAAAUAAAUGAAAUAAUUCUUGUAUCGAUGAGCAAUUGUUUGACCCGCUUCUGGGGUCAUUUCCUUGGUUAGAGCUCAUUUAUCCUUGAGUUAAAUUUAAUCUGCUUUAGUUUAAUUAUUUUCAAUUUGCAUUGAUUAUUUAUUUUUAAUUGUAAUUUUCCAAACUUCCCCCAAAUAAUUACUUAGAAAGAAGCAAAUUUUCCUCCUAAUCUCCGUGGAAACGACCCUACUUAUCAUUAUACUCCUUUAUAUCUUUGUGAGUAGGAAUUUAUUAUUACACAGACCUGACACCUGUCAAUUUUUGGUGCCAUUGUCGGAGAUUGGCAUUGGUUAAUUUGUCUCCUUUUGAGUUUAUUUUAUUCUAUUUUAUUUUCUGGUAUUUUUACUAGUUUAUGCCUCGUUCUUCUUGUACAAGUGAGUUAAUUUUUUAUCCCAAGAUUGAGAAGACAUCGCAUAGUCUAUGAAGAGAAACCACAAUACGAAAGAGAGAGUGGUCAUCUACUACGUCUCCAAGGUUUAAUUUGGCUGUGGAUUUAUUGGAAUCUUCAAGUGAUUCUGAGUAAGAGGAAUCAAUUAUGGCAAAUAAUAACUGAACUUUGAGGGAGUUGGCUACUCUGAAUUUAAACUAGCUGCUUCUAUGCAUUACUUUUCCUGAUUUUGCUGAAAAUGUAAUAUUUGAAUUGAAAUCAGGGCUAAUACACCUCCUUUCUAAUUUUCAUGGUUUGCCAGGUUAAGAACAUCAUAAGCACCUGCAGGAGUUGACAGUGGUAUGCACAAGUAUGAAGCCACCUGGUGUCACUGAGAAACAAACUAAGAUAAGGGCAUUCCUUUUUUCAUUAAAAAGGGCUGUUAAGGAUUGGCAAUACUACUUGCUCGCAGGGAGUAUCACGACAUAGGGGGAUAUGAAAAGAAAAUUUUUGGAAAAAUACUUCCCUACAUCCCGAACUGUCAGUUUACAAAAACAGGUAGGUGAUCUUAAGCAGGGUCCCGAGGAUUUUCUCUAUGAAUACUGGGAUAGAUUGAAGAAGUUGUGUACGAGUUACCCCCAACAUCAGAUUAGCAAACAAUUCCUUAUCCAAUACUUCUAUGAAGACCUACUUUACAGAAAUAGGAGUCUCAUCGAUGCUGCAAGUAGAGGUGCGUUAGUGAACAAAACCCCUCGAGAAGCUUAUGAAUUAAUCAAAGAGAUGGGUGAGAACUCCCAACAGUUUGGCACAAGAGAGAACGUUUCAAGUUGUCGUGUGAAUGAGGUGAGCAUUUCAUCGAUGCAAGAGCAAUUGGUUGAGUUAAUUUCUAUGUUUUGCCAAAUAGCAAUGGGAAGGUGUAACAAGUUAAGAAAUGUGAAAUUUGCAAGGAUGUAAACCAUCCCACCGAUGAAUGCCUAAUGCUACAAGAUGAUAACACGAAACAAGUAAACAUGGGUGGGUACGUACCCGCAUCCUGUAGGCAGUAUAACCCUUACUCCAACACAUAUAAUCCGGGUUGGAGGGACCACCCAAACUUUAAUUAUGGGGGAAAUAAGCAAAAUUUGGUCCCCAACAGACAGCAAGGGUUUCAGCCACAACAAUCAUCAAGACCCCAACCCUCUUCAUCUCAUUUGAACACGUCUCUUGAAGAUAUAGUCAAGACAUUGGUCGCUAACACCUUGCAAUUUCAGUAGAAGACAGAGGCAAGCAUACAAGAUCUCAAAACUUAGAUAAGUUAGAUGGCCUUUUCGAUGAACCGUCUGGAGUUUCAAGGGCAAGGAAUACUACCUUCUCAACUUGAGGUGAAUCUAAAGAACAUAAAUGUCAUGACCCUCAAAAGUGGAAAUGAAGUUGAAGGGCCAAAACCUAUAGUUCCUAAGGACAAGAGCAAAGAUCAAAUUGAAAAGAAGUUGAAAGAAGAAGGAAUAAGCAAGCUAACUCCUCAGAUAAUUUCGACCCCUUUAUUUAAAACUAAUACUAACCUACCACCUUUCUCUAGUAGGUUGGAGAAGCCAAAAAGGCAAGAUAAGAAGAAGGAGAUCUUAGAGGUGUUCAAGAAGGUAAAGAUAAACAUCCCUCUGUUGGAUGCAAUUAAGCAAGUGCCCAAAUAUGCCAAAUUUCUAAAGGAUUUAUACGUCAAUUGAAAGAAAUUGAGAGGCGACGAAAGAAUUGUGAUGAGGGAGAAUGUUUCAGCCGUGUUACAAAAGAAACUUCCACCCAAAUGUGGAGACUCAAGUAUGUUUUAUAUCCCUCAUCGUAUUGAAAAUACUAAGACCAGAAAGACUAUACUAGAUCUAGGAGUUUCCAUUAAUGUGAUGCCGAAAAAUAUCUAUACCUCCUUAAAUCUAGGACCUUUAAAGGAAACAGGCAUUAUAAUUCAGCUAGCCAAUCGGACUAAUGCAUAUCCUGAUGGAUUAGUUGAAGAUUUUUCAGUUCAGAUUAAUGAAUUAGUAUUUUCAACUAACUUUCAUUUGCUUUACAUGAAUGAUAAGCGUUCACUAAAUUCAUCACCUGUUAUACUAGGGAGACCCUUUUUGAGUAUAGUCGAAACAAAAAUAAAUGUCAAACAGGGCACACUUACAAUGAAAUUUGAUGGGGUGGUGAUCCAUUUCAGUAUAUUUAAAACUAUGAAAUACCUAUCUGACUCUCAUACUAUUUUUGCCAUGAGUGUAAUUGACCCUGUGGUAUAGAAAAUUUUUGAGAUUGAUGACACGGAUGAACUAGAAGUUGUUGUCACCAAAUAUCUUAAGUUGGGGACAACCUGUGAUGUGGAGUUGAGUGAGGAGUUGAAAUGCAUAGUUAGAGCGCUACAGUCAAUGGCACCUACUAUAAUAAGAUAUGAACUUGCACUACUCUUUAUACCCGAUUCUCAUCGAAGGUUGCUACCUUCAGUGAUGCAAGCACCUGAAGUGGAAUUGAAACCCCUGCUGGGUCAUUUGAAGUAUACAUUCUUGGGUGAUAAAAAUACUCUUCCAAUCAUCAUUUCUGCCACCUAGUCAAGAGGACAGGUUGAUCCGAAUCCUUAAGAACAGCAAAGAGGUGAUAGGGUGGACAAUAACUGACAUUAAAGGCAUAAGUCCCUCUGUGUGCAUGCAUAGAAUAUGGCAUAAAGAAGGUGCAAAGCCUGUAAGACAAGCACAUAGACGGCUAAAUUCCCUAAUGAUGGAAGUGGUAAAAAAGAAAAUACUCAAGUUUCUAGAUGCGGGGAUGAUUUAUGCCAUCUUUGAUAGCCUCUGGGUGAACCCAGUGUAAAUGGUUUCAAAGAAGGCAAGAGUCACAAUUGAAGUCAAUCAUGAUGGGGAGCUUGUUCUUGCUCACAAACCAACGAGAUGGCGCCAGUGUGUCGAUUAUCGGAAACUAAAUGCAAUCACAAAAAAAGGACUAUUAUUCUCUUUCUUUCAUUGAUCAAAUGAUUGAAAAAUUAACUUAUCGUGGUUAAUACUGUUCUCUGGAUGAUUUUUUUAGGGUAUUUUCAAAUUGGAAUAGUACUGGAGGACUAGGAGAAAACUACUUUCACAUGCCCAUUCAAUACCUUCGUAUAUAGAAGAAUGCCCUUUGAAUUGUGUAAAACUCCCGCAACCUUUUAGAGGUGUAUGGUAAGUAUUUUUUUCUGAAUAUGUUGAGAAAAUAAUAGAGGCCUUUAUGGAUGAUUCAGUGUCUAUGGUGAUUGAUAAGUGCAUAUUUUACGUGUUUUAAGUGUGUUUUAUUAGUUAGCUUUGGUGUGUUUUAUUUAGUUUUAUAGCUAAUUAAUUAAGUUACUAGUGAAAAUAUGCAUUUUGUGGUUUAAAGUGUGAAAGUUGCAUUUCUGUGGAUUUUGAUGGUAAAAACUUCAUGUUUUUAUAGAUUUAAUGAUUCAAUCAUCAAAUGGCAUGAACUGAGAAGAUAAUUGGAUGAUUGAUGAUGGUUUGAAAUGAUAAAAAGAGAAUAUGAAAUGCAAGAGAUGAAAUGCAAUUAAAGGAAGUUUUCUAGCUUUGACACCUUGUGGUAUUUCGGGUAUAUCUUAAGUCACAAGCAUUAGAUUGAGGUGAUUCUUGAACCAUUUUGAAGCUAACCAAUAGAUCUAUAUUUAAUAUGAGGCAUCGAAGUCCAGUUCAGUUGUUUUCAUUGUCAAAAAGUUGAAAUACAGAAGUGCAUUUUCAUGAUCGAAAGCUGAAACAGAGUUCUGACCAGUCAAGAGUAUUUUAGUUAUUUUCGAUCCAUAGAGCUCCAAAUUGGAUGAUUAUUGAGGCAUUGGAAAGUUAACUCAAAAGGAUACAACUUUCAUGUUUUCCAUAAGAGCUAAUUCAACCUCCAUCAUUGAGAAAAUAUCAGUUGAAAUUGGACAAAAAAUAGAGCCAGGAUGAAUUCUGCCCAGAAAGUGCAAACCUGCAAAAGUAAUACAUGCGUAGACAAUUCACAACCUAAGGUCGCUCCAAUUUCGGCUGCAACUUGCUCUUCAACUUGUGUUAUGUUCACGCAAGCUUUUUGACCCAUUUUCUUGCAAGAAUUUUGGUGGAAAGUGACAAAGAUAGCUGCCAAAGAAGCUUUACAACUCAAAUCUAGCUUGUUUAUGGUCUCAAGAGAAAUCUUAACAUGAUUUAACACUUUGUCUUUUGCAUGGAAUUCCUCUAUAAAUAGCAACCUUUGGAGACUAUUUUCACAACUUUGGAAGGCAAGAAAAAUUUCACAAAAAUGCAGUUUUCACUAGAGUUUUCUUAAUUCAAUAGUUAGGGUAGUAUAGUAUAGUUAGAAUAGUUUAUCUUUCUUGUAUUUGUAGUUUGAUUUGGAUGAAGAUUUGAAAAGCAAAGAUGGAGAGAUAGAACUCAUGUGGCAUGGGUGAUUUCUCUCCUUUCCCUUUCUCUUUUGUAUUUAAGUUCAUGUUUAACUAUAAUACAAGUUUGGAUCUUGUUUUCAUGUUUUGCUAAAGUUUAUGCCUAGAGUUAUGGAUGAACUUUCUAUAUCUUGUUAGUGAUAUUUAAUUGGUUAGUUGAUGAUAUUAUUUUGAACAAGUUAUUUAUCACUUUUGCUUAUUUAAUCAUGAUUAACCGGCCAUUAAUUGUGAUAAUCUUAAGGUGUUAAGUUUGCAAUGAGAAUUGAAAUUUAACACUAGUUCAAGGAAGUGAUAAACCUAGGGAGUACACUCACGAGAGUAGAGGUGCACCUUUGUGGCUUUAGUGACUUAUUUCAUGUAAUUUCAUAGAAAAAAGGAGCUUGUAGUUAAUUUCAUAAAUACGAGAGUAGGUAUGGUUUAGCUACAAGUAUAGUUGAUUCACCACGAGAGUAGUUUUCACAUACAUUAAGAAAUUACGCCAUAACUAGCCAAGAUAAUAACAUUCACUUAACCGGUAACACUUCAUUUGCAAGAAUAGUAAGGAAUUCCAUAUCUCUAGGAGCUUCCUAUUAUAUUUUUGUUACUUUUAUAGUGUAGAUUUAAUUUAUUGCACUAGUGAUAGUUUAAAUAAUAAAAGAGUUCGAAAAACAUUGGUAAUUGACAAUUUUCUCUGUGGGAUCGACACCUAAUACCCCUGUACUCAAUAAACAACUCGUAUACUUGCGAAAAAUCAUGUGUGGGGUAUUUAGGAUUUAUAAAUGUAAAAUUUGAUUGUAGAAUGAACUAAUUGUUAUGUGUAUACCCCACGCUCGUCAGUGAUAGAUUUGAUGAAUGACUUAAGAAUUUGACUCUAAUUGUUCAAAGAUGCAUCGAAACUAACCUUGUAUUCAAUUAAAAAAAAUGUCAUUCUAUGGUUGAGUACGGAAUAGUUCUAGGUCAUGUCGUAUCAUCUAAGGGUAUGAAAGUUGAUAAGGCAAAAAUAGACCUUAUAUCUUGCUUACCAUACCCACUAAUCUGCGAAAAGUGUGUUCCUUUUUGGGACAUGUAGGUUUUUAUUGGAGAUUCAUCAAGGACUUCUAAAAAAUUGGAACACCAUUGUUUAGACUCUUGCAAAAGGACGUAACAUUUAAUUUUGAUGAGAAAUGCAAGAAGGCGUUUGAUUGUUUAAAGGAGUUUGUUGAUUUCCCCACCUAUCAUCAUAUAACAUCCAGACUGGAAUCUCCCAUUCGAGAUCAUGUAUAAGGCAAGUACUGACUUGUAUUGCAUUUCUUCACUUGAACGUUUUUCACUUCAUUUUUCUUUUCACCACUUAAAUUCAUCACCAAAUCUCUAUUUUUCACCUCAUUUGCCAUCCUUUGGUGAUUGAGUCAUCAUUCCUGCAUAAAAAUGAAGGUUUUACCAUUAAAAUCACUAAAAAUACAAUAUUAUCCACUUUUACCAAAAAUAUAUAAUUUUACCAAAAACCUCUUUAUUUUAAUUAUAAAACUAAAUAAUCAACUCAAAAUUAACUAAUAAAAUGCACUUAAAAAUACGUAAAAUAAACUCUUAUCAAAUACCCCCACACUUGAAUCAUUGCUUGUCCUCAAGCAAUAUGAAAUUCCAAUCAUCAAUGAUCCAAAGAUUAAAAAUACACAUAUGUAGCAUUUCAUCUUCAUUUCCUUGAAUCAAGGUAAAUAACCCUUAUGUGAUCUUUCAAUUAACCUCAAGUACUCAUAAUAUCAAGCAAAGAAGAGCAAAGUAUACCAUAAUUUUACUAAUUCAACUCAAUUUCUCAUUUUUACCCAAUUCUACAAGCAAGCAACUCAUAUAGUCAAUAAAGAUGCUAACUAAUCUCAUGAUCAACUUCUUUAUUUUUCUUAAAGAGGGAUUUAUUUUCCUUUAUUUUCUUUUUUCUUUUUCUUCUUUUUUUUUUUUAAUAUUUUAAGAGUUAAAUACUACUUAAGUUGUGAAAAAUACCUUUUGACGCGAAGAUCGACAUUUUUAGAUGAAGAUCCCCGGUUACUCAAUAUUUCACAUACUCAAGUUGCUUUUGAUACUCUUAAUUCAAGUACCGUUUUACGCGAAAGUCGACAUUUGUAGAUGAAGACUCCCGGUUACUAAGUACAAGAACCAUUGGAGUAGAAUAACUCUUUUUUUUUUUUGAUGUAUAUAUAUAUAUAUAAAAUUCCCUCUAAGAGUAAUCAUGAGAAGAGUAUGACACUUAUUAACCAUAUUAAUUUCUUAUCUUAUAAAAUUAGAUAAAAAGAAGAAUUUUCAUCAAAUAUACAAAAUGUAGGCAUAAUUUUCUCCACUUUACUAGAUAUACUUUCCUAUAGAUGUAAAAAUUAUAAUCACAUAAAAAUCAUUUCCAAAUUUCAUGAGAAAAGAAGUAUCAAAACCGCAUAUAUUUAUUUCAAAAGGAUAAGUGACAAAAUUUUAUUUAUUUAUUAUAGUUAAUAACAUAUAUAUGUAUAAGGUUUUGGAAAAAUUUUGACAGAGUCUCCCCUUAAAAGUGGACUAAAUCUCCCUGCCAUCAACCACAAGAAACACAAUUUAAGCACAAGAAUUAUAUUGAACACAACUAAAAUCACAAGUACCACACAUUUCUUCCCCCACACUUAGAAUACACAUUGUCCUCAAUGUGUAGGGAAAGAAAAGAAAAGAAACAAAAGAAAGGAACAAGUGACUCCCCAAGUGAUAUGGCUGCGGUCCAGUGAAGCCUUGAAUCAUGAGCCAUCAACCGCUCAACCAUGUACAGUCAACGAUCUACUAGUUACUGCCACAAGUUCCAAAAUUCAAAAUAAUGAAUGUAAGUUAACAUUUUUAAAACAAAAGAUAAAAAAUAACACGCAAACAAGCAAACAAAAGAAAAGCCAGCCAAAGGGCAGCCUCAAUCAUCCUCUUCAUCGUCAUCUUCAUCAUCAUCGAUGGGAGGUGGGCGUGUGCCUAAAUGAUCUUCAAUUCGGUCCAGGCGAGUAUCCAUUCUGGCUAAGCGAUGAUCGAUGUCAUCUAAACGACCAAAGAGCCGCUGCCAGUUGGUUUGUGGCGGAGGAGGAGGUGGUGCUGCAGUAGAUGGUCCAGCUCCAUCGCGACCAUGUCUAGCCUUUUGUCUCCGCUCCUGAACAGGGCGUGGAAUGUCUCCCGUGCCAAUACCAAGGCGGCGAAGAGUAGUGAUAGUCAUCUCAGCACGUGGUGGAACAUACUCCCGCCGCAUGCCUUCCAACGGAACUUCAAAACGGGGGAAGAUUAAAGUCAGUAGACGAGGAAAUGAAAGUUUGAAGGAAGUUGUCUUACGCCUCGCCGUAGACCUAAUGUGGCUGAUGAUGAUGUUAGGCAAUGAAAUCCGAGCAUAUGGAGAUGUCCGGUUAUGGAACAUGUAAUCCAAGAAAUAGAUAUCGCUCUUGCGGACCUCCGUGUGCCCCGUCUUCUUUGGGAUGACAUUGUGAGCCAUCAUGUAAAUGAUAAGACGAUGACGAGGUUCGAAUACAUUCGCCAAUAUAGUCUCCUUUCUGGUAGAGCGAAAAGGUUGAUACUCGAGACCAAACCUAGCCAUGGCCAAUGAGGGAUCCCACCUCCGAUUCGGGGGAACAAACUCCUUCUUCAAGUCUACUGGACGUCCGUCAUCCAUACACCCCAAAAUAGCGGCCAAAUCUUGACGUGACAAGACGAUUCGUCUUCCACGCACCCAGGACUCAACCAUUUCUCCACUGUGGUGCGCCUUUCUCUCAAUGUUGGCGUAAAACUCGCGCACCAAAUCGGGGUAGUAAUGGUUUGGUAAGGUGAGAAUCGGGGCCCAUCCAAGCUGAGCAAAAGCCUCCGAGAUGUUAUACAUCAUCUCCACCGUUUGGUUCACGUGCAUCUCAAAUAGGAACUCCAAGUUAGCAUGCUCCUCAUGCCAUUCUUGAUUCCUUCGAUUAGUGAACCUUGCACUGUCAAACACAGAUCUUCCCGCUCCACGAGAGCUGCCCUCACCAGGCUGUCGACUAACCGGUGGCGGAGAAGGUGAACUCUCCUCCUCAGACACGUCCAUCUCUUCAUUAACCUCUCUCUCCUCACUACUAGAGGAUGAAAGUACCGCUCUUCUUCCCCUUGGCAUAGUACCUAAAAGAAAAUGUUGCAAUUAACCACAUAUAUUUAGACACAAUGCACAAUUUGGCAAUGAAUGUUCUAAAAUGAUCCAAAUAACCUCCAAUUUAUCCCUUCAAGUGACAACACGUCCAAUAACUAAUGUAUAGGACCAAACAAGAAGAGCCAUAAUUUAUGCCCAAAAAUUAUUCAAAAUCACCAAUUGAAACAAGAUAUGCAAUAAUUAUAACCCAAUCAGUGAAAUUAGCAACAAUUAUGAUUAUAACUACUGAGAAUUAACAAAAAUAACAUGCCUUUAGCUAUAAUCAUGUUUAAGCAAAAAUUAACCAAUUAACUCACUAAAUCAACCAAAUUACUCAAUAUACACAAUGCAUAUGCCCAAACAUCAUCAACUAACCAUCCUUAACCAUAAUUAAUCAUCACAAUGGCUCAAAAACAUCCUAGUUUCUUUUUCCAAUUUCGUCUAAAUAUAGCAAUUGUGAAUUUAUAAAGCAAUAAUGACCAACAAAUUGCUACAUUUAAACUCAUAAACAUACUUAAACAAUCUCAAUAAGCAUGAAUAAAUUCAAAAAUAGUCAAAUACAUCAUCAAAUUUUCGACAUUAAAAGAUGUCAGAUAGCUCAGGAUAAAAAAUAUGACUUUCAAAAAUCAAAAGAUUUGAUGAAGAAACUUACCUCAAUCACGUAGAAGGAUGUUUGGUGAUGCUAAAAAUGCAAAAAGCCCUAUGAAACAACCUCCAAUUGACCUCCAAUUGAAGAAAUUAGAGUUGAAGAACCCUAAACUUCAAUCCUUCAAAAACUGAAUUUUAGGUGUUUUUCAAGGAUUUUAAUCAGUUAAAAAGGUUGUAUGAAGCUCAAAAGGUGUUUGGUGGAUGUUUUCUAGCAAGAUUAUGGAACAAAAUGGAAGAUUUGUGAGUUGGGUAGAAGAGAAAAGGAAGAAACGCGGCUAGAAAAAUGGAAAAGGGAAGAAAAUGAAGCUGAAAUCGCGUUUCUGAAGGCUAUAUUCAGACACAGCAAACGCGACUAAAAACGCGCCUUCAACUCGCGUUUUUUAAGUCGCGUUUCCUGCACAAAUCUUGCAGGACUUAAAACGCGACUGUGUUGUAAAACGCGACUUAGACUCGCGUUUCAGAAGUCGCGUGUUUGAGUCUUGAUCCAGGCUUGAAAACGCGACUUCCAUUAAAACGCGACUUUAGGUCGCGUUUUGAAGGCGCGUUUUCUUUUCUGCAGGCGCAGAAUUGAAAACGCGAUUCUGAGAAACGCGACUUUGAGUCGCGUUUUCUUGGAAAACGCGUUUUCUGCUUCGAUUUUUAGCAGAAUUUCAACUUUUGAAAAAUUACAAAAGGUACCCCAAUGACUCAAAAUGCAUCAUAGAUCAUUUGUUUGCCAAUUUUAAUGGCUGGAACAAAUGUAAAACAUUAAAAACAUGCAUUUUACCCCUUUAUAAUGAAUCAAAAACACCUUUAACGUAAAUCGAGGGGUUGAGUUGCUUGAUCAAAGUUUGCCCUUUUCACCUCAAAUGGUCAUUCUUGCUUCCAUUUGCCAACCCUAUAACACAAAAACAACAAAUUAACUAAAACACUUAUUUAAGUCUAAAAAUCACAAAAAAUUAACACAAAUAACAUAAACAUUGGGUUGCCUCCCAAUUAGCGCUUUUGUUUAUAGUCGUUGGCUCGACUGAAAGAGUUGAAUCACUUUAGAGCAUUAGGGAGCGAUUUUCUCCCCAUGGGUCGAAACUCCCGAGCCAAUCCACCAUGUGGUGAACCAUGCUUUGAUCUUCAUAGUCCAAUUUCCUCAAAUGCCAAGGAGGAAUAUUAGACUUGUCAUAGAGAGGCUCAACUUCACCUUGGAGUGGAUUUUGCUUGUCUUUUCUGAAUUGGCUCAACUUUUCACCAUUUUCUUCAUGGAAUGGCGAAUUUAUUAAGCCAACUUCCAUCCUUAUCUUCUCCUCCUUUGUUCCUACACCAUGAAAGUUAGUACCAAGGGCAUUUAUAAAUUUAACUUCUUCGGUCCUUUCUUGGUUAACCUUUUCAUCAUAUGGCAUAUUAGAAACAAGAGCAGUAGGCUCUAUACUCCCUUCUUUAUUAUCCAAAUUGAAUUCCAAUUCCUCACCAUUAACCCGUAAUAUAAGCUUACCUUUUUCUACAUCAAUUAUAGUUCGUGCAGUGGCUAAAAACGGUCGUCCUAGAAUAAUUGGCAUUCUCACAUCUUCUUCAAUAUCUAAGACAACAAAAUCCACAGGUAUUAUAGAUUGUCUUACCUUUAUGAGCACAUUUUCCAAAAUACCCGUGGGACGUGUGAUUGACCGAUCCGCCAAUUGCAAUGUAAUAUUGGUAGCUUUUAGCUCUUGAAGUCCCAAUCUCCGGGCAACCGAUAACGGCAUAAGUGACACACUUGCACCUAAAUCACAUAAAGCAUUAGAAAAAUGCAAUUGACCAAUAGUGCAAGGAAUAGAAAAACUUCCCGGAUCUUUCAAUUUAGGAGGGAGUUUAUUCUUAAUCAAUGCACUACACUCUUCCGUUAAUGCUAUCAUCUCAUUAUCUACAAUUUUCCUCUUCUUUGACAUGAUGUCUUUCAAGAAACGUGCAUAAGAGGGAAUCUGUGUUAUAGCAUCAAUGAAAGGAAUGUUAAUGUGCAAUUGUUUAAACAUUUUGAAGAACUUUUCAAACUCCCGAUCCUGUCCAUCUUUCUUCAACCUGUGAGGAAAAGGUAUCACAUUAGAAUUUAAAUGAGAAUUUAAUUUGGGAUGAAGUGCAUCAAUAUCAAUGAUAACAUGAUCAUUUUGACUUUCUUGCUCCCCUUCAAUUGCAUGCAUCUUGUCUUUUUCACCACCUGAAUUUUCAAAAUCGAAUCCCUCAACCGUUUUACCACUUCUAAGAAUGAUUGCAUUGACAUGCUCUCUCGGAUUCACUUCGGUUUUACUUGGUAAUUCACCAGGGUUUCUAUUGUUGAUCACAUUGGCAAUUUGACCAAUUUGAACCUCCAAGUUUCUGUACAUCCCAGCUAAUUGGUCCAACCGCCCCUCAACUCGCUCGAAUCUAUCCGAAGUCACCUUAGCAAGUUUUUCCACCGCGAUCUCCCAACUUGGUUUAGUUUCAGCCUGUGGUUGCCUUGGUUGAAAUCCCGGCGGAUUGGUUGGCCUUUGUUGAUUGCCUUGAUCUUUCCAUCCAAAGUUUGGAUGAUUUCUCCACCCCGGAUUGUAAGUAUUCGAGUAGGGAUUAUUUGGAGCAUUUCGGUUGUAAUUAUUAACAAAUUGUACCUGCUCAGAAUCAACACACUCAUUAAUAUCAUGUUCACCUCCACAGAAAGAGCAACAAGCUACGUGAGCAUUAGAUGAACUUGGGCUAACUCCACCUUGUCUACUUAGCAAUUUCAUCACAUUAUUCAUUUGAGCACUCAGCAUAUUGAGAGUGUCCAUUUCUAUCAUACCUGCGUGACGUCUUGUAUUACCUCUCUCAUUGGCCCAUUGGUAGUUAUUUGCUGCCAUUUCUUCUAUCAAAUUAUGAGUUUCUUGGGGUGAUUUACCCAUUAAAGCUCCACCUGCAGCUGCAUCGAUCAUAGUUUUAGUAGAAAAAGCUAAACCAUUAUAGAAGGUUUGUAUGAUUAACCAUUCCGGCAGUCCAUGAUGUGGACAUUUCCGAAGCAAAUCUCUAAACCUUUCCCAUGCCUCAUCUAAUGAUUCUCCCUCCAAUUGACUAAAACUAGUGAUAUCCAUUCUAAGCUUAGCAGUCUUUCCUGGUGGAAAAUACUUAUUUAAGAAUGCUCUUGAUAAAUCAUCCCAUCCGGUGAAAGUAUUAGGAGCAUGAGAGUGUAGCCAAAGUUUGGCCUUAUCUCUCAAUGAAAAUGGGAACAAUCUUAGCCGUAUAGCAUCAUCACUAACUCCAUUCAUUUUAAUUGUAUCACAAAUUUCCAAAAAUGUAGUUAAGUGUGAAUUAGGAUCUUCUACUGCAUUACCUGCAAAUUGAGAUUGUUGAACCAUCUGGAUAAGUGAUGGUUUAAUCUCAAAAUUGUUAGCAUUUACCGUAGGCCUUACUAUGCUUGUUUGAGAUCCUUGUGUUCCCGGUAGAGUAUAAUCUCGUAAAACUCGCCUAUUUGGGUCAUUUUCGGCCAUCUCUUCCUCAAAUGGUAGAUCUAUUGAGAUUUCCUCUAUAGGUUGCCAAAUCUCUUGUUCCUCUUGCUGUGGUGGAUGCCUCCUUUGUCUACGUAGUGUCCUCUCAAUUUCUGGAUCGAAAGGUGUAACUUCCCGAGACGCCCGGUGCAUACACUACAAACAGAAAUAAGAGAUAUUAUGCAAUUUCAAUUGUCAAAAACUGAUUACAAUAUAAGAUUAAAUAUAAUCUAAAAAAAAUAAAACUGUCUAAAUUAAUAAAGAUGAUUAGGCUCUAAUAUUGCCGCUCCCCGGCAACGGCGCCAAAAACUUGACGGGAUUUUUUUUAUCAAUGCAAGUUUAAUUCCGAAUUUACACCCGUUGGACUGCAAGUAUACAGGUCGCAAUUGUAGUACGAGAUGUGUAUCGGGUCGAUCCCACGAGGAGCAAUUUAAAACAAUUAUUAGAUACUAAUUUACUCUAUUAUUUAGACUCACAAUUAAUUUGAGCAGAAACUUCAGAUUUUAAUUCAACUACAAAAAUUCUUAAAUAGAUAAAUGCAAUUUCACAAUAGGAGUAGAAUUCACUAAAUAUUAAGAUCUAGGGAUGUAGAUUCCACUUAUGACACAAAAGAUCUAAAAUGAAUUAAUUCAACACUUGUUACUGCUCUUGUUUAACCAAGGAUUCAUUUCCAGAAAUACCAAAAUCACAUUCUCAUGAUAAUAAUGGGUUAAAACAGAUUAGUUUUUCCUAAUCUCUUGGUAAAUACUAAAUCUGUUCUUAUUCACACAUGAAAUGCAGAUUUCAUCCACUUGAAUGUAUUUCUAUUCUCAUGAAUAUACUACUCAAGCUCUACUUAUGUCAUUCCAUUAUUUUUACCAUUUCUCAAUGAGUAAAAACAACUAUAAACCUGCUAUUGGUGAUCAAGCAACUACAAGUAAUCCAACAUACACAAGUAGAUAAGUUAAUACAAGACAUAACAAGCAUAAAUCACAAUCACUUCAUAUCAUUUGGCCAUAAGCUUCAUCUACUCCCUAGAUAAAGGAAAUUAGCUACUCAUGAAUGAUGAAACACUCAUAACUUCAUUAAUGCAAAUCAUCAUGAAUUUACAAAUACAAAAAGAGUAAAGAAAGUCUUAGCCAAGAUAUGGUGAAGCCUUCCAAAAAUCUCCUUGUCUUGAACUUAGAUGAUUACAAGAUGAAACCUCAAUUGUCCUUUGCAAGUACCUAGCUAGAGAGACUAUGUUUUUCUGUAAGAAGCUAAGCUACGAAUGGAUCUCCAGACCUCUCCCCAUAUUUCUGCAUAAAAAGUACUCAAAGGCUCCAUUUUUCCAAGUCAAAUUCUAUCCUUUGAUUCCCAAAUCUCCACUUUGUUAGCAUAGUCAAAAACCAAUAUUUUUGACUUGAAAAUAAGCCACUUUUCUUGCCCUUUUGUCUUCUGAAGCAUGUGCACCGAAUUCCCUUGCAUCUUAUAGCUGGAAAGUGGUGUGAACACAAGAGAAUUGGCUGAGUCAAAUUGCAGAAUUUCGGCUAUAAAACGCGCCUAAACAAAACGCGGCAUAACUCGCGUUUUGUCUACUCGCGUUUUCACUCUGGCCUUAUUUCAACUGAGAUUUUCUCAUUGAUAAAGGCCAAACUAGCUUUUGUGCAAAACACAAAAGUUGUAGCCCUUUGUGUUAGCUUUCCAAUGCUUCAAGAAUCAUCCAAAUCGGAGCUUUGUAGCCUGAGAUAUGAUCAAAAUACUGUCACCUGUUCAAACCUCUGUUUUAACUUCCGACCACAGAAUGCAGCUUCUGUAUUCCAACGUUUUGCCCAUGAAGAUGGCAGAAAUGGAUUUCGAUGUCUUCAUACGAAUUGUAGGUCUCUUUCUUAGCUUUAAAAUGGUAUAAAGAUCACCUCAAUCCGAUAAGUGUAGCUCUAGAUAUGGUCAAAAUACUGAAGAGUGUCAAAACUGACUUGUAUUGCAUUUCUUCACUUGAACGUUUUUCACUUCAUUUUUCUUUUCACCACUUAAAUUCAUCACCAAAUCUCUAUUUUUCACCUCAUUUGCCAUCCUUUGGUGAUUGAGUCAUCAUUCCUGCAUAAAAAUGAAGGUUUUACCAUUAAAAUCACUAAAAAUACAAUAUUAUCCACUUUUACCAAAAAUAUAUAAUUUUACCAAAAACCUUUUUAUUUUAAUUAUAAAACUAAAUAAUCAACUCAAAAUUAACUAAUAAAAUGCACUUAAAAAUACGUAAAAUAAACUCUUAUCAGUUGAGUACGGAAUAGUUCUAGGUCAUGUCGUAUCAUCUAAGGGUAUGAAAGUUGAUAAGGCAAAAAUAGACCUUAUAUCUUGCUUACCAUACCCACUAAUCUGCGAAAAGUGUGUUCCUUUUUGGGACAUGUAGGUUUUUAUUGGAGAUUCAUCAAGGACUUCUAAAAAAUUGGAACACCAUUGUUUAGACUCUUGCAAAAGGACGUAACAUUUAAUUUUGAUGAGAAAUGCAAGAAGGCGUUUGAUUGUUUAAAGGAGUUUGUUGAUUUCCCCACCUAUCAUCAUAUAACAUCCAGACUGGAAUCUCCCAUUCGAGAUCAUGUAUAAGGCAAGUGACAGUGCAAUAGGGGCGGUACUGGGCCAAAGGAUCGGAAAGGCUGCACAUGCAAUCUAUUAUGCAUCUAAGGCCUUGAAUGGAACUCAACUCAAUUAUACAAUCACAGAAAAUGAGUUUUUAGCAGUUAUUUUUGCUUUAGAAAAAUUUCGUUCUUAUUUAUUAGAAGAUAAAGUGAUUGUGUAUUCUGACUAUACAGCGCUAUGGCACUUGAUGACCAAGAAAGAUGUUAAACCAAGGUUGAUAAGAUGGAUUUUGCUUUUAUAUGGGUUCAAUUUGAAAAUCCGUGAUAAAAAGGGAGGAGAGAAUUUAGUUGCCGAUCAUUUUAGUCGAUUGCCAAUUGUUAAGGAUGAUUUUAUAUUGACGAAAACUUUUCCUAAUGAACAACCAUUUUCUGCUAAUCCCUCUCUUCCUUAGUAUGCAGAUAUUAUUAAUUUCUUGACCACUAAUCAAUUGCUUGCAUAUUGGUCGAAAACAAAAUGAGAUAAGCUCAAAUGUGAUCCUAAGUAUUACUUAUGGGAUGACCCCUAUUUAUAGAGGCAAUAUGCAGAUCAAGUACUGCGUAGAUGUGUAAUUGAGAGUGAAUUUAAUUUUGUUUUAACAUUUUAUCACUCUUACGCAUGUGGAGACCAAUUUAGACUGCAAAAAUAGCUCGUAAAGUAUUGGAAAGCGAUUUUUAUUGGCCUACAAUUUUCAAAGAUACAUACUUGUUUUGUAAGUCAUGUGAUAGUUAUCAAAGGGUAGGAAAUAUUUCUCAUAGAAACUAGAUACUACGAACCCCUAUGAUUUUUUGUGAAAUUUUUGAUGCAUGGGGUAUUGAUUUUAUGGGUCCAUUUCCUUUGUCUUUUGGUUUCCUUUACAUUUUGUUGGCCGUAGAUUAUGUGUCGAAGUAAAUGAAAACAAAAACCACCCGAACUAAUGAUUCUAAAGUGGUUGAGAUUAUGUAAUUGAGAGUGAAUUUAAUUUUGUUUUAACAUUUUAUCACUCUUACGCAUGUGGAGACCAAUUUAGACUGCAAAAAUAGCUCGUAAAGUAUUGGAAAGCGGUUUUUAUUGGCCUACAAUUUUCAAAGAUACAUACUUGUUUUGUAAGUCAUGUGAUAGAUAUCAAAGGGUAGGAAAUAUUUCUCAUAGAAACUAGAUACUACGAACCCCUAUGAUUUUUUGUGAAAUUUUUGAUGCAUGGGGUGUUGAUUUUAUGGGUCCAUUUCCUUUGUCUUUUGGUUUCCUUUACAUUUUGUUGGCCGUAGAUUAUGUGUCGAAGUAAAUGAAACUAAAAACCACCCGAACUAAUGAUUCUAAAGUGGUUGCAUAUUUCAUUCAAUCACAUAUUUUUGUUCGUUUUGGGGUACCACGAAUUAUAGUAAGUGAUUGAGAAAAACAGUUUUGCAAUAAAAUGUUGGCGGCUCUAUUUCGUAAAUAUGGAGUGACUCAUAAGGUAUUUACAUCCUAUCACCCCAAACGAAUGGUCAUGUGAAAAUUUCAAAUAGGGAAAUUAAAUAUAUAUUGGAGAAGAUGGUUCGUCCCGAUAGGAAUGAUUGGAGUUCAUAAUUGAACGAUGUACUUUGGAUUUAUAGGACAGCCUAUAAAACUCCUAUAAGUAUAUCUCCCUAUAGGUUGGUAUUUGAGAAGCCGUGUCAUUUAUCGGUUGAGCUCGAGCACAAAGCAUAUUGGGGGAUCAUGAAAUGCAACAUGGAUCUUGAUGAUGUUGAAAUGCAUAGAAAACUCCAAUUACAAGAAUUGAAAGAGUUGAAGAAUGAUACUUACGAGAAUGCAACACUAUAUAAAGAGAAGAUUAAGGUUUUUCAUGACCAAUAAGUUGCAAGGAAAUCAUUUAUAGUUGGGCAAAGAGUUCUUCUCUAUCAAUCUUGUCUAAAGCUCUUUCUAGGUAAGUUGCGCUCUCGUUGGGUUAGUCUAUUUGUUGUGAUUAAUAUUUUUCACUAUGGUGCUGUGGAAAUUCAGAGUAUGCAGACAGAUAAGAAAUUUGUGGUUAAUGGCCAUCAUUUUAAACCCUAUUAUGAAAGUGUUUCAAUGGAGAAUGUGGAGAUAAUAAAUCUUGAAGAUCCCUCUUAUGCUGCUUGAGCAAUAUUCGACCAUGUCUAACCAAAGACGUUAAAAAAAGAUGCUUAUUGGGAGGCAAUCAAAUUCUUUUUUUAUUGUUUGUUCACUAAUAUUAUGUGUUUCACUAUGUUUAUCUUAGGUAAUGCACAAAUAUCCAAUUCCAUCAUCAAAAAAUUAUGGACCAACAUGACUUGCCCAUGUCUUGAGGGUAUGUUGUAACUCAUAAUUAGCCAACUUUAUCAUCAAAAGAGUUUCAACCAAUAAGACGUGCCCACGUCUUGUCCUAGCAAAGGAAAAAAAACAAAUUGAACCCAAAAGAAUUUUCUUUUUCCUUUUUUUCUAUUCUUUCCUUUGCCUUUUCCCUUUUCUAUUUCUUUUCCUUUCCUUCUUUCUUUCUUUCUUCUUUCUUUAUUUCGCUUUUUCGUUUCCCCAGCCGCAUGGCCAAAACUCUAUUUGCUGCUUGCCCACAAUUCAUCUCCCACCAUCCACUGUUGUUGCCGUUCGCUAGUUUGUCUCUACUACCAUUGUUGUCGUCGCCAUUUGUCGAAGCCUAUCGCUGGUUUCGCAGUCGCCCGUCUCUAGUUUUGCCGUCGCUUGCUACUGUGCCAUUCACCGCUGCUCGCGUUGCCAUGAACGUCCAUCCUCUGCCAAUGACAGCCAUCGCUUCGCACUUUCUCUGUUGCCUUGUUUCUACUGACCCAAUUUUUGGUAUUCUUGUCCUUCUCUUUUAAAUAUUGUUGGGUUGCUACUUUGGAGUUUAUUAGAAUUUCUUUUUGCAGAGUUGAUUUAAUUUGUUGAUUGGGUAUUCCUUGAAUUGUUGGAUUGGCACUACCUGACAUCUGCUUGUUUUCUGAUGAUGACCACUAACUUGCACUACUAUUUUGCAUCCAUGGGGAUUUAAUGCUGAUUGGAGGUUAUAAACUGUGGUGAAAUUUCCGCUACUUACUUGUCAAUUGCUGAUUGUUGAUAUUGAUAGGGGGUAUUGUUCUUACAUUUCUAGUUUUGUUAUUAAAUAGUGUCACAUCUCUGGGCUCUUUACUGUACACUUUGAUUUGAGAUUGCUUGGCUAUCUUUAGUCGUUUGGCAUACAUUAGAGGCUUGUAUUUCGCCAUUGUCUGACGUUGUUUACUGCUAUUUUUGGAUUCAGUUAUCUAAAUGGCUAAGAAAAAAAAGACCCCUAUGACUAAAACCACUCCCUCAUCCCAACAAACUAUACCCACGACUGACCCUUCUCCGUUCUUCUUUUUCGAGUAAAUGGGCAUGCUUAGGUAGCUACAACGAGGUCCAUAUCUCCUCACUCUCCCACUUUGCGGGUAAUUUGACUCUCACCAAAGCCUUCAAUAAGCAAAGAUACUAUAAUUAUUAUGAGUGGCGAAUUAUUCCUUGUAAACAUCUUGACCCUCCCAUCAUGGUUUCUUUGAAUUUCUUUGAGAAUAUUGCACAGAUGUUUAUAGCCAUAGGUUGGCGUUCUUAUGCCGAAAUACGAUGUCCUGCUUUUGUUGAAUUGGUUAGGGAGUUUUACGCCACCUUUGAGUUUGAUCUAUCCAUGGGGUAUUCUGUCACAACCCCGAAUGUGAUUUGAUUUCGAUUGAUAGGUUGGGAGUUUAAGUUCUCCAUUACCUAGUUUAAUUUGGCUUGUGGGUUCAUCGAUAGUGAGUAUGCCAAUUUCAGGGAAUAUGCCGAAAGUGCUUGUGAUUAUAUCGACCCAUUUUUCUCUUUUCACACCGAGAUUUGAAAGGAUGUUUCUAUUGAUGGUGAUUGUUAUAAUCCUAGCCGGUCCAAGAGCUGUUAUCUCAAGGACCUGAGUUCCUGUUAUAUUUUGCACUUUUUAGCCUAUAAUUACUCAGGUAGGAAAGAUAGUUCCGAGACUUUUCUAAGCCUAAAUUUUUCUUUAUUUGGUGUAUGACUAAAAAUAUCAAAGUUAAUUUGGGCUAUUGGCUAGUUUCCCAAUUCAAGACGGUUAUGGUUAAGAAAAACAAACCUUUGAUUCUUGGGUCUUACAUCACACAUUUAGCUAUUCAUUUAGACAUUCUUGAUCCCUAUGACCAAGAUUUACAUUUGGCUUGUAACAUGGACCCUUUAGCUAUGGUUUGUCUAGAGAAAAUGGGUGUAGUGGAACAGGUUGAUGACGCGUGGUAGUUUACUCUUUCGGGGCCCACUUGUGUACUCGUUCGUCGUCCUUCCACGUGUGCUAGUACCUCUUCUACUUCCUGAGUAGCCGAUGGCAAGCUUGGACCAUCUACCUCCGCACCUUCUCCAUUGUCGUCUUGGGAUGCUGAGUGGCGAUACCUUUGUGCACAAGUUCACCAUAUGGAUGAACAGUUGACUAAUCUUGCACUUCACAUGUCCCAGAUAUCCUAGACUUUUGCGGCUUACUUCCACUAUGUGGGUUUUAUGCUGCCAUUCCCGCCUCAUACAUAGCUGUCCGGAGUCCUUCUCCACUUUCUUCGGGAAAGUUUCGUUGUCCCAUUCCUUUUCUUUUCUUUGUUUCUUCCAUUCGGGACAAUAUCAGAUUUAGGUGGAGGGGGAGUUGUACAGUUGGUACUGUUCAUUUUAGGUGUUUUCAUUUUCUUUUUGUUAUUUGUGAGUAUUUUUAUGGAUAUUUGGGAUCGACAAUGGUUAGUUGAUUCCAAUUUUUCUAUUACCAAGUUUUAUUUAUAAGAAUGUAUCAAAUGCAAUAUGGGUAAGUCUAAGAAUGGGUCCUUGGUAAAUAUUUGAGAUUUUGUGACUUUUGCAAUUUUUGAUUAGCUUUUCUAGGCAUUGUGCAUAUUUUUAUAGUAUUUUUCAUGUAAAUUGGUUCGAUUAUUAAUCUUAGUUCUCCAUGUUUGAGGAAAUGAUGCAACCUUGUGUGAUUUUUAACAUUGUUUUGUUGCUAAUUUGUGAAUAGUGUUUGGCUAUAUUCCGGUGGUUAUCGCUACCUAGUAACCGGGAGUCUUCACCUAACGUAUCGACUUUCGUGUCAAACUGUAGCGCUAGCUAUGAGUAUGUGGCCCUUUAAAUGAUGAAAAGUUGAGUAACCGGAUUCCUUCUUUUGGUAGAUGUCAGAAUUUACAUCAAAAGACUUGAAUGGCCAAGGACUAAAUCUUGUCCCUGAAAACUGAACAAAAAAAAAAAGAAAAAAAAAGAGAAAAACAAAAAAAAAAAAAAAAAAAACUGUGCAAGUAUAGAGUUGAUUAUGUUAGCCUAUCGACCCAUGGGUUUGAUAUUGAGAUUUUGAUUAAAAGUUGAGUCAUUUGCUGAUCAAUGCUAGUCAAAUGUUUAAUCUUCUUAGAUUAGUUAGUCAGGAAUUGGAGAAGUCCUUGGUUUUAAAAGCUAACCGAAGAGUUAUUUCUUGGAACUUGGCUAUCAAUGCUUGAUGUCUACUUUGAUGAUAUUUUGACAAUAGAUGAGUUGAGUGAUAACCAUUGUUGGGAUUCAGUUACUGAUUUGUUGUUUCUCAUACUUGAGAACAAGUAUGUUCUAGGUGUGGGGGGAAAUUGAUAGGGUGCAAAAUCGUUAUUCAAUUUAUGAUUAGUUUUCCCUUUUAUUUUAGCCAAAUAUUGUUUUAAUUGUCGGAUUCUAUUUAUAUUUGGUAUUUGAUGAUAUUAUAGGGCGGUGGAGCGAAAGUUGCUAAAAAGGGACGAUUUUCUUCAAAGUUGAUUGUCAAGUGCGGAGAUGCGGGAUUUGCACGUAAGAGUUUCCUAAUCCAAGAUGGAGUCUGAGCAGAGUAGCGACUUGAGAUUAAGAAAGUUUUUCUUCUAGAGAUUUGAUUUAAUUAGGAAACAAUUAGCCUUAUCUUUUGGAAGUGGUUCCUUUUUCAAUUAGAAGUAGUUUUAUUCUUGAAAGCAAGAAAAUAGGGGAAGGGCCGUUUGACUUUUAGUACUUGACAAAAAACAAGACUUGGGAGACGAGAAUUUUUUGGGAGCGCUGGUGACUAGUCUCGCGGGGAGGAAAAGAACAAAGAUGCUGUCCUCUUUGUCAUUGCUUUUACUCUCAUUUUCUAUUUUAUUGGAUGCUUAUGCAAUUUACUUCAAUUAAAUUGUGUUGCUUGAUGCCGAUGAUGUGCAACUAAAAUUUGCUUUUCUAGCCAAGAAAUAACGUGAAUUUGGGUCAUCAACAACUAUGAGAUCAAACUGUUUUUAUUAAUUUCUUUUAUUCAUUAGUAUUCGUAUGUUUUCGAGUUUAAUUGGUUAUAGGUGUUAGUUGUUUGAAUAUCAAAGGCGUUUAAUAUUUAAUUCAACCUAACAAACUAUUGCCAUUUUAAACAGUUAAAUUCGUAAUUGUUUAAUUAUUUUAAAUUAGUAGCGACUAGCGUGAUUGGCUUUACGUUAGGGAGACAUAUGAUUUAAUUUAAAUAAACCCUGAUAAUGUGUUUAUUGAUUAGAACAGGACUUUUCUAAUUUCUAAUGCAAUUAAAGAAUUAAAUUUUAUGGACGUACCUAGGGUUAUUUUUUGGCUAGAAAAGUAGAUAACGAGUGUACCUUAACUAUUGAGAUACUAAGGAAGAGCUGGUUGUCAUCACAUGUUUGGCAACUAUAACCUAUUUAUUAACCAUAAAUGAAAUAAUUCUUACAUCGAUGAGCAGUUGUUUGACCCGUUUCCGGAGUUAUUUCCUUGGUUAGAGCUCGUUUAUCCUUGAUUUAAAUUUAAUCUGUUUUAGUUUAAUUAUUUUCAAUUUGCAUUGAUUAUUUAUUUUUAAUUGUAAUUUUCCAAACUCCCCCCAAUUCAUUGUCACUUGAAAGUAGCAAAUUUUCAUUCGAAACCUUGAGUUUAUAUCUUUUUGAGUAGGAAUUUAUUUUUACACAAGCCUGACACCUGUCAAUUAACACAAGGUUUCGAGCAAUGCACAGUUUCUUUUGUAUCUAGAAUGGCUAAUGUAGCAAGUCAUAUGCUAGCACAUUUUGCAACAUACCUAGUUUAUGAUAUAAAAUGGGUAAAUGAUUUCCCAAUUCGACUCAUAGAAGCAGCUAGGAAGGAUGAGUGGGUGAAUGUCCCCUUUUGUAAUUAACUCUUGUACUUAAAGUGUUAAUAUAUAUACUGAUAUUAUCAUUUGUUGGAAAAAAGAGAAAGUGUUUAUUUGUUUAAUAAAAUGGUCACGAUAGUGUUUAUAUAAUUUUGUAAACUUUGGAAAGUAAAUUACCUCGUUGAAUUUGUAUAAUUUGAUUAUGUUGAAGAAACAUAAUCUUGAAAAAGCAGAGAAAUUUUCUAGUAAAUAUUUAUUUUAUUUUGAUAGCUAAUCAUUGUUCAUAUCAAUAUACUAGCUAUAAAGUUAUACUCGCAAUACUACUGCUACGGUAUAAAAUUUCUUGUCAGAGCAAUUUAUAAUUUCAUCCCAUUUUUACCCUUGACUGUUAACCUCAAGUUCUUCAGAUAUCCAUGGGACAGUGUAACCCCUUUGAAGGUCAAUUCUUACACCCUCAUCAAAGUUUCUGGAGUUGCGUAUUAUAGGGGUGCAAACACAAAAACGAGACAUCCUUAAUCAAAUGGAGUUCCUUCUUUUUGCGAUUCAUUCCUCUGCAAAGCUCCUCCUCCUCCGAUUUUAAUAUAUGCCGCUGUUAAAAUAGGAUACUAAUUAGGUGAAUACGAGGACUCUCGUUCGACUCUCGAUCUUUCCUCUCAAAUUACACUAAUAUUUUUAAUCAUACACUCAUCCCCUUACUAACUUCCUAUGGGCCCAAUAUGUUGAGUAGAAUUCGAUUGGAACAACCGAAAAGAAAAGAAAAGAAAACAAAUACAAAACAAUGAAAUGGACACUUAGUCAAGUUGGAACCUAGGAGGAAGUGAGGAGCACAAGUGCGAACAGAUCACCAAGGAAAAAGAAACAAAUUUUUCGAGAAUGCUAUUUGAUUUCAAGCUCAAUCAUAUUCUAAGAGUCAAUGAUAAGAUCGAAAAAUGUAGGUCCAUUGUUAAGAUAUAGACGGAGAUGGUUGCUUAUUGAGCGUUGGAAAUAUUUCAUAAGCAAGUUGUACUUAUAUCUCAACUUGUAUUAAUAAGAUUAAGUUAAUGACCAUGUCAAUGAUCUCUGCGUCGUGCAUGACAUUCUUUUUUCUUGUGCUCUCCCAAAAGCUGAAAAUGGCUGGUGAUAAGCAAGUUGUACUUAUAUCUCAACUUGUAUAAUUUUAAUUUAAUAAGAUUAAGUUAAUGACGUCAAUGAUCUCUGCCUCGUGCAUGACAUUCUCUUUUCUUGUACUCUCCCAAAAGCCUCUUCCAGCAGUGGCUGCAUGUCUGUACAUGUUCCCCCACAACAAGAAUAAUGAAUCAAUGGCAUAAUUGCACGCAUAAUUAAAUUUUCUGGAGCUGCGUGAUAAAUUGCAAUAGUUUUUGAUUUUUUCUGUUUCCGGUUCCCAACUCUAGCUAACUUCUAGAUUUAUUAAUUGGAAAAGAAGAAGAAGGAAUAAAUUAAACCUUAUUAAUUACUUUUUUAGUCAGGAUAUCUAUAGUAGAUGUAAUUAUCUCUAUAGAAAUGAAUGAAGCAUCCUAGCUUAUGAUCAUUAUCCUCUGUUGCAAUUCUCUUGUUCAAACUUCAAAUUAAGCUCUUGUUUGCUAACCCAAUUCAGCACUUAAAUUUAAUGGAUUCAGAUUUUAACAUAUUCAGAUGCGUUUGAUAACCAAAAAUUGAAUAUCUGAAUUAAUUAAGUGAUACUAAAUUUUUUAGGCAAAACUUACCCCUAAAAAAGAGCGAUAAGUUAUUCACUUAUCACUUAAUGUGAUAUACACUCAAAUAUAUCAGAUUUAAUACUUAUAAUAACUUAAUGAAUUCAGAAUUCAAAUUUCAGAUUUCAAUUUUAUCAAACGCACCCUAUCUCACCGCAAACUGAAUAUGAAAUCCAAAGUUGAAAAUCCAAGAUGUUAGAACUUUGAAACCAUAGAGCCUUUAGGCAAAUUCAGCAUUUUUACAUUCUAUUGAUUUAGGGCAUCUUCAAUUAUCAGUUUCAACUCCAUGGUAUAAUAUAGAUAUUACCUCUAAUAGUUGUACGCACUUACACAACAAAUACAGAUUGUGAAAUUAAUUGUAUAAGUUUGAUAUUUUGUAGGCUUUGGGAUAUAAUUUUCACGUUUAGGAAAAAGAAAAUAUGUUAGUAAGUAAUAUUGUGAUACCCCUUGUCCCACGUUGGAAGUGGGAGAGGAAAAGGAUUGAUAUAUAUGCAAGAUUUGGUCUUAUAAGUUACUAGUUACUUGGGCUAACCAUGUCGGGAAAGUGUUUUUCGACACAAAAAUUACUUAGGCCAACCAUGGGCUUGGAUGGUGAUAAAUAACUUACUAGAAGCCAGGCAUAUUUGUGUUUAGAUGUCCAGAAAGCAGAGUAGUUCAGAAUUUAGAUAAUGGUAACGAUAUGAUGAGAAUGUGAAGUUAUUUGGUAAACUUUAUAGAUUAAUAAUUUCAUCAAGGCAUCGUAUAUAACCAUGAUGACACAAUCUCAACUUUCAUUCUUUUGUUAAAUCUUAGUUUUUUUUUCUCUUAAAUUCUUUCGAAUAAAGGAAGGAUAGAAUUUAAGCAGUAGAGGGGUGGAAGGGGAAUUUGAAUUCAAAACCUCUAAUUUCUAAGUUUUUCACUAAGCAAUCAUCAAAACCAAAAAAAAAAAAAUUAAAAGUAAAAAAAAAUUAGCACCUUAUGGUCAAUGCUCCUGUUCGAAGAUUUAUUCCUUUGGUUUAUCAUCAUCUCCCUCUAUGAAAUCUAAGUACCCUUGGUUGACAAUUUGUUUCCCUGAGCAUCCAUCAACACUUUUAUAUAGUAUUUUUUUUAAUAUAGUAUUAGAUUAGAUUAGAUUAGAUUAUCAAUGCACCAUCAAUAUAGUAUUAGAUUAUCAAUGCACCAUCAAAACACUUUUAUAUAGUAUUAGAUUAGAUUAGAUUAUCAAUGCACCAUCAAUAUCCUUAAAUAUAAAAGCUUAGGUAUAGUAAUCUGUAUGAUUAUUUUUUAUCUUUUAAUGUUUUAGUUUUAGGAAGAUCACAAAUGCUGCGUAUAAAGCAUGCCAUAGGCUAAAUUAAGCUAAAUUAAGUACAUUGCUAAAAUGGAGAGCAUUGCUAAAUUAAGUACUUUAAGAUAAAGACUUAAGCAGCCAGAUACAUUUGAUGUCAGCUGCUUCAAUAUCCACCUCAAAAUAAAUUAGCCUUUGUUCUAGAUUUAGGUUAAUGCUAAGUCCCUUCACCAUUCUUAGUAAUAAUUCAAUUCUGCCUCAAUUUUCUUCUGAUCUUCAAGGUAAAUGUACGAUAAAUUUCAAAAUAUAUCCCAAAUAUAUGAAUUUCUUGAAACCAUCCUUCAAUCUCAUUACCUACUCAACAAAAUGUUCCAUAAACACAAAUAUAUUAAUGAAUUUGGAGUUGAUUCGAAGCAUUGACGAGAACAACAGGGCUCCUUAGAUUUAACAAUUUCAAAUAACCCCAAGCUCGAAUUUUUCAUAUAUUCAAACAAGAAAUUGGAAAAAUCUGACUAGCUUGCAACGAGUACUACAUCUCAAGACAAGGGAUCUUUUCAGUCAACUCUUUUAUUGUAUCGAAAACCUACUUGCAUCUAUGAAUAAGCAAUACUGAGUGAUGAUAUUUUUAAGGGCAGUCCAAUUCACUCAAUACAAAAAAUAUUUUUAAAUGAUGAUAUUCACAGAACGUCUAUCUUACUUAAACAAACAAUAAAAAGGAGAUUGAUUGAGAAAUGGCCACAUUAUCUUAUCAUUCUUAAUUAUCAUUAGUUCAAUUAUCAACUUUAGCAGUACGGAGACUUGUACAAGGCUGCAAGUUGUACAAGGACAAUAAAUUCUUUAUUCCUGCGUCCGGAGACUUGAGACGUGGACGCUUCAUUAGUCAAUAAUAAUAAAGUGUGGACUUCGACGACUAUUCUUAGCUCGUUCAAGGAAACAGAGAAAAGACGCUCUUGUACAAGCAACAGGCACAGCUACUUAAACUAUUGGAUAAUUUCAUAGACCUUUCCUGAAGUUUUGGACAAUUUCAGCUAGUACCCCUCUUAUUUUCAAUAUUACGCUGACCACUCUUACUUUAACUAGUGUUGUGACCAAUUCAGCCCAUAUAGGUAAAAGAAAUGGAAUAAAUUGACAAGAAAUGGUGUCAUCACAUUUUAUUCCACAUUUACCCUUGUAGACCCUAAAAGAAAUAUUGUAACAUAGGACAAACUUCACUUUGUCCCUCCGAAGUUGAAUCACUUUUCUAUUCUAUACACUGAACUUCAAUUUUGGAUGCUUUGCAUGUGGUUGGAGGCAAAAGCAUAGCAGAGCCCUUUUUGAGUCUCUGAUCGUUAUUAUCACAUGACCGUUGCUAAUUAUACUAUUGCUUUUGAAUGGAAAUAGCAUAAAAGUCUUAGUGAAUGAACAAAUUGAAUAGACCAUUUUGCAGAGCUGUGAGAUAUUCCAAAGCCGUGAAGCACAGUGAUAAGCUACAAAUUAUAGUGGUUUAUAUUUAUUAAUUGUCAAUGAAUGGUUGUAUUUGAGCUAUAAUUUGAAUGGAUGUUGCCUAAUUUAAGUAUAUGUUGGUUUUUGUGGGAAAAGCACGCGAUUGAGGAGGAAAUGAAUCGAAAACGCAACAAAAGGGGAAGAAACGUUGGGUUGCCAAGACACAAGGAUCCGCGGGUGGAUCCUAUGUCCAACGCCAAACAUUGAAAGGGACUUUGCGAGGACUUCUUCUAGUUCUAAUGAUUGGAAAACCCACUCAAACUCGAUUUUUGGCAAGUUUUCAAGACCCAUUCUUACCAUAUUUCGGAUACAACUUUGAGAGACUAUAAAUAGGACAUUCUAGGAUAUUUUUAGAUUAGAAAGCAUUUGGCUAACGUUAGUUCAUCAUUUUUAUAUCUUCUUUUCUUGAGAGAUCACAAUGGAAUUGUUGAAGAAUCAAAGGAAGUUCAAGAUGGAGAUUGGAGCGGGGAAAAAUUAAGAAGUUUUCUUUACUUUUAACUUCUUAUUUUGUCUUUCAUUUGAAUUCUUGGAUUUAUCUAUGAAUAUGUUGAACUCAUUUAUAUCUAAAGUUAGGAUUUUGUGAAGGAGAUUUAAUUAUUUGUUCUAGAUAAAUUAUUCGCUUUUGCUUAGAUUUAUUUAUCUUGCCUUUAUUACAUGUUUAUGUUUUGCCACUAUAGAUAUGCUUUUAGGAUUUGUAUUGAGUUGAGAAGCGAUAUACAACCGUACAUUAGAUAGAUAAACAUACUUAGUAUAAUCAUGAAAGUAGGUUAAACAUUGUAUGGCAUAAUUAUAUCACCUAAGAUUUUAAAAGAUUUAAUUAAAUACUUAUAAUCUCAAGAGCAUCGUGAGAUUUAUUAGACAAAUUUAGAAGUAUCAAGAGAUAAUCUAAAGUACUUUUACGUGAUACGUCUUUGACUUGUUAAGAAAAUAAUUGGAUAUAUAAUUCCAAUUCUGAAUCAAAUUUUGAAACUUUGUUUUUUGCUAAUUGUUUUCUCACCUAUAUCUUGUUUGAUUUGAUUAUUUGUUUAAUUUCUUAAUUAGUGAUUAAAAACCCUCUGAAUUUAAAUUUUGCUAUUUUUAUUAGAGGAAUUAAAGUAUGAAAAAUUAACUCACUGCUGCAGGUUCGACCCUACAGUACUUCAAGGGAAUUAUUAUUACGAUCGACCCUGUACAGUUAUAGAAAUUCAUCGAUCACACAGCAACUAAAAAAAUUUAAUGCACAACAAUGUCAUGAGCAGAAACAGUUUCCAUCUUAGCUGUUCAUCAUUCACGGUGGAUUUCAAUUAGUGGUCAACAAAUAAAGGCAUCGAAAAAAGUAAUCCAACUAGAUAAGUGAAUUUAUACUACAACAUAUUUCUUUUUUCUACCGCAAAAACUUAACUAAUUUACGACAAUGUAGUCCAAGCUAAUUGAAGAUUAAUUUUCCCUAAAAAAUGUUCAUGAUAAAAACUCAACAAAGAGAUAAUACAACAGCUUACUUUUGGAGAUGAUCUUAUACGGUCUUUAUUAACAAACCAAUAGAACUAGUUAGGAAAGAUAUGGGGGUAGUUACCCCGUUUUGUAAUUAACUCUUGUAAUUUCAAGUGUUAAUAUAUAUAAAAUUGGUAUCGUUUGUUGGAAAAAAAAUUUAUUUUAUUUUUUCUUUUAUUUAUUGGUAUUCGCAUAUUCUUUGAUUUCAGUACAUAUAGUUAUUUAAUUAAUUGAUUGUCUUGGAUCCAGAUAAUUAGUUAAUUUGGUAAUCUAUUGUCAAUUAGAGCAUUAAAUCCGUAAUUGUUUAAUUGCCUUGAUAUAGUGACAACUGACAUGAUUGGCUUUGUGUCAAGGAAAUACGCGGGCUAAUAUAAAUAACCCUGGUAGUGUAUUAUUUGGUUAGAAUAGGGCUCCUCUAAAUGUAAGGCAAUUGGGGAAUUAAAUCUUACGGGCGUACCUAGGAUUAUUUUCCAUUAGGGCAGUGAUUAACGGGCGUACCUUAAUUACCGACACAGUAAGGAGGGAUUAACUGUCAUCGCUUGUUUGAUAGUUAUAACCUAUUUAUUAGUAAAUAAUUGGAAUUAGCUUUGCAUCGAUGAUCAAUUAGGUGAACCAUUGCUGAAGUUAUUUCUUGGCUAGAUUCUUAAUUAUCACUCAUUUGAUUUUAGUAGAUUGUUAUUUAAUUUUUAGUAGCUUCUUAGAUUUUCUUUGUUUGUCAUCUUCUGCACAAAAACACCCCCUGGUUACUGUAAAUUUGAAAAGAAAUAGUUACAUCCAAUUCCUGUAAAUUCAACCCUACUUACCACUAUUUACAAAAAUUAACUUUAGUUGAGCAAGUUUUUAUUAUUGCACAGGCCUGACAACCUGUCAAUUUUUGGCGCCGUUGUCGGGGACUGGUGCCAGAUUAAUUUGUUUCUUUUUGAGUUCAUCUUUUUUUUAUUUUUUAUUUAUUUUUCUCUUAUUUUUUAUAUAGUUUAUGACUGCUAACAUUCCGUAUUUUGAUGAUAGACUGGACUUUAUUCCUGAUUGGAGUUAUGAGACACAUGUUUUUCCUAAUGAUGAAUUGGCUGCUGCAAAUUAUGAAACUUAUUUUGCCUUAGCUUAUUCAACCGACACAUGCCUCGCAUUUCAAGAUUACCUAAGUGUUCCAACAGAUACUUUUAGAGAUUUUUCACCUCGAUUUCAAACGUGGUAUGAUCUUUAUUCAAACAAGUAUGAUCAAGGAUGGUGAAAAAAUUUCAAUUUUAAUUAUGUGACCGGACCAAUGAAUUUUCAACAGCAAGAGUCUCAACAACCAUCAUCCGUGUCAGGUAUGUCUUUUGAAAAAAUGAUUAAAUUACUAGCCGCUAAUACAUAUCGAACUCAGCAGGAGACACAAGCGAUGGCGGAUCAAGUGCAACUAUUGAUAUCCGGGAUGGCAGAUCAAAUACAUCUAUUGACAUCAAGAUAACGCGAUUAGCUUCUCACCUUGAAAAAUUACCCUCACAAAUCAAUAUCAACCUUGAAGAAGAUGAGAGUGCAAUUAUCCGGCCAAAUGACAUGGAACUGCAAGAGUUUCACGGAAACGGAUCUAAAGAUGCAGUUGAAAAGGAAGCUGAAGUGCAAGAAAUGUGGCCCCAGUAUCAACUCGUCCAAGUGAAUGAAUCCAGUGAAUAAUCUCCAAAUGCGGUGACAUCUCCUCCAGUCCUUAAUCAAUAUUCUCCUGACUCUUAUUUUCAAUUCCUUUUAAUGAAAUUGACUUUAUUAUACUAGAAAAUUUUGAAUUCAAUGAUAGGAAUAAAUUAAGAGUAGCGAUGGCAAGAUAUCUUGGACCAAUAAAUGCACGUGCGGGGCGAGUGAAUGGAGAAUGCAAAUUAUCGUUGACUUGUUUGGCGCCAUUUACUAGUUCAUGGAAGCCCGUAGCUCGUGUGCUCGAGAAUUAUUCUAUUUACGAGGAUUAUCAGGACUAUAUUGAGAAUGAAGCAUUAAGACGAGUCACAAAAUUUUAUCCUCCAUGAAUAAAACAUGAUAAUGUUUAGCUAAAGACGUUAAAGAAAAGCGCUCAUUGGGAGGCAACCUAAUUUCUCUUAGUUAUUUGUUCAUUUUUUUAUUAGUUUAAAUAUGUUUUUCCUUAGUUUUGACUAAUUUAUGGUUUUAAUUUUCGUUUUUGAUAAUUCGUAGGUGUCUCUCUGACUUGACGCGCCCGCGCCAAAUCGUAUGGAGAACUCACGGUCAGAAGAGUUCUUACCCUCAUGACGUGCCUGCAUCAGGUCACCUGGAGAGCUCCUUAUUCCUUGCCCUCAUGACGUGCCCACGUCAUGUUCGCAGGAAAGGUAAGUAUUCAAAAAACUCAAGAACGGUUAUUGAUUUUCUGUUAAUCUCUACUUUUGAAUUUCAGAAAUAAAAUUUGCCAAUAAUAAUGAAACAAAAAAAUUUCAAAAAAAAGAAUAAAUAAAAAUUAAUUUAAAAAAAAUUUGUUUCACCAUAGAUUAGACUUUCAAAGUACAAAUUUUUAACCAACAAAAAAAACAAUUUCUCUUUCUUUUCUAUGUCUUUUUUUUCUUCUUUUCUUCUUUCUUUCAUUCUUUUCUUUUCUUUCUUUCUUUCUUUUCUUUCUUUUCUUCUUCCUUCUUCCCUGCUGCUUUCCCUUUUCCCCUUUUGCUUUCUUCUUCGCCCGACAUCCCUAGCAACCGCCGCGUCUCGCCGUUCGCCACCUACACACCUUCACACCAACAACGCAUCACUCCGCCUUGCGUAGCCACGAACCUCCUCCAGCUCACCCCGAUUCGCGCGCCUCCCCUCAAGUCCGACCCACCUCGACGACACCCGCUCAAGACCAAGCCGCGUGCCACCAGCUUAACUUCACCAACGCCGCCGCUGUCCAGCCCCGAGCUCCACCUCACGAUCGUACCCACCACUGCAGUAGCUCCAGCUACACCGCUGCCCCUCCUUUUUCCCUCACUCUGCCUCUCGGCCACACGCUGCGCACAGCCGCAGCCAGACAGCCAUGCUGCUUUUGAGCUCAGCCGCCUGCCCAAGCUACCACCAGCUCGCUCCCACUUCUCUGCAACAGCCCCUAGUCGCCGCCUUCGCCAUACCCACUCUCUACCCACGGUCACGUCUCUCUCUCUCCUUCUCUCUAUCACCACGGUGGAGGUACCAUUACACCUAUUACCUACCUGUUUUGAAUAUCCUUUGCUGGGUUUCCUUAUUGGCCUCACUAAAGGACUCCUCUGCUAGAAUUUAGUGGCGUCAGUUUCUUGGCUUGUCCGUUUGAUUUAACUCCUCCCUGUGUGUACACCAGUGGUACUGGUUGCGGUGUUGCUUUAAAUUUCUUAAUCCUAUGUGCUUGACUGCCUAUUUGACUUUUGAGUUUUAGUACUUGAAUUGUUUCUCGAAUUCUAAACGGUGGUUGCUGGAAUAGCCUGUUGCUUGGCUCCAUUGCUAAUUUUGGUCGUUUGAAUUGGGUAAUUGACUGUGCACUUGGUGACAUUUGUUGAGUUUCAGUUGCUCAAAUUGGUUGAAUUCACUGCUCUGUUGGGGUCCCUGUGGGUAUCACUUGAGUUCUGUUUUGUUAGUUUUUGUCUUGUGCCCCAUGAAGUGCCGUUAGUUGGGUAUUUUUCUGUGCUUGUUUGUUGAAUUGGGGUGCUACUGUGCCCCUUCCUUUGUUUUUGGUGAUCAGUUGUGUCUAAUUGACUUGCUUGGGGUAAUCUGUCCAUCAAUUUUAAUUACUCAAGUCUUUGGAGCAGUUGUUGCACAUUUGGACUGCUUUGUUUCUACAUCUGACUGAAUUGGGACCACAAGUGCUUAUCUAUUGCAUUUGCUAUACGUGUUGGAGUAUUUGUAUAACCUGUGGGUGAUUGAAUUGUGCAUUUUGUUCAUUGAGCUGGCUUUUUAUUUGUUAUUGCUUUGAAUUGCCUACUUCCAUUAUUUGUUGGCACCUGUAGUCUCUUGUUGUUUGGAGUGAUAACUGCCACCCAUGGUGAAGCCACGAUCCUCCUCUAGGUUUAGGACACCUAGAACUACUCCACCUUCUCCCACCCGAGGGGCCGACGACUGACUCCAACUCCGGAUGACAGUUGAGAGACUGGAGACUCGAGUGACCUACGUUGACAUCAACUUGCAUAACAUGGCGCAAAAUUUGGCAGCACGUAUGCACCAUGCGGGUCCCAUGUUUUGAUGACUUCAGGAAAGUACCGUUGCCCUUCUCCUUCCUUCUGCUUUUACAUUGUCACAUUAAGGGCAAUGUGUGAAUUAGGUGUGGGGGGAUCGUUGUAGCGCUAGUAUUUUUGUUUUUAGUUUCUAGGGCUUUUGCUUUAUUUUUAGUUUGUUUUUUUGUCCAUCUUUCGUUUAUUUUCUUUUCUUUUUUCUAGUGGUCAAUCCUUAUAUGAAUACCAAGUUUUGAUGUUGGAUUGUUGUUUCUAAUUCUGCUAUUGCCGAGUUUUAGUAAUAAAAGGGUAUCAAGUUAAAGUGGUUGAGUUCAGGAAUAUCUCUCUGGUGAAUAUCAGUAAUUGCUUGACUUUUCUAAUUUCUAGUUAACUUUUCUAGGUAUAGGAAUGAUUGUUGGCAUUUUUCAUGUGAAUUGGUCCAGUUAUUAACCUUAGUUCUCCAUGUUUGAAAAUGAGACUAGCUUAUGCAAAUUUUCUUUUGAUUUUUGUGUUAUAUUGAGUUUUUGUGUUAUUUGGUUGUUAAUAAGAGUGACUGUACUCCUCUAGUUAUUACUACUGAGUAAUUGGGGAUUUUCACUAAAAGUAUCGAUUCUCGCGUCAAAAGGUAGUGAUUUCUAUGAGUACGUGGUCACCUAGCGAUAGGAGCUGAGUAACCGAGCUCCUUCAUCUGACAAAUUUUGGAGUUCGCGUCAAAAGGCUCUAGUGACUAGAGACUAAGUCUUUUGCUAUUCUCAAAAGAAGAAAAAAAGAGAGAAAAUAGAAAAGUGUGAUAAUUAAAAAAAAAAGUGAAGGUUGUGCCAAAUGUGACGAAAGUCAGCUUGCCGUUUUAUGGGUUUAAUGUUGAGAUUUUGGUUAAUAGUUGGACCAAUUGCUGAUAAAUGUGAACAGCCAUUCCUUUUUCUUAGAAUAGUUUGCUUUAAAUUGGAGGAGUUGGUGGUUGGGAAGUUAACCGGGGUGAUUUUUCUUUGAUCAUGACCCGUGAUGCUUGAUAAAUUUUUUUUUCUUGGUAUUUUGGCAGUGCGGUAGUUGGAGCAAUAGCCAUUGUCAAACUUUGAUGUUCAAUUGCUAUUCCUAUGCUUGAGGGCAAGCAUGGUUUAGGUGUGGGGGGAAUUGAUAGGUUGCAAUUUCAUUGUUUAUUUUAUUAUUAAUUUUCCCUAUUACCUGACUCGAUGUGGAUUAAUUAUUGGAUUCUACUCACUUUUAGUAUUUUGCAUUUAUUUCAGGGAGUAGAACGAAAAUAUGAUAACAAGUGCCGAUUUGACAAAAGAGGAAUCCAAAUAAUAGAACUUAUCCCAGGGGUAUUUUUGAAAAAGGAAAACUUAUCCCCAUUUUAGUAAUUACUGCAAAGGCAUGGAUGAAGGCAGGGCUUCCUUUUUGCUGGUCGGCGCCACCGCACAAUAGUUAGGCAUUAGAGAGGAUUGCAAUUAGAUAGGAAUGGGAAACGGAUGCUUUUGAGUAGGACUCCUCCUGCGCAUGGCAGGAGCAACUAAGAGUUGUUUUCUUUAACUGUUCGCUGGGAUCUCUUUUUUAUAUUUUUCUUUCCUACGCAUGUCAAAGGAGGGGACCUUAGCCUUUGACUUUUCUUUUCGUCUUUAGUUGCUCUUCCGUAGGAGUAGACAAGGGAUGAGUUAAAUCCCUUUGUCUAGUCAAGGAACAACGGAAGCUUUGAUUCGCCUAAAAAUUGUGAGAUCGAUUUAAUUUUAUUUUUUGAAUGGGAGGGAUCAUUCCCAUCUUGGUUAUCAGAACUAGUUAGGAAAGAUAUGGGGGUAGUUACCCCGUUUUGUAAUUAACUCUUGUAAUUUCAAGUGUUAAUAUAUAUAAAAUUGGUAUCGUUUGUUGGAAAAAAAUUUAUUUUAUUUUUUCUUUUAUUUAUUGGUAUUCGCAUAUUCUUUGAUUUCAGUACAUAUAGUUAUUAAUUAAUUGAAUGUCUUGGAUCCAGAUAAUUAGUUAAUUUGGUAAUCUAUUGUCAAUUAGAGCAUUAAAUCCGUAAUUGUUUAAUUGCCUUGAUAUAGUGACAACUGACAUGAUUGGCUUUGUGUCAAGGAAAUACGCGGCGCUAAUAUAAGAUAACCCUGGUAGUGUAUUAUUUGGUUAGAAUAGGGCUCCUCUAAAUGUAAGGCAAUUGGGAAUUAAAUCUUACGGGCGUACCUAGGAUUAUUUUCCUUAGGGCAGUGAUUAACGGGCGUACCUUAAUUACCGACACAGUAAGGAGGGAUUAACUGUCAUCGCUUGUUUGAUAGUUAUAACCUAUAAUUAGUAAAUAAUUGGAAUUAGCUUUGCAUCGAUGAUCAAUUAGGUGAACCAUUGCUGAAGUUAUUUCUUGGCUAGAUUCUUAAUUAUCACUCAUUUGAUUUUAGUAGAUUGUUAUUUAAUUUUUAGUAGCUUCUUAGAUUUUCUUUGUUUGUCAUCUUCUGCACAAAAAACACCCCCUGGUUACUGUAAAUUUGAAAAGAAAUAGUUACAUCCAAUUCCUGUAAAUUCAACCCUACUUACCACUAUUUACAAAAAUUAACUUUAGUUGAGCAAGUUUUUAUUAUUGCACAGGCCUGACAACCUGUCAAUUUUUGGCGCCGUUGUCGGGGACUGGUGCCAGAUUAAUUUGUUUCUUUUUGAGUUCAUCUUUUUUUUAUUUUUUAUUUAUUUUUCUCUUAUUUUUUAUAUAGUUUAUGACUGCUAACAUUCCGUAUUUUGAUGAUAGACUGGACUUUAUUCCUGAUUGGAGUUAUGAGACACAUGUUUUUCCUAAUGAUGAAUUGGCUGCUGCAAAUUAUGAAAUGAAACUUAUUUUGCCUUAGCUUAUUCAACCGACACAUGCCUCGCAUUUCAAGAUUACCUAAGUGUUCCAACAGAUACUUUUAGAGAUUUUUCACCUCGAUUUCAAACGUGGUAUGAUCUUUAUUCAAACAAGUAUGAUCAAGGAUGGUGAAAAAAUUUCAAUUUUAAUUAUGUGACCGGACCAAUGAAUUUUCAACAGCAAGAGUCUCAACAACCAUCAUCCGUGUCAGGUAUGUCUUUUGAAAAAAUGAUUAAAUUACUAGCCGCUAAACAUAUCGAACUCAGCAGGAGACACAAGCGAUGGCGGAUCAAGUGCAACUAUUGAUAUCCGGGAUGGCAGAUCAAAUACAUCUAUUGACAUCCAAGAUAACGCGAUUAGCUUCUCACCUUGAAAAAUUACCCUCACAAAUCAAUAUCAACCUUGAAGAAGAUGAGAGUGCAAUUAUCCGGCCAAAUGACAUGGAACUGCAAGAGUUUCACGGAAAACGGAUCUAAAGAUGCAGUUGAAAAGGAAGCUGAAGUGCAAGAAAUGUGGCCCCAGUAUCAACUCGUCCAAGUGAAUGAAUCCAGUGAAUAAUCUCCAAAUGCGGUGACAUCUCCUCCAGUCCUUAAUCAAUAUUCUCCUGACUCUUAUUUUCAAUUCCUUUUAAUGAAAUUGACUUUAUUAUACUAGAAAAUUUUGAAUUCAAUGAUAGGAAUAAAUUAAGAGUAGCGAUGGCAAGAUAUCUUGGACCAAUAAAUGCACGUGCGGGGCGAGUGAAUGGAGAAUGCAAAUUAUCGUUGACUUGUUUGGCGCCAUUUACUAGUUCAUGGAAGCCCGUAGCUCGUGUGCUCGAGAAUUAUUCUAUUUACGAGGAUUAUCAGGACUAUAUUGAGAAUGAAGCAUUAAGACGAGUCACAAAAUUUUAUCCUCCAUGAAUAAAACAUGAUAAUGUUUAGCUAAAGACGUUAAAGAAAAGCGCUCAUUGGGAGGCAACCUAAUUUCUCUUAGUUAUUUGUUCAUUUUUUUUAUUAGUUUAAAUAUGUUUUUCCUUAGUUUUGACUAAUUUAUGGUUUUAAUUUUCGUUUUUGAUAAUUCGUAGGUGUCUCUCUGACUUGACGCGCCCGCGCCAAAUCGUAUGGAGAACUCACGGUCAGAAGAGUUCUUACCCUCAUGACGUGCCUGCAUCAGGUCACCUGGAGAGCUCCUUAUUCCUUGCCCUCAUGACGUGCCCACGUCAUGUUCGCAGGAAAGGUAAGUAUUCAAAAAACUCAAGAACGGUUAUUGAUUUCUGUUCUGUUAAUCUCUACUUUUGAAUUUCAGAAAUAAAAUUUGCCAAUAAUAAUGAAACAAAAAAAUUUCAAAAAAAAAAUAAAUAAAAAUUAAUUUAAAAAAAAUUUGUUUCACCAUAGAUUAGACUUUCAAAGUACAAAUUUUUAACCAACAAAAAAAAACAAUUUCUCUUUCUUUUCUAUGUCUUUUUUUCUUCUUUCUUCUUUCUUUCAUUCUUUUCUUUCUUUCUUUCUUUCUUUCUUUCUUUCUUUUCUUUCUUCCUUCUUCCCUGCUGCUUUCCCUUUUCCCCUUUUGCUUUCUUCUUCGCCCGACAUCCCUAGCAACCGCCGCGUCUCGCCGUUCGCCACCUUCACACCACCAACGCAUCACUCCGCCUUGCGUAGCCACGAACCUCCUCCAGCUCACCCCGAUUCGCGCGCCUCCCCUCAAGUCCGACCCACCUCGACGACACCCGCUCAAGACCAAGCCGCGUGCCACCAGCUUAACUUCACCAACGCCGCCGCUGUCCAGCCCCGAGCUCCACCUCACGAUCGUACCCACCACUGCAGUAGCUCCAGCUACACCGCUGCCCCUCCUUUUUCCCUCACUCUGCCUCUCGGCCACACGCUCGCUGCGCACAGCCGCAGCCAGACAGCCAUGCUGCUUUUGAGCUCAGCCGCCUGCCCAAGCUACCACCAGCUCGCUCCCACUUCUCUGCAACAGCCCCUAGUCGCCGCCUUCGCCAUACCCACUCUCUACCCACGGUCACGUCUCUCUCUCUCCUUCUCUCUAUCACCACGGUGGAGGUACCAUUACACCUAUUACCUACCUGUUUUGAAUAUCCUUUGCUGGGUUUCCUUAUUGGCCUCACUAAAGGACUCCUCUGCUAGAAUUUAGUGGCGUCAGUUUCUUGGCUUGUCCGUUUGAUUUAACUCCUCCCUGUGUGUACACCAGUGGUACUGGUUGCGGUGUUGCUUUAAAUUUCUUAAUCCUAUGUGCUUGACUGCCUAUUUGACUUUUGAGUUUUAGUACUUGAAUUGUUUCUCGAAUUCUAAACGGUGGUUGCUGGAAUAGCCUGUUGCUUGGCUCCAUUGCUAAUUUUGGUCGUUUGAAUUGGGUAAUUGACUGUGCACUUGGUGACAUUUGUGAGUUUCAGUUGCUCAAAUUGGUUGAAUUCACUGCUCUGUUGGGGUCCCUGUGGGUAUCACUUGAGUUCUGUUUUGUUAGUUUUUGUCUUGUGCCCCAUGAAGUGCCGUUAGUUGGGUAUUUUUCUGUGCUUGUUUGUUGAAUUGGGGUGCUACUGUGCCCCUUCCUUUGUUUUUGGUGAUCAGUUGUGUCUAAUUGACUUGCUUGGGGUAAUCUGUCCAUCAAUUUUAAUUACUCAAGUCUUUGGAGCAGUUGUUGCACAUUUGGACUGCUUUGUUUCUACAUCUGACUGAAUUGGGACCACAAGUGCUUAUCUAUUGCAUUUGCUAUACGUGUUGGAGUAUUUGUAUAACCUGUGGGUGAUUGAAUUGUGCAUUUUGUUCAUUGAGCUGGCUUUUUAUUUGUUAUUGCUUUGAAUUGCCUACUUCCAUUAUUUGUUGGCACCUGUAGUCUCUUGUUGUUUGGAGUGAUAACUGCCACCCAUGGUGAAGCCACGAUCCUCCUCUAGGUUUAGGACACCUAGAACUACUCCACCUUCUCCCACCCGAGGGGCCGACGACUGACUCCAACUCCGGAUGACAGUUGAGAGACUGGAGACUCGAGUGACCUACGUUGACAUCAACUUGCAUAACAUGGCGCAAAAUUUGGCAGCACGUAUGCACCAUGCGGGUCCCAUGUUUUGAUGACUUCAGGAAAGUACCGUUGCCCUUCUCCUUCCUUCUGCUUUUACAUUGUCACAUUAAGGGCAAUGUGUGAAUUAGGUGUGGGGGGAUCGUUGUAGCGCUAGUAUUUUUGUUUUUAGUUUCUAGGGCUUUUGCUUUAUUUUUAGUUUGUUUUUUUGUCCAUCUUUCGUUUAUUUUCUUUUCUUUUUUCUAGUGGUCAAUCCUUAUAUGAAUACCAAGUUUUGAUGUUGGAUUGUUGUUUCUAAUUCUGCUAUUGCCGAGUUUUAGUAAUAAAAGGGUAUCAAGUUAAAGUGGUUGAGUUCAGGAAUAUCUCUCUGGUGAAUAUCAGUAAUUGCUUGACUUUUCUAAUUUCUAGUUAACUUUUCUAGGUAUAGGGAAUGAUUGUUGGCAUUUUUCAUGUGAAUUGGUCCAGUUAUUAACCUUAGUUCUCCAUGUUUGAAAAUGAGACUAGCUUAUGCAAAUUUUCUUUUGAUUUUUGUGUUAUAUUGAGUUUUUGUGUUAUUUGGUUGUUAAUAAGAGUGACUGUACUCCUCUAGUUAUUACUACUGAGUAAUUGGGGAUUUUCACUAAAAGUAUCGAUUCUCGCGUCAAAAGGUAGUGAUUUCUAUGAGUACGUGGUCACCUAGCGAUAGGAGCUGAGUAACCGAGCUCCUUCAUCUGACAAAUUUUGGAGUUCGCGUCAAAAGGCUCUAGUGACUAGAGACUAAGUCUUUUGCUAUUCUCAAAAGAAGAAAAAAAGAGAGAAAAUAGAAAAGUGUGAUAAUUAAAAAAAAAAGUGAAGGUUGUGCCAAAUGUGACGAAAGUCAGCUUGCCGUUUUAUGGGUUUAAUGUUGAGAUUUUGGUUAAUAGUUGGACCAAUUGCUGAUAAAUGUGAACAGCCAUUCCUUUUUCUUAGAAUAGUUUGCUUUAAAUUGGAGGAGUUGGUGGUUGGGAAGUUAACCGGGGUGAUUUUCUUUGAUCAUGACCCGUGAUGCUUGAUAAAUUUUUUUUUCUUGGUAUUUUGGCAGUGCGGUAGUUGGAGCAAUAGCCAUUGUCAAACUUUGAUGUUCAAUUGCUAUUCCUAUGCUUGAGGGCAAGCAUGGUUUAGGUGUGGGGGAAUUGAUAGGUUGCAAUUUCAUUGUUUAUUUUAUUAUUAAUUUUCCCUAUUACCUGACUCGAUGUGGAUUAAUUAUUGGAUUCUACUCACUUUUAGUAUUUUGCAUUUAUUUCAGGGAGUAGAACGAAAAUAUGAUAACAAGUGCCGAUUUGACAAAAGAGGAAUCCAAAUAAUAGAACUUAUCCCAGGGGUAUUUUUGAAAAAGGAAAACUUAUCCCCAUUUUAGUAAUUACUGCAAAGGCAUGGAUGAAGGCAGGGCUUCCUUUUUGCUGGUCGGCGCCACCGCACAAUAGUUAGGCAUUAGAGAGGAUUGCAAUUAGAUAGGAAUGGGAAACGGAUGCUUUUGAGUAGGACUCCUCCUGCGCAUGGCAGGAGCAACUAAGAGUUGUUUUCUUUAACUGUUCGCUGGGAUCUCUUUUUUAUAUUUUUCUUUCCUACGCAUGUCAAAGGAGGGGACCUUAGCCUUUGACUUUUCUUUUCGUCUUUAGUUGCUCUUCCGUAGGAGUAGACAAGGGAUGAGUUAAAUCCCUUUGUCUAGUCAAGGAACAACGGAAGCUUUGAUUCGCCUAAAAAUUGUGAGAUCGAUUUAAUUUUAUUUUUUGAAUGGGAGGGAUCAUUCCCAUCUUGGUUAUCAGAACUAGUUAGGAAAGAUAUGGGGGUAGUUACCCCGUUUUGUAAUUAACUCUUGUAAUUUCAAGUGUUAAUAUAUAUAAAAUUGGUAUCGUUUGUUGGAAAAAAAAUUUAUUUUAUUUUUCUUUUAUUUAUUGGUAUUCGCAUAUUCUUUGAUUUCAGUACAUAUAGUUAUUUAAUUAAUUGAUUGUCUUGGAUCCAGAUAAUUAGUUAAUUUGGUAAUCUAUUGUCAAUUAGAGCAUUAAAUCCGUAAUUGUUUAAUUGCCUUGAUAUAGUGACAACUGACAUGAUUGGCUUUGUGUCAAGGAAAUACGCGGGCUAAUAUAAGAUAACCCUGGUAGUGUAUUAUUUGGUUAGAAUAGGGCUCCUCUAAAUGUAAGGCAAUUGGGGAAUUAAAUCUUACGGGCGUACCUAGGAUUAUUUUCCCAUUAGGGCAGUGAUUAACGGGCGUACCUUAAUUACCGACACAGUAAGGAGGGAUUAACUGUCAUCGCUUGUUUGAUAGUUAUAACCUAUUUAUUAGUAAAUAAUUGGAAUUAGCUUUGCAUCGAUGAUCAAUUAGGUGAACCAUUGCUGAAGUUAUUUCUUGGCUAGAUUCUUAAUUAUCACUCAUUUGAUUUUAGUAGAUUGUUAUUUAAUUUUUAGUAGCUUCUUAGAUUUUCUUUGUUUGUCAUCUUCUGCACAAAAACACCCCCUGGUUACUGUGAAUUUGAAAAGAAACAGUUAUACCCAGUCCAUGUGGAUUCGACCAUGUUUACCACUAUUUACAAAAAUUAACUUUAGUUAAGCAGGUUUUUAUUAUUGCAAAGGCUUGACAACCUGUCAGCCUCUAGGCAAAUUCAGCAUUUUUACAUUCUACUGAUUUAGGGCAUCUUCAAUUAUCAGUUUCAACUCCAUGGUAUAGUAUAGAUAUUACCUCUAAUAGUUGUACGCACUUACACAACAAAUACAGAUUGUGAAAUUAAUUGUAUAAGUUUGAUAUUUUGUAGGUUUUGGGAUAUAAUUUUCACGUUUAGGAAAAAGAAAAUAAGUUAGUAAGUAAUAAUGUGAUACCCCUUGUCCCACGUUGGAAGUGGGAGAGGAAAAGGAUUGAUAUAUAUAAGAUUUGGUCUCAUAAGUUACUAGUUAUUUGGAAUAACCAUUUUGGGAUAGUGAAUUUCGACACAAAAAUUACUUGGGCCAACCAUGGGCUUGGAUGGUGACAAAUAACUUACUAGAAGCUAGGUAUAUUUAUGUUUAGAAGUCCUGAAAGCAGAGCAGUUCAGAAUCUUGAUAAUGGUAAACUUUGCUAAAUCUUAGUUUUUUUGUCUUAAAUUUUUUCAAAUAAAGGAAGGAUGGAAAUUAAGCAGUAGAGGGGUUGAAGAGGAAUUUGAAUUCAAAAUCUCUAAUUUCUAAGUUUUUCACUAAGCAAUCAUCAAAAUCAAAAUAAUAAUAAUAAUAAUAAUAAUAAUAAUAAGUAAAAAAAAAAAAUGGGCACCUUGUGGUCAAUGCUAGAUCCUGUUCGAAGAUUUAUUCCUUUGGUUUGUCAUCAUCUCCCUCUAUUGAAAUCUAAGUACCCUUGGUUGACAAUUUGUUUCCCUGAGCAGCCAUCAACGCUUUUAUAUAGUAUUAGAUUAGAUUAGAUUGUCAAUGCACCAUCAAUAUCCUUAAAUAUAAUAGCUUAAGUAUAGUAAUCAAAAUACUGUUAGUAAUCUGUAUGAUUAUUUUUCAUCCUUUAAUGUUUUAGUUUUAGGAAGAUCACAAAUGCUGCGUAUAAAGCAUGCCAUAGGCUAAAUUAAGGUAAAUUAAGUACAUUGCUAAAAUGGAGAGCAUUGCUAAAUUAAGUACUUUAAGAUAAAGACUUAAGCAGCAAGAUCCAUUUGAUGUCAGCUGCUUCAAUAUCCACCUCAAAAUAAAUUAGCCUUUGUUCUAGAUUUAGCUUAAUGCUAAGUCCCUUCACCAUUCUUAGUAAUAAUUCAAUUCUGCCUCAAUUUUCUUCUGAUCUUCAAGGUAAAUGUACGAUAAAUUUCAAAAUAUAUCCCAAAUAUAUGAAUUUCUUGAAACCAUCCUUCAAUCUCACUAGCUGCUCAACAAAAUGUUCCAUAAACACAAAUAUAUUAAUGAACUUGGAGUUGAUUUGAAGAAUUGACGAGAACCGCAAGCUAGAAUUUUUCAUAUAUUCAAACAAGAAAUUGGAAAAAUCUGACUAGCUUGCAACGAGUACUACAUCUCAAGACAAGGGAUCUUUUCAGUCAACUCUUUUAUUGUAUCGAAAACCUACUUGCAUCUAUGAAUAAGCAAUACUGAGCUUGCAACGAGUACUGCAUCUCAAGACAGGAACGUCUAUCUUACUUAAACAAACAGUACGGAGACUUUAUCAUUCUUAAUUAUCAUUAGUUCAAUUAUCAACUUUAGCAGUACGGAGACUUGUACAAGGCUGCAACUUGUACAAGGACAAUAAAUUCGUACCUUCGAACUUGAAUCACUUUUCUAUUCUCUUACUCUAAACUUUAAUUUUGGACGCUUUCCAUGUGAUUGGAGGCAACAGCACAACAGAGCUCUUCUUAAGUCUCUGAUCGUUAGUGUCACAUGACCAUUGCUAAUUAUGCUAUUGCUUUUGAAUGGAAAUAGCAUAAAAGUCUUGGGGAAUGAACAAAUUGAAUAGACCAUUUUGCAGAGCAGUGAAAUAUUCCGAAGCCGUGAAGCACAGUGAUAAGCUACAAAUGACAGGUCGUCAACCUGUGCAAUAAUAAUAAUAAUAUAGAACCUAGAUACCACUAAGAGCUGUCAAUAAUUAAUCCUAGGUACUGGAGCAGGGACUCUAGGUGUGCAAUGGGUUACUUGAUUCACCCUGUUCCCGAAGAGUUUGCUGAACCCGAUAUACCAGAAUUAAUUAGUUGGCAAAAAUAGUAGGCAGUGGCAAGUAAAGUCGUCUCCUCAGGGACUGGGGAUAUCUGUCUCUUUUUAAAGUCCAAUUGAUAAGGGGGGAUUUCACCGGAAUGGAACUAAAAAUAAUUAAACAAUUUAAUUAAAAAUAAAUAAAUCACUAGCACAAGUAAAGCAGGAAUUAAAUCAAGAAUAAAUAAGUUCUAGCCAAGGAUACAACUACUCAGGCACAGUCCAUUUAUCCGAUCAUUGAUGCAGGAGAGGUUCACUUAAUUUAUUAAUAGGUUAGUUAUAGUCUGACGACCAAUUUUUCCUUAAAUUAUUGAUAACCAAGGUACGACCAUUGAUCACCCCUAACCAGAAAAUACUCCUAGGUACGACCGUAGGAAUUAAUUUCCCAAUUGCAUUAAUAUUAGAAAAACCUAGCCCUAACCAAUAACACGCUACGAGGGUUAUUUAAAUUAGAUUGCACGUUCCCCUAAUGUGUAAACACACCAGUUGCCACUAAUAUUAAUCAAUCAAACAAUUACGGAUUUAAUUGACUAAAUUGGCACGAGACUAAUAAAUCACAUUGAACAUCGGGCCCUUGACAUCCAAUUAAUAAAAUAAUCCCAUGAAAAUACAAGCAGGCAACGUGCAAUUAUUAAUAAAUUAAGGAACGCGUGAAAACUAAUUAGAUCUCACAGGUUUUCGGGACUGCGCCGUCGAGUUGAUCCUUGACUAGAUGGAAGAUUUAGCCACGCCGCAUAAUUAAAUCACCACACGAAUUAAUGGAUUGCAAAGGCAUAGCGUUUUCUAUUAAGAAGCAAGGAAUAAAAGGUGUUUUUCCCGUUGGGGAAUUUCGUCGAACACCUGGCGUGCCAGAGGCCAGUCAAAAGAAGGAAAAAGUAAAGCUACACUAAAAGACUAAAACCAGAGAUAUCCCUCUGCUACUCUACGUUAUCCCUAUUUAAGCCACAAAAGAAAGAUAACUCAAGGCUCUCUACGUGUGUCCCCACACAUGUGGGCAAAGCCUUCAAAGUACUUCUUGCCCCAAGCCUCCUUCCGUAGCUUUCUUUUUAGAGUCCAAAUGACUAGAUGCCUUCCACUAGCUUGUGGUCCCCACAAAUUCAAGGACCCAAGCAUUGAAGCCCUUAGAAGUCUCCAUAUUUUCCAUAAAGUCCCUCCUUUUGGUAGUUUUCUGCUUUAUUCCUGAAAUUACGUCCACAUACCAAAUAUGAGUAAAUAUCAGCAAUUAACACAAUAUUUGUCAGGGAUAAAAGGGAAAAUUAAUAAUAAAAUUACUAACAAAUUGUACCCUAUCAAUUCCCCCCACACCUGAAUCAUGCUUGCCCUCAAGCAUGAGGAAAAUUUAACUCAACAAUGGCUAGCUUUCACUUUAUCAUAGCCAGCUGUGCCUAUACCCAAAAUCAAGGUCUAGUGACUAAGUGUCAAGACAUAUCUCUCACGGUUAGCUUUUAAGUCCAUAGACCUGUCCAAUUCAUGGCUAACUCGCUUAGGAAAUCCAAAUAAUAACUAGCAACAAUUAGUAAUUAAGUCAACUGGCAACCAAAAUCUCAACAAUACGAACCAAGGAUCGGCAGGCUAAUAUGAUCAUAAACUCACAUAUUCUCCACAUCUGAUUUUCUUUUUUCCUUUUCUUUUCUGUUUUGUCUCUCCCUCUUUUUUUUUUCUUCUCUUUUUUUCCAUUUUUUUUUUCAUUUGUUUCCGAUGCUUAGCCCCGAGCUAUUCAAAUCUUUUGACGUGAACUCUGACAUUUUUAGAUGAAAGAGCCCAGUUACUCGACCUUUCGUAGCUCCCGGUCUAUUUACUCAUAGAUAUCGUCACUUUUUGACGCGAGAGCCGACACUUGUGGUGAAGACUUCCGGUUACUAGGUGGCGACACUAGCGGAGUAUAGCCAUACAUUAUUCACCAGAAAACACCAAGAUACCAAAUAAUUACAGAUCAUAGCCUGCGUCAUGUCCCAAAUAUGGAGAACUAAGGUAAACAGGAGACCAAACUACACAACAGUGCCAGCAAAAUAUUGUACUGCCUACAACAAGUUAGCCAUAAAUUGCACCACGUCGUUAAACUCAAAGUAUUCACCAAGAAGGCAUGCUUUUACUUGCCACUGUAACUCAACUCAUAGUACAAACCACAACUAACAAGAAAAAAUGCGCUGCCAAAAAUAUUCACCAAGAUAGAAGCAAGGGAAAGACACUCAAAAGAGAUAAAGGAGCAACACCUAAACAAAAAAAAAAAAUAAUAAUAAUAAAGAAACGAGAACUAGCACCCAAACUGACCCCCCCACACCUAAAUGACGCAUUGCCCUCAAUGUGAAAAGAUAAUAGCAGAAAAAGGGGAGGGGCAACGGUACUUCCCUGAAGGCGUCAAGACAAGGGUGGGUUAGGCGGAAACUGAGGAGGGAACCCGGCUUGCUGCAUAAAAGCCGCUAGAUUCUGCGCCAUAUUGUGAAUGUUAACGUCCAUGUGUUUCUGCCGAAUCUCAAGCCGCUCGACUGUGUUGCGGAGCUGGUUCCAUUCCUCAUCCGUAUGGGCGGAAUGGAGGGGAACGGAGGAAGAUGGACCGGGAUCACCGCCUGCCGUGGAGGCACUGGCAAAGGAUGAACGAGGGGGAGGGUGUAGCGGUCCCGGGGGAACAACCUCCCAACCAUUGUCGCCCUCCCGAACUAAGCCCAUUUUCUCUAAGCUUGGAAUAUCCAAAGGCUCCAUUUGACAGGCUAUAUGCAAGUUAUGGUUAGAAAUAUCAAGGACAUGCAAAUUAAUAGCCAAGUGAGUAAUGUAAGACCCAAGAAUCAAGGGCCGCUUCUUUUUAGGCAAAAUGGACUUGAACUGAGACGCGAGCCAACACAAGAUUAACCUUAAUAUUGUUUUGCAUGCACCAUAUAAAGAAAAAUUCGGGCUUAGACAGAAUGCCCGAACUAUCUCGCCUACCAGAGAAACUGUAAGCCAAAAAACGGUGGAUAUAGCGAGAGGCCGGGUCCUUCAGAUAGGACCCCUUGGAUAGACGAGGGUCAUAGUUAUCCCUGUCUACAGACAUAUCAUCCCAAAGAAAGCGAUAGCGGGAGAAAAACGGCUGGACAUAGUCACACGCACUCUCGGCAUACUCCCUAGACUCAGCAUAAGCAGGAUCAAUGAAACCAAAGGCCAGAUUGAAGUCGGUUAUGGAAUGGUGGAAUUCCUGGCCCAUUAAACGGAAGCGGAUGACAUCCGGGUAGAAACUGUGUAAUUAGUGGGAAGGUCAAACUCAAACGUGGCAUAAAACUCCCUAACCAACUCGACAAAAGCCGGGAGGUCAGUGAUACGAGAAUAGGGGCGCCACCCGAUGGCUUCAAUCAAAUCGUGAAAGGGGACGCUAAUAUUUAGAAGGCCCAAGGUGGCGGGGUCCCGAUAACGACAAGGAAUAAUCCGUCGUUCACAAGCCGCUUCAUAGCGUCGCUUGUCGGCUGCCCUGGUGAAAACCAAAUGACCCCCAAAAUGUGCAGGGUCAGAGAUAUGGACGCCUCUUUGUCGCCCAAGACGAGCCCGCCUCCCAGAGGAGGAAGGGUCGUGCGAGGGUCAGAGGCGGGAAUGGAAUGCUGAGGUGGAGGGGGCUUAGGAGUCCUAGGGGUCCUAGUCUUAGAAGAAGAUCGAGGCUUCACCAUGGUGGUCAACAGGCAAACCCAAACAACCAAGUAGCAAAUAUAAGCGUCACGGGCGCCCCCAAUAAACAAGUAUAAGCGUCACGGGCGCCCCCCAAUAAGCAAGUAUAAGCGUCACGGGCGCCCCCAAUAAGCAAAUAAUCGCAGCAAUUCACCCACAAUUGGACACAAAUUUCAGCAAAUGAGACCCAAUCCCCCAGAAAUGAAACCUGAACGUAAGCCAGUAUCUCCAAAAACAGCAACAAUGAUAGGCUAAAGUGCUCAACCAGUACCACUGGUGAGUCACAGGGAAAAAUUAAAGCAAAUGGGCUAGCUGUUCAACAAAUAGUAGAAAAUACCCCCACUUGGCAGCAAUUAAACUCAAACUUGUCCAAACAGUUCCCCUAAGAAAUAAUUAAGCAAAUAAACAGAGCAGAAACCCCCCCCUCAAAAACUAAAUAAACAGUCAAAUCGAGUAAAGAUUCUCCCCAAAUACCAUCGAUUGAGAACAAAAUUUACCAAAUAAUCAACAACCAACCACAGAUAUACCACAGCACCCAAAUAAGCCCAAAAGUUUUGUUCUCAACUAGCAAAUCAAAAAUCUGGCAUCAGCUAAUGAAAAACUAGUGCUCUGGCCUCAGCUACUCAGUGAUUAAAAAAAUAGGAAAAAGAAAAAUAGAGGACGAAUUCACCAGAAGUAGCGCCUGGUCUACCCGCGCGAGGAGGAAGCUGCUGGAGGACUGGCGGUGGACUGGAGGGUUGAGCAGCCGUGCGACUGUGGCGGCGAAGUGGAACUGGGCAGAGAGAAACCGUGCGCAGCGAGGUGGGCCUGCAGGAGCUGGAGCUUGGAGGGGGUGGAAAGGCGCGGCGAGCCACUAGCUCGCGGCUGCGUGGAAGGGUAGGCGGUGGAGGUUGGAGUUGCGCGCGGCUGGUGUAGGCGGAGGAGGGUCGCCCGAGGUGGGCGGCGGCGUCGACGGCAGCCUGCGUGGGUGAAGCUGCUGCGGUGGUGGUGGAAACUCGUGGGCUCUGGCCGAAGCUGGGGCGCGGUGGAGGUCGGCGGCGGCUGGAGGGUGGCUGUGGUCGUGGCGCUCGGGCUUAGGGAGCCGCGACCGAGAGUAGCCGCGCGCAGCGAGCGUGGGCAGCUUGGCCUUGGCUCACGGCGGCGUGCGGCUCUGGUGAUUUGGGUGAAAGGGGUGGCGGCCGAAAGGAGAAAAGAAGGAAAAGGGAAAGAGGGGCAGCGGGGAAGAAAGAAAGAAAGAAGAAAGAAAAAGGAAAGAAAGAAAAGAAGAGAAGGAAAGAAGAAAAAGAGUUUUUUUUUUUUUUUUUUUUUAAAUAUAAAUUUCUCAAAACCCUGUUUCUUCAUUAUUCCGAAUUUAUAUUUCAAAAUUCUGAAUUUUGAAAAGAAAAUAAAAGCCUAAGGUUUUAAAAGAAAAUUUCUUUGAAACUGUUUAAAUGUUUAAUUUUUUUUUUUUUUUUUGAAAGGAAUAAUAAUAAUAAUAACUAAUUUUUUUUUUUUUUUUAAAUCCAUGUUUUGGGUCGUCAAUCACCGCGUGGGCAUGCCAAGAUUACUCUUCGUCCUCUGAUCUCAGUAGACACCAACACCGCGUGGGCACGCCAAGAUUGCUCUUCGUCCUCUGAUCUCAGGAUACACCAACACCGCGUGGGCACGCCACGAUUGGUAUUCGUCCUCUGAUCUCAGGAUACACCAACACCGCGUGGGCACGCCAAGAUUGGUCUUCCUGAUUUCAGUGAAGGAAAUAUUAAUACUGCUACUACCCAACGAGGAAACGACAAAAUGAAAGAAAUGAACAACUAAAAACAAUAAAAUCAAUAUUCAGGUUGCCUCCCGAAAAAGCGCCUUUCUUUAGUGUCUUUGGCUAGACAUAGCCCAUAAUUUGCUUAAACCAAGCAAAUUGGGUCCUCCAAAUGCAUCAUCUCUACCCGCUCAACUGGAACCUCAUCAUAAUACGGCUUGAGACGAUGACCAUUCACCACAAAUUUCUUCUCCGUCUUCAGACUCUGGAUCUCCACUGCACCAUAAUCAAAGACAUUAGUUACAACAAAGGGACCAAUCCAACGAGAACGUAACUUACCUGGAAAUAACUUCAACUUCGAGUGAUACAGUAGAACUUUUUGUCCACAUUCAAACGUCUUCCUAGAGACCUGCUGGUCAUGAAAAAUCUUGUUUUUCUCCUUAUACAUCACAGCAUUCUCGUAGGCUUCAUUGCGAAUCUCCUCCAAUUCUUGUAACUGUAGCUUCCUUUGAAUUCCGCCCUCUUCGAUAUCCAUGUUGCAUUGCUUGACCGCCCAAAAUGCUCUAUGCUCGAAUUCGACAGGAGGUGGCAUGGCUUCCCAAAUACCAAACGGUAAGGGGACAUGCCGAUCGGUGUCUUGUACGCCGUUCUAUAUGCCCACAAGGCAUCUUCAAGUCUCACACUCCAGUCCUUCCUGUCAGGUCGAACCAUUUUUUCCAAAAUCGACUUGAUCUCCCGGUUCGAUGCUUCCGCCUGACCGUUUGUCUGCGGAUGGUAAGACGUGGAGACUUUGUGCAAGACACCGUACCUCCUAAAAAGUGCAGCAAUCGUCUUGUUGCAGAAAUGGGUACCCCGAUCACUUACAAUUGCUCGUGGCAUCCCAAAACGGACAAAGAUAUUAGAUUUAAUGAAUUCUGCAACCACCUUAGAAUCAUUAGUGCGGGUGGCUUUUGCUUCCACCCACUUUGAGACAUAAUCUACGGCAAGCAAUAUAUACAAAAAACCGAAAGAUGAAGGAAAAGGGCCCAUAAAAUCAAUACCCCAAACAUCAAAAAUCUCAACAAAAAUCAUUGGGGUUUGGGUCAUUUGAUCCCUUCGAGAAAUACUACCUACUCGUUGACACUUAUCACAUGACUUACAAAAUAAAUAGGUAUCCUUAAAGAGGGUUGGCCAAUAAAAUCCACUCUCUAGAACCUUACGAGCAGUUCUCUUUGGUCCAAAGUGACCUCCACAUGCAAAAGAGUGACAAUAAGCUAAAAUAGACUGGAAUUCAUUUUCACUCACACAUCUGCGAAUGAUUUGGUCGGCACCACGUUUCCAGAGGUAAGGAUCAUCCCAGAUGUAAGAUUUUGCGUCACUCCUUAACUUAUCCCUUUUUGCCUUAGGCCAUCCUGCAGGAAACUUGUCAGUAACUAGAAAAUUAACAAUAUCUGCAUACCAGGGCAAAGUUAAAUUAGCAGAAAAUAAGUGCUCGUCAGGGAAGUUUCUCUCAACGGGAUAUCGUCCUUGGUGACUUGUACCCGACUCAAGUGAUCUGCUACCAAAUUCUCUGCCCCUUUCUUAUCUCUGAUCUCCAAGUCAAACUCCUGUAGCAACAAUAUCCACCUUAUCAGUCGCGGUUUUGCCUCUUUCUUGGUCAACAGAUACCGCAGGGCUGCAUGAUCAGAGAAAAUAAUAACUUUAGCACCAAGUAAAUAGGAACGAAAUUUUUCUAAAGCAAAAACUACAGCUAGGAGCUCUUUCUCGGUGGUCGAAUAGUUCAAUUGGGCUCCGUUCAAGGCUCGAGAUGCGUAGUAUAUAGCGUGGGCUGCCUUUCCCACUCUUUGACCUAGUACCGCACCCACUGCGUAAUCGCUGGCGUCACACAUGAUUUCAAAUGGGAGAUUCCAGUCAGGGGGUUGGAUGACAGGUGGAGAAGUGAGUAAUUUUUUCAACUUCUCGAACGCUUCUUCGCAUUUCUCGUCGAAUUCAAAACUGACAUCCUUUUGUAAAAGCCUGAAAAGUGGUGCCCCGAUCUUUGAGAAAUCCUUGAUAAAUCUGCGAUAGAAACCUGCAUGUCCUAGAAAAGAACGAACUUCCCGUACAGUUACGGGGUAAGGUAAAGCAGAUAUCACAUCUAUUUUAGCUUUAUCAACUUCAAUUCCUCUAGAUGACACUACAUGUCCUAGAACUAUCCCGUGCUCAACCAUGAAGUGACAUUUUUCCCAAUUCAGCACCAGGUUAGUCUCAAUGCAUCUUUUUAAAAUCAAUGUCAGGUUAUCUAAGCAAUCGUCAAAGCUAUCACCAUAGACACUGAAGUCAUCCAUGAAUACCUCAAUUAUCCUCUCUACAUAUUCAGAAAAAAUGCUAAUCAUGCACCUCUGGAAUGUUGCAGGGGCAUUACACAAUCCAAAAGGCAUUCUUCGAUAGGCAAAAGUGCCAAAGGGGCAAGUGAAAGUUGUUUUCUCUUGAUCCUCUGGCGCAAUUGCUAUCUGAAAAUAACCAGAAAAACCAUCUAAAAAACAAUAAUAGGCACGACAGGCUAACCUUUCAACCAUUUGAUCAAUGAAUGGAAGGGGAAAAUGAUCCUUCUUGGUCACUGCGUUCAAUUUACGGUAAUCGAUGCACUGGCGCCAACCCGUAGGCUUUCGAAUUGGAACAAGGUCCCCUUCAUGAUUUUCUUCCGCAGUUACCCCUGCUUUCUUUGGCACCACUUGGACCGGACUUACCCAUGGGCUGUCUGAGAUAGAGAAAAUAAUUCCUACGUCCAGAAGCUUGAUUACCUCUUUUUUGACCACUUCCAUCAUGAUGGGGUUCAAUCUCCUUUGUGGUUGUCUUAUCGGCCUAGCAUCCUCUUCCAGGCGAAUUCGAUGCAUGCACACAGACGGGCUUAUACCCUUGAUGUCUGCAAUUGUCCACCCUAUAGCUUCCUUAUGCUCCCUUAAAACCCGCAGCAGUUUGUCCUCCUCCGUGGGUGAUAAUUUGGAUGAGAUUAUCACUGGUAACGUCUCUUUUUCACCUAGAAAGGCAUACUUUAAAUGCUCGGGAAGGGGUUUCAACUCCACUUCAGGUGCCUGCACGAUAGAAGGUAACAGCUUUAGGUGUGGUUCAGGCACAAAUAUAGGAGCAACAUCAUACCUUAGAGGACUUUGGCCUAGUGAAUGCAAGGCUCCAACCAUUCUUUGCAAAUUGAUGUCUAACUCCAUUUCGCAGGCCACUUCCAGAUCCAAAUGUUUGGUGAUUGCUACCUCCAAUUCAUCCCUGCCAUUAAUCUCAAAUACUUCUUGCACCAAAGGGUCAAUUAUACUCACAGCAAAAACAGCAUUAGAAUGACACGGAUAUUUCAUGGCCUCAAAUAUACUAAAUGAACUAUUUCUCCAUCAAAUUCCAUCGUUAGGGUGCCCUUACUAACAUCAAUUUUUGUACGAGCCGUGCUCAAGAAGGGCUCCCCAACAAAAUUGGUGAUGGAUUUGGAGAACGUUCAUCACCCAUAUCAAGAAUAUAAAAAUCAGCAGGGAACACUAAAUUGUUCACUUGUACUAACACAUCUUCUAUCACCCCAUCAGGAUAAGCAUUAGUCCUAUCAGCCAAUUGAAUUAUAAUGCCAGUUUCCUUUAAAGGGCCCAAAUUCAGAGAAGUAUAUAUAGCCUGGGCAUCACAUUUAUAGAGGCUCCUAAAUCUAACAUGGCAUUCCUAAUGCUAGUGUUCCCUAUUUUCAAGGAAUAGUGAACAUACCUGGGUCUCCGCACUUGGGUGGAAGUUUUCUUUGAAGCACUGCAGAUACGUUCUCUCCCACAAUUAUCCUUUCAUCUCCCCUCAGUUUCUUCCUAUUGAUGCAUAGGUCCUUCAAAAAUUUGGCAUACCGGGGUACUUGCUUAAUUGCGUCAAGUAAGGGGAUAUUUAUCUCCACCUUCCUAAACAUCUCCAAAUUUCCUUUUCCUUGUCUUGCUUUUUAGGCCUUUCCAACCUGCUAGGAAAAGGUGGUGGGUUAGGCUUAAUGGAACCACUGGGUUACGUAUUACCUCUUCAUUUGUGCCAGGAGUUCCUUCUUCCUCAAGCUCCUUCUCAAUACGGUCCUCAUUCUUGUCCUUCGGAGCCACUGGGGCUGGACCUUCAACCUCUUUCCCACUCCUGAGGGUCAUUGCACUUACAUUCUUGGGAUUCACCUCAGGUUGGGAUGGGAGUUUUCCCUUCCCCUGGGAGUCUAGUCGGUUGACAAUGAGGCUAAUUGACUCAUCUGAUUUUCCAAGUUUUGCAUACGUGCUUUCAUCUCUUGAUUGUUGGCCUCAGUGUCCUGUUGAAAUUUCAUAGUAUUAGAGGCUAUGGUUUUAACCAUGUCUUCUAGGGACAUACCUGAGGUAGAGGAGGGUUGAUUCCUUGUUUGAUAUUGUUGCUGGAAGCCCUGCUGUCUAUUGGGGAUGAAAUUUUGUUGCUUAUUUCCCCCAUAGCUUAGAUUUGGAUGAUCCCUCCAACCCGGAUUGUAUGAGUUGGAAUAGGGGUCAUACUGUCUACGUGGCAUGGGCAUGUUACCAGCCAUAUUUGCUUGCUCAAUUCCCUCUUCAUGUAACUGUGGGCACGAGUCAGUGGUAUGACCAAUAUUCGUGCAAAUCCCACACACUUUGGCCUGCUGUGCAUUUCCUACAGCUAUCUGUCGAACAAAUGAGGUUAAUUCAGAUAACUGCUGUUCGAUGGAAGAUGAACUUACCUCGUUGACCUUUCUCGUAGGAACAUCUGCUCUCGUACCAAACUGCUGGCAAUUCUCUGCCAUUCGCUCAAUUAAGUCCCAUGCCUCCUGGGUAGUCUUAUUUACCAGUGCACCACCACUUGCUGCAUCAAUGAUAUUCUAUCGUUCAUCAGUAGCCCCUCGUAGAAAUACUGAAUCAGCAGUUGAUCACUUAUUUGGUGAUGUGGGCAUCGGGUACGCAGCCUGGUGAACCUCUCCCAAUAUUCAUACAAGGAUUCCCCGUGAAAUUGCUUGAUUCCACAUAUUUCCUUUCGCAAGCUAGCAGCUCUGGAUGCAGGGAAAUAUUUUUCAAAAAAUUUUUUCUGCAUCUCUGGCCACGUGGUGAUAAUGCCUGCAGGUAGACAGUAUAACCAGUCCUUUGCCGAAUCCUUGAGAGAGAAAGGGAAGGCCCUUAAUUUAAUUUGUUCAUCAGUUACUCCCGAAGGUUUCAUACUCGAACACACCACAUCAAAUUCCUGCAUGUGUUUGUGGGGUUCCUCUCCUGGCAGACCAUGAAAAACAGGCAACAAAUGUAUUAAACCAGGUUUUAAUUCAAAAGCUGCAUUCUCACUAAGGCGAGGAAAAGUUAUGCAAAGAGGUUGUUGGGUCAAGUUUGGAGCAGCCAACUCCCUUAAUGUUUGUGUGUUUGCCAUGUCGACGCUCUCUUGGCAAAAAUCACUUGAAGUGUCACCAAACGAAUCUGCUGGUUCAACUUCGGGCUCAGGUCUCUGAGAUGUAGCCCUGGAGUGCUCCUCUCUGAGCUGUCUGGUUUCUUUCCUUGUUCUACGCGCGGUUUUCUCUACUUCAGGGUCAAAAAUCAAUUCACCUGCACGAGAAGACCUAGGCAUACACUAGAAAAAUACCAGAAAAUUAGAGCAAAAAUGAAAUUUAAAAAGAAACAAAUAAUAACGCCAGUCCCCGGCAGCGGCGCCAAAAAUUGACAGGUCGUCAACCUGUGCAAUAAUAAUAAUAAUAUAGAACCUAGAUACCACUAAGAGCUGUCAAUAAUUAAUCCUAGGUACUGGAGCAGGGACUCUAGGUGUGCAAUGGGUUACUUGAUUCACCCUGUUCCCGAAAAGUUUGCUGAACCCGAUAUACCAGAAUUAAUUAGUUGGCAAAAAUAGUAGGCAGUGGCAAGUAAAGUCGUCUCCUCAGGGACUGGGGAUAUCUGUCUCUUUUUAAAGUCCAAUUGAUAAGGGGGGAUUUCACCGGAAUGGAACUAAAAAUAAUUAAACAAUUUAAUUAAAAAUAAAUAAAUCACUAGCACAAGUAAAGCAGGAAUUAAAUCAAGAAUAAAUAAGUUCUAGCCAAGGAUACAACUACUCAGGCACAGUCCAUUUAUCCGAUCAUUGAUGCAGGAGAGGUUCACUUAAUUUAUUAAUAGGUUAGUUAUAGUCUGACGACCAAUUUUUCCUUAAAUUAUUGAUAACCAAGGUACGACCAUUGAUCACCCCUAACCAGAAAAUACUCCUAGGUACGACCGUAGGAAUUAAUUUCCCAAUUGCAUUAAUAUUAGAAAAACCUAGCCCUAACCAAUAACACGCUACGAGGGUUAUUUAAAUUAGAUUGCACGUUCCCCUAAUGUGUAAACACACCAGUUGCCACUAAUAUUAAUCAAUCAAACAAUUACGGAUUUAAUUGACUAAAUUGGCACGAGACUAAUAAAUCACAUUGAACAUCGGGCCCUUGACAUCCAAUUAAUAAAAUAAUCCCAUGAAAAUACAAGCAGGCAACGUGCAAUUAUUAAUAAAUUAAGGAACGCGUGAAAACUAAUUAGAUCUCACAGGUUUUCGGGACUGCGCCGUCGAGUUGAUCCUUGACUAGAUGGAAGAUUUAGCCACGCCGCAUAAUUAAAUCACCACACGAAUUAAUGGAUUGCAAAGGCAUAGCGUUUUCUAUUAAGAAGCAAGGAAUAAAAGGUGUUUUUCCCGUUGGGGAAUUUCGUCGAACACCUGGCGUGCCAGAGGCCAGUCAAAAGAAGGAAAAAGUAAAGCUACACUAAAAGACUAAAACCAGAGAUAUCCCUCUGCUACUCUACGUUAUCCCUAUUUAAGCCACAAAAGAAAGAUAACUCAAGGCUCUCUACGUGGUCCCCACACAUGUGGGCAAAGCCUUCAAAGUACUUCUUGCCCCAAGUCUCCUUCCGUAGCUUUCUUUUUAGAGUCCAAAUGACUAGAUGCCUUCCACUAGCUUGUGGUCCCCACAAAUUCAAGGACCCAAGCAUUGAAGCCCUUAGAAGUCUCCAUAUUUUCCAUAAAGUCCCUCCUUUUGGUAGUUUUCUGCUUUAUUCCUGAAAUUACGUCCACAUACCAAAUAUGAGUAAAUAUCAGCAAUUAACACAAUAUUUGUCAGGGAUAAAAGGGAAAAUUAAUAAUAAAAUUACUAACAAAUUGUACCCUAUCAACAAAUUAUAGUAAUUUAUAUUUAUUAAUUGUCAAUGAAUGGUUUUAUUUGAGCUAUAAUUAGAAUGGAAGUUGCCUAAUUUAAGUAUAUUUUGGUUUUUGCGGGAAAAGCACGCAAUUGAGGAGGGGAUGAAUAAAAAACGCAACAAAAGAAGAAGAAACGUUGAAAGGGACUUUGUGAGGACUUCUUCCAGUUCCAAUGAUUUCUAAAGAAAUUUCUAAAAUUAUGAUGAAUUUUAAAAAAAUUCUACAAAGGGGGCAUUUUGAGUAUGGGAUUCCGUCCAAGAGAUCUUCGCAUUCAGCAAAUGCGAGCUCCUCAGCUCGCAUUUGCUGAAUGCGAAGUCUCUUGAAUUUGCAACCAACGAAAUCCAAAAAAAAAAAAAAAAAAAAACAGACCUCGCAUUUGUAAACAGUACGUAGGCCUGACCUCUUAUCCUGUUUCUGAGCAACAGAGCAUAGCCACGAAUUUGAAAGCCAUUUGCCAAGUGAAAAGAAAAUGUGCAGUGCAAAUGGGACACAAAAUUGAUUGGGGAGUCCUGUUGAGGUAGUACAAGUGGCAAAUUGGGAGGGGAGAGAGAGGCGCAGCUGGCUAGCUUCACAGAAAUAGGUUCCGAACAGGGGUCCAAGCUCUACAAUGGCGCAGAGCUUCCAACGAGAAAGAUGUGAGGGAUUUCGUCUGCCGAUCCUGGAAGCUUGGACUGGUGUCUAGCUCAGCAAAAGAGAAGAGAGAGUGAGCUGGAUGGAGAGAGUGAGCUCCAAUUUCUGCAGGUUAGGAGACAGAUUAGAAUGCCGUAAUUAUGAGCUCUGCCUUUUUUUCAGAUUGAGUACUUCGCAUUCGAGAAAUGCGAGGUACCUCAGCUCGCAUUUGGCAUAUACGACCUUUGUUGUUUUUUACUUUUUCUCAAAACCUUUCUCUUUUUUCUUGAAACACUGACCUCACAUUUGUGAAAUGCGAAGUCUUUGAACUAGCGUUUCACAAAUGUGAAGACCAUAAUCCUAAAAUUAGCUUCAAAAAUUACCCCCUUGUAAAACAACUUUUUUUUCUAUCACAAUUUAAGAAUUUACUCUGAUUUUUAGCAUAACAAGUUUGCGGCCAGAGUUAGAGCCGGUCUUCGGGCCGAAUUUUAUUGGAAAACCCAUUCAAACUCGAUUUUUGGUAAGUUUUCAAGACCUAUUCCUACCACAUUUCGGAUGCAACUUUGAGAGACUAUAAAUGGGACAUUCUAGGAUAUUUUUGGUUAGAAAGCAUUUAGCUUACAUUAGUUCAUCCUUUUUAUAUCUUUUUCUUGAGAGAUCACAAAGGAAGUGUUGAAGAAUCAAAGAGAAAGUUCAAGAUGGAGAUUGGAGUAGGGAAAAAUUGAGAAGUUUUCUUUACUUUUAACUUCUUAUUUUGUCUUCAUUUGAAUCUUGGAUUUAUCUGUGAAUAUGUUGAACUAAUUUAUAUCUAGACUUAAGAUUUUGUGAAGGAGAUUUGAUUAUUUGUUCUAGAUAAAUUAUUCAAUUUUUCUUUAUUUAUCUAUCUUGCCUUUAUUACAUAUUUAUGUUUGGCCACUAUAGAUAUGCUUUUAGGGUUUGUAUUGAAUUGAGAAGCGAUAUACAACCAUAUAUUAGAUAAAUAAACUUACUUAACCUAAUUAUGAAUGUGGGUUAGGAUUUGUAUGGCAUAAUCAUAUCACCUAAAAUCUUAAAGGGUUUAAUUAAAUACCUAUGAUCUCGAGAGCAAUGUGAGAUUUCAUUAGACACAAUUUAGAUGUAUCGAGAGAUAAUUAAAAUACUUUUACGUGAUACGUCUUUGACAUGUUAAGAAAAUAAUUGGAUAAUGAUUCCAAUUAUGAAUCAAAAUUUGAAACUCUAGUCUUUUGCUAAUUGUUUUCUCACCUAUAUCUUAUUUGAUUUGAUUACUUAUUUAAUUUCUUAAUUAGUGACUAAAAACCCUCUAAAUUUAAAUUUUUUUAUUUUUAUUAGAAUAAUUAAAGUAGAAAAAAUUAACUCAUUCCUAUAUGUUUGACCCUGGAGUACUCCAAGUGAAUUAUUAUUUCAAUCAACCCUAUACAGUUAUAGAAAUUCAUCGAUCACACAGCAACUUAAAAAAAAAUUAACGCACAAUAAUGUCAUGAACACAGUUCCCAUCUUAGUUGUUCAACAUUCACGGUGGAUCUCAAUUAGUGGUAAAUAGAUAAAGGCAUCGAAAAAGUAAUCUAAUUACUAGAUAAUUGAAUUUAUACUACAGCAUAUUUCUUUUUUCUACUGCAAAAACUUAACUAAUUUAAGACAAUGUAGUCCAAGCUAAUUGAAGAUUAAUUUCCCUAAAAAAUGUUCAUGAUAAAAACUCAACAAAGAGAUAAUACAACAGCUUACUUUGGAGGUGAUCUUAUACGGUCUUUAUUAACAAACUAAUUAGCCACUUAAGCCUUUUUUUUUCCUUUUGGGACUACACAUGACAAAAUGAGGAGUGAAUCAGUCGCUUAAUAUCUAAAAUUUUCCCUCCAUAAUUAGUUCAACCUGAUUUAAGACUAAAUUUUUACUAUAGGAAUGUUCGUGAUUCAGCAAUGAAAGACCAUAUAAACUUAUUUUGGGAGAUUUGUCCUAGAAGACAAAAAAUGAGCAACCAAUCAGAAAGUCGUACUUACAUAUCAAAAUCGAUACAGUCUACUUAAUUCACCAGCUAUGUAUAUUUCAUCCAUUUUCACAUAAUAGAAAGAACAAUAAUGCAUGGCAUUAUCCAUCAUAAAUUGCUCAUAUAACAUCAAGAUAUCAUGGUGUGGACCUCAAAUGACUCGUCAUAUCUACUGGCUACAUUUUAAACAUAUCUUAUGGCCAGAAUGUUCAUCUUAUCAACUUAACGAGUUUAUUCAUGGUACCAUACCAUUAAAUUAAAAAAUUUCCACGGUUUACCUUUUAUAGACGUCAAGGAAUAUAGCUGAUAACGCACUUUUGGCAGCAAGCUUCCUUCACCCAAUUAAAGAUUUUCGGAGCUUAAAGUUCAGCUCCUAAAGCUCUUCUCCAAGGCUCACCAACCAACAGAGAAAUUACUUUUAGCAAAGUUGUUAAAUUUUGGCACCAGGUUUUGAUGGCAUCUCGGCAAGAUUGGAAGAUUAUAUUGCGCUUCUAAGAUAAUGUUUAAAAAAGCUAUUUUAGUGAGGGCAUUAUGGUCAAUUUGCCCUGAUGAUAUUGACAUUAGGUCCCAUCAACAUCAGAAGGGAGCUCAUUGCAUUAUUGGAUAUAACAAGGGUGCUAGUGAAAUUAUGAAAACCCUCAAGGAAGGUAUUUGAAAUUAACCCUAAAAUACUCAUUCCACGCAAGGCGUGGCGUUCCCCUCCUAGUUCCUAUAAAUAGGGCUGCAACUCAAUGCACUUAUCACUCGAUAUCAAUAAUUUAGCACAUUAUUUACAUUUUGAGUGAGAUUGUGAUCAAAUGGCAUCUUCAAAAAUUUGCUCUUUCUUAUUCGUGUUCUUUUUGCACUUGUGCUCCUCAUUUCCUCUGAUGCAACAGCUGCAGGUGCCUAGUCCCUUUUUUUCUUUUCCUUUCUUCCUUUUUUUUUGGCUGCACCUAAAUACUUAAAUGAAUGGAGAUUUGGAGACUCAUUAUUGGAAUGUGAAUUUUUAUGGAAGGCUAUUUGUAUAUUAUCAAGCAAGUCAUAUUAAUGUGCUAAUAUCUUUUUCAUUGUUUAGCAAAAGUAAAUUUGGGUUGCUUCUAUCAAUGGUUAGUGGCACAUCUGAUUUUUCAUGCAUCCUUAUCGUAUUGCUGUAAGGAUACACGGUCCAUAGUGUCGCACCAAAGAUUAAACUAACGUCGAAAACCAAAUUAAAUGCUUCUAAUUAUAAUUUAAAGCAAAACAAUUUCCCUUAUAAAUGGACGAAAUUCCCUGCCAACAAAUCCAAAUUCAAGAAAAAAAUUUUCUUAAGGAGAAACUCUGCCAAAAUUUUCUUAAAAUAAAUAAAAUAUUUAAUUAAAAAAAUAAAGCAAAAUAAUUCAUAUCCAAGUCGCACCAUCUUAUAUGCCUAGACUGUUUUGUUUAAUCCAUAGUAUUCUUUUCUUUGCAUAUAUCUUGCAAAUUUUCAGCCUAGCCGGUCACCUAACGUUCGCAGCUUAAGAUAAAGCUCCAAAUAUUUAUGUCUCCUUGUGUCUUGAAACAGAUCAGAAGAGCGUGAAAACCACUGGUGUCCACGAUGCCAGUUCAGGCGAGGUUCAUCAGGAUAGCAAAAGCGAAGAUCGUUGCAGACAUGGUUGCUGCCACUGGUACCAUGGACACUGCCAAAGAUGCUGUCGAACUGCCGAGGAGACCCCUGAAGUCACAUCUGGAGAUGAGGAUACCGUAACCGCAGAUCGUUGCAGACAUGGUUGCUGCCGCUGGUACCAUGGACAUUGCCAAAGAUGCUGUCCACCUGAAGAUCGUUGCAGACAUGGUUGCUGCCACUGGGACCAUGGACAUUGCCAAAGAUGCUGUGCAGACAUGGUUGCUGCCACUGGGACCAUGGACAUUGCCAAAGAUGCUGUCCACCUGCUGAGGAGACCCCUGAACAUCGUUGCAGACAUGGUUGCUGCCGCUGGUACCAUGGACAUUGCCAAAGAUGCUGUCCACCUGCUGAGGAGACUUGCAGACAUGGUUGCUGCCACUGGUACCAUGGACAUUGCCAAAGAUGCUGUCGAACUGCUGAGGAGACCCUGAAGCUACAUCCGGAGAUGAGGUCAAAAAUUAAUGCUAAAUAAAUAAGGCCGUGACACAGGAUCCGUGACACCUAUAUUAUUACCUUAAUAUGUUAUGUUGUGUUUGCUUUUAAUGGUUGAUUUCCUAUAUGUGUAAAAGACUUGUGCGGCUUCUCUUUGAAUUGAUGUAGAAUCAACGGGGGAAGCAUGUAAUGAGUACUCAGUUCGAGUGCUCUUCUUAUGUUGUUGUCAUGUUGAAUAAAUAAAUCUACUUGAUCAUCCACUACAAUUGAUGAUCUUCUUAUGUUUUUUUUCACUUUAUCUUCCUUCACGAUUUUUGGUGGAAAUGCUUCAUUUAUACGAAUUUUCCUAGUUAGUAAAUGCUUCUAUUACACUUGUACAAUACACAUUUAAAAGUAUAACACAACAAAAGCUUGUGUAGUUCAUAUAUUUAAAAAAUAUUCAUACUUUUCAACUAAACUAUAAAAAUACGUAAUAAAUUCUUGAUACAUUAUACUUUACGAACUAUACUUUAAAUUUUAAAAAUAUUUAAUAGUAUCACUUAUCAAUAACUCCACAUGUUAAUUUGUCUUCCAAUUCAGUAAAUUAUAGUAGCUAAUUCUCAAAGCUAACCGACACCAAAAUUCCCUUGUUGGAUUUAUAUUAAUUACAUUGCAUUUAUUUCCUAAGCAUGAGUUUUGUAACCCCUCAUAUUAAAUCUCAAUGAUUGAUUUUAACGGUUACCAAGGCGUCUAGUAAUUGGUUUGCUAUUAAUUUGAACUAGACAUUUAUUAGGUCAAGUAGAAUUUAUUCCGUCUUAUCACUUAGUUCAUAAACCUUACGAAUCGUUAAAACCAGCUCUAACAUUACCUAACAAGACUUCUACAAUUUCGGGUUUUGCUUAGAAAUCAGUCUGAUAGGUUAACUUGCUUCGUCCAACUUUAUGAGUUGCUUCUUCUUUUUUUCCCAUAUUUGACAUUUCAUCUUACUUUAAUAUGGGGACCAAGUUAGUAUUGUUGACAUUUCAUAUCUAAGACCUCUUAGUUAAUUGAUUUGUUAUAAGAACUAUAACGUAUGCGUGUUUUGUAAGCUUUCAUUUUUUUUUUUCAAUUCUUGUGAACCAGCAACGGAUAGUUUCUUCUAGUACCAAGCUUCCUUUGAAGUUCUUUAUUUUUUUUUGCGUGUCCAAAUGUAAAUUAAAAGAACCAACAACUUUGAACAAGUCUAUAUCUAGUAAAGAUAGAUAUAAAGAGGGAUACUAUAUCACUGCAACAAAAAAGGGAUUUGGCGAGGAGCAAAAGUCCACGCCAAAAGUUUUGACUUCCUGGCCAAUUAAUUUCAGCAAGAAAAAUGCUUCCUCGUCAAGUUUCUUGCUAGAUGCUUGUCGCUAAUAAGUUAUUAGCGAGGAUGCUGCUGCUUUUCUCGCUAAUGAAACAGAUCAAUAGCAAGGGUUGACCUCCUCGCCAAUCUGAUUCAAAUACUAUGGCGAGAAAAACUUUCCUCACCACUAAAGUUAAAAACUCCCCACAAAAACCAGUAGUUCCUGAUAAGUGACUAAUUUACAUAAUAAUUAUAUGAUAUUUUAUAUUAUUUUUAGUUACUUUAGUUAUAUUAUUGGAAGAAAAUGAAUCAUUUUGGCUAUAAUUGGUAAAAAAUGCUUUUAAGUGAUUAAAUGAGGUUUUUAUCACUUUUUAGUGGGAUUUCGUGCAUUUUGACAGUUUUGACACAUUUUUGUAUUUUGGCUAUAACUUGGGCUACAAUGAUCGGAUUGAGAUGAUUUUUAAACCAAUUUGAAGAUAAGAGAUAGAUCUACAACUUUGGUGAAGACAUUUGAAUCCAGUUUGAAGGUUUUCAAAGUCAAAAAGCUGAAUUACAAUAGCAAAUUUCUACUGGUCGAAGCUGAAACAGGGCAAUGAGCAGUCAAGGGUAUUUCGGUCAUUUCUCAGCCUAAACAGAUCCAAAUGAGGUGAUUCUUGAUCCAUUGGAAAGAUAAGUCAAAGGGCUACAAGUUUCAUGUUUUGGUCAAGAGCUAAAUCAGCUUUUAUCAUCAAGAAAAGUUCAGUGGAAGUUGAUGCAAAAUCGGAGCAGAGCUGGAAAUUGAACCAGAAGUGACCAAAUGGUCACUGUAGCAAUCCGGCCGGAAUUUGGCCGGAUUUGUGGCUAGAUUCCUGGCCGGAUUGUGGUCAGAAAAGGCUGUUAUGUACGCGUAAAACUCAAUUUCACCUCCACCAACUCACAUGUGAUGCUAGACUUGUGAGAAACAUUCCCAACUGUAAAAGAGAGGUGUAAACCUCAAGUCUUGACCAAUCUUUCAUCUAUAUAUAGCCAAAUUCAUUGCAAGAUUGAAGGAUAUAGAGAGACAUAUGGGAGAACUUGGAGAGUGCAGAAAUGUAGCUCUUUCAUCUUCCUAGUGUUAGUUUAGCUUAGUGCAGAGUAGUAUCGAUCAUCCAUUCUUGUAUCUUGGCUAGAUUAGGAUGAAGAUGGAGGAGUUGAAACUCAAGUGACAUGGGUUAUUUCUUCUCCAACUCUUUAUCUUUUGUAUCAGAUUCUUAAGUUUGGUUAAUAUACAAGUUCUGGAUUUUGUGUUUAUGACAGGUGCCGAACCUGUGCAAUAAUAAAUACCUGCUCAAACUAAAAAUAAUUUCUGUAGAUAGUGGUGAGCAGGGUCGAAUCCACAGGGACUGGGAGUAAUUGUUUCUUUCCAAAUUCACAGUGACAAGGGGGUGUUUUUGUGCAGAAAGUGACAAUCAAACAAAUUCAAAUAAAAUCUAAGAAACUACUAAAAAUUAAAUAACAAAUUACUAAAAUCAAAUGAAUGAUAAUUAAGAAUCUAGCCAAGGAAUAACUUCAGCAAUGGUUCACCUAAUUGAUCAUCGAUAAGCAAAGGCAAUUCUAAUUAUUUACUAAUAAAUAGGUUAUAACUACCAAACAAGCAAUGGCAGUCAAACCCUCCUUACUGUGUCGGUGAUCAAGGUACGCCCGUUAAUCACUGCUCUAAUUGAGAAAUAAUUCUAGGUACGCUCGUAGAAUUUAAUUCCCCAAUUGCCUUACGUAUUAAAGGAGCCCUAUUCUAACCAAAUAACGCACUACCAGGGUUAUUUUAGAUUAGCCCGCGUAUUCCCCUGACACAAACCUAAUCAUGCCAGUUGUCACUAUUUUAGAGCAAUUAAACAAUUACGGAUUUCACCCUAAUUGACAAUAGAUUAUCAAAUCAAUUAAUUAUCCGGAUCCAAGACAAUCAAUUAAUCAAAUAAUCAUAAGCACUGCAACCAAGGAAUAUGCGAAUAUCAAUAAAUAAAAGAAAAAGAUUAAAUUAAAUCGAUCUCACAAUUUUAGGCGACCCAAAACAUCCGUUGCUCCUUGACUAGAAAAAGGAAUUUAGUUCAUAGUUAAUGAACAAAAUCCACAGGAAAUAAAAACAAGAGUCGCGGCCAUGGUCUGCGUCUUGGAAAAGUCCAAUUCGCUUCAGGAAAGGAAAACGAGGCUACAAAAGGUGAUUGCUUGUUACUAAUUCUUCCUGACAUACGCAGGGGAAAGGAACUACUACCAACCAAAAGAAAAGUCAAAGCUCAAGACUAUACUACAAGACGAAAAAACUAAAGAAGACCAGAGGAUAGUGCUCUCCUCCUGCAAUCUUAAUUCCUAUUCUAUUUGCUACUCCUCCUGUGCGGCGUCCGCCGCACCAGAGAAAAAGAAGACUCUGAGGUUUGCUUUCCUUUCCCUUUUUCUAGUUGCUGUUUUCGGUCAAAAUUACCAAAAAGGUCAUGCAUCUCCUUGUUCCAAGAAUGCCCUUGAUUGCCUGCUAUUUGAACUCUUUCCCGAUGACCGUCAAAUUGGCCUUGAUUGUGCCAUUUUUAUUCUACUCCCUGAAAUAAAUGAAAAUUACGAAAAGUGAGUAGAAUCUAAUAAUUAAUUCACAUUGGGUUAAGUAAUAGGGGAAAUUAAUUAUAAAAUAAAUGAUAAAAUUACAACCUAUCAAUUCCCCCCACACCUAAACCAUGUUUGUCCUCAAGCAUGAGAACAAGAAACAAACACCAAUAUUUGAUAGUGGCUAUUGCUCUAUCCAACAAAUUGCCAAGAUACCAAGAAAAAUAAUAUUCAAGCAUCAAUGGUCAAGUCCAAGAAACAUCACUCCGGUUAGCUUCUAAAUCAUAAACUCUUCCAAUUUCAGGUUAACUAAUCUAAGAAAAAGGAAUGUCGCAUAACAUUUAUCAGCAAAUGGUCCAACUAUUAACCAAAAUCUCAACAUUAAAUCCAUAAUUCGGCAAGCUGACUUUUAUUACACACUAACACAACCUUGACUUUUUUUUCACGUUUUUCUACUUUUCUUCUUUUCUUUUUUUUUUCUUUUCUCAAUAGUAACAAAAGACUUAGUCGCUAGCCAUUAGAGCCUUUUGACGCGAACUCCAACAUUGGCCAGAUGAAGGAGCCCGGUUACUCAGCUUCUAUCGCCACGUGACCACGUACUCAUAGGAACUACUACCUUUUGACGCGAGAAUCAACACUUGUAGGUGCAGAUCCCCGGUUACUCAGUAGUAACUAAUAGCGGAGUACAGUCAAGUUUAUUCAUAGCUAAAAAUCACAAAAACUCAAUAUAACACAAGAACCAAAAGAAAACUUGCAUCAGCUAACCUCAUUUUCAAACAUGGAGAACUAAAGUUAAUAACCGGACCAAUUCACAUGAAAAUGCCAAUAAUCAUUCCCUAUGCCUAGGAAAGUUAACCAAAAAUUAUAAGAGUAAAACAAUCAUUGAUAUUCACCCAAGAGAUGUUUUUGGAUUACCACAUUAACUUGGUACCCCUUUAUUAUUAAAACUUGGCAAAAGUAGAAAUAGAAGCAAUAAUCCAACAUCAAACCUGGCAUGCACUUACGAGCCAAUCACUAAAAAGAAGAAAAUGAACGAGAGGUGGACAAAUAACAAACUAAAAAUAAAGAACUAGUAUAGCCGUCCCCCCACACCUAGAUUCUACAUUGUCCUCAAUGGAGGAAUUAAAGCAAUUAAAGUGAAGAGGACAACGAAACUUCCCUCUUUGAGUGGCCACGAGGUAGGCGGGGACGGUGGAGGAAACCAAUGUGGUGGAAGUACGCGCCCAAGUUCUGAGACAUCAUACUCAAUUCAACCAGCAAAUGCAAAACUCUGUCCACCCAAAAUCUCAACAAAUAGCUCCAGUUGGCCAGUUAAUGCCUUAACUCAGAAUCAGCAAUUUCAACAUUGAGAGUUUAGGUAUUUGACAAUAACAAUUCAGUCACAAGUUCUUGGCUGUCAAUUAGACAGCCAAUCAGAUAGAAUUACCAAAUCUAGUCAAAAUACCCCAACCAGUACCAUUGGUGCACCCCACAGAUAAUGAAGCAACUUAAAUGGCAAACCCAAUCAACAAAAUGUACAUGUGAGGCACCCAAGGUCUAUACAAAUGUCCCAACAAAGCAGCGAUUGCAAUCAAUAAUCAGUAGUGGUCCUAAUUUACUCAAAUGCAGAAUUAAUGCAGCCCAACAAUUCAAUUGGAUGUACCCAACCUUGACAAGCAAAGCAAGUGGCACAGGUUUCCCAAGUCAACAGGCAAUUCAGAGAUAACUCAACCGAAAUCACAGUAGAAACUUCAAUUAAAUACACUCAACAUGAAUAAGCCAAGCAAGUGUCAUAGAAACUCCCCAAUUCAACAAGCAAUCACAGUAUUUCAGCUCACCCAAAAACUCAACAAUUCACCCAAAAGUUGAACAAAGGCCCCCAGCACUGACCCGUAGCAGGAGCCCCAAGAAGUGAACAAAUCAAGCAAUAGUAUUGGAAAACUCUGACAUUAACAACUGAAUCUCAAACUUCCAGCUUCCAAUCAGUUAGCCAAUAGAGUAGAAUUAAUCUAGUGGAGUCAAAACACCCAUAGAGUUGAUGAAACAAUUCUAACGGCUGACCCAAAGUAAUGAAAACUCCAACUUACAGUCAAAAGUAAACUCGGUCCAACUAAAAUUUCAACAAAUAUCCCCAGAAAUUUCAACAAAUGCUAUAGCAGAUCAAAGCAGUAGUAAAGCAAUAGUCCCAAGUAUGUACUAAUCCACCAGUUGGGAACCCCGGCCACUGAGGUCACAAACAAUGGUCCCAAAAAUAGCAAUAUUAACCAAUCAUCAGGAUGUGCCCAACAAUUAAACGAAAUUCUACCACCCUCACAAGCAAAUCAAGCAGCACAGGCUCCCAUUCAACAAACAAAAAAACAGGAUUAAUCAACUCAAAGUCCCAACAGAGAGUUCAAUUGAUUCCAAUCAUCAAUCCCAGCAACAUACGUUCCAAAUAAGCAAGCGGGUGUUAAGGAGAGGAGUACCAAAUUUCAAUUUCAGUUACUCCACCAGUACCACUGGUGUAGCAAAUAAUGGAAGAGGAAUCGCACACGACCAAUACCAAAUCACCGGUAAACCAAAAUAAAACUAACACUGCCAACACUUGAGAAUCGUAACAAUCAAAACACAAGCAAAGCUGCCUCCCAAUUAGCAAAUGACAAUUCACAAAUCCAGCCCACCCAAAAACUCGACAAAUGUACCCAAAAGUUCAACAAAUAUUCUCAAGAGUAUGGCAAACUAGGAAUGAACAAGAUCUGGGUCAAAUAUCACAACCAGUACCACUGGUUUACCACACAAUUGAAGAAAUAACCCCCAACGGCCAACAAUACCAAUUAUUGAGAAACCAGACAGCACCAAUGAAUAUUAAGAAAUUGGGGAAUAAAUUCCAAAUACCUCCACCGAAGAGAGUAGCGUGCGAGGUUGGCUGGGGCUGUUGGCAGCGUCCAAGUGCUUCGGUGGCGGCGUUGGCUCGCGAUGGAGUUGCGACGGAGCUGGCUAUGCGAGCAGAGAGGGACCAGCGAGCUAGAGUGGCGCGCGCAGACAGCGGAGGGAACUUCAGCAGCGGCUGCGGUGGAGAGGCGGGUGAGCUGUGAUGGCGGCGCGAGGGAGAUGGGCGGCGCUGCUGCGGUGAGAUCGAGCUGGUGGUGGCGCAAUCUGGCGUGCGGUGGUGGAGCUUCGUGCGCAGAGCAGCUGGGUUGCGCGCGAGGUAGAGCUCGGGUGGAGGUGGCGGCGGUAGCUCACGGUGGAGCUGUGGGCAGAGUGAGGGCCGCAAGGAGAGAGAGAGAGAUGGGAGGGGUUGCGGUUGAAACGAGGGUCGGCGGCGUCGCGCGUCGAGGUGGAGUGGCUUGCGGCGCGACGCUGGUCGCGCGAGGGGGUCGAUAGAGCUAUGGUGGAGAGAGGGAGGCGCGCGAGGGAGUCUCGGUCGACCCAGAGGAGAACUGGGGAGAGGAAAGAAAGAAGGAAGAAGAAGAAAGAAAGAAAGAAAAAGAAGAAAAAGAAAAGUUUUUUUUUUUUUUCAGGGAAAGACUCCCCUUUUUUUUUUCUCCUUGUUACUUACUUGAAAAAAUUUUUUUUUUUUAAAAAUUUUUUUCAUAUAUCAUCUUUUUUUUUUAUUGACAAAAUUUAUUUUUGGAAUUCAAAAGUAGAGAUUAACAGGAAAUCAAUAAUCGUUCUUGAGUUUCUUUGAAUACUUACCUUUCCCAUGAACGUGACGCGGCGCGUCAUGAGGGCAAGAGAGCUCCCAGAAGUUUCUGGUCGGGAGCUUCAUGCACGUCACCACGCGGGCGCGUCAUGACUGAAGGGCACCUAUAAAUCAGCAAAAACGAAAACUGAAACCCAAAAUCAGUCGAAUUCAAGGAGAGCACAUCUAAACUACCACACGAAAAUGAACAAACAAUUAAAAGGAACAAUUGGGUUGCCUCCCAAGGAGCGCCUUUCUUUAAUGUCUUUGGCUAGACAUUAUCGUGUUUUGCUCAUGGAGGAUAAAAUCUUGUGGCUCGUCUUACUGCUUCAUCCUCUAUAUAGUCCCGAUAACCCUCGUAAAUAGAAUAAUCCUUGAGCACACGAGCUACGGGCUUCCAUGGACUAGUGAAUGACGCCAAACGAGUCGAUGAUAAUUUACAUUCUCCAUUCGCUCCUCCCCACUUGCAUUUAUUGGUUCAAGAUAUCUCACCAUCGCCACUCUUAAUUUAUUCCUGUCAUGAAAUUCAAAAUUGUCUGGUAUAAUAAAGUCAAUUUCGUUAACAGGAAUUGAAGAGUAAGAGUCAGGAGAAUAUUGAUGAAGGAGUGGAGGAGAUGUCACCGCAUUUGGAGAUUGUUCACUGGAUUCUUUCACUUGAAUGGGUUGCGGUUGGGGUUCCAUUUCUUCUUUUUCAGCUUCUUUUUCAACUGCAUCUGUAGAUUUCUCAUUUUGACACUCUUGCAUCUCCUCAUCACUAGUCAAGCAAAUUGCACUCUCACUUUCUUCUAGAUCAACAAUGGUUUUCGAGGGCAAUUCUUCCAUUUAAAAGCCAAUUGAUUCAUUCUGGAUGUCAAUAGGCAUAGUUGAUCUGCCAGAUAACUCAUUGCAUCUUUCGUCAUCUCAUUCCUCAUUUGUGUCUCCUGUUGGAAUUUGUAUGUAUUAAUAAAUAAUUCACCCAAUUCCUGAAAAGACAUACCUGACAUGGACGAUGGUUGUUGAGACUCUUGCUGUUGAAAAUCCAUUGGCCCUGUUGUAUAAUCAUAACUGGAGUUAUCCCACCAUCCUUGAUCAUACCCGUUUGGAUUAGAGUUAUACCACGUUUGAGACCAGGGUGAAAAAUCUCCAUAAUUUUUGAGUGGGACACUCAGAUUAUCCUGAUAUUCGGGGCACAUACCUGUUGAAUGAUCCCUGGCAUAACAAAUUUUACAGGUUGCAGCAGCCAUUCUUUUUCUAAUAGAUUUUAGUGCCUCUGUAUAUGCAAACUCAGGAAAAAAACAAAUCUCAUCGCCUUGCCCGGAAAUAAAAUCCAAUACAUCACCAAAAUACGGAGUGUUAGAAGCCAUGAACUAUAUCAAAAAAAAAUAAGAGAAAAAAUAAAUAAAAAUGAAAACAAAAUGAACUCAAAAGGAAACAAAUUAAUCUGACACCAGUCCCCGGCAACGGCGCCAAAAAUUGACAGGUGCCGAACUGUGCAAUAAUAAAUACCUGCUCAAACUAAAAAUAAUUUCUGUAGAUAGUGGUGAGUAGGGUCGAAUCCACAAGGACUGGGAGUAAUUGUUUCUUUCCAAGUUCACAAUGACAAGGGGUGUUUUUGUGCAGAAAGUGACAAUCAAACAAAUUCAAAUAAAAUCUAAGAAACUACUAAAAAUUAAAUAACAAAUUACUAAAAUCAAAUGAAUGAUAAUUAAGAAUCUAGCCAAGGAAUAACUUCAGCAAUGGUUCACCUAAUUGAUCAUCGAUAAGCAAAGGCAAUUCUAAUUAUUUACUAAUAAAUAGGUUAUAACUACCAAACAAGCAAUGGCAGUCAAACCCUCCUUACUGUGUCGGUGAUCAAGGUACGCCCGUUAAUCACUGCUCUAAUUGAGAAAUAAUUCUAGGUACGCUCGUAGAAUUUAAUUCCCCAAUUGCCUUACGUAUUAAAGGAGCCCUAUUCUAACCAAAUAACGCACUACCAGGGUUAUUUUAGAUUAGCCCGCGUAUUCCCCUGACACAAACCUAAUCAUGCCAGUUGUCACUAUUUUAGAGCAAUUAAACAAUUACGGAUUUCACCCUAAUUGACAAUAGAUUAUCAAAUCAAUUAAUUAUCCGGAUCCAAGACAAUCAAUUAAUCAAAUAAUCAUAAGCACUGCAACCAAGGAAUAUGCGAAUAUCAAUAAAUAAAAGAAAAAGAUUAAAUUAAAUCGAUCUCACAAUUUUAGGCGACCCAAAACAUCCGUUGCUCCUUGACUAGAAAAAGGAAUUUAGUUCAUAGUUAAUGAACAAAAUCCACAGGAAAUAAAAACAAGAGUCGCGGCCAUGGUCUGCGUCUUGGAAAAGUCCAAUUCGCUUCAGGAAAGGAAAACGAGGCUACAAAAGGUGAUUGCUUGUUACUAAUUCUUCCUGACAUACGCAGGGGAAAGGAACUACUACCAACCAAAAGAAAAGUCAAAGCUCAAGACUAUACUACAAGACGAAAAAACUAAAGAAGACCAGAGGAUAGUGCUCUCCUCCUGCAAUCUUAAUUCCUAUUCUAUUUGCUACUCCUCCUGUCGGCGUCCGCCGCACCAGAGAAAAAGAAGACUCUGAGGUUUGCUUUCCUUUCCCUUUUUCUAGUUGCUGUCUUCGGUCAAAAUUACCAAAAAGGUCAUGCAUCUCCUUGUUCCAAGAAUGCCCUUGAUUGCCUGCUAUUUGAACUCUUUCCCGAUGACCGUCAAAUUGGCCUUGAUUGUGCCAUUUUUAUUCUAUUCCCUGAAAUAAAUGCAAAUUACGAAAAGUGAGUAGAAUCUAAUAAUUAAUUCACAUUGGGUUAAGUAAUAGGGGAAAUUAAUUAUAAAAUAAAUGAUAAAAUUACAACCUAUCAGUUUAUUAUGUGAUUUUAAAGUUUAUACCUUGGGUUUGGUUGAACUUUCUAUGAUUGUUAGUGUUUAUUAUUUGGUUAUUUGAUUGCUAUGAUUUGAGCAAGUUAUUUAGCACUUUGGUUCUUUAAAUCAUGAUUAAUCUGGUACCAUUGAUUGUGAUUAUCUAAGGUGUUGUUUCUGCAAUGAAAAUUGAGAUUUAACACUAGUUCAAGAAGUGCUAAACAUAGGGAGUACACGCACGAAAGUAGAGGUGCACCUAUGUGGUUUUUAGUGAUUCAUUUCAUGUAAUUUCAUUGAAGAAUGAACUUGUAGCUAAUUUCAUAACCAUGAGAAUAGGUAUGGAUUAGUUAUAAGUAUAAUUGAUUCACUAUGAAAGUAGGAUUCAAAUACAUAAGGAAAUUACACCAUAACUAGCCUAGAUGUAGUACUCAAUGAUCCAAAUAUAGCACUUGUAUGAGUAGUUAGGGAUACCACAACCUAAGGAGCUUUUAUUUGUUAUUUCAAUAGGUUAAAUUUGUUAUAAUUCAUUGAUAGUCUAAAUAAUAGAGAAGCUUUAGUAAUAUCGGUAAUUGUUCACUCUUUCCUGUGGGAUCUACCCGAUAUAUACCCUAAACUAUUAGUUGAUCUGUAUACUUGCAGUGAACGGGUGUAAUUCGGUUUUUUUUAACUUGUACGUAUGUAAAAUACCCGUCAAGUUUUUGGCGCCGUUGCCGGGGAAGAUUUGGCAAUAUCGGUGUGAAGAGCAACUUUAUUAGUUUAGACAUUUCAUUAGUCAUAGUGUGAAUGUUAUUUUCUGCUAUUUUUGUGUUUUAUGUGUGUAUGUGUUUCAUUACCUAUUUUUCUUACUAAUUUUGCUUUUGAGGUUGUUUAAAAGCAAUUUUAGGUGAUGAGAAGGAUAGGUCAAUUUGGAGGACAAUGCUUGAGAAAUGAAAGUUUGGCAAUGGAUGGUUACCAAGUGCAAAGCUCCUUCAACAGAGGUAAUCAAGAAUUUACUGAAUGUAUGUCUUUUGAAGAUGGUUUAAGGUGCUUAAAGGCUAAAUUUGAUGUUAUGAUGUUACAAGUUCAAAUGGACACAAUUAUGCAUGAAAUUGAGAAAGGGAGGAAUGUUAAUGCUUUUAAUUCUUAUCAUGUGAUUUGUGACUUGUGUGGAGGUUAUCAUGCUUCUAAUACAUGUAGACAAGCACAAAAUGUGGAUUAUUUUGAUGAAUUAGAGCAUUACAAUCCUUGUUUUGAUCAAUAUAGUGCUAAUUGGAGCAAUUCUCCUACUUAUGGUUGAGAUAAUCAAUGUACAUAUAGUGAUUAUCCAUAUUUUUAUAAUUACCAACCUGAAAGUAUCCAAUAUGAAUCAAAACCAUCUUGGGAGUUGGCAAUAGAGAAGUUAGCUAAUGCACCUCUACCUUGGGAGUUAGAAAGUAAACCAUUAGCUAAUGACUCUAAUGCAUCUUGGGAGCUAGCUGUAGAAAAUUUUUCUAAUUAAUUUGAUUCAACAAUAGAAAAGCUAGCAAACGCAACUUCCGACCAUUUUGAUAGGAUUGAGGAAAGAAUAGAUGAAUUAGCUUCUCACUUUGGUAGAAUACAUGAGCAAUUGAAUGUAUUGUGUGAAGUUAUUUCCUCUAAUAAUUUGCAAAAUGAUCCUAGCAUGAAUGGUGGGAAUGUUGUAUGUGAAAAUGGGUUGUAUAUUGACGAAAAUUAUGAAUCUCAAGUGUGUUUUAAUGAGCAAAUAUCCAUUUCACAUGAUAAUAUCUUUGGAACUAACUUUGAGCCUCAAGAGGUGAGUUUUAAUGACUCAUUUUUCACCUCUCUUGAGGAGUGCAGUGAAAGUAUAGGUUCUAAGGGUAUUGCUGCCCAAGAUACUCUCACGGCAUUUCAUUUGGUAAGUUCUCAAGUGGUGCAUAUUCAAGGUAAUAUCUAUGAAACACUUGGAUAGGUAAGUCACUUCCAUCUCUCACAUUAUUAGAUCAUGUGACUUUUGUUAUAAAGUCACUAUUUAAUGAUCCACUACGUCCUAAAAUGGUGGAUUAUUCUUUAACUAAACCUCCUUGAAAAAUGAGGUGAAAUAGUCAAGCUAAUGACUGUAAAGAAGCGCUUGUUGGGAGGCAACCCAGCGAUUUCUUGAUUUUAGUAAGUUUUAGUUGUUUAACUAGUGUUUUUGUGUGUUUUGUAGGUGGUAAUGACAAGGGUUCAUGCAAAUGAUCUCAAUGACAAAAGUGUCAAUAUUGAGGCAAAAAGGAAGUUUUCAUGUUCAAUUGAUGCAUUUCAUGCAUUUAAAGUGUUUCAUGUUAAAGUUACAUUCAUGCAUGAUCAUGUAUUUUCAAGUGUAUUUGGUUUAGAAAGACACAUUUUCAAUGUUAAACUUGGAUUUUAUUCAAAGAACAUGAAAGUAGGUGGAAUGCGGAAGAUUGGCCAAGCAAAUUUGGAGGAAAAACUGCAGAAAACAGCUUUUUCUGUAGCAAAUCCGGCCAUAAAUCCGGCCAAAUAUUGGCCGGAUUGAAGAACAGAUAGUCAGGGGAGAAAGAAAAAUUUUUUCGGACUCACUAGCUAGAAUCCGGCAAUAAAUCCGUCCGGAUUGUAAAAAAAAAAAAAAACUUAUUGUAGCAAUCCGGCCAAGAAUUCGGCAGGAAAUCCGGCCAUAAACUACUGGAUAUGCAACAGGAAAAAAAAAUUCUGCCCAGAAUCCUUCCAGCAACCCAUCCACGAAUCUCUCCAAUUUUUGGCCGGAUUGUGAACAGUAACCAGCGUAAGAUGAAUCCGUUUCACGGAUUCCUCACAAUUUUUCUCCCUUCUUCUUCAACCCAACUCAUACACUAACACCUCAAACACGUACCACUCACUAAAACACCACUUUUCACCAUUUAAUCUUCAAAUAACCUUCACCAAAUCACUUUCUCCCAUCCUCUAGAGUGAAUUUCAUAGUUCAUAUUUUUUCAAAAACAACUCUAAAGUGGUUUCAAGCUUACCAUUAGUUAGGGUUCUACCUUCUUGAAAUCACUCAAUCGAGGUCAAAUUGGAGUAAGUUUCUUGGGGUUUUCACAUCAUAUUCAUCUCUAAACAUCACCAAAGCACCUUGAGGUAACAAAUCUUCACCUAACUUUGUUAUUUGAAUUUUGCCAUGAUUAAAUAUUUUCUAUUUUUAGGCAAUUUUUAAUAUGUGAAGUUAGGUGCAUUUAUUUGAGUUUAUUGAUGCUAUUGGUGAUUGUAAGUGAUAAAUAUAUGUUGUGAUUUGCAUUUAUUGUAUUUAUUUGGUGAAUUCUUGCUAGUUUAUGCUUAAUUUGGCUUGGUGACGAAGUUGCAUAUUAAGUGGCCAAUGUAGCAUUUUAAUUAGUUUAGUGGGAGUUUUUGAUAUUCAUGUGAGUAAUUUAGAUUACCUAAUGAAUGAAAAGAUGCUUGGUUGAAUGAUUUCUUAAAUUCUUGGGUAAUUCUUAAAGAAAAGGUGAAUUGAAGAUGGCCUUAAUUUAUGAAAUUCAUAAAUGCACUUAUAAUCUUUGUGGUUCAAUGGUUUUUAGUAUUUCAUGAAUUCUCACGAAGGUCAUCUAUGAUUUGUUUUGGUGUGUUUGCCUUUAUUUUGAGAUUACUUUUGUACUUGAGGGGACUUGAUCAUUGAUGACAAAAUGUAUGAAUAGAACUUAUUUUGUUCAUGAUUGUGCAUUUAUUGUGUGAAAUUAGCUUCCAUUUUGUAGACACCAAAUUUUUAAGAUAUUUUGUUUACUAUUAUUUUUAUUUUUGAUUAAUUUCAUUUACUUUUAAUCUUUUAUUUUUAAGUCAUUUUAACACCAUUUAAUUGUUAUUUUGUUUGUUUCGAUUCUAGGUUUUUGAAAAAGAAAAGGAAAAAAAAGAAGAAGAAAAAGGAAAAAAGAAAAAUCAAUCGAAGGGACAAGAAUAAGACACAUAAGCCUGCUUUGGGGUUUGAAAUCUUGGCCUUUCAAGUUAGGUUUAGUCCUUGGAGAUGCCUUUAAAAUGAGAGGAAAGUCAAGAAAAAGGGGGAUGCUAGCCACGGCUGAGGGAGGAAAAACGCAAGGCCAAAAGCAGAGGAGGGCGGCGAAAAGAAAAGAAAAACCGGGAGAGAGGACCUGUCGCGCCCCACUUUUUGAAGGUGUGAAGGUAGUGUGUGGGAUAUGUAUGUGAACGUGUGUAAAAAUGAAAAUAAAAGGCCGUGGGAUUGUAAAAUGCGACGGUUUGGCCAAACAAAGUUCAAAAAGGAUUUUUGAAUGGAAAAUGGAGUCGCCACUUGGUAUAGAGUUAGGGUGUACCAAGUCACCCAAAAAUGAUUUUUGGAAAAAAAAGCAAACAAACCCUUUUUAAAGAACUUUUAGGUCUACGUAACCAAAGAAAGGGAUCGGGGGUCACAUUUGAUAAGGGAGAAGGCAAAGGCAAAGCCUAAGCACUCCUUUACCCUAGCCAAAGCUAGUUGCGUGACUCAGCCCCACUUUUCCUAAUUCUUCCUCUACCCAAAGUAUGCGUUGCAUGUCGGAUGUGACUAAUGGAUAUGACAAAAAUGCAAUCCUAAUUCUAAAAUGUCUCUUAUGAGGCUUCUUGGUUCUAAUCACAUGAGUUGUGAUGGUCAAUAAGGAAAACUCUCAUAGAGGUCACGGGUAAUGCAAAUGAAGACCCAAAUAUGAAUGCAAGUGUGAAAAAUGUAAGAGGAAUGCAAAAUAAGAUAGAAAUACAAAUGUAAGUGCAAGUGUGCAAAUGUAAGAAAAGUGCAACGUGUGCAAAUGUAAGAAAAGUGCAUGUGUGCCAAUUGAGAAAAUGAAGGUGUUUGUGUGCAAGUGGAUGAAAAUAUGGUAUAAAUAGUAGUAAAUGCGUAUAAGUGCAAUUGGGUGCAAUUUGUGAGGUAGAAUAUAAAUGAGUGAUAGGGAGAGAAGAGAAAUGUGAACAUGGCAUGUGGAGUGAGAAAAAUAUAAGUAGUGGGAAAAUGUAGAUAAAGAAAGUGAGGAAGUGAUAUGAUAAAAAUGAGAGUGUAUGAACCUAGAGGAAUGCAUCAAGUCGGGUACGGGAAUGACUUCUAACUUCAUGAUUUUAAUUUUCCUUUGAUUAGAAGGAAGAACUAGCGUGCUAAGGCUAUUUUGUAGCCACACUCGCUCGUUUCCCUUACCUAAAGGGGACCCUCAAGCAAAUGUACCCUAUAACUUGCAUGAAGAUGCAAAAGCCUAAAAUGAAAGGGAAAGGAUUGGAGGAGCAUGCCAAAUGCUAGAAAACUAAGAAAAAUGCAUGAAAUGUAGUGAAACAUGCAAGUAUGAACUAGCGAGGGAAAUCCCUAAGGGUCUAGCGUUGGACUAGCCCAUAUCUAUGAAUUCCUACUAGCGUUGGACUAGUGGAAAACGAGACAAUGAGCCACAACUAGCAUUGGACUAGUGUGGUGACGUGCAUUCAUCCAUUACAUUCAUCUAUGACUAUAGAAAGCAAGUAGACAUGCCAAUCACCUAUAAACACGUAACACAUAACACUUAGCAUGCUCGACUAAAUGCAAGAGCCUAAUAAAGCAAAUUAACACGUAGCAACAAAAGUAAGCAAUCAAUCUAAUGAACCUAUUGCAUUUUGCUAACUAAAACAAAAGGGGAAGAGGAAAAUGGACAAAAACUCUCUCCAAACCCUAUCUAUUACAAGCCAAGAGGUGUACACAUACCCCAUAAAGAAUAACUUAAUGAAAGCAAGCAAAAGUAAAUGAAAUAAAUGAAAGGAAUUAAGGAAAGGCAAGGAAAGCAAAGUAGACAUGUAAUUCUCACUUAACACGUUAGAUCACAUAGGAGAGACAAAAAAAGGAUAAAAGAAGUUAUACCUCCCCCGUUUGUGGUGCUAAUAAAGUGAACAAGACUUAACUUGGGCUAUGGUCACCAAAGGAAGAGAUAAUUUGGGCUAAAACUAUCAAAACAAGGGAUUAAUGCAUCACUUUAAUUAACAAAAUCUCCAGGAAAAGAAUAAAUAUGAAAUUGAAUAAUUAAACAAAGCAUUCAAGGAAGUUAAACAACCCCUAUUCAUCCAAUUAAACAAACAAAGAUCCAUUUAAAGAAUUAAAGAAUAUUCAAGGGAUCAAUUUAUUAUUACUAUAAAAUAAAAUAAAAUUAAGGACCUAAGGUGAGACCCCAAAUCAAAUGAUAAAAAUCACAUAAAAACAAAUAAAAACCGAUUUGCUAGGAUUAAACAAUAAAGAAUCCGAAUUAAAGUCAUAAGUCUCUUAAAAGCUAAUGAAACCUCAAAAUCUCAUCCCAAAAAACUCAUGCAUGUUCUGUUCAAUAAUCCCAUGAAAGCAAAUCAAGGAAAAAUAACAUGUUAAAGGGGUCAAAUUGGUUGAUUCUCCCAAUUAUUUGGGCCACAGGGGAACAAAGGGAGACUUGGGGGUUAAAGUGCUAAAAUCAGAAGUUAUUUUCAUGCAAAACAUGCAGCUACGUAUGGCUUAAACUUCUGCAACUAAAAAAUGAAACAUGCUUCCUUUUGUUUCCAAGCUUGCUGCAAUUUUCUUUUUUUUUUUUUUUUUUUUUUGCAAGUACAUAUCAACCUCAACACCAAUUGUGAUCAAAACCUUUCAACCAAACAUCCAAAAACUAAUCUAAGCAUCAUAACACACAAUUUCAACAUUCAAACAAACCAAAACAUAGAAGACAAAAUAUGCCAAUGCUGGAAAAUUCUAUGCAAAAGGUUCGGCAAUCCUGACUUGUUCCUUUUCAGCAAGCAUUCGAUCAUAGCUCAAGUAUUUUUAGACCCAUACUUGCAAACUCAAUUCACUCAUCCAAUUUCCUUUUUCAACACAAGAUUAAAUAGCAAAGUAGGUGAUGAAACCCACUUAGUGGACUGUUGCGAAAAAAAGAAAAAUCAGUAGGACAUAAGAAUGAACGCAGCUUUCUAUUUACUUUAGCCUGGAUAUAUUCUGCAAUUUUCUAACACUUUCCAUUAAACCAGCCUAGGGAAAACUUGCAUAUUUUAGCUACAACCUCCCAUCCAGUACAUCAUGCAAACGAAUUAACCAAAUACCAGGAUUUUAACUAUCAAUUAUCAAUUAAAAACAAAACACGAGAUGUUGUUGCAGGAUUCAAGCCAAGAAAUUGAAUUGACCGACAGAAAAAUGAAAACGCAGCAAGGUUUCUCUGCAAUUUUCUUGUCCAUCACACCCCAAAGCCAAAGCUUCCAAACCAUGUUAUUAACGCUGCCCAUAUGCAACAGCCUCUACCUAAAAGACCCAGACCGAACACAUGAAAGCAAACAAGAUGCUCAGAACAACACUUGCAACCUACGGGCCAUCCUCAUUCAGUUACAUGGAGAAACAAAACACGAAAAAGCUGAUGGCUUUUCGGUUCACAAGCUCUCAAACACAUGAAUUCAAGACAUAGCUAUGGCAGCCAAAAGACUUAGCCUUUUUACUCACAAACAAAGCCACAGAUUCAUAGUGAACAUGAAACAAGAAAGAAGGAAAAAGUAGACAAUAAAACAGCAGAUAUUCCAUAGGCAAGGAUGCGUUAAGAUAUACUGAAAUUUAAAGGACAAGACUGACUUACAGUGCUCGUGCCUUCUCCCUUGGUGAAGAUUUGCGAUUGAUGACGGCGUGAUAAAGUGAUCACAGCUUCUCGUGAGGGUCAGCAGCUCCCCUUUUUCCUUCGUCUGUUUUCCUAUCCAAAGCUUCCUGCUUCAGCUCCCUUUCUCCCGCAACUCCUCCUUCCGGUCUUAGUCUUCCCUCUUUCUAUUUUCUUUUCCUUUCCUAGCCGUCACUCCUCCCUCCUUUCAUUUCUCUCUUUUCCGUCAAAAACCUCUCAGCCGUUGUCACCCAAAAACUUUCCCUCAGAAUUUUUCUCAGUUCCAGCCGCCCCUCUCUCUCUGUUGUCAGCCGUUCCCUCUCCUUGGUUUUCUUUCCUUUCUUCAGAUUUGAAGCCGUCACUCGAUACCCCUAAAAGCUGCGUUUCUUGUUCUAUUUAUACCAGAAACCUGCUCUCAAACCCUUACCUGAAAGGUGAGGAUGAGAGCGGAGGUUUUACUGGGCAUCUUAGAGCCCUCCGAUGCCAGCCACAUUUUUCCUGAAGAUGCCGCUGCAUGCGGCUCUUUUUUUUUUUUUUUUAAAAGUAAUUUAACAAAAUUGAUAAUAAAAUUAAGUAAAAAAACAACAAUUUAAUAACAUCGAAAAUAAAAAACUAGAAAUAAUAAACAGCAAAGUUGCAAUUUUUUUCAUUUUUCUUUUUGUUUCUUCAUUUUUUCUUUUUUUUCAUCAUUUUUUAAAGAAAACAUUAAGCCUAUUUUUCCCAGAACCUGUUAAAUAGCCUGAAACCCGCUUGCGGGUUUCCCCUCUUUUUUUUUUUUACUUUUUCAAUAAAAGAAAUAGAACAUAUUUUUCCCCAAUUUUCAAUUUUUUUUUUUGGCAAAACUUAUGCCUAAAGUCUUAUAAUAAAUAAAUAAAUAGCUAAGAGAGCCCAAAAUGAAUACAAAAUAAAAUAAAGUAAAAAUAAAAUAAUAGAUAACAAUAAUCUAAGAAAUACUAAAGUGCUAUAUAAAUGCUAAAAGUCUAAGAACCAAAAAUCAUGGAAUUAACAAAAUUAGGACAAAAAAUCUUUAAAAAUUUGGUGUCUACAGUUUGCCCCUCUUUGUCUGAGUUUUGGAAAAACUUGAGACAAAGAAGUAGACACCAAAUACUUACCUGCGUUAUUUGGCCGCAAAAUGAUUCCAACGAACAGGAAUUUAAAACGGGACUGACCCGAACAGAAAUUUGAAACGGGACUGGCCCGAACAAGAAAUUUAAAAAGGGACUGAGCCGAACAGAAAUUUAAAACGGGAUUGCCCGAACAAGAAAUUUAAAACGGGAUUGACCCGAACAAGAAAUUUAAAACAGGAUUGACCCGAACAGAAAUUUAAAACGGGAUUGACCCGAACAGUAAUUUAAAACGGGAUUGACCCGAACAGGAAAUUUAAAACGGGAUUGACCCGAACAAAAUUUAAAACGGGAUUGACCCGAACAGGAAUUUAAAACGGGAUUGACCGAACAAGAAAUUUAAAACGGGAUUGACCCGAACAGAAAUUUAAAACGGGAUUAACCCGAACAGGAAAUUUAAAACGGAUUGACCCGAACAAGAAAUUUAAAACGGGACUGACCCGAACAGGAAAUUUAAAACGGGACUUCACUGAGGAGUUUAAACAAUGAAUUGAGUUUUUACCUGGGAGUGGUUCAAACUUUUUGUACCAAGAGGGAGAUUUGAUCUCUGUGCUGAAGCAUAGCUGAUGUUGUUUCUUAUGAUCAAACAUUAUCACUUCGUCUUUGCUUACUGGGGAGCUUUUUCUGACAUCGAUUUUGGUGCGAAAAGGAGAGUGGUUGUUUUCGUUUGUAAACGCAACGUUCCUGCAAGAAAAGAAGAAAUAAUGGACUUGCCACCAUCAUUUGAUCCGGUUUGCCUUGAGAAUCGUGUAAACAUGAGUCUUGUGAUGCUUUUGCCUCUGUUCUGCGGCGUUCUUAGUCGAACUUGUAAUUUUGAAACCUUUCAAUUUCUGAGACUGAUAAAGUACGUAUUUACCACGUCACCAAAUCUAUGUAGCAGCUUUGUUGCACUUUACCCACUUUAAUAGAUGAUUGAAUCCCCUAUCCUUGCACAAACCUAGGGUUUAUCAUCCAUUCGAAUCCAAUGGUGAAAGAAUGAUGCAUAAAAAUUUGUCAUAUAAAAAUCAAUGAUAUAUGCAAGAUGAUUUCCUAUGUCAGGCAAAGAUGAGCAUGCAAAAGAAUGCAGACAACCACAAGCAGUCGAACGCAAAUAAUCGAGAGAAACCAAGAGGUUUAUAAAGAUACAUUUUGCAAAAGAAUAUUGUAAAGAAAAAUCAAAUUUGGCCAACGAAUAUCAUAUUCAAGACUUUGGAUAUAUUUGCUUCGGAAUUCGAUACUGGCAGAAGUAUCACAAUCAUGAGGAAAGUCAAUGAACCAGGUCACCAGCUGUUCCUUCUCGUGCUCGUCUUGUUGAGAAAACCUGCCUUGGCGCCCUUUCGGGUUUUCACCAAGGUUGCCCCCACCCUUUUUGUUUUUUUUUUGUCUCUUUUUUUCUUUUUUCUUUCUUUUUUUCUUUUUUUCUUUUCUUUCUUUUUCUUUUUUUUCGAGGCGCCCUUUCGGGUUUUCACCUAAAGAACAAUGAAAUAUCUCGACCAUGAUCGACUCAGAAAUAUGAGUUAAAGAUUUCAGGCAUCAGUAAAAUGCACUUCCCUUGUAAGAUUAGGCGAAGGCAUUACGGACAUCACUUGCCAGUUGAUUAACAAAUUUCCUAAUAGAAAUGCAACAAGUGACGAAAGCCAGGACUUUGGGCUUUGUAAUGAGGUCAGGUGGGGUGUUUUUCAAGAAAAGUUGAGGCUUGAAAGCAAAUUUUGAUGCGAGGUGUGAAAUAACUUGAGAUUGCACUAUUUUGAAAUCGUUUCCGAUUUUGAACGAAACUGAGGAAAAUUUGCCCCAGUUUGAUCGGAUUUUCUCUCUUUGCAUUUUCUUCAUUGCAUUUUCCUCACUUUUGCAUUUUUUUUUUUAAAAACUAAAUUUGCCCCAGUGUGGGUUCUCUUUUCUUUUUGAUCAUCUCUCUUUCAAAAUAAAUUUGUCCAGUGUGGGGUUUGCAAUUCUCAGGGUUAUCAAGCGAAAAUUUGUCAAUUCUGAUGGCUCAAAGGGGACAAGUAGAGAUAAAAUGUUUUAAGUGUAAAAGAAGAUGGCCUGACUUGCAUUUCGCCGUUUGUAUGAAUUUCUAAAGAAAAUUUGCAUGAUCAAAUGAAAAACUUCUUGCACAUGUCUGAGUUGAUGGGUUGAGGGAAUGUUCGUCCAUCCAUUUCUGCCAAAAUAAGUGCUCCGCCAGGUAAUACCUUUUGGACAAUGAACGGCCCUUGCCAAUUUGGAGCAAAUUUGCCUUUAGCUUCAUCUUGCAUUGGCAAAAUUCGCUUUAGUACUUUGUCACCUUCUUCGAAUGCACGCCGAUGGACUUUUUUGUUGUAAGCCCGGGCCACACGUUUCUGAUAGCACUGACCAUGACAGAUAGCAUUGACGCCUUUUCAUCGAUCAAAGUCAAUUGCUCAUGGCGCUGCUUUAUCCAAUCAGCCUCCUCCAAUUUAGCUUCCAUGAGGAUUCGUAGCGAAGGAAUUUCAACUUCAGCUGGUAAUACAGCUUCCAUUCCAUACAUGAGUGAAUAUGGCGUUGCCCCAGUCGAUGUCCGGAUAGAAGUCCGAUACGCCAUUAAUGCAUAAGGCAACUUUUCAUGCCAAUCGCGAUGCCUUUCAGUCAUUUUACGGAUAAUCUUCUUCAAAUUCUUGUUUGCGGCUUCUACAGCUCCAUUCAUCUGAGGCCUAUAAAUGGCAGAGUUGCGGUGUCUGAUCUUGAACUGCUCGCAUAGUCCAUCUACCAUGUCAUUGUUCAGAUUCUUGGCAUUGUCUGUAAUAAGCGUUUCGGGUACUCCAAAGCGACAGAUGAUGUGAUCUCUCAAAAAUUGGCAACUACCUUCUUCGUUACAUGUUUGAAUGACUCCGCUUCAACCCAUUUGGUAAAGUACUCAAUUGCCACCAAUAUAAAUCGAUGUCCAUUUGAAGCGGGAGGAUCAAUUGUACCAAUCACGUCCAUACCCCACAUUGAACAGGGCCAUGGGGCGAUCAUACUAUGCAAUUCAGUGGGCGGAGCGUGUAUAACGUCACCGUGCAUUUGACAUUUUAUAUCUCGGACAAAAUCUAUACAAUCACGCUCCAUAGUAAGCCAGAAGUAUCCGGUUCUCAUGAUUUUCUUUGCUAGCAAAUGGCCAUUCAUGUGAGGUCCACAAACGCCACUAUGCACUUCUUUCAUCAUAUAUUGAGUUUCGUCUUCAUCAACGCACCUUAAGAGGUUCAAAUCUGAGGUUCUUUUGUACAAAACUUCUCCACUCAAGAAAAAUUUUGAAGCCAUUCUACGCAGAAAACUCUUGUCCUUUGUACUAGCAUGCAGAGGGUAAGACCCAGUUUUGAGAAACUCCUUAAUAUCAUUAUACCAAGGAAUAUUGUCAGAGGACUUGUCUACAACCCAACAGUGGGCAGGCUUGUCUUGAAGUUGAAUCUGAAUAGGUUCGAUCCUCAAUUCAUCUGGAUACUGGAUCAUAGAAGCUAAGGUGGCCAAAGCAUCAGCAAAUGCAUUUCGGGCUCGCGGGAGAUGUCUGAACUCCAAAUUUUGAAAUUGCUUGGCCAGAGUGAGCAAACUACAAUGGUAGGGCAAAUUUUUGAAUCUUUGGUUAUCCACUGCUUCAAGGUUUGUGCACGAGCAAAUCUGAAUCACUGAAAGCUAUCAACUCUUUGAUUUCCAUUUCUAAAGCCAUUUUGAGACCAAAAAUGCAGGCUUCAUAUUCAGCCAUGUUGUUUGUGCAAGCAAAUUGCAAUUUGGCAGCAGUAGUGCUUCCCUUCGGGUGAAACCAAAACAGCUCCAAUUCCAGCUCCGAGAGAAUUCGAAGCUCCAUCGAAGAAAAGCCUCCAUUCAGAGCUUUGCUCACUUAUAUCGUCUGUGGCGCCUACAAAUAAGACUUUCUCAUCAGGGAAAUAAGUAUGAAGUGGUUGAUAAUCAUCAUCCCUUGGAUUUUCUGCCAAAUGAUCAGCUAUAGCUUGCCCCUUGACAGCCUUCUGUGAAGUGAAAACAAUAUCGAACUCUGAGAGAAUUAUCUGCCAUUUAGCCAGACGUCCAGUUAGCAUCGGCUUCUCCAAGAGAUACUUCAAAGGAUCAGAUCGGGAAAUAAGAUAAGUGGUAUGGCUCAACAGGUAGUGUCUCAGCUUUUGAGCUGCCCAGGCCAAUGCACAGCAGCUUUUCUCAAUGAAUGAAUAAUUAGCCUCAUACUGCGUGAACUUCUUGCUUAGAUAGUAAAUGGCUUGCUCCUUCCUUCCAGAGUCAUCAUGCUGCCCGAGGACACAACCAACUGCUUCUUCAAGCACAGAUAGGUACAUGAUUAAUGGUCGACCCGGCUUGGGUGGCACCAAGACUGGCGGAUGUAACAAAUAAUCCUUGAUCUUAUCAAAAGCUUGUUGGCAUUCUUCACUCCAGUACAAUGGCACAUUCUUUCUCAACAAUUUGAACAACGGCUCGCAUGUGGCAGUUAACUGGGCAAUGAAUCUCCCAAUAAAAUUGAUCUUUCCUAAGAACUUUUCACGUCCUUCUGAGUUUUCGGCACUGGCAUAUCUCGAAUUGCUUUGAUUUUUGCUGGAUCUAUCUCUAUGCCUCUUUUACUGACAAUGAAGCCCAACAAUUUACCAGCUGGUGCCCAAAGGCGCACUUUGCAGGAUUUAGUUUCAAAUUGUACUUUCGCAACCUUUCGAACAGCUUCUUCAAAUCAACCAAUGGUUCUCUGCCCUUUUAGACUUGAUUAUGAUGUCAUCCACGUAGACCUCCAUCUCCCGGUGGAUCAUAUCAUGAAACAGGGUGGUCAUGGUCUUUGAUAAGUAGCUCCGGCAUUCUUUAGACCAAAUGGCAUCACUCGGUAGCAAAAUGUGCCCCAAGGGGUGAUAAAAGCAGUCUUCUCCCUAUCCUCUUCUGCCAUCAAAAUCUGGUGGUAUCCAGCGCGAAACAAUCACAAAAAGAUUCAAUCUCAUGCCCAGCGGUAUUGUCCAGGAGAAUGUGAAUAUUUGGCAGAGAAAAUCAUCUUUAGGACUGGCCUUAUUGAGGUCUCUAUAAUCAACACAAACUCGCACCUCUCCAUUCUUUUUUGGAACAGGGACUGGAUUCGAAAGCCAAAUAGGGUAAUGGGAAACAAUGAUAAUGUUGGUUUUGAGCUGUUUUUCAAUUUGCUCUUUAUUUUGAGGCUCAUAUCUGGUUUGAAUUUUCGGUUUUUGUUUUACGGGUGGAAAAGUAGGGUCUGUGGGCAACUUAUGCACUACCACAUCAGUUGAAAUACCAGUCAUAUCAUCAUAGGACCAUGUGAAUACAUCCUGGAACAUAGUCAAAAAUUCAAGCAUCUCCUUUUUCUGCCUCUCAUUCAAAUGAAUACUAAUUUGCACCUCCUUAACUUCAUCUUUAGUGCCAAUGUUAACCUUUUCUGUUUCUUCCAGGUUCGGUUUUGGUUUCUCCUCAUAUUGUUCAAAGUCCUUUGCAAAAGAAUCGAAUACCUCCUCAUUAUCACUCUCGCUUUGGAGCUCGGAUUCCCAGACCUCCAAGUCGUGAGUGAUAUAGAGAUUGCCAUUAUUGAAUUCCAGAAUAGUGAUAUCCAAAGGGUCAAAUAGUUUUAUUUUUGGCCAUCUGAAAGAAUUAACGAAUGUGGGAUAAUAAGCAAACAAAUAUACAACAAACAAAUGAACAAGCAAUAUGACAGAAUAUAAACAAACGAAUAACAAAACAACAUGACAAGAACAACUUGUGCAUUUUCAUAAAACCUUUGAUUGAAAGCGAAAACAAAAGAAAGCAAGCGGAAACGAAAUGAAAACUUAACAAUAUUUCACGUGCAAAUUUUAGUCAAAGGUAAAGAUGCUUUCAUUAGCUAUUUACAGAUGCAGAAGUAUUUUCAUGAAUUCGCAUGAAUGACAAACCCCUUUAGGUUUACCGAAACUCCUUCUGAAUGGGCAGAAACUCGGCUGUCCAAUUGGAAAUUGAUCCUUCAGGGAUGUCGGGAAACUCGGCCUCAUCUGGGAAACUGUCUUCAAAUGUUGCCCCAACGAACAAUUGGGCCAAACUAGUUUCGAUUCCGUCAACUGGGUUAAUCUCUGAUGUGAUCACCUCGGUUGGUCGUGGAAAAGUAUAAUGCAGUGGUGGAAUAUCAAGGGCCUUUUGCCUGCCUUCUUUCUCUGCUCUCUUGCGUUCCUUCAUUUCUUUGAUGUCUUUAGCGGUUGGUCGGAAACCCAACCGAAUGAAUCCUUUUUCUCCACAAUUCCACUGGUUUCAGAAUUCCUUGUAGAUCACGUCCCAGCCCUUUGUCAAACUCAUAUCCUCCGCGGAUCAUUUCCUUAGCCAUCAUGACACUGGCCUUUGACAGAGCUCGUUCCUCUUUUGUUAUCCAACUUACGGAGACGAUAUCAGCUGUGCUAUGAGGGGUCACUGUGGCGUUUCGGCUACCAUCUUCUUUGGACCCAGAAUCAGCAAUCACGAGGCAAUCCUCCUCGGCAAAGAUAGUUAUCAAUUUGUCAUUUACUAUGAAUUUCAACAAUUGAUGCAAUGAAGAAGGCACAGCUCCGGACUUAUGAAUCCACGGCCUUCCAAGCAAAACAUUGUAAACACUAGGAAAGUGCAUAACUUGGCAGGCUAUUUGAAACUGUGCGGGCCCCAUCUCGACUACUAAAUCCACUUCUCCUAUAGGUUCUCUUUGUGCUCCAUCAAAACCUCUAACUAUGGUCCUGAAGGCCUCAGCUUGAUAUCUUGCAACCCUAGCUUUUCCAAGGUACUCCAAGGACAGAUAUUAAGCGCAGAUCCAUUGUCAAUCAACACCUUUGGCAAAAUUUUCCCGUUGCACCUCACAGCUAUGUACAGAGCCUUGUUAUGUCCAAUGCCUUCCGCCGGUAACUCAUCAUCAGAGAAAGUGAUUUUUUUGUAAAUAACACAUCCCAACUAUAUGUGAGAAAUUAGCAACCGAAAUGUCCUUAGGGAUUUGAGCUUUGGUCAACACUUCGAGCAACGCAUCCCUAUGCAUAUCCGAAGAAAAGAGCAGAUCCAACAUGGAUAUUUGGGCGGGCGACUUGCUUAGCUUCUCGACUACAUUAUAUUCACUUCUUUGGAGCCUUUUAAGAAAAUCCAAGGCUUCCUUCUCAGUAAUUGUUGGUUUAGCGGGCAGCUCGGGGUUAUUUGUUUGAAUCGGAACGGUAGCUCCAAACGGACUUGCAAUCCUCCCUGAUCUAGUGACCACUGACACCUCUUCUUUGGCAAUUGACUUUUCUCCAAUUUGUAUGACAGGUUCAUCGUAGUUCCAUGGCACUCGCUGCAAACUUAGAACAGGCUCCUGCUCUGGGAAUUCGAUGACCACUGGCUCCAAAGCCUUGCUCUCAGCUAGAGUGAGAUCCAAAAUAAAAGGCCUUUUAUCCUCCUCAAAUGGCACCUCUUAUAUAAAUGGUUGGUCUGUGACCCCAAACACCUCAGCUUCCCUUGCCAAUUUUUGGACUUGCUCCUCAUACUCUGCGUCGUCCAGAAUGACCCCAAUGGUAUUAGCGUGGUUCAAGGGGUUCCUAUUUAUAUUCGGCCCUUGUGCCUCCUUUUUCCUGAUUACAAUCUCUCCGGCUUCAAUCAUAUCUUGAAUUCUAUGCUUAAGAGCCUUGCAAUCAACAGUUGAAUGUCCGGGUGCCCCUGAAUGAUAAGCACAGACGGCUUGUGGGUUAUACCCAGCGUAUAUGCCAUAUGGAUAGGUCGGAGGGGGUACCGUGCCAAAUUUUCGGCGGCCUUCAACUGGUCAUACAAUUGGUCUAGAGGCCUGCCUAAAUCGGUAAAUGUACGGCUACGGGGUUGGUUGUAAGGUUCAGGAGGUUGAGGAUGGCUAUAAACAGGUCUAUUUGGGGAGGAAAUCUUGGGUUAUAUGGAGGGCGAGGUCGGUUUUGGGGUGGAUUUGGUUGAGAGAUUUGAAAAGGGCUAAAGGUGGGUUAGGAUAGCUUGGGCGAGGUCGAGGGUGGAUGGAUAUUGGUAGUAUAUACAUGGUGCGGGUUUGAAUAAUAAGGGUAAUGUGGUUGGUAGGUUGGAUUGGUUGGUAUCGGGGUUUGGGUGAAGGGUUCUGGUUCCAGAUAAAAGUUGCCUCCCCCUCUUUCUUUUUAAACUGCGGCUUCUUUCCACUGCUCCCUUGCCCUUGCAAAGCUUCUACUUGUGAUUUUAGGGCAGAGACGUUGACAAUUUUUCCGGCUCUCACAAAAUCAUCAUACUCUUCGAGUUUAUUCACAAUCGCAGCAAAUGUACACCCAGUCAUACGGAAGAUUUCUUCGAAGUAUGGAGGAUCAUGCGCCUUUAUGAAAGUGCGAAUAAUUUCAUCUUCGGUCAUCGGAGGCUCAACCUUGGCAGCUAUCUUCCUCCAUCUUUUGGCGUAUGUCUUAUGAUCUUCAGAUGGUCGUCUCUUGGUGCCUUCCAAAGUAGUUCUGGUCGGUGCUAGCUCACAGUUAUAUUCGUAUUGUCUGAUGAAGGCGUUGGACAGAUCAAGCCAAGUCUUCACCUCCUCUGGCUUUAAGUUUGAAUACCAAUCGAGGGCGUCUCCUUCUAGACUCUCUGGAAAUAACCUUAAUGGCAAGUUUUCGUCAUCCACCGGUCUGCCCAACUUGUUGGCAAACAAACACAAGUGUGUCUUAGGUUGCCCGUACCAUCAUAUUUAUUGAACUUCGGGGUCUUGAAUCCCACGGGCAGCUGUACAUUUGGAAACAGGCACAGAUCAUCGUAGUCUAACACCCCUUGUUUGCUUAAACCUUGGCUUUUCCUGAUGAACUCAUCGAAACGAUCCAACCGCUUAAGUAACUUCAUAUCAACCGGGGCAGACGACUCCCCACUUCUGGCUUGGUUUGAACAGUGUGCUCGGCACAACAGGCUCUGCGUAGUCUGAUAAAAAGCUUGUGGAUCCUGAGGCAUGUUUGGACCACCUUGACCACCUUGAGGCUGAAAUCCUUGCCCAUAGGAGGAUAGAACGGAUUUUGAGUGUAAGUAUACUGCGGGUUGAAAACUCCCUCAAAAGUGGUUUGAAUUGGAGGAAUGACAAAUGGUUCGGAUUCCGGUUGUUUGACGGGCGCAGGCUCGGGCUGCACUCCGCUACUAAUGAGCUCGUCGAUCAACUUCUUUUGGGCGGCCAUCUCAGACGCCAUUUCCCCAAAUUUGGUGAGUAAUUCAGUCAACUGAACCCGGGACUUGUGGCUUCCGGCUGGGUAGUUGCAGCGGUCUUAUCAGACGAUUCUGGCUGAGUACUCAUGUCUACACGAUUCCUUUGGCUUUACUUCGGGACGUGUAAUAAUGGGGCUUUUCCGAGAAGCUAUUUUGAAAUUUUACCUGAAAAACAGAAAUGGCGUGCUUUUAGAUUUAGCCCUGACUUAGCUUUUUCAACAAAAACAAAACAAAGAAAAAGAAAAAGACAGAGUUAGUAGAGUUCCAAAAAUUCGGAUGCAUGUCCUAUCGGGGGCCUUUUUGUGCCAAGGGUAGGCCUAGCAUGAUGCAACACCUUCGAAAUGGGACCCGUAACACAAACCUGUUUUUGACAACAAUUCCAAUGAGUGCAAAAGAAAAAUCGCUUUCAUUGAUAAACUUGCCAAUAUUUACAUCAUAUGUCACGAAGACGAUUCCGUACAAGAUUGCCAAAACUUCUAACCUAUCUAAUACAGAGUCUUUGGUUUCCCUAGCAUAUGGAAUUCUAACACGUUCAGCUUGGUCAUACAAUUCUCCGCAUUUCUUUUCAGCUCUUGACGCUUUCCUCGUUCAUUUUCGUACAAUUGCUUGUGUUGCUUGCUAUCCCUUUGUAUGUUUCGACAGACUUGCUUAAUUGCAGAAUUUCCUUAUCCUUUGCUUCGAUAAUGGCUUUCAACCUUCCCACUUCCUCGGUUGGUUCAUCUUGUGUUUCUUGUGUGGCGGACCUUCUCACCCAAUCUUCGUAUUACGGAGUGGUCAACCCUUUGCUUGAGUUCCGGGAUGUAUUGAAAUCUCUCCUCAUCCGAAGUGUCACCCAUGCCUCGAUAAUCUGGUCUUUCAUAGGGAGCUCGUUUGGGCACAUUCCUUUACUGAAAAUGACGGUAAGCUUACUCAUAUCAACCACAGGUGACACUUCUUGUGUACGUCCUAACUGUCUGAGGAACCUCUUUGGAGUGUACGCGGCGAUUCCUUGGGUACCCAAUAGGAGAACAAAAUCUGACACUUUAGUGCGGAGUAUCGGCCUAAUGCAAAUCGUCCAGUCUAACACCCACCUAAUGUCUUGAUCUGGCAACAUCUCUAAGUAUUUGAUGCAUUCAACCGCAUCGUUCGGCAGACCCCCUUCGUUGACUCGCUUAUGAUGCGUGAUUACCCAAUUAUACCCAGCUAGUGGCAAACUUUCCGGAACGGACGCUCGUCUCUUAAAAUGUUCUAGGGCCCAGGUAUGCAAAACUAUAUUAGCCCCGUAGAAGAACUUUUCCCCUUUCUGGCAGUUGGUACAAGCUAGAAAAAUGUCCGCAAGGAUGGUCGGGAUUAUGGUGCAUUGUUUACUUCGGAUUCCUGAAAAGAGGCCUUGUAUAACCUUUGUUAUCUUGAAAGCUAUUUUCUGAUCUCUUCUUGGGAAGAAAUAAACUCCCGCCAUAACUAUUGCAUACACCACUGGCCUUUUGCGUUCCCAAACUUCCUUGGAUGUGAAUGAAAAAUCCUCCCUAUAUUUCUCGAACCCAUUUCGUAGUGCAAAAUGCUUAAACAAAGUGUUCACGGGAACUCCCUGAUCCGACCCUCGCAAUACGGCCUCUCUCAAUCCUAUGAUCUUGCAAAAUUCUAUCUUGUCUGAAACGUAUGGAAAAAUCAAGGCGGUUCCAUGCAAAGGUAAAUUGAAGAGGCCGGCGAUUUCCUCAAGUGUCACUGUCAUGUGCUUAUUGCCUACCCUAAAGGCCGAACAUUCCGGAUCCCACAGAUGUACUAAUGCCUCUACUAGACAGCCAUUGGGCUUGAUCUCCUUAAGAUCUCCAAUUGGCCCUAAAUAUUGAGCUACUUGAUGUAAUUCGCUAGGUAGCAUAAGGGCAGGCCAUCUUUGAAUCUCGGCCGACGGUACCAAUAACUGGUAGAUUCGACGGGGGCACUCCAUCUAAAAAUAGAAAAGCGGGUUUGUCAAUUACCUUACCUACGGGUCCCAUUCUCCGGUUGGCAAGAAUUUAAACGUGCAAUCCCUUGAAGUGUUAUGUACCCAUGGGAACAAUCAAGGUGAGUUUAAUCCUAAUAGCGGGAUCCCCUAAAUGGCAUUCCCCUUCUAGGGUUUAUGCAUGAUGCCAGUUUAUUAAAACAGUAAAAUAUGCAAUUUGAGAUGAAACAUGAUCUAAGGGACUCUUUAUUUGCCAGGGUAAGCCUAAAAUGAUAUGGCAUUAUUAAUCUAUGAAUGCAAUAUACCAAAAUCUUUAAACGUGCAAUAGCCUAUCUACAAGGGUAGGUUCUAAAAGAAGGUCAUGCCAGACCUCUUAUUUGCUAGGGUUUGUGAAUGCAAUGGGGACAAAACCAAGAAAGUUAGUUCAGCUAGAUAAAUACACAUAACACAUUGUAGCAACGAUAAAGCAAAUCAAUACAAAGACAUAAAGCAAUAGAAAGGAAAAAAAGGGUUGGAUCCCUCCCCUCGUGAAUAGUGUCCCUACCAGGGUAAGGCAGACUCUACCCUAGGUAAACUAUCAUGGAUGCAUGCGGUAUUGGCUUACUAAUGCAUCUAGACUCGAUAGGCUUUAGGUCCCCGAGCCUUCAGACUUGGAAACCGAGGGUCAUCAAUUCCAAGCUUCCUUGUCGUUGGCUCGAGCGAUUCCCCAGACAUUGCUACGCACACAUCGUGUCACGGCUACAUGUCAUGAGUGAAUCUAUCGAAAAUCCUCAACCUUCAACUAAAAGCUAAAGGCUAUGAACCCAAAGCUUAAAAUGGAAGAUUGAGUGACUCCUCGGAUCAUGUUACGCACACAUCGUGUCGCGAUCGCAAGUCCAAGUGAGUCGCCUAAAAUCCUAAUAGGGUGGAGUGGCAUGACAAGCCACUAAAAGAAAAUAAAUUAGGGGUAGAAAUUAAAGCGUAUGCACGUAUGCUAGUGCUCGUUUGGAGGGGAGGGAUCAAGAACCAACGCGAGGCUCUAGGGUAUGUCCUCCACCCAAAUGCAAUGCAAAGCGCGAAAUAAAACAAGUAAAAUAUAUAUCCAAACAACCAAUCAUACAUACGUGAGUGAGGGAGUAGUUUGAUACGUGCGCGAGGCAAAAAGUUCUAAAAAGGAAAAAUGCAACCCUAAUAUCCAAAUGCUAUGCAUAAAAAAGGUAGAAAAAAGGAAAAGAAUAGCUAAAUCAAGUGCUUGGACCCACUUAGGAAAUCCCCAGUGGAGUCGCCAAACUGUCGCGCCCCACUUUUUGAAGGUGUGAAGGUAGUGUGUGGGAUAUGUAUGUGAACGUGUGUAAAAAUGAAAAUAAAAGGCCGUGGGAUUGUGAAAUGCGACGGUUUGGUCAAACAAAGUUCAAAAAGGGUUUUUGAAUGGAAAAUGGAGUCGCCACUUGAUAUAGAGUUAGGGUGUACCAAGUCACCCAAAAAUGAUUUUUGAAAAGAAAAGCAAACAAACCCUUUUUAAAGAACUUUUAGGUCUACGUAACCAAAGAAAGGGAUCGGGGGUCACAUUUGAUAAGGGAGAAGGCAAAGGCAAAGCCUAAGACACUCCCUUUACCCUAGCCAAAAGCUAGUUGCGUGACUUAGCCCACUUUUUCUAAUUCUUCCUCUACCCAAAGUAUGCGUUGCAUGUCGGAUGUGACUAAUGGAUAUGACAAAAAUGCAAUCCUAAUUCUAAAAUGUCUCUUAUGAGGCUUUUUGGUCCCAAUCACAUGAGUUGCGAUGGUCAAUAAGGAAAACUCUCAUAGAGGUCACGGGUAAUGCAAAUGAAGACCCAAAUAUGAAUGCAAGUGUGAAAAAUGUAAGAGGAAUGCAAAAUAAGAUAGAAAUACAAAUGUAAGUGCAAGUGUGCAAAUGUAAGAAAAGUGCAACAUAUGCAAAUGUAAGAAAAGUGCAACGUGUGGAAAUGUAAGAAAAGUGCAUGUGUGCCAAUUGAGAAAAUGAAGGUGUUUGUGUGCAAGUGGAUGAAAAUAUGGUAUAAAUAGUAGUAAAUGCGUAUAAGUGCAAUUGGGUGCAAUUUGUGAGGUAGAAGAUAAAUGAGUGAUAGGGAGAGAAGAGAAAUGUGAACAUGGCAUGUGGAGUGAGAAAAAUAUAAAUAGUGGGAAAAUGUGGAUAAAGAAAGUGAGGAAGUGAUAUGAUAAAAAUGAUAGUGUUCCUAGAGGAAUGUAUCAAGUCGGGUACGACAUCCUUCUUUUUUUUCCUUUUGAUUAGAAGGAAGAACUAGCGUGCUAAGGCUAUUUUGUAGCCACACUCGCUCGUUUCCCUUACCUAAAGGGGACCCUCAAGCAAAUGUACCCUAUAACUUGCAUGAAGAUGUAAAAGCCUAAAAUGAAGGGGAAAGGAUUGGAGGAGCAUGCCAAAUGCUAGAAAACUAAGAAAAAUGCAUGAAAUGUAGUGAAACAUGCAAGUAUGAACUAGCGAGGGAAAUCCCUAAGGGUCUAGCGUUAGACUAGCCCAUAUCUAUGAAUUCCUACUAGCGUUGGACUAGUGGAAAACGGACAAUGAGCCACAAAAAGCAUUGGACUAGUGUGGUGACGUGCAUUCAUCCAUUACAUUCAUCUAUGACUAUAGAAAGCAAGUAGACAUGCCAAUCACCUAUAAACACGUAGCACAUAACAUUUAGCAUGCUCGAUUAAAUGCAAGAGCCUAAUAAAGCAAAUUAACACGUAGCAAACAAAAGCAAGCAAUCAAUCUAAUGAACCUAUUGUAUUUUGCUAACUAAAAAAAAGGGGAAGGGGAAAAUGGACAAAAACGCUCUCCAAGCCCUAUCUAUUACAAGCCAAGAGGUGUACACAUACCCCAUAAAGAAUAACUUAAUGAAAGCAAGCAAAAGUAAAUGAAAUAAAUGAAAGGAAUUAAGGAAAGGCAAGGAAAGCAAAGUAGACAUGUAAUUCUCAUUUAACACGUUGGAUCACAUAGGAGAGUCAAAAAAAGGAUAAAAGAAGUUAUACCUCCCCCGUUUGUGGUGCUAAUAAAGUGAACAAGACUUAACUUGGGCUAUGGUCACCAAAGGAAGAGAUAAUUUGGGCUAAAACUAUCAAAACAAGGGAUUAAUGCAUCACUUUAAUUAACAAAAUCUCCAGGAAAAGAAUAAAUAUGAAAUUGAAUAAUUAAACAAAGCAUUCAAGGAAGUUAAACAACCCCUAUUCAUCCAAUUAAACAAACAAGGAUCCAUUUAAACAAUUAAAGAAUAUUCAAGGGAUCAAUUUAUUAUUACUAUAAAAUAAAAUAAAAUUAAGGACCUAAGGUGAGACCCCCAAUCAAAUGAUAAAAAUCACAUAAAAACAAAUAAAAACCGAUUUGCUAGGAUUAAACAAUAAAGAAUCCGAAUUAAAGUCAUAAGUCUCUUAAAAGCUAAUGAAACCUCAAAAUCUCAUCCCAAAAAACUCAUGCAUGUUUUGUUCAAUAAUCCCAUGAAAGCAAACCAAGGGAAAAUAACAUGUUAAAGGGGUCAAAUUGGUUGAUUCUCCCAAUUAUUUGGGCCACAGGGGAAUAAAGGGAGACUUGGGGGGUUAAAGUGCUAAAAUCAAAAGUUAUUUUCAUGCAAAACAUGCAGCUACGUAUGGCUUAAACUUCUGCAACUAAAAAAUGAAACAUGCUUCCUUUUGUUUCCAAGCUUGCUGCAAUUUUCAUUUUUUUUUUUUUUGCAAGUACAUAUCAACCUCAACACCAAUUGUGAUCAAAACCUUUCAACCAAACAUCCAAAACCUAAUCUAAGCAUCAUAACACACAAUUUCAACAUUCAAACAAACCAAAACAUAGAAGACAAAAUAUGCCAAUGCUGGAAAAUUCUAUGCAAAAGGUUCGGCAAUCCUGACUUGUUCCUUUUCAGCAAGCAUUCGAUCAUAGCUCAAGUAUUUUUAGACCCAUACUUGCAAACUCAAUUCACUCAUCCAAUUUCCUCUUUUCAACACAAGAUUAAAUAGCAAAGUAGGUGAUGAACCCACUUAGUGGGCUGUUGCGAAAAAAAGAAAAAUCAGUAGGACAUAAGAAUGAACGCAGCUUUCUAUUUACUUUAGCCUGGAUAUAUUCUGCAACUUUUCUAACACUUUCCAUUAAACCAGCCUAGGGAAAACUUGCAUAUUUUAGCUACAACCUCCCAUCCAGUACAUCAUGCAAACGAAUUAACCAAAUACCAGGAUUUUAACUAUCAAUUAUCAAUUAAAAACAAAACACGAGAUGUUGUUGUAGGAUUCAAGCCAAGAAAUUGAAUUGACCGACAGAAAAAUGAAAACGCAGCAAGGUUUCUCUGCAAUUUUCUUGUCCAUCACACCCCAAAGCCAAAGCUUCCAAACCAUGUUAUUAACGCUGCCCAUAUGCAACAGCCUCUACCUAAAAGACCCAGACCGAACACAUGAAAGCAAACAAGAUGCUCAGAACAACACUUGCAACCUACGGGCCAUCCUCAUUCAGUUACAUGGAGAAACAAAACACGAAAAAGCUGAUGGCUUUUUGGUUCACAAGCUCUCAUACACAUGAAUUCAAGACAUAGCUAUGGCAGCCAAAAGACUUAGCCUUUUUACUCACAAACAAAGCCACAGAUUCAUAGUGAACAUGAAACAAGAAAGAAGGAAAAAGUAGACAAUAAAACAGCAGACAUUCCAUAGGCAAGGAUGCGUUAAGAUAUACUGAAAUUUAAAGGACAAGACUGACUUACAGUGCUCGUGCCUUCUCCCUUGGUGAAGAUUUGCGAUUGAUGACGGCGUGAUAAAGUGAUCACAGCUUCUCGUGAGGGUCAGCAGCUCCCCUUUUUCCUUCGUCUGUUUUCCUAUCCAAAGCUUCCUGCUUCAGCUCCCUUUCUCCCGCAACUCCUCCUUCCGGUCUUAGUCUUCCCUUUUUCUGUUUUCUUUUCCUUUCCUAGCCGUCACUCCUCCCUCCUUUCAUUUCUCUCUUUGCCGUCAAAAACCUCUCAGCCGUUGUCACCCAAAAACUUUCCCUCAGAAUUUUUCUCAGUUCCAGCCGCCCCUCUCUCUCUGUUUUCAGCUGUUCCCUCUCCUUGGUUUUCUUUCCUUUCUUCAGAUUUGAAGCCGUCACUCGAUACCCCUAAAAGCUACGUUUCUUGUUCUAUUUAUACCAGAAACCUGCUCUCAAACCCUCACUUGAAAGGUGAGGAUGAGAGCGGAGGUUUUACUAGGCAUCUUAGAGCCCUCCGAUGCCAGCCACAUUUUUCCUGAAGAUGCCGCUGCAUGCGGCUCUUUUUUUUUUUUUUUUAAAGUAAUUUAACAAAAUUGAUAAUAAAAUUAAGUAAAAAAAUAACAAUUUAAUUAACAUCGGAUAAAAUAAAUAAAUUAGAAAUAAUAAAUAGCAAAGUUGCAAUUUUUUUCAUUUUUUCUUUUUUGUUUCUUCAUUUUUCAUUUUCAUCAUUUUUUCAAGAAAACAUUAAGCCUAUUUUUCCCAGAACUUGUUAAAUAGCCUGAAACCCGCUUGCGGGUUUCCCCUCUCUUUUUUUUUCUCUUUUUCUUUUCUCUUUUUUUUUUACUUUUUCUCUUCUUUUUUUUUUACUUUUUCAAUAAAAGAAAUAGAACAUAUUUUUCCCCAAUUUUCUCUUUUUUUUUUGGCAAAACUUAUGCCUAAAGUCUUAUAAUAAAUAAAUAAAUAGCUAAGAGAGCCCAAAAUGAAUACAAAAUAAAAUAAAGUAAAAAUAAAAUAAUAGAUAACAAUAAUCUAAGAAAUACUAAAGUGCUAUAUAAAUGCUAAAAGUCUAAGAACCAAAAAUCAUGGAAUUAACAAAAUUAGGAUAAAAAUCUUUAAAAAUUUGGUGUCUACAGGACCCGAGAGCUGGAGUUGCGGCGGAGAUUAAGAAGAGAAAGAGUUGGGGGGUUUGGUGAGGGCUAAGAAAAGAAAACCAGAGAGGUUGGCUGGCGGCUGUGGGUAGAAAAGGAGGAAAAAACGCUAGAAGCUACGGGGGGACUGAGUGAAAAAGAGAGGAGGAAAAGAGCAGAAAAAGGGAUGGCUUGGGUUUUUGGUCGAAGGGAGCAAAGGGCGGAUAGAGGAAUAAGGUGACGGCUGAAGUGACCAGAGCUAGAAAAGAAAGAAAGCGAAACUAGAUAGGCCAUGGGCUGAGGAGAAACGAAGCCAGGGUAAGAGAGGAGAAGGAGGCUUCGGCUGGAAAUGGAAAUAAAGAAGAAAGGCUUUGGCAAGAAAUCAGGGCCAGGCUGCGGCGAGAAACGGAAAAGCUGAGAAAAGGAGAGCUUGGGAAGGAAAGCUCUGGAACCAGCCGAGAGAGGAGACUCAGGAGAGGUUCGGUCUUGAUGUCAUGGCCGUACAGUGGUCCGGUCCUUUGUUUUCAACAGGUAGAACCAGUUUCUUCUGUUCUUUAUAUAUCCAAAUCUCCUCUGUUUGGUUGUCCAGAGUUACAACCAUGUCGAAGGGGUCAUUUUCCUUCUGGGUUGCUUGAGCUUUUGGAUUGCUUGAAACUCGUUUGUUGUUUUGACUGAUUUUCCAUGUACAUGUCUAGCGCAAGAUUCUUUCUUUCGUUCUUUGCUGUGUUUUCAUCUUCUUGAAAUGGUCUGGGUUGGGAAACCUUUGACAAAUGCAAAACAUGGAAUGAGUCAUUAACGGUAGAGUGUAUGUUUUGUGGUUUUUGGGUUGAAAGUUUGCUGCUUUGUUGAACGUUGCUGCUACGCUAUGUUGCUUUGUUUUCUGGGUUAAUUGUUCUCUGCUGCCUUCCUAUUUUUCUUCCCAAUGUUCCCGCAAGUCAUUAGUCUAAGAUCCCCAUACCAGCGGAUGUUGGUUUCAUGUAUUUGAGUAUUUAGAUUAUAUAUGCAUUUGAAGUUGAAUCUCGACAAAAGGAAAAGGCAACAGUCAUAAGCUAUGUUUGAAUGAGAAGAAAUGGCUUUCACGAAUCCGAAAAUGCAGCUUUUGCUUUGUAGUUCGUUGCUGCUGGUUUCAUUGCUUGAUAGGUUAUUUAACCUUGCGUUUGAAGGAGGGAAUUGGAUGAGUGAGUUUGUGUGAUUGUUGGUCCAAAGGCGCAUAGAUCAGGCUCGAGUGUUUCCUGGAAAUCAAAUUCCUGUAAUGGCAAAAAAUUGCAGAAGGUUAUUUCGGUGCUUUGCAUGAUCUUUUGUCCGAGUUUUCUGAUGUUUCAACAUAAGGGUCUUAUGGUGGAAAGUGAGCUGAAUGCUUAGUGAUUGUGUGGUAUUUAGUUGCUUGAGAUAUUGAAAUGUUAUUUACUUGAGAUGAUGAAAUGAAAAGCAAGUCAUGGUUGGAAUGCUGCAGAAGAUGAAGAAAGUUUCAUUCGUAUGCAUGCAUGAGAAAUCAAAAGGAAAAUUGCAAUCCAACCUCACAUGUUUCCCCUAAUGCUGCUAUGACCCAACUAAUUGAAUAAAUUCAUCAAUUUGGUUCCUUUCUGCUGAUGUACUUUCAUGUGAUUUGUAGACAGUUUUUUAUGGAGUUUUAGGAUGAAUUUGAAGGGCUUUAAUAACUUUUUCUAUCUUUCUGGUUUUGAUUAGAAUUUUGGUGGAAUUUUGGGAAAGCUUGUUGUUCAAUCGUAACAAAUUGGUUUUCUUUUAGUUUUUGCGAAUUUUAUCUUGGAUUGGUAGGUUUCACCUUAUUUUAGUUGAGACCCCCCAAUAUUUGUAACAAUAAAUUGAUCCCUAAAAUCUCUUUAAUUUUUUCAAUUAGGUCUUUGUUUGUUUCAAUUUAAUGAAUAUGAGCUGUUUAGUUUAUUUGACCGCUUUGAGUGAUUCAAUUUCCAUUUCAUUGAUUAUUUUGUUAAUUAAAGAGAUGCCUCGACCUUUUCUUUGUUUUUGGAGGGUAAAUAAGUAAUUUCACUCCAUUAGAGCCCCGACUCAAGAGAGGUACACUCUAUCCCUUAUUUUGACCUUAUUUGACCCUAUGUGAACUUAUGUGGCUAUAUGUGUUUUAUUGCAUGCCUUUUGAAUGUUUUUUUUUUAUUUUUUUUUUGCUCUUUUUGCUUAAUUUCAUAUAUUUAUUUAAGUUCCUUUUUGAUCAUUUGAAAGGCACUUAAAUGCCACAAUUGUAAUAGUUAGGCUAUUAUAUCAUUUCAUUUAAUUCCUUCCCUCUUAGAUUGUAGUAGGUUUCUCCCCCCGAAUGUAAUAGUUAGGGUUUUAUUUGUUUUACUUGCCUUAUGUGUGUUGCAUGCCUAUGUGCUAUGUGUUACCGCUUUCUUAGGCUUUGGCAUCUAGAUAUGCAUGCUUAUGUGUUAUGUGAAUUACGUGCUCACAUGUCUACUUGCUUUAAUUAUGCACAUUACUUAUAUAUGUGUAUGAUGGAUGCAAAUGCACGAAACCGUGGCUAGUCCAACGCUAGUCAUGGUUGUCCCCUCGAGCCCUUACAAGUCCAAUGCUUGUGAGAGAGCGCUAGUGAAGGACUAGUCCAAUGCUAGAUCCAAUAGGACCGUCCCUCGUUAGUACAUACUUGCAUGCCUUCAUUACAUCUUCAUUCAUUCUUUCCUUUUAGUUUUACACUUUUGCAUGACCCUUCACUCUCUUUCCCUUACAUAUUUAGGAUUACAUUUUCAUUUAGAUUAGUUCAUUUGCUUGUAUAGGUUAGGGAGUCACUCUUUUGGUAAGGGGGAUGGACGAGUUUGGCUAUACAUAGCCUUAGCACGCUCAUUCUUUUUCUAACCAAAAGGAAAAUUAAGUCACGAACAUUAGUCCCCCGUACCCGUCUUGCUUGCAUUCCUCUAGGGUUCAUGCAUUUCAUUUAUCCACUAUCACAUGCACUUUUACUUCAUAUUCUAUCCCUUUUUUCACAUUUUCACUUCACACAACUUUUAUUUUGCACGUUUUCACUCUGCCACUUACAUUUUAUAUACUAUCACGUGCACGCACGCACUUCAUACUAUCACUCUACUCACCUUACUUUGCACAUCCAUUUGUACACUUCCACUUACACACUAUUAUUUUUAUUACUUUUUCACUUCACGCAAACUCAUAUUUUCACAUUGCAUACAUUCAUUCCACUCAUUUUUCCGUCAUUAGCAUUAUUCGUGACCUCUCCAAAGAGUCAUUAUGGGCAUCACUAUUAAGUGAUUGGCACCACUCAAGUUUUGAGAGAAAUUUUGCCCGAUGUUCCCCUAGGUCUAGGUUUUGCAUUCAUAUAGUGCAUUCAAAUGUGAUAAAUUCUUUGGUUAAAAAUAAGAAAAUUCUUGACUAAAUCACGCAACUAGCCUUGGUUAGGUCGAAGGGGUGCCUUGGAUUUUUAUCCUUGCUUCCCCUUCGUCAAAUGUGACUCCCGAACCUUUCCUUUGAUUUUCGUGACUAGGAGUCGUUUAAAAGGGGUUUUUCUACUUUUUUCCUUUGAAAACUCAUUUUUAGGUGACUUGGUACACCUUAACUCAAUAUCAAGUGGCGACUCGCGAUUUUUGUUCAAAAAACCCUUUUUAAACUAUUAUUUUGGGUCAAAUCGUCGCAUUUCAAGUCCAUUUAGACCCAUAUUUUUCCCAUUUUCUUUGUAAAUAAAAUUCACUUUUCAAACUGUUUAUUUUUCUUGUAAAAAUGGGGCGCGACACAUUUGCUUUGGAUAAUAAUGCAUAUAUUUCAUUAGCAAAGAUUAGCUCAUUUCAUGUUUUUAUCAUGAACAUUGUAUGGUUCCACAUGCUCGAUCAUUUUUCCUUUUUUCUUGACUUGCAUGUUUUCUUCUAGUUGAUUGCAACUGUUUAUUUUUAAGAAAUUUUAUUUGUUUUGAUUUUGUCUUUUUCAGGGUGCAAUAAGUGAACUCUCCAUUCUUUAUCAAAUAUACGGUUGGAAAUUUAUCACAUUGCUAUGGAUUUGGAUCGCGCAAGUCAUAAGGGGAGUAUUUUCUUUUACUCUUUAUUUAUUUUCCUUUCCUCACAUUGAGGACAAUGUGAAAUUUAAGUGUGGGGGGUGGGGGGAAAUACUGGACUUGCAUUUUAAUGCUAUGUGAUGAUAUUUUGUGAAUCUAAAUACUUAGAAAUGUUGGAAUUGUGUUUGAAUUAUUUGCCAUAUGGAUAAUUUGCUUGAAAUUUGGUUUGUUGGCAGGGAGUUUUCAUCCAUUUAUAAGGGGAAACUCUGUCAAAUUUUUUAAAAAUCUUUCCAAUAUUUCACUAUGGCCCAAAAGUUCUUCAAAUUUUUGCAUUUUCAUUCAAAAGGGCUAAUUUGUUCCAACCUUAAGAGAUUAAUUCUUCAAUUAUUGAAACUUUAUGUGUAUUUUGGAAAGUUUAGUUCUCAUUUAACUAGGAAAUAGUUAUUAUGCAAUUAGAAUUUUUACAUUUUAGAAAGUAUAUUUGGUAAAGUAAAGAAAUUAUGCCUAUAAUUUUACAUGUUUAAUGAGAUUUCUUCUCUUUACUUAAUUUUACAACUAAGUGAUUGAUAUAGUCAAUAAAGGUUAUACUCCUCCUUUGAUUAUUUUUAUAUCAUUUUCUAUGAGGGAAAAUCUAUUUAUUUUCUUAUAAAAAAAAGAGAGAAAAAAUAUAUAUAAUAAAAGAAAAAAGAAAAGAAAAGAAAGUAAAUAAAAUUUAUUCUACUCCAAUGAUUCUCGUACCGAGUAACUGGGGAUUGGCAUCUAAAAAUGUCGAUUUUUACAUAAAAAGGUAUUUGAAUUAAGAUUAUGCAUAGCAACUUGAAUAGGUGAAAUGUUGAGUAACUGGGGAUCUUCACCUAAAAGUGUCGAUUUUCGUGUAAAAAGGCAUUCUCACUAUUUAAGUAAAAAUUAGUAUGAAUAAAUCCCUCUUAGUUAUAGAAUUUUGAGAAAAGAUGAUUAUAGGAGGAGGAAGGAUAUAAAUUGACUAUGUGAUUUGCUUAUUGUAAAAUUAAGUUAGGGUAAGAGAUUAAAUUUAACUUGUUGAAUUUAGGGUAUAAUUAUCUUUCCUUUACUUGAUAUUAUGAGUAUUUAGUGUAAUUUGAACAAUGAUAUAAUGAUUAUUUUUCAAGUCUUGAGGAAUUAAAUUGGACAAAGUGCAUAUAUUGUUUCACCUCUUGAAUCAUUGUAGUUGAUUAUGUGUGGAUUGCUUGAGGACAAGCAAUGAUUUAAGUGUAGGGGAGUUUGAUAAGUGACUAAUUUACGUAAUAAUUGUAUGAUAUUUUAUAUUAUUUUUAGUCACUUUAGUUAUAUUAUUGGAAGAAAAUAAAUCGUUUUGGCUAUAAUUGGUGAAAAAUGUUUUUAAGUGAUUAAAUGAGAUUUUUAUCACUUUUUAGUGGGAUUUUGUGCAUUUUGACAAUUUUGACACAUUUUUGUAUUUUGGCUAUAACUAGGGCUACAAUGAUCAGAUUGCGAUGAUUUUUAAACCAAUUUGAAGAUAAGAGAUAGAUCUACAACUUUGGUGAAGACAUCUGAAUCCAGUUUGAAGGUUUCCAAAGUCAAAAAUCUGAAUUACAAUAGCAAAUUUCUACUGGUCGAAGCUGAAACAGGGCAAUGAGCAGUCAAGGGUAUUUUGGUCAUUUUUCAGCCUACACAGAUCCAAAUGAGGUGAUUCUUGAUGCAUUGGAAAGAUAAGUCAAAGGGAUACAAGUUUCAUGUUUUGGUCAGGAGCUAAAUCAGCUUUUAUCAUCAAGAAACGUUCAGUGGAAGUUGAUACAAAAUCGGAGCAGAGCUGGAAAUUGAACCAGAAGUGACCAAAUGGUCACUGUAGCAAUCCGGCCAGAAUUUGGCCGGAUUUGUGGCCGAAUUGUGGUUAGAAAAGGCUGCUAUGUACGCAUAAAACUCAAUUUCAUCUCCACCAACUCACAUGUGAUGCUAGACUUGUGAGAAACAUUCCCAACUGUAAAAGAGAGGUGUAAACCUCAAGUCUUGACCAAUCUUUCAUCUAUAUAUAGUCAAAUUCAUUGCAAAAUUGAAGGAUAUAGAGAGACAUACGGGAGAACUUGGAGAGUGCAGAAAUGUAGCUCUUUCAUCUUCCUAGUGUUAGUUUAGCUUAGUGUAGAAUAGUAUAGAUCAUCCAUUCUUGUAUCUUGGCUAGAUUAGGAUGAAGAUGGAGGAAUUGAAGCUCAAGUGACAAGGGUUAUUUCUUCUCCAACUCUUUAUGCUUUGUAUCAGAUUCUUAAGUUUGUUUAAUAUACAAGUUCUGGAUUUUGUGUUUAUUAUAUGUUUUUAAAGUUUAUACCUUGGGUUUGGUUGAACUUUCUAUGAUUGUUAGUGUUUAUUAUUUGGUUAUUUGAUUGCUAUGAUUUGAGCAAGUUAUUUAGCACUUUGGCUCUUUAAAUCAUGAUUAAUCUGGUACCAUUAAUUGUGAUUAUCUAAGGUGUUGUUUCUGCAAUGAAAAUUGAGAUUUAACACUAGUUCAAGAAGUGCUAAACAUAGGGAGUACACUCACGAAAGUAGAGGUGCACCUAUAUGGUUUUUAGUGAUUCAUUUCAUGUAAUUUCACUGAAAAAAUGAACUUGUAGCUAAUUUCAUAACCAUGAGAAUAGGUAUGGAUUAGUUAUAAGUAUAAUUGAUUAACUACGAAAGUAAGAUUCGAAUACAUAAGAAAAUUACACCAUAGCUAGCCUAGAUGUAGUAUUCAAUGAUCCAAAUAUAGCACUUGUAUGAGUAGUUAGGGAUACCACAACCUAAGGAGCUUUUAUUUGUUAUUUCAGUAGGUUAAAUUUGUUAUAAUUCAUUGAUAUUCUAAAUAAUAGAGAAACUUUAGUUAUACCGGUAUGUGUUCACUCUUCCCUGUGGGAUCGACCCGAUAUAUACCCUAAACUAUUAGUUGAUCUGUAUACUUGCAGUGAAUGGGUGUAAUUCGAUUUUUUUUAACUUGUACGUAUGUAAAAUACCCAUCAAUUGCUAGCAAAUAGUCAAGGCGUUUUGCUAGGAAAAAUAGCGCAUCCUCACCAAUAGUAUAGAUUUAGCAAGGAGUCUUUUGACAAAUCUGCAAUGCCCCGCGUACCAAUAAAACAUUUUUUGCCAGGAAAGUUUCCUCUCUAAUAAGCAAUAAUUGAUUAUUGCCUAACUGUUUGGUGGGAAAAUGUUCCUCUCCAAUGCUAUUAUGAACAUUUCUUAAUCCAUUUAGCAUGCUAAUCUUAAUUCUCUGAGCGAAUUACUGGGUGGUUUUAUUAGAAAAUUUAGCUGCAAAUAGCUUCAAUUUGGCUUCUCAUGUGUCUAUUGUACAUUUUCCAGUUCUUAUAAGUAUCAAAUUGUUUGGCAAAAAUUUUUUUUACAUGACCAACGUAGCUGCUCAUUAAAUUUAAACUCAUAAGCCCUAGUAUUUGAUAGCUUUUUGGAAUAUCACUUGGUGCCAACAACCCCUUUUGCUACUUUGAUAAACAUUCAAUAGAAAACAUACAACAGCUUUGGUUAGCUAAAAAUAAUUGCUAGCAAAGUAAUACAUCAACAUCCAGCUCUUUCAACAUCUUGAGCCAUACAAAUAGGAAGUGCUUGAAAUCAAUUGGCAAUCCAAAUUUUUUUAGCUCAUUAACUAUCCAAGAAAUCGCAACUUCAAUAAGUCAUUACAAAAGAAGAUUUCAUCAAGAGAACACCGGAGAAAUAUAGAAGAGAGAGAGAGUUAAACUAAUCAUAUGGACACAUAUUUGUCACCUCAGUAUUUCCAAUUCCUUAAUUCAGUCCAGUUAUCUUGGAACUCUAUCGACAUCCAUGGAACAUUUUUUGAAUGACAAUAUGCUGUUGCAACAUUCUGGUGGAGACUUCAAAGGUUCUAUGAUAGGUUGCAUUUUUGUCAUUAAUUCUAUGAUUAUUUUCCUCGUUUAUAUUACCAAAUAUUGUAUUAAUUGAUUGAUUCUACUUAUAUUUGGUAUUUUGUGUCAAUUGUAGGAAGGUGGAGAAAAAAGUAAUAAAAGAGGUGAUUUUUCAAGAGUUUUCCAAUUCAAGAUGGAGUUUACGUGGAGUAUUGGAUGAAAAUUAGGAAACUACCACUUUUUAUUAGAUGUCUUAUUAGGGAACAAUUAGCAAUAGUUGGAGAAGUUUCCUUUUGCAAUUAGAAUUCUAUUUUUAGUUGGCCAAUGGACUGCUGAAGUAAUGGACUUCAAUUAGGAAACAAACAGAGAAAAAAGGCCGGAAUCCCGCAUGAUUACUACCUUGGAGGGAACAAGAAAAAGGAGACGUCCGCUGGUCUCUUCUUUAGUGAGUCUUUUGGGAAAAACCAAUGGUUAUCGAUGGAGUUUUGCAGAUCUCUCCUGAGGAUAUGUAGCUAAAUCUCCGUUUUCUAGUCGAAUGUCAAUUUGAGGACUCGAUUCCAAACAUAUUGAUAAGAGAAUAUUUAAUGUACAUUUUGUACAAGUUUGGCAUGAACUUUUGGUAUGUUUUGAGAAGAUUAAAGCCAUAUUUGAAUUCUUUUGGUGAUAAAUGCUUAAAUAUUGUUUAAGUGUCCAAAAUUUGAUAAAUGAGUGGAUUAAUGCGUUAAUUUUGUGAAAUUGUGAAGGAUAUUGAUAUAUGAAAUUCAUGCACGAGAUGAAGGAAAUGUAAGGAUCGUCCAAAGGAUAAAGUACAAAAGAAACUAGGAGCAAAAAUGAAGAAAAAGAAAGAAGUGAAAAACUGGAAAUUGAUCAGCACAGAUCUGAGCUCGGAUCCAUGUGAACAAAGGGCGAUCCGAGCCCUCCUCUGUACUUCUGAAGCAGUGCAUUCGAGUCCAGACAAUCCAAGCUCGGAUCAUUAAGAGAAAGACCUCAGAUCAGCCUUGAUCCGAGCUCGGAUCGUAGUGCACACCUCGGAUCCAGGGCGCGAAUCUGCCUCUCUCUUCUGCAAGUGGCAAUGCCGUUUUUUCUCAUUUUUCACACAACUUUCCAGCUAUCUUGGGUGAGAGAAUUCGAUGGCACAUGCUUCUGCAACAAAAGGAAAGACAAAAUGAGUUAUUGACAAGUCAAAACAACAUUUCUUUUGACUUUCUUUACAAAAUCUGAGUUGUUGGAAUCAUGAAGGAGAACAAAUUGCCUUUCUACCACCUUUUAUGCAGAGAACCAAGGAGAAGUCAGGCAUCACCAUAUGGAAGGAGUUUUUCAUCUUGUAACAUUUUUCUCUCUAACUAGAAGUUCUAAAAACAAGCACUUGGAGAUUUCACUUGUAAUCAUCUUGUACAAGACAUAGCAGAAAUUUGAGGGUUUCACCAUUAAUUGGCUAAGCUUUUCUUUAUCUUUCUUGUACUUGUACUUUAUGAUGUUUUGCAUUAAUAAACUUGUGAGUUUGAUUGUCAUAAUAUCAUUCAUGAGUAGCUAAAUUUCUUUAUCUAGAGAGUAGAUGAAACUUAUGGCUAAAUGAUAUGAAUUGAAUGUGAUUUACACUUGUUAUAUCUUGUAUUAACUUGUCUAUUUGUGCAGUUGUAAUUACUUGUUGUUGUUUGAUCACCAAUAGCAUGUUUAUAGUUGUUAUUAGUCAAUGAGAAUUGGUAGUAACAAUGAAAAAAAUAUGAGUAGAGCUUGAGUUGUAUGUUCAUGAAAAUAGAUGUACACUUAAGUGGAUUAGCUAGCAUUUCAUGAAGGAAAACAGAGUAGAACUAGUAGUUCACCAUGAAUAUAGGGAAAACUGGAUUGCUCUAGGGCAUUUUAUCAUGAGAAUGAGAUUUGAUAAUAUUAGAAAUGAAUCCCUAAUUAAACAACAAUAAUAACAAGAGGUAAAUCUAUUCAUUUAUGUUGUUUAUGCCAUAAGUAGAAUCAACAUCCCUAGAUUUUUUCUUGAGUGAAAUUUAUCCAUUUACAUUUAGCAUUUGUUAAACUAGAUUUAUAGACAAUAGCAUUAUAAUUUAUCUGCUCAAAUUCAUUUAUAAGUCUAAAUAAUAGAGAAAAUAAGGUCCUAGUACUUGUUUAAAUUGCUCCUCGUGGGAUCGACUCGAUACAUACCUUACAUUACGAUUUCGACCUGUAUAGUUGCAGUCAACGGGUAUAAAAUCGAAUUCAAACUUGUAUUGAUAUAAAAAUUCCAUCAAAUUUUUGGUGCCGUUGCCGGGAGCGGCAAUAUUAGGGUCUAAUCAUUUCUAUUAAUUUAGACAUUUCUAUUGUUUUUAAGUUGUUUAUAGUUGAUUUUGCAUUAAUUUAGUUUUUGACAAUUAAAGCUGCAUAAUUUCUCUUAUUUCUAUUUGUAGUAUAUGCAUCGAACAUAUCGAAAAGUUGCACCUUUCGAUCCAGAAAUUGAGAGGACACUUCUUAGACAAAUGAGGAAUAUACCGCAUCAAGAGAAACAAGAGCUUUGGCAGCUAAUAGAGGAAAUUUUGAUAGAGCUACCAUUUGAGGAAGAAAUGGCGGAAAACAAACCAAAUAGACGAGUUCUACGAGAUUUUGCUUUACCGGAGACACAAAGAUCUCAAACUAGCAUUGCAAGACCAACGGUAAAUGCUAAUAAUUUUAAAAUUAAACCAUCACUGAUUCAAAUGGUUCAACAAUCUCAAUAUGGAGGUAAUGCUACCAAAGAUCCAAAUUCUCACUUGUCAACAUUUCUUGAAAUCUGUGAUACAAUUAAGUUUAAUGGUGUUAGUGAUGAUACAAUUAAACUUCGAUUGUUUUCAUUUUCGCUAAGGGACAAGGCCAAGGUUUGAUUACAAUCUCAUCCUCCAAACACUUUUACUACUUAUGCUGAAUUAGUUAAGGCUUUUCUUAAUAAAUUCUUUCCACUUGGAAAAACUGCUAAACUUAGAAUGAAUAUAACUAGUUUCUCUCAAUAGAAAGAAGAGACAUUGUACGAAGGUUGGGAGCGCUAUCGGGAAUUACAACGAAGAUGUCCUCAUCAUGGUUUACUAGAUUGGCUUAUAGUGCAAACAUUUUACAAUGGUCUCACUUAUCCAACAAAGACGCAUGUAGAUGCAGCAGCGGGAGAAGCAUUGAUGGGAAAGUCAGCCAAGGAAGCUCAACAAUUGAUUGAAGAAAUGGCUGCUAAUAACUACCAAUGGGUCCAACGAACGAGAUAAUACAAGGAGAACCGCAGGUAUACUCGAAGUAGAUACCUUGAAUAUGUUAAGUGCAAAGAUGGAUAAUGUGGUUAAGAUGCUUAAUAGGCAUGUUAGUUCUAACUCUAAUCAAGGAGUAGUUGUUACAUGUUCUACUACUUGCAGCGGAGAUCAUGAUGAUUCUAUGUGUUCUAGCAGCGAACAAGUUCAAUAUAUCAACAAUUACAACCGUCCACCCCAAAAUAAUCUAUACUCUAAUACCUACAAUCCAGGAUGGCGUAAUCAUCCGAAUUUUGGAUGGAAGGAUCAAGGGAACCAACAAAGACUAGUUAAUCCACCGAAUUUUCAACUGAAGCAACCACUUUCGGAGUCCAAACCAGCUUGGGAAUUGAUAAUUAAGAAGCUGGCAAAUGUAUCAAAUGAUAAAAUUGAAAAGUUAGCUAGUGCCACUACUCAACGGUUUAAAAGAAUUGAGGGAAGGAUGGACCAACUCACCAAUAUGUACAGGAAUGUUGAGAUCCAAUUAUGGCAAAUAGCAAAUGCAGUUAACAAUUGCAACCAAAGGGAUUUACCUAACAAGACUGAGCUGAACCCAAGGGAGCAUGUGAAGGCCAUAACCCUCCGUAGUGGUAAGGAAGUAGGUGAGUCACCUGUAGUUGAAAGUGAGAGAAAAUAUGAAAGAAGAAAAAACAAGCAGUUGAGUGAGUUAGGAGAUGAUAACAAAACAAUUGAUGGGAAAGAAAAGGUAGAAGAGUGUGAGCCACAAAUUGAAGCGGCAACACCAAUUCCUCCACCGGUGCCAUUUCCUCAAAGAUUGAAACCUUCAAGAAAUGACAAAGAAUUUGAGAAGUUUGUCAACAUUUUCAAACAAUUACAUAUUAACAUUCCUUUUGUUGAUGCUAUUUUGCAGAUUCCUUCAUAUGCAAAGUUUCUCAAAGAAAUAAUGACUAAGAAAAGGAGGUUAGUAGAUAGUGAAAUAAUUGCAUUAACGAAAGAAUGUAGUGCCAUCAUACAAAAUAAAUUGCCACCAAAGUUGAAAGAUCCGUGGAGUUUCACAGUUCCUUGCACUAUCGGUAAUGUAGAAUUCUCUAAAGUACUAUGUGACCUUGGUGCGGGUGUUUCAUUGAUUCCUUUAACAGUGGCUAGGCAAUUGGGGUUGAAAGAGUUAAACCGUACUAACAUUUCCUUGCAAUUGGCUGACAGGUCUAUUAGAUAUCCAAUGGGCAUUUUGGAGAAUGUGCUUAUUAAAGUGCAGAAAUUCAUUAUCCUGUUGAUUUUAUUGUUUUAGAUAUAGAGGAAGAUGUCAAUGUACCUAUUAUACUUGGUAGAUCAUUUCUGACCACUGCAGACACAAUAAUAGAUGUUAAACGUGGUAAGUUUAAGUUCCAAAUUGGUGAAGAGGAAGUGGAGUUUGAUUUGAGUAAAGUGGAGAAGUAUCCCUCUUUUACUGACCAUAUUUAUUCUAUUGACAUAUGUGAUGAAUUAGCAUUAAAGAUAAGUCAAGUUAAUCUUGAUGAUGAUUCUCUUGAACUCUGUCUUAAUGAUGUAGGCUUACAAGAGAAACAAGUUGAAGAAAUGACUGAAUUUUCGCGGGCACAAGUUCCUUAUAAAAGGAGAAAUGCGUAUGAGGAGUUAGGGCUGAACAAAGGGCUACCUCUACCAUCGUGUGAGCAAGCUCCAUGGCUUGAGUUUAAGCCACUCUCUAAACACUUCAAAUAUGCAUUUUUUGGAGAAAAUGAGACAUUACCGGUUAUUGUCAAUACUGCACUACAUGAGGAACAACUAGGAAAGUUUUUACGUGUUUUGAGGAAGCAUUUAAAGGCUAUAGGAUGGACAAUUUCUGAUAUCAAAGAAAUUAGUCCAACUAUUUGUAUGCACAGAUUUUGUUAGAAGAAAAUUCUAAACCGAUGGUUAAAAUUCAAAGAAGGUUAAAUCCAAACAUGAAAGAAGUGAUAAGAGUACAAAUCUUUAAAUGGUUGGAUGCAGGUAUAAUUUUUCCAAUCUCUGAUAGUGUUUGUAUUUCUCCUAUUUAUGUAGUGCUAAAGAAAAGGGGAAUAACCAUAGUGUGGUAAAAAUGAUGAAAUGAUUUCCUCUAGAGUUGUAGUUGGGUGACGAGUCUGUACUAAUUAUAGAAACUGAAUGCAGCUACUAGAAAGGAUCAUUUCCCUUUUCCUUUUCUUGAUCAAAUGGUAGAAAGAUUGGCUGGAUAUGAAUUUUUUGUUUCUUGGAUGGUUUUUCAGGAUACAAUCAAAUAGUCAUUGCACCGAAAGAUCAAGAUAAAACCACAUUCACUUGUCCUUACGGCACUUUUGCAUUUCGAAGAAUGCCUUUUUUGACUAUAUAAUCCACCGGCCACUUUCCAAUAUUGCAUGAUGGCAAUUUUCUCUGAUUUUAAUGAGAAAAUCAUGAAAAUCUUCAUGAAUGAUUUUUCUGUAUUUGGAUCUACUUAUGAUCAUUGCCUUAACCAUUUAGAUCUAAUUUUGCAGAGAUUUGAAGAAACAAACCUUGUACUCAAUUGGAAAAAAUGUCACUUUAUGGUUUGUGAGGGUAUUGUUCUAGGCACAAAAUUUCUUCAUAAGGUAUUGAGAUAGAUCAAGCCAAGAUAGAGUGUUGGCCUAAUCAGCAACAUCCCUCAGAUCCCGGCUCGAAGGACUAACCGCCCAGCCCGUGGCACCUAGGGGUGCAGCCCUCAUGCUGGCCGAGCGUGGUACGGUGCUUUGCGCUGCCAUUGUGGUUAAGGAAAUAAAGUUGCACCUUCGCUAACUGCUAUAGCUUUUGGUGCAAUGGUAAGCGCUUGAUCCUUACAUAGAGGUUAUUGAGAGAAUGCCUCCACCUACCAAUGUGAAAGGCAUUCGAAAUUUUCUUGAACACGUGAAAUUUUAUCGGCAGUUUAUUAAGGAUUUCUCCAAGACUGCUAAACCUUUAUGUAAAUUACUUGCAAAAGAUAUUACUUUUCAUUUUAAUGAUGAGUGUUUAUUUGCUUUUAAUAGGUUGAAGAAGAAACUUGUCUCCACACCCAUAAUAGCAUCACCGGAUUGGAGCUUGCAAUUCAAAUUGAUGUGUGAUGCGAGUGAUUUUGCAGUUGGAGUUGUUCUUGGAUAAAAACAUUAUAAGCAAUUUCAUGUCAUUUAUUAUGCAAGUAAAAUGUUAAAUGAAACCUAAGUCAACUAUGCAACAACAGAGAAGGAGUUGCUAGCAGUGAUAUUUGCAUUGGAUAAGUUUAGAUCGUAUUUAGUAAGAUCUAAAGUCAUCAUUUAUAUCGACCAUGCAGCAUUCAAAUAUCUCUUAAAUAAGAAAGAUGCAAAACCUGGACUAAUUCGAUGGAUUUUAUUAUUGCAGGAAUUUGAUUUGGAGAUCAAAGAUAAAAAAGAUCAGAGAACUUAGUCGCUGAUCAUCUUUCUAAACUGAAAAACAUGCUUCAAGAAGACCAUUCAUCCAUUAAAGAAGAAUUUCCAUAUGAGUUUUUUGAUGGCAAUUUAAAAGUCACCAUUGUAUGCUAAUUUAGUUAAUUUUGUAGUUAGUGGAGUGAUAUCAAGUGAUUUGAAUUCCCACCAAAGGAAAAAAUUCUUAAAUGAUGCUAAACAUUAUUUUUGGAAGAACCAUUCUUUUAUAAAUAUUGUGCAAAUGGAAUAAUUAGAAGAUGUGUUCCAGAAAAAGAGGUACACAGUAUUUUAAUGCAUUGUCAUACCCUUGAAACGGGAGGUCAUUUUAGUACAACUAAAACGUAGCAAAGGUAUGACAAUCUGGAUUUUACUGGCCUACUAUAUACCGAGAUGCUAGAAAUUGGGUUAAAAGUUGUGAUUAAUGCCAAAGAACUGGUAACAUCUCUAGAAAGAUGAAAUGCCUUUAACUACAUAUUUGGAAGUUGAGCUAUUUGAUGUUUGGGGUAUUGAUUUUAUGGGACCAUUUCUGGUUCGUUUAAUAAUAAGUACAUCUUAGUAGCAGUGGAUUAUGUUUCUAAAUGGGUAGAGGCAAUUGUUUCACCUACUAAUGACUCUAAGGUUGUACUCCGGUUUCUUAAAAAGAAUAUUAUUUGCAGAUUUGGUAUCUCAAAGGCCAUAGUUAGUGAUAAAGGAAAAUAUUUUUGUAAUAAACAACUUCACUCCUUAUUGUUUAAAUAUGGCUGCAGGCACAAGACAUCACUUCUGUACCAUCCUCAAGCCAAUGGACAAGCGAAACUAGCUAAUUGAGAGAUAAAGCUCAUUUUGGAGAAAACUGUAACUAAAUCAUGCAAAAAUUGGGCUACAAAGCUAGAUGAUGUACUAUGGACUUACCGAACGGCAUUUAAGACACUUUAGGGAUGUCGCCGUAUCGUUUAGUCUAUGGAAAACUUGUCACUUACCUGUAGAGAUUGAACAUAAAGUUUAUUGGGCUAUUAAAGCAAUUAACAUGGACUUUAAUCUUUCAGGUGGAAGGAGGCUACUUGAGUUAAGUGAAUUGGAGGAACACCGGUUACAUGCGUAUGAAAAUGCUAAAAUUUAUAAAGGGAAGAUCAAAUAUUGGCAUGAUAAAUAUAUUCUUCCUAAGCAUUUUGAAGAAGGGCAAAAGGUGUUAUUGUUUAACUCAAGACUUAAAUUGUUCCCUGGAAAGCUUAAGUCUCGAUGGUCCGGACCAUUUGAAAUAGUUCGCACAUUUCUUAUGGAGCGGUGGAAAUAAAAGGAGAAAAUGGUGUCCCAUUCAAGUGAAUGAUCAAAGAUUGAAGCUCUAUUUGGCUGGAGAAAGGGUUCCUAAAGGAGUGAUUUACUCCUUAGGAAAUACAAUGGAGAGUUAAGGAAGCUGUAGGAGAGUCGAGUUUAGCGACUUUAAAUAAAACACUUGUUGGGAGGCAACCCAAUAAUAAUAUUGUAGUUGUGUGUUUUUAUAUGUUUCUUAAAUUUUGGUGUUAUUUGAUUGACUAAUUAUAUGUAUUUCACUUGUUGUAGGGGGUGCCGGCAUUUCAACUUCCAUCUUGGAGGUGCACUUGAAGAACAAUAGUUAAAAGGGAAGUUUUCUUACCAAUUUCUAUUUUAAGUGUUUAAAAUUCCCUUUCAUGUAUAAUAUGUUGCAUUUCCAUUAUAUUCAAGUAAGUUUCAGUGAUAACAUGUUUAUACAUGCUCAUUGAUUCAUUUGAUUUGUAUCUCAUACCUAAGGGAGCCCUCUUAGUGUAAAAGCGCCAAAAUGAUCAAAGAAACUCACCCCUCGAUUUGCAAUGUAUAUGUGUUUGAUGUAUUUUGAGAGGUUGAUAUUGUGUUUAUGGUAUAUUACACUUGCGUGAAAGGGUAUAAUUGAUAGAAAUUUCGUCCAAGGUGUAAUUUGGAAAUUGUCGAAAAAGGGGGAAAAAGUUUGAAAAAUUGCAAUUUCUGAAAUUGUUGCAGAAAAAGCCUGAUCCGAGCUCGGAUCCGUUAAAGAUUCAAAGACGAAAUUGGCGAUCCGACCUCGGAUCCGAAGUUGUUCACUAUGAUCCGAGGGCUCAUCUGUGUUUCUAGAAGGCCGGAUCCGAGCCUAUAGGAUCCGAGCCUUGGUAUACACGAUCCGACCUCGGAUUGUGUAUUCUUGAAAAAUUCAGCAUAGGGGAUCUGAGCUUGGAUCCAACAAAAUCUAAUAGGAUCCGAGGGCUCAGCUGAACUUCUGAAGUAGCGGAUCUGAGGGAUGCCAGAACCGAUCUGACCUCGGAUCUGUGCGCGAUAAGAAACAAAUCCGAGGCUUUGAUUCUGCAUUUGUCCAAUUCUCCUUUUCCUAUUUCACCGAAAACCCUAGCCCUUCUUCACCAAUCUUCCAUUUCAUCCAAUAAUUAUUCAAUCUUUCACCACAAAAACAUCUCCCAACCUCUUGUGAUCAUAAACCCUCAACAAAUUCAUUUUAAAAACAUCAAUUUGGGGGUUUUGAUCUUCAAAACGGGAAUUCAGGCCGCACUGAAAUCUCACAAUUUGUGGUCGAAUUUGGGCUUGUUUCUUCAUCACUUUGUAUCAUUAUCAUCCUCCACCAUCAAUCUACACAUUUGAGGUAACAAUUUACAAUUUUUUUGAGAUUUUAUAAUUCCCAAUUUUACAUUUUUCUAGUUUUGGACAUAUUUUGGUAAUUGCUCAUAAGUUGAAAUUUCUUGAUACAAUUGUGCUACAUUGUGCUUAAAUAGAUUGUCACAACUAUUUUCAUGCUUAGUUUUGAGAGAAUUGUGGAUUUGGUAUUAUUUUGUAGAUUUUUCUUCUAAAAUUUUAGGUUAAUGCACAUGAACUCUUUAAUGAAUGAAAUUACUCCUCUAUGUGAACUACUUGCAUGCUUAAAAUUGAGAAAAUUGUUAUUAUAGUGAUAUUUUUGUAUAUUUUUCUCAAUUUUAAGUUUAAGUAUGUUAAAUCUUUUACUUGAAUAUUCCUUGUUCUUAGAGAUAAUUGGCAUUCAUUAAGAAGAAUUGGAGCUCAUUAGUUGGCAUUUUAGUGAUAAUGUGUAUAGCCAAUUAGUGUGUAAUUCUUGGAUAAAAUCAUGAGAUAAUUGGCCCGUACGUUCUUGAAGUAAUGAAAUUGAUCUUUUAAGAGUCCUUUUUACUUUGAGAUUAUAUUCUAUUGUUGAAAUAUGCAUCAAUUCUCAAGAGAUUGGACUUUUUAAUGAGAUUCUAAUUAAAAUAUGCUGUUCAAUUGUUGAAAGUGGAAUAUUCAAACCAUGUGUUGAGAUUGUAGAUUGAAAUUGAUAUCAUACAUGUGCAAUGAGUUUGUGAAUUGGUUAAAUACGAUAUGGUCGUGAAUUUGUUGAUUGUUGGCAGGGAGUUUCUUCCUUUUAUUGGGGGAAACUCUGCCGAAAUUUUCCCAAAUCAUUUUUAAACAUUGUUGGUCGUGUAUUUUCAAGGAAUUUAGAAUUCUUUUAAUGUGUGUUUGAUCUUAUUUUUGAUAUAGGUACCAUGGCUCGCACAAGACGAUCUCGUGUUCGUUUUUGAUAUAGGUACCAUGGCUCACACAAGACGAUCUCAUGUUCGCACUCCUUCACCUUCUUCAAGUGAAGAGCGUACUCCUUCAAUGCCUAAGGAGUCACCAGGGGAAGAAUCUCCUUAACCACAGUCGUCGCCACACUUACGGCGUAAGAGAGCAUCUACGAGACAUGAGAAGCCAACUCCAGAUUAUGACACCACUCAUUUUACCUCACUCGAGAAUCAAUAGUGGUACGAGACCGGUUUAGACAAAGAGUUCAUAAUUGAAAAACACUUGGCCCCGGAGGUGGAUGACCACUACAAGAUCUCCAUGGCAUUCAAGCGACUUGGAUGGGAGACUAUACUAAAUUUGCCGAAACAUUACUAUCCCAAUCUGGUCUGGGAGUUUUACGCCAAUGUGGAAGACAAAUAGAACCACAGUGGCAACCUCAUCAUCUCCUGGGUUCGAGGCAAGAGAGUGGCUCUCACUCGACAUACAAUCACCCAAAUCGUCAAACUAAAGGACAAUGGAGAAGAUGUUAAAUUGACCAAGGAAUUUAAGGCACGUGAUCCAUGGCAAGUCUGAGAAGCUGUGGCAUGUCUUAAGGGUCAAUAUCGAGAGCGAGAAAGUUCGAAAAGCUCAUUGUAUACGCCAAUUCCUUUGAGUAUAGGUACCACCUGAUCUUCUAUCUCUUCACGCUUCAAUGUGGUACCGAAAAGGAGUGAAAAAAGGGAGCUCGAAACGGUGACUUGUAUUUCCUCGAUAAUAUGAUGCACGGUGUGGGUAGGCUGCUGACUAGUAUUCCUCUGGCCAGCAUCAUCAUCAGUUACAUGUGUACUACAGCUCGCAUGAGAGCCGACGAAACUUGCUUUGGGUUCCCUCGUUUGCUCUCCCUUAUUUUUAAGCAACUCAAGGUUCCUCUGGGAACCGAGCGAGCCAUUAUUACUAGGGCAGCCGAGGAAGUCAAUGGCUUAGUACUCAGGUCCUUAGGUAUUCCUACGAAUUUUGGAGCUUCUCUAGUACGGGAUGUUGGAGAAGCAUUGACUUCCACUCAGCCUCCACCUCACACUGAACCACACCAGGAAGCUCAAGAGACGGAGGCACAGCAGACUCUCCCUCCUCCCAUUCCACGACCACCCCCUCCACAACGAUCCAAGUGGCAAGAGGCCCUCAAUGCCAUCUGCUGUAUAGAGACACAAGUCAUGGAGCGCAUUGAUCAGACAGAGCGGCUGAUGACGGAGCGACUAGACAGGCAUGAUCACCGUCUUCGAGCGAUCGAGGAUCAUUUCCACAUUCGCCGCUCCCCUACACUGAUUCCUGAGCCAAGGCCCAAUGAGGGGCAUGCAGAUCGUGAGGAGGGUGGUGGCAAUGCAGAUCAUGAGUAGGGCGGCAGCACUGAAGUGACUGAGCUUGGCGUCUCCUAUGCAUAAUUUACUCUCUUUUCGGCUUUUAUUUAGUUUUUCAUCUUUUAUUUUCAAUUUGGUGUUAACUUUUUGUUAUUUUUCUGUUUUUCUUAAAACUUGUGGAAUGGUCUCACUUUCUAUGGAUAUAUAUUUUUCCCUGCAUGCAGAAUUUGGCUAGUAGAAUUUGGAUGAUCGUGAUGAUCGUGGUUUCAAAUUGCAUCACUACUUUUUUUGAGGGGAGUAUUAGUUUCUUUUACCUUCCUCUACAAUAAGGAUAUUGUGAAUUUUAAGUGUGAGGGAGGGAUUACUUUAUCUUAUGGGGUGAUUAUGUUUUGAAGUGCAUGAUUUUAGUUGUUUAUGGCCUAGAAAUAUUGGAAUCAUAUUUGAAAAUAUUGUCAUGAAGAUAAUUUUCUUAAAUUGAGGCUAUUGGCAGGGAAUUUUAUCCAUUUAUAUGGGAAACUCUGUCAAAAUUUUUCUAAAAUAUUUUCAAUAUUUCUAAAAUAUUUUUCAAUAUUUCAUUACAAUUCUUUCCAAUAAUGGCCGAAAUGUUCAAUUUUAAAUGCCUAAUUCUUCCAUUGGAUAAAAUGUUAUAUGUAUUUUGGAAAGUUUAGUCUUAUUUGACUUGGCAUUAGUCAUUAUACAAUUAGGAUUUUUACAUUUUAGAAAGUAUAUUCGGUUAAAUAAGAAAAAUUAUACUUAGAAUUUUGCAGGUUUAAUGAUAUUUCUCAUUUUUACUUAAUUUUAUAAGUAAGUGAUUGAUAUAAUCAAAACAAGGCCAGAUUCAUCCUUUAAUUAUGCUCAGAGGGAAGAGAUUGAUUGUUUAAAAAAAAAAUUUCUACUCCAAUGAUUCGCAUACUGAGUAACCGGGGGUUAGCAUUUACAAAUGUCGACAUUCGCGUAAAAAGGUAUUGGAAUUAAGAGUGUGCUUAGCAAUUUGAAUGAGUGAAAUGUUGAGUAACCGGGAAUGUUCACCUAAAAGUGUAGAUUUUCGCAUAAAAAGGCAUUGUCACUAUUUAAGUAAAUGAAGUAUAAAUAAAUCCCUCUCAGUUAUGAAAAUUUUGAUGGAUAUAUGAUGAGAAAGGCCAUAGAAUUGAUUAUGUGAUUUACUUAUUUGUGAAAUUAGGAUAGGAUGAGAGAUUGAGUUGAAAUUGUUAAAAUUAAGAUAUAAUUAUCUUUAUUUAACUUGAUAUUAUGAGUAUUUAGUGUAAUCUGAGAAUUGGCAUAAUGAUUGGUUUCUAGGUUUUGAGGAACUAAAAUUGACAAAAGUACGUAUAUUGUUUUAUCUCUUGAAUCAUUGUAGUAAGUUAUGUGUGAAAUUGCUUGAGGACAAGCAAUGAUUCAAGUCUGGGGGAAUUUGAAAGAGAAUAUUUAACAUACAUUUUGUACAAGUUUGGCAUGAACUUUUGGUAUGUUUUGAGAAGAUUAAAGCCAUAUUUGCACUCUUUUGGUGAUAAAUGUUUAAAUAUUGUGAGUGGAUUAAUACGUUAAUUUUGUGAAAUUGUGAAGGAUAUUGAUAUAUGAAAUUCAUGCACGAGAUGAAGGAAAUGUAAGGAUCGUCCAGAGGAUAAAGUACAAAAGAAACUAGGAGCAAAAUGAAGAAAAAGGAAAGAAGUGAAAAACUGAAAUUGAUCAGCACGGAUCCGAGUUUGGAUCCGUGUGAACAAAGGGUGAUUCCAAGCUCUCGUCUGUACUUUGGAGCAGUGCAUCCGAGGCCAGACGAUCCGAGCUCGAUCAUUAAGAGAAAGGCCUCGGAUCAGCCUUGAUCCGAGCUCGGAUCGUAGUGCACACCUCGGAUCCAAGGCUCGGAUCUACCUCUCUCUUCUGCAAGUGGCACAGCCAUUUUUUCUCAUUUUUCACACAACUUUUCAGCUAUCUUGGGUGAGAGAAUUCGUGGCACAUGCUUCUGCAACAAAAAGGAAGACAAAAUGAGUUAUUGACAAGUCAAAACAACAUUUCUUUUGACUUUCUUUACAAAAUCUGAGUUGUUGGAAUCAUGAAGGAGAAGAAAGUGCCUUUCUACCACCUUUUUAUGCAGAGAACCAAGAAGUCAGGCAUCACCAUAUGGAAGGAGUUUUUCAUCUUGUAACAUUUUUCUCUCUAACUAGAAGUUCUAAAAACAAGCACUUGGAGAUUUCACUUGUAAUCAUCUUGUACAAGACAUAGCAGAAAUUUGAGGGUUUCACCAUUAAUUGGCUAAGUUUUUCUUUAUCUUUCUUGUACUUGUACUUUAUGAUGUUUUGCAUUAAUAAACUUGUGAGUUUGAUUGUUAUAUCAUUCACGAGUAGCUAAAUUGCUUUAUCUAGAGAGUAGAUGAAACUUAUGGCUAAAUGAUAUGAAUUGAAUGUGAUUUACACUUGUUAUAUCUUGUAUUAACUUGUCUAUUUGUGCAAUUGUAAUUACUUGUUGUUGUUUGAUCACUAAUAGCAUGUUUAUAGUUGUUAUUAGUCAAUGAGAAUUGGUAGUAACAAUGGAAAAAACAUGAGUAGAGCUUGAGUUGUAUGUUCAUGAAAAUAGAUGUACACUUAAGUGGAUUAGCUAGCAUUUCAUGAAGGAAAACAGAGUAGAACUAGUAGUUCACCAUGAAAAUAGGGAAAAUUGGAUUGCUCUAGGCCAUUUUAUCAUGAGAAUGAGAUUUGGUAUUAUUGGAAAUGAAUCCCUGGUUAAACAACAAUAAUAACAAGAGGUAAAUCUAUUCAUUUGUGUUGUUUAUGCCAUAAGUGGAAUCUACAUCCCUAGAUUUAUUCUUGAGUGAAAUUUAUCCAUUUGCAUUUAGCAUUUGUUAAACUAGAUUUAUAAACAAUAGCAUUAUAAUUUCUCUGCUCAAAUUCAUUUAUAAGUCUAAAUAAUAGAGAAAAUAAGGGUCUAGUACUUGUUUAAAUUGCUCCUCGUGGGAUCGACUCGAUACAUACCUUACAUUACGGUUUCGGCCUGUAUACUUGCAGUCAACGGGUAUAAAAUCGGAUUUAAACUUGCAUUGAUAUAAAAAUCCCGUCACAUAUGUGAGAUCGAAUUAUUUUACUUAUUUCUUUUAUUCAUUGGUAUUUGUACAUUUUCUGAUUUAACUUCAUAUACUUGUUAUGUUAUUUGAAUGUCAAGGGCCCGAUAUUAGAAUUAACCUAAUAAUCUACUGUCAGAUUAAUUGAUUGAAUCUGUAAUUGUUCAAUUGAUUAAUACUAGUGGCAACUAGCGUGAUUGGUUUUAUGUUAGGGAAACGUAUAAUCUAAUUUAAACGAACCCUUGUAGCGUGUUUGUUAAUUAGGGUUGGGUUUUUCUAAUUCUUAUUGCAAUUGAGAAAUUAAAUCCUAUAGUCGUACCUAGGGUUAUUUUGGUUAGGAAAAAGUUAAUGGUCGUACCUUAACUAUCAAAAAAGUAAGGAAAGGUUGGUUGUUUAUCGCGUGUAUAACAACUAUAACCAAUCUAUUAAUUAGUAAUUGAAUUAUCUUUGCAUCGAUGAUCAGUUGAAUGGACCAUGUCUGAAAAGUUGCACCUUUGGCUAGAGUUGUAUUGGUUAUUGAUUAAUUCCUGUUUAUUUCUAUUAGUUGUUUUAUUAGUUGAUUAAUUAGUUAUUUUAUAUUUUCCAAAAACCCCCAUACUUCGGACUCUGGAAGAAAUGAAUUAUCCCCAGUCCCUGUGGAUUCGACCCUGCUCACCGCUAUAUACAAAUUUGUAUUUUUCUUGAGUAGAUAAUUAUUAUUGCACAUGUUCAACACCUGUCAUUCUAUAACUGUAUACAGAGUCAUCUUUUUCAAAGAUUUCCCAUGCUGCAAAAUGUACUCUACGAGCUUUAUUUCAUUUCCUCCCUAUAAAUUGUCUAAUUCCAAUCUGCCUAAGAUGUUCAACAAAGCGUAUUGGGAAAACUAUUUGGAAAUGUAGAUUCCAGGUCCUUGUAUAUGCAAAGUCCUUCUUACACAACUUUACAUAUUGAGAAGAUCAAAAAUUGCAAAACAUAAUAAUACUUGAAAUUAGUGAGAAUAUAUCCAAAAGAAACAAAAUAUUAAUACCUGAAAUCAGGUUUUACAAUCUGUGCACAAAAAGCACCUAAACCCAAAUGACCCAUGUUGGAAUAGACCAAGUUUAGUUCAACUGCAGAAAUUCCUAGUACAAUGGAACUGCAACUUCAAAUUCAGUAAAUUGCAAACUGAUAUUAUGAUUCUAUAAAUCCUAAAAUCUCACCCAAGUCCUCUUGCCUCCAACACAAAGUAUGUACACAGAUGCUGACCUAUUCUAUACACUUGUAGGUAAAUUCAAAUCAGACGGCAUUCAAUAGAACUGCCUUGAUUGGCUCCAUAUCAGCACUAUUGCUCUUUAAAUCUAAAUUGAUUAAGCUACACAAAAAGGGAUUACAUUAGAUGGAGAAAUUUUACUGAUUGCAUAUGAAAUAAGGGCUAAAAUCAACUAGGAAAAGCAGAGAAGUUAACCUCAACCGACCAGGAAACAAGAUGCAAAAGUCAGAAGUUGUUAGCUUAAACCUCAACCAAAAGAAAAAUGCAAUCUUUGAUAUUAAACACAUAACCCACAUAAGUUAGCUUCACAGAGUCCAGAAGGAUGGUGGAACUCAAUUUUCCUAAAAUUGUGAGGAAAAUAAUUCAAUCUUAGAAAUCUAACACAAAUAAUGGUAAUAAAAACGCACAAGAAGGGUAUAAAAACUUACAAAAUGGCGCCAAAAUAUAGAUCUAACAGUAUUUGAAGCAAAUGGAUGAAGCAUUGAAGUUGUUCUAAGAUUUUUGGACAGCAAUAAACCUAAGCUCCUUCACGUUUAGCAAUUCUUAGGAGAUAGACAGGAGGCGGGUCUUCUUUUUUAGCAAUUCCUUAGAGGUCUCCUUCCCGUUUAGCAAUUCCCGCAUAUGUUCUUCUAUUUUUGGACUAAAAACCACCGAUGUUGGCCUUUGAGAGAAGAACAGAUGCGUGCUUCUCAAUUGACAGAGACAAGAGAGGACUAACCUUUCUAUGUAUAUAUCCCUCAGCCUCUAACAAGCCUUUGAAUUUUGACGGAAGGAUGUUGCGGGAAAAAUAAAAUUCUUGGAGGGAAUAAAACGCGCGUCCUAAAUUCUGAUUUAAGUGUUGCAGUUAAAAGUUUCUAAUUGGAGUAUAUUAUAUAAUAUAUAGAAUGACUAUUGAGUAUUAGAAGUAUAUAAUUUGAAAGAAAUCAUGUAUGAAAAAUGAAACUAAUGAAAAUAUUCAUGUGCAAUCAAUAUAAUAAAUUGUCAUCUUUAUAAUUUUUAAGUUUGCAAUUCAUAAAUAUGGUAACAAAUAAUGUAAUUCAUGUGCAAUCAAUAUAAUUAUAUUGUUAAUUAAGGUUAUAAUUGUGCUAUAUAAAGUAUUUGGGACAAUUUGAAAAAUAUCUAGAAAUUUGGGACUACUUAUAAUAUAUUCAAAAUGUAUUUUGAUUAAACUAUACAACUUGUCCUUUCUUGUUGUAAAUCCAAAUUCAAUUAUGGAACAAUAUACAUGGAAAAUUUGACCUUAUAUGUGUAUAAAUCAUCUUAUUAAUAAAAUAGUUAAACACAAUACAUUUAGUUAACUAUGAUUUAGUGAUUGAUUAUUACAUCAUUUUUUAUAUAAUACGAUAAUUAAAUAUUACAUAUAUAAUAAAAUGUUUCAAAUAUAUUUUAAUUGAUCGAAAAAAUGGUAUACUUACAAUAAACAAAUAAUUAAAGAAAAUUUUGAGAGUAGAAUUUUGUGCUAAAAAUGUGUAUUUUGGGUUCAAAUUUAUAACCACCACUUAUCCACUUAGAAUUAGCAAAAGUAUUAAUUCAUUUCUAAAGACUCUAAACCAUACUAAUUUAUUAUAAUAAAGAUACAAAACACUAGCUCCAUGUGAUAACCUAUAGCAAAAAUCAUCUAUUCACUUUAGUAAAAUAUAUGAGUCAAAUUUAAAGAUUCAUCAAAUUUUAUAGGUUUUAAAAUUGGGGUGCGUUAUUUACAUGGAUUUAAAGCUGUCUGAAUAUAGUUUACUACGCAAUAAACGACACUCAAUUUCGAGUUUUCUACACAAAGAUAUGACCAAAAUACUAAAAUUGUUACUUAAUUUUUUGAAAAAUAGUAGGAUCGUAUGAUCCGGAUUACGAUCCUAUUAAUCUUGAAUUUAAUGCUAAUUUUUUAUCCUACUUACAAUUUGGAUCGUUAGCCAUGAUCCGUAUCGUAGGAUCGUAGAUCGCGAUUCUAGCAACUAUGGUUGUAGUUAAAAGUUUCUAAGAAUUGGAGUAUAUUAUAUAAUAUAUAGAAUGAAUAUUGAGUAUUAGAAGUAUAUAAUUUGAAAGAAAUCAUGUAUGUGAAAAAUGCAACUAAUGAAAAUAUUCUCAAUAUACAGCUGAAAAAAUAACUAAGUUUGAUAAAUUUGCAUUUAAUUUUUAGAUAGAAGUUUGUUGUAUGAUAUGUAAUUGCCAUUUCUUGAAAUUAUUCUUCACUCUUAUACCUUCACUAAACUUCAAAGAACUUAGCUACGCAUAAAAUAGAAUGAAAGGAAUGCUUUCAAGUGUGCUAGUAAGUUAAUAUUUAUAUUAUAUCUGUGCUAAUACGUGUCCAUAUGUAUAAUUCAAAAGUUUUAUGUAUUUCAUAUACGAAUGUCUUUUUUCAAGUAACCGCAUAGAACACUUAUAGGUUGUAUUUUUGCCAUUAAUUUUAUGAUUAUUUCCUCUUUAUUUUACCAAAUAUUGUAUUAAUUGAUAGAUUCUACUUAUAUUUGGUGCUUUAUGUUAAUUAUAGGACGUUGGGGUAAAAAGUGCUAAAAAAGGUGAUUUUCUUGGAAUUGAUUGUCACUCGCAAGUUUCCCAAUUCAAGAUGAAGUCUACGUGGAUUAUUUGUGGAAGAUUAGGAAAUUACCAUUUUUCUUAGAUAUUUUAUUUAGAAAACAAUUGGCAUUAUUCUUGGAGUUACCUUUUUCAAUUGACCCGCUUCCGAAGUUACUUCCUUCGUUAGAGCUCGUUUAUCUUGAUUUAAAUUUAAUCUGUUUUAGUUUAAUUAUUUUCAAUUUGCAUUGAUUAUUUAUUUUUAAUUGCAAUUUUCCAAACUCCCCCCCAAUUAAUUGUCACUUGGAAAGAAGCAAAUUUUCACUCAAAACCUUGAGUUUAUAUCUUUUUGAGUAGGAAUUUAUUAUUACACAAGUCUGACACCUGUCAAUUAACACAAGGUUUCAAGCAAUGCACAGUUUCUUUUGUACCUAGAAUAGCUAAUGUAGCAAGUCAUAUGCUAGCACAUUUUGCAACAUAACUAGUUUAUGAUAUAGAAUGGGUACAUGAUUUCCCGAUUGACUAAUAGAAGGGUGAAUGCCCCUUUUUGUAAUUAACUCUUGCACUUCAAGUGUUAACAUAUAUACUGAUAUUAUCAUUUGUUGAAAAAAAAGGAAAGUGUUUAUUUGUUUAAUCAAAUAGUUAUGGUAGUGUUUAUAUAAUUUCGUAAACAUUGAAAGGUAAAUGACCUCGUUGAAUUUGUAUAAUUUGAUUAUGUUGAAGAAACAUAAUCUUGGAAAAGCAGAGAAAUUUUCUAGUAAAUAUUAGAUAAACAAACAAGUCAUUAUUUUAUUUUGAUAGCUAAUCAUUGUUCAUAUCAAUAUACUAGCUAUAAAGUUAUACUCGCAAUACUACUGUUACGGUAUAAAAUUUCUUGUCAGAGCAAUUUAUAAUUUCAUCCCAUUUUUACCGUUGACUGUUAACCUCAAGUUCUUCGGAUAUCCAUGGGACAGUGUAACCCCUUUGAAGGUCAAUUCUUACUGUUGAUGUGGCGUGUCCCACAUCGGAGGCUGCAUAAGGAAGUUUUCUUCCUUUUGUCCCACAUCGGCAAUCAAGAAGGAAAGCCUCCCCUUGUUUACCUAUAAAUAAGGGGGCUUAGUGGUGAAGAAAAGUGACCACUCAAGAGAGUUAUAUGAGCUAUUAGCUUUUUGAGUCAUUUAGCCCAUUUGUAGUAAAUAUUUUAUGUUCUCUUGUUUUGAGUUUAGGAAUAUUUUCUAAACUUUUUAUGAGUGCCUUUUGGCCUAGGAACCACUUUUCUACGGCUUUUGUAUAUCUUCUUCAUAGUGAAAGAUUUGCUCCUCCUUGCCUGGAUUAGGUUAAUUGACCGAAUCACGUAAAUUUCUGUGUCUUUUAUUUUUUUUGUUAUUUGUAUUUAUUGGGUUGCCACAACCCUUUUAUAUGGUCAGUUUUACAGCCUAAAUAUUAUAUGGUCGAUUUUACCGCCUAAACAUUAUAUGGUCGGUUAUACCGCCUACUUUGUUAACUUCAGUUUGUUUAUUUCUGGACCAUCCUAACACUUACACCCUCAUCAAAGUUUCUGGAGUUGCGUAUUAUAGGGGUGCAAACACAAAAACGAGACAUUCUUAAUCAAUGGAGUUCCUUCUUUUUGCGAUUCAUUCCUCUGCAAACCUCCUCCUCCUCCGAUUUUAAUAUAUGCCACUGUUAAAAUAGGAUACUUUUGUGGGUUUAAGAUUAGAUCGAGACGAACUCUUUUGUGCAAAACAUUUGCCCCAGGCAUCGUUACUACAGAGUAUGUGAUCCAAUUACCAAUGUAAGGUCACAAUGUUAGAGAUGUGAAAUUAUAUUGCAAUGGUCCCUAAAAUCCAACUUGAUCAUAGGAAUACUAAUUAGGUGAAUACGAGGACUCUGAUUCGACUCUCGAUCUUUCCUCUCAAAUUACAGUAAUAUUUUUAAUCAUACACUCAUCCCCUUACUAACUUCCUAUGGGCCCAAUAUGUUGAGUAGAAUUCGAUUGGAACAACCGAAAAAAAAGAAAAGAAAACAAAUACAAAACAAUGAAAUAGACACUUAGUCAAGUUGGAAGCUAUGAGGAAGUGAGGAGCACAAGUGCGAACAGAUCACCAAGGAAAAAGAAACAAUUUUUUCGAGAAUGCAAUUUGAUUUCAAGCUCAAUCAUAUUCUAAGAGUCAAUGAUAAGAUAGAAAAAAUGUAGGUCCAUUGUUAAGAUAUAGACGGAGAUGGUUGCUUAUUGAGCGUUGGAAAUAUUUCAUAUGCAAGUUGUAAUUAUAUCUCAACUUGUAUAAUUUUAAUUUAAUGAAAGUUAAUGACCAUGUCAAUGAUUAUGCGUCAUGCAUGACAUUCUUUUUUCUUGUACUCUCCUGAAAAGUCUCCUCCUCCUCCACCAGUGGCUGCAUGUCUGUACAUGUUCCCCACAACAAGAAUAAUGAAUCAAUUGCCAUAAUUGCACGCAUUUAAAUUUUCUGAGCUGGUGAUAAAUUGCAUAGUUUUGAUUUUUUUCUAUUUCCGGUUCCCACUCUAGCUACUUCUAGAUUUAUUAAUUGGAAAAAAAAAGAAGAGGAAUAAAUUAAACCUUAUUUAAUUACUUUUUUAGUCAGGAUAUCUAUAGUAGAUGUAAUUAUCUCUAUAGAAAUGAAUGAAGCAUCCUAGCUUGUGAUCAUUAUCCUCUGUUGCAAUUCUCUUGUUCAAACUUCAAGUUAAGGUUUGUUUGCUAAUUUAAUGGAUUCAGAACUUAAAUUUAAUGGAUUCAGAUCUUAACAUGUUCAAAUGCUUUUGAUAACCAAAACUUGAAUAUCUGAAUUAAUUAAGUGACACUAAAUUUUCUAGACAAAACUUACUCCUAAAAAUAAGUGAUAAACUAUUUACUUAUCACUUAAUGUGAUAUAUUCAAAUGUAUCAGAUUAGUACAUAACAAUUUAAUAACUUAAUGAAUUCAGACUUCAGAUUUCAGAUUUCAGUUUUAUCAAACGCAUCUUAACUCAGUGCAAACUGAAUAUGAAAUCCAAAGUUGAAAAUCCAAGAGGUUAGAACUUUGAAACCAUAGAGCCUCUAGGCAAAUUCAGCAUUUUUACAUUCUACUGAUUUACGGCAUCUUCAAUUAUCAGUUUCAACUCCAUGGUAUAAUAUAGAUAUUACCUCUAAUAGUUUACACACUUACGCAACAAAUAUAGAUUGUGAAAUUAAUUGUAUAAGUUUGAUAUUUUGUAGGUUUUGGGAUAUAAUUUUCACGUUUAGGAAAAAGAAAAUAUGUUAGUAAGUAAUAAUGUGAUACCCCUUGUCCCACGUUGGAAGUGGGAGAGGAAAAGGAUUGAUAUAUAUACAAGAUUUGGUCGCAUAAGUUACUAGUUACUUGGGCUAACCAUGUCGGGAAAGUGUAUUUCGACAAAAAAUUACUUAGGCCAACCAUGGGCUUGGAUGGUGAUAAAUAACUUACUAGAAGCCAGGCAUAUUUAUGUUUAGAUGUCCUAAAAGCAGAGUAGUUCAUAAUCUAGAUAAUGGUAACGAUAUGAUGAGAAUGUGAAGUUAUUUGGUAAACUUUAUAGAUUAAUAAUUUCAUCAAAGCAUCAUAUACAAGCAUGAUGACACAAUCUCAACUUUCAUUCUUUUGUUAAAUCUUAGUUUUUUUCUCUUAAAUUUUUUCGAAUAAAGGAAGGAUGGAAUUUAAGCAGUAGAGGGUGGAAGGGGAUUUUGAAUUCAAAAUCUCUAAUUUCUAAGUUUUUCCCUAAGCAAUCGUCAAAAUAAAAAAAAAAUUUAAAAGAAAAAAAAUGAGCACCUCAUGGUCAAUGCUCCUGUUCGAAGAUUUAUUCCUUUGGUUUGUCAUCAUCUCCCUCUAUGAAAUCUAAGUACCCUUGGUUGACAAUUUGUUUCCCUGAGCAUCCAUCAACACUUUUAUAUAGUAUUUUUUUUAAUAUAGUAUUAGAUUAGAUUAGAUUAGAUUAUCAAUGCACCAUCAAUAUAGUAUUAGAUUAUCAAUGCACCAUCAAAACACUUUUAUAUAGUAUUAGAUUAGAUUAGAUUAUCAAUGCACCAUCAAUAUCCUUAAAUAUAAAAGCUUAAGUAUAGUAAUCAAAAUACUGUUAGUAAUCUGUACGAUUAUUUUUUAUCCUUUAAUGUUUUAGUUUUAGGAAGAUCACAAAUGCUGCGUAUAAAGCAUGCCAUAGGCUAAAUUAAGCUAAAUUAAGUACACUGCUAAAAUGGAGAGCAUUGCUAAAUUAAGUACCUUAAGAUAAAGACAUAAGCAGCCAGAUCCAUUUGAUGUCAGCUGCUUCAAUAUCCACCUCAAAAUAAAUUAGCCUUUGUUCUAGAUUUAGCUUAAUGCUAAGUCCCUUCACCAUUCUUAGUAAUAAUUCAAUUCUGCCUCAAUUUUCUUCUGAUCUUCAAGGUAAAUGUACGAUAAAUUUCAAAAUAUAUCCCAAAUAUAUGAAUUUCUUGAAACCAUCCUUGAAUCUCAUUACCUACUCAACAAAAUGUUCCAUAAACAUAAAGAAUUGACGAGAACAACAGGGCUCCUUAGAUUUAACAAUUUCAAAUAAGCCCAAGCUAGAAUUUUUCAUAUAUUCAAACAAGAAAUUGGAAAAAUCUGACUAAGCAAUACUGAAUUGUAUCGAAAACCUACUUGCAUCUAUGAAUAAGCAAUACUGAGUGAUGAUAUUUUUAAGGGCAGUCCAAUUCACUCAAUACAAAAAUAUUUUUAAAUGAUGAUAUUCACAGGAACGUCUAUCUUACUUAAACAAACAAUAAAAAGGAGAUUGAUUGAGAAAUGGCCACAUUAUCUUAUCAUUCUUAAUUAUCAUUAGUUCAAUUAUCAACUUUAGCAGUCGAGAAAGGCUGCAACUUGUACCCCUCUUACUUUAUCAUUCUUUAGGGCCCAAUUCUUUAUUCCUGCGUCCGGAGACUUGAGACGUGACGCUUCAUAGUGUUGGACGACUAUUCUUAGCUCGUUCAAGGAAACAGUGAGGAGACGCUCUUGCACAGCUACUUAAACUAUUGGAUAAUUUCAUAGACCUUUCCUGAAGUUUUGGACAAUUUCAGCUAGUACCCCUCUUAUUUUCAAUAUUACGCUGACCACUCUUACUUUAACCAGUGUUGUGACCAAUUCAGCCCAUAUAUGUAAAAGAAAUGGAAUAAAUUGACAAGAAAUGGUGUCAUCACAUUUUAUUCCAUAUUUUCCCUUGGACCCUAAAACUUCACUUUGUCCCUCCGAAGUUGAAUCACUUUUCUAUUCUAUACACUGAACUUCAAUUUUGGAUGCUUUGCAUGUGGUUGGAGGCAAAAGCAUGGCAGAGCCCUUUUUGAGUCUCUGAUCUUUAUUAUCACAUGAUCAUUGCUAAUUAUACUAUUGCUUUUGAAUGGAAAUAGCAUAAAAGUCUUAGUGAAUGAACAAAUUGAAUAGACCAUUUCGCAGAGCAGUGAAAUAUUCCAAAGCGUGAAGCACAGUGAUAAGCUACAAAUUAUAGUGGUUUUAUAUUAUUGUCAAUGAAUGGUUGUAUUUGAGCUAAUUUUGAAUGGAUGUUGCCUAAUUUAAGUAUAUGUUGGUUUUUGUGGGAAAAGCACGCGAUUGAGGAGGAAAUGAAUCGAAAACGCAACAAAAGGGGAAGAAUGCCAAGACACAAGGAUCCGUGGGUGGAUCCUAUGUCCAACGCCAAACAUUGAAAGGGACUUUGCGAGGACUUCUUCUAGUUCUAAUGAUUGGAAAACCCACUCAAACUCGAUUUUUGGUAAGUUUUCAAGACCCAUUCUUACCAUAUUUCGGAUACAACUUUGAGAGACUAUAAAUAGGAUAUUCUAGGAUGUUUUUAGAUUAGAAAGCAUUUGGCUAACGUUAGUUCAUCAUUUUUAUACCUUCUUUUCUUGAGAGAUCACAAUGGAAGUGUUGAAGAAUCAAAGGAAGUUCAAGAUGGAGAUUGAAGCGGGGAAAAAUUGAGAAGUUUUCUUACUUUUAACUUCUUAUUUUGUCUUUCAUUUGAAUUCUUGGAUUUAUCUAUGAAUAUGUUGAACUCAUUUAUAUCUAAAGUUAGGAUUUUGUGAAGGAGAUUUAAUUAGAUAAAUUAUUCGCUUUUGCUUAGAUUUAUUUAUCUUGCCUUUAUUACAUGUUUAUGUUUUGCCACUAUAGAUAUGCUUUUAGGAUUUGUAUUGAGUUAAGAAGUGAUGUACAACCGUACAUUAGAUAGAUAAACAUACUUAAUAUAAUCAUGAAAGUGGGUUAAACAUUGUAUGGCAUAAUUAUAUCACCUAAUAUUGUAAAGGAUUUAAUUAUAUACUUAUGAUCUCGAGAGCAACGUGAGAUUUCAUUAGACAAAUUUAGAAGUAUCGAGAGAUAAUCUAAAGUACUUUUCUGUGAUACAUCUUUGACUUGUUAAGAAAAUAAUUGGAUAUAUAAUUCCAAUUCUAAAUCAAAAUUUAAAACUCUAGUCUUUUGCUAAUUGUUUUCUCACCUAUAUCUUGUUUGAUUUGAUUAUUUAUUUAAUUUCUUAAUUAGUGAUUAAAAACCCUCUGAAUUUAAAUUUUGUUAUUUUUAUUAGAGGAAUUAAAGUAGGAAAAAUUAACUCACUCCUGCAGGUUCGACCCCUGGAGUACUCCAAGCAAAUUAUUAUUACGAUCGACCUUGUACAGUUAUAGAAAUUCAUCGAUCACACAGCAACAAAAAAAAUUAAUGCACAAUAAUGUCAUGAGCAGAAACAGUUCCCAUCUUAGUUGUUCAACAUUCACGGUGGAUUUCAAUUAGUGGUCAACAGAUAAAGGCAUCGAAAAAAGUAAUCUAACUAGAUAAGUGAAUUUAUAUUGUACAACAUAUUUCUUUUUUCUACCGCAAAAACUUAACUAAUUUAAGACAAUGUAGUCCAAGAUAAUUGAAGAUUAAUUUUCCCUAAAAAAUGUUCAUGAUAAAAACUCAACAAAGAGAUAAUACAACAGCUUACUUUUGGAGGUGAUCUUAUACGGUCUUUAUUAACAAACUAAUUAGCCACUUAAGCCUUUUUUUUCCUUUUGGGACUACGCAUGACAAAAUGAGGAGUGAAUCAGUCGCUUAGUAUCUAAAAUUUUCCCUCCAUAUAAUUAGUUCAACCUGAUUUAAGACUAAAUUUUUACUAUAGGAAUGUUCGUGAUUCAACAAUGAAACACCAUAGAAACUUAUUUUGGGAGAUUGUCCUAGAAGGUAAAAAAUGAGCAACCAAUCAGAAAGUCGUACUCACAUAUCAAAAUCCAUUCAGUCUAAUUAAUUCACCAGCUAUGUAUAUUCAUCCAUUUUCACAUUAUAGAAAGAACAAUAAUGCAUGGCAUUAUCCAUCAUAAAUUGCUCAUAUAACAUCAAGAUAUUCAUGGUGUGGACCUCAAAUGACUCGUCAUGUCUACUGGCUACAUUUAAACAUAUCUUAUGGCCAGAAUGUUCAUCUUAUCAACUUGACGAGUUUAUUCAUGGUACCAUACCAUUAAAUUAAAAAAUUUUCCACCUUUUACCUUUCAUAGAUAUCAGGAAUAUAGCUAAUAACGCACUUUUGGCAGCAAUAUUCCUUCAACCAAUUAAAGAUUUUCGGAGCUUAAAGUUCAGCUCCUAAAGCUCUUCUCCAAGUCUCACCAACAACAGAGAAAUUACUUUUAGCAAAGUUGUUAAAUUUUGGCACCAGGUUUUGAUGGUAUCUUGGUAAGAUUGGAAGAUUAUAUUGCGCUUCUAAGAUAAUUUUUAAAAAAAUAUUUUAGUGAGAGCAUUAUGGUCAAUUUGCCCCUAAUGAUAUUGACAUUAGGUCCCAUCAACAUCAAAGGGAGCUCAUUGUAUUAUUGGAUAUAACAAGGGUGCGAGUGAAAUUAUGAAAACCCUCAAGGGAGGUUUUUGAAAUUAACCCUAAAAUACUCAUUCCACGCAAGGCGUGGCGUUCCCCUCCUAGUUCCUAUAAAUAGGGCACCAACUCAAUGCACUUGUCACUCGAUAUCAAUAAUUUAGCACAUUAUUUACAUUUUGAGUGAGAUUGUGAUAAAAUGGCAUCUUCAAAAAAUUUGCUCUUUCUUAUUGGCGUUCUCUUUGCACUUGUGCUCCUCAUUUCCUCUGAUGCAACAGCUGCAGGUACCUAGUCUUUUUUUUUUUUUUUUCCUUUCAUCCUUUUUUUUUUUUUGGCUGCACCUAAAUUUUAAAUGAAUGGAGAUUUGGAGACUCAUUAUUGGGAUGUGAAUUUUUAUGGAAGGCUAUUUGUAUAUUAUCAAGCAAGUCAUAUUAAUGUGCUAAUAUCCUUUUCAUUGUUUAGCAAAAGUAAAAUUGGGUUGCUUCUAUCAAUGGUUAGUGGCACAUCUGAUUUUUCAUGCAUCCUUAUAGUAUUGCUGUAAGGAUACACGUUCCAUAGUGUCGCACCAAAGGUUAAACUAACGUCGAAACCAAAUUAAAUGCUUCUAAUUAUAAUUUAAAGCAAAAUAAUUCAUAUCCAAGUCGCACCAUCUUAUAUGCCUGGACUGUUUUGUUUAAUCCAUAGUAUUAUUUUCUUUGCAUAUAUCUUGCAAAUUUUCAGCCUAGCCGGUCACCUAACGUUCGCAGCUUAAGAUAAAGCUCCAAAUAUUUAUGUCUCCUUGUGUCUUGAAACAGAUCAGAAAAGCGUGAAAACCACUGGUGUCCACGAUUCCAGUUCAGGCGAAGAUCGUUGCACAUAUGGUUGCUGCCACUGGUACAAUGGAUAUUGCCAAAGAUGCUGUCCACCUGCUGAGGAGACUUGCAGACAUGGUUGCUGCUACUGGUACAAUGGACAUUGCCAAAGAUGCUGUUAACCUACUGAAGCUACAUCGGAGAUGAGGUCAAAAAUUAAUGCUAAAUAAAUAAGGGUGUGAGACAGGAUCCGUGACACCUAUAUUAUUACCUUAAUAUGUUAUGUUGUGUUUUGCGUUUGAUGGUUUUUCCUAUAUGUGUAAAAGACUUGUGCGGCUUCUCUUUGAAUUGGUGUAGAAUCAACAGGGGAAGCAUGUAAUGAGUACUCAGUUCGAGUGCUCUUCUUAUGUUGUUGUCAUGUUGAAUAAAUAAAUCUACGUGAUCAUCUACUACAAUUGAUGAUCUCUAUCUCAGUUACGUCAGAAACUUCUGUACCUUGGACCUGCUAGAAUUUAGCGUGAUUGAUAUAAGACGUGCAGAAUGUUCAAUAUAUGUAUAUAUGUGCUUCUUCAUCGUGCCAUGCCAUUACAAUGUGAAAGAAUUCAGCAUCGACGGAGUGAAACGUACCCAAUCCUGCUCCUGAGAAAGGAAACAAAGUCCCUCAAAAAUGGAUAUUUUGGAUGCCAUCAAGAUUUUGAAUUGAAUGCCAUUUGGAGAUCUGAAUGUUGUUUUUUUUCCCCUUUAUCUUCGUUCAAGAUUUUUUUUUGGUGGAAAUGCUUCAUUUAUACGAAAUUUCCUAGUUAGUAAAGGCUUCUAUUACACUUGUACAAUACACAUUUAAAAGUAUAACACAAUAAAAGCUUGUGUAGUUCAUAUAUUUAAAAAAUAUUCAUACUUUUCAACUAAACUAUAAAAAUACGUAAUAAAUUCUUGAUACGUUAUACUUUACGAACUAUACUUUAAAUUUUAAAAAUAUUUAAUACUAUCACUUAUUAAUAACUCCACAUGUUAAUUUGUCUCCCAAUUUAAUAAAUUAUAGUAGCUAAUUCUCAAAGCUAACCGACACCAAAAUUCCCUUACUUGUUCACCUCCUAAUGGAUUAUUAUUACUCCCUCCGUCCUACUUUGAUAGUCUUGUUUUCCUUUUUUGUCUGUCCCAAAUUAUAGUCCACUUUCCCAUUAAAAAAUGUAGUAAUCUUUCAAAUUGUCUAAAAUACCCUUAUUAAAUAUCUUGUGAUUAAUACAUUGUUAUUAAAUACUAACCCACUACAUUGAAUACAUUGAGCUUUUCCAAUACUAACCCAUUAGUUGUAAUUGAUAUUAAUUGGCACUCUUCGUGAUUAGCAUAAGGGUAUUUUAGGAAAUUAUUAAUCUAAAUUUAUGUUUCCAACCAAAUUAAUUACACUUUCUUAAUCUGUGUGAAAAAAAAAAUCAAGACUAACAAAACGGGACGGAGGGAGUAAUUACAUUGCAUUUAUUUCGUAAGCAUGAGUUUUGUAACCCCUCAUAUUAAAUCUCAAUGAUUGAUUUUAACGGUUACCAAGGUGUCUAGUAAUUGGUUUGCUAUUAAUUUGAACUAGACAUUUAUUAGGUCUAGUCGAAUUUAUUCCUUCUUAUCACUUAGUUCAUAAACCUUAUGAAUCGUUAAAACCAGCUCUAACAUUAGGUAACAAGACUUCUACAAUUUCGGGUUUUGCUUAGAAAUCAGUCUGAUAGUUUAACUUGCUUCGUCCAAGUUUAUGAGUUGCUUUUUUUUUUUUUCCAUAUUUGACAUUUCAUCUGACUUUAAUAUGGGGACCAAGUUAGUAUUGUUGACAUUUCAUAUCUAAGACUUCUUAAUUAAUUGAUUUGGUAUAAGAACUAUAACGUAUGCGUGUUUUGUAAGCUUUCAUGUUUUUUUUUUUUUUAAUUCUUGUGGACCAGCAACGGAUAGUUUCUUCUAGUACCAAGCUUCCUUUGAAGUUUUUUUUUUUUUUUUGCGUGUCCAAAUGUAAAUUAAAAGAACCCAUCAACUUUGAACAAGUCUAUAUCUAGUAAAGAUAGAUAUAAAGAGGGAUACUAUAUCACUACAACGAAAAAGGGAUUUCGCGAGGAGCAAAAGUCCACGCCAAAAGUUUUGACUUCCUUGCUAAUUAAUUUCAACGAGAAAAAUGCUUCCUCGCCAAAUUUCUUGCUAGAUGCUCGUCGCUAAAAGUUAUUAGCGAGGAUGCUGCUGCUUUUCUCGCUAAUGAAACAGAUCAAUAGCAAGGGUUGACCUCCUCGCUAAUAGCUCAAAUACUAUGGCAAGAAAAGCUUUCCUCACCAACUAAAGUUAAAAACUCCCCACAAAAACCAGUAGUUCCUUGCAAAUAGUCAAGGUGUUUUGCUAGGAAAAUAGCGCAUCCUCACCAAUAGUAUAGAAUUAGCAAGGACCCGUGUACCAGUAAAACAUUUUUGGCCAGGAAAGUAUCCUCUCUAAUAAGCGAUAAUUGAUUAUUGCCUAACUGUUUGGUGGGAAAAUGUUCCUCUCCAAUGCUGUUAUGAACAUUUCUUAAUCCCAUUUUAGCAUGCUAAUCUUAAUUCUCUAAGCAAAGUACUGGGUGGUUUUAUUAGAAAAUUUAGCUGCAAAUAGCUUCAAUUUGGCUUCUCAUGUGUCUGCUGUACAUUUUCCAGGUUCUUGUAAGUAUCAAAUUGUUUGGCAAAAAAAAUUUUUUUAAUGAAUCAUGACCAACGUAGCUGCUCGUUAAAUUUAAACUCAUAAUCCCUGGUAUUUGAUAGGUUUUUGGAAUAUCACUUGGUGCCAACAACCCCUUUUGCUACUUUGAUAAACAUUCAAUAGAAAACAUACAAAAGCUUUGGUUAGCUAAAAAUAAUUGCUACCACAGUAAUACAUCAACAUCCAGCUCUUUCAACAUCUUGAGCCAUACAAUAGGAAGUGCUUGAAAUCAAUUGGCAAUCCAAAUUCUUUUUAGCUCAUUAACUAUCCUAGAAAUCGCAACUUCAGUAAGUCAUUACAGAAGAAGAUUUCAUCGAGAGAACACCACAAAAAGGAGAAGCAGAAAAAAAAAUAUAACAGAGAGAGAGAGAGAGUUAAACUAGUCAUAUGGACACAUAUUUGUCACCUCAGUAUUUCCGAUUCCUUAAUUAAGUCCAGUUAUCUUGGAACUCUAUCGGCAAUCCAUGGAACAUUUUUUGAAUGACAAUAUGCUGUUGCAACCUUUUGAUGAAGACUUCAAAGGUUCUAUGAUAAGGUUGCAUUUUUGUCAUUAAUUCUAUGAUUAUUUUCCUCGUUUAUAUUACCAAAUAUUGUAUUAAUUGAUUGAUUCUACUUAUAUUUGAUACUUUGUGUCAAUUGUAGGAAGGUGGAGCAAAAAGUAAUAAAAGAGAUGAUUUUCAAGAGUUUUCCAAUUCAAGAUGGAGUUUACGUGGAGUAUUGGAUGAAAAUUAGGAAACUACAACUUUUUAUUAGAUGUCUUAUUAGGGAACAAUUAGCAUUAGUUGGAGAAGUUUCCUUUUGCAAUUAGAAUUCUAUUUUUAGUUGGCCAAUGGAUGGCCGAAGUAGUAGACUUCGAUUAGGAAACAAAGAGAAAAAAAAAAGAUGGCCGCUGGUCUCUUCUUUAGUGAGUCUUUAGGGAAAAACCAAUGGUUAUUGAUGGAGUCAUGCGGAUAUCCCCUGAGGAUGUGAAGCUAAAUCUCCGUUUUCUGGUCGAAUGUCAAUCUGAGAACUCGGUUCCAAACAUCUGUGAGAUCAAAUUAUUUUACUUAUUUCUUUUAUUCAUUGGUAUUUGUGCAUUUUCUGAUUUAACUUCUUAUGCUUGUUAUGUUAUUUGAAUGUCAAGGGACCGAUAUUCGAAUUAACCUAAUAAUCUACUGCCAGAUUAAUUGAGUGAAUCCGUAAUUGUUCAAUUGGUUUCAUGUUAGGGAAAUGUAUGAUUUAACUUAAACAAACCCUCGUAGUGUGUUUGUUAGUUUGAUUGAGUUUUUCUAAUUCUUAUUGCAAUCAAGAAAUUAAAUCCUACAGUCGUACCUAGGGUUAUUUCUUGGUUAGAAAAAUAGUUAAUGGUCGUACCUUGACUAUCGAAAAAGUAAGGAAAUGUUGGUUAUUUAUCGCGUAUAUAACAACUAUAACCAAUCUAUUAAUUAGUAAUUAAAUUAUCUUUGCAUCGAUGAUUAAUUGAAUUGACCGUGCCUGAAAAGUUACACCUUUAACUAGAGUUGUAUUGGUUAUUGAUUAAUUCCUAUUUAUUUCUAUUAGUUGUUUCAUUAGUUGGUUAAUUAGUUAUUUUAUAUUUUCCAAUAACCCCCCAUACUUCGGACUCUGGAAGAAAUGAAUUAUCCCCAAUCCCUAUGGAUGCGACCCUACUCACCGUAGGGGCGGGCAAAAAAACCCGCCGAUCCGAAAACCCGAUGAACCCGAUCCGAUCCGAUCCGAAAAAUAGGAUACCCGAUCCGAUUUUCUUAGCGGGGCAGAUGAGGGUCGGGUACUCGAAAAAUCGGGUACGGAUACGGAUCAGAAAAAUAAAAAUCCGCGGGUACCGACCGGCAGGGUAUAUUUUAUAAAUAUUAAAAAAGUAGGGAUCAUUUUAUAAUUUUGUAAUUUUUAAUUCUAAGUGCAAGUGAAGUGGCUCGCAGCCUCAUAUUUUAAUCCUAUAUGAUCUACUCUUCUCAUUUUUUUUUUAAGAAAGUGAAUAUUCUCGGUGAAACAUGAACAAAAUGAAAAAAAAAAUUUGUGAAACUCUGUUAUAAAAAUUGUCCAUCCCUUUCAUCUUUUUUAUUUUUAUUCUACCUCCAUCGAUCUUUCCUGCAAAUCUUGCAUCAAUUCAAUCAAAGAUUUUUGUUUCGAGUCUCAAUUUUCUGUUAGCUAGAUAAUUAAAAUAUUUGUGUCAUUCAUUUGCAAUUAUAUCUCUUAAAUUUGUCUCUUUUAUUUAGUGUAAGAAAUUUAUUUUUCUUUUUCAUCACCUUAAUACCAUAAGGUCUAUUCCAAAGAUGUAAAGAAGUUGGGAAGAUUUUUAACAUUAUUUUGGUUAUAUUUUUUUCAAAAAUAAUUAGUUCUAUUCAAUUAUUUUCCGAACUUGAUUUCACAAUUGACUUAUUUGAGAUGCGGUCUUGUACCAUAAUAUCCUUGGGGAAGUUACCAAAUACUUAUUAUCCUUGUGUUUGUUGUGUUGUAGAAGUAUGAAAUGUGUGAAAAUGGUGAUGUACUCAAAAUUAUUAUGAAACUUCGUUUUGUCCAUUAGAUAUUCUAAUAUGUACUAAAUUUAUGAGAUCGAUUUGAUUAUUGGAUGAAAUGUGUGAAAAUGGUGAUGUAUGGACUUUAAUUACAAUAUCUCUACCAAUAUUAAUUGGAAAAGCAUGUUUUUUUUAUUGAAAAACGUGUUGAUAUUAAGUAGAAAAUACAUUUUUUUAUUGAAAAAUAGUUUUUUUUAGGGGCGGGUACCCUAUGACCCGCCCCUUUUUUCGGGUACCCGCUAUUCGGGUACCCGAAAAUAUUAGGAGGCGGGUUAAGGUCGCAAAAUGGCUGAUCCGAUAUAUUAGGGUCGGGUCAGCCAAAUCAUGUUAGGGGCGGGUACCCGACCCGUGCCCACCCCUAACUCACCGCUAUAUACAAAUUUGUAUUUGUCUUGAAUAGGUAAUUAUUAUUGCACAGAUUCGACACCUGUCAUUCUAUAACUGAAUACAGAGUCAUCUUUUCAAAGAUUUCCCAUGCUGCAAAAUGUACUCUACGAGCUUUAUUUCAUCUUCUCCCCUAUAAAUUUGCUGAUUCCAAUCUGCCUAAGAUGUUCAACAAAGCGUAUUGGGAAAACUGUUUGAAAAGUAGAUUCCAAGUCCUUGUAUAUGCAAAGUCCUCCUUACACAACUUUACAUAUUGAGAAGAUCAAAAAUUGCAGAACAUAAUAAUACUUGAAAUUAGUGAGAAUAUAUCCAAAAGAAACAAAAUAUUAAUACCUGAAAUCAGGUUUUACAAUCAGUGCACAAAAAGCACCUAAACCCAAAUGGCCCAUGUUGGAAUAGACCAAGUUUAGUUCAACUGCAGAAAUUCCUAGUACAAUGGAACUGCAACUUCAACUUCAGUAAAUUGCAAGCUGGUAUUAUGAUUCUAUGAAUCCUGAAAUCUCCCCCAAGUCCUCUUGCCUCCAACACUAAGUAUGUACACAGACGCUGACCUGUUCUAUACACUAGGAAAAUUCAGAUCAGACGGCAUUCAAUAGAACUGCCUUGAUUUGGCUCCAUAUCAGCACUACUGCUCUUUAAAUCUAACUUGAUUAAGCUGCACAAAAAGGGAAGAUUACAUUAGAUGGAGAAAUUUUACUGAUUGCAUAUGAAAUAGGGGCUAAAACCAACUAGGAAAAGCAGAGAAGUUAACCUCAACCGACCAGGAAACAAGAUGCAAAAGUCAGAGGUUGUUAGCUUAAACCUCAACCAAACGAAAAAUGCAAUCUUUGAUAUUAAACACAUAACCCACAUAAGUUAGCUUCACAGUCCAGAAGGAUGGUUGGAACUCAAUUUUCCUAAAAUUGUGAGGAAAAUAAUGCAAUCUUAGAAUCUAACACAAAUAAUGGUAAUAAAAACACACAAGAAGGGUAUGAAGACUUACAAAAUGGCACCAAAAUAUAGAUCUAACAGUAUUUGAAGCAAAUGGAUGAAGCAUUGAAGUUGUUCUAAGAUUUUUUGACAGCAAUAAAACCUAAGCUCCUUCACGUUUAGCAAUUCAUAGGAGAUAGAUAGGAGGCGGGUCUUCUUUUUUAGCAAUUCCUCAGAGGUCUCCUUCCCGUUUAGCAAUUCCCGCAUCUGUUCUUCUAUUUUUGGACUAAAAACCACCAAUGUUGGCCUUUGAGAGAAGAACAGAUGCGUGCUUCUCAAUUGACAGAGACAAGAGAGGACCAGCCUUUCUAUGUAUAUAUCCCUCAGCCUCUAACAAUCCUUUGAAUUUUGAUGGACGUUGCGGGAAAAAUAAAAUUCUUGGAGGGAUAAAACGCGCGUCCUAAAUUCUGAUUUAAGUGUUGUAGUUAAAAGUUUCUAAGAAUUGGAGUAUAUUAUAUAAUAUAUAGAAUGAAUAUUGAGUAUUAGAAGUAUAUAAUUCGAAAGAAAUCAUGUAUGAGAAAAUGAAACUAAUGAAAAUAUUCAUGUGCAAUCAAUAUAAUAAAUUGUCAUAUUUAUAAUUUUUAAGUUUGCAAUCCAUAAAUAUAGUAACAAAUAAUGUAAUUCAUGUGCAAUCAAUAUAAUUAUAUUGUUAAUUAAGGUUAUAAUUGUGCUAUAUAAAGUAUUUGGGACAAUUUGAAAAAUAUCUAGAAAUUUGGGACUACUUAUAAUAUAUUCAAAAUGUAUUUUGAUUAAACUAGACAACUUGUUCUUUCUUGUUGGAAAUCGAAAUUCAAUUAUGGAACAAUAUACAUGGAAAAGUUGACCUUAUAUGUGUAUAAAUCAUCUUAUUAAUAAAAUAGUUAAACACAGUACAUUUAGUUAACUAUGAUUUAGUGAUUGAUUAUUACAUCAUUUUUUAUAUAAUACGAUAAUUAAAUAUUACAUAUAUAAUAAAAUGUUUCAAAUAUAUUUUAAUUGAUAGAAAAAAUGGUAUACAUACAAUAAAAAAAUAAUUAAAGAAAAUUUUGAGAGUAGAAUUUUGUGCUAAAAAACAUGUAUUUUGGGUUCAAAUUUAUAACCCACCACUUAUCCACUUAGAAUUAGCAAAAGUAUUAAUUCAUUUCUAAAGACUCUAAACCAAACUAAUUUAUUAUAAUAAAGACACAAAACACUAGCUCCAUGUGAUAACCUAUAGCAAAGAUCAUCUAUUCACUUUAGAUAAAUAUAUGAGUCAAAUUUAAAGAUUCAUCAAAUUUUCUAGGUUUUAAAAUUGGGGUGAUUUAUUUACAUGGAUUUAAAGCUGUCUAAAUAUAGUUUACUAUGCAAUAAACGACACUCAAUUUCGAGUUUUCUACACAAAGAUAUGGCCAAAAUACAAAAUUGUUACUUAAUUUUUUGAAAAAUAGUAGGGUCGUAGGAUCGUAUGAUCUGGAUCACGAUCCUAUUGAUCUUGUUAAUUUAAUGCUAAUUUUUUAUCCUACUUACAAUUUGGAUCGUUAGCCAUGAUCCAUAUCGUAGGAUUGUAGAUCGCGAUUCUAACAACUACGGUUGUAGUUAAAAGUUUCUAAGAAUUGAAGUAUAUUAUAUAAUAUAUAGAAUGAAUAUUGAGUAUUAGAAAUAUAUAAUUUGGAAGAAAUCAUGUAUGAGAAAAAUGCAACUAAUGAAAGUAUUCUCAAUAUACAGUUGAAAAAAUAACUAAGUUUGUUGAAGCUCUAGUCUUUUGCUAAUUGUUUUCUCACCUAUAUCUUAUUUGAUUUGAUUAUUUAUUUAAUUUCUUAAUUAGUGAUUAAAAACCCUCUAAAUUUAAAUUUUAUUAUUUUUAUUAGAGUAAUCAAAGUAGGAAAAAUUAACUCAUUCCUAUAUGUUUGACCGUGGAGUACUCCAAGUGAAUUAUUAUUUCGAUCAACCCUAUACAGUUAUAGAAAUUCAUCGAUCACACAGCAACUAAAAAAAAAAAUUAACGCACAAUAAUGUCAUGAGCACAGUUCCCAUCUUAGUUGUUCAACAUUCACGGUGGAUUUCAAUUAGUGGUAAACAGAUAAAGGCAUCGAAAAAAGUAAUCUAAUUACUAGAUAAUUGAAUUUAUACUACAGCAUAUUUCUUUUUUCUACUGCAAAAACUUAACUAAUUUAAGACAAUGUAGUCCAAGCUAAUUGAAGAUUAAUUUUCCCCAAAAAAUGUUCAUGAUAAAAACUCAGACAAAGAGAUAAUACAACAACUUAUUGGAGGUGAUCUUAUACGGUUUUUAUUAACAAACUAAUUAGCCACUUAAGCCUUUUUUUUUUUUGGGACAGUACAUGACAAAAUGAGGAGUAAAUCAUUCACUUAGCAUCUAAAAUUUUCCCUCCAUAUAAUUAGUUCAACCUGAUUUAAGACUAAAAUUUUUACUAUAGGAAUGUUCGUGAUUCAACAAUGAAACACCAUAUAAACUUAUUUUGGGAGAUUUUUCCUCGAAGACAAAAAAUGAGCAACCAAUCAGAAAGUCAUACUUACAUAUCAAAAUCGAUACAGUCUACUUAAUUCACCAGCUAUGUAUAUUUCAUCCAUUUUCACAUGAUAGAAAGAACAAUAAUGCAUGGCAUUAUCGAUCAUAAAUUGCUCAUAUAAUAUGCGAUCUAUUAUGCAUCUAAGGCUUUGAAUGGAACUUAACUCAAUUAUACGAUCAUAGAAAAUGAGCUUUUAGUAGUUAUUUUUGCCUUAGAAAAAUUUCAUUCUUAUUUAUUAGAAGAUAAGUGAUUGUGUAUUCUGACUAUGCAGCGCUACGGUACUUAAUGACUAAGAAGGAUGCUAAACCAAGAUUGAUAAGAUGGAUUUUGCUUCUAUAUGAGUUCAAUUUGAAAAUUCGUGAUAAAAAGGGAGAAGAGAAUUUAGUUGCCGAUCAUUUGAGUCGAUUGUCGAUUGUCAAGGAUGAUUUUAUAUUGAGGAAAACUUUUCCUAAUGAGCAACUAUUUUCUGUUAAUCCCUCUCUUCCUUGGUAUGCGGAUAUUAUUCAUUUCUUGACCACUAAUCAAUUGCUUGCACAUUGGUAAAAAACAAAAUGAGAUAAGCUCAGAUGUGAUGCUAAGUAUUACUUAUGGGAUGACCCCUAUUUAUAGUGGCAAUGUGCAGAUCAAGUACUGCGCAGAUGUGUAAGUAGAGUGAAUUUAAUUCUAUUUUACUAUUUUAUCACUCUUAUGCAUGUGGACGCCAUUUUAGACCACAAAGAACAGUUCGUAAAGUAUUGGAAAGCGAUUUUUAUUGGCCCACAAUUUUCAAAGAUACAUACUUGUUUCGUAAGUCAUGUAAUAGAUGUCAAAGGUAGGAAAUAUUUGUCAUAAAAAUUAGAUACUAAAAACCCUUAUGAUUUUUUUGUGAAAUUAUUGAUACAUGGGAUAUUAAUUUUAUGGGUCCAUCUCCUUCAUCUUUUGGUUUCCUUUACAUCUUGUUGGCCGUAGAUUAUGUGUCCAAGUAGAUAAAAACAAAAGCCACCCAAGCUUAUGAUUCUAUAGUGGUUACAGAUUUCAUUCAAUCACAUAUUUUUGUUCAUUUUGGGGUACCACGAAUUAUAGUAAGUGAUCGAGAAAAACACUUUUGCAAUAAAAUGAUGGCGGCUGUAUUUCGUAAAUAUGGAGUGACUCAUAAGGUAUUUACAUCCUAUCACCUCCAAACAAAUGGUCAAGCAGAGAUUUCGAAUAGGGAAAUUAAAUAUAUAUUGGAGAAGAUGGUUCGCUCUGAUAGGAAGGGUUGGAGUUCACGAUUGAACGAUGUACUCUGGAUUUAUAGGACAGUCGAUAAGAGUCCUAUAAGUAUAUCUCCCUAUAGGUUGGUAUUUGUGAAGCCGUGUCAUUUACCGGUUGAGCUCGAGCACAAAGCAUAUUGGGGGAUCAAGAAAUGCAACAUGGAUCUUGAUGAGGCUGGAAUACAUAGAAAACUUCAAUUACAAGAAUUGGAAGAGUUGAGGAAUAAUACUUACAAGAAUGCAACACUAUAUAAAGAGAAGAUUAAGGUUUUUCGUGACCAAUAAGUUGCAAGGAAAUCAUUUGUAGUUGGGCAAAGAGUUCUUCUCUAUCAAUCUCGUCUAAAGCUCUUUCUAGGUAAGUUACUUACGCUCUCGUUGGGCUGGUCCAUUUGUUGUGAUUAAUAUUUUUCACUAUGGCGCAGUGAAAAUUCAGAAUAUGCAAAUAGCUAAGAAAUUUGUGGUUAAUGGUCAUUGUUUUAAACCCUAUUAUGAAAGUGUUUCAAUGGAGAAGGUGGAGAUAAUAAAUCUUGAAGAUCCCACUUAUGCUGCUUGAACAAUAUUCGACCAUGUCUAAUCAAAAACAUUAAAGCAAGACGCUUAUUGGGAGGCAAUCAAAUUUUUUUUUAUUGUUUGUUCACUAAUAUUAUGUGUUUCACUAUGUUUAUCUUAGGUUUUUCAAAUUUGGUAUUUUAAUUUUAAUUUUUAAUGUUUUAUUGGUUAGGUGACUUUCUCCCAACAAGGCGUGCCCACGCCUUAAAGGCAUGUGGUAAUGCACAAAUAUCCAAUUCCAUCAUUAGAAAACUAUGGACCAACAUGACAUGCCCACGUCUUGAGGGUAUGUUGUAACUCGUAAUUAGCCGACUUUAUCAUCAAAAGAGUUUCAACCAAUAAGACGUGCCCGCGUCUUGUCCUAGCAAGGGAAAAAAAACCAAUUGAACCCAAAAGAAUUUUCUUUUCUCUUCUUUUUUUUGCUUUCCUUUUUUUUAUUCUUUCCUUUGCCUUUUCCCUUUUCUAUUUCUUUUCCUUUCCUUCUUUCUUUCUUUCUUCUUUCUUUUUUUCUUUCUUUAUUUCGCUCUUUCAUUUCCUCAACUGCAUGGCCAAAACUCUACAUGUUGCUUGCACGCCGUUCAUCGCCCCACCGUCCAUUGCUGUCGCAAUUCGCUAGUUUGUCUCUACUACCUUUGCUGUAUUCGCUAUUCGUCAAAGCCUGUCACUGGUUUUGCCAUUGCCCAUCUCUAGUUUCGUCGUUGCUCGCUAUUGUGCCAUUCACCGCUGCUUGAACCACCAUGAACGUCCAUCCUCUGCCAGCGACAGCCAUCGCUCCGCACUUUCUCUGUUGUCUUGUUUCUACUGACCCAGUUUUUGGUAUUCUUGUCCUUCUCUUUUAAAUAUUGUUGGGUUGCUACUUCGGAGUUUAUUAGAAUUUCUUUUUGCAGGGUUGAUUUAAUUUGUUGAUUGGGUAUUCCUCGAAUUGUUGGAUUGGCACUACCUGACAUUUGCUUGUUUUCUGAUGAUGACCACUAACUUGCACUACUAUUUUGCAUCCAUGGGGAUUCAAUGCUGAUUGGAGGUUAUAAACUGUGGUGAAAUUGCCGCUACUUACUUGCCAAUUGCUAAUUGUUGAUAUUGAUAGGAGGUAUUGUUCUUACAUUUCUAGUUUUGUUAUUAAAUAGUGUCACAUCUCUUGGCUCUUUACUGUACACUUUGAUUUGAGAUUGCUUGGCUAUCUUUAGUCGUUUGGCAAACAUUAGAGGCUCGUAUUUCGCCAUUGUCUGAAUUGUUGUUUAUAGCUAUUUUUGGAUUUAGUUAUCUAAAUGGCUAAGAAAAAAAAGACCACCAAGGCCAACACCCCUAUGACUAAAACCACUCCCCCAUCCCAACCAACUAUACCCAUGACAGACCCUUCUACCAUCCUUCUUUUUCGGGUAAAUGGGCAUGCUUAGGUAGGGACAAGGGGGUCUAUAUCUCCUCACUGUCCCACUUUGGAGGUAAUUUGGCUCUCACCAAAGCCGUCGAUAAGCAAAGAUACUCUAAUUAUUAUGAGUGGCAAAUUAUUCCUUGUAAAUAUCUUGACCCUCCCAUCAUGGUUUCUUUGAAUAUCUUUGAGAAUAUUGCACAAAUGUUUACUGCCAUAGGCUGGCCUUCUUAUGCCGAAAUACAAUGUCCUACUUUUGUUGAAUUGGUUAGAGAGUUUUACGCCACCUUUGAGUUUGAUCAAUCCAUGGGGUAUUCUGUCACAACCUCGAAUGUGAUUCAAUUUUGAUUGAUGGGUAGGGAGUUUAAGUUCUCCAUUACCAAGUUUAAUUUGGUAAUGUGAUCCCAUUACCUAUGUAAGGUCACAAUGUUAGAGAUGUGAAAUUAUAUUGCAAUGGUCCCUAAAAUCCAACUUGAUCGAUAGGAACACUAAUUAGGUGAAUACGAGGACUCUGAUUCAACUCUCAUUUUUCCUCUCAAAUUACACUAAUAUUUUUAAUCAUACACUCAUCCCCUUACUAACUUCCUAUGGGCCCAAUAUGUUGAGUAGAAUUCGAUUGGAACAACCGAAAGGAAAAGAAAACAAAUACAAAACAAUGAAAUAAACACUUAGUCGAGUUGGAACCUCAGAGGAAGUGAGGAGCACAAGUGCGAACAGAUCACCAAGGAAAAAGAAACAAGUUUUUCGAGAAUGAAAUUUGAUUUUCAAGCUCAAUCAAAUUCUAAGAGUCAAUUGAUAGAUCGAAAAAAAUGUGGAACCAUUGUUAAGAUGUAGAUGGAGAUGGUUGCUUAUUGAGCGUUGGAAGUAUUUCAUAUGCAAGUUGUAAUUAUAUCUCAACUUGUUUUUUUUUUUUGAAAAACAGGUCAUGGAUGCGUCAAACGUACAGUGGUUCAGGCAAACAAUAUCCAAUCAAUCUAUUCAAAGCAACAAAAACAUCCGCUGCUCAUGCGACAGUAUGCACAAAGUGCUAUAUAUCAACCAAAAGGGAAUUUAUUUAUUCAAGAAACAAUGCAUAUUCCUGUAUAUAGUCUUGGCUUUAACGAGUUCAGUCCCUUGUGCUAUUCUUUAUCCAUUCAAGAUAUUGGAGGUUGCCACCGGUUAUGGGCAAGGCGAUCACUUCUGGCACCUCGUAUUCGUGAUUCGCCUUGACAUGCUCUGUCUGAGCAUCCAAAAGUGAUUCCCUAGUCUUAAUUAUUAGCAACUCUUCAGGAUCUGUCUGCACCUCCCCUUUCCACUCAUAAACAGACUCUAUUCUGGAACUCGGUUUACACAGGCUGCAAGCUUUUCUUUAACUAUGCUUUCUGCCAGUUUUUUAUUUGGAACAGUGACAUAGACAACAAUGCUGGGAACAGUUCUGCUGCUUGCUUCCAUCCUUAUCCUAUUUGUACUAUGAACACUACUACCAACUUUUGAUCCAAGAUUGGGAGAAAGUGGAGGAUUGAGCACAACCCGUUUUAGAGGAGGAUUAAAAGAGGGGCAGAGAUUGGAAAGACCGAAGCUUAGGACACAGAAAGUACCUACUAGUGGUAAUCGGCGACGAACUACUGAAGGUGAUACUAAAGAUGAGAGCUUUAAUGCCAUCUAAGAUUGGAAUUUGGUGGGGCUUUAUAGUACACCAACUACUGUUUCCUUAGUGGAUGAUUUAUUCCCAACCGACGAGGUUGGGGGAUGGCUCUCAACUUGUAUAAUUUUAAUUUAAUAAGAUUAAAUUAAUGACCAUGCCAAUGAUUUCUGCGUCAUGCAUGACAUUCUUUUUUCUUGUACUCUCCAAAAGCUGAAAAUUCUCAUCUCAAUCUCCUCCUCAGCGAUGGCUGCAUGUCUGUACAUGUUCCCCCACAACAAGAAUAAUGAAUCAAUUGCCAUAAUUGCACGCAUUUAAAUUUUUUGAGCUGGUGAUAAAUUGCAUAGUUUUGAUUUUUUCUGUUUCCGGUUCCCACUCUAGCUACUUCUAGAUUUAUUAAUUGGGAAAAAAAGAAGAAGGAAUAAAUUAAACCUUAUUUAAUUACUUUUUUAGUUAGGAUAUCUAUAGCGGAUGUAAUUAUCUCUAUAGAAAUGAAUGAAGCAUCCUAGCUUGUGAUCAUUAUCCUCUGUUGCAAUUCUCUUGUUCAAACUUCAAAUUACGGUUUUGUUUGAUAACCUAAUUCAGCACUUAAAUUUAAUAGAUUCAGAUUUUAACAUGUUCAAACACGUUUGAUAACCAAAAUUUGAAUAUUUGAAUAAAUUAAGUGGUACUAAAUUUUCUAGAUAAAACUUGUCCUAAAGACAAGUGAUAAGUUAUUCACUUAUCACUUAAUAUGAUAUAUACUCAAAUGUAUCAGAUUUAAUACAUAACAAUUUAAUAAUUUAAUGAAUUCAAAUUUCAAAUUUUAGAUUUUAAUUUUAUCAAACGCAUCAAUGCGAACUGAAUAUGAAAUCCAAAGUUGAAAAUCCAAGGGGUUAGAACUUUGAAACAAUAGUGCCUCUAGGCAAAUUCAGCAUUUUUACAUUCUACUGAUUUAGGGCAUCUUCAAUUAUCAGUUUCAACUCCAUGGUAAAAUAUAGAUAUUACCUCUAAUAGUUAUACGCACUUACUGACGGGCUUUUGCUAUACGUACAAGUUAAAAAAUCCGAAAUACACCCGUUUCACUGCAAGUAUAGAGGUCAACUAGUAGUUAAUGGUAUAUAUCGGGUUGAUCCCACGAAAAAGAUUGAACAAUUACCGGCACUACUAAAGCUUCUCUAUUAUUUAGACUAUUAAUGAAUUAUAAGAAGUAAAACCUACUGAACUUAUACAAGAAAAUAACAAAUGAAAGCUCCUUAGGUUAUGGUAUUCCCUAAUUACUCAUGCAAAUGUUAUUUUUAGAUCAUUGAGAACUACUAUCUUGGCUAGCUAUGGUGUAAUUUCCUUAUGCAUAUGAAUCCUACUUUCGUAGUGAAUCAAUUAUACUCAUAAUUAAUCCAUACAUAUUCUCAUGGUUAUGAAAUUAGCUACAAGUUCAUUUCUUUUGUGAAAUUAUAUGAAAUGAAUCACUAAAACCACAUAGGUGCACCUCUAUUCUCAUGUGAGUGUACUCCCCAUGUUUAGCACUUCUUGAACCAGUGUUAAAUCUCAAUUUUCAUUGCAGAAACAACACCUUAGGUAAUCACAAUUAAUGACACUAGAUUAAUCAUGGUUUAAAGAGCUAAAAUGCUAAAUAACUUGCUCAAAAUAAUAGCAUCAAAUAGCCAAAUAAUAAACACUAGCAAUUAUAGAAAGUUCAACCAAAACCCAAGACAUAAACUUUAGAAACACAUAAUAAUAUAUAAAUCCAUAACUUGUAUAUUAACUAAACUUGGAAUGAAGUACAAAAGAUAAAGAGUUGGAAAGGAAUGUAACCCUUGUCACAUGAGUUCAUCUCCUCGCCUUCUUCAUCCUCCAACCUCUUCUUCAUCUAGCAAAUAAACAAGAUGGAUGAACUAACUAGCUAACUAUCUUAUACUAUACUAACCUAACACUCAUAAAAUGGAAGAACUACAUUUCUGCAGACUCCAAACUUUCUCCCGUAUGUCCCUCCUUGAAUCUUGUAAGUUUUGGCUAUAUAAACAUGAAAGUGGUCAAGAAAUGAGGCCUACACUUUUUCCCUUACAGUUGGUAAUGUUUGUCACAUGUCUAGCAUUACAUGUAACUUAUUGGAAGAGAAACCAAGUUGUCCGCGUACAGAGCAGCCUUUUUUAACAGAAAUCUGGCCAAGUUCCGACCAGAUUGCUACAAUGACCUUUUGUGCAGUUUCUGUUCAAUUUCCAGCUCUGGUCCGAUUUUCCUCAACUUCAACUGAACUUUUCUUGAUGAUAGAAGAUGAUUUAACUCUUGACCAAAACAUAAAACUUGUAUCACUUUAAGUUAGCUUUCCAAUGCAUCAAGAAUCACCUCAUUUGGAUUUGUGUAGGCUAAGAAAUGAUUGAAAUACCCUUAACUGCUCAAUGUCCUAUUUCAGUUUCGACUAAUAGAAAUUAGCUACUGUAAUUUGGAUUUUUGACCUGGAAAACCUUAGAAUUGGAUUUUGAUGUCUUCACCAAAGUUGUAGAUCUAUCUCUUAUCGGUUCAAGAAUCAUCUCAAUCCGAUCACUGUAGCUCAAGUUAUAGCCAAAAUACGAAAAUAUAUCAAAACUGUAAAAAAUGCACAAAAUGCAAGUUAAAAGUGAUAAAACCUCAUUUAAUCACUUAAAAACAUUUUUCACCAAUUAUAGCCAAAAUGAUUCAUUUUCUUCCAAUAAUAUAACCAAAGUGACUAAAAAUGAUAUAAAAUGUCAUUCAAUUAUUACGUAAAUUAGUCACUUAUCACUUACACAACAAAUACAGAUUGUGAAAUUAAUUGUAUAAUUUGAUAUUUUGUAGGUUUUUUGGAUAUAAUUUUCACGUUUAGGAAAAAGAAAAUAUGUUAGUAAGUAAUAAUGUGAUACCCCUUGUCCCACGUUGGAAGUGGGAGGCGAAAAGGAUUGAUAUAUAUAAGAUUUGGUCUCAUAAGUUACUAGUUAUUUGGAAUAACCAUUUCGGGACAGUGAAUUUCGACACAAAAAAUUACUUAGGCCAACCAUGGGCUUGGAUGGUGACAAAUAACUUACUAGAAGCUAGGUAUAUUUAUGUUUAUAUGUCCUGAAAGCAGAGUAGUUCAGAAUCUAGAUAAUGGUAACGAUAUGAUGAAAAUGAGAAGUUAUAUGGUAAACUUUAUAGAUUAAUAAUUUCAUCAAGGCAUCAUAUACAAGCAUGAUGACACAAUCCCAACUUUCAUUCUUUUGUUAAAUCUUAGUGUUUUUGUCUUAGAUUUUUUUCAAAUAAAGGAAGGAUGGAAUUUAAGCAAUAGAGGGGUGGAAGGGGAAUUUGAAUUCAAAAUCUCUAAUUUCUAAGUUUUUCACUAAGCAAUCGUCAAAACCAAAAAAUAAAUAAAUAAAAAGCAAAAAAAUGAGGACCUUGUGGUCAAUGCUCCUGUUCGAAGACAUCAUCUCCCUCUAUUGAAAUCUAAGUACCCUUGGUUGACAAUUUGUUUCCCUGAGCAUCCAUCAACACUUUUAUAUAGUAUUAGAUUAGAUUAGAUUGUCAAUGCACCAUCAAUAUCCUUAAAUAUAAAAGCUAAAGUAUAGUAAUCAAAAUACUGUUAGUAAUCUGUAUGAUUAUUUUUUAUCCUUUAAUGUUUUAGUUUUAGGAAGAUCACAAAUGCUGCGUAUCAAGCAUGCCCUAGGCUAAAUUAAGGUAAAUUAAGUACAUUGCUAAAAUGGAGAGCAUUGCUAAAUUAAGUACUUUAAGAUAAAGACUUAAGCAGCCAGAUCCAUUUGAUGUCAGCUGCUUCAAUAUCCACCUCAAAAUAAAUUAGCCUUUGUUCUAGAUUUAGCUUAAUGCUAAGUCCCUUCACCAUUCUUAGUAAUAAUUCAAUUCUGCCUCAAUUUUCUUCUGAUCUUCAAGGUAAAUGUACAAUAAAUUUCAAAAUAUAUCCCAAAUAUAUGAAUUUCUUGAAACCAUCCUUCAAUCUCAUUACCUACUCAACAAAAUGUUCCAUAAACACAAAUAUAUUAAUGAAUUUGGAGUUGAUUCGAAGAAUUGACGAGAACAACAGGGCUCCUUAGAUUUAACAAUUUCAAAUAACCCCAAGCUAGAAUUUUUCAUAUAUUCAAACAAGAAAUUGGAAAAAUCUGACUAGCUUGCAACGAGUACUACAUCUCAAGACAAGGGAUCUUUUCAGUCAACUCUUUUAUUGUAUCGAAAACCUACUUGCAUCUAUGAAUAAGCAAUGCUGAGUGAUGAUAUUUUUAAGGGCAGUCCAAUUCACUCAAUACAAAAAAUAUUUUUAAAUGAUGAUAUUCACAGGAACGUCUAUCUUACUUAAACAAACAAUAAAAAGGAGAUUGAUUGAGAAAUGGCCACAUUAUCUUAUCAUUCUUAAUUAUCAUUAGUUCAAUAAUCAACUUUAGCAGUCCGGAGACUUGUUCAAGGCUGCAACUUGUACAAGGACAAUAAAUUCUUUAUUCCUGCGUCCGGAGACUUGAGACGUGGACGCUUCAUUAGUCAAUAAUAAUAAAAGUGUGGAAUUCGACGACUAUUCUUAGCUCGUUCAAGGAAACAGAGAAAAGACGCUCUUGUACAAGCAACAGGCACAGCUACUUAAACUAUUGGAUAAUUUCAUAGACCUUUCCUGAAGUUUUGGACAAUUUCAGCUAGUACCCCUCUUAUUUUCAAUAUUACGCUGACCACUCUUACUUUAACUAGUGUUGUGACCAAUUCAGCCCAUAUAGAAAGAAAUGGAAUAAAUUGACAAGAAAUGGUAUCAUCACAUUUUAUUCCACAUUUACCCUUGUAGACCCUAAAAGAAAUAUUGUAACAUAGGACAAACUUCACUUUGUCCUCCGAAGUUGAAUCACUUUUCUAUUCUAUACACUGAACUUCAAUUUUGGAUGCUUUGCAUGUGGUUGGAGGCAAAAGCAUAGCAGAGCCCUUUUUGAGUCUCUGAUCGUUAUUAUCACAUGACCAUUGCUAAUUAUACUAUUGCUUUUGAAUGGAAAUAGCAUAAAAGUCUUAGUGAAUGAACAAAUUGAAUAGACCAUUUCGCAGAGCAGUGAAAUAGUCCAAAGCUGUGAAGCACAGUGAUAAGCUACAAAUUAUAGUGGUUUGUAUUUAUUAAUUGUCAAUGAAUGGUUGUAUUUGAGCUAUAAUUUGAAUGGAUGUUGCCUAAUUUAAGUAUAUGUUGGUUUUUGUGGGAAAAGCACGCGAUUGAGGAGGAAAUGAAUCGAAAACGCAACAAAAGGGGAAGAAUGCCAAGACACAAGGAUCCGUGGGUGGAUCCUAUGUCCAACGCCAAACAUUGAAAGGGACUUUGCGAGGACUUCUUCUAGUUCUAAUGAUUGGAAAACCCACUCAAACUCGAUUUUGGUAAGUUUUCAAGACCCAUUCUUACCAUAUUUCGGAUACAACUUUGAGAGACUAUAAAUAGGACAUUCUAGGAUGUUUUUAGAUUAGAAAGCAUUUGGCUAACGUUAGUUCAUCAUUUUUAUACCUUCUUUUCUUGAGAGAUCACAAUGGAAGUGUUGAAGAAUCAAAGGAAGUUCAAGAUGGAGAUUGAAGCGGGGAAAAAUUGAGAAGUUUUCUUACUUUUAACUUCUUAUUUUGUCUUUCAUUUGAAUUCUUGGAUUUAUCUAUGAAUAUGUUGAACUCAUUUAUAUCUAAAGUUAGGAUUUUGUGAAGGAGAUUUAAUUAGAUAAAUUAUUUGCUUUUGCUUAGAUUUAUUUAUCUUGCCUUUAUUACAUGUUUAUGUUUUGCCACUAUAGAUAUGCUUUUAGGAUUUGUAUUGAGUUAAGAAGUGAUGUACAACCGUACAUUAGAUAGAUAAACAUACUUAAUAUAAUCAUGAAAGUGGGUUAAACAUUGUAUGGCAUAAUUAUAUCACCUAAUAUUGUAAAGGAUUUAAUUAUAUACUUAUGAUCUCGAGAGCAACGUGAGAUUUCAUUAGACAAAUUUAGAAGUAUUGAGAGAUAAUCUAAAGUACUUUUCCGUGAUACAUCUUUGACUUGUUAAGAAAAUAAUUGGAUAUAUAAUUCCAAUUCGAAAUCAAAAUUUAAAACUCUAGUUUUGCUAAUGUUUUCUCACCUAUAUCUUGUUUGAUUUGAUUAUUUAUUUAAUUAGUGAUUAAAAACCCUCUGAAUUUAAAUUUUGUUAUUUUUAUUAGAGGAAUUAAAGUAGGAAAAAUUAACUCACUCCUGCAGGUUCGACCCCUGGAGUACUCCAAGCAAAUUAUUAUUACGAUCGACCUUGUACAGUUAUAGAAAUUCAUCGAUCACACAGCAACCAAAAAAAAUUAAUGCACAAUAAUGUCAUGAGCAGAAACAGUUCCCAUCUUAGUUGUUCAACAUUCACGGUGGAUUUCAAUUAGUGGUCAACAGAUAAAAGCAUCCAAAAAAGUAAUCUAACUAGAUAAGUGAAUUUAUAUUGUACAACAUAUUUCUUUUUUCUACCGCAAAAACUUAACUAAUUUAAGACAAUGUAGUCCAAGAUAAUUGAAGAUUAAUUUUCCCUAAAAAAUGUUCAUGAUAAAAACUCAUCAAAGAGAUAAUACAACAGCUUACUUUUGCAGGUGAUCUUAUACGGUCUUUAUUAACAAACUAAUUAGCCACUUAAGCCUUUUUUUUCCUUUUGGGACUACGCAUGACAAAAUGAGGAGUGAAUCAGUCGCUUAGUAUCUAAAAUUUUCCCUCCAUAUAAUUAGUUCAACCUGAUUUAAGACUAAAUUUUUACUAUAGGAAUGUUCGUGAUUCAACAAUGAAACACCAUAGAAACUUAUUUUGGGAGAUUGUCCUAGAAGGUAAAAAAUGAGCAACCAAUCAGAAAGUCGUACUCACAUAUCAAAAUCCAUUCAGUCUAAUUAAUUCACCAGCUAUGUAUAUUUCAUCCAUUUUCACAUUAUAGAAAGAACAAUAAUGCAUGGCAUUAUCCAUCAUAAAUUGCUCAUAUAACAUCAAGAUAUUCAUGGUGUGGACCUCAAAUGACUCGUCAUGUCUACUGGCUACAUUUAAACAUAUCUUAUGGCCAGAAUGUUCAUCUUAUCAACUUGACGAGUUUAUUCAUGGUACCAUACCAUUAAAUUAAAAAAUUUUCCACCUUUUACCUUUCAUAGAUAUCAGGGAAUAUAGCUAAUAACGCACUUUUGGCAGCAAUAUUCCUUCAACCAAUUAAAGAUUUUCGGAGCUUAAAGUUCAGCUCCUAAAGCUCUUCUCCACCAACCAACAGAGAAAUUACUUUUAGCAAAGUUGUUAAAUUUUGGCACCAGGUUUUGAUGGUAUCUUGGUAAGAUUGGAAGAUUAUAUUGCGCUUCUAAGAUAAUUUUUAAAAAAGAUAUUUUAGUGAGAGCAUUAUGGUCAAUUUGCCCCUAAUGAUAUUGACAUUAGGUCCCAUCAACAUCAGAAGGGAGCUCAUUGUAUUAUUGGAUAUAACAAGGGUGCGAGUGAAAUUAUGAAAACCCUCAAGGGAGGAUUUUGAAAUUAACCCUAAAAUACUCAUUCCACGCAAGGCGUGGCGUUCCCCUCCUAGUUCCUAUAAAUAGGGCACCAACUCAAUGCACUAGUCACUCGAUAUCAAUAAUUUAGCACAUUAUUUACAUUUUGAGUGAGAUUGUGAUAAAAUGGCAUCUUCAAAAAAUUUGCCCUUUCUUAUUGGCGUUCUCUUUGCACUUGUGCUCCUCAUUUCCUCUGAUGCAACAGCUGCAGGUACCUAGUCCCUUUUUUUUUCCUUUCAUCCUUUUUUUUUUUGCUGCACCUAAAUAUUUAAAUGAAUGGAGAUUUGGAGACUCAUUAUUGGGAUGUGAAUUUUUAUGGAAGGCUAUUUGUAUAUUAUCAAGCAAGUCAUAUUAAUGUGCUAAUAUCCUUUUCAUUGUUUAGCAAAAGUAAAAUUGGGUUGCUUCUAUCAAUGGUUAGUGGCACAUCUGAUUUUUCAUGCAUCCUUAUAGUAUUGCUGUAAGGAUACACGUUCCAUAGUGUCGCACCAAAGCUUAAACUAACGUCGAAACCAAAUUAAAUGCUUCUAAUUAUAAUUUAAAGCAAAAUAAUUCAUAUCCAAGUCGCACCAUCUUAUAUGCCUGGACUGUUUUGUUUAAUCCAUAGUAUUCUUUUCUUUGCAUAUAUCUUGCAAAUUUUCAGCCUAGCCGGUCACCUAACGUUCGCAGCUUAAGAUAAAGCUCCAAAUAUUUAUGUCUCCUUGUGUCUUGAAACAGAUCAGAAAAGCGUGAAAACCACUGGUGUCCACGAUUCCAGUUCAGGCGAAGAUCGUUGCACAUAUGGUUGCUGCCACUGGUACAAUGGACAUUGCCAAAGAUGCUGUCCACCUGCUGAGGAGACUUGCAGAUAUGGUUGCUGCUACUGGUACAAUGGACAUUGCCAAAGAUGCUGUCCACCUGCUGAGGAGACUUGCAGACAUGGUUGCUGCUACUGGUACAAUGGACAUUGCCAAAGAUGCUGUUAACCUACUGAAGCUACAUCCGGAGAUGAGGUCAAAAAUUAAUGCUAAAUAAAUAAGGGUGUGAGACAGGAUCCGUGACACCUAUAUUAUUACGUUAAUAUGUUAUGUUGUGUUUGCGUUUGAUGGUUGAUUUCCUAUAUGUGUAAAAGACUUGUGCGGCUUCUCUUUGAAUUGGUGUAGAAUCAACAGGGGAAGCAUGUAAUGAGUACUCAGUUCGAGUGCUCUUCUUAUGUUGUUGUCAUGUUGAAUAAAUAAAUCUACGUGAUCAUCUACUACAAUUGAUGAUCUCUAUCUCAGUUACGUCAGAAACUUCUGUACCUUGGACCUGCUAGAAUUUAGCGUGAUUGAUAUAAGACGUGCAGAAUGUUCAAUAUAUGUAUAUAUGUGCUUCUUCAUCGUGCCAUGCCAUUACAAUGUGAAAGAAUUCAGCAUCGACGGAGUGAAACGUACCCAAUCCUGCUCCUGAGAAAGGAAACAAAGUCCCUCAAAAAUGGAUAUUUUGGAUGCCAUCAAGAUUUUGAAUUGAAUGCCAUUUGGAGAUCUGAAUGUUGUUUUUUUCCCCUUUAUCUUCGUUCAAGAUUUUUUUUGGUGGAAAUGCUUCAUUUAUGGACAAUGCUACAGUGCCUAUAGUUAUGGUAACGAUAUUAGAGAAACCUACUAUUACAGGUUUCUAUUACCUUUAGUGACAGAUCCAAUUUUUAGCGACUUUUGAAAUAUUAUAUUAAAAUAAUUAAUAUUAAAUUUAGUAAGUUUUUAAUUAAAACUAGUAAGUUUAUGCCUGAAAGAUAAGUUUUAGUCAGAAAUAGAAAUUUACACUUUGAGUAAUUUAAUUUACUUAUUAUUUGACGAAAAUUACUUAUUUUUGAAUUAAACUUACUAAUACUGCAAGUAAAAAAUGUUCAUAUUUAAGUAAAAAAGUUACCAGUUUCUAAAAAUGGUUUUGGGUUCCUGAACCACUUUCGGAUAUUAUCUUGUUAAAGUCAUCUCCCUUCUUAUUACUUAGUUCUCAGUUUCAACAUACGAUUGAAUUCCCAGGCAAAGGUUUCCACUUUGGUCCACACUUUCUCUUGGUGACAAGUGAAUAAAUUUUCCCACUUCAAAUUUUCAUCUUCAGUUCCCACUUUCCCUCUAUCCUUUCUCAUCGAUCGGUUGUUUUUGGGUGCUGCCAUAUGCAGACACAAUAAAAGGGUUAGCGACGGUGGUAGCCAACCAAAGAGCAUAUGAAAAAUAGCAGUGACGAGGUUAGCCUAUCAUGUCCUCUUGAAAUCGUUUGAUUAUAUUGCUGUAAUUUAUUUAUAUUUCAUUUGUUUUGUUUGUCAAGAUUUUCUUGCGAAAUCAAGGCUGAGAAUUUGAAGAUUUUAUUGCAAUUUUGGGGCUGAAAAUGUCCACUGAAACAUCUAGCCUUGAUUUGGUUGUAGUUUUGAUUGUCUGCUGGUAAAAUAUACUUAAUAGCCAUAUGAAGCAUCUAGGAAAGGACUUGAGACUAGGUGUUUAAGUUAAAUGUGAUUAAUUUAUGAAUGCAUAUAAGAUGUUUGGUGAAAUGUCAAAGAGAAAUCUGUGUGUUAUGAUUGCUGCUCUGUGCUCUUCAGCAGCCAGAGAUGAGACCAGCUCUUAAAGAAAUCACCCUCGUCAGUCGACAACAGCGCUCAAGAUCACCCUUGGGAUUGUAAAUUGUAUAAUCUUUUAUACAAUAGAUUAUAAGAUGUAUAAUCUAUUGUAUAAUUUAAAUUAAAUUUAGUUCACCUAUAAAAUGGUCCUAAAAUAAUUAGUACACUAUGAUAAAUGUUAUUUUAACAACAAAAUAUUUUUUUUUACUAAAAGUCGGAAAUAUCCAUGACAUAUGUAUGAGAGAUAUUUUACCAUAUUUAUAUCUCACAUCUAAUCAUGAAAGUUAAUUUGAGAAAAACUAUUUUUAACAAUAGAAUUAUUUUGAAUUUAACCAACAAGUUGAGAUUUUUUAAACAAUAAAGUGAAAUAUUUUGGGAACUUUUUUUUUUUUUUUUUUUUUUUACAUAAAUAUGGUCUUUAUUGGCAAAGAAAAGAGAAAUUACAUAGAUCGUGUGACUAACCUACCCUGAGACCGUACAGACUCUCACAUACGGAGUUGACAACCUAUCUAACUGCAAAAGAGCCCGAACUUAGAAGGGAGAGCUCUUUCACUGAAAAAUCGGGCAUCCGUUCGUAGGUCCGAGGAGGCCAAAGCGUCGGCGACCGCAUUAGCCUCUCUGAACGUGUGAACCAGAGACACCCCAAUUUUGCCACCAAGCACCGAAUAUGCCUAAUUGUGUUGCAUAACGGCCAGCCAGCCGUCAUCUUAACGGACACGAGAUGCACUAAAGUACUAGAAUCCACUUCUGCUAUGACUCCCGUGAGAUUGUUGUCCUGGCAAUACCGAAGACCCUCCAGCAAAGCCAACGCCUCUGAGGAGAGAACGUCUUGCUCUCCAAACUCCUUAUAAAAGGCAAACACUAAAUUACCCUCACCCGAGCGCACCACCCCUCCACCACUUGACCGCCGCUUACCACACUAGCAUCAGUGUUGAGUUUCACCGCUUGCCCUGUAGGUUUUACCCAAGAAAAGGCUCGAAGCUGUAUCAAUUUGUUCUUGGCCUUACCGAAUUUCACCCAGUCGCAAUCUGUGUCCCCUUUGAAGAACUCCAACUUGAACAGGCCCCCCCUACCCAACUGCUCAACCAAUGCGCACACCUGGUUGGUUACCUGAUCUGACGACAUACUCAUCCCUCAAAGCGGGCCUUGUUACGGCCCUUCCAAAUAAACCACAAGAUCAAGAGCGGGAGGAUGACACGAAUAUGAUUCUGUGAGACAAACCGGUGAGAAAAGAGCCAACAUGAAAGCCUCGAUGCCACCCCACUCCUGGAGUACCAGCCCAAAGCGCAGGAGAAGUGCCGCCAAACCCUGCUCGCUAAAGGGCCCGAGAAAAAAGAUGGUCUCCUGUUUCUGGCGCUAGGCCACAACAGUAGCACUUUGACGCUAACCUCACCCUCUACCUUGAAGGAGAUCAUCCAAGGGGAGCCAACCACGCAACAACCUCCACACAAAGAAGGAUACCUUCAGAGGACCACCGAGCUCCAGACCAGCGAAUCAAUAACAGAUCGAUUACGCUUUGACCGAAGAACGUCCCAAGCUGAAGACACAGUAAAGCUCCCCGAAGGUGACGCCGCCCAAAUCAUUUGGUCUUGCAUAUUGGGAAAAAUACGCAGCUCCAAGAUCUUCGACACUAAGUGCCCCGGAAGCAGCCUUCUGAGCCACUGCUCAUCCCAACCAUCAGAAAGAAAAAAUUCCCCUACCAACCUGUGAGACUUAGGGCCUGGCACCAACCUGGCGAGCGGAACAUCAGUACACCACCUAUCCUGCCAAAAGUCAACUAAGCCCUCCCAGACACCACCGGAUAUUCCCCUCCGUGAGGUCCCUCACCUCUAUCAAACGGCGCCAAAUUGGGGACGGGCGGUCAACUGAAACUAGAAGAGGAUGCCCCCUCUGACAUACUUAACGUGCAUGAACUCUGCCCAAAUGGAUGCCCGUUCCCUCAACUUCCACCAAAGCUUACAUGAGAAAGCCUUAGCGACAUCCUCAAAUGGGCGAAACCCCAGGCCCCUUCCUCGACCGGACGGCACACCUUAUCCCAAGCCGCCCAGUGGAUCCGUUUGCUUUCAAUAGAGGUAUCCACAAGAAAGCAUUGCACAGACGCCUAACUGCAGCAGCACAGCCUUCGGCGGUUGAGUACCUGGAGUAAGUAGACCGGAAGGGAACACAGGACACUUCGUAAAAGGACAAUCUUCCCCCCAUAGAUAGCAUCUUUGAGCUCCAAUGGAAUAACUUUUGGCGAACCUUGCCAGCAACGCAUCAAACACUGCACAUGUGACCCUACGCGAAUCAUCGGCACCCCUAGAUACCUGAACGGAAAAACCUGGCACUGGUACCCCAGGGUCGUGCUUACCAGGGCCCGCUGGGUGUCUGUAGCCCUAGCCGAAGCGUAAAAAGCACUCUUUAGCAAUAUUCACCUUCUGACCAGAACAACUUUGGUAGAGCUGCAAAAAAUCCUUAAUGGACACCAACGCAUCCUGCGAGCACCGAGUAAAGAUGACCAUAUCAUCCGCAAAGGCUAAAUACGGCACUUUCGACCCAGCAGAAACGAAGUAUCUACUGUCCUUGGAAUCAAAAAUCCUUUGCAGCCCUCUCCCAAGAAAAUCCGCCACGAAUAAGAAAAGCGCAGGAGAAGAGGGUCACCCUGUCGCACCCCUUGAAAUGACUUCACAAAACCCGUUGGUUCCCCAUUAACUAGGAUCGAGAACCAAGUGUUAGAAAACGUUCGAAAGAGCAAAUCCACUACUACCUCUUCAAACCCAUACUGCCUAAGCAGAAAAAGUAGAAAGGACCAAUCAACCCGAUCAUAUGCCUUCUCCAUGUCCAGCUUCAAGAUCAAAUUCGGGUCAAUCAACCUCCUAUCCAAGUCUAAAAUCAGCUCCUGUGCCAAAAGAACAUUGUCCACUAUCCACGCCCGGAACAAAACCUGUUUGCCAUGGUGAAAUGAGCUUCGGGAGGAGCUUGCUGAUCCUGAUGGCCAAUAUCUUAGACACAACCUUAGAGGUUACAUUACAAAGACUAAUAGGCCGAAAAUCCGCCAGUGGGAUGCCCUCCACUUUUGGAUGAGCACCACCAUAGAGUGGGACCAGCUCCUGGGUUGCUCCAUACCCUGGAAGAAGUCCUGGAUAGCCAUAAGCAAGUCAUCCUUGACAAUGUCCCAGCAGCUUUGGAAAAAACCUGCUCCAAACCCAUCCGGACCCGGAGCACUCUGUAUCUCCAUUCCAAACACUACCUCAUGGAUUUCCUCCAUCGUAGGAAGACGUUUCAUAAUCUCAUUAUCCUCCUGGUGGCUCUAGGAACCUCAAAAGGAAGCUCAGUGAGGGCCUGUACCUGACGGUUGGAUGCGAACAAGUCCGAAAAAAAGGAUAUCGCUGAGUCCUUAAUCUCCUGCAGGUCUUCAUGCAUCCCCCCUCCUCUUUCCUAAUACGGGAAAUGAAAUUCGAGUUCCGACGCUAGCGGACCCAAGAAUGAAAAAAUGCAGUAUUAGCAUCCCCGCCUGUAACCAUUUAAUACCUGCCUUCUGAUGCCAAAACUCACACUCCAUGGAAAGGGCCCGAUUGUAUCUCGCUCUGGCCUCAUGAAGAUGAAUCUUCGACUCCUCACUUCUAACCAAAUCGUACUCCACCUCCCUCUGUUUUACCUCCUGAUCCGCCUCUGCCACCUGAGAAGAGACAUUGCAAAGACCACACGGUUCCAUUGCUUCAAUGCAUCUCGCACCGUUUUGAGCUUGUUGUAGAAUCUAACCAUCCCCAUGCCAUAGACCUCCUUACUCCAUGCGGCGAACACUAUCUCCCGGAACUGGGGUGCCCGCCGCCAAACAUUAAGAAACCGAAAGCAAGACGAUGUAGCCCUAUAGCCUGCACAUCGAAUCAACAACGGACUGUAAUCCGAUCUCCCUCUGGCCAUAUGGGAAACCCUAGAAAGCGGAUAGACCUCGGACCACCGCCUAUUCCCCAACGCCCGAUCCAAGCGCUGCCAGACUGACCCAUUAGUCAUGUGAAUCGAGACCAUCAAAAUCAAUUGUAGAUAGCCCGCAUUUGAACAUGGAAGCAUUAAAUUCUUCUAUGUUCCGAACAUUAGCUGGAGCCCCCCUUCACGCUCCGCUGCCGAAGCUAUGACAUUAAAGUCGCCUGCUGCUACCCAGGGUUGAUUGUGUGAGACGAGGAAGCCACACUUUCCAUUGCCUCCAGAGUGGCCUCCGCCCAACCUCGUGCACUUGGCAUAUAUCGCAGACACCCAAAAGGAUGCCCCAGAGCCAAAGGAAACGUGAGCAUGAAGCAUUUGCUCAGCGUACUCGACACAGCUAAAUCGUAAGAGGCACGACCAAAACACCCAUAUUUUACCACCAAUAUAAAGAGCUGAGAAAUCAAAAUUUAAAACCUCCGAACCACCUCCAACUGACACUCGCAGACAUUGGUUCUAAUAGAAAUAAUAACCUAACCUUGUUAUCGUAGCACAGCUUCUUCAGAUAGCGCAAAGAGUCCCUUCGGGAAGCCCAUCUGAUAUUCCAAACUAGCAUAUUAAUCGGAUCUAACAUGAGACCCAAUGAGUAUGAAGCUUGCGCCAAGGGUACACACAUGCCCCCUUCUUGGUCUCCCCCGUUUCCGUCUUAGAACCGUGGCGGCAUCAUCCUCCUCCAAGUCAUUACUAAAUCCCCUUCAAGAAGAGUUAAAGAGUCCAAAACAGUGUCAACACCCUGGACUGGUUGCGCCUUAGCAUUGAAAUCCCGUUGAAACGCCUUCAAUUCUUCAAGCGAGACUGAGACAGCUCUCACGCUAUCCACUGAACGCCCUCGGUGAUGGCAGUCCCGUUUCCAACCUCUCGACGCUGACCGUACAGGGCUCCUGUCUCGCUGCUCCUCAUCUGCGGAUUCACCUUCCAACUCUCCUAGAGCAGCGAAAGAAUUUGUCACGCGUAUGCUUCCCUCCUCUUCGGCGCCUAUACGAGACCCGCCCUGCAGCUCAAUCCCAGGUGACCAGCACUCCUGUGGCCGCACUUGUCAUUCCCCAUUCCUUCCGACUGAAUAACUAGCCUGCUCCUUCCCCUUAUCCCCAUUACUCCCAGACCCAAAGUCUGUACCAUCUUAUUGUCAUCUGCAACAGGCUCCAGAGACGCUGCACUCACUGCCGCAUCAGUCUGUUCCAAUGCUCCUUCCGACUGGAGCAGCGCACAACCAGUACCAGCACCAGUCCUUGUUCACCGACAGCAGCCGCCUGCACACUCUCCGCGACACCUGGUCCUGGCCAGGUGCCACCGAACUCCUUCCCAUUCACCACUUUCGGAACGUACACUUGCCGAUGUUUCAGUGUUUUUGCCUGGGCAGCGCGAGGCUGCGGAUCCGGGCGCAAGGAAGGAUUUCUAUGAAAACACUGCUCCUCUGUAUGGCCGAAUCUGCUGCAGAACCACAGUAGUCUGGCCACCCUCCAUCUCAACAGGCUGCCAGAAACCGAAGUGAUCAUCACCUAUCCAAAUACGACGCACAGGGGUCGACACUACGUUUACCUCCACCAAUACUCUGGCAACGGACGGACGGCGCAAAUCACACGUUGAUGCGUCAAUCUUGAGGGGCUGCCCAACGUAGAAGCGAGCUUGAUUAACUGGGAUCUCUGGAAAAAAGGAAUCGGCAAUUCUGGGAAGCAAACCCAGAUUGGAGCUAUGGCUAACUCCUGAUCUGCCUUAAAUUCCAACGACCACUUGGAAAUCGACAUUGGCGAGCUGCUAACAUACCAAAUCCUCCGCGCAAAGAGACGGGUGUAGUCUUCCUCCAGAACGGGACGAAUGAGAACGUGUUUCUGGUCGAGGAGGCCAACCUUACAGUCCCCUCUGAGACCAGCGACAGAAAGAACUUUCUGAUGACUUCCAUGGGUGGUCUGUUGAAGGAGAAACGCCCACCAACGAAUUCUGAAACGGUUCCGAAAGCUGCUCAAUUUCCCUACGAGAGAUACGCAAAGCAGGUUCUCCUCUGAAGGUAGAGACCUCCCCUAAAGCUAUGGCAUCAGGUUUAUCCGAAGCGCCUGCCAGAACGAAGCAAAGGACCUCUGAACCGGAGACUGACUGGCCUGUGUGUGUGACGGCCCACAGGCCGCCAUGUCCGGUAAGAAGAUCUAGCCGCACCCUCAACCCUAGCCGACCCUCAAACCGUCAAAAGUCGGUAUAUUCUAUAUUUUGGGAACUUAGUUGUUUAUUUUCCCGUAAUAAAAAAUUUAAAAUAUGAAAAUUAUUCUUACAUAUUUUAUAAGGUCAUAUGCAAAAAAAAAAACAGUUUAUAUAUAUUUAAAAUGCUUCAAACAUAUAACAUUUAUAAAUGAUACGUACAAUUGUAAGUUUCUUUAAGUAAAAUAGUAAAUUUAUGCCACAAACUAUUAAGUUUGAUGAUUAACCAAAUUUACUAAAUCUAUCAACAAUAUUUACUAUUAAUCUAUAAAAACUUACUAUUACUUGAACUAAACUUACCCUCCAAAAACUAAGUUUCAGAUAUAGAGUAAUAUUUUAUUUCAUAAAAACAAAGUUAGUUCCAUAUUUAUUCAAAUUUACUUUUUGAGACAUAAAAGUUACUAAUAUAUUGAGUUAACUUACUAUUCUUUAUGCAAAACUUACUAACCACCAUUUUAGGUACUAUUUCAUUUAGAAUGACCAGUAUAACAGGUCAUCAAAUGGUCGCUAAAAGUAUUUUUACCUGUUAUAUCAGGUAAAAAAAUUUCGUUACCAUAACUAUCGUUACUUCAGUUUUCCUUCAUUUAUACGAAUUUUCCUAGUUAGUAAAGGCUUCUAUUACACUUGUACAAUACACAUUUAAAAGUAUAACACAAUAAAAGUUGUGUAGUUCAUAUAUUUCAAAAUAUUCAUACUUUCAACUAAACUAUAAAAAUACGUAAUAUAUUCUUGAUACAUUAUACUUUACGAACUAUACUUUAAAUUUUAAAAAUAUUUAAUACUAUCACUUAUUAAUAACUCCACAUGUUAGUUUGUCUCCCAAUUCAAUAAAUUAUAGUAGCUAAUUCUCAAAGCUAUUACACCAAAAUUCCCUUACUCGUUCACUCCUAGUGGAUUAUUAUUAAUUACAUUGCAUUUAUUUCCUAAGCAUGAGUUUUGUAACCCCUCAUAUUAAAUCUCAAUGAUUAAUUUUAACGGUUACCAAGGCGUCUAGUAAUUGGUUUGCUAUUUUAAUUUGAACUAGACAUUUAUUAGGUCUAGUAGAAUUUAUUCCUUCUUAUCACUUAGUUCGUAAACCUUAUGAAUCGUUAAAAACCAGCUCUAACAUUAGGUAACAAGACUUCUACAAUUUCGGGUUUUGCUUAGAAAUCAGUCUGAUAGUUUAACUUGCUUUCGUCCAACUUUAUGAGUUGCUUUUUUUUUUUUCAUUUGGCAUUUCAUCUGACUUUAAUACGGGGACCAAGUUAGUAUUGUUGGCAUUUCAUAUCUAAGACUUCUUAAUUAAUUGAUUUGUUAUAAGAACUAUAACGUAUGCGUGUUUUGUGAGCUUUCAUGUUUUUUUUUUUUUUUAUUCUUGUGGACCAGCAAUGGAUAGUUUCUUCUAGUGCCAAGUUCCUUUGAAUUCUUUAUUUUUUUUUUGCGUGUCCAAAUGUAAAUUAAAAGAACCAACAACUUUGAACAAGUCUAUAUCUAGUAAAGAUAGAUAUAAAGAGGGAUACGUAUACACAGAUUAUAUAAUUUUUUUCAAAUGUAUGAUUAAAAGUUUAGUAGUAAAAAUACGAGUUUAUCAUUAUUAUGGAUAUCAUAUAAAUUCAUAUAUGAAUAGUAUGAAUAAAUAUAAAUGUUAUAGAAUUAGGUAUACAAGUGAAAUUACUAUAAUUUUGAAUGAUUAUGCUAUUUAUAUCAAAUUUAAUGCUGAUCUGUAUAUAUGACAUCAGAUUUAUUAAAGUUUUAUCACUUUUUUACAUUUAUAUUAUAAUCCAUCUAAAGUUUGUUAUUUGACAAUACAUUUGAUAUAUACCUCAAAAGGUACGUCAUUAUCUUGUCUCACUUUUUAAAAUUUAAAGUAUAAAUCAUAAAGUAUAAUGCAUCCAAAAACAAGUUAAAUGCAUCAAGAAUUUAUUAUAUAUUUUUAUAGGUUAGGCGAAAAGUAUAAAUAUUCUUGAAAUACACGAACUAUAGAACCUCUUUUGUGCUAUACAUAUAAACGCGUAUUGUAGAAGUAUAAUAGAACUAUUUACUAGCUAGGCAAAUUCGUAUAAAUGAAGCAUUUCCACCAAAAAAAUCUUGAACAAAGAUAAAGGUUCAGAUCACUGAAUGCCAUUCCAUUCAAACUCUUGAUAGCAUCCAAAAUAUCCAUUUGAAGGACUUCGGUUUCUUUCUCAGGAGGGAACGGAGUUGAGUUUGACUCCGUCGAUGCUGAAUUAUUUUACAUUGUAAUGACAUGUAUAUAAAUAUUAUUGAACAUUAUGAACGUCUUAUAUCAAUCACACUAAAUUCUAGUGUUCCCAAGUAGGGAUGAGCAAAUUCGGUUCUUACCGAAUUCAUAACCGAUUUCAAAUUCAAUUCGGUAAUUUGAAAUCGGGUAUUUGGUAAUUUGGUACAAAUUCUGUGAGAACUCGAAAAUUUUCUUAUUUUUAUAGAAUAUUACUGGAAUAUUUAAAUGAUUAUUCACUAAUUUUCUUCGAAUUAUUUAUUUCGACCAUUUUAAUUCAUUUAUAUGGAAUGACGCCUCUUUAUAUUUUUAAAGCGUUUUGUUGAAAAAUUCGCUUUUCGAAAAUUUGUUUAGUCCGGAACGACGGGUGCACGUUUUUCUAGGCCAUACUUGAAUCGGGAGUGUAUUAUUUAUUGGAGAAUUAAGAACGAUCAAUAAUAGAUUAAGAAAGGUUAAUGGAGGAAUUAAUACUCAAUUCACGUGAGGACUCGUAAAAUUAUUAUUUUAAAAUCCCUAAUUUUGGCUAAAUUAAUUACUUAUUUAGAUUUUUGCCACGAAUAAUAUUUUCUAGCCUUUUAGACCUAAGUACAUGGUUUUAUAGUUUCGUUAUAUUUUUAAAGUGUCUCAUUUCAAAAAUUAUUUUCUUAUAAGCUUGUUUAGUGAAAAGGUGAAAACGUGUCCAAACACUUUAGCCAAUUGGGAAUAAAAUAAGUUCAAAAAUUUGAGACAUAUACAAUGGUUCUAAAAUAGACAAUUUUAGAUUUAAGCACACAAGUGAUAGCUAGUGGUACGAUCGUUAUAAGAAUUUCUCGAAAGUUUCAUUUUAUUGCGCCUAAAUUGGAAAUACGUGUUUUCACGUGCGCGCUUAAUUGAGGGACUUUGGACAAUUAUUUUGGGACAAUUAAGAAUGAAUAAUAUUUAUAUGAAUGUAAGUGCCCUAGAGGUUUAGUGCACUAGUGUAACAAACUUAAGGAAAAUUGAACACAAAACGCGCGAGUAGGGCACUAGUUGCAAUUAAAUUUUUCAUACUUAAAAUAUUAGACGGUCGGCGUUCUUUGUAUGCAAAAAGGAAAUCAGACUAACAUUCAUAUCUGCAAGCUUUAUGGACGGCUAGCAACUGCAGCAAAGAGCAACCGAAAACUUCCACAUUUCCUCUACAAACUCACAAAUUCAACCAAAACUUCACACACACUUAGCUCUUCACUUGGACAAUCACUUGGACAAAGAACGAGCUGCACAUUCACGGUUUUUCUUGGGCUUUUGGACACCAAAAAUCUGAUCUUUUAGCACACAAGUAAGGUAACCAUGAUCCACUCUUCAAAUCUUGUUCGUUGAAGGCCAACUCACACUUAAGAGCUUGAUUAUGCUUAUGGGUAGCUUAUUAUUGUUAGAGAAUUGUUAAAUGUGGCUCUAUGAACUCCACCACUUUGAGUUGAUGUGUGAUGAUUUUGAUUGAUGUUUUAUUGUUGAAUUAGUGCUUAAGGGAGUAGAUUAAAGGUGCAUUAUCGCCAGAAACUUCAUUGAGCUCUUGAAGCAAAAAGUUCCCCUGCUCCGUUCGGUGGCAGAAAUUUGAGAAUUUAAUGGCUUGAUUGUGUUGUUUAUAUGUUGUAAAUUUUCAUUGAAAACUGAGUUUUGGUUGGUCAAACGAAUUUAUUCCCAAGCUAGUAAUCUGGAAAACGGUUUUCAUCGUAAUCCAGACCAGUGUUCGUAUUUCGUCCAUAACUCCGUACUCCGACGUCAAAAUCAAGUUCCGUUAGCGGCAUUUGAAACUAGACGUUCCCAUACUUUCCAACGGUAUAUAAUGCACAUUCUGGUUCCAUGUGUGUGAACCGCACCACUCAUCUGAAUUCAGCUGCCCUGUUUCGCCGUUCUGCCGAAAUGAUUUGAUGAUGCUGCAACUUUAGGCUUAAUUUCGAGCUAGUUGCAUGCUGAAACAUAAAAUGAUUUCUUCUGUGAAAUUAUAGUCCUAUGCAUGUAUUUUCUAACACUAUCAACCAUGCUCAAAUCCGAGUUAAAUUGAGUGAGUUAUGAUCAAAAUACGGUGACUGUUUUGUUCUUGAAAGCCUUGGAUUUGGACAGAUUUGACGUGACAUUUGUGGUGGUCUUACUAAAUGAAUUUCUUGAUACUAAACACCUACCACAUGUACCAUGAAUGUUUCUUAAACUUUCCUUUCGCAUAUGAACCAUGAUUGGAGGAUUUUCUUAGCCAAACGAUUGGAUUUGGGAAGAAAAGGAUUAAGGACAGAUUGUCUUGAGAAUUUUUUCAAACUUUGGUUGAUUGGUUAACCACCUUCCCGAAGGUAUUUUUCCACGAAAUUUUGUAGAGAGAUACCCUUCAUAUAGUAGUACCAUACUACAAAAUUUGGGGUCAAUUCAAGUCCGUUUCGACACUUAACAAAAGUUCCAUAGUCGGAACCAAUCUGGAAAUUUUGUAACAGUCUUGAAUUUUUCCCAACUUUGAGCUACCAUAUCUUGGUGUUCGAAACUCCGAUUCUCGAUCCGUUUAUUCUACCCUAAACCUUAGUUGCACCUCUAAUUGAGCUAUAAAUUUUAAGGGCUGGUUUGCAACGAGUGAAUUCUGCCGAAUUUCCAAAGUUAGCGAAAAGCCAACCCCGGGUCAAUCCUGGGUGAUCUGGGAUAGCAACUUUAAACUCAUUUUUGAAUACCUUUCAUUUCGAUUCGUGGAACAGUGUCUUCUAAGAACUUUUAGUAAUUUCCAAGAGGUUUCCAACGGUAUAAAGUUUUCCAAUUUUAGACUUGUAUCGAGUGAGAUACGAUUUUUCAAAGAUCCAUAUCAAAACUGAAAAUUUUCCAACUUUCAAGGAAAUAGAGAUUUCCAAGAACUUUUUAUUCUUUCGACAUUAUGCAAACAUUUUAACCUCAUUUCCAAGAUAAAAACCCAAAUGCUCCUGUACUUUAAGAAACUCUAAUUGAACCUCGAUUUACGAGUAAUUGAGGUUCGAUUUCGUGAAUUUCCUUAGAUUGUACUAGUGUACAAUCUUCCUUGAUAAUUGGGAUAUAUGAAUGAUAAUACGUUAUUUUUGCCCAGGCGCACACGAGGACCUUCAAGAGGAUCCUACCGUGCACACUUGAACUUCCAGAAAAUAUUUCUUCUUGAUUUGCUCGGUGAGUGUCAAGUGUAUGACUACUUGAACACUAUGGACUUGAUUCAUGCUUGGCUUACCUGAUUACAUGCUUAGCCUACUUGGUUUUGAAAAAUGGAGUCGAGUGUGUACUUUAUCGCACUCGUUCUCAUUUGAAACAAAUGACUCAUGCUUAACAUGGUUUGCCUGAUUUACAUGACCUGAAAUACAUGCUUAGACCUGUCAAAUGCUUGAAUACAUGAUAUGGUAUGCUAUGGCUGCAUACGUCGUUGGAGUGAAUCUCUCGACACUUACAUGACACAUGGGGGACGCCAAACUCAUAGGCCGACCUUGGAACUCGAGCCGGCAUGGGCUUGGUCGGGAACCUCGUGAGCCAUGAGAUUCACAUGAUAAGCUUGAUCUAUUGGAGAGAUCUUGCUUGGCAUACUCGUGGAGUAUCGCCUCAUAAAUGUCGUGCGGCCCGAAGCGGUGUAUGGUGGACGGAUGAGAAGUAAGUGGUGAUCUACGGUUUGGAAAUAUCAACCCGGUUGACGGAGAGUCAUCACGGGAAGAUAUACGAAUGAACUGGCAAAGCAAGUGGAACUUAGCUCUUGAGAGCUACCAUAUCCUUGAAUCGUUUCUGUUUACAUUUUGUUGGCAUUGUUAAUUACUUGCAAGUUAUCACUUGAACUGUUACUUGGGUUUGUUACCUGAACUAUGUGCCUGCAUGUGUGUUCUUGGCCUCACGAGCGUUUUGCUCACCCUAUAGAUUUGUUUUCCUUAACAGAUUUGAACUCGGAGGCGUACUGGAAAAAAACCUCCUGAUGAGCUUUUGUUUAGGAUUUCUAUUAAUUUUGGCUAUGUCUUGGUUUUGGGUUGUACUUUUGGAAUUGAAAUGUAACUUUUGGGCGUGAUGUAUAUUUGGGAUUAUAUGAUGUUUUGAAACCCGACGUGCGGGUGGAUAAUGGAUGACUUUUUAUUAACUUGAACGCUUCGCAUUUUUGUAUUAAGUUAUUUACGUGUAUUGUGGUCGAGAUAAGCUUGAAUGGAAUUGCUUGAGUCCUGGCGAGAGUUAGGCAGGCGUCCGCGGAUACCCUUUGGUUCGCCUUAGGGAGAAGUGGGGCGUCACAGUUGGUAUCAGAGCAUAGGCUUUAGAUCUUGUAGUGUAUCCUAGGUUUAAAGUUUAGGAUGCCUGACUGUGGGAUUAAUUUGAAUAUUAUGUGAACUAGAGGGUCUAUUGUAUCCUACGGGUUAAAAAAUUGGUUACUUGAGAGUUUCUUACUUGGGACUUGUAGAAAUAAAAAUUGAGGAAUUAGCUGAUGUUAUAUUGAAGGAAAAUAUGGGAUGAGAGAUUAGUAGUGAAAGAUUGGACGAAUUUGAAUUAUUAUUAUUCUUGUAAGUGUGGAAAGAAGUGAGACAAUUAUUAGUGCUGGCUAAAGCGAUAAGAGACCGAGAUUUGAUGGUCAAACUCCAUGUAUCGUGAUUGUGAACCAGAUGAAAGAGUUUCAAAUAUAAAAUGCAUUUUCCUGCUCAUUUACCUCCUAGAGAAAUUAUGCUUUGAAAUUCUAAAGGAAAAAUGGAUGUACUAGUUUUAUUUUCAAACGAUAAUUGGAAAUAAUAUAUAUAUGCUUUAAGUAUGUGUAAUUCUUCGAUUUUGGUAAAUAUGUGAAUUUUACUUGAAUUUCAAUUUAAAAAUUUGUGAAUAACUGAUGAGUUUGUUGAAAUUUUGUAUGUGAUGGGCUGAUACAAGGUUAAAAUUUUCUAAACUAGAUUUUCCCCCUUGAUUGUAUACUGGUGUAUUCUCACACUUGAAUUCAUCUAUGCUUUACAAAAAAAUAAAAAAAAUAAUAAUAAUAAAAUAUCUUGAAUUUUCGGAAGAACGGCGAACUUAUGUUUUUAUAAUGAAAAUCUUGAACUUGAUAAGAUUUUUGUUACUUUAAAUACUCUUCUUAUCUUUUAAAAUUCUUGGUUUUCAAGAAGGGUGAGCCUAUCUUUAGGUGUACGGAUUGAGGAACUUUGAGAUAUAGAGUAACCGCAUUCAAGAACACGCAGUUAGUGUGAAUUGACUUGGUUUCCAUUUGACACGUAAGUUAGCAAGUUGUACUUAUUUCUUGGGUUUGAACUUGGAGCUUGAACUUUAACUAUAAAACCCUAAGACUAGUUAUUCUUGGAGAUGAUGGUGCUCUGGUUGGUGGCUUGCUUAUUAAAGAUUUUGAAUUUCGAAUGGAUAACCUUUGGUUUCCGCUUGUGUUAUGGUUUGAUUGGAUCUAAUUUCGUAAAGGCAUGUGAUCUGAUUGGAAUUAGUGAUAUUCGGACCCAUUGGUUUAAUUAAGGACUUAGGAAGGGUGGUGCACGCCGUGAGACCUUUUGUAUCCCGCUUGCAUAUACUUCUACAUUUUGUGACCCUUAAUUGCCUAUAUACAGUAUUUGACAUAUUGGGCUUGUUUUGUGACUUCUUAACUCGUACUAUAACCUUCGAUACAUGUAAAGAAUCAUGUCUUGAUUCUAAAUAUUUUUGCAACUUGUAUAUGCAUUAAGUUCUUUUAUGAUUAAUUAUUCCUUUUCUUGCGCUUAUAGACUCCUAUUAAGUAUGGUAGCAGGAAUAGGAAAAAGGGGUCGUGGCCGAGGACUUAGACAACCCUGUACUCGUGAGAAAAAUUGAUGGAUAGUCUUAUAUAAUUUAAUGAGAUUCUAGUACUGAAUAUGAAUCGAGAAAAAAAACAGAAGAUUAGAUCUACCAGUGUAUAAUGGAUUAACCUAGUUGGGAACUUAGUGAGAUUUUCCUGUGUGAAAUUUUAAUAACUGCUUUAUACGUAUAUUAUGAUUGGUCCUGUGGCCAUAUUUCAACUUUUGUGAAAGUUUGAACUCCAAAAGUAUUUCGUGGGUUUGGUGAGAUGACCUGAACUCAUUACCAAUUUGUUCUACUUGAACAAAAGCGCUUUCAAUUUUACUUGACUAAUACUAUAUCCAGAUUCACUUGUUUUACUUUUCACAAAAUUUAUAUAUAUAUAUAUAUAUGUAUGUAUACACAUUUUGAACUCGUUUGAGACUCGAAAUCAGAUAGAGUUCAAGUUCGAAUCUUUCUUAGGAACAUGAAUGCCUAUUUGUUAUGAAUCAGAUAUUAGAAAUGAUCGGGUUUUAUGUACCAGUAGAGUUAACUCUUGGUUGGAUAAAAGGGUGGUAAAGGUAUUGGAUCACAGGUUAUGCGAAUAUGAACCUACAUGUUUACCUAUCUUUCUUAAAGGUAUUUUCUAAAAUAUACGCCUUACUCGAACAUAGAUUUAACUCGAAACUUUGAGGAAAAGUGUUGGAACACCCUCCAUGUAUAUGUUAUGAUUAUUAUGUAUAUGUUUUAAAAAUCAUGCAUUAAGUUGCAUGAUUAAUAUUCUUAAAUCUAUUUGAGAGAUUUUAAAUAUGUAUUGAUGAUUGUGGUUAAACAUUAUUUGAAAUCUCUUACUAAGAAAAUUUAGUUUUGGGUCGUGAAGAAAAAUUUGUAUCUUUAACUCUAAUUUUGAAAAUUUUGAAUCGCAUUUUGCCACAGAUACAUUCAAAAUACAUCAAAAGUCUUGACCUUAUCUUGUAAGUCAUGAUUGGUUUGAUUUAGACAAAAUUUUGAGGAAAGGGAUUUUGGUCCUGCUAGUGCGUAACAGUUUUUUUUUUUUAGGAUUUGGAACUUGUUUCAUAUGGCGUGUAAUUUAUGGUUUCACUACACACGGGAGUAAGACCUUAGAAUGGAAGUACAUAUCAUUAUAUCAAGAGGUAUUACUUUAGUCGUGUGUGUGGAUUUUCUUAAGUAUCAUUCGAGGAGAGGGAAGAGUAAAUAUACCUGGAUGACUUAGAUGCGUGAGAAUUUACAGGUUGUGGAUAGUUGAGUUUCAAUUCUGAUUUGCUACUUAUUUAGAUGCUUGAGCUGUUGAUAGGCUAACAGUCAGGAUUAAGAAAAUGGAUGAAUGAAAAGUUUGGAAGAGAUGCGUAUAGAAAUAGAAAUUCUUCACAAGGAGUUGGAAUUCCAAACUAAAUUGGCUGAAUUUGGGAAGAAAAAAAAAAGUCGAGAACUUAGGGUUGAAGAUGGGAUCCAAUGUUUAAUCGCCAAUUUGAGAUAUUAAAAGUUGUGAGAUUUGGGUGAGUGAAAGGAAAUAUUUGAUGGCUUGAAUGAGCUAACGAUUAGGGACCGGAUGUUAUAUUUGGAAUGGACGCUUGAGGCUAUAUAUACAUAGAUUAUUGAGAGUUGAACGAUGAGACUAUUAAGAACAAAUGCUCCAUAGCCUCACAUAAACGAGAAUUAUAAUCAAGGGUCAGGAGCAGCGAAUAAGGGAUUUAAAGUAGAGUUACUACAACCGGAAUCCUAGAAACUGAUGUGCUUAAAACCACUUCCAAUUCAAGAUGGGGAUGCUUGAAUUUUCAGUUAUGCCAAUUGGGUUGACUAAUGUAUUAGCAGCAAUUAUUGCAUUAAUGCAUCAAGGUUUUAAAUCGUAAUAGGAUUAAUCUGUGAUGGCAUUUAUUGAUGAUGUAUUGAUAUACCCUAAAGUUUGAGAAGAUCAUGAAAAAAAAAUACCUGAUGGUAGUUUUACAAACCCCAGAGAACGCUAACUUUUGUUAAGUUCAAUAAAUGUGAGUUCGAUGGGAAGAAAUAGCCUUUCUAAGUUAUAUAAUAUCUAAGGAAGAAAUUGUUGUUAACUCAGCUUAAGUGGAAGCUGUUUAAGAGGAAAUGACUAGAAAAUCCUACCGAAAUUUGGAGUUCUUAGAGGUAGUCGAAUAUUACCUUGGUUUGAUCAGGGACUUCUAAGGAUACGAGACUUGGCAAGUUAUUUGAGAUUUUAAAUGUGAGGAAGAAUUUGAAGGUGAAAAUCGUUUAACCAGUGCACUUGUGUUGGCUUUACCGAGCGGAUAAGGUGAUUUUGUGAUUUAUACAGAUGGUUCAAAGGAUGGUUUAGAAUGUAUAUUAAUAAUAUAUGAUGAGGUGAUUGUAUAUGCCUUCUGAAAGUUAAAAUCUUCCGUAAGAAAGUAAUCAACUCAUGAUUUGGAGUGAGUUGGAAAACGUAAGUCAAUGAUUGAUCUGAUAGGUUUAACCAUGAAGGGAAUGAUAUUGUUCUAAGUAUGAAUUUCGAGGACGAAAUUCCUUUCAAGGAGGGGAGGAUGUGAGAACCCGAAAAUUUUCUUAUUUUUAUAAAUAUUACUGGAAUAUUUAAAUGAUUAUUCACUCAUUUUUUCGAAUUAUUUAUUUCGACCAUUUUAAAUCCAUUUAUAUGGAAUGACGCCUCUUAUAUUUUUAAAGCGUUUUGUUGAAAAUUCGCUUUUCGAAAAUUUGUUUAGUCCGGAACGACUGCACGUUUUUCUAGGCCAUACUUGAAUCGGGAGUGUAUUAUUUAUUGGAGAAUUAAGAACGAUCAAUAAUAGAUUAAGAAAGGUUAAUGGAGGAAUUAAUACUCAAUUCACGUGAGGACUCGUAAAAUUAUUAUUUUAAAAUCCCUAAUUUUGGCUAAAUUAAUUAUUUAUUUAUUUUUGCCACGAAUAAUAUUUUCUAGCCUUAUUAGACCUAAGUACAUGGUUUUAUAGUUUCGUUAUAUUUUUAAAGUGUCUCGUUUCAAAAAUUAUUUUCUUAUAAACUUGUUUAGUGAAAAGGUGAAAACGUGUCCAAACACUUUAGCCAAUUGGGAAUAAAAUAAGUUCAAAAAUUUGAGACAUAUACAAUGGUCCUAAAAUAGACAAUUUUAGGUUUAAGCACACAAGUGAUAGCUAGUGGUACGAUCGUUAUAAGAAUUUCUCGAAGGUUUCAUUUUAUUGCGCCUAAAUUGGAAAUACGUGUUUUCACGUGCGCGCUUAAUUGAGAGACUUUGGACAAUUAUUUUGGAACAAUUAAGAAUGAAUAAUAUUUAUAUGAAUGUAAGUGCCCUAGAGGUUUAGUGCACUAGUGCAACAAACUAAGGGAAAUUGAACACAAAACGCGCGAGUAGGGCACUAGUUGCAAUUAAAUUUUUCGUACUUAAAAUAUUAGACGGUCGGCGUUCUUUGUACGCAAAAAGAAUCAGACUAACAUUCAUAUCUGCAAGCUUCAUGGACGGCUAGCAACUGCAGCAAAGAGCAACCGAAAACUUCCACCAUUUCCUCUACAAACUCCACCAAAUUCAACCAAAACUUCACACACACUUAGCUCUUCACUUGGACAAUCACUUGGACAAAGAAGGAGCUGCACAUUCACGGUUUUUCUUGGGGCUUUUGGACACCAAAAUCUGACCUUUUAGCACACAAGUAAGGUAACCAUGAUCCACUCUUCAAAUCUUGUUCAUUGAAGGCCAACUCACACUUAAGAGCUUGAUUAAUGCUUAUGGGUAGCUUAUUAUUGUUAGAAAUUGUUAAAUGUGGGCUCUAUGAACUCCCACUUUGAGUUGAUGGCUGUGAUGAUGUUUGAUGAUGGUUUUAUUGUUGAAUUAGUGCUUAAGGGAGUAGAUUAAAGGUGCAUUAUCGCCAGAAACUUCAUUGAGCUCUUGAAGCAAAAAGUUUCCAUUUUACCCCUGCUCUGUUCGUCACUUUAAUGCAGAAAUUUGAGGAUUUAAUGGCUUGAUUGUGUUGUUUAUAUGUUGUAGUAGUUGUGUAAAAGUUUUCAUUGAAAAAUACUGAGUUUUGGUUGGUCAAACGAAUUUAUUCCCAAAGCUAGUAAUCUGGAAAACGGUUUCGUCGUAAUCCAGACCAGUGUUCGUAUUUCGUCCAUAACUCCGUACUCCGACGUCGAAAUCAAGUGCCGUUAGCGGCAUUUGAAACUAGACGUUCCCAUCUUUCCAACGAUAUAUAAUGCACGUUCUGGUUCAUGUGUGUGAACCGUACCACUUAUUGAAUUCAGCUGCCCUGUUUCGCCAUUCUGCCGAAAUGAUUUGAUGAUGCUGCAACUUUAGGCUUAAUUUCGAGCUAGUUGCAUGCUGAAACAUAAAAUGAUUUCUUCUGUGAAAUUAUAGUCCUAUGCAUGUAUUUUCUAACACUAUCAACCAUGCUCAAAUCCGAGUUAAAUUGAGUGAGUUAUGAUCAAAAUACGGUGACUGUUUUGUUCUUGAAAGCCUUGGAUUUGGACAGAUUUGACGUACAUUUGUGGUGUCUUACUAAAUGAAUUUCUUGAUACUAAACACCUACCAAAUGUACCAUGAAUGUUUCUUAAACUUUCCUUUCACAAUGAACCAUGAUUGGAGGAUUUCUUAGCCAAACGAUUGGAUUUGGGAAGAAAAGGAUUAAGGGCAGAUUGCCUUGAGAAUUUUUCAAACUUUGGUUGAUUGGUUAACCACCUUCCCGAAGGUAUUUUUCCACGAAAUUUGAGAGAGAGAUACCCUUCAUAUAGGAGUACCAUACUACAAAAUUUGGUGUCAAUUCAAGUCCGUUUCGACACUUAACAAAAGGUCCAAAGUCGGAACCAAAUCUGAAAUUUUGUAAUAGUCUUGAAUUUUUCCCAACUUUGAGCUACCAUAUCUUGGUGCUCGAAACUCCGAUUCUCGAUUCGUUUGUUCUGUCCUAAACCUUACUUGAACCUCUAAUUGAUCUAUAAAUUUCUACGGGCUGAUUUGCAACGAGUGAAUUCUGCCGAAUUUCAAAGUUAGCGAAAAACCAACCCCGGCUCAAUCCUGGGUGAUCUGGGACAUCAACUUUAAACUCAUUUUUGAAUACCUUCCAUUUAGAUUCGUGGAACAGUAUCUUCUAAGAACUUUUAGUAAUUUCCAAGAGGUUUCCAACGGUAUAAAUUUUUCCAAUUGUAGACUUGUAUCGAGUGAGAUACGAUUUUUCAAAGAUCCAUAUCAAAACUAAAUUUUCCAACUUUCAAGGAAAUAGAGAUUUCCAAGAAUUUUUAUUCUUUCGACAUUAUGCAAACAUUUUAACCUCGAUUUCCAAGAUAAAAAUCCAAAUGCUCCUGUACUUUAAGAAACUCUAAUUGAACCUCGAUUUACGAGUAAUUGAGGUUCGAUUUCGUGGAAUUUCCUUAGAUUGUACUAGUGUACAAUCUUCCUUGACAAUUGGGAUAUAUGAAUGAUAAUACGUUAUUAUUUGCCCAGGCGCACACGAGGACCUUCAAGAGGAUCCUACCGUGCACACUUGAACUUCCAGAAAAUAUUUUUUCUUGAUUUGCUCGGUGAGUGUCAAGUGUAUGACUACUUGAACUCUAUGGAUUUGAUUCAUGCUUGGCUUACCUGAUUACAUGCUUAGCCUACUUGGUUUUGAAAAAUGGAGUCGAGUGUGUACUUUAUCGCACUCGUUCUCAUUUGAAACAAAUGACUCAUGCAACAUGGUUUGCCUGAUUUACAUGACCUGAAAUACAUGCUUAGACCUGUCAAAUGCUUGAAUACAUGAUAUGGUAUGCUAUGGCUGCAUACGUCGUUGGAGUGAAUCUCCUCGACACUUACAUGACACAUGGGGGACGUCCAAACUCAUAGGCCGACCUUGGAACUCGAGCCGGCAUGGGCUUGGUCGGGAACCUCGGUGAGCCAUGAGAUUCACAUGGUAAGCUUGAUCUAUUGGAGAGAUCUUGCUUGGCAUACUCGUGGAGUAUCGCCUCAUAAAUGUCGUGCGGGCCCGAAGCGGUGUAUGGUGGAUGGAUGAGAAGUAAGUGGUGAUCUACGGUUUGGAAAUAUCAAUCCGGUUGACGGAGAGUCAUCACGGGAAGAUAUACGAAUGAACUGGCAAAGCAAGUGGAACUUAGCUCUUGAGAGCUACCAUAUCCUUGAAUCGUUUCUGUUUACAUUUUUUUGGCAUUGUUAAUUACUUGCAAGUUAUCACUUGAACUGUUACUUGGGCUUGUUACCUGAACUAUGUGCCUGCAUGUGUGUUCUUGGCCUCACAAGCAUUUUGCUCACCCUAUAGAUUUGUUUUCCUUAACAGAUUUGAACUCGGAGGCGUACUGGAAAAAAACCUCCUGAUGAGCUUUUGUUUAGGGUUUCUAUUACUUUUGGCUAUGUCUUGGCUUUUGGGUUGUAUUUUGGAAUCCGAAUGUAACUUUUGGAGCAUAUGUAUAUUUGGGAUAUAUGAUGGUUGUUGAAUACCCGAUGUGCGGAUUGGAUAACGGAUGACUUUUAUUAAAUUUGAACGCUUCCGCAUUUAUUAUAUCUAAGUUAUUGACUCGUAUUGUGUGGUCCGGUAAUAAGCUUGAAUGGAAUUGUUUGAGUCCUGGCGAGAGUUAGGCAGGCAUUCUGCGGAUACCCUUUGGUUCGCCUUAGGGAGAAGUGGGGGUGUCACAAAUUCGGUACAUGCCGAAUUCACCGAAUUCUAAUAUGGUAUGAAAUAGGUAAUAAGAUUGUGAAUUUGGUAAUAACCGAUUUCGCAUUCAAAUUCGGUAAUUGAAAUCGGGUGCCGCAUUACCACAUUCGAAUUACCAAAUUGAUAUAUAAAAUUAUAUAAUAUAUAGAUAAAUGCUAUUUAGUAUUAGUAUAUACUACUAAUACUUUAUUAUAUUAUAUAGGUAAAUGCUAUUAAUAAUAAUUAGUAUAUGGUAUUAUCAUCAUAUCAUGUACUUAUAAUAAUAAUAAUAUAUAAUAAUGUACAAUAUAUUCUUUUAGUAUUUAUUAAUUGUUAUAUGACUAUAAUAAUAUAAAUAUAUAGUAAUACAUAACAAUAUAAGAUAACUAUAAUACUUAUUAUUUUAUACAUGAGUAACAUGACUAGAAUUAGAUAAUAAUUAAUACAUAUAUGUAUAAUACUAAAUAUUAAACAAUAAACAUAAUUCAUAAUUAGAAUUUAGAUAUUGGUAAUUUGAUAUAUCAUUCAUGUUUGAAUUAUUGAAUAUUUGAAUGCGUAAUCUGUAACUUGCAAGUAUUAGUGUACUCUACAUAUUUAACAUAAAAAUUCAUAUUAUCUAUUCACUAAUCUUAAUUCUUAAGGCUUUAGCCUUUAAGUAUAUAAGACAACUAAGCAGUUAGCAGUGUAAGUGAAUGCAUAUGAAUUGCAAAUCAAUGUAUUAGUGUAUUGACUUUCACGAAUAACAUAUGUAAGUAAAUAAGUUUUAUUUUGAUUUGAAAUAAAUUAUAAGUUUGUAACUAAUAUAACUUACCACUAAUCAUUGUAAUUUGUAAGUUUGUAACUAAUAUUACUUAUUAUUAAUCAUUGUAAAUUAUGAAUUCAUAAAUUAUCACUAAUCAUUGUGUUCCUUAAAUCAUAGACUAAGGAUUCUAGGUAAAAGUUAUCAAAUAAGUUAUAAUUCAUAUUAUCUAUUUACUAAUUUAAGGUUUUAAGUAUAGACAAGACAACUGAGCAGUGUAAGUGAAUGCAUGUAAAUUGCAAAUCAAUGUAUUAGUGUAUUGACUUUCACAAUAACAUGUGUAAGUAAAUAAGUUUUUAUUUUGAUUUGAAAUAAAUUAUAAGUUUGUAACUAAUAUAACUUAUCACUAAUCAUUGUAAUUUGUAAGUUUGUAACUAAUAUUAUUUAUUAUUAAUCACUGUAAAUUAUAAAUUCAUUGUAACUACUAACUAAUAUUACUUAUUAUUAAUCAUUGUAAAUUAUAAAUUCAUAAAUUAUCACCAAUCAUUGUAUAGUCUAAGGUUUAUUCUAGUUUAAAUUAAUAGAUAAAUUAUUACUUUUUUUUAAUAGAUGAAUUUGGUUAAACCGAAUUCAUUACCGUUUUCGAAUUUGAAAUCGGUUGCGGUAUGAAUUUGGUUAUGGCUAAUUCAGAAUUGAAAACGGUUUAGAUUUCUAUAUGUAGAAUAACCGAAUUCACCGAAUUCAGUGCACCGAAUUACCGAUUUUGCACCGAAUGCACACCCCUAUUCCCAAGUUACAGAAGUUUAUGAUGUGUAUUAGGGGUUUCCUCAGCAAUUCGACAGCAUCUGGUGCAUCGUCCAUGGAACCAACGACAGCAACCAAAUCUGCAACAAUCCACGGUUACGGUGUCCUCAUCUCCAAAUUUAUUCUCACGGAUCUCCUCAGCUGUUUGACAGCAUCUCGUGCAAUAGAUGAGGUACCAGCGGCAGCACGAAAUCUGCAACCAGUUAAGUGAUCAAUCUCACCUGAACUGGCAUCCAGCGGUCUUCAUGUUGUCGUGAUCUGUUUCAAGACAUAAAUAUUAGGAGCAUCGUCUUAAACUCCAAAACGUUAGGUGACUGGCUAGGUUGAAAAUUUGCAAGAUAUAUGCAAAGAAAUGAAUACUAUGGAUUAAACAAAACUGUCUAUAUAUGAGAUGGUGCAACUUGGAUAUGAAUUAUUUCGUCUUAUAAGCUACUAAUUAAAAUUUAAUUUGGGUUUUGACGUUAGUUUAAUCUUUGUCCUGUUAAACAAUAGUGUGACAUUUUGGAACGUUUAUCCUUACAGUAAUACUAUAAGGAUGUGAAAAAGAUAUUAGCACUUUAAUAUAACUUCCUUGAUACUAUACAAAUAGCCUAUCAUAAAAAUUCACGUCCCAAUAAUGUGUCUCCUAAGCUCCAUUCAUUUAAGUAUUCAGGUUCAUCCAAAUAAAUAAAUAAAGGAAGGAGGAAAAAGAUUAGGUGCAUUCAGUUGUUGCAUCAGAGGAAAUGAGGAGUACAAGUGCAAAGAGAGCACCACUAAAUUUGUUGAUAUCUAGUGACAAUUGCAUUGAGCUAAACAAUAUUUGUUGAUAUCUAAAUGACCUCAUUUUUUAUGUUGAUGGGACCUAAUGUCAAUAUCGUCAAGGAAAAAUUGACUGUAAUACCCUCAUUUAGAAGCAAAAUAUCAUAUUCCAAUUUUACCAACAUGCCAUCAAAACUCGUCACCAAAAUUUAACAACUUUACUAAAACUAAUUUUCAAAGGCUGGUGAGCUUUGGAGAAGAUCUGAACAUUAAGCUCCAAAAUAUUUCAUUGGGUGAAGGAAAAUUGUUGAAAAAAGUGGCUUAUUAGCUUUAUUCUUUGAUAUUUAUAUAUAAUAAUUAAAAGAUGAAAACUUUUUUAAUUGAAUGUGGAUAUUCACAACAAAAUGAGGUACCGAAUGGAAGUUUAUGGUCUUCAUGAUUGAUGUGGUUCCAUGAAUAAACUCGUAGAGCUGAUAAGAUGAACAUUCUGGCCUUAAGAUGAGUUUAAAAUGUAGCCAUGGUAGACAUGAUGAGUCAUUUAAGGACCACAUCAUGCAUAUCUUGAUAUUAUAUGAGCAAUUUGCGAUGGAUAAAGCCAUGCAUAUGCAUGCAUGUGCUUUAUAUAAUGUGAAAAUGGAUGAGUUAGAUAAAGCUUGGUGAAGUAAAGUUAGUAUACCGAAUCGAUUUUGACGUGUGAGUAGGAUUUUCUGCUUGGUUGCUCUAUUUUAAGUGAUUAUCACUUUGUUGACAAAGAUCUUGUCGGACAAUCUCCCAAAAUAAGUUUCUAUCGUUUUUCUUUACUGAAUCACGAACAUUUCUUUAGUGAAAUUUUAAUCUUAAAUUAGGUUGGACUAAUUAUUUGGAGGGAACAUUUUAGAUGGCAAGUGACUCAUUCACUCCUCAUUUUUGCAUAUAUAGUUGAAAGAAAAACAUAAGUUUAAGCAACUAAUGACUUUGUAAAUAAAGAUUGUAUAAGAUCACUUCCAAAAGUAAGUUUCUAUACCAUAUCUUUGUUGAGUCUUAUCAAGAAAAUUUUGGAGGGAAAAUUAAUCUUCAAUUAGCUUGGACUACAUUAAGCUACUACUUGGUUGAUUGUCAAUUUUAUCAUUUUUAUUGUUAUUAAAAAAUCCAUAAUGUGAACACAAAAGUAAACGAGGAUAUCACAAAAAUUGAUUAUCUAUAAUCAAAAUCUCUAAAUAGUUAAAAUAGUCAAUAAAAACAAGCAUGUUGUAGUAUAAAAUUUUUUAGGUAGACUACUUUGUCUGUACCUUUAUAUGUUGACUACUAAUUGAAAGCUACCAUGAAUUUUGGAUAAAUAGGACGGACCUGAUUCUACUCAUGGCAUUAUUGUGUAUUAAAAACUUAUUUUUUUCCUUUUAGCUGCUGUGCUUCAUGCCAUUUGGAAUAGUUCACUCCUCAUUUUAUAUGUUUUUUCUUUUUUUCUUUUUUGGAAAUAGCCCUUUUUACAACAUAAAUAUGUUACAAUAUUUCUUUUAGGGCCUAUAAAGGUAAAUAUGGAACAAAGUGUGCUGACAUCAUUUCUUGUCAAUCUAUUGCAUUUCUUUUGUGGACACGGGCUAACUUGGUUACAAAACUAGUUAUAAGUAAGAGUGAUCAGCGUAAUAUCGAAAACAAGAGGGGCACUAGGUGAAAUUGUCCAAACAUUCAGGGGAAGUUUGUGAAAUUAUCCCAAUAGUUUGAGUACCUGCCCUGUUACUUGCAUUAGAGUGGCCCUUUAUUAUUGACUAAUGCAGACGUCCAUGUCUGCACUCUCAGGACGGAGGAAUAAAGUAUUUGUUGUCCUUGUGCGAGUUAUACAUAGUCUUUCUUGACUGCAAAAGUUGAUAAUUGAGCUAAAGAAUCGAAAGAUAAUGUGGCCAUUUUUCAAUCUCUGAUAGGAAGGAUAUCAAUCUCCUACUUUUCCGUCUUCAUGUCUGGAUUGUAUAUCAAUUUCUUUUUCUUUUUCGUUUGUUGGUUAGGUAAACUUUCAUUUUCAUCAGUCUAAAGGCCUAAAGGUCCCUGCCCAUUUCAGAAAUUUACUGAUUUUAAGUGGGCGUAAUAGAGCUUUAAUUAACUCUAUCAAGAUCUUUAUACAUUACGAGCAACUUUCCUGUUAAAAUACUAAUUCAAACAAGCUGUGCAAAUUCAAGGAUGGAACUAGAUGUUGAAAAGGAAUAGUUUAUACUUCAUAAGAAGUACUGAAUUCGUGGAUUAAUUUUCUUGUGCUAUUGCUUUAGAGUUUUAUUUACAUGAGUAGAUUUGAAUGCGCGAUAAGUAAUUGUGAUUCAAACUUGAAGUCAUAUUUUUGCACAUGAAAGAAAUAGUCCAAAAUAUUUUUUUUCUUUUUAGAACUCUACAUGUAGCUUUAACUUGACCAGUCCUAUUACUAGUCGUUGACGAGCACGAGGUAUACAUACAAUAAUUAAGUUCAUUUUACAUUUAUAAAUUGCUAAAUGCUUCAUACACGAUUUUUUGCAAGCAUAUAGAUCGAGAUUGAGUAUAGGGUUUUAAAUGUCGGACUCAUAGGAAAGAUUGUCAAUUACCGAUGAUUUUCGAAUUAUUUUAUUAUUUAGACUAUCACAAGUACAAGAAAUUAAAUCUACGUACACUAUAAACAUGAGAUAAAAGUAAUAAAAAUAACAAUAGAAAGCUCCUAAAAGUAUGAAAUUUCUAACUACUCUUGCAAGUGAAGUUACUGGUUAAGUAAAUAUUAUUAUUUUAGCUAAUUAUGGCGUAAUUCCUAAUGUAUGUGAAACAUAUUCUCGUAGUAAAUCAACUAUACUUGUAAUUAAGCCAUACCUACACAUUCAAACAACCUGUGCAAAUUCGAGAAUGGAACUAGAUUUUGAAAAGUAAUAGUUUAUACUUCAUAAGAAGUACUGAAUUCUGGGAUUAAUUUUCUUGUGCUAUUGCUUUAAAGAUUUAUUUACAUGAGUAGAUUUGGAUGCGUGAUAAGUAAUUGUGAUUCAACCUUGAAGCCAAAAUUUUGCACAUGAAAGAAAUAGUCCAAAUUUUGUUUUCCUUUUAGAAUACUACAUGUAGCUUUAACUUGACUAGUCCUAUAUCUAGUCAUGGUUAAGAAGUUUCAGAAUAUUAGUAAGGUUAUGCAUGAUAAAUUCUGUAUUUAUCCAUUACUUUGUUAAGCCAAUCUCUAGAAAGGUUUGUACUUAUUAAUUCCUUUCGCCAUCUAAACUUAUUGAUAGAACGUAGUAAUUUGUGUCAACACCAGAAACCAGAAAACUCGACCACUAGCUUAUCGAACUGAAUUUAGGUCAUUAAUUUUUUAUGCCCGUCAACUUAAGAAAAACAACAUAUCAUGCAGAUUAAUAAGUGCAGUUCAGUCCAUAGGGUAAAAUAUAAUGCGAAUAGAAUUAAAUCUCUAAAUGUAUAUCCAAGAUAAAACGCGUAUGAUUGAAAUGAUUUGUACUAAAUUUGUUUGAAAUUGCAGUGCUAUAAGUCGAAAAUGUUAAGAGUGCAUGAAAAGCAUGGAAGACUAUGUACUAACUUGACAAAGUGACUUAUUUGAAUAAUAAUGAUAACAUUUUAUAAUUUUUGUGGGUCAAUUUUGUUUUAAUCUCUUACAGUAACAAGCAUGCUUUGAUUUUUUUUUUUUUUUUUUUUGGGCUUGUUUGGAUCAUGGCCAGUCCGUAAAUACAAUAAAACCCACCAACCUUUACUCAAAAAAAAAAAAAAAAAGCACUUCCACCUCAAAAUUUACAAAAAAAAUGGAAGAAAGAAGAAACCCUACUCGUUCUCUUCCAGUGCUAUACGUUUAUCAGAAUAAAGGUCGAAACUUGCAAAAUAUCAUUCUUGAAAGCAUUCAUUAUUCAUACUUUUGUCUUACGUCAAAGUUAGACAUCUUGCAAUUCAUAAUUUUCAUGCUUGACAACUCUUUUGAUAAGAUUGAUGUUCCUCUGAAUAUCAACAUUAAAAUUUUUUUUUUCGAGUAAGUUGUACCGUCGAUACUGAAGAACUUUGAUUCCUUUCUCAGGAAGGAAUAGGAUUGGGUUUAACUCUUGUCGAUACUGAAUUUUUUUACAUUGUAAUGACAAGGAACGAUGAAGAGCACAACACACAUAUUGAAUAUUCUGCACAUCUUAUAUCAAACACAGUAAAUUCUAGCAGGUCCAAGGUACAGAAGUUUACGAUGUAACUGAGAUAGAGAUCAUCAAUUGUGUUGAUGAUCAAGUGGAUUUAUUUAUUCAACAUGACAACAACAUAAGAAGAGCACUCGAACUGAGUACUCAUUACAUGCUUCCCCUGUUUAUUCUACACCAGUUCAAAGAGAAGCCACAUAAGUCUUUUACACAUAGAGGAAAUCAACCAUCAAAAGCAAACACAACAUUACAUAUUAAGGUAAUAAUAUAGGUGUCACGGAUCCUGUGUCACACCCUUAUUUAUUUAGCAUUAAUUUUUGACCUCAUCUCCAGAUGUAGCUUCAGGGGUCUCCUCAGCGGUUGCGCAGCAUCUUUGGCAUUGUCCAUGGUACCAGCUGCAGCAACGAUAUCUGCAACGAUCUGCAGAUAUAGCUUCAGGGGUCUCCUCAGCGGAUGCACAGCAUCUUUGGCAUUGUCCAUGGUACCAGCUGCAGCAACGAUAUCUGCAACGAUCUGCAGAUAUAGCUUCAGGGGUCUCCUCAGCGGAUGCACAGCAUCUUUGGCAUUGUCCAUGGUACCAGCUGCAGCAACGAUAUCUGCAACGAUCUGCAGAUAUAGCGUCAGGGGUCUCCUCCGCGGAUGCACAGCAUCUUUGGCAUUGUCCAUGGUACCAGCUGCAGCAACGAUAUCUGCAACGAUCUGCAUUUACGGCAGCCUUAUCUCCAGAUGUAGCUUCAGGGGUCUCCUCAGGAGAUGCACAGCAUCUUUGGCAUUGUCCAUGGUACCAGCUGCAGCAACGAUAUCUGCAACGAUCUUCACUUAUCUUAUCCUGAUGAGCCUCACCAGUGGUCUUCACGCUCGCUGAUCUGUUUCAAUACACAAGGAGACAAAAAUUUUAGGAGCUUCAUCUUAAGCUGCAAAAGUUGAGUGACCUGCUGGGCUGAAGAUUUGCAAGAUACAUGCAAAGAAAAGAAUAUUAUGGAUUAAACAAAAUAGUCUACUUAUAUAAGAUGGUGCGACUUGGAUAUGAAUUAUUUUGCCUUAUAGUCCACUCAAUAAAUUAGAAUUAGUAUUAAUUAAUUUGGUUUUCGACUUUACUUUAAUCUUUAUCGUGAUAAACAAUAGUGUGAUAUAAUGUAACGUGUGUGCUUGGAGUUAUACUGUAAGGAUGAAAAAUCAGCUGUUCCACUUACCGUUGAUACAAACAACCAAAAUUUACUUUUAUUAAAAAUGAAAUAGAUAUUAGGAAACUAAUAUAACUUCCUUGAUACGAUACAAAUAGCCUACCAUAAAAAUUCACGUCCCAAUAAUGAAUCUCCUAAUCACCAUUCACUUGAGUAUUUAGGUGUAGCAAAAGAAAAAAUGGUAAGUAAAAAAAAGAAAAACUAGGUACCUGCAGCUGUAACAUCAGAGGGGAUUUGGAGUGCAAGUGCAAAGAGAACAACAAAAAGAAAGAGAAAUUUUUUGAAGAUGCCAUUUGAUCACAAUCUCACUCAGAAUGCAAAUGACGUGUUAUAUUUGUUGAUAUCUAGCGAUAUGUGCAUUGAGUUGCAUCCCUAUUUAUAAGAACUAGGAGGGGAAUACUGUACCUUGUGUGGUGGAAAUAUUUUAGGGAUAAUUUCAGAAAUCCCUUUCAGGUUUUAAUAAUUUUAAUUAGCAGCCUCUUAUUUCCAAUAAUAUAUGGGGUAAUUUUAGAGACCUCCCUUGAGGUUUGUAAUGAUUGCACCUACCUCCCUUGAGGCUUGAAAAAUUAUAAAAUCUCCCCUAUAAAGUAUGUUUUGGUAACAAAUGGUGAUGCAAGUAUAAGAAGUCUAACGAACAUCCUAUAUUGCCCCUAUUUAAUUUACAAAACAAGUUAAUGCCAAAAAAUCAAAUAUUAGUGUUUCUUACAAAGUAAAAAAUUUUAAGAUAGUUCUUUGCAAAAAAAAAAAAAACAUUUAGGCUAUAUUUCAAAGAUUCCUUUUUAAUAUUUGGACAUCUAUUUUCUUUGCUAAGUAAGUUGUGAGAAACUAUUUUUAACAAAUGCAUUCCUACUAGUCAGCUUUUUAUAAAACUAAGUAAGAAUUCCAUUUAAAUGACCUAAAAGUUGAAUAUAAUGUAUUAGGAGAGAUGAGAUUAAAACUUUUGGAUAAAGAAAUAUUUGCAAAAUGCGAUUUCCUUUUUUCUUUAUACUCACUUUUCACUUAGGAUUUGUAGAGUUAUCAAAGAUAUUAUAAUCUUGUUAUAACACCAAGGAAAGUAAGUGUAAUUUUUUAAAUUUCAAGGGAGAGCAGCAAUUGUUAGAAACCUCAGGGAGGUUUAUGAAAUUAUCCCAUAAUAUUGACCUCCCUUCUGAUGUUGAUGGGACCUACGGUCAAUAUCAUCAAGGAAAAAUUGACCAUAAUGGUCUCACUAAAAUGGCUUUUUAAACAUUAUCUUAAAGCAAAAUAUCAUCUACCAACAAGCCGACAUGCCAUCAAAACUUGGUGCCAAAUUUUAACAACUUUACUAAAAUUAAUUUCUCUGCUGGUUGGUGAGCCUUGGAGAAGAGCUUUAGGACCGGAACCUUAAGCUCCAAAAGUAUUUCAUUGGGUGAAGGAAGGUUGCUGCAAAAAGUGUGUUAUUAGCUAUAUUCCUUGACAUCAAUAAAAGGUAAAAGAUCGAUGGAAACUUUUUAACUGGAUGUCGAUAUUCACAACAAAAAUGAUGUACCGAUGGAAGUUUAUGGUCUUCAUGAUUGAUAUGCUACCCUGAAUAAACUAGUUGAGUUGAUAAGAUUGAUACGGUACGAUGAAUAAACUAGUUGCGUUUAUAAGAUGGACAUUCUGGUCUUAAGAUAAUGUUUGAGAUAUAGCCAAUGGACAUGAUGAGUCAUUUAAGGUCACAUCAUGAAUAUCUCGAUGUUAUAUGAGAAAUUUAUGAUGGAUAAUGCCGUGCACGCUGGUUCUUUAUAUAGUGUGAAAAUGGAUGAAGUAUACAUAGUUUGGUGAACUAAGUAGGCCGAAUCGAUUUUGAUACAUGAGUAGGACUUUCUGAUUGGUUGCUCAUUUUUUCAUAUGUAGUUCCAAAAAAUUAUUUUGACUGAUUACUUCGUCGAUAAAGAUAUAGUAGGACAAUCUCCCAAAAUAAGUUUCUAUGGCGUUUCUUUGUUGAAUCACAAGAAUUUCUAUGGUGAAAAUUUUAAUCUUAAAGUAGGUUGAACUAAUUAUUUGAGGGGAAAAUUUUAGAUAGUAAGUGACUGACUCACUCCUCAUAGUCGAAAAAAGAUAAGUUUACGUGGCUAAUUACUUUGCUAAUAAAGACCAUUUAUACUACUUUUAUCUGGUCUUGGGAGUUCUGUUCAAUAAAUUGGAAUUAUUAUAAAUAAGAAUAAGCUAGCUCUAGCAAGAACUAAAUCAUUAAAGUACUUUCCCUAGGGGCUUUGGGCGGAAGGGGGAACGUAGCGAUUUGAGCCUAGAUUGAGGAUGGAACUCCUAUAGUAUACCAAUUGAUGUGAAACAAAGGCUACAGCUGGAUACGAUCAACUCCAAAAGUAAGUUUCUGUACCAUCUCUUUGUUGAGUUCUUAUGAUGACAUUUUUAGGGAAAAUUAAUCUUCAAUUAGCUUGGGUAACAUUAUCGUGAGUGAGUUAGUUUCUACAGUAGAAAAAGAAACAUGUUGAUAGUAUAAACUUAUUUAGUUAGAUUACUUUGUCUAUGCCUUUAUAUGUUGACCACCAAUUCAAAUCUACUAUGAAUGUGGAUGAGAACUAUUUCAGCUCAUGGCAUUAUUGUGCAUUUUUUUUUUUUAGCUGAAGUGCAUAUUUCACUGCUCUACAAAAUUGCUUCCAGUUACGAAGAUUUUAGUGAAAAUGGUCUCUUCAUUUUGUUCAUUCACCAAGACUUUUACGCUAUUUUCGUUCCAAAGCAACAGCACAGUUAGCAAUGGUUAUGUGAUUCUAAGUGUCAAAGACUUAAAAAGGCUCUGUUGUGCUUUUGCCUCCAACCACAUAAAAAUUAAACCACUUUUCUUCUUCUUUUCACUGCCCUUUUUCAACUUAAAUAUGUUACAUAUUUCUUUUAGGGCCUAUACCAAUAAAUGUAUAUGUGGAAGAAAAUGUGAUGAUAUACGUUUCUUUUACUGACAUGGGCUGAAUUUGUUACAAAACUAGUUAAAGGUGGUCAGCCUAACACUGAAAAUAAGAGGGGUACUAGGUGAACUUGUCCAAAACUUCAGGGAGGUUUAUGAAAUUAUUCCAAUUGUUUAGGUGGCUGAGGCUGUUACUUGUACAAGAGUGACACUCCUUCUCAUAUUCGUCGUCAGAAUUCCCCACUUCAUUCGUCAUGUAGUCCUCCAUAUGUCUCGAAGUCUCCGGAUUUAUUGUCCUUAUACAAAAGUUACAGUCUUUCUUGACUAUGAAAGUUGACGAUUGAGCUAAUCACAAUUAAGAAAUGUGGCAAUUUUUCUAACUCUGGAUACUGGAUAGGAUAUCAAUCUCCUUUUUGCUGGAUGGCUUGCAUUUUCAUCUGUUAGUAUAGGUCACUCUCCACUUCCCACGUUCAAUGAUUUUGAUUAAGUUGCUGUCAUAGAGCUUUCUCAUCUCUAUCAAGAUUAAUGUAUAUCAUAAGCAGUCCAUUCAAAUCUGUUGUGCGAGUUAGGGGAUGGAACGAAAAGCAAAAAGCAGUCCAUUCAAACUCGAAAUCAUAUUUUUGAACAUGAAAGAAGUAGUUGCGACAAGUCUUUUUUUAAAUUUGUUUUUAAAUUCUGUUCAAGAAUUAUCACAAUCAGAGGCAUUGUCAAGUUAAACUUCAAUGGUCUAACUAGGCUACCUACAAAUUAUUGUUAAGUUUAGAAAUGGGGCCCUUGGUUGAUUUUUUCAGAUCUUAUCUAGUUCAGUGUCCUGUAGGGAAAUUUUGAAUGGGUGAGAAGAUCAUGUAAUCUUGGAAUUAUUUAGCUCGGCACAUUGUUUAGCUCCCGCGGCACAUUGUUUGGCUCGGCAAUAUGGGAAUUAUUCAUCUCCUCAGUUUUGGAGGCAUUUGCCUCAAUGUUUUGUCCAGCCUUUAUGGUUGAUUUAAAUCAUGAAUCAAUGAAAUUUUAUGUCUUAUCAGAUAUAUAUAUAUAUAUAUAUAUAUAUAUAUAUAUAUAUUCAUGAAUCUUGUGGCAAAGUUUAUAUUUUACAUUGUUUGUAUUCGUAAUGAUUUGUACCACAUUAUCAGAAACAAAGCCUCGCGUGUUGAAUUCUAUUCAAUUCAAACUGACUUGAUUUGGUGUAAAAUUAUAUAAUUUGAGGGUCUGUUUGUUUGGACUGAAAAUCUUUUCCAGAAAAUAUUUUCUUCAAUUUCUGGUGUUUGGCUGCAAAAGAGGUCAGGAAAAUUUUUUCUGGUAGAAAAUCUUUUACAUAACUUGGUGUAAAAUGACUUCUGGAAUUAAGAUACGGAAGUUAAUUUCUGACAACUAUCGCGACUUAUCAGUUUCCUCGGCACUUGGCUAUUGUACAAAGCCAUCAAGGACUAUACCACAGAGAUCAAAUCAAGAGCUAUUUUCCUGCACUUGCUUCUGCAAAUCCCACAACUUUGCACCUCUUCGAGCUCUCCUCUUUCUCAUGUUCCUCUCUACUGUUCCGUAAUCUUGCGCCACACAAACACAUUUAUGGAUUAUACAACUCUAGAUCUAGAUUGGGCUUGCAUUGAGAAGUUUUGAAGAAAGGAAAAAAUGUGAAGCCAAUGGAGGCAGGAGGAACAUUUUUAGAAGAAGAGUUAGUACAAUAAACAUCAAAUUUCAAUUGCUAAUUUCUUAUAAUGGUUCAAUCAGCUGUAGGCAUAUAAUUUAAACUUUUUAUUACAAAUGGCACUCAACUGGCUUGGGGAGAUUGUGAAUUCUUGGUUCUGGUCUUUGAUUUAUUUUUUGAGACUUGAAAGGAUUUGGAUUGGGGAUUGUUUGUGGUGGCUGAUGAGGUGGGUAGAGAAAAUGAUAAUCAGUAGUAGCAAUUAGCAAAAGAGAAAUUCGGGAACGAUAUUAUCGUUGGAGGAUUUUAAUUUUUUUUAGAACAUUUUCUUAGAAUUGCACCAAACACCAGAAAAUGAAGGGAAAAUUAGAUAUUUUCCAGGAAAGAAUUUUCAUUGAAAAUGUUUCUUAGGGAAAAUAUUCUACAUUGAAACAAACAGACCCUGAGUGUAAAAUUAAAUUUGUCAACUCAUAUAACUAAAUUGGUGUAAAAUUCGCGAUCACACUAAAACUAUACGAGUUUACACUAACUUUAGUAAAAAUUCUAUAAACUAAUUUAAAUUAGACAGUACCGGAUCCCACAUCAUCCAUUAGCUCAUGUUCCUUGAGUGCAUGUCAUGGAUUGUGGGAACGCAACAAUGGCAGAGGCGAAUGUCUUGUUGGGAUUGUAAUGUGGAAGGAAUCCUAUAAACAGUCAAGGGGUAUUUGAUUAUAAAAAGGAACAAAUUUACAAAUCAAUACAGUGAUAAUAAUAUGUAUGAUUAAUUUAACUUCUUUAAACUUUAAGUUGAAAAGACUAUAAAGAUUUUGUGCAUCAUGCGUGCUACAGGCUCUCAAAAAAAAAAAGAAAAAGAAAAGAGAACUCACUAAAUUGAGUCUUUUAAGACACAGAAAAAAUCAUAGCAAUGAACAGCUUGUCAUUUUUGUAAAGAAUUACCAUUUUGAAAUCAUAAUUUACGCUCACAUAUAGAUAUAUAUAUAUAUAUAUAUAUAUAUAUAUAUAUAUAUAUAUAUAUAUAUAAUAUAUAUAUAUAUAUAUAUAUAUAUAUAUAUACUUAAUUUGUCACAGGCUAUAAGAAUUUGUAAAUGCACCAUACUUAUCUAUGAGUGCAUUUAAUAGACUAAUGUAAAAGUAUGUUCUCUCAUCCAAUGAAACAUUUUCAAUCUUCACCAGCCUCUGCAGCUUUUCAUGUAUAAGGUCCUGCAAUCCUCUGCUGAAGUUUUACUUUCAGAACCCUGGAAGGAUCUACCUUCCUUACCUUCUUGAAGGUUUUCAACAACUACUGGAGAUAAGUUGGAAGCUUUCAUUGUGAAGGUUGAAGAAUAAGUCAGAAGAGAUACAACUAAAGAUAAUCCUGAAAAGUAAAUUUUUAAAGAAGAUUAAUAAUAUUAAAGCAAAUGGGAGCAAUGGAAGUAGUUAAAGACGCACUAGAUAAAGCAAAAGCUGUGAUAAUGAGAUUUGUACAUAGCCAGGUGGCUGUUCUGAAACUUCUUGGAGAUCAUAUAUUUUCUGUCCACUAACUAGUUAGACCAUCCAAGUUCAAGUUGUUUGAGCAUUUCCUAAAGGGCAGAGGCUAAAGUUCCGUUGGGUUUGUACCUUAGAAAUAGUUAUCUAAUUAGUUCGGAGGCUUUUGGUUUGUAAAUGAAUAAAUUUUACAAAUCAAUCUAUAAGUGAUAGUCUAUAUGAUAACUUUAAAUUCUUUAACCAUUUGGUUUCAAAAAUUCUAUAAAGGGUUCUUAUAAUAUACGUGAAAUUAUGAACAAUUAUAGCCUAUGAACAAUUAUAGGCUAUAAUACUGAUGGUGAUCCUUGUCAUUCUUAUAAUACGUGAAAUUAUGAUCCUUGCUAAUUGUUCAUAGGCUAUAAGUUUUUACAGAUGCACCAUCAGUAUAUUUUUCUAUAAGUGAGUUUAAUAUACGGGCAAAAAAGCAGAAUGGCCCUCAAACUCUAUAGGUGGUUGACUUUUAACCCUCCAAAUAUUAAGGACAUAUGUUUGCCCCUCGAACUUAUAAAAGGGUAUACUCUUCAUCCUUUUGACUAGAGAUAUUUUCAUAAACCUCUCCUGAGAUUUAUGUUGAUAUCGCUUGACACAUUUGAAGUUUUAGAUAUGUCACUCAAUUCCCACAUUAGUGAGAUGGGACCAUUAGUCAUUAUGAUAACACAAAUUGUUAAAAUUAUCUUCACUACUGUAACAAUUUUGAGGUAAAACAUUAUGAAAAAUAAAAGUUUUAGGCAAAACAUGUAAAUAUUAUAUUAUCAUCAACUUGGUAGAGAAUUCAAUAUUAAACAACACAAAAGAGUAGAAUUGGAAGAAAAAUAUAUCUGUCUCAUUAAAUGAUUAUUUUAAUGAUACAAGGGUGAAAUUAUUAUAAAAAAGUAUGGUUUUAAGGGAGGUUAAUGAUGUUUUUGAAACUCUAGGAGUGCCAAGUAAUAUUUACAUGAAUCUUGGGGAGGUUUCUAAAAUUAUCUCUAGUCAAAAAGGUGGAAAAUAUACUUAUUUACAAGUUGAAGGGGCAAAAAUAUACACUUAAUAGUUUGAGGGCCAAAAGCCAACUAACUUAAUAGUUUGAGGGCCAUCCAGAUUUUUUGCCCUUAAUAUAUUAAUCAACACACUUACGUUGAAGAAAAUGGAAAAAAUGGAAGUAAUUAAAGAGACACUGGAAAAAGCAAAAAUUGUCACUAGAUUUGUGCACAACCAAGCGACUGUUCUUAAAACUUGUUAGAGAUCAAAGUUCCAUCCAUUACCCGAUCAGACCGUCCAAGUUCUAGUUGACAGAGCCUUUUUUCUAACUCUUCAGAAUUUAGUCUUAGUAAAAGAGAACUUUUAGAAGUGUUUCUUUCUACUGUAUGGAAGAGCUCAAGAUGUGCUUUCUCAACAGACGGGGAAAAUAUGGCUGACUGGUGGCUGAUCGCACGUUUUGGACUGGAGCGGAAAUGGUUGGCGCCUGUUACGGAAUUGAUAAGAACGCUGAGCCACAAAUCCAUAUCUAUAUAUGUAUUACAGAAUAGGUUUUUAAGGAGGAGCUACCACGAGCGUAAGAAAUCUGAAUCCCUUUUUACUAUAAUUUUAGAUAUAUUUUAAUUCAAUAACUCUUAUCUUCUCCUUAUCCCUUUCUGCUCCUCAAUUUAAGUGACCACUAACCUACAAAAUUGAAACUCCUAAAUUUUAACUAACAAAUAAUAACCACCCCUACAAAUGGAUAUCUGCAAAUUUCAAUUCACAUCUCACGUCUACUGCUGACAACUACUAUAUCACUGAUAACAAUACUCACACUUACCACAUCACACUUAAAUUAACAAUUAGCAAUAACUAAUUGUUAAUUUAAGAAACUUUCAAUUACGAAAGUCACAUAUCCAAAAUUUAGGAGCAUGUUUGAAUUAUAAUUUUCACAAUUCUACAUAUCUUAUUGUCAUAAUGUAUUUUACUCUCAUAAUCAUUCAUAAAACUGAUAAUCACUAACCCAUUUUACCCAUUUUUCAUUUGUCAUCACACAAAUUAAAUACAGUGAAAAGAAAGACUAUGUAUCAUACUCUCACCAUAGAUGAAUCCCACUUACAAGCAUUUCAACUAGUGACGAAGCCAAGAUUUUUUUUCUAGAGGGGCUAAAAUUUUCCUAACAUAAUUAUUUUUAUGUGUUGUGUUCAAAAUAAUUUUCAUCUAAUUAAAUAUAUGACAUCUAAAAAUAUCAAAUUUUAAUUUUAAUUAUAAAUGGAUUAAAAAUAAAUAAAAUUUUUAAUAAAAAAUUAAUUCAAUUGUAAUUAAGCAUAUGUAAUUAAGUAGAUUUUAAGUUUUGCAUGGUUUAAGGAAGAGUAUAUUUGUUUAAUAAAAUUGUCAAAGUAGUGUUUGUGUACUUCUGUUUACAUCAUUCAACACAAAUAUGUUGAAAUUGUAAAUUACAUUGCCUAAUUUGUAUAAUUUAAUCAUGUUGAAGAAACAUCGUCUUGAAAAGGUAGAGAAAUUUUCCAGUAAAAAUUAGCUAAACAAACAACUCAUUAUCUUAACCUCGUAACUAAUCAUUAUACCCUCAAUACAUCCGCUAUAAAGUUAGGUUAGUGAUACUGGCAAAGUACAAAAUUUUUCACCAGAAUAAUUUGCAGCUUGACCGUCAAUAUCAAGUUCUCCAACUAUGCAUGGGACAGUGUCACCACUCUGAAGGUCAAUUCUUAUACGUACGUCAAAAUUUCUGGAGUUGCCGAUUAUAGGGGUGCAAACACAAAAUGAGGUAUCCUUUGUGGCUCAAUGGGAUUAUUCCUUCUUUUUGCGAGUCAGUCCUCUGCAGAGCUCCUCUCCCGCUCUUAGUAUACACACCGUCCCGUACGUGUCGCAUCCGAGCAACCGGAAGGAAUGGCUGAAUUAGUAAUGCAUUAGCACGAACAGUUUUAUGCAUAAGAUUUGUCCUAGGAAUCAUAAUGACAGAAAGUGUCAUCCAGUUUUAUGCACGAACAGUUUGGACAAUUGGAACGGAUCGGUUAACCAUAAACUCGAUCUGAUUUAGUGAUCAAUUGAAAAAUUGAAUUGAAUUGGUGAAAACUAGAAUAAGAAUCGAUUGGACCAAUAAAAAUGGGACGGUUCAACUGGAUUUCACUAAUUUUUUAUUCUUUAAAAUAAAUAGUUCAAUUUUGUUCAAAAUUUUUAAUACUAAAAUAAAUUAAAAAAAAUGAUUAAAUCUUUGAACUGGUCGAACUAGUCAACUUGUGAACUAGUAAAAUUCUUUUGAUUCACUCUUUGAUCUGAGUUUUAAAAACAUUACUAGUAAGGAUAUUAAUUAGGUGAGUGUGAGGACUCUUUUUCGACUCUCAAUUUUUACCUUUUUCUUUUUUGUCUUUUGUAAUACAUGGUAUCUCCUUUUGACCUUAAAAAAGGAAAUGACGUAGUAACGUUUAUCAAUAGUAAGUUGCUAUGAUAUGGAACAGCUCACAGUGCAAGCUUUUGAAUCAUAUACACUCAUGCACUUACUAAACUCCUAUGGGCCUGACAUGUUGAGUAGAAUUAAAACGGAACAGCCAAAAUGAAAAGGAAAAGUAUAAGACAAUAAAAUGGACACUAUAUCAAGCUGCAACCUCGGAGGAAAUGACAGGUACAAGUACAAGUACAACUGCAAGUGCAAGUGCAAACAGAAAAAGAGUUUUUCAAAGGGAUACCUUUAUGGUGGGAACCUGCCUAUGGUAGGAAUGCUGGCAGGGAGCGACACGUGUUGGGGGCAAAACGGUCCAAACGGAGACGUUAAAGUGAUGGUGAGCGCGUGGAGAGGAAAUGAAGCAGACACAGCGUGCGGAAUGAAGCAAACANNNNNNNNNNNNNNNNNNNNNNNNNNNNNNNNNNNNNNNNNNNNNNNNNNNNNNNNNNNNNNNNNNNNNNNNNNNNNNNNNNNNNNNNNNNNNNNNNNNNNNNNNNNNNNNNNNNNNNNNNNNNNNNNNNNNNNNNNNNNNNNNNNNNNNNNNNNNNNNNNNNNNNNNNNNNNNNNNNNNNNNNNNNNNNNNNNNNNNNNNNNNNNNNNNNNNNNNNNNNNNNNNNNNNNNNNNNNNNNNNNNNNNNNNNNNNNNNNNNNNNNNNNNNNNNNNNNNNNNNNNNNNNNNNNNNNNNNNNNNNNNNNNNNNNNNNNNNNNNNNNNNNNNNNNNNNNNNNNNNNNNNNNNNNNNNNNNNNNNNNNNNNNNNNNNNNNNNNNNNNNNNNNNNNNNNNNNNNNNNNNNNNNNNNNNNNNNNNNNNNNNNNNNNNNNNNNNNNNNNNNNNNNNNNNNNNNNNNNNNNNNNNNNNNNNNNNNNNNNNNNNNNNNNNNNNNNNNNNNNNNNNNNNNNNNNNNNNNNNNNNNNNNNNNNNNNNNNNNNNNNNNNNNNNNNNNNNNNNNNNNNNNNNNNNNNNNNNNNNNNNNNNNNNNNNNNNNNNNNNNNNNNNNNNNNNNNNNNNNNNNNNNNNNNNNNNNNNNNNNNNNNNNNNNNNNNNNNNNNNNNNNNNNNNNNNNNNNNNNNNNNNNNNNNNNNNNNNNNNNNNNNNNNNNNNNNNNNNNNNNNNNNNNNNNNNNNNNNNNNNNNNNNNNNNNNNNNNNNNNNNNNNNNNNNNNNNNNNNNNNNNNNNNNNNNNNNNNNNNNNNNNNNNNNNNNNNNNNNNNNNNNNNNNNNNNNNNNNNNNNNNNNNNNNNNNNNNNNNNNNNNNNNNNNNNNNNNNNNNNNNNNNNNNNNNNNNNNNNNNNNNNNNNNNNNNNNNNNNNNNNNNNNNNNNNNNNNNNNNNNNNNNNNNNNNNNNNNNNNNNNNNNNNNNNNNNNNNNNNNNNNNNNNNNNNNNNNNNNNNNNNNNNNNNNNNNNNNNNNNNNNNNNNNNNNNNNNNNNNNNNNNNNNNNNNNNNNNNNNNNNNNNNNNNNNNNNNNNNNNNNNNNNNNNNNNNNNNNNNNNNNNNNNNNNNNNNNNNNNNNNNNNNNNNNNNNNNNNNNNNNNNNNNNNNNNNNNNNNNNNNNNNNNNNNNNNNNNNNNNNNNNNNNNNNNNNNNNNNNNNNNNNNNNNNNNNNNNNNNNNNNNNNNNNNNNNNNNNNNNNNNNNNNNNNNNNNNNNNNNNNNNNNNNNNNNNNNNNNNNNNNNNNNNNNNNNNNNNNNNNNNNNNNNNNNNNNNNNNNNNNNNNNNNNNNNNNNNNNNNNNNNNNNNNNNNNNNNNNNNNNNNNNNNNNNNNNNNNNNNNNNNNNNNNNNNNNNNNNNNNNNNNNNNNNNNNNNNNNNNNNNNNNNNNNNNNNNNNNNNNNNNNNNNNNNNNNNNNNNNNNNNNNNNNNNNNNNNNNNNNNNNNNNNNNNNNNNNNNNNNNNNNNNNNNNNNNNNNNNNNNNNNNNNNNNNNNNNNNNNNNNNNNNNNNNNNNNNNNNNNNNNNNNNNNNNNNNNNNNNNNNNNNNNNNNNNNNNNNNNNNNNNNNNNNNNNNNNNNNNNNNNNNNNNNNNNNNNNNNNNNNNNNNNNNNNNNNNNNNNNNNNNNNNNNNNNNNNNNNNNNNNNNNNNNNNNNNNNNNNNNNNNNNNNNNNNNNNNNNNNNNNNNNNNNNNNNNNNNNNNNNNNNNNNNNNNNNNNNNNNNNNNNNNNNNNNNNNNNNNNNNNNNNNNNNNNNNNNNNNNNNNNNNNNNNNNNNNNNNNNNNNNNNNNNNNNNNNNNNNNNNNNNNNNNNNNNNNNNNNNNNNNNNNNNNNNNNNNNNNNNNNNNNNNNNNNNNNNNNNNNNNNNNNNNNNNNNNNNNNNNNNNNNNNNNNNNNNNNNNNNNNNNNNNNNNNNNNNNNNNNNNNNNNNNNNNNNNNNNNNNNNNNNNNNNNNNNNNNNNNNNNNNNNNNNNNNNNNNNNNNNNNNNNNNNNNNNNNNNNNNNNNNNNNNNNNNNNNNNNNNNNNNNNNNNNNNNNNNNNNNNNNNNNNNNNNNNNNNNNNNNNNNNNNNNNNNNNNNNNNNNNNNNNNNNNNNNNNNNNNNNNNNNNNNNNNNNNNNNNNNNNNNNNNNNNNNNNNNNNNNNNNNNNNNNNNNNNNNNNNNNNNNNNNNNNNNNNNNNNNNNNNNNNNNNNNNNNNNNNNNNNNNNNNNNNNNNNNNNNNNNNNNNNNNNNNNNNNNNNNNNNNNNNNNNNNNNNNNNNNNNNNNNNNNNNNNNNNNNNNNNNNNNNNNNNNNNNNNNNNNNNNNNNNNNNNNNNNNNNNNNNNNNNNNNNNNNNNNNNNNNNNNNNNNNNNNNNNNNNNNNNNNNNNNNNNNNNNNNNNNNNNNNNNNNNNNNNNNNNNNNNNNNNNNNNNNNNNNNNNNNNNNNNNNNNNNNNNNNNNNNNNNNNNNNNNNNNNNNNNNNNNNNNNNNNNNNNNNNNNNNNNNNNNNNNNNNNNNNNNNNNNNNNNNNNNNNNNNNNNNNNNNNNNNNNNNNNNNNNNNNNNNNNNNNNNNNNNNNNNNNNNNNNNNNNNNNNNNNNNNNNNNNNNNNNNNNNNNNNNNNNNNNNNNNNNNNNNNNNNNNNNNNNNNNNNNNNNNNNNNNNNNNNNNNNNNNNNNNNNNNNNNNNNNNNNNNNNNNNNNNNNNNNNNNNNNNNNNNNNNNNNNNNNNNNNNNNNNNNNNNNNNNNNNNNNNNNNNNNNNNNNNNNNNNNNNNNNNNNNNNNNNNNNNNNNNNNNNNNNNNNNNNNNNNNNNNNNNNNNNNNNNNNNNNNNNNNNNNNNNNNNNNNNNNNNNNNNNNNNNNNNNNNNNNNNNNNNNNNNNNNNNNNNNNNNNNNNNNNNNNNNNNNNNNNNNNNNNNNNNNNNNNNNNNNNNNNNNNNNNNNNNNNNNNNNNNNNNNNNNNNNNNNNNNNNNNNNNNNNNNNNNNNNNNNNNNNNNNNNNNNNNNNNNNNNNNNNNNNNNNNNNNNNNNNNNNNNNNNNNNNNNNNNNNNNNNNNNNNNNNNNNNNNNNNNNNNNNNNNNNNNNNNNNNNNNNNNNNNNNNNNNNNNNNNNNNNNNNNNNNNNNNNNNNNNNNNNNNNNNNNNNNNNNNNNNNNNNNNNNNNNNNNNNNNNNNNNNNNNNNNNNNNNNNNNNNNNNNNNNNNNNNNNNNNNNNNNNNNNNNNNNNNNNNNNNNNNNNNNNNNNNNNNNNNNNNNNNNNNNNNNNNNNNNNNNNNNNNNNNNNNNNNNNNNNNNNNNNNNNNNNNNNNNNNNNNNNNNNNNNNNNNNNNNNNNNNNNNNNNNNNNNNNNNNNNNNNNNNNNNNNNNNNNNNNNNNNNNNNNNNNNNNNNNNNNNNNNNNNNNNNNNNNNNNNNNNNNNNNNNNNNNNNNNNNNNNNNNNNNNNNNNNNNNNNNNNNNNNNNNNNNNNNNNNNNNNNNNNNNNNNNNNNNNNNNNNNNNNNNNNNNNNNNNNNNNNNNNNNNNNNNNNNNNNNNNNNNNNNNNNNNNNNNNNNNNNNNNNNNNNNNNNNNNNNNNNNNNNNNNNNNNNNNNNNNNNNNNNNNNNNNNNNNNNNNNNNNNNNNNNNNNNNNNNNNNNNNNNNNNNNNNNNNNNNNNNNNNNNNNNNNNNNNNNNNNNNNNNNNNNNNNNNNNNNNNNNNNNNNNNNNNNNNNNNNNNNNNNNNNNNNNNNNNNNNNNNNNNNNNNNNNNNNNNNNNNNNNNNNNNNNNNNNNNNNNNNNNNNNNNNNNNNNNNNNNNNNNNNNNNNNNNNNNNNNNNNNNNNNNNNNNNNNNNNNNNNNNNNNNNNNNNNNNNNNNNNNNNNNNNNNNNNNNNNNNNNNNNNNNNNNNNNNNNNNNNNNNNNNNNNNNNNNNNNNNNNNNNNNNNNNNNNNNNNNNNNNNNNNNNNNNNNNNNNNNNNNNNNNNNNNNNNNNNNNNNNNNNNNNNNNNNNNNNNNNNNNNNNNNNNNNNNNNNNNNNNNNNNNNNNNNNNNNNNNNNNNNNNNNNNNNNNNNNNNNNNNNNNNNNNNNNNNNNNNNNNNNNNNNNNNNNNNNNNNNNNNNNNNNNNNNNNNNNNNNNNNNNNNNNNNNNNNNNNNNNNNNNNNNNNNNNNNNNNNNNNNNNNNNNNNNNNNNNNNNNNNNNNNNNNNNNNNNNNNNNNNNNNNNNNNNNNNNNNNNNNNNNNNNNNNNNNNNNNNNNNNNNNNNNNNNNNNNNNNNNNNNNNNNNNNNNNNNNNNNNNNNNNNNNNNNNNNNNNNNNNNNNNNNNNNNNNNNNNNNNNNNNNNNNNNNNNNNNNNNNNNNNNNNNNNNNNNNNNNNNNNNNNNNNNNNNNNNNNNNNNNNNNNNNNNNNNNNNNNNNNNNNNNNNNNNNNNNNNNNNNNNNNNNNNNNNNNNNNNNNNNNNNNNNNNNNNNNNNNNNNNNNNNNNNNNNNNNNNNNNNNNNNNNNNNNNNNNNNNNNNNNNNNNNNNNNNNNNNNNNNNNNNNNNNNNNNNNNNNNNNNNNNNNNNNNNNNNNNNNNNNNNNNNNNNNNNNNNNNNNNNNNNNNNNNNNNNNNNNNNNNNNNNNNNNNNNNNNNNNNNNNNNNNNNNNNNNNNNNNNNNNNNNNNNNNNNNNNNNNNNNNNNNNNNNNNNNNNNNNNNNNNNNNNNNNNNNNNNNNNNNNNNNNNNNNNNNNNNNNNNNNNNNNNNNNNNNNNNNNNNNNNNNNNNNNNNNNNNNNNNNNNNNNNNNNNNNNNNNNNNNNNNNNNNNNNNNNNNNNNNNNNNNNNNNNNNNNNNNNNNNNNNNNNNNNNNNNNNNNNNNNNNNNNNNNNNNNNNNNNNNNNNNNNNNNNNNNNNNNNNNNNNNNNNNNNNNNNNNNNNNNNNNNNNNNNNNNNNNNNNNNNNNNNNNNNNNNNNNNNNNNNNNNNNNNNNNNNNNNNNNNNNNNNNNNNNNNNNNNNNNNNNNNNNNNNNNNNNNNNNNNNNNNNNNNNNNNNNNNNNNNNNNNNNNNNNNNNNNNNNNNNNNNNNNNNNNNNNNNNNNNNNNNNNNNNNNNNNNNNNNNNNNNNNNNNNNNNNNNNNNNNNNNNNNNNNNNNNNNNNNNNNNNNNNNNNNNNNNNNNNNNNNNNNNNNNNNNNNNNNNNNNNNNNNNNNNNNNNNNNNNNNNNNNNNNNNNNNNNNNNNNNNNNNNNNNNNNNNNNNNNNNNNNNNNNNNNNNNNNNNNNNNNNNNNNNNNNNNNNNNNNNNNNNNNNNNNNNNNNNNNNNNNNNNNNNNNNNNNNNNNNNNNNNNNNNNNNNNNNNNNNNNNNNNNNNNNNNNNNNNNNNNNNNNNNNNNNNNNNNNNNNNNNNNNNNNNNNNNNNNNNNNNNNNNNNNNNNNNNNNNNNNNNNNNNNNNNNNNNNNNNNNNNNNNNNNNNNNNNNNNNNNNNNNNNNNNNNNNNNNNNNNNNNNNNNNNNNNNNNNNNNNNNNNNNNNNNNNNNNNNNNNNNNNNNNNNNNNNNNNNNNNNNNNNNNNNNNNNNNNNNNNNNNNNNNNNNNNNNNNNNNNNNNNNNNNNNNNNNNNNNNNNNNNNNNNNNNNNNNNNNNNNNNNNNNNNNNNNNNNNNNNNNNNNNNNNNNNNNNNNNNNNNNNNNNNNNNNNNNNNNNNNNNNNNNNNNNNNNNNNNNNNNNNNNNNNNNNNNNNNNNNNNNNNNNNNNNNNNNNNNNNNNNNNNNNNNNNNNNNNNNNNNNNNNNNNNNNNNNNNNNNNNNNNNNNNNNNNNNNNNNNNNNNNNNNNNNNNNNNNNNNNNNNNNNNNNNNNNNNNNNNNNNNNNNNNNNNNNNNNNNNNNNNNNNNNNNNNNNNNNNNNNNNNNNNNNNNNNNNNNNNNNNNNNNNNNNNNNNNNNNNNNNNNNNNNNNNNNNNNNNNNNNNNNNNNNNNNNNNNNNNNNNNNNNNNNNNNNNNNNNNNNNNNNNNNNNNNNNNNNNNNNNNNNNNNNNNNNNNNNNNNNNNNNNNNNNNNNNNNNNNNNNNNNNNNNNNNNNNNNNNNNNNNNNNNNNNNNNNNNNNNNNNNNNNNNNNNNNNNNNNNNNNNNNNNNNNNNNNNNNNNNNNNNNNNNNNNNNNNNNNNNNNNNNNNNNNNNNNNNNNNNNNNNNNNNNNNNNNNNNNNNNNNNNNNNNNNNNNNNNNNNNNNNNNNNNNNNNNNNNNNNNNNNNNNNNNNNNNNNNNNNNNNNNNNNNNNNNNNNNNNNNNNNNNNNNNNNNNNNNNNNNNNNNNNNNNNNNNNNNNNNNNNNNNNNNNNNNNNNNNNNNNNNNNNNNNNNNNNNNNNNNNNNNNNNNNNNNNNNNNNNNNNNNNNNNNNNNNNNNNNNNNNNNNNNNNNNNNNNNNNNNNNNNNNNNNNNNNNNNNNNNNNNNNNNNNNNNNNNNNNNNNNNNNNNNNNNNNNNNNNNNNNNNNNNNNNNNNNNNNNNNNNNNNNNNNNNNNNNNNNNNNNNNNNNNNNNNNNNNNNNNNNNNNNNNNNNNNNNNNNNNNNNNNNNNNNNNNNNNNNNNNNNNNNNNNNNNNNNNNNNNNNNNNNNNNNNNNNNNNNNNNNNNNNNNNNNNNNNNNNNNNNNNNNNNNNNNNNNNNNNNNNNNNNNNNNNNNNNNNNNNNNNNNNNNNNNNNNNNNNNNNNNNNNNNNNNNNNNNNNNNNNNNNNNNNNNNNNNNNNNNNNNNNNNNNNNNNNNNNNNNNNNNNNNNNNNNNNNNNNNNNNNNNNNNNNNNNNNNNNNNNNNNNNNNNNNNNNNNNNNNNNNNNNNNNNNNNNNNNNNNNNNNNNNNNNNNNNNNNNNNNNNNNNNNNNNNNNNNNNNNNNNNNNNNNNNNNNNNNNNNNNNNNNNNNNNNNNNNNNNNNNNNNNNNNNNNNNNNNNNNNNNNNNNNNNNNNNNNNNNNNNNNNNNNNNNNNNNNNNNNNNNNNNNNNNNNNNNNNNNNNNNNNNNNNNNNNNNNNNNNNNNNNNNNNNNNNNNNNNNNNNNNNNNNNNNNNNNNNNNNNNNNNNNNNNNNNNNNNNNNNNNNNNNNNNNNNNNNNNNNNNNNNNNNNNNNNNNNNNNNNNNNNNNNNNNNNNNNNNNNNNNNNNNNNNNNNNNNNNNNNNNNNNNNNNNNNNNNNNNNNNNNNNNNNNNNNNNNNNNNNNNNNNNNNNNNNNNNNNNNNNNNNNNNNNNNNNNNNNNNNNNNNNNNNNNNNNNNNNNNNNNNNNNNNNNNNNNNNNNNNNNNNNNNNNNNNNNNNNNNNNNNNNNNNNNNNNNNNNNNNNNNNNNNNNNNNNNNNNNNNNNNNNNNNNNNNNNNNNNNNNNNNNNNNNNNNNNNNNNNNNNNNNNNNNNNNNNNNNNNNNNNNNNNNNNNNNNNNNNNNNNNNNNNNNNNNNNNNNNNNNNNNNNNNNNNNNNNNNNNNNNNNNNNNNNNNNNNNNNNNNNNNNNNNNNNNNNNNNNNNNNNNNNNNNNNNNNNNNNNNNNNNNNNNNNNNNNNNNNNNNNNNNNNNNNNNNNNNNNNNNNNNNNNNNNNNNNNNNNNNNNNNNNNNNNNNNNNNNNNNNNNNNNNNNNNNNNNNNNNNNNNNNNNNNNNNNNNNNNNNNNNNNNNNNNNNNNNNNNNNNNNNNNNNNNNNNNNNNNNNNNNNNNNNNNNNNNNNNNNNNNNNNNNNNNNNNNNNNNNNNNNNNNNNNNNNNNNNNNNNNNNNNNNNNNNNNNNNNNNNNNNNNNNNNNNNNNNNNNNNNNNNNNNNNNNNNNNNNNNNNNNNNNNNNNNNNNNNNNNNNNNNNNNNNNNNNNNNNNNNNNNNNNNNNNNNNNNNNNNNNNNNNNNNNNNNNNNNNNNNNNNNNNNNNNNNNNNNNNNNNNNNNNNNNNNNNNNNNNNNNNNNNNNNNNNNNNNNNNNNNNNNNNNNNNNNNNNNNNNNNNNNNNNNNNNNNNNNNNNNNNNNAAUCAAAAAUUGACCAAAAUUCACCCUUAUUUUCAAGCUUCUUGGCCGGCCCUUUCUCAAGGAAAAAGAAGAAAAACUACUCAAUUUUCUUACCUUCAAUCUUGCUCAAUCUUUCAUUCCAACCGGUUAAUCUUCAAAUUACUCCAUACAACCUAUUAGUUUAGGGGUAUUUAGGUGAUUGGUGAAGUUGUUUGGAAGCUUAAGGUGCUAAGUGGUCUCUUUUCUUUGGUUACUAAGGUGAGUAGUGAAGGUGUGACGACCCCACUUCUCCCAAGGGCGAACCCAAGGGUAUCGGCGGGCCGCCUGCCUAGCUCGCGCCAGGACUCAAAACUUAAAACAACGAAAGCUAGCAAAAUCCAAAAGAGUACUAUACAUAUAUAUGCAAUCCCAAAAGAGUUAUAAGUACAUUCCCCAAAAGUACCUGCUCAAACUAUUACAUGCUUAUAAUUACAACCAAAACCAAAAGGUAGACCCUAAGAAGGGUCCUUAUACAAACCACCACAAUAAAAACAAACAUCCUAAUUGUUCGCUAUUACAAGCAAGUCUAACUAUACUAUACUAGUGUAAGUGCCCAAACGUACCCGCGUCGGCCCCUGCUAAGGAAAACAAACGGAAUGGGGUAAGCUAAAAGCUUAGUAAGUAAACAGGGGCAAAAGCGUAAAUUUCACGUAGCAACAUUUACACAGUAAGAGUAAAGCAAAAGCAGAAAAGUAACAUCACAUAAUAAGGAUACGGUGGCUCCAAAGCCAAUUCAUUUGCCAUGCUUGAUCUCCUGUCGACACUCCGUCGACCAUAAAUAAGGUCCGUAGAACUUCACUUGUACACCCACCGACACCUUAUCACCCUCACUGGCCAGUCACCUCACAAACUUGCCCAGGCGAACGAAAUCACAAACUUGAGCUUUGAUCAUAAGCUCGGGUCACAAACUUGGUGACCUCAAACCAAGUUGGACUGACUUCGACCAAGCCCUAACCGGCUCGAAUAGUCCAUCUAGGUAUUGAGUUCAACCGCAAACUCACAAAAUUCACAAAAGUAUUCAAAAGUCACCCCGAGCCACAAGCUCAAGGGUUUUUGUUCCAAAAUUUCUCACAUACAUAUGUCAUGUACAAAUUGGUGCGUAAAUUAGGGUCUAGAUCGAGUGCGAUAAAGUACACCCUCGCCUAGGUACCCUUUUUACACAUAACGAAACACAUAAACAACUAACACAUAAGAGCGGCCUGAAUACUUACUCAAAAUACCAAAAGUAGUAUAAAGGCGGAAUUCACUUUGUGUGUUGGCUAGUAGUGGGCCCCACCGGCACCGCCUAGCUCACCACUGUCUGAAAUCGAAUAUUAUGUCACAAUAUAUCACAAACGGCAACUAACGUACUUGAAAUAAGCCAAACGGCAAAAUUGGCACGCGCAAGUGCGGAAACGGCAAAACGGCCGCACACGUCCGCGCAGAACGGCAAACGGAAAUGGCCAAAUCGGCCAUCUCAAACCGUUUUGGUCAAAAUUUAGGCUAGGAAUAUCGGAUCAAGGUACAUGAGGUACCGUUACGAAGCUAAGAGGAAGGGAUACAAUGUUCAUGAAGACAUCGCAACCCAGAUCUCAAAGGGUAUAGGUGAAAAUUGCGUGAAACAGUUCCAGCUGUUUCAUUGCGAGUUACCAAACAGGCCCUGUUUGCAAGGCCGUAACUCACGGCUCAGAAAUCGAAAUUAAGAAAUUCCAAAGGAAUUAGAAAGCUGAGACAUAAGGAUAAAACUUUCAUGUUUUGGCCAAGACCUGAAUCUAUUCAGAACAAAACAAAAUUCGAGUGCCAAAGUACCCGUCAGAACUGUCCAAAUACAAGGCAGUUCUGACGAGCGAUAUUGUUUUGAUCAUAACCGGAGCUACGGAACUCGGUUUUCGACGUACUUUAUACCGUUUCGAAGCUCAGAUCAAGAUCUAAACUUCUUAUGAAGGAGUCGGCACCCAGAUCGAACUCUAUAAAAAUCGAAAAGUCAUGGGCAGAAACAAAAUCAGAAAACGCGUAGAACCAGAGGGUCAAAACAGGCUUGAGCAUUUCGUCGAUAACUCAGGCUACGCUAAUCCGAUUGACCUGAAAUUUUGCAGUCAUACUCAGGACUCAAGGGGAUACGACUUUCAUGUUUUAUGAAACUUCUGAAUCAGCACGGAACAUUAAGAAAAAUGGAGCUCAAGUUCAGGUUCUGGGUUGCCCUGUUUACCCAUUUUGCCGGUUUCAAAUGUCGCAAACAUAUGGUUCGUUUUCAUGGUUCUUAUGCAGGUUUUUCAACCACUUUUGUACCAAAUAAACACACAUACACUAACAUCUAAAUGGCCUACAAAUGGUCCGAAAUUCCCCUCCCAAGUCAAUACCAAAUUUAACAAUCAUCAACCACAAUCCCUAACCAAAUUUCAUUUGCACCAAUGAACUUAAUCCAACCUCUCACUAACCAAACUCUAUCUCACUAACCAUAAGCUAAGCUAAAUUAGCCUAAUGGAGUUUAGGGUUUCUUAACCCAAAUCAGCUUUUUGCAAGUAACCAACCAAAUCAAGUGAGGCAAUUCAUCAAACAUAACCACUACAAGUCCAUUUCUCAACUAAACAAGUAAGGAAAGCAUUACAUUAAAAAGCCCUAAUUCUCUUUCUCUUGACCGAAAUUUCCAGCAGCAUAAAUCACCAAAAAUUAACCAAAGUACUCCAUAAAAACAAGUGAUAGGCAUAAGAGGUACCACAAUCAAGCACAACUAAGGUCCUAUGCCAAAAUAACCACUAGUUCAUCAAACAAUAAUCAACUUAAGUCUUCAAAUAGACUUUCUUACCUUUGAUUCAAGCUUUGUAGAUGAUCACCCACAACAAUCAAGUGCUCAAGUUGUUUCUCCAAGAUCCAAACUCAAGAUUGAAGAGCAAAAUUGAUGCACCAAAGCAAGCUUUCCUUUUCUUUUUUCUUUCUCUUCUCACGGCUCUCACUCUCUCUUAUUCUCUUAGUUUUUGUUUUGUUUUGUUUUCUCUUGUUUCUUAUAAGUUGUAAGACAACAUAUAGUCAAAGCUUUGGGAGAUAUUUCUUAUAGCUAACCAAUCACAAAAAUGCUUUAUUUGUUGUUUAAACCCUUGCACUUUAAUUUUCUCUUUCUUAUACAUUUUCCCUCAAACAUUUGAUAACCUUUCAAUUUACUCCAUAAGUCAUAACUUAAUCUAAUCUAAAACAUAUAAUCACGCUUAAUUAUUUCACUAAUCACUUUCUCAUCUUAAUCACUUACACUUAAGCAUGCUUUAUCCCACAUAAAAGUUAAUUAAACAAUAACCUUUUUGUCAAGGGCAAAAUUAGGUUUAAACCCACUUAAAACUUCUAAUAAAUCAUAACAUUAGGGAUUUUGCUCACUUAAGGUUUCUAACCUUCUUCUUAAAAUUAAUUAACCUAUACCAAAUGGAUUAAAUCCUAUACCUUCCCACACUAGUGGGUCCCACAUCCGAUAUACGUUCUUAAUUUCUCAAAAACUAACUACUACUAGAAAAAUCAUCUAAGAACUAUAUUUACUCAUAAAACUUAUCUGGGAAACUUUUCUAAUAAAGAAAAUGUAGAAAAUGCGGGUUUUCAAUCUUAGGGUUUUCUUCUUAGCCCUAACCCUAAUAUCAACUUACGAACGGUCUGGGUCCUCACAGAAGGAACCCCUCUCCUCUAUCUAAUGAUGGUUAAUUCAUGACUUGUGGUAGCCUAAGGGAUGUGAUUAGGUGUUAUUUCUUGAUUUUGGUUGAGAUUGAUGGCAUUUUCUAUUUAAUCAUUUUUCUGAUUUAAUAUGGUUCAUAUGGUGUGGCUUUGUAUGAUGAUGGGAAUUGAUCUAGAAUGAAGCUAGAAGGUGUAUAUUGUGGUUAAUUGCAGGAAAUUUCUGUUUUUGAAGGAAAUUGUGGAAAUUAGGGUUUCAUUCCCCCUCAUUCUGCCCGGCACUGUUCCUCAUAGUUAGAGACCGAAUUGGCCUUGGGUUAAGACAUGAAAGUUGUAGGGAAUGAUAUUUUAGAGAUGCCUACAAAAUUUCAGGUCAAUCGGAGUAGCGUAGCUUAUGAAAAGACUGAAAUACCCCUGCUGCCCUGUUUCUACCCGAACUUGGUAUUCAGCUUUGGUAAUUGGUUAAUUUGGUUGGGAAUGCUUCUGAUUUGGUUGUUGAUGUCUUCUGAAGAAUUGUACCCUUGUAUCUUAGCUUUCAGAUGGCUUUAGAAUCACUUGAUUUGGACUUAGGUAGCCUGACUUAUGAUGUUUGAACCAGAAUGCGGUUUGUUAACCUGUUUUUGCGGUUCUGGUUUAGUAUAUUGAAUUUUUGACCUGGUUGCACUAGAAACUAGACUGAGUAGCCUUCUUCAACAUUGUAUCCCUACCUCUUAGCUUCGAAACGGUGUAUAUUGCACCUCCAUCCGAUAAUCGUAGUGCCAAUGGUGCCAAAACCGCAAAAUGAUGUCAAAAACUGUUUUUAUGGUUUAGAGCUUAAUUCCAUUUCCGGAUUUCCCUGGUUUACUCUAGUGCUUAUACAUUCUUAUGGAGCCCUAUUUGGGUAGUAUGUGGAAUUGGUUUAUGACUUGUAAUCGAGUCUUAUUUUGCUUAUUUGAAUUUUUUAGGGCGUGACGGUGAGUAAAGACGCUCUUUGGGUGGAAGUUUACGAAAUUCCACUUGCUUGCUUGGUGAGUAUACUACUCACUUGUUUGUUUACAAUGUGGCUUUAUUAUAUUGAACUUGAUGCCUUGAAGGCUUAUUUGCACUGUUGAAACUGAUUAAAGUGAGGGUGUACUUGAUCGCCCUCACUCCCUUUUGUAUUAUACACGACUGUCUACUGUUUCACUGUGGUACUUGAAAUGUACAUGGAAAAUUGGAUUUGGUGUCGUUUGGACGAGGAUCCAACGGCUUUUACAGUUACUACUGAGCUCAACCCCAUUGGUAGUCGAUUGAAUCGAGCCAGCGAGGGCUUGGUCGUGAAAGUUGACUACAGCCAUGGGGACUGUUAUAUGGAAUCUUGUAGUAGUGAGACUCUUGAUUCCGGUAUACUCGAGUAUUACCAAAUUUCUACUGUUUGGAGUUCGGGCCCGGAAGGGGUAUGUUGGUGGAAGGAAUGGACGUAAAGUGGAGCCUACGGUUGGUUACUCUUAAACAUUGACGGAGGUCAAUGAGGUCUGAUCAAGAAUGCAAGCGAGGAAAGGGGCUCUUGAGAGCCGCCCGUAUCCUUUUAUCAACACUAUUGAUGUGUGUCUUUGCUUACUUUUGAUGUAUUGGAAUGAGAAACUUGAUGCUUAUAUGAACUUUGCUGCUUGAGUGAUAGUAUAUCACUGGGCGUAAGCUCACUCUGUUCCUUUUGUUUUCCUUACAGGAAAUUGAUUACUUUUGGAAAGGUUGUACAUGUUGGUUGCCGAGUUAAGCUUAUGUAAAUGUAUUUUUGAAUAGCUCCUUUUGGGCAAAACCCUAACUGUAUUUGGAUCUAAUUAUCUCGCUUUUGUUUUGUAAAUUACAAACGUAUGUAUAUAACACUGCUUAACCCUAUUUAUGGGUCUUAUUUGGUUUGGAAAUAUUUUUCCGAGUUAUAUGACAUGGCACCCACUAUUCACCGACGGUUUAGUUUGCGUUUGGCUAUUUUACGAUUUCGGCUUGUGUGAGCGCGUAUUAUUUUCCUGAAACAUUUUAGAUCGUGUUUGUCUGCACAGUUAGUCCUGGCGAGAGUUGGGCAGGCAGUCCGCUAACCUCUUUGGUUCACCUUAGGGGAAAGUGGGGCUGUCACAGUUUUCUUGAUGUAUAAACCUGUUUUAGAUUCUUUUAGUUAGAGUUAACACUUGGCAUGUUGGUUAAGAGGAAAACAAUGAAAGGAUGAAACAAGAAAAGUAGUGGUAUGCACUAAUAGCCCAAAUUCCAUAUUUCUGGAAAUUCAAGCUUCAGUUCUGCCCGGUUCCAGUUCGUGAUGUUAGAGACCGAAUUAGCCUUAGCUCAAAAUAUGAAAGUUGUAGAGAAUGAUGUUUUAUAGUUGCCUGUAAAAUUUCAGCCCAAUCCGACCUCUGUAGCCUGUGAAAAGACAAAAUUACCCUACUGCCCUGUUUCUGUCAAAAAUGAUAAUCAGCCUCUGUAAGUGGUUAGUUUGACCAGGAAUAUUACUGAAUUGAUUGUCGAUGUCUUCUUAAGAAUUAUGCCUUGUAUCUUACUUUCAAAUGGCUUUGGAAUUACCUGAAUCGGAGUUGUGUGUGCUAGAUAUGCUUGAAUGAAUCAGGACUGCUAGGUAAAUUUCACAGUGAGUUUCGAACUAGAAAAUCUGGGGUUGUUUUGGUGAAUUUGACCUAGUUAGGGUGAGAACUGGACAAAGUAGUCUUCAUCAAAGUUAUAGCCCUUGAAACGGUAUAACUUGCACUUCAAUCCAAUAAGCGUAGUUUCGGUUAUGUCCGAUAUGCUAAGUAGCGGUGAAUCUGCCUUUUUGGUUUCCAAGCUUAAAACUCAUUUCCGGACAUUUUCCUAGUUUGAUUUCGUACUUGUAUGACUUUGAGCCUAUUGAACGGCUAUUGAAAUGAGAUGAUUUUGUGUAUGACUUUGGGGCUUUAUUGUGAUUGAGUUGAGAUGUGAUUUGUAAUGUCUUGUAGGAUGGAAAAUAAGGAAUUUAAGGGGAAGUGCUGUCCAAUCUUUGAGAACGUUUAACCGCUGCGAGUUUGGGUUAAUUCUUGGUAGAAUGAAGAGCUUGGACUUGAUCGAGGAAAACUGUCUAUGAUGGAUGAGGAUUAAGAGCCGUGGUUGGUGAGUGACCCAAACUAUUUCCAAAGCUAAUUAUGAAUUGUUUCUUGCAUUAUUUACUCGAUUGCAUAUCAUGUGUGCUUGCAUAUGAAUUCAUGACAUGAUUUGGCUCCAAUGAGUUCUUGGGAAGUCUUGUGCUGAACACCAACGUCUCCACCACUAUUUACUUGGAGCAAAUGGCUCCCUAUCACUGUUUCACUGUUACUGGAUCAAUUUGAGCGUUGGAUGUUUAGGUACAAUGAUUUCACAGGCUCACAAGAGCAAUAAACGUAUAUUUGAUUACUGAUUCAUGAUAUCAUUGAAAUGAACUAUUGAGAAACUGAUUUGAUGACUGCUUUUACUGGUUACUCGCUGAGCUUCUAGCUCACCCAAAACGUUUUAAUUCCCCUCCACAGGGCUCGAGGCGAAGGAAGCGCUUGUAUCACGUUAUUCGUGUGACUGGAUGGCUUAUAUCUUGUAUAGUUUAGAUUUGGACUCAUUUGUGUAAUAGUUGGGCCAGUGUGACUGUUUGGAAUUGAAGUGGAUGUAUGUGUACGUUCCACGCUUAGAAUUAGUUUCCGCUUCGCUUAUGAUAUGUUAAUUUGAGAACAUUUGAUGUAUAGAGAUGUAUAUUGUAUUUGAAUUGAGGAUUGUUGUGAGUGAGUGAGUCCCGGCGAUAGCUGGGCAGGCGGUCCGCCGAACUCUUUGGUUCGCCUUAGGGUGAGGUGGGGCCGUCACAGUUGGUAUCAGAGCUUAGGUUUCCGAUCUCUGAAGUGUAUCCUAGGCUUCAAGUUUAGGAUGCCGGACUGUGGGUCUGAUGAAAUAUCAGUGAUUUCUUGUAGGAAUGAAAAUCAGACAAGUGGGAUUAGGCUUGCUUGAAAUGCUUGUUUGACUUUUGCGGAUCUCUUGACUUGAUUCGUACAAGUUGGAAUGUCAAGAACGAUAUUCUUUUAAGGAGGGGAGAUUGUGAUACCCCGAAUUUUAGGACAAUGUUUUUCCCUCGUUCUUUUAAAAUUUCGAUUUCUUUCUUUUGUCUUGUUUUAACACAUUGUUUUUUUUAAUUGGACACUUUAAAUUUAAAUCAAAACCCUAGUUUUUACUUGUGAUUAACCGUUUUCUCAAAUUUCUCAUAUUUCAACCGAAACCCUAAAUUCAAUUUAUGGAAUUUUAAAAUCCCUCACGUUUUUCUUAAAAAUCCCCUUUUAAUUGGAAAUUAUGAUUUUAUAAUAACCCUACCACCCAAUCACCCCAACAAUAAUGCAAAUGAACAUGAAAGUAAAGGUUUUCCUUUUCGUUUUUAAGUUAGCGCGAAUUAGGAUUUUCCGUUUUUCCGUAGUGUGACUAUUCGGUACGGAGUGAGGAUCAAAAUUGGUGAGAACACCGCGUGGGCAUGCCAAGAUUAUAAAACAUCCACUGACCUCAGGAGAGACAAACAUCGCGUGGGCACGCCAAGAUUACGAAACGUCCUCUGAUCUCAGGAGACACCAACACCGCGUGGGCACGCCAAGAUCUCACUUCCUGAUUUCAGUGAAGGAAAUAUUAAUACAGAUACUACCCAACGAGUAAAUGACCCACUGCAAAAGAAGAACAACUACAAAUAACAAAACUAAUAUUCGGGUUGCCUCCCAAACUAGCGCCUUUCUUUAGUGUCUUUGGCUAGACACAGCCCAUAAUUUGCUUAAACCAAGCAAAUUGGGUCCUCCAAAUGCAUUAUCUCUACCCGCUCAACUGGAACCUCAUCAUAAUACGGCUUGAGACGAUGACCAUUCACCACAAAUUUCUUCUCCGUCUUCAGACUCUGGAUCUCCACUGCACCAUAAUCAAAGACAUUAGUUACAACAAAGGGACCAAUCCAACAAGAACGUAACUUACCCGGAAAUAACUUCAACUUCGAGUGAUACAGUAGAACUUUUUGUCCACAUUCAAACGUCUUCCUAGAGACCUGCUGGUCAUGAAAAAUCUUAUUUUUCUCCUUAUAAAUCACAGCAUUUUCGUAGGCUUCAUUGCGAAUCUCCUCCAAUUCUUGUAACUGUAGCUUCCUUUGAAUUCCGCCCUCUUCGAUAUCCAUGUUGCAUUGCUUGACAGCCCAAAAUGCUCUAUGCUCGAAUUCGACAGGGAGGUGGCAUGGCUUCCCAAAUACCAAACGGUAAGGGGACAUGCCGAUCGGUGUCUUGUACGCCGUUCUAUAUGCCCACAAGGCAUCUUCAAGUCUCACACUCCAGUCCUUCCUGUCAGGUCGAACCAUUUUUUCCAAAAUCGACUUGAUCUCCCGGUUCGAUGCUUCCGCCUGACCGUUUGUCUGCGGAUGGUAAGACGUGGAGACUUUGUGCAAGACACCGUACCUCCUAAAAAGUGCAGCAAUCGUCUUGUUGCAGAAAUGGGUACCCCGAUCACUUACAAUUGCUCGUGGCAUCCCAAAACGGACAAAGAUAUUAGAUUUAAUGAAUUCUGCAACCACCUUAGAAUCAUUAGUGCGGGUGGCUUUUGCUUCCACCCACUUUGAGACAUAAUCUACGGCAAGCAAUAUAUACAAAAAACCGAAAGAUGAAGGAAAAGGGCCCAUAAAAUCAAUACCCCAAACAUCAAAAAUCUCAACAAAAAUCAUUGGGGUCUGGGUCAUUUGAUCCCUUCGAGAAAUACUACCUACUCGUUGACACUUAUCACAUGACUUACAAAAUAAAUAGGUAUCCUUAAAGAGGGUUGGCCAAUAAAAUCCACUCUCUAGAACCUUACGAGCAGUUCUCUUUGGUCCAAAGUGACCUCCACAUGCAAAAGAGUGACAAUAAGCUAAAAUAGACUGGAAUUCAUUUUCACUCACACAUCUGCGAAUGAUUUGGUCGGCACCACGUUUCCAGAGGUAAGGAUCAUCCCAGAUGUAAGAUUUUGCGUCACUCCUUAACUUAUCCCUUUUUGCCUUAGGCCAUCCUGCAGGAAACUUGUCAGUAACUAGAAAAUUAACAAUAUCUGCAUACCAGGGCAAAGUUAAAUUAGCAGAAAAUAAGUGCUCGUCAGGGAAGGUUUCUCUCAACGGGAUAUCGUCCUUGGUGACUUGUACCCGACUCAAGUGAUCUGCUACCAAAUUCUCUGCCCCUUUCUUAUCUCUGAUCUCCAAGUCAAACUCCUGUAGCAACAAUAUCCACCUUAUCAGUCGCGGUUUUGCCUCUUUCUUGGUCAACAGAUACCGCAGGGCUGCAUGAUCAGAGAAAAUAAUAACUUUAGUACCAAGUAAAUAGGAACGAAAUUUUUCUAAAGCAAAAACUACAGCUAGGAGCUCUUUCUCGGUGGUCGAAUAGUUCAAUUGGGCUCCGUUCAAGGCUCGAGAUGCGUAGUAUAUAGCGUGGGCUGCCUUUCCCACUCUUUGACCUAGUACCGCACCCACUGCGUAAUCGCUGGCGUCACACAUGAUUUCAAAUGGGAGAUUCCAGUCAGGGGGUUGGAUGACAGGUGGAGAAGUGAGUAAUUUUUUCAACUUCUCGAACGCUUCUUCGCAUUUCUCGUCGAAUUCAAAACUGACAUCCUUUUGUAAAAGCCUGAAAAGUGGUGCCCCGAUCUUUGAGAAAUCCUUGAUAAAUCUGCGAUAGAAACCUGCAUGUCCUAGAAAAGAACGAACUUCCCGUACAGUUACGGGGUAAGGUAAAGCAGAUAUCACAUCUAUUUUAGCUUUAUCAACUUCAAUUCCUCUAGAUGACACUACAUGUCCUAGAACUAUCCCGUGCUCAACCAUGAAGUGACAUUUUUCCCAAUUCAGCACCAGGUUAGUCUCAAUGCAUCUUUUUAAAAUCAAUGUCAGGUUAUCUAAGCAAUCGUCAAAGCUAUCACCAUAGACACUGAAGUCAUCCAUGAAUACCUCAAUUAUCCUCUCUACAUAUUCAGAAAAAAUGCUAAUCAUGCACCUCUGGAAUGUUGCAGGGGCAUUACACAAUCCAAAAGGCAUUCUUCGAUAGGCAAAAGUGCCAAAGGGGCAAGUGAAAGUUGUUUUCUCUUGAUCCUCUGGCGCAAUUGCUAUCUGAAAAUAACCAGAAAAACCAUCUAAAAAACAAUAAUAGGCACGACAGGCUAACCUUUCAACCAUUUGAUCAAUGAAUGGAAGGGGAAAAUGAUCCUUCUUGGUCACUGCGUUCAAUUUACGGUAAUCGAUGCACUGGCGCCAACCCGUAGGCUUUCGAAUUGGAACAAGGUCCCCUUCAUGAUUUUCUUCCGCAGUUACCCCUGCUUUCUUUGGCACCACUUGGACCGGACUUACCCAUGGGCUGUCUGAGAUAGAGAAAAUAAUUCCUACGUCCAGAAGCUUGAUUACCUCUUUUUUGACCACUUCCAUCAUGAUGGGGUUCAAUCUCCUUUGUGGUUGCCUUAUCGGCCUAGCAUCCUCUUCCAGGCGAAUUCGAUGCAUGCACACAGACGGGCUUAUACCCUUGAUGUCUGCAAUUGUCCACCCUAUAGCUUCCUUAUGCUCCCUUAAAACCCGCAGCAGUUUGUCCUCCUCCGUGGGUGAUAAUUUGGAUGAGAUUAUCACUGGUAACGUCUCUUUUUCACCUAGAAAGGCAUACUUUAAAUGCUCGGGAAGGGGUUUCAACUCCACUUCAGGUGCCUGCACGAUAGAAGGUAACAGCUUUAGGUGUGGUUCAGGCACAAAUAUAGGAGCAACAUCAUACCUUAGAGGACUUUGGCCUAGUGAAUGCAAGGCUCCAACCAUUCUUUGCAAAUUGAUGUCUAACUCCAUUUCGCAGGCCACUUCCAGAUCCAAAUGUUUGGUGAUUGCUACCUCCAAUUCAUCCCUGCCAUUAAUCUCAAAUACUUCUUGCACCAAAGGGUCAAUUAUACUCACAGCAAAAACAACAUUAGAAUGACACGGAUAUUUCAUGGCCUCAAAUAUACUAAAAUGAACUAUUUCUCCAUCAAAUUCCAUCGUUAGGGUGCCCUUACUAACAUCAAUUUUUGUACGAGCCGUGCUCAAGAAGGGUCUCCCCAACAAAAUUGGUGAUGGAUUUGGAGAACGUUCAUCACCCAUAUCAAGAAUAUAAAAAUCAGCAGGGAACACUAAAUUGUUCACUUGUACUAACACAUCUUCUAUCACCCCAUCAGGAUAAGCAUUAGUCCUAUCAGCCAAUUGAAUUAUAAUGCCAGUUUCCUUUAAAGGGCCCAAAUUCAGAGAAGUAUAUAUAGCCCUGGGCAUCACAUUUAUAGAGGCUCCUAAAUCUAACAUGGCAUUCCUAAUGCUAGUGUUCCCUAUUUUGCACGGAAUAGUGAACAUACCUGGGUCUCCGCACUUGGGUGGAAGUUUUCUUUGAAGCACUGCAGAUACGUUCUCUCCCACAAUUAUCCUUUCAUCUCCCCUCAGUUUCUUCCUAUUGAUGCAUAGGUCCUUCAAAAAUUUGGCAUACCGGGGUACUUGCUUAAUUGCGUCAAGUAAGGGGAUAUUUAUCUCCACUUUCCUAAACAUCUCCAAUAUUUCCUUUUCCUUGUCUUGCUUUUUCGGCCUUUCCAACCUGCUAGGAAAAGGUGGUGGGUUAGGCUUAAUCGGAACCACAGGGUUACGUAUUACCUCUUCAUUUGUGCCAGGAGUUCCUUCUUCCUCAAGCUCCUUCUCAAUACGGUCCUCAUUCUUGUCCUUCGGAGCCACUGGGGCUGGACCUUCAACCUCUUUCCCACUCCUGAGGGUCAUUGCACUUACAUUCUUGGGAUUCACCUCAGGUUGGGAUGGGAGUUUUCCCUUCCCCUGGGAGUCUAGUCGGUUGACAAUGGAGGCUAAUUGACUCAUCUGAUUUUCCAAGUUUUGCAUACGUGCUUUCAUCUCUUGAUUGUUGGCCUCAGUGUCCUGUUGAAAUUUCAUAGUAUUAGAGGCUAUGGUUUUAACCAUGUCUUCUAGGGACAUACCUGAGAUAGAGGAGGGUUGAUUCCUUGUUUGAUAUUGUUGCUGGAAGCCCUGCUGUCUAUUGGGGAUGAAAUUUUGUUGCUUAUUUCCCCCAUAGCUUAGAUUUGGAUGAUCCCUCCAACCCGGAUUGUAUGAGUUGGAAUAGGGGUCAUACUGUCUACGUGGCAUGGGCAUGUUACCAGCCAUAUUUGCUUGCUCAAUUCCCUCUUCAUGUAACUGUGGGCACGAGUCAGUGGUAUGACCAAUAUUCGUGCAAAUCCCACACACUUUGGCCUGCUGUGCAUUUCCUACAGCUAUCUGUCGAACAAAUGAGGUUAAUUCAGAUAACUGCUGUUCGAUGGAAGAUGAACUUACCUCGUUGACCUUUCUCGUAGGAACAUCUGCUCUCGUACCAAACUGCUGGCAAUUCUCUGCCAUUCGCUCAAUUAAGUCCCAUGCCUCCUGGGUAGUCUUAUUUACCAGUGCACCACCACUUGCUGCAUCAAUGAUAUUCCUAUCGUUCAUCAGUAGCCCCUCGUAGAAAUACUGAAUCAGCAGUUGAUCACUUAUUUGGUGAUGUGGGCAUCGGGUACGCAGCCUGGUGAACCUCUCCCAAUAUUCAUACAAGGAUUCCCCGUGAAAUUGCUUGAUUCCACAUAUUUCCUUUCGCAAGCUAGCAGCUCUGGAUGCAGGGAAAUAUUUUUCAAAAAAUUUUUUCUGCAUCUCUGGCCACGUGGUGAUAAUGCCUGCAGGUAGACAGUAUAACCAGUCCUUUGCCGAAUCCUUGAGAGAGAAAGGGAAGGCCCUUAAUUUAAUUUGUUCAUCAGUUACUCCCGAAGGUUUCAUACUCGAACACACCACAUCAAAUUCCUGCAUGUGUUUGUGGGGUUCCUCUCCUGGCAGACCAUGAAAAACAGGCAACAAAUGUAUUAAACCAGGUUUUAAUUCAAAAGCUGCAUUCUCACUAAGGCGAGGAAAAGUUAUGCAAAGAGGUUGUUGGGUCAAGUUUGGAGCAGCCAACUCCCUUAAUGUUUGUGUGUUUGCCAUGUCGACGCUCUCUUGGCAAAAAUCACUUGAAGUGUCACCAAACGAAUCUGCUGGUUCAACUUCGGGCUCAGGUCUCUGAGAUGUAGCCCUGGAGUGCUCCUCUCUGAGCUGUCUGGUUUCUUUCCUUGUUCUACGCGCGGUUUUCUCUACUUCAGGGUCAAAAAUCAAUUCACCUGCACGAGAAGACCUAGGCAUACACUAGAAAAAUACCAGAAAAUUAGAGCAAAAAUGAAAUUUAAAAAGAAACAAAUAAUAACGCCAGUCCCCGGCAGCGGCGCCAAAAAUUGACAGGUCGUCAACCUGUGCAAUAAUAAUAAUAAUAUAGAACCUAGAUACCACUAAGAGCUGUCAAUAAUUAAUCCUAGGUACUGGAGCAGGGACUCUAGGUGUGCAAUGGGUUACUUGAUUCACCCUGUUCCCGAAAAGUUUGCUGAACCCGAUAUACCAGAAUUAAUUAGUUGGCAAAAAUAGUAGGCAGUGGCAAGUAAAGUCGUCUCCUCAGGGACUGGGGAUAUCUGUCUCUUUUUAAAGUCCAAUUGAUAAGGGGGGAUUUCACCGGAAUGGAACUAAAAAUAAUUAAACAAUUUAAUUAAAAAUAAAUAAAUCACUAGCACAAGUAAAGCAGGAAUUAAAUCAAGAAUAAAUAAGUUCUAGCCAAGGAUACAACUACUCAGGCACAGUCCAUUUAUCCGAUCAUUGAUGCAGGAGAGGUUCACUUAAUUUAUUAAUAGGUUAGUUAUAGUCUGACGACCAAUUUUUCCUUAAAUUAUUGAUAACCAAGGUACGACCAUUGAUCACCCCUAACCAGAAAAUACUCCUAGGUACGACCGUAGGAAUUAAUUUCCCAAUUGCAUUAAUAUUAGAAAAACCUAGCCCUAACCAAUAACACGCUACGAGGGUUAUUUAAAUUAGAUUGCACGUUCCCCUAAUGUGUAAACACACCAGUUGCCACUAAUAUUAAUCAAUCAAACAAUUACGGAUUUAAUUGACUAAAUUGGCACGAGACUAAUAAAUCACAUUGAACAUCGGGCCCUUGACAUCCAAUUAAUAAAAUAAUCCCAUGAAAAUACAAGCAGGCAACGUGCAAUUAUUAAUAAAUUAAGGAACGCGUGAAAACUAAUUAGAUCUCACAGGUUUUCGGGACUGCGCCGUCGAGUUGAUCCUUGACUAGAUGGAAGAUUUAGCCACGCCGCAUAAUUAAAUCACCACACGAAUUAAUGGAUUGCAAAGGCAUAGCGUUUUCUAUUAAGAAGCAAGGAAUAAAAGGUGUUUUUCCCGUUGGGGAAUUUUGUCGAACACCUGGCGUGCCAGAGGCCAGUCAAAAGAAGGAAAAAGUAAAGCUACACUAAAAGACUAAAACCAGAGAUAUUCCUCUGCUACUCUCCGUUCCCUAUUUAAGCCACAAAAGAAAGAUAACUCAAGGCUCUCUACGUGGUCCCCACACAUGUGGGCAAAGCCUUCAAAGUACUUCUUGCCCCAAGUCUCCUUCCGUAGCUUUCUUUUUAGAGUCCAAAUGACUAGAUGCCUUCCACUAGCUUGUGGUCCCCACAAAUUCAAGGACCCAAGCAUUGAAGCCCUUAGAAGUCUCCAUAUUUUCCAUAAAGUCCCUCCUUUUGGUAGUUUUCUGCUUUAUUCCUGAAAUUACGUCCACAUACCAAAUAUGAGUAAAUAUCAGCAAUUAACACAAUAUUUGUCAGGGAUAAAAGGGAAAAUUAAUAAUAAAAUUACUAACAAAUUGUACCCUAUCAACAAAUUAUAGUAAUUUAUAUUUAUUAAUUGUCAAUGAAUGGUUUUAUUUGAGCUAUAAUUAGAAUGGAAGUUGCCUAAUUUAAGUAUAUUUUGGUUUUUGCGGGAAAAGCACGCAAUUGAGGAGGGGAUGAAUAAAAAACGCAACAAAAGAAGAAGAAACGUUGAAAGGGACUUUGUGAGGACUUCUUCCAGUUCCAAUGAUUUCUAAAGAAAUUUCUAAAAUUAUGAUGAAUUUUAAAAAAAUUCUACAAAGGGGCCAUUUUGAGUAUGGGAUUCCGUCCAAGGGGUCUUCGCAUUCAGCAAAUGCGAGCUUCCUCAGCUCGCAUUUGCUGAAUGCGAAGUCUCUUGAAUUUGCAACCAACGAAAUCCAAAAAAAAAAACAGACCUCGCAUUUGUAAACAGUACGUAGGCCUGACCUCUUAUCCUGUUUCUGAGCAACAAAGCAUAGCCACGAAUUUGAAAGCCAUUUGCCAAGUGAAAAGAAAAUGUGCAGUGCAAAUGGGACACAAAAUUGAUUGGGGAGUCCUGUUGAGGUAGUACAAGUGGCAAAUUGGGAGGGGAGAGAGAGGCGCAGCUGGCUAGCUUCACAGAAAUAGGUUCCGAAUAGGGGUCCAAGCUCUACAAUGGCGCAGAGCUUCCAACGAGAAAGAUGUGAGGGAUUUCGUCUGCCGAUCCUGGAAGCUUGGACUGGUGUCUAGCUCAGCAAAAGAGAAGAGAAAGUGAGCUGGAUGGAGAGAGUGAGCUCCAAUUUCUGCAGGUUAGGAGACAGAUUAGAAUGCCGUAAUUAUGAGCUCUGCCUUUUUUUCAGAUUGAGUACCUCGCAUUCGAGAAAUGCGAGGUACCUCAGCUCGCAUUUGGCAUAUACGACCUUUGUUGUUUUUUACUUUUUCUCAAAACCUUUCUCUUUUUUCUUGAAACACUGACCUCGCAUUUGUGAAAUGUGAAGUCUUUGAACUAGCGUUUCACAAAUGUGAAGACCAUAAUCCUAGAAUUAGCUUCAAAAAUUACCCCCCUUGUAAAACAACUUUUUUUUCUAUCACAAUUUAAGAAUUUACUCUGAUUUUUGAGCAUAACAAGUUUGCGGCCAGAGUUAGAGCCGGUCUUCGGGCCGAACUUUAUUGGAAAACCCAUUCAAACUCGAUUUUUGGUAAGUUUUCAAGACCUAUUCCUACCACAUUUCGGAUGCAACUUUGAGAGACUAUAAAUAGGACAUUCUAGGAUAUUUUUAGGUUAGAAAGCAUUUAGCUUACAUUAGUUCAUCCUUUUUAUAUCUUCUUUUCUUGAGAGAUCACAAAGGAAGUGUUGAAGAAUCAAAGAGAAAGUUCAAGAUGGAGAUUGGAGUAGGGAAAAAUUGAGAAGUUUUCUUUAUUUUUAACUUCUUAUUUUGUCUUUCAUUUGAAUUCUUGGAUUUAUCUAUGAAUAUGUUGAACUAAUUUAUAGCUAGACUUAAGAUUUUGUGAAGGAGAUUUGAUUAUUUGUUCUAGAUAAAUUAUUCAAUUUUUCUUUGAUUUAUCUAUCUUGCCUUUAUUACAUAUUUAUGUUUGGCCACUAUAGAUAUGCUUUUAGGGUUUGUAUUGAAUUGAGAAGCGAUAUACAACCAUAUAUUAGAUAAAUAAACUUACUUAACCUAAUUAUGAAUGUGGGUUAGGAUUUGUAUGGCAUAAUCAUAUCACCUAAAAUCUUAAAGGGUUUAAUUAAAUACCUAUGAUCUUGAGAGCAAUGUGAGAUUUCAUUAGACACAAUUUAGAUGUAUCGAGAGAUAAUUAAAAUACUUUUACGUGAUACGUCUUUGACAUGUUAAGAAAAUAAUUGGAUAAUGAUUCCAAUUAUGAAUCAAAAUUUGAAACUCUAGUCUUUUGCUAAUUGUUUUCUCACCUAUAUCUUAUUUGAUUUGAUUACUUAUUUAAUUUCUUAAUUAGUGACUAAAAACCCUCUAAAUUUAAAUUUUAUUAUUUUUAUUAGAAUAAUUAAAGUAGAAAAAAUUAACUCAUUCCUAUAUGUUUGACCCUGAAGUACUCCAAGUGAAUUAUUAUUUCGAUCAACCCUAUACAGUUAUAGAAAUUCAUCGAUCACACAGCAACUAAAAAAAAAUUAACGCACAAUAAUGUCAUGAACACAGUUCCCAUCUUAGUUGUUCAACAUUCACGGUGGAUUUCAAUUAGUGGUAAAUAGAUAAAGGCAUCGAAAAAAGUAAUCUAAUUACUAGAUAAUUGAAUUUAUACUACAGCAUAUUUCUUUUUUCUACUGCAAAAACUUAACUAAUUUAAGACAAUGUAGUCCAAGCUAAUUGAAGAUUAAUUUCCCUAAAAAAUGUUCAUGAUAAAAACUCAACAAAGAGAUAAUACAACAGCUUACUUUUGGAGGUGAUCUUAUACGGUCUUUAUUAACAAACUAAUUAGCCACUUAAGCCUUUUUUUUUCCUUUUGGGACUACACAUGACAAAAUGAGGAGUGAAUCAGUCGCUUAAUAUCUAAAAUUUUCCCUCCAUAAUUAGUUCAACCUGAUUUAAGACUAAAUUUUUACUAUAGGAAUGUUCGUGAUUCAGCAAUGAAAGACCAUAUAAACUUAUUUUGGGAGAUUUGUCCUAGAAGACAAAAAAUGAGCAACCAAUCAGAAAGUCGUACUUACAUAUCAAAAUCGAUACAGUCUACUUAAUUCACCAGCUAUGUAUAUUUCAUCCAUUUUCACAUAAUAGAAAGAACAAUAAUGCAUGGCAUUAUCCAUCAUAAAUUGCUCAUAUAACAUCAAGAUAUCAUGGUGUGGACCUCAAAUGACUCGUCAUAUCUACUGGCUACAUUUUAAACAUAUCUUAUGGCCAGAAUGUUCAUCUUAUCAACUUAACGAGUUUAUUCAUGGUACCAUACCAUUAAAUUAAAAAAAUUUCCACGGUUUACCUUUUAUAGACGUCAAGGAAUAUAGCUGAUAACGCACUUUUGGCAGCAAGCUUCCUUCACCCAAUUAAAGAUUUUCGGAGCUUAAAGUUCAGCUCCUAAAGCUCUUCUCCAAGGCUCACCAACCAACAGAGAAAUUACUUUUAGCAAAGUUGUUAAAUUUUGGCACCAGGUUUUGAUGGCAUCUCGGCAAGAUUGGAAGAUUAUAUUGCGCUUCUAAGAUAAUGUUUAAAAAAGCUAUUUUAGUGAGGGCAUUAUGGUCAAUUUGCCCCUGAUGAUAUUGACAUUAGGUCCCAUCAACAUCAGAAGGGAGCUCAUUGCAUUAUUGGAUAUAACAAGGGUGCUAGUGAAAUUAUGAAAACCCUCAAGGAAGGUAUUUGAAAUUAACCCUAAAAUACUCAUUCCACGCAAGGCGUGGCGUUCCCCUCCUAGUUCCUAUAAAUAGGGCUGCAACUCAAUGCACUUAUCACUCGAUAUCAAUAAUUUAGCACAUUAUUUACAUUUUGAGUGAGAUUGUGAUCAAAUGGCAUCUUCAAAAAAUUUGCUCUUUCUUAUUCGUGUUCUUUUUGCACUUGUGCUCCUCAUUUCCUCUGAUGCAACAGCUGCAGGUGCCUAGUCCCUUUUUUUCUUUUCCUUUCUUCCUUUUUUUUUGGCUGCACCUAAAUACUUAAAUGAAUGGAGAUUUGGAGACUCAUUAUUGGAAUGUGAAUUUUUAUGGAAGGCUAUUUGUAUAUUAUCAAGCAAGUCAUAUUAAUGUGCUAAUAUCUUUUUCAUUGUUUAGCAAAAGUAAAUUUGGGUUGCUUCUAUCAAUGGUUAGUGGCACAUCUGAUUUUUCAUGCAUCCUUAUCGUAUUGCUGUAAGGAUACACGGUCCAUAGUGUCGCACCAAAGAUUAAACUAACGUCGAAAACCAAAUUAAAUGCUUCUAAUUAUAAUUUAAAGCAAAACAAUUUCCCUUAUAAAUGGACGAAAUUCCCUGCCAACAAAUCCAAAUUCAAGAAAAAAAUUUUCUUAAGGAGAAACUCUGCCAAAAUUUUCUUAAAAUAAAUAAAAUAUUUAAUUAAAAAAAUAAAGCAAAAUAAUUCAUAUCCAAGUCGCACCAUCUUAUAUGCCUAGACUGUUUUGUUUAAUCCAUAGUAUUCUUUUCUUUGCAUAUAUCUUGCAAAUUUUCAGCCUAGCCGGUCACCUAACGUUCGCAGCUUAAGAUAAAGCUCCAAAUAUUUAUGUCUCCUUGUGUCUUGAAACAGAUCAGAAGAGCGUGAAAACCACUGGUGUCCACGAUGCCAGUUCAGGCGAGGUUCAUCAGGAUAGCAAAAGCGAAGAUCGUUGCAGACAUGGUUGCUGCCACUGGUACCAUGGACACUGCCAAAGAUGCUGUCGAACUGCCGAGGAGACCCCUGAAGUCACAUCUGGAGAUGAGGAUACCGUAACCGCAGAUCGUUGCAGACAUGGUUGCUGCCGCUGGUACCAUGGACAUUGCCAAAGAUGCUGUCCACCUGAAGAUCGUUGCAGACAUGGUUGCUGCCACUGGGACCAUGGACAUUGCCAAAGAUGCUGUGCAGACAUGGUUGCUGCCACUGGGACCAUGGACAUUGCCAAAGAUGCUGUCCACCUGCUGAGGAGACCCCUGAACAUCGUUGCAGACAUGGUUGCUGCCGCUGGUACCAUGGACAUUGCCAAAGAUGCUGUCCACCUGCUGAGGAGACUUGCAGACAUGGUUGCUGCCACUGGUACCAUGGACAUUGCCAAAGAUGCUGUCGAACUGCUGAGGAGACCCCUGAAGCUACAUCCGGAGAUGAGGUCAAAAAUUAAUGCUAAAUAAAUAAGGCCGUGACACAGGAUCCGUGACACCUAUAUUAUUACCUUAAUAUGUUAUGUUGUGUUUGCUUUUAAUGGUUGAUUUCCUAUAUGUGUAAAAGACUUGUGCGGCUUCUCUUUGAAUUGAUGUAGAAUCAACGGGGGAAGCAUGUAAUGAGUACUCAGUUCGAGUGCUCUUCUUAUGUUGUUGUCAUGUUGAAUAAAUAAAUCUACUUGAUCAUCCACUACAAUUGAUGAUCUUCUUAUGUUUUUUUUCACUUUAUCUUCCUUCACGAUUUUUGGUGGAAAUGCUUCAUUUAUACGAAUUUUCCUAGUUAGUAAAUGCUUCUAUUACACUUGUACAAUACACAUUUAAAAGUAUAACACAACAAAAGCUUGUGUAGUUCAUAUAUUUAAAAAAUAUUCAUACUUUUCAACUAAACUAUAAAAAUACGUAAUAAAUUCUUGAUACAUUAUACUUUACGAACUAUACUUUAAAUUUUAAAAAUAUUUAAUAGUAUCACUUAUCAAUAACUCCACAUGUUAAUUUGUCUUCCAAUUCAGUAAAUUAUAGUAGCUAAUUCUCAAAGCUAACCGACACCAAAAUUCCCUUGUUGGAUUUAUAUUAAUUACAUUGCAUUUAUUUCCUAAGCAUGAGUUUUGUAACCCCUCAUAUUAAAUCUCAAUGAUUGAUUUUAACGGUUACCAAGGCGUCUAGUAAUUGGUUUGCUAUUAAUUUGAACUAGACAUUUAUUAGGUCAAGUAGAAUUUAUUCCGUCUUAUCACUUAGUUCAUAAACCUUACGAAUCGUUAAAACCAGCUCUAACAUUACCUAACAAGACUUCUACAAUUUCGGGUUUUGCUUAGAAAUCAGUCUGAUAGGUUAACUUGCUUCGUCCAACUUUAUGAGUUGCUUCUUCUUUUUUUCCCAUAUUUGACAUUUCAUCUUACUUUAAUAUGGGGACCAAGUUAGUAUUGUUGACAUUUCAUAUCUAAGACCUCUUAGUUAAUUGAUUUGUUAUAAGAACUAUAACGUAUGCGUGUUUUGUAAGCUUUCAUUUUUUUUUUUUCAAUUCUUGUGAACCAGCAACGGAUAGUUUCUUCUAGUACCAAGCUUCCUUUGAAGUUCUUUAUUUUUUUUUUGCGUGUCCAAAUGUAAAUUAAAAGAACCAACAACUUUGAACAAGUCUAUAUCUAGUAAAGAUAGAUAUAAAGAGGGAUACUAUAUCACUGCAACAAAAAAGGGAUUUGGCGAGGAGCAAAAGUCCACGCCAAAAGUUUUGACUUCCUGGCCAAUUAAUUUCAGCAAGAAAAAUGCUUCCUCGUCAAGUUUCUUGCUAGAUGCUUGUCGCUAAUAAGUUAUUAGCGAGGAUGCUGCUGCUUUUCUCGCUAAUGAAACAGAUCAAUAGCAAGGGUUGACCUCCUCGCCAAUCUGAUUCAAAUACUAUGGCGAGAAAAACUUUCCUCACCACUAAAGUUAAAAACUCCCCACAAAAACCAGUAGUUCCUGAUAAGUGACUAAUUUACAUAAUAAUUAUAUGAUAUUUUAUAUUAUUUUUAGUUACUUUAGUUAUAUUAUUGGAAGAAAAUGAAUCAUUUUGGCUAUAAUUGGUAAAAAAUGCUUUUAAGUGAUUAAAUGAGGUUUUUAUCACUUUUUAGUGGGAUUUCGUGCAUUUUGACAGUUUUGACACAUUUUUGUAUUUUGGCUAUAACUUGGGCUACAAUGAUCGGAUUGAGAUGAUUUUUAAACCAAUUUGAAGAUAAGAGAUAGAUCUACAACUUUGGUGAAGACAUUUGAAUCCAGUUUGAAGGUUUUCAAAGUCAAAAAGCUGAAUUACAAUAGCAAAUUUCUACUGGUCGAAGCUGAAACAGGGCAAUGAGCAGUCAAGGGUAUUUCGGUCAUUUCUCAGCCUAAACAGAUCCAAAUGAGGUGAUUCUUGAUCCAUUGGAAAGAUAAGUCAAAGGGCUACAAGUUUCAUGUUUUGGUCAAGAGCUAAAUCAGCUUUUAUCAUCAAGAAAAGUUCAGUGGAAGUUGAUGCAAAAUCGGAGCAGAGCUGGAAAUUGAACCAGAAGUGACCAAAUGGUCACUGUAGCAAUCCGGCCGGAAUUUGGCCGGAUUUGUGGCUAGAUUCCUGGCCGGAUUGUGGUCAGAAAAGGCUGUUAUGUACGCGUAAAACUCAAUUUCACCUCCACCAACUCACAUGUGAUGCUAGACUUGUGAGAAACAUUCCCAACUGUAAAAGAGAGGUGUAAACCUCAAGUCUUGACCAAUCUUUCAUCUAUAUAUAGCCAAAUUCAUUGCAAGAUUGAAGGAUAUAGAGAGACAUAUGGGAGAACUUGGAGAGUGCAGAAAUGUAGCUCUUUCAUCUUCCUAGUGUUAGUUUAGCUUAGUGCAGAGUAGUAUCGAUCAUCCAUUCUUGUAUCUUGGCUAGAUUAGGAUGAAGAUGGAGGAGUUGAAACUCAAGUGACAUGGGUUAUUUCUUCUCCAACUCUUUAUCUUUUGUAUCAGAUUCUUAAGUUUGGUUAAUAUACAAGUUCUGGAUUUUGUGUUUAUGACAGGUGCCGAACCUGUGCAAUAAUAAAUACCUGCUCAAACUAAAAAUAAUUUCUGUAGAUAGUGGUGAGCAGGGUCGAAUCCACAGGGACUGGGAGUAAUUGUUUCUUUCCAAAUUCACAGUGACAAGGGGGUGUUUUUGUGCAGAAAGUGACAAUCAAACAAAUUCAAAUAAAAUCUAAGAAACUACUAAAAAUUAAAUAACAAAUUACUAAAAUCAAAUGAAUGAUAAUUAAGAAUCUAGCCAAGGAAUAACUUCAGCAAUGGUUCACCUAAUUGAUCAUCGAUAAGCAAAGGCAAUUCUAAUUAUUUACUAAUAAAUAGGUUAUAACUACCAAACAAGCAAUGGCAGUCAAACCCUCCUUACUGUGUCGGUGAUCAAGGUACGCCCGUUAAUCACUGCUCUAAUUGAGAAAUAAUUCUAGGUACGCUCGUAGAAUUUAAUUCCCCAAUUGCCUUACGUAUUAAAGGAGCCCUAUUCUAACCAAAUAACGCACUACCAGGGUUAUUUUAGAUUAGCCCGCGUAUUCCCCUGACACAAACCUAAUCAUGCCAGUUGUCACUAUUUUAGAGCAAUUAAACAAUUACGGAUUUCACCCUAAUUGACAAUAGAUUAUCAAAUCAAUUAAUUAUCCGGAUCCAAGACAAUCAAUUAAUCAAAUAAUCAUAAGCACUGCAACCAAGGAAUAUGCGAAUAUCAAUAAAUAAAAGAAAAAGAUUAAAUUAAAUCGAUCUCACAAUUUUAGGCGACCCAAAACAUCCGUUGCUCCUUGACUAGAAAAAGGAAUUUAGUUCAUAGUUAAUGAACAAAAUCCACAGGAAAUAAAAACAAGAGUCGCGGCCAUGGUCUGCGUCUUGGAAAAGUCCAAUUCGCUUCAGGAAAGGAAAACGAGGCUACAAAAGGUGAUUGCUUGUUACUAAUUCUUCCUGACAUACGCAGGGGAAAGGAACUACUACCAACCAAAAGAAAAGUCAAAGCUCAAGACUAUACUACAAGACGAAAAAACUAAAGAAGACCAGAGGAUAGUGCUCUCCUCCUGCAAUCUUAAUUCCUAUUCUAUUUGCUACUCCUCCUGUGCGGCGUCCGCCGCACCAGAGAAAAAGAAGACUCUGAGGUUUGCUUUCCUUUCCCUUUUUCUAGUUGCUGUUUUCGGUCAAAAUUACCAAAAAGGUCAUGCAUCUCCUUGUUCCAAGAAUGCCCUUGAUUGCCUGCUAUUUGAACUCUUUCCCGAUGACCGUCAAAUUGGCCUUGAUUGUGCCAUUUUUAUUCUACUCCCUGAAAUAAAUGAAAAUUACGAAAAGUGAGUAGAAUCUAAUAAUUAAUUCACAUUGGGUUAAGUAAUAGGGGAAAUUAAUUAUAAAAUAAAUGAUAAAAUUACAACCUAUCAAUUCCCCCCACACCUAAACCAUGUUUGUCCUCAAGCAUGAGAACAAGAAACAAACACCAAUAUUUGAUAGUGGCUAUUGCUCUAUCCAACAAAUUGCCAAGAUACCAAGAAAAAUAAUAUUCAAGCAUCAAUGGUCAAGUCCAAGAAACAUCACUCCGGUUAGCUUCUAAAUCAUAAACUCUUCCAAUUUCAGGUUAACUAAUCUAAGAAAAAGGAAUGUCGCAUAACAUUUAUCAGCAAAUGGUCCAACUAUUAACCAAAAUCUCAACAUUAAAUCCAUAAUUCGGCAAGCUGACUUUUAUUACACACUAACACAACCUUGACUUUUUUUUCACGUUUUUCUACUUUUCUUCUUUUCUUUUUUUUUCCUUUUCUCAAUAGUAACAAAAGACUUAGUCGCUAGCCAUUAGAGCCUUUUGACGCGAACUCCAACAUUGGCCAGAUGAAGGAGCCCGGUUACUCAGCUUCUAUCGCCACGUGACCACGUACUCAUAGGAACUACUACCUUUUGACGCGAGAAUCAACACUUGUAGGUGCAGAUCCCCGGUUACUCAGUAGUAACUAAUAGCGGAGUACAGUCAAGUUUAUUCAUAGCUAAAAAUCACAAAAACUCAAUAUAACACAAGAACCAAAAGAAAACUUGCAUCAGCUAACCUCAUUUUCAAACAUGGAGAACUAAAGUUAAUAACCGGACCAAUUCACAUGAAAAUGCCAAUAAUCAUUCCCUAUGCCUAGGAAAGUUAACCAAAAAUUAUAAGAGUAAAACAAUCAUUGAUAUUCACCCAAGAGAUGUUUUUGGAUUACCACAUUAACUUGGUACCCCUUUAUUAUUAAAACUUGGCAAAAGUAGAAAUAGAAGCAAUAAUCCAACAUCAAACCCUGGCAUGCACUUACGAGCCAAUCACUAAAAAGAAGAAAAAAUGAACGAGAGGUGGACAAAUAACAAACUAAAAAUAAAGAACUAGUAUAGCCGUCCCCCCCACACCUAGAUUCUACAUUGUCCUCAAUGGAGGAAUUAAAGCAAUUAAAGUGAAGAGGACAACGAAACUUCCCUCUUUGAGUGGCCACGAGGUAGGCGGGGACGGUGGAGGAAACCAAUGUGGUGGAAGUACGCGCCCAAGUUCUGAGACAUCAUACUCAAUUCAACCAGCAAAUGCAAAACUCUGUCCACCCAAAAUCUCAACAAAUAGCUCCAGUUGGCCAGUUAAUGCCUUAACUCAGAAUCAGCAAUUUCAACAUUGAGAGUUUAGGUAUUUGACAAUAACAAUUCAGUCACAAGUUCUUGGCUGUCAAUUAGACAGCCAAUCAGAUAGAAUUACCAAAUCUAGUCAAAAUACCCCAACCAGUACCAUUGGUGCACCCCACAGAUAAUGAAGCAACUUAAAUGGCAAACCCAAUCAACAAAAUGUACAUGUGAGGCACCCAAGGUCUAUACAAAUGUCCCAACAAAGCAGCGAUUGCAAUCAAUAAUCAGUAGUGGUCCUAAUUUACUCAAAUGCAGAAUUAAUGCAGCCCAACAAUUCAAUUGGAUGUACCCAACCUUGACAAGCAAAGCAAGUGGCACAGGUUUCCCAAGUCAACAGGCAAUUCAGAGAUAACUCAACCGAAAUCACAGUAGAAACUUCAAUUAAAUACACUCAACAUGAAUAAGCCAAGCAAGUGUCAUAGAAACUCCCCAAUUCAACAAGCAAUCACAGUAUUUCAGCUCACCCAAAAACUCAACAAUUCCACCCAAAAGUUGAACAAAGGCCCCCAGCACUGACCCGUAGCAGGAGCCCCAAGAAGUGAACAAAUCAAGCAAUAGUAUUGGAAAACUCUGACAUUAACAACUGAAUCUCAAACUUCCAGCUUCCAAUCAGUUAGCCAAUAGAGUAGAAUUAAUCUAGUGGAGUCAAAACACCCAUAGAGUUGAUGAAACAAUUCUAACGGCUGACCCAAAGUAAUGAAAACUCCAACUUACAGUCAAAAGUAAACUCGGUCCAACUAAAAUUUCAACAAAUAUCCCCAGAAAUUUCAACAAAUGCUAUAGCAGAUCAAAGCAGUAGUAAAGCAAUAGUCCCAAGUAUGUACUAAUCCACCAGUUGGGAACCCCGGCCACUGAGGUCACAAACAAUGGUCCCAAAAAUAGCAAUAUUAACCAAUCAUCAGGAUGUGCCCAACAAUUAAACGAAAUUCUACCACCCUCACCAAGCAAAUCAAGCAGCACAGGCUCCCGAUUCAACAAACAAAAAAACAGGAUUAAUCAACUCAAAGUCCCAACAGAGAGUUCAAUUGAUUCCAAUCAUCAAUCCCAGCAACAUACGUUCCAAAUAAGCAAGCGGGUGUUAAGGAGAGGAGGUACCAAAUUUCAAUUUCAGUUACUCCACCAGUACCACUGGUGUAGCAAAUAAUGGAAGAGGAAUCGCACACGACCAAUACCAAAUCACCGGUAAACCAAAAUAACAACUAACACUGCCAACACUUGAGAAUCGUAACAAUCAAAACACAAGCAAAGCUGCCUCCCAAUGAGCAAAUGACAAUUCACAAAUCCAGCCCACCCAAAAACUCGACAAAUGUACCCAAAAGUUCAACAAAUAUUCUCAAGAGUAUGGCAAACUAGGAAUGAACGAGAUCUGGGUCAAAUAUCACAACCAGUACCACUGGUUUACCACACAAUUGAAGAAAUAACCCCCAACGGCCAACAAUACCAAUUAUUGAGAAACCAGACAGCACCAAUGAAUAUUAAGAAAUUGGGGAAUAAAUUCCAAAUACCUCCACCGAAGAGAGUAGCGUGCGAGGUUGGCUGGGGCUGUUGGCAGCGUCCAAGUGCUUCGGUGGCGGCGUUGGCUCGCGAUGGAGUUGCGACGGAGCUGGCUAUACGAGCAGAGAGGGACCAGCGAACUAGAGUGGCGCGCGCAGACAGCGGAGGGAACUUCAGCAGCGGCUGCGGUGGAGAGGCGGGUGAGCUGUGAUGGCGGCGCGAGGGAGAUGGGCGGCGCUGCUGCGGUGAGAUCGAGCUGGUGGUGGCGCAAUCUGGCGUGCGGUGGUGGAGCUUCGUGCGCAGAGCAGCUGGGUUGCGCGCGAGGUAGAGCUCGGGUGGAGGUGGCGGCGGUAGCUCACGGUGGAGCUGUGGGCAGAGUGAGGGCCGCAAGGAGAGAGAGAGAGAUGGGAGGGGUUGCGGUUGAAACGAGGGUCGGCGGCGUCGCGCGUCGAGGUGGAGUGGCUUGCGGCGCGACGCUGGUCGCGCGAGGGGGUGUCGAUAGAGCUAUGGUGGAGAGAGGGAGGCGCGCGAGGGAGUCUCGGUCGACCCAGAGGAGAACUGGGGAGAGGAAAGAAAGAAGGAAGAAGAAGAAAGAAAGAAAGAAAAAGAAGGAAAAAGAAAAGUUUUUAUUUUUUUUUUUCAGGGAAAGACUCCCCUUUUUUUUUUCUCCUUGUUACUUACUUGAAAAAAAUUUUUUUUUUUUAAAAAUUUUUUUUCAUAUAUCAUCUUUUUUUUUUAUUGACAAAAUUUAUUUUUGGAAUUCAAAAGUAGAGAUUAACAGGAAAUCAAUAAUCGUUCUUGAGUUUCUUUGAAUACUUACCUUUCCCAUGAACGUGACGCGGGCGCGUCAUGAGGGCAAGAGAGCUCCCAGAAGUUUCUGGUCGGGAGCUUCAUGCACGUCACCACGCGGGCGCGUCAUGACUGAAGGGCACCUAUAAAUCAGCAAAAACGAAAACUGAAACCCAAAAUCAGUCGAAUUCAAGGAGAGCACAUCUAAACUACCACACGAAAAUGAACAAACAAUUAAAAGGAACAAUUGGGUUGCCUCCCAAGGAGCGCCUUUCUUUAAUGUCUUUGGCUAGACAUUAUCGUGUUUUGCUCAUGGAGGAUAAAAUCUUGUGGCUCGUCUUACUGCUUCAUCCUCUAUAUAGUCCCGAUAACCCUCGUAAAUAGAAUAAUCCUUGAGCACACGAGCUACGGGCUUCCAUGGACUAGUGAAUGACGCCAAACGAGUCGAUGAUAAUUUACAUUCUCCAUUCGCUCCUCCCCCACUUGCAUUUAUUGGUUCAAGAUAUCUCACCAUCGCCACUCUUAAUUUAUUCCUGUCAUGAAAUUCAAAAUUGUCUGGUAUAAUAAAGUCAAUUUCGUUAACAGGAAUUGAAGAGUAAGAGUCAGGAGAAUAUUGAUGAAGGAGUGGAGGAGAUGUCACCGCAUUUGGAGAUUGUUCACUGGAUUCUUUCACUUGAAUGGGUUGCGGUUGGGGUUCCAUUUCUUCUUUUUCAGCUUCUUUUUCAACUGCAUCUGUAGAUUUCUCAUUUUGACACUCUUGCAUCUCCUCAUCACUAGUCAAGCAAAUUGCACUCUCACUUUCUUCUAGAUCAACAAUGGUUUUCGAGGGCAAUUCUUCCAUUUAAGAAGCCAAUUGAUUCAUUCUGGAUGUCAAUAGGCAUAGUUGAUCUGCCAGAUAACUCAUUGCAUCUUUCGUCAUCUCAUUCCUCAUUUGUGUCUCCUGUUGGAAUUUGUAUGUAUUAAUAAAUAAUUCACCCAAUUCCUGAAAAGACAUACCUGACAUGGACGAUGGUUGUUGAGACUCUUGCUGUUGAAAAUCCAUUGGCCCUGUUGUAUAAUCAUAACUGGAGUUAUCCCACCAUCCUUGAUCAUACCCGUUUGGAUUAGAGUUAUACCACGUUUGAGACCAGGGUGAAAAAUCUCCAUAAUUUUUGAGUGGGACACUCAGAUUAUCCUGAUAUUCGGGGCACAUACCUGUUGAAUGAUCCCUGGCAUAACAAAUUUUACAGGUUGCAGCAGCCAUUCUUUUUCUAAUAGAUUUUAGUGCCUCUGUAUAUGCAAACUCAGGAAAAAAACAAAUCUCAUCGCCUUGCCCGGAAAUAAAAUCCAAUACAUCACCAAAAUACGGAGUGUUAGAAGCCAUGAACUAUAUCAAAAAAAAAAUAAGAGAAAAAAUAAAUAAAAAAUGAAAACAAAAUGAACUCAAAAGGAAACAAAUUAAUCUGACACCAGUCCCCGGCAACGGCGCCAAAAAUUGACAGGUGCCGAACCUGUGCAAUAAUAAAUACCUGCUCAAACUAAAAAUAAUUUCUGUAGAUAGUGGUGAGUAGGGUCGAAUCCACAAGGACUGGGAGUAAUUGUUUCUUUCCAAGUUCACAAUGACAAGGGGGUGUUUUUGUGCAGAAAGUGACAAUCAAACAAAUUCAAAUAAAAUCUAAGAAACUACUAAAAAUUAAAUAACAAAUUACUAAAAUCAAAUGAAUGAUAAUUAAGAAUCUAGCCAAGGAAUAACUUCAGCAAGGAAGCGCUUGUAUCACGUUAUUCAUGUGACUGGAUGGCUUAUAUCUUGUAUAGUUUAGAUUUGGACUCAUUUGUGUAAUAGUUGGGCCAGUGUGACUGUUUGGAAUUGAAGUGGAUGUAUGUGUACGUUCCACGCUUAGAAUUAGUUUCCGCUUCGCUUAUGAUAUGUUAAUUUGAGGAACAUUUGAUGUAUAUUUGGGAUGUAUAUUGUAUUUGAAUUGAGGAUUGUAGUGAGUGAGUGAGUCCGGCGAGAGCUGGGCAGGCGGUCCGCCGAACUCUUUGGUUCGCCUUAGGGUGAGGUGGGGCCGUCACAGUUGGUAUCAGAGCUUAGGUUUCCGAUCUCUGUAGUGUAUCCUAGGCUUCAAGUUUAGGAUGCCGGACGGGUCUGAUGAAAUAUCAGUGAUUUCUUGUAGGAAUGAAAAUCAGACAAGUGGGAUUAGGCUUGCUUGGAAAUGGUUGUUUGACUUUUGCGGGAUCUCUUGACUUGAUUCGUACAAGUUGGAAUGUCGAGGACGACAUUCUUUUAAGGAGGGGAGAUUGUGAUACCCGAAUUUUAGGACAAUGUUUUUCCCUCUUCUUUUAAAAUUUCGAUUUCUUUCUUUUGUCUUGUUUUAACACAUUGUUUUUUUAAUUGGACACUUUAAAUUUAAAUCAAAACCUAGUUUUUACUUGUGAUUAACCGUUUUCUCAAAUUUCUCAUAUUUCAACCGAAACCCUAAAUUCAAUUUAUGGAAUUGUAAAAUCCCUCACGUUUUUCUUAAAAAUCCCCUUUUAAUUGGAAAUUAUGAUUUUAUAAUAGCCCUACCACCCAAUCACCCCAUAAUAAGUGCAAAUGAACAUGAAAGUAAAGGUUUUCCCUUUUCGUUUUUAAAUUAGCGCGAAUUAGGGUUUUCACGUUUUUCCGUAGUGUGACUAUUAGGUACGGAGUGAGGAUCAAAAUUGGUGAGUAAAAGCGACUUUUGAAUGCGAAAAAUAUUAUAUGAUUAGAAGUGAUAAUAAUAAGUUAGUGAUUUUAAGUUAAAACUCUAGUAUACGCGAUUAAAGUAUUUCCUUGACUUAGUAUUAUUUUAUUUCGCCACAUACUUUAUCUCCAAAUAUUAUUUUUCAUGUGGUUAGGACUUUACAUGAGAGUUAAGGGUGAUAGUAAGAUAAGGGAAAGAAUUGGAGGAUAGGAGCAUGAUUUGGCAAAGAUUAGUGAGAGAAUGGCCAAGAUGGUGCCAAGUGGCAAGACACCAACCAUGCAACUUAUUUGACCAAAGAAUUUGAUGAAUUAAAACCAUUUUUUUGCUCCAUUUCCUUCAUAAGCUGGCCGGCCAUCUUGGAGCAGCAAAGGAGAAGAAGAAACUCCAUUUUCUUGCUUUUUACUCUUAGUUUAAUCUUAGGAAAAAAAAUCAAAAGUGAAGGAGUGAGUUAGUGAGUGAAAUCCAUCCAACUCUAGUGUGUGAUCUUCAAGCCUUGAAUUUUUGGUUGGUGGUAGUUUUGGGUGACUUAAUCAACUUGUAAGAGAGGUAUGUGAUCUUUAAUCCUUGCUUUUAUGGUGUUAUAUUAAGUAUUUAAAGGUUUGAGGCUAAACUAGAAGUUGUAUGGAUGCUUCCUAUGGCUAAAUCUCUUGAAUUAGUGAAGUGGUAGUUGGGUUGGUUAAGUGGCCUACCAUGUGUUUGAUUAAUUGUUAAAGCUUUGGUUAAGUGGCUCCCAAACCAACUCAUUUGUCGAGCUUGAUCACUGGUUGACCCUUGAGAUCCUGAGCCACGCAGCUCGCUUCUCUUAAAGGAUCCCACAUAGAGAGGCCAUGAGUCUCAGCUCAAGUCACGAGCAAUAAGUGCUCUAAAAUAUUUUUUUCAAGCAAUAAAUGCUUUAAAAUCGUAGUUCAAGCAAUAAAUGCUCUAGUUUAAGCAAUAAAUACUCCCAAAUUGCGUCACAAGCAAUAAAUGCUCCGCAAAUGUUUCACAAGCAAUAAAUGCUCCAUAACAAAUCACAAAAUCAUAUUUCACAGGUAUCAAUAGUAACUAAGGGGUUUUGAUCGAGUGCGAUAAAGUACACCCUCGCCUAAGUGCUCAUUUUUCAUAGUAAACUCAUAUUAGUAUUGAGUUACACAGAAACCCUGAUUACUCACCUAAAGAGCAAGUAUAACGAGAGAAAGUACGGAAAUGAAUUCAAGUCGUCAGUUAGUGGGCCCCACCGGCUCCGUCUAGCCCGUCACCGCCUGUAGCAGAAGGUUGAGCCAUAUCAUCACACAAACAACUACUAAAGUGCAUAAAUUAAGCAAAACGGCAAAAUUGGCACAUGCAUGUGCGGAAUCGGCAAACAGAAAUGGAAACGGCCGGCAAACGAAAAUGGGCAUAGUUACUGUCCCAAACUGUUUUGACCAUAAGUUGGGUUAGGAAUGUCAGAUUAAAGUGUAUGAGAUACCGUUGCGAGGCUAAGAGGAAGGGCUACAAUUUUCAUGAAGACACCUUAAUCUCGAUCUGAAUGGUAGCAGGUCGAAAUUAUGGAGAACAGUACCAGAAGUUUGCACUUUAGGGUGACGGACAAGGUAUGUUUGCCGAACCAUAACUCACAGCUCACAAACCCAAAUCAAGAAAUUCCCAAGGAAUUGGAAAGCUAAGACAUAAGGCUAAAACUUUUAUGUUUUGGCCAAGACCUGGAUCAACUCAGAACAGAAUGAAAAAUGAGUGCCAAAUUACCUGUCAGAACUGUCCAGUGUUCAAGGCAGUUCUGACUCACGAUCUUGUUUUGGCUAUAACGGGAGCUACGAAGCUCGGAUUUGGACGCACUUUAUACCGUUUUGAAUCUGAAACAAAGCCCUACAUUUCUUAUGAAGACACCAACACCCAGUUCCAUCGUUAUCCAUGCGAACUAAGCAUGGUCAGAAGCUAAUUUACAAAAUGUGACCAAACUAGAAUUUGAAAGCUGAGUGAGGGUUUUGGCUAUAACUCAGCCUACACACUUCCGUUUGAAAUUUUCCGUAUUUAGCUACAAUUUACGCACUAAAGCUUCAUUCUAGACUAUCCCAAGCCAUCAUCCAUGGCCACACAAUUUAAAACAUAUAAAAACAGAAAAAUCAAGAAUAAAUAUAAAAUUCAUCAAAGCUUCACUUCCAACCAUAACACACCAUAAAUCAUCUUAUUUAUCCACCAAUGCCACUAAUUUACCACUAUUAAGAACAAAGAGAGGAUUUCCUCACAACUCACCUUACAACUUAAGAAAGAUAGCAACUUAGCACUCCCUCUUGCCAAAUCACUCCACCAACCACUUCAAUACCACUUAGCAAAGGGAUUUUAUGGAGAGUUUUGGAGUAUAAACGGUUAAGUUGUGAGAUUGGGCAAGAUUAAGAAGAAGGAAGUUGGAGAUUUUUUUUCUCUUUCUUUGCUCAAGAAGUUCGGCCAAGGGGAGGAAAAAAAUGAAGAUGUUUUUAGUCAAUUUUUUGGUUAAAUGGUAAAGUAAGAAAGUUGGUCAAACCAUCCUCAAGUCACAAGGUGACACUUGUCACCCCUUUUUGUUUGAACUUAUCCUUUUGUCUUCCAAGGUUAAUCCCUCUAUGCAUCCUCUAAUUGGCUCAUAAUACCAUGUAAUAUAAGCUCUGUCUAUAUAACUUAACCUAAUUGGCCGCAUUUUAUCAAACUUACCGCACUAGUGGGUCCCACAACCGGUAUACGCUCUUAAUUUCUCAAAAACUAAUUAAUACUAGAAAAAUAAUUUUAAACUACAUUUACUCAUAAAAAUUAUCUAGAAAAUUUUCCUAAUAAAGAAAAUAUAGAAAAGGCAUGCAAUUAAAUAAAAUAAAGUCUAGAAAAUAAGAAAAUCCGCGGGUUCUCACACUCUCUCCCCCUUAAAAGAAUUUCGUCCUCGAAAUUCCUUAUCAUCGCCUUCUCCGGGAUACAAAAAUUUUACUACUUCCUUCUCACGAUUAAAUUGAGCAUCAUACUUAGCUAUCACUGGCCAGGCUCAUUAAAUUCUUUGGUAUAGUUUCUUCUUUCUUCCUAAAUUGUAAUUCUGAUAUACCAUUCUAAUGGGCAAACGGUGGAAUACCAGAAUCUUACCUUCCACGUCCUCUAAUGGGUCAGAGACUUGAUGUUGUUCUAAGGAGUACACCCGAGCUGACACUUUCGAUCCAUUCUUGUCCCCCUUCGACUGGUCAGGGUUGGUCGUGGUUGGCUGUUGGCUCCUACUCCCUUCUCGAGAUUGGCCUGGGCAACUUGCGAUUUGAUGAUCUGCGUUCCCACAACGCAGACACUUUCUUCCUUUCUUCCAGCAGACAUCCUCCGUGUGAUUCGACUUCCCACAGUACCCGCAGGGACCACGAGAAGCGGAGACUAAGCCUCUCUGUGAGGCACCACUUGAUAUCCUCGGUAAUUGUACUCCCCCGUUUCCCCUUCCAAUCUUAGGAGGCGUACCCUUAUCCCCUUGCUCUGAGCUACUUCCAGGAAAUCCCCUUUUCUUAGCUUGAAAGUUUCUAACUUGAAAUCUCGCGCUUUCAACUCGUUGAGCUUUCUCCACCGCAUCACUAAAGGUAUUGAGUUGGGCUACAGCCAGGUCCUUCUGAAUCUCAACGUUUAAUCCUUGGACAAAACGCCUUAUCCUCAUUUGCUCAGUCACAAUUAUCUCGGGAGCGAACUUGGACAACCUGGUGAACUGGCUCUCAUAUUCGGCGACGGUUUGAGUUCCCUGGCGGAGCCUAAUGAACUCAUCUUCUUUCUUUUCCUGGAUCAGAGGUGGAAAAUACUUCGUGUUGAACUCUCUCAUGAAAUUCACCCACGUCCUUGGGGUUUGUUCUCUUUCCCAUUUCAGUCUUAUGAUAUUCCACCAAGAACGGGCUGCUCCCUCCAGUUGGAAGACAGCAAAUAUGACCUAUCGCUCCUCAGUAUAAUGUAACGUGGUAAAUAUAUCAAUCAUCUUCUCUAGCCAUCUCUCGGCCACGUCAGGGUCUGGUCCUCCCAGGAAUUUCGGUGGCGAGAACUUCUGAAAUCUUUCGAGAGCUUUAUCCUCACCCUCUAUGUGAUUACCAGGGUUUCCCGACUGAUGAUUAGGAUUUUGGCCCUGAUGUUCUACUACGUGAGCCAAAAGGUCAGUCAUACGUUGGAUAGCAGCAGCCACUUAAAUGCUAGGAUCCAUUCCAGGUGUUGGUUCCCAGUUUUCUCCUUCAUUUGAGAUUCCACGCCUCCGGCCCCGUCCACUACGAGUACCCUCCAUUUGACUUAACCAGUCUAGGGUUGAAGCGCGAAUACCAUAUUAAAACAAAGUAUGCAGGUACAAGUAAUUAAAGCAGACAUUAUACAUAUAGCAUAUCUUUAGCAGAUAAAUCACACAGUAACAGUCAGUCAGAUACAAGCAGAAGGAAUCGCAUGAAAGUCAUUAAAAGAACUAUAUACUAACUAGGCCAAUGGUACACAAGCGACCAACCAACAGCUUUCUCUCUCUAGGCUCCGUCCACAAUCAUCCCUAGGCAGGGUCAAUCAUCCUUAAUGAUACCCUAACAUAUCAUAUCAAGUUCCGUAGAAUCAGAUUUCUAAUUCGCCCAAGUCAUUUCUAACUACGCUUUCAUCCCUUUUCGUAUUCAGGCACAAGAAUCCAAAAUAAGAUAAUUCACCACUCGAACUGGCCAGUCCCAAAGUAAAUCAUCUACAUUUGUAAUUCCUACCUGACAUACGUAUCUAUAGUCUCCAAGUACCAGAAUAAUGUUUUGAACCCUAUAAUACACCGUGAUUCAUAGCUUAUGCUCAAAAGAGUACUUAGUCCCUUAAACUCAUUCACAUGAGCGAGACCACAACACCACUUGGCUCCAAGCUCACUCUACGCAGAGACCACACGAAGCGGCUCUGAUACCACCUGUGACAGCCCCACCUCACCCUAAGGCGAACCAAAGGGUUUGGCGGACCGCCUGACCAGCUCUCGCCGGGACUAUGGAUCCGAAACAGACAUAAACCCUUCCAAACGCUCAAAGAACUUCAAAAGGUAACAUCCAGAACCAAAUGAGCCAAAGUAAAAGAUACAAUCAAUCUUUGGUACAGCAUUCCCACGAAAAUCAAAACGAAAUGGAAGAGCCGCCGCUACAUCACAAUCCAUCCCAGUACCAGUACACUUUGUUAGAAUGUACGUGCCCAAAUAUAUGUCACAUAAACAUGAGGAAACACUUCAAAAUAUACAUAGUAGUAAGUUUACAAACCAAAAGGAAACAUUGUAUUAAGAUACAUUUAGGGUUUCCAACUUCCACGGAGCUAUACAAAAGGGUGUUUAUACAAGCUUAAUUCAUUCUUCAAAAUGAUCAUUGGUCCAAAAGAUGGUUCCCUGUAAGGAAAACAAGGAUAACGGGACGGGGUGAGCUAAAAGCUCAAUGAGGUACCAAAAGUAUAAACGGUAGGAACAGUAGAACUCAUGAAAAAUCACUUUUAAGGCACAUAUUCACAUCAAAUACAAGAGAUGAAAGAACACCACAAUGUAAAGGAUACAGGUGGCUCUCAGGAGCCAAAUCCCCGUUGCAAUACUUGAUCCAGCCUCAUUGACCCUCCGUCAACGUUCAAAUGAAGGAACCAGUCCCGUAGAACACCACUUUAACGCCAAAAUCCCGUUCACCAAACAUACCCCUUACCGGGCUCGAACGCCAAACAGGAACAGGAAUGGUAAUACUCGAGUAUACCGGAAUCAAGAGUCUUAAUACCCAAAGAUUUCCCAGGAACAGGCACCCAUGGAUUGUCAAUUAUCUCGACCAAACCCUUGCUAGCUCGAUUUAAUUAACUCCCCAUGAGGUUGAGCUCAAGUUAAUAGGAAAAUCGUUGGACACACUUCCAAAUGAUCUCAUAACAAGCGCAAGUAACAAGUUCAAGUUCAUAACAAGUACAGGUAAGAGAUUCCAGGUCAUUCAGUUCAGGCAAGAGAAUGAGUGUGAUAAAGUACACCCUCGUCUCAUUCAGAAUAACAGAAUUCAUAGUUAUCCAUGUCACACAUUUCAAGUAUAGAUGAACCAAUCAAACAACAAUUCAGGGGAGUGGUACACUCACCUAUUAAGGCGAAAUAACGUCCAGAAUAUCUUUCCGGGUAACACUUUCAAUCACCGAUGAACCCUAAGGUUAAUCAAGAGAAAAUAUUACAGUUCCUCCAGCAAAAGUUAGGUGAAUCGAAGACAAUUCAAAUACUACAAGUAUUUUGGACAUAUGAUUUUGGAAGUGAAAAGAGUACAUUUAAACCAAAGGACAUGAGUAAAAUAUUUGGAAAACUCAUGCUCACUCGUAAAACUUUGAAAUAUCCAUUUGAGUCGAAGAAAUGAAGAAAACGUAUUUCUCUUAGUCAUAAAUUUCAUUUUUUCCAAGUGUACAAGUUUCGGCCAGAUUCGACCAUAUAUACAUCGAUAAAAGAGGACGCAAAUAUCCUAGAUGGUUCAUAUGGUAUUUGCUCUCAAAUCGUUACCUAAUCCUCGAGUGUAAAUUUGGGCAGCACGCCCUUUGUAUUUACCUAUUUUCCAGCCACUUAUGGCUUCAUUAUUUUCCUCAAUCAAUCCAAAGUCAUACACAACAUAAAUUCAUCACAACAGCCGUUCAAUAGGCUCAAAGUCAUCCAAGUACAAGAUUUAGUUAGGAAAAUGACCGGAAAUAAGCUUUAAGCUAAGGAACCAAAAAGGCAGAUUCGCCGCUACUUAGCGUAUCCGACAUAACCGAAACUACGCUUAUUGGAUUGAAGUAAAAAUUAUACCGUUUCGAAGCUAAGACAGAGGUCUAUAAUUUUGAUGAAGACUACUUAGUCCAGUUCUCAUUCUAACUAGGUCAAAGUUACCAAAACAACCCCAGAUUUUCCAGUUCGAAGCUCACUGUGAAAUUCAACUAGCAGUCCUGAUUCAUUCAAUCAUAUCUCAUCACAAACAACUCCGAUUCAGGUAAUUCCAAAUCCAUUUGAAAGCUAAGAUACAAGGCUAUAAUUCUUAAGAAGACAUCGACAACCAAAUCAGUAGUAUUCCUGGUCAAACUAACCAAUUACAGAAGCUGAUUAUCAGUUUCGGAUAGAAACAGGGAAGCAGGGGUAUUUCGGUCUUUUCAUAGGCUACAGAGGUCGGAUUGGGCUGAAUUUUGCAGGAAACUAUAAAACAUCAUUCUCUAAAACUUUCAUGUUUUAAUCUAAGCCUGAUUCGGCCUCUAACUAGGGUAACAGUACCGGCAAAAUAGGGGAAAUUGAAACCCUAAUCUGGAAUUUUCCGCACAACAUGGAAAUUUUCCGCAUUUAGCUACAAUUUACGCACUAAAGCUUCAUUCUAAACUAUCCCAAGCCAUCAUCCAUGGCCACACAAUAUAAAACAUAUAAAAAUAGAAAAAUCAAGAAUAAAUAUAAAAUUCAUCAAAGCUUCACUUCCAACCAUAAACACACCAUAAAUCAUCUUAUUUAGCCACCAAUGCCACUAAUUUACCACUAUUAAGAACAAAGAGAGGAUUUCUUCACAACUCACCUUACAACUUAAGAAAGAUAGCAACUUAGCACUUCCUCUUGCCAAAUCACUCCACCAACACACUUCAAUACCACUUAGCAAAGGGAUUUUAUGGAGAGCUUUUUAUGUGUGCACGAGCCUCGCCCACGCAAUGACCCAGUCCGAGUCCCAUUCGACCCAGUCACACGUGCACGGGCCAAGCUCUUCAAAGAAUCACUCCAAGCUCUGGUUGGAGUUGUCCAAGACCAACAUGGAGUUCACAAAGAUAUUGAGGGUUUGGAGAGAGACAAUCGAGUCAUUUACACCAUGAUCCAAGCCCAUGAGGAGUCAAAGCGGGCCACCAAGAGAAUAAGGCCUUAGGCCCCAUCAAUUAGUUAGCAAUUAGUUAAUGAUUAAGUAAGAGCAUGGGCCGGCCCAUCUUGUUCCAAGAGCAUGGGCCAAUUUUUUCCUUUUCCUAGCCCUCUAGGGUUUUAGUCACUUUAGCCUAUAAAUAAGCUUGCUUUGUAAGGUUUAAGGGGUCAGAACUUUCAUCAAUAAAAUUGUUUUAUUUUCGUUCCUUCUUCUAAGAAGAGUGUUCGAGCCUUUUACUUGCUUUGGCAAGGGUUUUGAGCAAUCUUGCGUCUCGUCCUAGAUUGUUCUACCGACCUAUCCCGUGGAGUAGCCACCUUCAUUGGAGUCGUCGUUCUAACCGUCUUGAAUCAAAUCGUGUCGUCCGUUUGGUUCUAGAUCCCGCAAUUCAAGCGUUGACAACCUCGCUAGAUCCUUGGGCAAACGUGCUACGUGUCUCGAAACAAGUUGAUCGAGAAACGUAUCAGUUGGCUUCAGAGCUUAGGUUGAGGUAUCUUUCGUUAUACCCAUUGUUUUUUUGGUUAGUUUUCGUGUUUUCCGCUGCCUUGUCUUACAUCAAAAAAAAAAAAUUCUGUUCGUUUAAGUUGUUAUUCUUGUUGCACCGUUUUCGUUAAAAAAAAGGAGAACAAAAUUCUGUUUGUGUCGUUUGUGUUCUUGUCGUUGAGUCUUGCUUUAAUCUGUCCGCAAUUUUGUUCUUGGAGUCGUUGUUGCGUAACAUUCUGGCCGUAAGUGUUGCUCCUUGUUUGUGUCCAAUCUGUCCGUAUCUGUGUUGUGUCCCUUCAAAAAAAAAAAAAACAGCAAAACAGAAAUUUCUGUCCGUUAGUUGUUUCUUCCAUUGUAGCGUCGCGUAUUGUUCCAAUGCUGUCCGCAACUUGCUUGUUGUGUUGCAUCGUAGUUGUUUGCAAAUCUGCCCAAAGUUCAAGUCGCGCGUAGUGGAUACCCCAAUCUGCCGUGGUCAUCAAGGAACAAAAGUUCUAGGGGGCGGCUAGGGUUUCUAUCCUUGCGGCUAGGGUUUUGUUGUUUGUCUCAAAUCUGUCCAAGUGUUAUGUGUUUCGCCCAAGUUGUUUUUAGUUAGUUUUCUAAACUGAUUUAUGGUUUAAAACUGGUUGGUGUUGUGAAUCUUGAAGGAAAAUUACAAGAAUUCUAGGUUUCUUGAGUUUCUUGAAAUUAAUCUUGAAGCUCUUGAAAGUUCUUGAUAAGAUCUUGGAGUUUGGGGCUGACCAGAUUUGAUUUUGUUAUUUCGGCCAAGUUGUUGGAUUGUUCUUGGGUUAAAAAAAAAAGAAAAAGAAAGGAGAAACGGAAGAGAAAAGAGAAAGGCAGUCGGGUAGCAAGAAAACCAAGAAGGAAAACCGCACUUUCUAUUGCCCAAAUCUGUCUUAUUGCAUCUUAUACCACCCAAACCAGAAAUUACAUCAAGAAGGAGAAAAACAAAACAAAACAAAAAAGAAAAGAAAUUCAAAAGUUUUGACCUACUCUUCUUGAAAUUCUUGAUCACUUGAACAACCCUUUCUUGAGGUUCUUGAUCAUCUUGAGCCUUAAAGACUUGCACCUCCCUUCGAAUAAAAAGUUUUUUGUACGCUCUCGCAUCCAUACGUGGUUUUCUUGGCUUAGGAAUAAACUUCUGGGAGGAGCCUUGAGCAACUUGUGGGAGUGUAGUUUGCGUAAGGUCGCUUGAACUUUCUUGCCGCGAAGCCAUAGCCAAAUCUGUCUUGGUUAUCUAGUGAAGAAAGAGGGCCGAAUUACCUUGUCUUGAGGGAGGAAAGGGGGGCGGAUUUGUUGAGAAGAGAGUGCGGCUGGAGAGAGGAGUUUUAAUAAGAGAAUAGCCGACCUUGUGAGAGAAUUUUGGAGAGAGAAAGCUGGAAAUUUUCGGUUGGCAUAAGGGGACUCCAAAUCUGAUUUGCUAGCCUACUUGGGAGGGGAUUUGGAAGUUUCCAAAGGUUGUGCAAGAAAGGUUUUCCAAAGAGUUUUCAAAACCAACUUGUUUUCCAAAUCAAUUUAGGAAACUAAGUAAAAUACUUGGAUAGCUCCUUGUUCCGCUUGGACACUUCCCUAUUUUAUCUCUUUGCUUUAAGGAACCAUCCCUACUUUCCCUCCUAUGUUUUAGGAACCACUCCUACAUCUUAGGAAAUCUAGGGUUUCCUUCCUUAGCAAUAUUUCCAAAUCUUCCCGCCGCCCAUAACCUCUCAAUUUUCGUCCACUCCAUCUACAAAUCUCACCCGAAUUAAGUCUUGCAUUCUUGAAAACUCGUGUGGAUACAUUGGUGACGAUUAUUGGACUUGAGUAAGAUUUCUCAACUACCUAAUCCAACAGGUAAAGGUACUUGGUAAGUCUACUAAGAGUGUUUUGAGUGCUAUAAACGAGCGUGAGUGAUACACUAACGGAGUGAAGUGAGGACACAUUUGUACUAUUCUUUGUACUACUAACCUUUUGCAGGGCGUAAGGAGAGACAUGGAGCAAGAUCAACAACCACCUUCCAAAGACUAUUCUCUGUUGUUCACCGCCAUGAGGCAUGAGCUCAAACGCAUUAGUGAGCAACAAAUGGAGGAGUUGCACACCGCGGUUUGACGAACUCGCCAAGAGUCUCACCCCAGGCUCUCGUUCUGGAUCACGCAACCGGAGUAGCCGUGGCCUCAAAGGAGCACCCAGUGAGAACUACUCCACCAGUGAAUACGACGAGCAACCCGAGAAGCCUCGACGGGACAUGCCUAAGAACGAACUCAAGGGGCUUAAGAUUCAAGUCCCCGCAUUCAAAGGCAAAAGUGACCCUGAAGCUUACUUGGAGUGGGAAGGCCGUAUCGAGAUGGUCUUCGACUGCUACGAUUACAGCGAGGAACAAAAGGUUAAAGUUGCCACCGUGGAGUUCACCGACUAUGCACUAGUCUAGUGGGACCAAGUAAGAACCCAUAGGAGGAGGAUGGGCGAACCACGUUUCCGGACUUGGCGAGAACUCAAGGCACUGAUGCGCAAGCGAUUUGUUCCUAGCUACUACAAUCGCAAUCUCCACUCUAAGCUUCAAACCCUCACUCGAGGCAACAUGAGUGUGGAAGACUACUACAAAGAGAUCGAGAUGGCCAUGAUGAGGGCCAACAUUCAAGAGGACAAUGAAGCCACGAUGGCUAGGUUUCUUAGAGGUCUCAAUCCUGACCUUCAAGAAGCCUUGGAGCUCCAACAUUACUUGGACAUGCACGACCUUCUAGAACUCGCUAUUAAGGACGAGCGGGGGAAGAAAUCAAGACGAGGAGCACGAACUUUCCAAUCUUCUAACACCACUUCAUGGAGGGGCAACCAACCACGAAGAGUGACCCACGAAGUUGGAAGUGCAGCGACACAAACCUCUUCUAACCGAAUCCAAGGUAACGCCUCUAACCGCAAUUCCUAUUCUACCCCUAACAAGGUUUCCGAUCCAUCCAGGUCCACUUCGAAGGCACCGCAUGAGACUCCUAAGACUAGGAGUAGGGACAUCAAGUGCUUCAAAUGCCAAGGGUUUGGACAUAUUCAGUCUUAGUUUCCAAACCAACGGGUCAUGCUCAUCACUCACAAUGGCGAGAUCGUGUCUGAUGAUGACGAUUGUGAGGAGAUGCCCGAAUUGGUCAAAGACGACUGCCUGGAAGAAGAGUCAGCUGAGGAGGAUUGCUCGCCUACCUAAGGAGAAGUAGGGUGCUUGGUGGCACGACGAGUGCUAACAGCCCGAGUUAAGGAGGACGAGCAACUGCAACGCGAGAACCUGUUUUACACCCGCUGUAAGGUAGGAGACAAGGUGUGCAGCCUCAUCAUCGACGGUGGGAGUUGCACGAAUGUGGCAAGCCUACUCAUGGUUGAGAGCUUAGGGCUCCCCACUACUAAACAUCCACACCCUUAUCGCCUCCAAUGGCUGAGUGAGGAUGGAGAGGUACCGGUCUUCAAGCAGGUACGCGUUCUGUGACAGCCCCACCUCCCCCUAAGGCGAACCAAAGGGUUCGGCGCGCCUGCCCAGCUCUCACCGGGACUACGGAUCCGGAACGAGCGUAAACCCUACCAACCGCUCAAAGAACUUCGAGAAGAUAACAUUCAUUGUCCGAAACCCAACUAAGCACAACAACUUUAGAUAACCCUAGAAAAAACAUUUCCAAACCCAAUCAACUUAGGAACAUGGUUAAACACUUUUAUAUACACAUGGUUGCAAAUUUACAAUUCAAAAGGGAAUUGUUUGGUUAAAAUACAUUUAAGGUUUUCCAACCAUCGAGGAGCUAUACAAAAGAAUACUAAACUAGCUCAACUCAUGCUUCAAAACAUCAUAGUCUUCAAAAGGUGAUUUCCUGUAAGGAAAACAAGGAUAACGGAACGGGGUGAGCUAGAAGCUCAAUGAGGUACCAACAGUAUAAACAGUAGAUCAGUAGAAUUCAUGUGAAAGCACUUUGGAGGCACAUAUUCACAUAAAAUACGAGAAAUGAAAGAAUAUCACAAUGUAAAGGAUACAGGUGGCUCUCAGGAGCUAAAUCCCCGUUGCUAUACUUGAUCCAGUCUUGUUGACCCUCCGUCAACGUUCAAAUAAAGGAACCAGUCCAGUAGAUCACCACUUUUACGCCAAAACCCCGUACACCAAACAUACCCCUUACCGGGCCCGAACGCCAAACAGGAACAGGAAUGGUAAUACUCGAGUAUACCGGAAUCAAGAGUCUCAAUACCCAAAGAUUCCCCCAGGAACAGGCACCCAUGGUUUGGCAAUUAUCUCGACCAAGCCCUCGCUGGCUCGAUUUAAUUAACUCUCCAUGAGGUUGAGCUCAGGUUUAACAGGAAGGUCGUUGGAUACUCUUCCAAACGACAUCAUAACAAGUGCAAAUAAAAAGUUCAAGUACAUGACAAGUACAAGUAAUAGAUUCCAGUUUGUUCAGUACAGGCAAGAGAACGAGUGUGAUAAAGUACACCCUCGUCUCAUACAAGAUAAACAGUCAGGAAAGACAUUCAACUAGCAAUUGGCAAGUACAGGAAACCAAUUUAGCAAUAAUUCAGGGGAGUGGUACACUCACCAGUUCAAAUAAGGAUAACUUCAAAAGUUUCCUUCCCAAGUGUGGCUUUAAUCGUCGGCACCUCCAAGAACAAUCAAGGCAAACACUUAAGACUCUACUCCAAGACCUAGUAUGAAAUUCGCAAGUGAGACUCGGUUACGAGCCAUAUGCCUAGUCAAAAGAACCAUUAACGCAAAGCAAAGAGGUGACCUCGGAGUGAAAAGGUAACAAUUAGUCUUAAAAGCAUGAACAACCUCAAAGCCCUACCUACAAUGACUGACCAAUUCCAAAUUUGAAGUAGAUAAUGAAAGCAAGAUCAAUACUAGGAAAACAGGAUUUUUCAGUUUCGCGCAACCCUAUAUGAAAAAUCAUAUCUCAAGUUUUGUAAGUCCAAAAUUAGUAAAAGUUAUACCGUUGGAAAAUACAUUCAAAGGGCUCUAACUUUCCAGAAAACAUCCUUAUAAGAUUCAGAACGCAAAUCAGUCAAAUUCAAGCUUCAAAUUGCUGCUUUAUCCAGUGAAAGACAGAACAGGUACAAUAUUUCAGUCAACUUUAGUUUUUGAGAAAUUAAGAGCGUAUACCGGACGUGGGACCCGCUAGUCGAAAAGUUGAAAAAAUUCGGCCCGUUAGGUUAGGUUUUGGAUACUGGGUUUAAUUUACCGGGUGUUAUGAGAUAAUUAGAGGUUGUUGUAUGGAUAAGAGUGGAGAGACAAAAGGAUAACCUAGCAUUAAAGAGAGGGACAAAUGUCACUUUGCUAUUGGACUUGGAAUUUGACCAUAAGACCAUCUUACCACCUUUACCAAAUAAUAAAACCAAAAACUUGGCCAAAAAUCCUCUUAUUUUUCCCUCUCUUGGCCGAAUUUCUUGGAGAACAAAAGAAAGAAAAGCUAUCAAAUUUUUUCUACUCAAUCUUGCUCAAUCUCACAACUUAACCGAUAAAACUUCAAAUCACUCCAUAAAAACCCUUAGCUAGGUGGUAGUGAAGUAAUAGGUGAAGUGGUUUGAAAGAUAGUGGUGUAAGUUGCUUCCUUUCUUGAGAUUUCAAGGUGAGUAGUCAAGAAAUUCCAUCUUUGGCUUUGAUAAUGAUAAAUUCAUGACUUGUGAAGGUUAGUGGAAAAUUUCUGGGUUUGAAGCAAAAAAUUCCAGAUUAGGGUUUCUAUGAAGCCUGUUCUGCCCGGUACUAUUUGACUAGGUUAGAGGCCGAAUUAGCCUUGGGUUAAAACAUGAAAGUUGUAGAGGAUGGUAUUUUAUAGUUUUUUGCAAAAUUUCAACUCAAUCGGAGCAACGUAGCCUGUGAAAAGACAGAAAUACCCCUGCUGCCCUGUUUAUGUCCAAACCUGCUAAUCCGCUUCUGUAAUUGGUUAGUUUGACCAGGAAUAUACUGAUUUGGUUGUGGGUGUCUUCUUAAGACUUAUAGCCUUGUAUCUUAUAACCAAAUCAGCGAGGGCUUGGUCGAGAUAUGUCAUAAACAAAUCCGGACUGAAUGAUUUGGUUGUCUGUAAAGCUUGUAUCUUAGCUUUCACAUGGCUUUGGAAUCACUUGAAUUGGAGUUGUAUAUGCUGAGAUAUGACUGAAUGAAUCCGGACUGCCACAGUAAACUUCGAAUUGGAAAAUCUGGGGUUAUUUUGGUAAAUUUGACUUAGAUACAUUGCAAACUGGACUGAGUGGCCUUCUUCAACAUUGUAGCCCUUUCUCUUAGCUUCGAAACGGUGUAAAUUACACCUCAAUCCGAUGAGGAUAGCUUCAGUUGUGUUAAUUCCGCUAAGCAACAGCAAAUCUGCCUUUUGUUUUCCAACCCAAACUUUGUUUCUGCAUAUGUCCUAGUUUGAUUUUUCACUUAUACACAUGGUUGCAAAUUUACAAUUCAAAAGGGAAUUGUUUGGUUAAAAUACAUUUAAGGUUUUCCAACCAUCGAGGAGCUAUACAAAAGAAUACUAAACUAGCUCAACUCAUGCUUCAAAACAUCAUAGUCUUUAAAAGGUGAUUUCCUGUAAGGAAAACAAGGAUAACGGAACGGGGUGAGCUAGAAGCUCAAUGAGGUACCAACAGUAUAAACAGUAGAAUCAGUAGAAUUCAUGUGAAAACACUUUGGAGGCACAUAUUCACAUCAAAUACGAGAAAUGAAUGAAUGUCACAAUGUAAAGGAUACAGGUGGCUCUCAGGAGCCAAAUCCCCGUUGCUAUACUUGAUCCAGUCUUGUUGACCCUCCGUCAACGUUCAAAUAAAGGAACCAAUCCAGUAGAUCACCACUUUAACGCCAAAACCCCGUACACCAAACAUACCCCUUACCGGGCCCGAACGCCAAACAGGAACAGGAAUGGUAAUACUCGAGUAUACCGGAAUCAAGAGUCUCAAUACCCAAAGAUUCCCCCAGGAACAGGCACCCAUGGUUCUUCCUUCCCAAAUUGCAAACAGUGGCAAAUGGUGGAAUCCCAGAAUCUUACCUUCCACGUCCUCAAAUGGGUCAGAGACUUGAUGUUGUUCUACUACGUGAGCCAAAAGGUCGGUCAUUCGUUGAAUGGCUGCGGCCACUUUUACGUUCGGAUCAACCCUAGGUUCAGGGUUUGGUUCAGACGUAGUUCCUCUUGUAUCCCCUUCAGUCGUGGGUUGUCUAAUUCCGCGACCACGACCACGUCCACUAUGGGUGCCUUCCAUAUCGCUUAACCAGUCUAGGGUUGGACCACGAAUAUGGUAUUAAAACCAAAGUAUGCAGGUGCAAAUGAUAAAAGUAGGCAAUAUACAUAUAACACAUCUAACACAAACAGAUCACACAGUAGCAGUCAAUUAGAUACAAGCAAAAGGAAACAUCCUUCAUGAUACUAACUAAGCUAAUGGUACAAGAGCAACCAACUAAAAACUGCCCUCUCUAGGGUUUCGGGCACAAUCUACAAGAAUAAUACAAUUUAUAUCUUAGGCAUGGUUAAUCAUCCGUAAUGAAACCCUAACACAUCACAUGACGUUCCAUAGAAUCGAAUUUCGAGUCCGCCCAAGUCAUUUCUAACCUCGGCUCUCAUCUAUUUAGUAGUCGGGUACCAGAAUCCCAAAAUAAGAUAAUUCACAACUCGGGCUGGCCAAUCCCAAGAGUAAUUCAUAUACAAUCGAGAUUCUUAUCUGACCUACAGAUCUACUAUCCCAAAGCACCAUGAUAAAGGUUUAAAACCUAUAACAUUUCAUGAUCCAAAGCUUAUGCUCAAAAGAGCACUUAAACAUUCGUACACAUUCACGAAAUUGGGACCAUAACACCACUUGGCACAAGCUCACUCCGCGCAGAGACCACGCGAAGCAGCUCUGAUACCACCUGUGACAGCCCCACCUCCCCCUAAGGCGAACCAAAGGGUUCGGCGGACCGCCUGCCCAGCUCUCGCCGGGACUACGGAUCCGGAACGAGCGUAAACCCUACCAACCGCUCAAAAGAACUUCGAGAAGAUAACAUUCACUGUCCGAAACCCAACCAAGCACAACAACUUUAGAUAACCCUAGAGGGUGUACUCUCCAUGAGGUUGAGCUCAGGUUUAACAGGAAGGUCGUUGGAUAUUCUUCCAAACGACAUCAUAACAAGUGCAAGUAACAAGUUCAAGUACAUGACAAGUACAAGUAAUAGAUUUCAGUUUGUUCAGUACAGGCAAGAGAAUGAGUGUGAUAAAGUACACCAUCGUCUCAUACAAGAUAAACAGUCAGGAAAGACAUUCAACUAGCAAUUGGCAAGUACAGGAAACCAGUUUAGCAAUAAUUCAGGAGAGUGGUACACUCACCAGUUCAAAUAAGGAUAACUUCAAAAGUUUCCUUCCCAAGUGUGGCUUUAAUCGUCGGCACCUCCUAGAACAAUCAAGGCAAACACUUAAGAGUCUACUCCAAGACCUAGUAUGGAAUUCGCAAGUGAGACUCGGUUACGAGCCAUAUGCCUAGUCAAAAGAACCAUUAAUGCAAAGCAAAGAGGUGACCUCGGAGUGAAAAGGUAACAAUUAGUCUUAAAAGCAUGAACAACCUCAAAGCCCUACCUACAAUGACUGACCAAUUCCAAAUUUGAAGUAGAUAAUGAAAGCAAGAUCAAUACUAGGAAAACAGGAUUUUCCAGUUUCGCGCAACCCUAUAUGAAAAAUCAUAUCUCAAGUUUUGUAAGUCCAAAAUUAGUAAAAGUUAUACCGUUGGAAAAUACAUUCAAAGGGUUCUAACUUUCCAGAAAACAUCCUUAUAAGAUUCAGAACGCAAGUCAGUCAAAUUCAAGCUUCAAAUUGCUGCUUUAUCCAGUGAAAGACAGAACAGGUACAAUAUUUCAGUCAACUUUGAAAAAUCACCAUAAAUGGUACAGACAUAAACAGGGUCCAAAAUUUAUACAGUUUAUAGCCCUAUGAAUCUAGUUUAAAACGCAAUAAAUGGAAUUCAAUUCCGACAUUCCUACAUCAAGAUAUAGCAAAUUUCCCGAGACUGUGCAGAAACUCCGCGAAAAUUUUGACAGCAUUUCCCUUGUCUUUCUUUACUUUCCAACCAAACCUCAACACCCACAAAUCACAAGCUAUCAAACACCUUUAAUUAGAGCCACCAUAAGGCUCGAAUACGAGUCAUAAACCAAAUCCACAUAUCACUAGAGUAAAAUCAUAUGGAACGCAUAAGUGAAAAAUCAAACUAGGACAUAUGCGGAAACGAAGUUUGGGUUGGAAAACAAAAGGCAGAUUUGCUGUUGCUUAGCGGAAUUAACACAACUGAAGCUAUCCUUGUCAAAUUGAGGUGUAACUUACACCGUUUCGAAGCUAAGAGAAAGGGUUACAACGUUGAAGAAGGCCACUCAGUCCAGUUUGCAAUGUAUCUAAGUCAAAUUUACCAAAACAACCCUAGAUUUUCCAAUUCGAAGUUUACUGUGGCAGUCCGGGUUCAUUCAGUCAUAUCUCAGCAUAUACAACUCCAAUUCAAGUGAUUCCAAAGCCAUUUGAAAGCUAAGAUACAAGGUUAUAAGUCUUAAGAAGAAACGGACAACCAAAUCAGUAGUAUUCCUGGUCAAACUAACCAAUUACAGAAGCGGAUUAGUAGGUUCGGACAUAAACAGGGCAGCAGGGGUAUUUCGGUCUUUUCACAGGUUACGUUGCUCCGAUUAAGUUGAAAUUUUGUAGGAAACUAUAAAAUACCAUCCUCUACAACUUUCAUGUUUUAACCCAAGGCUAAUUCAGCCUCUAACCUAGUCGAAUAGUACCGGGCAGAACAGGCUUCAUAGAAACCCUAAUCUGGAAUUUUUUGCUUCAAACCAGAAAUUUUUCACUAAUCAUUACAAUUAUCAUACCAAAGCUUCAUUCUAACCCAUACUAGACCAUCAUACAUGGCCAAACAACAUUAAACAUAUAAAAAUAGAAAAAUUUUGCAUAAAAUCAAAAAUUCAUCAAACACCACCAAAAGUCAUGAAAACCUCCACAAAAUCACCUAACUAACCUUCACAAGUCAUGAAUUUAUCAUUAUCAAAGCCAAAGAUGGAAUUUCUUGACUACUCACCUUGAAAUCUCAAGAAAGGAAGCAACUUACACCACUAUCUUUCAAACCACUUCACCUAUUACUUCACUACCACCUAGCUAAGGUUUUUAUGGAGUGAUUUGAAGUUUUAUCGGUUAAGUUGUGAGAUUGAGCAAGAUUGAGUAGAAGAAAUUUGAUAGCUUUUCUUUCUUUUGUUCUCCAAGAAAUUCGGCCAAGAGAGGGAAAAUUAAGAGGAUUUUUGGAAAAUUUUUUGGUAUUUAUUUGGUAAAUGUGGCAAGAUGGUCUUAUGGUCAAAUUCCAAGUCCAAUAGCAAAGUGACACUUGUCCCUCUCUGUAAUGCUAGGUUAUCCUUUUGUCUCUCCACUCUUAUCCAUACAACAACCUCUAAUUAUCUCAUAACACUCGUUAAAUUAAACCCAGUAUCCAAAACCUAACCUAACGGGCCGAAUUUUUCCGAACUUUUCGCACUAGCGGGUCCCACGUCCGGUAUACGCUCUUAAUUUCUCAAAAAUUAAUCGAUACUAGAAAAAUCAUUUAAAAACUAUAUUUACUCAUAAAAAUUAUUUUUAAAAUUUUUUUGAAUAAAGAAAAUGUGGAAAAACGUGCAAUUAAAAGAAAAUAAAACCUAGAAAUUCAGAAAAUUACGGGUCCUCACACGUUCCCUUUUCCAUUGGCACUUACACUGAUGAAGUUGUUUGUGACGUCGUGCCUAUGCACGCAACCCAUGUCAUCCUAGGGAGACCCUGGCAAUUUGACAAACACGUCACAUUCGACGGAAGGGCAAACAAGUACACACUCUUGCAUGAUGGCAAGCGCAAGGUCCUCACCCCACUUACACCUGCACAAGUGUAUGAGGACCAACUUAAGUUGCAAAGAGAGUGUGAGCAAGACCGUCAAAGGAGGAAACCAAAGGCAGUCGACCCUGGCAACGGCUCCACUUCUGCAAGUGAGCCAUCGACCAAGGGUCAAGGAAGCACACCUAGGGUUACACGUGACAAAUCACCCACGACACAUACCACUAGGAAGCAAAACAUGAUUAUUAAGGCUAAGGACCUUAGAAAAGUUGUUAAUUCUGACCAGCCUGUACUUCUCAUGAUUUGCAAAUACGUGCUCUUGGAUGUUGCUGAGCUCGAUAAGGCAUUGCCUGCGAGUAUGGUAGCUCUCUUGCAGGAAUUUGAGGAUGUUUUCCCUGACGAGGUCCCUGAUGGCUUACCACCCAUUCGAGGGAUUGAACACCAAAUCGACCUCAUUCCUGGAGCACCACUACCCAACAAACCUGCUUACCGCAUAGGCCCUGAGGAGACCAAGGAGCUUCAAAGGCAAGUUGAUGGCCUCUUAGGUAAGGGUUGGGUGAAAGAGAGUCUAAGUCCUUGCGCUGUGCCUGUGAUACUUGUCUCCAAAAAGGAUGGUACUUGGCGUAUGUGCACUAACUGUCGGGCUGUAAAUGCUAUCACUGUCAAAUAUCGUCAUCCCAUUCCUCGACUUGAUGAUAUGCUUGAUGAACUCGAUGGUGCUAUUAUUUUCACCAAAAUUGACUUAAGGAGUGUGAUACGUUCCUCGAUCAACACGUUUCGAGACACGUAGCACGUUUGCCCAAGGAUCUAGCGAAGUUGUCCAACGCUUGGAUUGCGGGACCUAGAAUCAAACGGACGACACGAUUUGAUUUAGGUGGUAGACGACACUCCGAUGAAGGUGAAUACUCCAGGGGAAUAGGCGGAUGAACAAUCGAGGACAGGACGCAAGAUUGCUCAAUAACCCUUGCCAAAGCAAGUUAAAGUGCUCGAACUCUCUUCUUAGAAGAAGGAACGAAUUAAACCAAUUUUAUUGAUAAAACGACUACCUAAAACCUUACAAAGCAAGCCUAUUUAUAGGCUAAGAGUUACUAAAACCCUAACGAAAAAAAGGAAGGUAAAUUCGGCCAUCUUGGGGUCAAGAUGGGUCGGCCCAUGCUCUACUAAAUAACUAAUCCAACUCUAAAUAACUGCACUCUAACACCAAGGCCUAAGGCCCUAUUCGGCCAACUCACUUGGAGGCCCACUUAACUCUUCAUGGGCUUGGAUCAUGGUGUAGAUAACUUGAUUGUCUCCUUCCAAGCCUUCAAUAUCUCUAUGGACUCCAUGUUGGUUUUGGACAAUUCGAACAAGGGUUUGGAGGGAUUCUUUGAAGAGCUUGGCUCGUGCACGUGUGACUGGGCCCAAUGGAACUCGGACUGGGUCAUUACUUGGGCUAAGGUCUGUGCACACAUCAGUCCCCUCCACUUGAGCAGGAUUGGUCCUCAAAUCGGGAUGGAAAUGAAUGACACGAACAAGGGUUGGUAUCAUGGCUCCAGUGGCUCCUCUUGUUCGUAUCAUUCCCCCCUCUUGAAAGCAAUUUGCCCACAAAUUGAAGCACGAAUGGUGACAAGACGAGUUACAUGCCUUCGACUCAAUCUUGUUAUGAUGGCUACAGAUGGCAUCCAAUGCAAAGCCCAUGUGCUAAGUUGGAAAAUAACCCUUGUCGAACCUUGAAUCUCACAAACCAUCUUCAAUGUAUGCUCAACUUGAUCGCUUGUGGUCAUGAGGUAAGGGUCCUCAAAGUGGUAUGAAGUGUAUCCAUGAAAUCGAACUCCGGCUCGAACACACUUGCAAGGCACCAAGGCGGAUUUGGUGAUGUUGGAGCUUCAUGUGGACUAAGAGCAAGACGAAAAUCAUAAUGGUCAUUGAGGUACUUGUUCUUUAAACGAACCCUUGGUACACAACGAUCUCCAAAAUGUGGAGUGUUCCUAUCAAGACGAGCUCGAAUCAACUCCCCUUUGGUGUGGACUGAUUUGAGUUGACAUUGUUCCAUGAAUGGAUACCAACGGGGUUUAACUCUUGGAGUGCCAACUCCAUGGAGGCUUGCAAAGUCUACAAUUGAUUUUGGAAUGGAACACACCAAGAUCAACUCAACUUGCCUUUCCUUGAUCUGUAUAAAAGUAGAAACCCUUAACAAAGCGAAGGUAAGUUCGUUAGGAAAAUAAUAGGCCUUCACCGGGUUGCUCAAGAUCAGCCCACUUUCUCUCUUUUCUUCCUUUUUACCACCCAUCUCAUUAGAUUUUUCCAUCUCUUUUUCUAGUUCAGCAGCUGACCCUUUCAUCUCAUUACUUUCAACUCCCUCGGGUUUUACCUCUUCAGGCACAAUUCCCUCAUCUAGCUUUUUCUCCAUUCUAUAACGCUCAAGCUCACUUUUCAUGCAUGCUAGAUCAAUACAAAGUUGGUCAUAAGUAAGUGAUACAAGUGCAAGACGACGACUAUUAAAUAAGAAGGAAUACUUAUUAGUAUGUCCGUCAUAUUUAAUUUCUCGCCUCGACAUCCAUGCUUUGCCCAACAACACAUGUGUCACUUGAAUUGGGACUACAUCACACAGCACCUCAUCCACAUAUUUACCGAUGUGAAUAGGUACAAGUGUGUGCUUAGUAACCCAAACAUCACCAUGAGUGCUCGUCAACUUGUACGGUUGAAGAUGAUCAAUGGUUGGAAGAUUUAAUUUCUCAACCAUGAUAGCGCUUGCAAGGUUGACUUCACAACUCCCAUCAAUGGCCAAGCUACAAAUUUUAUCUUUGACACCGCAACGGGUAUAAAACCAACCAAGCAACUGAGAUUUGACGAGGUCCAAUUGCUCAUCUACACCACGUAAUGCCACUUCUUUGACUCCCUUAGGAUCAGGAAGACAAUGUUGUGGGCUAGCUUUUAUGCGUCUUGUAUUCACCAUGACGUAUGAGGGAACCUGCAAAAAGUUAGCAAUGACACCGAAGAUAUUGCCUUUCACGCUCCCUUACGUGUAUCCACUCGCACUCGUGUAUAUGGAUGUCACUCUAAUGGACUUACCAAAACCUUUACCUGUUGGGUUAGGUAGUUGAGAAAGGCGCGCUCAAGUCCAAUAAUUGUCACCAACUUUUUCCACAAGAGUAACCAAGAAGGUAAGACACAAAUAUGGGUGCAAAAUGAAGUGGAAAUGGACGACUUUGAAAGGCCAAUAAUGGCGGACAGAAAUGGAAGUGCGCCAAUGAGGACACAAAAGAAAGAAACCCUAGCUUCCUAAAAUGUAGGAGUGGGUUCCUAGAAUGUAGGAGAGUAUUCCUAAAAUGUAGGAGAGUGUUCCUAAAAUGUAGGAGAGAAUGUAGGAGAGUAUACCUAAAAUGUAGGAGAGAAUAUAGGAGAAAAUGUAGGAGAGUGUUCCUAAAAUUUAGGAAAAAUGUAUGAAAGUAUUCCUAAAAUAUAGGAGAGGAUGUAGGAGAGUAUUCCUAAAAUGUAGGAGAGAAUGUAGGAGAGUAUCCAAGUGAGACAAGAGUAAUCCAAGUGCUUUACUUAGUUUCCUAAUUGACUUUGGAAAGCAAGUUAGUUUUGGAAAAUUUAUUAAACAACUUGGAUGAAGCAAGCAACACUUGGACAGAUUUGAAACAAAGGAACCCUAGCGCAAAUGAAACCCUAGCCGCAAGUAGAAAACUCUAGCCGCCAAGGAUAACCCUAGCAAGAGAAGGAAACCCUAGUAGCCGUCAUGUUAUUGUUCUUGCUGCCGAAGCGACAACCAACUAACGAGACAGAUUUGGGAGCAACGUUGAAACACCAACAACCAGAAUUUUGAUGCAACAAACGACUCAAACGCAAGAAACAAGUUGUGGACAGAAAUUAUCAACAAACUAGACACAACACAAAGGAGAUAACACACCAACAGAUUUUGCGUUCGGAUGAACAGUAACGUGAACAGUGUCGUAUGAAUAGUAACGGUGAACAGUGACUUUUUUUUUUUUUUUGUAAGACAAGGCAGCGGAAACAAGGAAAACUAAGACAAAACUACGGAUAUAACGGAAGAUACCUCCACCAAAGCUCUGAAGCCAACUGAUACGUUCCUCGAUCAACACGUUUCGAGACACGUAGCACGUUUGCCCAAGGAUCUAGCGAGGUUGUCCAACGCUUGGAUUGCGGGACCUAGAAUCAAACGGACGACACGAUUUGAUUUAGGUGGUAGACGACACUCCGAUGAAGGUGAAUACUCCAGGGGAAUAGGUCGGAUGAACAAUCGAGGACAGGACGCAAGAUUGCUCAAUAACCCUUGCCAAAGCAAGUUAAAGUGCUCGAACUCUCUUCUUAGAAGAAGGAACGAAUUAAACCAAUUUUAUUGAUAAAACGACUACCUAAAACCUUACAAAGCAAGCCUAUUUAAAGGCUAAGAGUUACUAAAACCCUAACGAAAACAAGGAAGGGAAAUUCGGCCAUCUUGGGGUCAAGAUGGGCCGGCCCAUGCUCUACUAAAUAACUAAUCCAACUCUAAAUAACUGCACUCUAACACCAAGGCCUAAGGCCCUAUUCGGCCAACUCACUUGGAGGCCCACUUAACUCUUCAUGGGCUUGGAUCAUGGUGUAGAUAACUUGAUUGUCUCCUUCCAAGCCUUCAAUAUCUCUAUGGACUCCAUGUUGGUUUUGGACAAUUCGAACAAGGGUUUGGAGGGAUUCUUUGAAGAGCUUGGCUCGUGCACGUGUGACUGGGCCCAAUGGAACUCGGACUGGGUCAUUACUUGGGUUAAGGUCUGUGCACACAUCAGUCCCCUCCACUUGAGCAGGAUUUGUCCUCAAAUCGGGAUGGAAAUGAAUGACACGAACAAGGGUUGGUAUCAUGGCUCCAGUGGCUCCUCUUGUUCGUAUCAGAGUGGCUAUCAUCAAAUUAGGAUGAAAGAGGGCGAUGAGUGGAAAACGGCCUUCAAAACCAAACAUGGUCUCUAUGAGUGGCUAGUCAUGCCUUUUGGCUUGACUAAUGCCCCUAGCACCUUCAUGCGACUAAUGAACCAUGUUUUGAGACAUUUUAUUGGCAAGUUUGUCAUUGUUUACUUUGAUGACAUCCUGAUCUAUAGUCGUAGUGAGCAUGAGCACUUAGAGCAUGUGAGAUUAGUUCUUGAGACACUUCGACAGGCGCGUCUAUACGCUAACCUCAAGAAGUGCACCUUUUGUACUAACGAGCUUGUGUUUUUAGGCUAUGUGGUAAGUUUGCAGGCCAUCAAGGUGGACAAAUCCAAGAUUGAGGCCAUCGAGCAAUGGCCAACUCCCACAUCCGUCCCUGACGUGCGCAACUUUCUUGGAUUGGCGGGCUUUUACCGGCGAUUUGUCAAAGAUUUUAGCACCAUUGCCGCCCGUUGACUGCCGUGAUAAAGAAGAAUGACAAGUUCCAUUGGGGAGAAUCACAAGAACAAGCAUUUCUCGCCCUCAAGGAUACACUCACACAUGCACCUGUGUUAGCAUUACCAAACUUUAACAAGACUUUUGAAAUUGAAUGUGAUGCUUCUGGUGUAGGUAUUGGAGCAGUCCUCAUGCAAGACAAGAGGCCUUGUGCCUUCUUUAGCGAGAAGUUGGGAGGAGCUGCAUUAAACUACCCCACGUACGACAAGAAGUUGUACGCAUUAGUGAGGGCCUUGGAGACUUGGCAACACUAUCUUCGCCCUCGGGAGUUCGUGAUACACACUGAUCACGAGUCAUUGAAGUACCUCAAAGGGCAACCCAAGUUGAGUAAGAGACAUGCCAAAUGGGUAAGCUUCAUUGACACCUUUUCUUUUGCCAUUAAGUAUAAGACUGGCAAAACGAAUGUGGUAGCUGAUGCCUUAUCACGUAGACAUUCCUUGCUUGCCUUUCUUGAUGCCAAGUUACUAGGGUUCGAAAUGGUUAAGGAACUCUAUACAAAUGAUCAUGACUUUGGUAAUAUCUAUGCUGCUUGUGUUAAGAACCCGCAUGGGAAGUACUUUUUGCAUGAUGGAUUUCUAUUCCAUGUCGAUAAACUGUGUGUGCCUAAUUCUUCCAUUCGUGAUCUUUUGAUUCGAGAGGCACAUAGUGGUGGUCUCAUGGGCCACUUUGGCAUUGCCAAGACUCUGGCCAUGUUGCAAGAGCAUUUUUACUGGCCACAUAUGCGUAGAGAUGUUGAACGCAUGGUUGGUAGGUGUGCUACUUGUCACAAGGCAAAGUCUACGACUAAUCCAUAUGGCUUGUAUACCCCGUUACCUAUCCCUCACCAUCCUUGGGUUGACUUGUCUAUGGACUUUGUACUAGGUUUGCCUAGAUCACCAAGGGGUAAUGAUUCCAUAUUUGUGGUGGUUGAUAAAUUUUCUAAAAUGGCUCAUUUUAUUCCUUGUCACAAAACUGACGAUGCAUCUCAUAUUGCUAAUUUAUUCUUCAAAGAGAUUGUCCGUCUGCAUGGCAUGCCUAGGACUAUUGUUAGUGACAGAGAUGUGAAGUUCCUGAGUUACUUUUGGAAGACUUUGUGGUCCAAACUGGGCACUAGGUUAUUAUUCUCCACCACUAGUCAUCCACAAAGUGAUGGACAAACUGAAGUUGUCAAUCGCACACUUGGCACUUUACUUCGGGCCUUGAUUAAAAAGAAUCUUAAGUCUUGGGAGGAGUGCUUACCUCAUGUUGAAUUUAUUUGCAAUCGAACUGUGCACAGUGCAACACAAUAUUCUCCCUUUGAGAUUGUUUAUGGUUUCAACCCCCUGACCCCCCUUGAUUUGGUGCCCUUACCUUCCUCUGAGCACACAAGCUUAGAUGGGAAAAAGAAAGUUGAUUUUGUGCGCAGGUUACAUGAAGCCGUGCGAGCAAACAUUGAGAAGCGUACGCAGCAAUACAUCCAGCAAGCCAACAAGUACCGUCGCCAGAUGAUUUUCGAGCCUGGAGAUUGGGUUUGGCUACACUUGAGGAAAGAGCGAUUCCCCAAGCAGCGUCAAAGCAAAUUAUCCCAAGAGGUGAUGGACCAUUUCGAGUGCUCUAACGAGUCAAUGACAACGCAUACAAAUUGGAGCUACCUGGGGAGUACAAUGUUAGUGCAACCUUCAACGUCGCGGACCUAAGCCCAUUUCUUGACGAGGAGGAUCCAGAUUUGAGGGCAAAUCCUUCUCAAGAGAAGGGGACUGAUGUGUGCACGAGUCUCGGCCCACGCAAUGACCCAGUCCGAGUCCCAUUGGGCCCAGUCACACGUGCACGGGCCAAACUCUUCAAAAAAUCACUCCAAGCUCUGGUUGGAGUUGUCCAAGACCAAUAUGGAGUUCACAAAGAUAUUGAGGGCUUGGAGAGAGACAAUCGAGUCAUUUACACCAUGAUCCAAGCCCACGAGGAGUCAAGCGGGCCACCAAGAGAAUAAGGCCUUAGGCCCCAUCAAUUAGUUAGCAAUUAGUUAAUGAUUAAGUAAGAGCAUGGGCCGGCCCAUCUUGUUCCAAGAGCAUGGGCCGACUUUUUCCUUUUCCUAGCCCCCUAGGGUUUUAGACACUUUAGCCUAUAAAUAGGCUUGCUUUGUAAGGUUUAAGGGGUCAGAACUUUCAUCAAUAAAAUUGUUUUAUUUUCGUUCCUUCUUCUAAGAAGAGUGUUCAAGCCUUUUACUUGCUUUGGCAAGGGUUUUGAGCAAUCUUGCGUCUCGUCCUAGAUUGUUCUACCGACCUAUCCCGUGGAGUAGCCACCUUCAUUGGAGUCGUCGUUCUACCGUCUUGAAUCAAAUCGUGUCGUCCGUUUGGUUCUAGAUCCCGCAAUUCCAAGCGUUGGACAACCUCGCUAGAUCCUUGGGCAAACGUGCUACGUGUCUCGAAACAAGUUGAUCGAGGAACGUAUCAGUUUUGGAGUAUAAACGGUUAAGUUGUGAGAUUGGGCAAGAUUAAGAAGAAGGAAGUUGGAGAUUUUUUUUCCCUUUCUUUGCUCAAGAAGUUCGGCCAAGGGGAGGAAAAAAUGAAGAUGUUUUUAGUCAAUUUUUUGGUUAAAUGGUAAAGUAAGAAAGUUGGUCAAACCAUCCUCAAGUCACAAGGUGACACUUGUCACCCCUUUUUGUUUGAGCUUAUCCUUUUGUCUUCCAAGGUUAAUCCCUCCAUGCAUCCUCUAAUUGGCUCAUAAUUGCAUGUAAUAUAAUCUCUGUCUAUAUAACUUAACCUAAUUGGCCGCAUUUUAUCAAACUUACCGCACUAGUGGGUCCCACAACCGGUAUACGCUCCUAAGAAUUUUAGUCAUUGCAUUAAACACGAUUUCUUUCUAGAUAUAUAGUGGCAUGGUAAGAAAAAUUUCGAGGACGAAAUUUCUUUAAGGGGGAGAGAGUGUGAGGACCUGUAAAUUUUUCGUAUUUUAUAUUAUUUUAUUUUAUUCUUUCACAUGCAUUUUCUUCAUUAUACCUAUUAUAUUAAUUUUUCAGAGAUUUUAUAAGUAAGUAUAGUUUUAAAAUAAUUUUUCUAGUGUAAGUUAGUUUAUGUGACAUUAGUAGUGUAUCUUGGACGUGGGACCCGCUAGUGCGGUUAGUGCGAUAAAAUUUUGACCCCUAGUUGAAGUUUUCUGUUAAGGGAUAUUAUUUUACAAGGUGCUAGGAGAUUAUUAGAGGUUAGUUAGAUAUAUUAACCAUUGGGAGAAAGAAAAUAAGCUUGAGACAUCUAAGGUGCCACGUGUCGCGAAUCCAUUGGAAGUUGGACUUGACCAACUCUUAUUUAACUUUACCAAAAUCAAAAUUGACCCAAAUCUUCUUCAUUCUUGCCCUCUCUUGGUCAAAAAUUUGGAGCGCAAAAGAGAGAAAGAUAGCUUCAUCUUCCACUUCAAUUUCUUGCCUAAACUUUGAGAUUUCACCGAUGGACUUGCAAAAUACUCCAUAGAAAUUGUUCUCUAAGGAAGCUUGAGGGUUCCAAUGGAAUGAUUUGGGAAGAGAAAGGUAUGGAUAGCCUCUUUGCCUAAGGUUUAAGGUAUUUAUGCUAAGAAUCUUUCUCUAUUUCAGAUAAUUUCAAAUUAGUGUCUUAUGGAGGCAACUUUGGUAGUUUUAUGCAAAAUUUCAUGGUUGGAAGUGAUAUUAUGGAAAUUUUCAGUUUUAUCAUGAAUUUUCUGUCCAAAUAUGAAGCUUGAAGGUUAGUUAGGAUUUCCUAGCUUUGACAUGUGUAAAAUCUAGUGUUUAUGUGUUAUUUCACUUUGCUUAAAGAAAUUUCAGCUUUGAUGCAUAAAUUUCAGGUUUAGGGUUUCUAAUUUGGACAUGAUUAGAGUUACUUUUGGAUCUACAAAUUGGUUGUAUAUUAAGGGUGUUUGAUAGCUUGUGAUUUGUGGGUAUACUUGUGGUUGAAAUUGAGAAGUGAUUGGUGUUAAUGUUUGGAUGGAAAAGUAAAGAAAAACAAAGGGAGGUGCUGUCAAAAUUUCCGCAAGAACUCCUGAGCAGUCUCGGAAAAUCUGUUAUAACUUGAUGUAGAAAUGUCAGAAUUGAGUUCCGUUUGUUGCGUUUGAAACUAGAUUCAUAGAACUACAAACCAUAAAAUUUUCAGAUCCUGGUUCUGUCUGUAUGAUUUAUGGUGAUUUUUCAAAUUUGACUGAAAUAUUGUACCCGUUCUGUCUUGUAUUGGAUAAAACAGCAAUUUGAGGUUCGAAUUUGACUAACUUGUGUUCUGAAUCUUAUAAUGGUGUAUUCUGGGAAGUUGUAGCCCUUUGAAUGUAUUUUCCAACGGUAUAAAUUUUAUCAAUUUUGGACUUAAGAAGCUUGAGAUAUGAUUUUUCUUAUAAUGUUGCGCAAAACUGGAAAAUUCUGUUUUCUUAACCUUGAUCUUACUUUCAUUUUCUACUUUAAAUUUGGAGUUAGUAAAGCAUUGUAGGUAGGGCUUUGAGGUUGUUCCUGCCUUUAGAACCAACUGUUACCUUUUCACUUCAAAUCCACCUCUUUAAUGGUUCAUUUGCAUGGGCAUACGACUAGUAGUCGAGUCUCACUUGUACAUUCUGUUUACUCUGUUUUGGAUGUAGAAACUUCAAUUGUUUUACUUUGGUUAUUUUUAGGGUUUCUUGGCGAUUAAGCCACUUUGGGUGAAAACUUUUGAAGUAUCUGUACUUGAACUGGUGAGUGUACCACUCCCCUUAUUUGUUGCUUAACUUGGUUUCUGCACCUGCAAUCUGUGAUUUGAACGACUGUACUAUCUGUUUAUUCUGUUUGAGACGAGGGUGUACUUUAUCACACUCGUUCUCUUGUCUGUUUGUAUGCCUAUUUACCGUUUGUAAUCUGUUAUCUGUAUCUGAGUCUGUUCGGACGUCGUUUGGAGGCUGAUAUCCAACGACCCUUUUAUGACCUCUGAGCUCAACACCUGUGGCAAGUUACUCAAGUCGAGCCGGCAAGGGCCUGGUCGAUUAGAUAACGAACCACAGUAGUCUGUUCUAGGAAUCUUUGGGUAUUGAGACCCUUGAUUCCGGUAUACUCGAGUAUUACCAUUUCUGUUUCCUAUUUGGCGUUCGGGCCCGGUAAGGGGUAUGCUUGGUGAACAGGAUUUGGCGUAAAUGGGGUCUACGGUCAUGUUUGUUUUUUCGAGCGUUGACGGAGAGUCAACGAGUUGGGAUCAAGUACUGCAAAUGGGGAAAUUUGGCUCCUGAGAGCCACCCGUAUCCUUUCUAUUUAAGAUGUUUGUUCAUUUCCUUGGUACUUUUACUUGGCCUGAUGAACACGAGGUGUAUUGCUUGUUAAACUUUCAAAUUCUGGUUUGGUCACAUUUUGUAAAUUAGCUUCUGACCAUGCUUAGUUCACAUGGAUAAUGAUGGAACUGGGUGUUGGUGUCUUCAUAAGAAAUGUAGGGCUUUGUUUCAGAUUCAAAACGGUAUAAAGUACAUCCAAAUCCGAGAUUCGUAGCUCCCGUUAUAGUCAAAACAAGAUCGUGAGUCAGAACUGCCUUGAACACUGGACAGUUCUGACAGGUAAUUUGGCACUCAUUUUCGUUCUGUUCUGAGUUGAUCCAGGUCUUGGCCAAAACAUAAAAGUUUUAGCCUUAUGUCUUAGCUUUCCAAUGCCUUUGGAAUUUCUUCAUUUGGGUUUGUGAGCUGUGAGUUAUGGUCCGGAAAACAUACCCUGUCUGUCACCCUAAAGUGCGAACUUCUGGCACUGUUUUCCAUACUUUCGACCUAUUUCUGUUCAGAUCCGGAUUUAGGUGUCUUCACGAAAGUUAUAACCUUUUCUUUUAGCUUCGAAACGAUAUCUCAUACACUUUAAUCCGACAUUCCUAGCCCAACUUAUGGUCAAAACAGUUUGGGACAGUAACUAUGCCCAUUUCCGUUUGCCGGCCGUUUCCAUUUCCGUUUGCCGAUUCUGCACAUGGAUGUGCCAAUUUUGCCGUUUUGCUUAAUUUACGCACUUUUGUAGUUGUUUGUGUGAUAAUAGGGCUCAAUAAUAUGGCUCAACCUUCUGCUAUAGGCGGUGACGGGCUAGACGGAGCCGGUGGGGCCCACUAGCUGACGACUUGAAUUCAUUUCCGUACUUUCUCUCGUUAUACUUGCUCUUUAGGUGAGUAAUCAGGGUUUCUGUGUAACUCAAUACUAAUAUGAGUUUACUAUGAAAAAUGGGCACUUAGGCGAGGGUGUACUUUAUCGCACUCAAUCUAAACCCCAUUAGUUGUUAUUGAUACCUGUGAAAUAUGAUUUUGUGAUUUUUGAUGGAGCAUUUAUUGCUUGUGAAACAUUUGCGGAGCAUUUAUUGCUUGUGACGCAAUUUGGGAGCAUUUAUUGCUUGAACUACGAUUUUAAAGCAUUUAUUGCUUGAAGAAUAUUUUAGAGCAUUUAUUGCUCGUGACUUGAGCUGAGACUCAUGGUCUCUCUAUGUGAGAUCCUUUAAGAGAAGCGAGCUGCGUGGCUCAGGAUCUCAAGGGUCAACCAGUGAUCAAACUCGACAAAUGAGUUGGCUUGGGAGCCACCCGUAUCCUUACCAUGUGGUGUUACUUUUCUGCUUUUGCUUUGCUCUCACUAUGCAAAUGUUGACAUGUAAAAAUUAUAUUUUUACCCCUGGUUAGUCACUAAGCUUAUAGCUUACCCCCCUUUCUUUUGUUUUCCUUAGCAGGGGCCGACGCGGGGAAAUUUUGGCACCAUCACUAGUAUAGUUGGGUUUUGUUUGUAAUAACCGAAUAGUUAAUAUGUUUUUCCCUAUUAUAGUGAUCCGUGUAAGGACCCUUCUUAGGGUCUACUCUUUGGUUUUGGUUAUAAUCAUAAGGAUGUAAUGGUAUGGGUAGUUACUUUUGGGGAUGUAAAUAGAACUCUUUUGCCGAUGUAUAUAAUAUGAAUAGUACUCUUUUGGUACUUUUAGCUUUUAUUUGCUUUUGACUUCGAGUCCUGGCGCGAGCUGGGCAAGCGACCCGCUAAGCCCUCUGGUUCGCCUUAGGGGAAGGUGGGGUCGUCACAAACCAGUUGGUCAAUCAUGCACCUUUGGGUUGUCAUUUCCAUGCUCAAUUCAUUGAAUUUGUUUAACAUCUCGCUCAACUGAACUCCCAAUUUUGUAGUGUCUGCUGGAGGUGCCGUGGUGGACUUGUCAGAUGAUUCCAGAUGUGUACUCAUGUUUACACUAUUUCUCGAAACUCGGCUAUGUGAUCGUGUAAUGAUGGGGUUUCUUUGUGAAGUUAUAUUUACAAUUACCUGAAAAUUUAGGAAAAACCUUAUUGAAAUUCCUCUAUUGACCAGCUGUUGACAAAGCAAGAAAAGAAAGAAAAAGAAAAAGACACGAGUUAGUAUAUAUUGAGGUAAUUCAGAUGCAUGUCCUAUUGUGGGACUCUUUUAUCCCAAGGGUUGGCCUAGCAUGAAAAUGAAAUCCUUCAGAGCAGGCACUAUACAUUACCUGAUGGACCCGAUCAAUUUAUUGAUAUUCGAGUGAAAAGUAAUUUGAAAAAAAAGGUCGAUUGGUGUGGCAAGAGACAUCUAUCCUCACAAAUUGAGAACGAAGUCCGAAUGGAUUGAUCACUUUGAUUAACACAAAAAAUGAUGUGUGAAAGAGCCUACUCUUGAAAGGAUUGUAAUGUCUCAACUAGUUUAUUCAGUGACCCUUAGAUCGAAACCCUAAAAGAAAAUAAAUGGAUUAAAUGGAUCGGAUAAAAUUGAUGAUUUAUUCAAAAAUUGACUGGAUCGCCCUAAAAAUGGGUAAAUUGGUCAAAUAGUUUGAAUGAAAUUGAUGAUUUAUUCAAAAUCGAAUAGAUCACCCUAAAAAUGGGUAAAUUGGUCAAAUAGUUUGAAUGAAAUUGAUAAUUUGUUCAAAAUCGAAUAGAUCACCCUAAAAAUGGGUAAAUUUGUCAAAUGAAAUUGAUGAUUUAUUCAAAAUUAACUGAAUCGCCCUAAAAUGGGUAAAUUGAUCAAAUAGUUUGAAUGAGAUUGAUAAUUUGUUCAAAAUCGAAUAGAUCACCCUAAAAAUGGGUAAACUGGUCAAAUGAAAUUGAUGAUUUAUUCAAAAUUGACUGAAUCGCCCUAAAAUAGAUAAACUAGUCAAAUGAAUUGAAUGAAAUUGAUGAUUUAUUCAAAAUUGACUGGAUCACCCUAAAAAUGGGUAAACUGGUCAAAUGAAUUGAAGGAAAUUGAUUGAUCAUAUAGAUCGGAUGGAGUGAUGAUUUAUUCAAAAAUUGACUAGAUUGUUUUAAAAAUGAAUAAAUUGGUAAAAUCGAUUGGAUGGUAUUGACGGUUUAUUCAAAAUUGGUUGGAUUGUCCACCGAUAUGUAGUUUCAAAACUCACAAAUUUUGUUGCAACGCAUUAGUCUAUGAGUUUUCUAAAUUCAAGAUUUGGCCUCAAUAUAUAUCAUCUCAACAAUGAGGAAUUAUUUAUGAAUUUCUUCAACUUAAUGUCCUUUACACAAGGAAUUUUUAUCAAUUCUGAUAAAAUGGCCAAAAGAUGAUUGUUAGAUGCUUCUAUUCUAAUGUGCAAAAGUUGCUCUAUUAUCUUCGAGGCCAAUGUCACCAUCGUGAAAGGGAUCAGAUCCAACCUUACCUUGUGCACUACCCCUUUGGAUGAUACAAAACUAUAAACAUGCAAGUCUCAUUGGAUUACAUAUCUGAGACACAAGGUGGUUUAUUCCUAUCGUGGGAUCCCCUAUGCAGCAUUCCCUUCUAAGGUUUAUGCAUGAUGCCAAUUUAUCAAAGCAAUUAAAUAUGCAAUUUGAAAUGAAAACAUGACCUAAAGGGACCCUUUGUAUGCCAGGGUGGGCCUAAAAUGAUGUGCAAUUAUUAACCUACAAAUGCAAUAUAUUGGAAUUUAAACGUGCAAUAACCUAUCUAAGAGAGUAGGUUCUAAAAGAGUAUCAUACCAGAGCUCUUAUUUCUAAGGCUUAUGAAUGCAAUAGAACAAAGAAAGGUUAGUUCAAUUGAUAUAUGACACAUAACACAUUGGAGCAAACAAAAAUAAUAUGAAAAAAUAGAAGGCAAUUAAAUAAAGAAGGGUGCAAUCCCUCCCCUCAUGCCUAGUGUUCCUAUUUGAGUAAGGUUGACUCUAUCUUAGGUAAUUUCUAACAUGGAUGCAUGAAGUUGGGUUCACUAAUGCAUCUAGACUCAAUAAGGUUCAGGUCCUCAAACUUUCAGACCAAAGGCGAAGGGUCAUCAUCCAAGACCUAAGAGUCGAUGGUUCGAAUAAUCCUUGGACAUUGCUACGCGCACGUCAUGCCACGGCCACAUGUCCAAGUAGAUCGAUCCUAAUCCUAAUCGGGUAGAGUGGUGUGACAACUAUUAAAAGUAAAAGAAAUGAGGGGUUAUAAAGUAAAACGUAUGCACAUAUGAAGUGCUCCUUUUGAAGGGAGGGAUUAAAUACCAUCAAAUGCGGGUGAAGGUUCUAGGAUGGUUAUUCCCCAACAUGCAAGCGCGAUAUACAAACAUAAGUGAAUGAAAGAAAAUAAACACAUUAUUUAUCACAUACACGAAUAUCGAGAUGAUUUGUACGUGAGAAAUGCAAGAAAAACCCUGAAAAGGAAAAAUGCAACCUAAAACCACUAAAUGUCAUAUAUAAAAAGGUUAGAAAAAGAAAAGCAUUGACGAAAUCAAAUGCUCGGACUCUCUAAGUCCCAGUGGAGUCGCCAAACUGUCGCCGCCCCAUUUGUGAUUGAAAAUAACGUGUUUAUAAAAAUGGAUUUUUGAUUUAUUUUGAAUGAAAAUUGGUUUUGAUUUUUAGAGAAUAAAUAAAGAAAAAGUGCCUAAAAUGGGACUCAAAAAGUGCGACGAUUUUCGUCCAAAAUAAUAGUUUAAAAAGGGUUUUUAAGAAAAUAUAGGAGUCGCACUUGGUAUUGAGUUAAGGUGUACAAGUCACCUAAAAAUGAAUUUCAAAUAAAAAGUAGAGACAACCUUUUUUAAUCGAUUCCAAGUCUUCGAAAAUCAGAGCAAAAGUCCGGGAGUCACGAUUGAAGAAAGGGAAGGCAAGGAUAAAAUCCAAGGCACCCUUUCAACCUAACCAAAGCUAGUUGCGUGAUUUAGUCAAAAAAUUUUCUUAUUUUAACCUAAAAAUUUAUUACAUUUGGAUGUCGCUAUAUGGAUGCAAAACCUAAACUUAGGAGGAUUCGAGGGGUCGGAAUAUUCUUCAAAUCUUAUUUGGUGCAAAUCACAUUAAUUGUGAUGCCCAAGAGUGACUCUUUGAAGAGGGACGAAUAUGCAAAAAUAUGAGACUCGGAGAAAAGAAAAGAAAAUAAUAAUUAUACAAAUAUACAUGAUCUAAAGGAAUGCAUCAUAACGGGUGCGGGGGGGAGGGGGGCUAAAAUUCGUGACUUUAAUUUUUCCUUUAAUAGAGGGAAUACGAGCGUGCUAAGACUAGAAAGCAAUACUCGUCCAUAUCCCAUAUUCGAAGGGUAUUUUCUAUCUAAUUAAGCAAAUGAUCUAAGCUAGUUCUAAUUCUUAAAUGGAAUGCAAGUCUAAUGUCAUGUUUUCACACAUAGGGGUAAGGGAUAUACAUAUAGGGGAAAUAUCAUGCAAAAUGAUAAAAAAUCCUAAGAAGUAGAAAAUAUGCAUGAAAUGUAGUGAUUUUGUCACAACAACAUGAUCUAACACGUGAACGGUUCCUAAGGGUCUAGCGUUGAACUAGCCCAUGUCUACAAGUUCUCACCAGCGUUGGACUAGUGAGAAAUUGAAAAGGACCACAACUAGCGUUGGACUAGUGUGGAGUCGGGAAAAAGGCCACAACUAGCAUUGAACUAGUGUGGUGACGUCAUGCACUUAUUAAAAUCAAAUAAUCAAAUAAACAUAAUAAAAAUAAUUAAACACAUAAUAUCACAUAAAACAUAGCACAUAAGCAUGAUAUCUAAAUGUAAGACCUAAGAAAGCGAGUAACAUGUAACACACAAGCAUGCAAAACACACAAAGCAAAUAAAACAAAUAAAGACCUAACUAUUAUAUUUGGGGGGCCCUAACUACAAUCUACGGGGGGGAAAAGAAUAAAAUAAUAAAACAACCACCUAACUAUUACAUAUCUAAAUACAUGUCUUGAACCCCCUAACUAUUACAAUUUGACAUUUAAAUGCCUCUUAAAUAAUCAAACAUUAAAUUAAAAUGAAUAUGUGAAAUUAAAAGAAACAAAUAAAGUGAAUAAAUAAACAAAACAAAAUAAGUAAUGAAAGUAAAAACAUUCAAAAUCAUGCAAUUACACACAUAGAUUCACAUAUGGUCAAGUAAAAUCCAAAUAAAGGAGUAGAGUGUAUUUCCCUUGAAUUGGUGACCUAAUAAAAUGAAAUUUCUCUUAUUUACCCUCCAAAACAAUAAAAUGGUUAAGGCAUCACUUUAAUUAACAAAUAAUCAUAAAAGAUGGAAAUAAACAUGAAUUUGAACAAUUAAACAUUUAAAUGAAAGUAAACAACCCAUAUUCAAGAAAUUAAAGCAAAUAAGGACCUAAUUGAAACAAUUAAAGAAGUUUUAGGGGUCAAAUCAUUAUUACUACAAAUGUAAGGGUCUAAAUUAAAAUAAAAUAAAAUUAAGGGUUAAGAUGAUGUGACGCCCCCACUUCUCCCUAAGGCGAACAAAGGGUAUCCGGGACGCCUGCCCAACUCUCGCAGGACUCAAGACAAUUCGAUUCAACUUAACGAUACAUAACCGUUCAUACAAGUCUAAUAAAGAAAAAUCGCUUCCAUAACCAAAUAUCUCGUCUUACACCACGAGUUCCAAAAUACAUCAAGUUUCCAAAAUAUACAAAUGCCAAAGGUCUAGUCGAUUACAUUUGAAACCCGAAUACAAAAGUACAUCCCAAGGGUUUCUUCGAGUUUCACUCCAAGGUCGUUCCUGUUAAGGAAAACAAAUCUACUGGGUGAGCAAUUGCUCGUGAGGCCAAGAAACACACAUGCAAGCACGUUGUCCAAAUAACAAUCCCAAAUAACAAGAAAACGAUAAUAUUCGAGUAAUUAACAAUUCAAGUGAUAUAUAACGGAAACAAUUCAAGGAUAUGGUAGCUCUCAGGAGCUAAGUUCCACUUACUUUGCCAGAUCUCAAUCGUAUACCUUCCUGUGAUGACUCUCCGUCAACCGGGUCGGUAUUUCCAAUCCGUAGACUCCACUUUACUUCACAAGUCCUUCCACCUUACAACCCCCUACCGGGCCCAAACGUCGAUAAAGGCGCUACUGCACGAGUAGGCCAAGCAAGAUCUCCCCAAUAGAUCAAGUUUUAUUUCAUUCCCAUGGCUCACCAAAGUUCCCGACCAAGCCCACGCCGGCUCGAGUCCCAAGGUCAGCCUAUGGGUUUGGGCGUCCCCUUUAACAUUUAUGAGUCGAGGAGAUUCACUCCAACGACGUAUGCAGUCAUAGCAUACCAUUUCAUUUCAUUCAAUCAUUCAAUAUCAUUCAAUCGUUCAUUUCAUUCAAUCCAUUCAAUACAUUUCAUUCCAUUCAUUUCAUUUCAAUCAAUUCAAUCACGAUUCAUUCAAAUGAGAAUGAGUGCGGUAAAGUACACACUCGACUCCAUUUUCAAAAUCUCCAAUCAUUAAUAACAAUUAAGCAUGUAUCAAGUUUGCAUACACUUGAUACUCACCAAGUAAUUCAAGAAGUAAAGCACAAGCAGUUGUUUAGGCGUCUCCGGUGAUAUCCUCUUGAAGGUCCUUUGAGUGCUUGAGCAAUAAUAUUGAAUUAUUACACACUAUCACUUAAAACUACUUAUCGAGAAAGAUUGCACUCAUGUACAAUCUAAGAAGAUAUCAUGAGAAUGAGCCUUAAUUAGUCGUAAAUCGAGACUCAAAAGUAGGGUUUAAAAAUACAAGAAAAAUCUGAUUUUCAUCUUUGAAAUCAAGUGUAAAACGGUCAAACGAUAUCGAAGGAAAAUGGAGAGUUCUAAAAACUCAAUUUCCUUUAAAUUCGGAAAUUUCAGAUUUGACAAGCAAUCUUUGAAAAUUUGUAUCUCACUCUCUGUAGGUCCAAAAUUGGAAAACUUGGUACCGUUGGAAACUAAUUCCAAGUACUAAAAGUUCCUAGAAGACACUUUUCCAUGAUUCAAAAUGGAAGACAUUCAAAUUUUGGCCUCAAGUUGCUGAUUUGGGCUCCCCGGACAGAUUCGGGGUUGGUUUUUGACAAAAUUUGGAAAUUCGGCAAAAUUCACAAAUUAUGAACUAGCCUCUCAAAUUUGAAACUCAAUUAGAGUUACAAUCAAUGUUUAGAAUCCAACAAACGGAACAAGAAUCAGAGUUUUGAGCGCCAGGAUAUAGCAGCUCAAAGUUGUUGAAAAUUCCUCACUGAACAAGGAUUUUCCAGAUUUGAAACAUAAACUUUGGGACUUCAGUUGGGCCUCGAAAUGGACUUGAAAUGGCACCAAAUUUGGUAGUAUUACCCUACCAAUAUAAGGGAUAUUCCUCUGUGAAAUUUCAUGCAAAAUUCAUACGGAAGGUCAGUUAACAAAGCCACUAAAGUUCCAAGAAUUUCCAAGACAAACUUGUCUUGUACUUCCGUUUUCCUUUUUUUUUCUAACUUUUCCAAUGAAAUCGACUCAAAUCCAGUUCAUUUAUGAAGACAAGAUCUAAGAAACAUCCAAAAUACAUUUGGUAGGUGAUUGACACCAAAAUUUUCAAAAUAACAAGUCCCAAUUCGAAAUAAGCCAUUGGCUAACCCAAAAUUAGGGUUUUCAAUCACUGAUGCAGUUCUGUAAUUCAGCCACACCUCACUCAAUUCAACUUGGAAUUGGGCGUGAUUGGUGGCGUUGGAAACUAAUUUAUAAGACUACAAUUUCUCAGAAGAAAUCAUUCCGAAAUUUUGUCCAUAACUAGCUCAUAUUCGAGCAACAAGUCACAGCACAUAACUGGUUUUCUAACACGGCAGUGAAAUAGGACAGUUAAUUUUGAAAGGCUGUACGGUUCACUCAAGUUGAAUUAGGGGAUGCAUUUUAUACCAUUAGAAAACUGGAAGUGUCUAGUUUCUAAUACAGCAAAUGAACUCGAUUUUGACAUUGGAGCAAAGAGUUAUGAUCGUUUAAAGUUCGCUGCCAGAGUAACUCUGGACACGUUUUCCAGCAAUGAAGAAAUUUCGAAAUUCAAACAUUACCCAACCAAAUCAAGUGAUUUUUGUGAAACUUUCCACACAACCUAUACAACAUAUCUACAUCAAAAUCAAGACAAUUUGACCACAAAAAAUCACACCAAAAGGCCCGGUAAGAACAGGGCAGAACCGGCCCUUCUUCCUUUGAGUUUCUUUCUAUUCUUUCAACUUAAAUCCACUAGAUUAACACUCAAUCAACAUAAAUAACAUUCAAAAUCAUCAAAUCAGUCAACAAGUCCAUUGUGGGAUUUCAUAUAGCCCACUCACAUGAUUUUGACAAUCCAAAGCUACCCACAUGAAGCUACAAGCUUCUAAGUGCAAUCUAACUUAUAAAAGCUAAGAUUCAAGGGUUGGAUGAUUAACUACCUCCUUAGAUGAUGAACUCAGAAAUUUUCGGUCCUUUGAGCUCCAAGAAACCAUGAGGAUGAAGCUUCUUCCUAGUCCAAGAUGAUCUCCAAGUGGUUUUGAGUUUGUGGUAGAAAUUUGAAGUGAUUUGGUGCAAGAAAGUGAGGUGAAAUGAUGAAGGUUUUGCUCCUUCUUUUCCUUGGUGUUGUUCGGCCACAAUGAGAGAAAAGAGAGAGAGUGUUGUAGCUGCAAAAGCUUCUUGAGUAAGCUUGAUAGGUGAGAGGUUUAAGUGCUCAAACGUCAACCCUCCAAUAGUGCGUGUACGCGCGUGUUCGUGCUCGUUUCCUCUCGGGUUUGUUUCACUUGUGCACUAAACCUCUAAUGCAUUUCCAUUAACACUAUUAUUAUUCACUCUUAAUAGUCUAAAAAUAAAGGUCUAAAGUCUCUCAAUUAAUAGCGCGCGCAAAAUGCGUACUUCCGAUUUGUGCGCGAUAAAGCAAAUUUCUAAGGAAUUCUUAUAACGAUAGUAUAACUAACUAAUACUUGGGUAAUAAAUCAUGAAAAUAACUAUUUUGGAGCAAACCAAUAAAUAAGUGAAUAAAUAGAUAAAAUAAUUAAUAAAAAUAAAUGAAAAUAAAAUAAAUUAUGGGUCCUCACAUCCUCUCCCCCUUAAGAGAAUUUCGUCUCGAAAUUAUAUCUUGAUUUACGAACAGGUUUGGAUAUUUUCCUUGAAUUUCUUCUUCAACUUCCCAGGUUACUUCCUCCAGUCCAUGGUUCCUCCAGAGAACUUUCACCAAUGGAAUUUGCUUGUUCCUCAAUUCUUUCACCUUACGAUCUAGAAGCUUCACCGGUUUCUCCUUAUAAGUCAGUGUCUCAUCAAUUCCUAUACUUUCCGGUUGCAAGAUAUGAGAAGGGUCCGGAUGAUACUUCUUAAACAUGGACACGUGAAAAAUGUUGUGAAUCCGAGACAAACUCGGUGGUAGUUCCAACUUAUAUGCUACAUUUCCCACGCGUUGGAUAACCUUAUAAGGUCCUACAGAUCUCGUUGUAACUUCUUUCCUUUUCCAGACAUUAAACUUGCUUUCAGAGGCAUAAUCUUAAGAAAUACUCGAUCUCCAACUGCAAAUUCCAAGUCCUUCCUUCGGUUAUCUGCAUAACUCUUCUGACGACUUUGCGCGGUUUGAAUCCUCUGGCAUACUAACUUCACUUUUUCAUUGGCCUCCUCAAUCCAAGGCACUGUAGUCGGGUCUAAGAUUUUUCGUUCACCUACUUCAUCCCAACAAAUAGGAGAUCUACACUUCCGACCAUAAAGUGCUUCAUACGGGGCCAUUUGAAUAGAAGAAUGAAAGCUAUUGUUAUAAGCAAAUUCCACCAAUGUCAAAUACUUACUCCAACUCUCCCCAAAAUCCAAAACACAAGUUCUUAACAUGUCCUCAAGGGUUUGAAUUGUCCUCUCAGACUGUCCAUCGGUCUGGGAAUGGUAUGUAGUAUCGAAAUUCAAUUUAGUCCCCAAUAUUUCUUGCAUCUUUUGCCAGAAUUUUGAAACAAAUCUAGAGUCUCUAUCAGACACAAUACUUACAGGUAUCCCAUGUAACCUGAUAAUCUCAUCCAAGUACAACUUGGCUAACUUUUCCAAUGGGUAUUUCAUGCUAAUCGGUAGAAAAUGAGCCGAUUUGGUUAAUCUAUCCACUAUUACCCAAAUGGCAUCAUGACCUCUUUGUAUCCUAGGUAACCCUGAUACAAAAUCCAUAGUGAUGUUCUCCCAUUUCCACUCAGGUAUCUCUAAAGGUUGUAGAAGUCCUGAGGGUUUUUUAUGUUCAGCUUUAACCUGUUGACAAACAAAAUAGGUCUGGACAAAUUGAGCAAUCUCCUUCUUCAUGCUCUCCCACCAAUACAAACUCUUCAAGUCUUGGUACAUUUUAUUCCCUCCAGGGUGUACCGUAAAUUUCGAUCGGUAUGCCUCUUCCAAAAUCUCUCUUUUAAGCUCUUCAUUGUUUGGCAUUACUAUCCGAUUCCGAAAUCUCAAUAUACUAUUCAUUCCCAAGUUAAAAUCCGAUUUUUCUCCCUUUUGGACUCUUUCUAACCACUUUUGUACUUCAGUGACCUUUUCCUGGAAUUCUUUAAUAUGUUCCAACAAAGUGGAAUUCACUACAAUAUUCCCAAGAAUUACUUUCCUCGGUUCGAGUCUAGGAUUCCAAUAACUAAAUUCUUCUAACAAGUGUAAUUCCUUAAUCAUCAAUCCGGCCACUUGCACUUGACGACUCAAAGUAUCGGCCACUACAUUGGCUUUCCCUGGAUGGUACUUUAUCGUGUAAUCAUAAUCUUCCAAAAAUUCCAUCCACCUACGUUGCCUCAAAUUUAACUCCUUUUGAGAAAACAAGUACUUAAGGUUUUGUGGUCAGUAAAAACCUCAAAUGUUAUUCCAUACAGGUAGUGUCUCCAUUUCUUUAAAGCGAACACUACAGCCGCUAACUCUAAAUCAUGAGUCGGUAAUUUCCUUCAUGCGGUUUCAACUUCCUAGAUGCAUACCCUAUCACUUUAUCAUUUUGCAUUAAUACACAUCCCAAGCCUUCCUUGGAAGCAUCUGUGUAGACCAUAAAACUAUCCUUUCCAUUCGGUAGAGCUAAUACAGGUGCUCUUGUCAAACGUUUCUUCAAUUUCUGGAAACUUUCUUCACACUUAGGACUCCAUAUAAACUUCCCACUUUUCUUGGUUAAUUCAGUCAUAGGUCCAGCAAUUCUAGAAAAAUCCUUAAUGAAUCUCCGGUAAUACCCUGCUAACCCUAUAAAACAUCGAAUCUCAGUAGGGUUUUCCGGUCGUUUCCACUUUGAAACAGCUUCAACUUUAGCUGGAUCCACCUUAAUCCCAUCCUUAGAAAUUAUGUGACCCAAGAAUGUUACUUCCUUCAAGCAAAACUCACACUUGCUAAACUUAGCAUACAAUUGGUGUUCCCUCAGGUUUAGUAAAAUAAUUCUCAAGUGCUUCUCGUGAUCCUCCACAUUCUUAGAGUAUACUAGUAUAUCAUCAAAUACCACCACAAAUUGGUCCAGAUAAGCUUUAAAGACCCUGUGCAUUAGAUCCAUAAAAGUAGCAGGUGCAUUGGUCAGUCCAAAUGGCAUUACUAUAAACUCAAAGUGUCCAUAUCUCGAGUUAAAAGCAGUUUUGGGUAUAUCUUUCUCCAAAAUCCUCAAUUGAUAGUAACCCUGUCUCAAAUCCAACUUCGAAAAUACUACCACCUCUUGCAAUUAGUCAAACAAUUCAUCAAUGUGGGCAAUGGAUACUUAUUCUUAAUAGUGACAUCAUUCAAGUCUCGGUAAUCUAUGCACAACCUUAAACUCCCAUCUUUCUUCUUAACGAAUAAACCGGAGCUCCCAAUGGUGAAUCACUCUCUUUUAUAAAACCCGUUCCAACAAGUCCUGCAAAUGUAACUUCAAUUCUUUCACUCAGCUGGAGCCAUUCUAUAUGGCGUUUUAGAGAUAGGUGCUACACCCGGAGUCACAUCAAUCUUAAAAGUUAUUUUCCUUUUCGGGGGUAAAGACUCUAACUCUUCAGGAAAGACAUCUAGGUACUCUUUCACUAUAGGCAUGUCCUCCAGUCUCACUUUAUCACUAGGAGUGUUGAUUAGAAAAGCCAAGUAUCCCUGAGCUCCCUUACUUAACAUUUUCCUAACUCGAAUCCCUGAGAUAAGUGCAGAUGAAGCUAAUCUGCCCCUUACAUCCAGUUUCAAAGUCGUCUCUCCCGGAAUGCACAAUUCUACCAUUUUCGUCUUACAAUUCAAUUGGGCAUUGUAACGGGCUAACCAGUCCAUUCCUAGGAUCACAUCGUAUCCCUUAAUCUCUAAGCCUAUCAAAUCGGCCAGUAGUUUCCAUUCUCCAACCCAGAUCUCACAAUCUCUGUAUACCAAGUUAGCGAUUAGACUUUGGUCCCCAGUAGGUUUCCUAACCUCCAAGUCAUAAGGUAACUUAAUUGGUUUCAAGUCUAUUCCACUCAUGAAAUUAGGGUUUACAAAAGAAUGUGUUGCACUCGGAUCAAUUAAAACCUUAGCUAAACGGUGAAAAUAGGGAUUGUUUUAACCACCUCAGUCGUAUCGGGUAUCUGUUGAUGGUGCAGUGCAUAAACCCUAGCAGGUACCUUAGAUCGACUUCCCCCAGCACUGGUCUGCUUAGAGGUUGACUUUUCGGGUCGUGCUACCUCCCACCUUCAGCUUAUUUGGACAAGUCGCGAGUGGGUGCUCGAUACUACCACAAACCAAACACUUCCCAGACUUUCUCCAAUAAUCAUUCUCAGAAUGGUUGGGUUUACCACAAUACCCACACAGUAACUUAACUUAAGGUGUCACUGCCGAACCACUAGAAGGCACUCCUCUUGCUUGAACCGGCCCACUACAACCUCCUCUAGAUAAAGCUCCCCUUGAAGCUCCAGCGGUCCUUAUUCCUUCCAUUCCUCUUCCCAUUUUGGAAGGCUGUGUAUUCUUACUAGUCUAUCCAGAAGUAUGACUAGAAAAGUUCCCCUUCCUAUUGUGGAAGUCCCUAACUUGCAUUAUUGCACUCUCGACCCUUUGUACUUUCUCUAGAGUCUCAGUAAAUGUAGAGAUUUGGGCUGCGGCCAAGCCCUCCUGGAUUUCUACAUUAAGCCCUUGUACAAACCGUCUUAUCCUUUUCGUUCAUUGAUUACCAAUUCAGGGGCAUACUUAGAAAGCUUAGUAAACUUCCCUUCGUACUCCGCUACACUAAGAGUUCCUUGUUUCAACUUGAUGAACUCAUCCUCUCUCUUUUCUUGGAUUAAAAGCGGAAGAAACUUUUCAUUGAACUCCCUCGUGAAAUUCUCCAAGUCCAAGGAGUUUGGGCUCUCUCCACUUUCCCCUUAUCACGUCCCACCAAGCAGCGAGCCACUCCCUCAAAUUGAAAAGCAGCAAAGUUCACUCGCCUAUCCUCGGUAUAGUCUAAAGCGGUGAAUAUGUUGGUCAUUCUCUCCAACCAAUUCUCCGCUACCUCCAGGGUCAGGUUCACCAAUGAACUUAGGCGGGUUAAAUUUCAGGAACCUCUCCAAGGCUCUAUCUUUCCCUCUAUCCUGUCCCCCUGUUUGAUUAAGUGGUCCAAGACGCUGUUUCUCAGCUAACCGUUCGAGAAUAUCAGUCAUUCUAUUAAUGGCAGUAGCCACUUGGUUACCCUCUAUGUUCCAUUGUCCUUGGGUAGGUCCAGUUGCCGAUCCCUGGUCCUCCCCAUGAGGUUGGGCCUGUCUAGUCCCUCGCCCAAGGUUUCGACCACUCCUUCGUCCUUCUAUUAUCCUAGUUGUGCCUAGUGCAAGAAAUGAAUCAAUUACGCGGGGAAAAUACUUAAAACAAGGACCAAUCACAAAAAACAUUGAAAAUAGCAAUAAUUUACAUUCAUUAUCAUGUCAAGAUCCAUACAAUUAGCAAGUCAUGGAGGAGUACAAAAAUAUAGCACAUAGGUGACACAAAAGUACUUUUAGUCACAUAAGACUAAAGUCAAGUCAAGUGCCUCAAAAGUAGGCCACACAGUCAUACAAAAUACAAUGGCCUCAGCACUAGUAUCACCCCAGCUAAUUCUUACUAUAUCAGUCAAAAGGGUCAAAAGGGUCAAUCACUCUGGGUCUAGUCCACAGUAGGGCUACCAGGUGGAAUCUCCUCCUCAGGAUCCUUCUCCGGAUCCUCCUCCUGAUCUGGACUCUGGAUAAUAUCCAUCACCUCAUCAAUCAACCUACCAGUAUCCGUUAGGAUCCAGAAAUCCGAUCUCGGACCUCCUCACCUAACAUAGUAAGUCGAGCCCUAGUCCUCUGAAGCUCCUUGCAAGUGACCUCAGCCGUAGCUACCUCGCCAGCUAAUACCCUCAAGCUCAGCGAUUCUCUCACCCUGAGCACUAACCAUCUGUCUCAACUCAUUCACCUCCUCAAGUAAAUCUCGGUUGGUGUUCACCAACUGACGACGCUCGUCGUCCAGAGCUAGUACAAGGUGGUUCGGGUAGGCAAACGUCAACCUACACGAACAUCGAGAAUACCUAGUAGAGGGCGAAUAACGCACAGGUGCUCCCCACCUAGAGCUCAGUAGUAAAUAGGCCUAGGAGGCUCUACAUGGCCAUUAGCAUGGUCAUUCCCAUUAGUUGCAAGGGUCCCGUUCCCAUUCUCCAUCCCUGUAAAACAACCACACUUUUCGGAUUAGAAACUUAGUCACUAGCUCUCGCUCAGAUAUCACUUAAAAUAUGACUAAGUCAUCCUAUCUCAAAUUUUAAGGGUAAGGUUUCUAGUAUAUCUCCCAAAUAGAUCUAACCUAGCGCUCUGAUACCAACUGUGACGCUUCCACUUCUCCCUAAGGCGAACCAAAGGGUAUCCGCGGGACGCCUGCCCAACUCUCGCCAGGACUUAAGACAAUUCGAUUCAAGUUUAACGAUACAUAACCGUUCAUACAAGUCUAAUAAAGAAAAGUUGCUUCCAUAACCAAAUAUCCCGUCUUACACCACGAGUUCCAAAAUACAUCAAGUUUCAAAAUAUACAACUGCCAAAGGUCUAGUCGAUUACAUUUGAAACCCGAAUACAAAAGUACAUCCCAAGGGUUUCUUCGAGUUUCACUCCAAGGCCGUUCCUGUUAAGGAAAACAGAUCUACGGGAUGAGCAAUUGCUCGUGAGGCCAAGAAACACACAUGCAAGCACGUUGUCCAAAUAAUAAUCCCAAAUAACAAGAAAACGAUAAUAUUCGAGUAAUUAACAAUUCAAGUGAUAUAUAACAGAAACAAUUCAAGGAUAUGGUAGCUCUCAUGAGCUAAGUUCCACUUACUUUGCUAGAUCUCAAUCGUAUACUUUCCCGUGAUGACUCUCCGUCAACCGGGUCGGUAUUUCCAAUUCGUAGACUCCACUUUACUUCACAAGUCCUUCCACCUUACAACCCCCCACCGGGCCCGAACGUCGAUAAAGGUGCUACUGCACGAGUAGGCCAAGCAAGAUCUCUCUAAUAGAUCAAACUUAUCAUUUCAUUCCCAUGGCUCACCAAAGUUCCCGACCAAACCCAUGUCGGCUCGAGUCCAAGGUCGGCCUAUGGGUUUGGGCGUCUCCCAUUUAACAUUUAUGAAUCGAGUAGAUUCACUCCAACGACGUAUGCAGUCAUAGCAUACCAUUUCAUUUCAUUCAAUCAUUCAAUAUCAUUCAAUCGUUCAUUUCAUUCAAUCCAUUCAAUACAUUUUAUUCCAUUCAUUUCAUUUCAAUCAAUUCAAUCACGAUUCAUUCAAAUGAGAACAAGUGCGGUAAAGUACACACUCGACUCCAUUUUCAAAAUCUCCAAUCAUUAAUAACAGUUAAGCAUGUAUCAAGUUUGCAUACACUUGACACUCACCAAGUAAUUCAAGAAGUAAAGCACAAGCGGUUGUUUAGGCGUCUCCUGUGAGAUCCUCUUGAGUGCCUGAGCAAUAAUAAUGAACUAUUACACACUAUCACUGAAAACCCCUACUUAUCGAGAAAGAUUGCACUCAUGUACAAUUUAAGAAGAUAUCAUGAGAAUGAGCAUUAAUUACUCGUAAAUCGAGACUCAAAAGUAGGGUUUAAAAACACAAGAAAAAUCUGAUUUUUAUCUUUGAAAUCAAGUGUAAAAUGGUCAAACGAUAUCGAAAGAAAAUGGAGAGUUCUAAAAACUCAAUUUCCUUUAAGUUCGGAAAUUUCAGAUUUGACAAGCAAUCUUUGAAAAAUCGUAUCUCACUCUCUGUACGUCCAAAAUUGGAAAACAUAGUACCGUUGGAAACUAGUUCCGAAGUACUAAAAGUUCUUAGAAAGCAUUUUUCCAUGAUUCAAAAUGGAAGACAUUCAAAUUUUGGCCUCAAGUUGCUGAUUUGGGCUCCUCGGACAGAUUCGGGGUUGGUUUUUGACAAAUUUUAGAAAUUCGAAAAAAUUCACAGAAUAUGAACUAGCCUUUCAAAUUUGAAAGUCAAUUAGAGUUACAAUCAAUGUUUAAAACACAACAAACGGAACAAGAAUCAGAGUUUUGAGCGCCAGGAUAUAGCAGCUCAAAGUUGCUGAAAAUUCCUCACUGAACAAGGAUUUUCUAGAUUUGAAACAUAAACUUUGAGACUUCAGUUGGGCCUCGAAAUGGACUUGGAAUGGGACCAAAUUUGAUAGUAUUACCCUACCAUAUAAGGGCUAUUCCUCUGUCAAAUUUCAUGCAAAAAUUCGUACGAAAGGUCAGUUAACAAAGCCACUAAAGUUCCAAGAAUUUCCAAGACAAACCUGCCUUGUACUUCCGUUUUCUUUUUUUUUUUCUAACUUUUGGCCAAUGAAAUCGACUCAAAUCUGGUUCAUUUAUGAAGACAAGGUCUAAGAAACAUCCAAAUACAUUUGGUAGGUGAUUGACACCAAAAGUUUCAAAAUGACAAGUCCCAAUUCGAAAUAAGCAAUCACUGAUGCAGUUCUGUAAUUCGGCCACAACUCACUCAAUUCAACUUGGAAUUGGGCGUGGUUAGUGGCGUUGGAAACUACAUUCAUAAGGUUACAAUUUAUCAGAAGAAAUCAUUUUGAAAUUCUAUCCAUAACUAGCUCAUAUUUGAGCAACAAAUCACAACACAUAACAGGUUUUCUAACACAGCAGUGAAACAGGACAGUUAACUUUGAAAGGCUGGUACGGUUCACUCAAGUUGAAUCAGGGGAUGCAUUUUAUACCGUUAGAAAACUGGAAGUGUCUAAUUUCUAAUACUGGAAACAGAACUCUAUUUCAAUGUCAGAGCAAAGAGUUAUGGUCGUUUAAAGUUCGCUGCUAGAGUAACUCUGGACACGUUUUCUAGCCAUGAAGAAAUUUCGAAAUUCAAACAUUUACCCAACCAAAUCAAGUGAUUUUUGGUGGAAACUUUUCACACAACCUAUACAACAUAUCUACAUCAAAAUCAAAACAAUUUGACCACAAAAAAUCACACCAAAAGGUGCGGUAAGAACAGGGCAGAACCAGCCCUUCUUCCUUUGAGUUUCUUUCUACUCUUUCAACUUAAAUCCACUAGAUUAACACUUAAUCAACAUAAAUAACAUUCAAAAUUAUCACAUCAGUCCAACAAGUCCAUUGUGGGAUUUCAUAGAGCCCACUCACAUGAUUUUCAACAAUCCAAAGCUACCCACAUGAAGCUACAAGUUUCUAAGUGCAAUCUAACUUACAAAAGCUAAGAUUCAAGAGUUGGAUGAUUAACUACCUCCUUAGAUGAUGAACUCGGAAAUUUUUGGUCCUUUGAGCUCCAAGAAACCAUGAGGAUGAAGCUCUCUUCCUAGUCCAAGAUGAUCUCCAAGUGGUUUUGAGUUUGUGGUAGAAAUUUGAAGUGAUUUGGUGCAAGAAAGUGAGGUGAAAUGAUGAAGGUUUUGCUCCUUCUUUUCCUUGGUGUUGUUCGGCCACAAUGAGAGAAAAGAGAGAGUGUGUUGCAGCUGCAAAAGCUUCUUGACUAAGCUUGGUAGGUGAAAGGUUUAAGUGCUCAAAGUCAACCCUCCAAUAGUGCGUGUACGCGCGCGUUUCGUGCUCGUUUCCUCUCGGGUUUGUUUCACUUGUGCACUAAACCUCUAAUGCACUUCCAUUAACACUAUUAUUAUUCACUCUUAAUAGUCUAAAAAUAAAGGUCUAAAGUCCCUCAAUUAAUCGCGCGCGCAAAACGCGUACUUCCGAUUUGUGCGCGAUAAAACGAAAUUUCUAAGGAAUUUUUAUAACGAUAGUAUAACUAACUAAUACUUGGGUAAUAAAUCAUGAAAAUAACUAUUUUGGAGCAAACCAAUAAAUAAGUGAAUAAAUCGAUAAAAUAAUUAAAUAAAAAUAAAUGAAAAUAAAGUAAAUUACGAGUCUUCACAGAUGAAGCCUAUCAAAGCCAAAUGCUAAAAUUCACAAAAAUAAAUCAAAACCCUCUCACCAAGCCCCGAAACAAAAAUAUUACCCAAAUCUAAACUAUUUUUCAAAAUCCAAAUAAAAAACUAUGAAUCUACCAAAAAUUAUUAAACCUCCAAAUUUCAUCCUAAAAUUCACCAAUAAUCUAUCCGAAAAAUCAUAUUAGAAUAUACCAAAGAAAAUAACAUUUUAAAAGGACAAAAUUGAUUAAAUUUUUAAUUUUUGGGCCAUAGUAGAAUUAAGUCAAAAUCAGGGGGUCAACAUGCAAUUUUGGAAAGUUUCCAUGCAUAAGCUUCGAAAAAGCUUUCCUCUUCACUGAUUUCCUUUUUCUGCCACUUUCUGUGUUUAUAUGGUGCAAUUUUUUCUUUGCUAAACACAACUAAAUUCUCAAUUAACAUCAAAGCUUUGGUUUUAAGCGGCAAAAUCAUAGAAAUUCAAUGAGUAAAUACGCAAAUCUUCUGCAACAAAAGUUCCGCAAUCUUCUGGGUUUCAUUCCAAUCGUAUAAAUCAUGCCAAUCAAACCUCAAGCUAGCAAAAUGUGCAACUUACACCGUUUAUCGCUAAAACCCAACAAUCAAAAUUUCACCAACACAAAAAACAGCAACUAGGGAAACAUCAAGACAGCAAAACAUGAUAACAAUCACGGAGCCAAACCAGCAGCAAAAUGUCACAGGAUUCAUGCCUUUUGGACUCGGAUUCUCAUGAAAACAGUGUUAAAGAAAGAAAGGGAGAAGCAAUGGUUACCUCAGAAUGUUUGUGGCAUCAAACCAACGUGAAAUCUCCAUGAAACGGCGUGCCGACUUUGAAAUGAAGCAAAUGGAACUUUGCCGCAAAAAUUCAGCGAUGAUGAACCUGAUACUUUGGGUCCCGAUUUGGGAGGGUUAUAGAUGUUUUUUUGGGGAGAUUCCUAAGUGAAAGUUCUUUUAUUACUUGCCAAGAUGGUGCAGAAAUCAAGAGCUCACUUAAAAGCUAAGAAAUUGGUCAGAAUUUGCCACGAAAGCAGGCUGGUUAGUCAGCCUGGUGAUGAAUUUUUUUGCAGCAGAUUUUUCUCUUUUUCUUCUACUCAAUCGUCCCUCUCUUUUCCUCUCUCACUCUCUUUCUUUUCCCUUUCUGUUUCUUGUCUGAAGUUCUCUGUUCUCCCCCAGAUCCCCCCACUUUCUUUCUUCCUUUUCUCUAUUCUUUUCUUCCUCUCUUCCCUUGCUUGCUCCCGAAACCCUCUCCUUCCUUUUCUGGUUUCUCUCCUCCUGUUUCUUUCUUUUUGCUCUUUUCCUUUUCUUCCUCCUGCCCUCAGCUCUUUCCUUGGCUUUUUCCCUCUUUUCCCAGAUUUCCCCAAGCUCUCCUGGUUUCUUUCCUUUCUUGUUUUUCCAGCCCUGCCCGUAGCUCUUUGUUUUUCUUUUCUCCUUGCUUUUUCCUCCUUUCUUCCCAGAGCUCCUCACCAGCUCUUUUCUUUUGCUCCAGCCCGCAGCUUUUCUUCCCUUUCUUGCUUUCCAAUCCCGUCCUUCCUCCCUUUCUUACUCAGCUUUUUUUUUGUUUUUCUCUCUCCCAGAAUCUCCUCUCUUUCUCCCUUCUUCAGUUUUUUUUGUUCUUUUUCUCCCCCCCGGGGCGAAAGCUCUCUCUUCUCUCUCGGUUCCUUUUCCCCUUGUCCCGUAGCUUCUUUUCUUGUUUUUCCUUUUUCUUUUGUUUGUUUUUUCCCGAGCUUCCAAGUGUUCUAGCCACCUAUCCUCUAGAUAUUGUGGUGUCAAAAGAAAAAUAGAGACAUUUGUUUCAUUUGUAUGCACUCCACCUAGCUAUUGUGCAUGGUCUCCACCUAUCUUCUUUUUAUUUAUUUAUUUUUUGUUUUUCAAAAUCAAUUUAAGUAAACAAAAAUAUUAAUUCCUAAUUGAAAUUGCAUUGCAAAAUUUUCAUUUAUUUGAAAGAAAUUGAAUCUUAAAAGGAUUAAAAACAAAUUUUUUGAAUUUUUGUGAGAACUUUCCUUUUAAAAAUUUAAUGCAAAAAUAUCUUAAAAAGAAAAAUGAUGAACCUAAUUUAUAAAAAUAAUAAAAAUAAACACUAACUAUCAUUUUACAAACUUAAUCAAUCUAAAAUAACAUAAAAACAAGAAUAAAAAAUAAAAAAUAAAGCUAAAAUUGAGAAAAACAAAAAAAAAAGAAAUUUUGGUGUCUACAAGUACUUUUUAACAAAUCACUGUAACCCCAAAUGAACCUUAAGAAAGACUCAAUUCAACAAAAAUAAUAAAGCAACACUAUGUACUUGUAUAUAAUAAUAAUGAGAUAAAUAAGGACAAAAUAUAAAUACUAAUGAAAGUAGCUACUUAAAACCAAUUUGAAUUAUUUACUAUAAACAAAACCUUAUCAUUAGCACUGAAUUUCAAAACUUUUGAUUUUUGAAAUUCAACUGUGCAAUUUUUGAAUUUGAAAUUCAACUUUUGCACACAUAUUAUGAAUCAAACGACAAUUGUGUAUACAUUAUCAGUGUAUAUAAGAUUCACUCUAUCUAAAAUGAUUAAUCUUUCAUACAUUAACAGUGUAUACAUUGUCAGUGUUGGAUGAAUGACAACUAUGCAAAAUUUGAAUUUGAAAUUCAACUUUUGUACAUAUGAUAUAAAUCAAAUGAUGAUAGUGUGUAUACUAUCAAUGUAUAUAAGAUUUACUCUAUCUAAAAUAGUACAUGAAAAGAAUAGAAAUAGGGUUUCUCUAUUGGGCACCCGUUAAUAUAUCUAACAUUCACCUAAUCUACCAUAUAUACAUAUAUUAAUUAUUUUUUUUUCUUAUAAUUAUAUACUUUCCUUAUUUAAUCUUAUCUACCAUCAUUUGUAUUUAUUUACUUUUCCUAAUUAAUCAUACAUUUCUAAAAAUAUGACACCUGAAAUAUAUCUUAGUGGGUGCCCAAGCCCACAAAAAAAUAUAUAUUUAGCCUUGUGUAGUUAUAUUUUUUAUUUUAUUUUAGUACGUACUUUUUUCAAAAUAAAUCACAGCAAAAUCCAAAAGAAGAUUUUAAAUGCCAGUAUUAAUUUUUUUUAGCAUUAUUGAUAGACACUAUCCCUAAGGGUGGACACGAGUCAGGUACCCGUCCUGUGCACCAUUUGGCUGACCUGAUCUGCAUCUUGUGGGUUAGCCAUUUUUUGACCCUUACCCGCCUCACAUAUCAGCGGGUACCCUGUUGAGAUAGGAUCGAAUUAAUGAGUACUCGUCCUAUCCCACUUAUCAUUUAAUUUUUUUAAAAAGUAAUUUAUACUAAUUUAAUUUUAUAUUUUACAUAUUCAUAUAAGAUUUAAUAAAGAUUUUUUCUCAAAAAAAAGUCUCCCACCAACAAAUAAUAUGUGAAGUGAACACAAGGAAAAGGAAAAUUUAAAAGAAUUCAAAGUCAAUAAAAAUUUGAAAUAAGUAACACAUUUUUUAAAAUAUAAAUUCCAUAUUAAUUAAACUUUUUUCUAAAAAAUAUAAGAUCAUGACAUCGACAAAUGAAUCUUAUAAACAAACUAUAGUCUUUGAUAUUUGUAAUGCAAUUUGUUGAAUGAAAUUACUCAUUUAACUCUAAAAAUAUUAUUUUAUAGUAUAUAUAUAUAAAUAAAUAAAUAAAAUAUAUAUAUGUGUGAGCGGAUUCAGUACCCAUGAGUCUUUAAUUAUGUGACCCUAGCCCACCUUGUAUUUAAAAUGGUAUUUGACCCUCUUUUGACCCGAUCAAAUAAUAUGAAUCGGAUAUUUUCGGAUCGGAUCAAAUUAGAUAUGGCCGAUUUUUAGAUUAGUGGGUGCUUUUGCAAAUCCUUAACUGUCCCAAAUAAAGAACAUGUAAUGUAAAAACUACCAUCAUUUGUUUAUUUCCUUUUCGAAAUUGAUAUUAUUUUUUAAUUUUGAUAUUUCCUAAGUUAUUUUUUAUUUUUCUUUGCCAAAUUAUUAGUAUGUUUUUGGGUAGUGCUCUACCAAAAACUUAAAGUGUUAUCUUUUCAUGCAUAAAUUUGUUCUUUUGAUUUUUUAACUUUAGACAAUACAAAUAUUGUAUGUUUAUAAAUUGGACAUUUUAAUUUAAUGUUUAAAUAGUAGUUACAUAUUUAAGUUAGAAUUACCAAAGGUAAUAAUACAUAUUUAUGUUGGAUUACCUAAAAGAAUGACUGGAGUGAAUGUUAGUUCCUUUUUGAAUUUGAUAGUAUGUUUUAUCUUUUAUAUUUGAUAAGUUGUUUUCAUUCUGUUAUUACAAUUUGAAGGAUUUCAAAUAUUUGUUUCCUUAUUUGCAAUAAUCAUUUAUAAGUGUGGUAUUGUGUUAGUAUGUUAAGUUUUGUUAAUAUUGUAGAAAUGUUACUCAUUCAUAAAUGCCUAUAUGAUAAGUAUGUAAUUUCAAACUUUGCUAGUAUUUUGAAUGUUGAUAAUAUUUCGUUCUAAAAUAUUAAAAUUAAUUCAAAAUUAAAAUUUAACUAACUUAUAACCGCAUACAUGGUAAGUAUGUAAUUCAAAGAUUGAAAGUUAUUUAUUUAACUAAAAAUAAAUAAACAAUAUAAGAAAAAAGAUGGGGAGUUGGGAGCUCUCUAAAGGAGUCUACACUGAAAUUGUAAAUAAUUUCUGUUAUUGGUUAAUUAUUAUAGAGUUGUAGGAAUUGUAAUUAAAUUUUGUGUUAUCAAUCUAAAAUUUUGCAAACAUGAUUUGGAUAAGUUUUACAUAAAUUAGAAACUAUAAGGGUCAACUAGACAUGGGGAAGAACUGGAAAUCGUGGAAUUUAAUUUGCAUACCAGUAUCAACAAAAGAAUUUGAAAUGGUUUGAUUGUACCAAAUUGUGGAGGCAAUGUGUGUGAAUUAAAAUAAAUGUAAAAUUCUAGGGAAAAGGAAUUGGGAUUUUGGAGAUGUGUGAAGGUUUAUGAUAAAAAACCCUCCAUCUAUUACAUAUAUAUAAAGAUAAGACAAUAAGUAAAAUUCUCAAUUUGUACAAUAGGAUUGAGAGAAAAAUGUAUCAUUUUUACAUUUUGACGAUAGUCAUGCAUUGCUAUUUAUCAAUUUGUCAAACCAUUUAUUUAAAUUUAUAAUAUCCUAUAUACAAAAAAAAUUUACAAAUGACAAUACAUGCUAUUUGUCAUCUAAAGCUAAGGAAAACAUUAAAGUAAAAAAUUUUACUUGGAGAGAAUUAUUGAUAAGUUGGUUAAACCAAACCUUUUCUGCCUAAAAGAAAUGUUAAAAUAAAGACAGGUUUUUUGAUAAGGUAAUUUAACAAAAAUAUUUCCUACCUAAAAUAUAGGGAUUUAAACAUGUAAAUUAAACAAACUAUAAUCAUUAGAUGACAUUAAUUGAAACUAAUAAAAAAUAAUAAUUCAAAAUCCUUGAGAAAUGACACAUGUUAACGUAUAUAUAUGCUAUUUGUCAUUUGCAACUAAGGGAAACGUUAAAAGUAGUAAAUAUACUAAAUUUUACUUAGAAAAGGUUAUUGAUAAGUUAGUUUAACUAGGAUUUUUAUGUCUAAAGGAAAUAAUAAAAUAAAAUAUUUACUUAGAGAGGCUUUUUGAUAAGUUAGUUUAACAAAAUACUUUUCUAACUAAAAUAUAAUAAUUUAAACAUUUGAACUAAACAAACUAAUAACUAUUAAAUUACAUUAAUUGAAUUGAUUAAAGAGUAAAAUAAUUCAAGAAUACAUGUCAUAUUAUUAGAAAUCUUUUGGAAAACAUGGACUAAUAAAUUUCUAGUGUAAUAGAUUUCCUCGUAUUUGUCCCAUUACAAUCUACACACUACUUUCAACUUUUUAUUCUUCUCAUGCUUUGGUCCAAACCGUUUCCUCCUGCCCAUUCAUUCAUGCGCGUCCAACUUCCACUAUCACUAUUUUGCCCAGGGGGCCAUAAUUAUUGUUUCCCACACGUGUCUCGUCCACACUGUGCUCCAACAAUAGGCACGGUCAAAGUGUGCCUACCAUAGACAGAUCCAAGUACAAGCCAAAAAAAAAAUGUCUGGCCAGGAGUGAGAGAUGGUUCUCUGAUUAUCCUUUAUAGUUGCAGAGGAUUCCAAGAAAUUAAACUAGACAAGUGCCAGUGCCAGUGCCAGUGAAGCAGCUUCAAACUAUAGAUCCGAGCAAUGUCUGGCCAGAGUACGUGAACUCUGUUACUCUUCAAAAUUAGAAGAAGACGAUAACUAUCCAAUUAAAAGAAGUGGAAUGUCAAUCGAACUCCUUACUUAUUAAUGCUACCUUUCCGAAGCUUUUGACUAUGUUAAUCAAAACAAAAAAAAAUCCUUCCCUCCAUUGAACUUAUAUUUUAGCAAUGGUAUAAAUUUGAAAAUAAAAUGAAAAGUGGGGCCUUUUUUUUAAUAUGAGUAAAAACAAAGGGAGGGAACUGCCACCAGCAAAUAAGAAAGCGCUUUUAACAUUUCUCUUAAAAGAAAUGAUGAAGGAAAUACUAGGUUUCUUUUUUCUUUUUAUACCCCGAAGUUAUAGUUGUAUUUAGCAUAAAUUAUAUAAAUGCACAUGCAGUAACAAGUUGAAGGUUAUGAUUUGGAUACUAUGAUGGUUUGUAUAACUCUUAUAACGAGGCAAAUCAAGUAGAAUAUUUGGUGUUCAGCCUCUAUUUGUAUAAUACACGAAUAGGAUUCGAACUCGAUCAAAUAUUAAAUGAGUUAUAAAUGUUACUCAAAUUCGAUUGGUUAAUUUGCAUUGAUAUUCGAGCUCGAAUUCGAAUUCAAUCUUGUUUCAUUAAACUAAAUGAGUGAAUUUGAGCUUGAACUCAAAUUCGAGCCUAAAAAAAAUUUAAUUAUAUUUUAUAAAGGUAAUACAUAUAUUAUAAUAAAUUUAAUUAUAUUUUUUAAAAAAACAAGUAAUACUAAAUUUUCUAUAUAAUUACCUUUUUAAGGAAAAUAUAAGGUAUAAUGUAUUUAUAUUUGGAAGGUGUCUAUACAUAUAUUUUUUAAGGAAAUAUGUUGUUCUAUUUCUAUAGUGUCUAAUUAAGUUGUAGCUAUGCAUACAUUAUACAUAGUCUCUAAUUAUUAUUAUCAUUAUUAUUUAAGAAAUUCAUGCAGUAUUAUAAAUCCUCAGAAGAAAAUUUAUACUUUUUUUCAGAAACGAUAAUUGUUGUAUAACUUAAUCUAUCCUAUAUUAGGGGGGGGAGCGGACCUAAGGAGGCCCAAGAAUAAUUCGGAGGUGACUAAACUACCACUAAUCAGACAGGUGCACUACUUACCUACCUGAAUUUUUUUUUAAACAAAGUCACUUUAAUGUGAUAAUUGAACUCUUGCCUCCUAUCCUAUCCAACUUUUAAUGCUUUGAUGUUAGCGUUUGAACAAAGAUCAGUCGCCAAUUUUGAAUUUUCAUCGUACCUACUACCGAUUACUAGAAAGGCAACGUUGAAAACCGAUAUUUCAUUCCAACUAGUUUUAGUUCAGCAGGAUCAUGUUCUAACCUAUACAUGUGUUUCGUACUAAUUAUGAUAAUAGCUAUUAAUGAACGAACUCAGGAAAAAAAAUCAUUUAGAAGUAAGAGUAAAUUCUAUAUGUACUCAUAGUAUAUACACUGUUACAUUUAGAUCUAUAACAUAUAUAAAAAUUUGAACUUAUAAUUCAAAAUAUACAUAAUUAUCAUUUAUCCAACUUAAUAAUAUAUAUACUAUCAGUGUAUAUGAUCAAAAGUUUGCAUAUGUUCUUGGAAGAGCCUUGCAGCCAAUUGUAGAAGCAAAUAAAAGGAGUCAAAUAAUAAUCUCCCUAUCUUUCCUCCAAAAAUACAUCCAACUACAAAUAUGUCAAGCUACGUUAUGUGGGAUAGUGUGAUAAUUGUCUUCCCCAUAAUUGAUAAUUAUAAAGAAAACAAAGAUUUUGAAUUUCUUUGGUUAAGACACAAAAAAUGAAAAAAAAAUUGAAGGAGUGAAUUGGGUGAAUAGACACAAGGGGCUUUUAAAAAAUUUGACACAAGGUAAAGGAUCAUUGAGGAGGUAGCCAAAUGAAUGUUGAAUUCUUGACUAGUAGCACUGGCUUUGUCAAACUCUUGACCUCUUCCUGGCUUGUCUUAUUAUUAUUAUCCACACAUCUUUUCCAAGUAAAGUGAGCAGAAACAUCAGAGGUUGGAUCAUUGAGGGGGUAGCAAAAUGAAUAUCGAAUUCUUGACUAGUCACACUAGUCAUGACACCUGCAAAUUACUGGCUUGUCUCUUCCAAGUAGAGUAAAGAGAACAGAAACAUCAGCUGUUGGCACUUGGCAGUCGUGUUGGUGAUCAGCAUGAAGUUAAAAUUGCUAACCACUUUGCUUCUGCUCUCAAUAUUUUCCUUAAAAUUUGCUUCGCCACGAUCCAUAGUCGAGACGCUACCAGGAUACUCUGGUACUCUUCCAUUCAAACUCGAAACAGGGUAUGUAUUCCCCUUCCUACUUUAGCUAGACCAACUUUAAUUAGUUCAAAUUGUCGGAAGUAGUGACGAAAAUAACUAUUGGAUAGAAGUAGUAUUUGAUAGAAUUGCUCAGCUAGAGUUGGUAUUCACAAUAACAUUGACUUUGUGGCUUGCGUUAGGUAUAUUAGCGCUGGAAGAGACGAUGAAGUGCAGUUCUUCCACUACUUUAUCGAGUCAGAAAGGGAACCCGACAGGGACCCUCUGAUGCUUUGGCUCACCGGUGGACCUGGUUGCUCUGCUUUUUCCGGCCUGGUUUAUGAAAUUGGUACCUACUUCAGAGUUCAAACACACAAUUAGCUUGCUAUUUACUAGUUAUUCUGCCCUCGUUGUUAACCAAGCUGAUCACCUUGCGAGAUUGUUCUCCUUUUAUUGAGUCCAUAUGUACUCGAAAACGCUGUUUCUUGAUGUUUCACUCCCUUUUUUCUUUUGGAGACAUCUCGGGAAAUUUUCCAAGAGUAAACUAUUCUUCUUGUUGUAGGGGGCGUAAUACACAAUCCUGUUCCUUUCAGAUUCAUUAUUUUUUCACUAUUACGACAGUCCUUUUUUUUUUUUCAUUUUUCUUCCCCUAAAAAUUACAGGGUUAGAUGUUAAACCAUUCUCUGUUUCUCCUCCUCCCUCUUUCCCCCACCUCUCUCCUCCUUCCUCGUUCCCCUCCCUUCCUCCUUCCUUUUCCUCCCUCCCUCUUCCUCCCCAUCCCUCUUUCCUCCCUCCCCCUCUCUUGUCAUGCUGGGUUGUGGGGGGAGGAAGAUGGGAGGGGAGUGUGGAGAGAGGAGAGGGAGGAGGAAGAGGAGGGAGAGGCCGGUGGUGGUGAUGGAUGAUGGGAGGGGCGAUGGUGGGUGGUCAAAAUUUUUUAAAAUUUUAAAAAUAUGUCAAUAAAAUUUUAAAAAUACCCAAAAUACAUUUUAAAAAAUAUCUAAUACAAACGGGCCAUCAACAAUAGUUUUUUCUCACAUUUACCACCAUAGUCAAAUUUUUGAAAGAUAGUGCGAAAACUCCUAAUUCAUAUAGAUCCUAUAAUCUUCGGACAAUGUUGACUUGUGUACUAUUUGAACAAUAUCGUUUCCUAAAUUGUCGAAGAACAAAUAAAAAAGAAAAGAACUUACACGUAACAAAAGAUGUUAUGUAGCCGAAAAGAAAAUUGUUUUAUUAUCCAAACUAAAAUAAUUCUAUCUAUCUGAUAAAAUAAAUGGAAACCAAAUUCCAUGCAGGCCCACUGAAUUUUGAUUUUGAGACUUUUGAUGGGAGUUUGCCGGCGUUCGUCUUGAAUCCAUACUCGUGGACAAAGGUUGCAAAGUCUGUGUUUAUUGUUUACAUUUAAGGAGAUUAGACUAACUUCGGGGACACGGUUGCAGUGGUUUCUGAUACUGAUAUUUGUAUAUGUUGUCUUGCAGGGGAAUGAGGCAGGUAUGAUUAGUUUUAGGUAUAAUUAGUGCGAUUAUUGUACCCUUUUCAUAAUUUGGUAUAUACGGACAUAAUUUUGUUGUAUUUUAUGAUUUGUACACAUUUACGUAACUUUUGUUGUACAUCAUGAAAUAAAACAAAACUAUGUAAAUAUAUAUCAAAUUAUUAAAAAAAAUACAAUAAUCACAUCAAUUGCACUUAAGACCAACCAUACCUGCCCCAAAUCUGUCUUGUGGCACUUCUUAGAUAGCAAGCAUUAUUUUCUUGGAUGCGCCAGUUGGUACCGGAUUUACUUAUGCAACUACCUCAGAGGGUUAUCAUUCUUCAGACAUACAAACGGUUGGAGAUAUAUAUACCUUUCUUCAAAAGGUCACCAAUAAAAUUUUCAAAUUUUUUUUUUAUGAAAGGUUAACUGCAAUAAGUUUAACUUCAAAUAUAUAUAUAUAUAUAUAUAUAUAUAUAUAUAUAUAUAUAUAUCAUGUUUUUGCUAAGAUAUAUCACGAGCGAUAAGGAGUAUAUGAUGCUUGCAGUGGCUUUUAAAGCAUCCUAACUUUAUCAAGAAUCGCCUGUACAUUGCUGGUGACUCAUUUGCGGGCUAUCUUGUUCCAAUGGUCGUCAACAAAAUAUCGCAAGGUUAAAAUUACGCGUUUGUUAUUUUUCCCUCCCUAUUGUAUAAUUAAGAUCAAAGUUUAUCAAUUUUUCCCGAUAUAAUAUAAUCAGCCUAUAAACCCCAAAUAUAAUCACGUAUUGUCAUAUGAGGUGCACAUAUUGCAAGGAAAAGACAAUUAAGUUCAAUUACAUCAUAUACUCUGUAUGUUGUUUUCAAUUGGUUUUUACAAACAGAAGUUAUAAUAUUUGAUUUCAUAAGCAGGCAUUGAGGCAGGCGUCAAUCCAAGAAUGAAUAUUCAGGUGAUUUAUGUACAGUCUGCCUUAAUUUCUUCCCCCAGAGGCAUUAUUAUGCGUGCUUAUAUGAUUGAGUCAGAAAUUCGACAAUAUUCACUAUGAUAUAUUUUUACUAUUUUUACUAUGAUAUUUGAGUUAGGGGUACGUGAUUGGAAAUCCAGGAACAGAAUACCACAUCGAUAAAAAUUCGGUACUACCAUUUGCUCACCGCAUGGCACUUUUAUCAGACAAAUAUUAUCAGGUGUGAAACAAACCAAAAAUCUUAAUUAUGUUGCUGUUAAGUUUGGCAUUGACAUUUUUAUUUAGGAUGCAUUUGAUAAAAUUAAAAUUUGAAAUCUCAAAUCUGACUCUAUUAAUUUAUUGAAUUGUUAAGUAUUAAAAUAUUAAUAUUUAAGCAUAUUUUGCAUUAAUUGAUAAGUGAAGAUUAAGAUUGUUAGAAGCCAAUAGUACGUAGACAGUAGAAGAUUAAGAUAAGCCUUUUCAUUUCAUGAAGCCACUGCUAGGCUGCUGAAAGUCAAUAAUUAGGAAAUUACCUACUAAAAACAUACUGACACCCGCUUGAUAUUGAGAUUGUUUCAGAUGGCGAAAGUUAAUUGUCACGGGGAAUAUGAAAAUCCAGAUCCAAACAACGCGUGGUGCCUUUACGCUCUCCAGUUUUAUAAAGAGGUAGGAAAAACCAGCAUUACAUAGCUUAUCGUAGUAGUUUACAUAAUAAGCGUGUUUCUUGUUGCUUUUGUACCCUGAUAAGUUCUCUCAUAUCCCCAGUCAUAACUUGCUUUAUAAGGUGUUAUCAUUAUUUUUUUCGGAUAUGAAAAAAUUCCCUUGCUAGAUGUAUCUUAAUAGUUGCAUAUUCUUAAUGUAUUUUCUACCAUUAGUUCAGUUUUUACUUGAAUUAUGAUAGAAACUAAACUAUGCUAUUUUAUUUCCUAAUUAGUUUCUUGUUUUGGUUUUUGGUCUUGCUAAAUUUAGUUUUCAUAUUAAUUUAGGAAAUCUCAAGUUAGUUCCAAAUAAAUUUCUGUUUGCAAUUGUGUUUAUUUUGGGAGUUUUGCAGUCUAUAAAUAUUACUAAUGUAGUUGAUUAUUACUUGAAGAAUUGAGUUGAGUCUUAAAAGUGAAUUAAGUGAAAGCAUCUAAGCAUUGUUAUUGUGAGUUAUGGUAAGCGAAAAGGUACAAUUUGAUAUUUUAUUAUUGGGUUUUGAGUCAAUAAAAUUAGUUGAGUUAUUGUAGUAAUUUUGUCCUCCUCCUCUUCUGAUAUUAUUUUAUUUGUUUCAAAAUUGUUUUCGCUGUGCGUGUAUUUUUUGUGUCAACAAAUUAUUUUUAAAAAAUAAAAAGCUUAAGGCUCCCCUCCCCAAAGCUUGCAGAAAGUCAAGAUAGAUUUGGUGAUUUGUCUCAACACCAUCCACCUACCACUAUAGACUAUAGAGUUUAGAUUACAUACAUACCGAACCUGAUGGACUCUGUGAAGUGAUGGUAUACUCGCAAAAUUGGCUUACAAAAUGCAAUCUCCAUUAUCAGUGCAUUAGAAACAUAUUCCAAGCAAAUAUUUUGGAACCGGCAUGCAAAUUCAGGUCAUCCAAGCCUAGUGCAUCGGAAUUGGAUAAGAACACCUAUUUGGAAGAUGACCCGAUCAUCAGGAUGCUCCCUCAAUCAAAUAAAAAGGAAUCGCGGUGUCGGGUAAGUUAUUCAUCUUUUUUUUUGCGUAUCUAAGUUAAUUUUAUAUACACUAUUAUGAUUGAAUAGAUAAAAUAUAUGCAAAAUUUAGAUUUUAAAUUUAAAUUUAAAUUAAUUGUUAUACACUAAAUGAUAGUAGUGUAUAUACUGUUAGUGUAUAUAAAUUAAUUCUAUAUACAUAUAUACUCUCAACUUGGGAGAUCAUUUGAAAAAUUAAUACCCUACAUAUACGCAUGUAGAAUGACAAUUAUGUGCUAUCAUUUGUGUGGGCAAAUGAUCAAGCCGUCCAAGAAGCUCUACACGUUAGAAAGGUAAUGUCGAUCUCAAUCCUCGUCUUCACCCGCAUUUUUUUUAUUUCCCCAAAUAUAUGGUCGUAAUACUCUUAAGGUUUAUGGCGUAUACUUUCCUCUAUGUGAUACAACAGACCUUGGUCAUUGUGACAUAAUAUGCACGUCGCUAAUCUUCAAGAUUAAUUUAGUUACUAACUUGUAUUUAAUUUUUUUUUUGAAAAAUUAGGGAACAAUUAAAGAGUGGAGAAGGUGCAAUAAAAGCUUAUCUUAUGACCAAAUUGAAUACAGUGUUGUCCGAUAUCAUAAGCUGUAAGCAUGAGUUUUGUAACCCCUCAUAUUAAAUCUCAAUGAUUGAUUUUAACGGUUACCAAGGUGUCUAGUAAUUGGUUUGCUAUUAAUUUGAACUAGACAUUUAUUAGGUCUAGUCGAAUUUAUUCCUUCUUAUCACUUAGUUCAUAAACCUUAUGAAUCGUUAAAACCAGCUCUAACAUUAGGUAACAAGACUUCUACAAUUUCGGGUUUUGCUUAGAAAUCAGUCUGAUAGUUUAACUUGCUUCGUCCAAGUUUAUGAGUUGCUUUUUUUUUUUUUCCAUAUUUGACAUUUCAUCUGACUUUAAUAUGGGGACCAAGUUAGUAUUGUUGACAUUUCAUAUCUAAGACUUCUUAAUUAAUUGAUUUGGUAUAAGAACUAUAACGUAUGCGUGUUUUGUAAGCUUUCAUGUUUUUUUUUUUUUUUAAUUCUUGUGGACCAGCAACGGAUAGUUUCUUCUAGUACCAAGCUUCCUUUGAAGUUUUUUUUUUUUUUUUUGCGUGUCCAAAUGUAAAUUAAAAGAACCCAUCAACUUUGAACAAGUCUAUAUCUAGUAAAGAUAGAUAUAAAGAGGGAUACUAUAUCACUACAACGAAAAAGGGAUUUCGCGAGGAGCAAAAGUCCACGCCAAAAGUUUUGACUUCCUUGCUAAUUAAUUUCAACGAGAAAAAUGCUUCCUCGCCAAAUUUCUUGCUAGAUGCUCGUCGCUAAAAGUUAUUAGCGAGGAUGCUGCUGCUUUUCUCGCUAAUGAAACAGAUCAAUAGCAAGGGUUGACCUCCUCGCUAAUAGCUCAAAUACUAUGGCAAGAAAAGCUUUCCUCACCAACUAAAGUUAAAAACUCCCCACAAAAACCAGUAGUUCCUUGCAAAUAGUCAAGGUGUUUUGCUAGGAAAAUAGCGCAUCCUCACCAAUAGUAUAGAAUUAGCAAGGACCCGUGUACCAGUAAAACAUUUUUGGCCAGGAAAGUAUCCUCUCUAAUAAGCGAUAAUUGAUUAUUGCCUAACUGUUUGGUGGGAAAAUGUUCCUCUCCAAUGCUGUUAUGAACAUUUCUUAAUCCCAUUUUAGCAUGCUAAUCUUAAUUCUCUAAGCAAAGUACUGGGUGGUUUUAUUAGAAAAUUUAGCUGCAAAUAGCUUCAAUUUGGCUUCUCAUGUGUCUGCUGUACAUUUUCCAGGUUCUUGUAAGUAUCAAAUUGUUUGGCAAAAAAAAUUUUUUUAAUGAAUCAUGACCAACGUAGCUGCUCGUUAAAUUUAAACUCAUAAUCCCUGGUAUUUGAUAGGUUUUUGGAAUAUCACUUGGUGCCAACAACCCCCUUUUGCUACUUUGAUAAACAUUCAAUAGAAAACAUACAAAAGCUUUGGUUAGCUAAAAAUAAUUGCUACCACAGUAAUACAUCAACAUCCAGCUCUUUCAACAUCUUGAGCCAUACAAUAGGAAGUGCUUGAAAUCAAUUGGCAAUCCAAAUUCUUUUUAGCUCAUUAACUAUCCUAGAAAUCGCAACUUCAGUAAGUCAUUACAGAAGAAGAUUUCAUCGAGAGAACACCACAAAAAGGAGAAGCAGAAAAAAAAAUAUAACAGAGAGAGAGAGAGAGUUAAACUAGUCAUAUGGACACAUAUUUGUCACCUCAGUAUUUCCGAUUCCUUAAUUAAGUCCAGUUAUCUUGGAACUCUAUCGGCAAUCCAUGGAACAUUUUUUGAAUGACAAUAUGCUGUUGCAACCUUUUGAUGAAGACUUCAAAGGUUCUAUGAUAAGGUUGCAUUUUUGUCAUUAAUUCUAUGAUUAUUUUCCUCGUUUAUAUUACCAAAUAUUGUAUUAAUUGAUUGAUUCUACUUAUAUUUGAUACUUUGUGUCAAUUGUAGGAAGGUGGAGCAAAAAGUAAUAAAAGAGAUGAUUUUCAAGAGUUUUCCAAUUCAAGAUGGAGUUUACGUGGAGUAUUGGAUGAAAAUUAGGAAACUACAACUUUUUAUUAGAUGUCUUAUUAGGGAACAAUUAGCAUUAGUUGGAGAAGUUUCCUUUUGCAAUUAGAAUUCUAUUUUUAGUUGGCCAAUGGAUGGCCGAAGUAGUAGACUUCGAUUAGGAAACAAAGAGAAAAAAAAAAGAUGGCCGCUGGUCUCUUCUUUAGUGAGUCUUUAGGGAAAAACCAAUGGUUAUUGAUGGAGUCAUGCGGAUAUCCCCUGAGGAUGUGAAGCUAAAUCUCCGUUUUCUGGUCGAAUGUCAAUCUGAGAACUCGGUUCCAAACAUCUGUGAGAUCAAAUUAUUUUACUUAUUUCUUUUAUUCAUUGGUAUUUGUGCAUUUUCUGAUUUAACUUCUUAUGCUUGUUAUGUUAUUUGAAUGUCAAGGGACCGAUAUUCGAAUUAACCUAAUAAUCUACUGCCAGAUUAAUUGAGUGAAUCCGUAAUUGUUCAAUUGGUUUCAUGUUAGGGAAAUGUAUGAUUUAACUUAAACAAACCCUCGUAGUGUGUUUGUUAGUUUGAUUGAGUUUUUCUAAUUCUUAUUGCAAUCAAGAAAUUAAAUCCUACAGUCGUACCUAGGGUUAUUUCUUGGUUAGAAAAAUAGUUAAUGGUCGUACCUUGACUAUCGAAAAAGUAAGGAAAUGUUGGUUAUUUAUCGCGUAUAUAACAACUAUAACCAAUCUAUUAAUUAGUAAUUAAAUUAUCUUUGCAUCGAUGAUUAAUUGAAUUGACCGUGCCUGAAAAGUUACACCUUUAACUAGAGUUGUAUUGGUUAUUGAUUAAUUCCUAUUUAUUUCUAUUAGUUGUUUCAUUAGUUGGUUAAUUAGUUAUUUUAUAUUUUCCAAUAACCCCCCAUACUUCGGACUCUGGAAGAAAUGAAUUAUCCCCAAUCCCUAUGGAUGCGACCCUACUCACCGUAGGGGCGGGCAAAAAAACCCGCCGAUCCGAAAACCCGAUGAACCCGAUCCGAUCCGAUCCGAAAAAUAGGAUACCCGAUCCGAUUUUUCUUAGCGGGGCAGAUGAGGGUCGGGUACUCGAAAAAUCGGGUACGGAUACGGAUCAGAAAAAUAAAAAUCCGCGGGUACCCGACCGGCAGGGUAUAUUUUAUAAAUAUUAAAAAAGUAGGGAUCAUUUUAUAAUUUUGUAAUUUUUAAUUCUAAGUGCAAGUGAAGUGGCUCGCAGCCUCAUAUUUUAAUCCUAUAUGAUCUACUCUUCUCAUUUUUUUUUUAAGAAAGUGAAUAUUCUCGGUGAAACAUGAACAAAAUGAAAAAAAAAAUUUGUGAAACUCUGUUAUAAAAAUUGUCCAUCCCUUUCAUCUUUUUUAUUUUUAUUCUACCUCCAUCGAUCUUUCCUGCAAAUCUUGCAUCAAUUCAAUCAAAGAUUUUUGUUUCGAGUCUCAAUUUUCUGUUAGCUAGAUAAUUAAAAUAUUUGUGUCAUUCAUUUGCAAUUAUAUCUCUUAAAUUUGUCUCUUUUAUUUAGUGUAAGAAAUUUAUUUUUCUUUUUCAUCACCUUAAUACCAUAAGGUCUAUUCCAAAGAUGUAAAGAAGUUGGGGAAGAUUUUUAACAUUAUUUUGGUUAUAUUUUUUUCAAAAAUAAUUAGUUCUAUUCAAUUAUUUUCCGAACUUGAUUUCACAAUUGACUUAUUUGAGAUGCGGUCUUGUACCAUAAUAUCCUUGGGGAAGUUACCAAAUACUUAUUAUCCUUGUGUUUGUUGUGUUGUAGAAGUAUGAAAUGUGUGAAAAUGGUGAUGUACUCAAAAUUAUUAUGAAACUUCGUUUUGUCCAUUAGAUAUUCUAAUAUGUACUAAAUUUAUGAGAUCGAUUUGAUUAUUGGAUGAAAUGUGUGAAAAUGGUGAUGUAUGGACUUUAAUUACAAUAUCUCUACCAAUAUUAAUUGGAAAAGCAUGUUUUUUUUAUUGAAAAACGUGUUGAUAUUAAGUAGAAAAUACAUUUUUUUAUUGAAAAAUAGUUUUUUUUAGGGGCGGGUACCCUAUGACCCGCCCCUUUUUUCGGGUACCCGCUAUUCGGGUACCCGAAAAUAUUAGGAGCGGGUUAAGGUCGCAAAAUGGCUGAUCCGAUAUAUUAGGGUCGGGUCAGCCAAAUCAUGUUAGGGGCGGGUACCCGACCCGUGCCCACCCCUAACUCACCGCUAUAUACAAAUUUGUAUUUGUCUUGAAUAGGUAAUUAUUAUUGCACAGAUUCGACACCUGUCAUUCUAUAACUGAAUACAGAGUCAUCUUUUCAAAGAUUUCCCAUGCUGCAAAAUGUACUCUACGAGCUUUAUUUCAUCUUCCUCCCCUAUAAAUUUGCUGAUUCCAAUCUGCCUAAGAUGUUCAACAAAGCGUAUUGGGAAAACUGUUUGAAAAAGUAGAUUCCAAGUCCUUGUAUAUGCAGAGUCCUCCUUCCACAACUUUACAUAUUGAGAAGAUCAAAAAUUGCAGAACAUAAUAAUACUUGAAAUUAGUGAGAAUAUAUCCAAAAGAAACAAAAUAUUAAUACCUGAAAUCAGGUUUUACAAUCAGUCCACAAAAAGCACCUAAACCCAAAUAGCCCAUGUUGGAAUAGACCAAGUUUAGUUCAACUGCAGAAAUUCCUAGUACAAUGGAACUGCAACUUCAACUUCAGUAAAUUGCAAGCUGGUAUUAUGAUUCUAUGAAUCCUGAAAUCUCCCCCAAGUCCUCUUGCCUCCAACACUAAGUAUGUACACAGACGCUGACCUGUUCUAUACACUAGGAAAAUUCAGAUCAGACGGCAUUCAAUAGAACUGCCUUGAUUUGGCUCCAUAUCAGCACUAUUGCUCUUUAAAUCUAACUUGAUUAAGCUGCACAAAAAGGGAAGAUUACAUUAGAUGGAGAAAUUUUACUGAUUGCAUAUGAAAUAGGGGCUAAAACCAACUAGGAAAAGCAGAGAAGUUAACCUCAACCGACCAGGAAACAAGAUGCAAAAGUCAGAGGUUGUUAGCUUAAACCUCAACCAAACGAAAAAUGCAAUCUUUGAUAUUAAACACAUAACCCACAUAAGUUAGCUUCACAGACUCCAGAAGGAUGGUUGGAACUCAAUUUUCCUAAAAUUGUGAGGAAAAUAAUGCAAUCUUAGGAAUCUAACACAAAUAAUGGUAAUAAAAACACACAAGAAGGGUAUGAAGACUUACAAAAUGGCACCAAAAUAUAGAUCUAACAGUAUUUGAAGCAAAUGGAUGAAGCAUUGAAGUUGUUCUAAGAUUUUUUGACAGCAAUUAAACCUAAGCUCCUUCACGUUUAGCAAUUCAUAGGAGAUAGAUAGGAGGCAGGUCUUCUUUUUUAGCAAUUCCUCAGAGGUCUCCUUCCCAUUUAGCAAUUCCCGCAUCUGUUCUUCUAUUUUUGGACUAAAAACCACCGAUGUUGGCCUUUGAGAGAAGAACAGAUGCUUGCUUCUCAAUUGACAGAGACAAGAGAGGACCAGCCUUUCUAUGUACAUAUCCCUCAGCCUCUAACAAUCCUUUGAAUUUUGAUGGACGUUGCGGGAAAAAUAAAAUUCUUGGAGGGAAUAAAACGCGCGUCCUAAAUUCUAAUUUAAGUGUUGUAGUUAAAAAUUUCUAAGAAUUGGAGUAUAUUAUAUAAUAUAUAGAAUGAAUAUUGAGUAUUAGAAGUAUAUAAUUUGAAAGAAAUCAUGUAUGAGAAAACGAAACUAAUGAAAAUAUUCAUGUGCAAUCAAUAUAAUAAAUUGUCAUAUUUAUAAUUUUUAAGUUUGCAAUCCAUAAAUAUAGUAACAAAUAAUGUAAUUCAUGUGCAAUCAAUAUAAUUAUAUUGUUAAUUAAGGUUAUAAUUGUGCUAUAUAAAGUAUUUGGGACAAUUUGAAAAAUAUCUAGAAAUUUGGGACUACUUAUAAUAUAUUCAAAAUGUAUUUUGAUUAAACUAGACAACUUGUUCUUUCUUGUUGGAAAUCGAAAUUCAAUUAUGGAACAAUAUACAUGGAAAAGUUGACCUUAUAUGUGUAUAAAUCAUCUUAUUAAUAAAAUAGUUAAACACAGUACAUUUAGUUAACUAUGAUUUAGUGAUUGAUUAUUACAUCAUUUUUUAUAUAAUACGAUAAUUAAAUAUUACAUAUAUAAUAAAAUGUUUCAAAUAUAUUUUAAUUGAUAGAAAAAAUGGUAUACAUACAAUAAAAAAAUAAUUAAAGAAAAUUUUGAGAGUAGAAUUUUGUGCUAAAAAACAUGUAUUUUGGGUUCAAAUUUAUAACCCACCACUUAUCCACUUAGAAUUAGCAAAAGUAUUAAUUCAUUUCUAAAGACUCUAAACCAAACUAAUUUAUUAUAAUAAAGACACAAAACACUAGCUCCAUGUGAUAACCUAUAGCAAAGAUCAUCUAUUCACUUUAGAUAAAUAUAUGAGUCAAAUUUAAAGAUUCAUCAAAUUUUCUAGGUUUUAAAAUUGGGGUGAUUUAUUUACAUGGAUUUAAAGCUGUCUAAAUAUAGUUUACUAUGCAAUAAACGACACUCAAUUUCGAGUUUUCUACACAAAGAUAUGGCCAAAAUACCAAAAUUGUUACUUAAUUUUUUGAAAAAUAGUAGGGUCGUAGGAUCGUAUGAUCUGGAUCACGAUCCUAUUGAUCUUGUUAAUUUAAUGCUAAUUUUUUAUCCUACUUACAAUUUGGAUCGUUAGCCAUGAUCCAUAUCGUAGGAUUGUAGAUCGCGAUUCUAACAACUACGGUUGUAGUUAAAAGUUUCUAAGAAUUGAAGUAUAUUAUAUAAUAUAUAGAAUGAAUAUUGAGUAUUAGAAAUAUAUAAUUUGGAAGAAAUCAUGUAUGAGAAAAAUGCAACUAAUGAAAGUAUUCUCAAUAUACAGUUGAAAAAAUAACUAAGUUUGUUGAAGCUCUAGUCUUUUGCUAAUUGUUUUCUCACCUAUAUCUUAUUUGAUUUGAUUAUUUAUUUAAUUUCUUAAUUAGUGAUUAAAAACCCUCUAAAUUUAAAUUUUAUUAUUUUUAUUAGAGUAAUCAAAGUAGGAAAAAUUAACUCAUUCCUAUAUGUUUGACCGUGGAGUACUCCAAGUGAAUUAUUAUUUCGAUCAACCCUAUACAGUUAUAGAAAUUCAUCGAUCACACAGCAACUAAAAAAAAAAAUUAACGCACAAUAAUGUCAUGAGCACAGUUCCCAUCUUAGUUGUUCAACAUUCACGGUGGAUUUCAAUUAGUGGUAAACAGAUAAAGGCAUCGAAAAAAGUAAUCUAAUUACUAGAUAAUUGAAUUUAUACUACAGCAUAUUUCUUUUUUCUACUGCAAAAACUUAACUAAUUUAAGACAAUGUAGUCCAAGCUAAUUGAAGAUUAAUUUUCCCCAAAAAAUGUUCAUGAUAAAAACUCAGACAAAGAGAUAAUACAACAACUUACUUUUGGAGGUGAUCUUAUACGGUUUUUAUUAACAAACUAAUUAGCCACUUAAGCCUUUUUUUUUUUUGGGACAGUACAUGACAAAAUGAGGAGUAAAUCAUUCACUUAGCAUCUAAAAUUUUCCCUCCAUAUAAUUAGUUCAACCUGAUUUAAGACUAAAAUUUUUACUAUAGGAAUGUUCGUGAUUCAACAAUGAAACACCAUAUAAACUUAUUUUGGGAGAUUUUUCCUCGAAGACAAAAAAUGAGCAACCAAUCAGAAAGUCAUACUUACAUAUCAAAAUCGAUACAGUCUACUUAAUUCACCAGCUAUGUAUAUUUCAUCCAUUUUCACAUGAUAGAAAGAACAAUAAUGCAUGGCAUUAUCGAUCAUAAAUUGCUCAUAUAAUAUGCGAUCUAUUAUGCAUCUAAGGCUUUGAAUGGAACUUAACUCAAUUAUACGAUCAUAGAAAAUGAGCUUUUAGUAGUUAUUUUUGCCUUAGAAAAAUUUCAUUCUUAUUUAUUAGAAGAUAAGUGAUUGUGUAUUCUGACUAUGCAGCGCUACGGUACUUAAUGACUAAGAAGGAUGCUAAACCAAGAUUGAUAAGAUGGAUUUUGCUUCUAUAUGAGUUCAAUUUGAAAAUUCGUGAUAAAAAGGGAGAAGAGAAUUUAGUUGCCGAUCAUUUGAGUCGAUUGUCGAUUGUCAAGGAUGAUUUUAUAUUGAGGAAAACUUUUCCUAAUGAGCAACUAUUUUCUGUUAAUCCCUCUCUUCCUUGGUAUGCGGAUAUUAUUCAUUUCUUGACCACUAAUCAAUUGCUUGCACAUUGGUAAAAAACAAAAUGAGAUAAGCUCAGAUGUGAUGCUAAGUAUUACUUAUGGGAUGACCCCUAUUUAUAGUGGCAAUGUGCAGAUCAAGUACUGCGCAGAUGUGUAAGUAAGAGUGAAUUUAAUUCUAUUUUACUAUUUUAUCACUCUUAUGCAUGUGGACGCCAUUUUAGACCACAAAGAACAGUUCGUAAAGUAUUGGAAAGCGAUUUUUAUUGGCCCACAAUUUUCAAAGAUACAUACUUGUUUCGUAAGUCAUGUAAUAGAUGUCAAAGGUAGGAAAUAUUUGUCAUAAAAAUUAGAUACUAAAAACCCUUAUGAUUUUUUUGUGAAAUUAUUGAUACAUGGGAUAUUAAUUUUAUGGGUCCAUCUCCUUCAUCUUUUGGUUUCCUUUACAUCUUGUUGGCCGUAGAUUAUGUGUCCAAGUAGAUAAAAACAAAAGCCACCCAAGCUUAUGAUUCUAUAGUGGUUACAGAUUUCAUUCAAUCACAUAUUUUUGUUCAUUUUGGGGUACCACGAAUUAUAGUAAGUGAUCGAGAAAAACACUUUUGCAAUAAAAUGAUGGCGGCUGUAUUUCGUAAAUAUGGAGUGACUCAUAAGGUAUUUACAUCCUAUCACCUCCAAACAAAUGGUCAAGCAGAGAUUUCGAAUAGGGAAAUUAAAUAUAUAUUGGAGAAGAUGGUUCGCUCUGAUAGGAAGGGUUGGAGUUCACGAUUGAACGAUGUACUCUGGAUUUAUAGGACAGUCGAUAAGAGUCCUAUAAGUAUAUCUCCCUAUAGGUUGGUAUUUGUGAAGCCGUGUCAUUUACCGGUUGAGCUCGAGCACAAAGCAUAUUGGGGGAUCAAGAAAUGCAACAUGGAUCUUGAUGAGGCUGGAAUACAUAGAAAACUUCAAUUACAAGAAUUGGAAGAGUUGAGGAAUAAUACUUACAAGAAUGCAACACUAUAUAAAGAGAAGAUUAAGGUUUUUCGUGACCAAUAAGUUGCAAGGAAAUCAUUUGUAGUUGGGCAAAGAGUUCUUCUCUAUCAAUCUCGUCUAAAGCUCUUUCUAGGUAAGUUACUUACGCUCUCGUUGGGCUGGUCCAUUUGUUGUGAUUAAUAUUUUUCACUAUGGCGCAGUGAAAAUUCAGAAUAUGCAAAUAGCUAAGAAAUUUGUGGUUAAUGGUCAUUGUUUUAAACCCUAUUAUGAAAGUGUUUCAAUGGAGAAGGUGGAGAUAAUAAAUCUUGAAGAUCCCACUUAUGCUGCUUGAACAAUAUUCGACCAUGUCUAAUCAAAAACAUUAAAGCAAGACGCUUAUUGGGAGGCAAUCAAAUUCUUUUUUUAUUGUUUGUUCACUAAUAUUAUGUGUUUCACUAUGUUUAUCUUAGGUUUUUCAAAUUUGGUAUUUUAAUUUUAAUUUUUAAUGUUUUAUUGGUUAGGUGACUUUCUCCCAACAAGGCGUGCCCACGCCUUAAAGGCAUGUGGUAAUGCACAAAUAUCCAAUUCCAUCAUUAGAAAACUAUGGACCAACAUGACAUGCCCACGUCUUGAGGGUAUGUUGUAACUCGUAAUUAGCCGACUUUAUCAUCAAAAGAGUUUCAACCAAUAAGACGUGCCCGCGUCUUGUCCUAGCAAGGGAAAAAAAACCAAUUGAACCCAAAAGAAUUUUCUUUUCUCUUCUUUUUUUUGCUUUCCUUUUUUUUAUUCUUUCCUUUGCCUUUUCCCUUUUCUAUUUCUUUUCCUUUCCUUCUUUCUUUCUUUCUUCUUUCUUUUUUUCUUUCUUUAUUUCGCUCUUUCAUUUCCUCAACUGCAUGGCCAAAACUCUACAUGUUGCUUGCACGCCGUUCAUCGCCCCACCGUCCAUUGCUGUCGCAAUUCGCUAGUUUGUCUCUACUACCUUUGCUGUAUUCGCUAUUCGUCAAAGCCUGUCACUGGUUUUGCCAUUGCCCAUCUCUAGUUUCGUCGUUGCUCGCUAUUGUGCCAUUCACCGCUGCUUGAACCACCAUGAACGUCCAUCCUCUGCCAGCGACAGCCAUCGCUCCGCACUUUCUCUGUUGUCUUGUUUCUACUGACCCAGUUUUUGGUAUUCUUGUCCUUCUCUUUUAAAUAUUGUUGGGUUGCUACUUCGGAGUUUAUUAGAAUUUCUUUUUGCAGGGUUGAUUUAAUUUGUUGAUUGGGUAUUCCUCGAAUUGUUGGAUUGGCACUACCUGACAUUUGCUUGUUUUCUGAUGAUGACCACUAACUUGCACUACUAUUUUGCAUCCAUGGGGAUUCAAUGCUGAUUGGAGGUUAUAAACUGUGGUGAAAUUGCCGCUACUUACUUGCCAAUUGCUAAUUGUUGAUAUUGAUAGGAGGUAUUGUUCUUACAUUUCUAGUUUUGUUAUUAAAUAGUGUCACAUCUCUUGGCUCUUUACUGUACACUUUGAUUUGAGAUUGCUUGGCUAUCUUUAGUCGUUUGGCAAACAUUAGAGGCUCGUAUUUCGCCAUUGUCUGAAUUGUUGUUUAUAGCUAUUUUUGGAUUUAGUUAUCUAAAUGGCUAAGAAAAAAAAGACCACCAAGGCCAACACCCCUAUGACUAAAACCACUCCCCCAUCCCAACCAACUAUACCCAUGACAGACCCUUCUACCAUCCUUCUUUUUCGGGUAAAUGGGCAUGCUUAGGUAGGGACAAGGGGGUCUAUAUCUCCUCACUGUCCCACUUUGGAGGUAAUUUGGCUCUCACCAAAGCCGUCGAUAAGCAAAGAUACUCUAAUUAUUAUGAGUGGCAAAUUAUUCCUUGUAAAUAUCUUGACCCUCCCAUCAUGGUUUCUUUGAAUAUCUUUGAGAAUAUUGCACAAAUGUUUACUGCCAUAGGCUGGCCUUCUUAUGCCGAAAUACAAUGUCCUACUUUUGUUGAAUUGGUUAGAGAGUUUUACGCCACCUUUGAGUUUGAUCAAUCCAUGGGGUAUUCUGUCACAACCUCGAAUGUGAUUCAAUUUUGAUUGAUGGGUAGGGAGUUUAAGUUCUCCAUUACCAAGUUUAAUUUGGUAAUGUGAUCCCAUUACCUAUGUAAGGUCACAAUGUUAGAGAUGUGAAAUUAUAUUGCAAUGGUCCCUAAAAUCCAACUUGAUCGAUAGGAACACUAAUUAGGUGAAUACGAGGACUCUGAUUCAACUCUCAUUUUUCCUCUCAAAUUACACUAAUAUUUUUAAUCAUACACUCAUCCCCUUACUAACUUCCUAUGGGCCCAAUAUGUUGAGUAGAAUUCGAUUGGAACAACCGAAAGGAAAAGAAAACAAAUACAAAACAAUGAAAUAAACACUUAGUCGAGUUGGAACCUCAGAGGAAGUGAGGAGCACAAGUGCGAACAGAUCACCAAGGAAAAAGAAACAAGUUUUUCGAGAAUGAAAUUUGAUUUCAAGCUCAAUCAAAUUCUAAGAGUCAAUGAUAAGAUCGAAAAAUGUGGAACCAUUGUUAAGAUGUAGAUGGAGAUGGUUGCUUAUUGAGCGUUGGAAGUAUUUCAUAUGCAAGUUGUAAUUAUAUCUCAACUUGUAUUUUUUUUUUUGAAAAACAGGUCAUGGAUGCGUCAAACGUACAGUGGUUCAGGCAAACAAUAUCCAAUCCAAUCUAUUCAAAGGCAACAAAAACAUCCGCUGCUCAUGCGACAGUAUGCACAAAGUGCUAUAUAUACAACCAAAAGGGAAUUUAUUUAUUCCAAGAAACAAUGCAUAUUCCUGUAUAUAGUCUUGGCUUUAACGAGUUCAGUCCCUUGUGCUAUUCUUUAUCCAUUCAAGAUAUUGGAGGUUGCCACCGGUUAUGGGCAAGGCGAUCACUUCUGGCACCUCGUAUUCGUGAUUCGCCUUGACAUGCUCUGUCUGAGCAUCCAAAAGUGAUUCCCUAGUCUUAAUUAUUAGCAACUCUUCAGGAUCUGUCUGCACCUCCCCUUUCCACUCAUAAACAGACUCUAUUCCUGGAACUCGGUUUACACAGGCUGCAAGCUUUUCUUUAACUAUGCUUUCUGCCAGUUUCUUUAUUUGGAACAGUGACAUAGACAACAAUGCUGGGAACAGUUCUGCUGCUUGCUUCCAUCCUUAUCCUAUUUGUACUAUGAACACUACUACCAACUUUUGAUCCCAAGAUUGGGAGAAAGUGGAGGGAUUGAGCACAACCCGUUUUAGAGGAGGGAUUAAAAGAGGGGCAGAGAUUGGAAAGACCGAAGCUUAGGACACAGAAAGUACCUACUAGUGGUAAUCGGCGACGAACUACUGAAGGUGAUACUAAAGAUGAGAGCUUUAAUGCCAUCUAAGAUUGGAAUUUGGUGGGGCUUUAUAGUACCACCAACUACUGUUUCCUUAGUGGAUGAUUUAUUCCCAACCGACGAGGUUGGGGAUGGCUCUCAACUUGUAUAAUUUUAAUUUAAUAAGAUUAAAUUAAUGACCAUGCCAAUGAUUUCUGCGUCAUGCAUGACAUUCUUUUUUCUUGUACUCUCCCAAAAGCUGAAAAUUCUCAUCUCAAUCUCCUCCUCCAGCGAUGGCUGCAUGUCUGUACAUGUUCCCCCACAACAAGAAUAAUGAAUCAAUUGCCAUAAUUGCACGCAUUUAAAUUUUUUGAGCUGGUGAUAAAUUGCAUAGUUUUGAUUUUUUCUGUUUCCGGUUCCCACUCUAGCUACUUCUAGAUUUAUUAAUUGGGAAAAAAAGAAGAAGGAAUAAAUUAAACCUUAUUUAAUUACUUUUUUAGUUAGGAUAUCUAUAGCGGAUGUAAUUAUCUCUAUAGAAAUGAAUGAAGCAUCCUAGCUUGUGAUCAUUAUCCUCUGUUGCAAUUCUCUUGUUCAAACUUCAAAUUACGGUUUUGUUUGAUAACCUAAUUCAGCACUUAAAUUUAAUAGAUUCAGAUUUUAACAUGUUCAAACACGUUUGAUAACCAAAAUUUGAAUAUUUGAAUAAAUUAAGUGGUACUAAAUUUUCUAGAUAAAACUUGCUCCUAAAGACAAGUGAUAAGUUAUUCACUUAUCACUUAAUAUGAUAUAUACUCAAAUGUAUCAGAUUUAAUACAUAACAAUUUAAUAAUUUAAUGAAUUCAAAUUUCAAAUUUUAGAUUUUAAUUUUAUCAAACGCAUCAAUGCGAACUGAAUAUGAAAUCCAAAGUUGAAAAUCCAAGGGGUUAGAACUUUGAAACAAUAGUGCCUCUAGGCAAAUUCAGCAUUUUUACAUUCUACUGAUUUAGGGCAUCUUCAAUUAUCAGUUUCAACUCCAUGGUAAAAUAUAGAUAUUACCUCUAAUAGUUAUACGCACUUACUGACGGGCUUUUGCUAUACGUACAAGUUAAAAAAUCCGAAAUACACCCGUUUCACUGCAAGUAUAGAGGUCAACUAGUAGUUAAUGGUAUAUAUCGGGUUGAUCCCACGAAAAAGAUUGAACAAUUACCGGCACUACUAAAGCUUCUCUAUUAUUUAGACUAUUAAUGAAUUAUAAGAAGUAAAACCUACUGAACUUAUACAAGAAAAUAACAAAUGAAAGCUCCUUAGGUUAUGGUAUUCCCUAAUUACUCAUGCAAAUGUUAUUUUUAGAUCAUUGAGAACUACUAUCUUGGCUAGCUAUGGUGUAAUUUCCUUAUGCAUAUGAAUCCUACUUUCGUAGUGAAUCAAUUAUACUCAUAAUUAAUCCAUACAUAUUCUCAUGGUUAUGAAAUUAGCUACAAGUUCAUUUCUUUUGUGAAAUUAUAUGAAAUGAAUCACUAAAACCACAUAGGUGCACCUCUAUUCUCAUGUGAGUGUACUCCCCAUGUUUAGCACUUCUUGAACCAGUGUUAAAUCUCAAUUUUCAUUGCAGAAACAACACCUUAGGUAAUCACAAUUAAUGACACUAGAUUAAUCAUGGUUUAAAGAGCUAAAAUGCUAAAUAACUUGCUCAAAAUAAUAGCAUCAAAUAGCCAAAUAAUAAACACUAGCAAUUAUAGAAAGUUCAACCAAAACCCAAGACAUAAACUUUAGAAACACAUAAUAAUAUAUAAAUCCAUAACUUGUAUAUUAACUAAACUUGGAAUGAAGUACAAAAGAUAAAGAGUUGGAAAGGAAUGUAACCCUUGUCACAUGAGUUCAUCUCCUCGCCUUCUUCAUCCUCCAACCUCUUCUUCAUCUAGCAAAUAAACAAGAUGGAUGAACUAACUAGCUAACUAUCUUAUACUAUACUAACCUAACACUCAUAAAAUGGAAGAACUACAUUUCUGCAGACUCCAAACUUUCUCCCGUAUGUCCCUCCUUGAAUCUUGUAAGUUUUGGCUAUAUAAACAUGAAAGUGGUCAAGAAAUGAGGCCUACACUUUUUCCCUUACAGUUGGUAAUGUUUGUCACAUGUCUAGCAUUACAUGUAACUUAUUGGAAGAGAAACCAAGUUGUCCGCGUACAGAGCAGCCUUUUUUAACAGAAAUCUGGCCAAGUUCCGACCAGAUUGCUACAAUGACCUUUUGUGCAGUUUCUGUUCAAUUUCCAGCUCUGGUCCGAUUUUUCCUCAACUUCAACUGAACUUUUCUUGAUGAUAGAAGAUGAUUUAACUCUUGACCAAAACAUAAAACUUGUAUCACUUUAAGUUAGCUUUCCAAUGCAUCAAGAAUCACCUCAUUUGGAUUUGUGUAGGCUAAGAAAUGAUUGAAAUACCCUUAACUGCUCAAUGUCCUAUUUCAGUUUCGACUAAUAGAAAUUAGCUACUGUAAUUUGGAUUUUUGACCUGGAAAACCUUAGAAUUGGAUUUUGAUGUCUUCACCAAAGUUGUAGAUCUAUCUCUUAUCGGUUCAAGAAUCAUCUCAAUCCGAUCACUGUAGCUCAAGUUAUAGCCAAAAUACGAAAAUAUAUCAAAACUGUAAAAAAUGCACAAAAUGCAAGUUAAAAGUGAUAAAACCUCAUUUAAUCACUUAAAAACAUUUUUCACCAAUUAUAGCCAAAAUGAUUCAUUUUCUUCCAAUAAUAUAACCAAAGUGACUAAAAAUGAUAUAAAAUGUCAUUCAAUUAUUACGUAAAUUAGUCACUUAUCACUUACACAACAAAUACAGAUUGUGAAAUUAAUUGUAUAAUUUGAUAUUUUGUAGGUUUUUUGGAUAUAAUUUUCACGUUUAGGAAAAAGAAAAUAUGUUAGUAAGUAAUAAUGUGAUACCCCUUGUCCCACGUUGGAAGUGGGAGGCGAAAAGGAUUGAUAUAUAUAAGAUUUGGUCUCAUAAGUUACUAGUUAUUUGGAAUAACCAUUUCGGGACAGUGAAUUUCGACACAAAAAUUACUUAGGCCAACCAUGGGCUUGGAUGGUGACAAAUAACUUACUAGAAGCUAGGUAUAUUUAUGUUUAUAUGUCCUGAAAGCAGAGUAGUUCAGAAUCUAGAUAAUGGUAACGAUAUGAUGAAAAUGAGAAGUUAUAUGGUAAACUUUAUAGAUUAAUAAUUUCAUCAAGGCAUCAUAUACAAGCAUGAUGACACAAUCCCAACUUUCAUUCUUUUGUUAAAUCUUAGUGUUUUUGUCUUAGAUUUUUUUCAAAUAAAGGAAGGAUGGAAUUUAAGCAAUAGAGGGGUGGAAGGGGAAUUUGAAUUCAAAAUCUCUAAUUUCUAAGUUUUUCACUAAGCAAUCGUCAAAACCAAAAAAUAAAUAAAUAAAAAGCAAAAAAAUGAGGACCUUGUGGUCAAUGCUCCUGUUCGAAGACAUCAUCUCCCUCUAUUGAAAUCUAAGUACCCUUGGUUGACAAUUUGUUUCCCUGAGCAUCCAUCAACACUUUUAUAUAGUAUUAGAUUAGAUUAGAUUGUCAAUGCACCAUCAAUAUCCUUAAAUAUAAAAGCUAAAGUAUAGUAAUCAAAAUACUGUUAGUAAUCUGUAUGAUUAUUUUUUAUCCUUUAAUGUUUUAGUUUUAGGAAGAUCACAAAUGCUGCGUAUCAAGCAUGCCCUAGGCUAAAUUAAGGUAAAUUAAGUACAUUGCUAAAAUGGAGAGCAUUGCUAAAUUAAGUACUUUAAGAUAAAGACUUAAGCAGCCAGAUCCAUUUGAUGUCAGCUGCUUCAAUAUCCACCUCAAAAUAAAUUAGCCUUUGUUCUAGAUUUAGCUUAAUGCUAAGUCCCUUCACCAUUCUUAGUAAUAAUUCAAUUCUGCCUCAAUUUUCUUCUGAUCUUCAAGGUAAAUGUACAAUAAAUUUCAAAAUAUAUCCCAAAUAUAUGAAUUUCUUGAAACCAUCCUUCAAUCUCAUUACCUACUCAACAAAAUGUUCCAUAAACACAAAUAUAUUAAUGAAUUUGGAGUUGAUUCGAAGAAUUGACGAGAACAACAGGGCUCCUUAGAUUUAACAAUUUCAAAUAACCCCAAGCUAGAAUUUUUCAUAUAUUCAAACAAGAAAUUGGAAAAAUCUGACUAGCUUGCAACGAGUACUACAUCUCAAGACAAGGGAUCUUUUCAGUCAACUCUUUUAUUGUAUCGAAAACCUACUUGCAUCUAUGAAUAAGCAAUGCUGAGUGAUGAUAUUUUUAAGGGCAGUCCAAUUCACUCAAUACAAAAAAUAUUUUUAAAUGAUGAUAUUCACAGGAACGUCUAUCUUACUUAAACAAACAAUAAAAAGGAGAUUGAUUGAGAAAUGGCCACAUUAUCUUAUCAUUCUUAAUUAUCAUUAGUUCAAUAAUCAACUUUAGCAGUCCGGAGACUUGUUCAAGGCUGCAACUUGUACAAGGACAAUAAAUUCUUUAUUCCUGCGUCCGGAGACUUGAGACGUGGACGCUUCAUUAGUCAAUAAUAAUAAAAGUGUGGAAUUCGACGACUAUUCUUAGCUCGUUCAAGGAAACAGAGAAAAGACGCUCUUGUACAAGCAACAGGCACAGCUACUUAAACUAUUGGAUAAUUUCAUAGACCUUUCCUGAAGUUUUGGACAAUUUCAGCUAGUACCCCUCUUAUUUUCAAUAUUACGCUGACCACUCUUACUUUAACUAGUGUUGUGACCAAUUCAGCCCAUAUAGGUAAAAGAAAUGGAAUAAAUUGACAAGAAAUGGUAUCAUCACAUUUUAUUCCACAUUUACCCUUGUAGACCCUAAAAGAAAUAUUGUAACAUAGGACAAACUUCACUUUGUCCCUCCGAAGUUGAAUCACUUUUCUAUUCUAUACACUGAACUUCAAUUUUGGAUGCUUUGCAUGUGGUUGGAGGCAAAAGCAUAGCAGAGCCCUUUUUGAGUCUCUGAUCGUUAUUAUCACAUGACCAUUGCUAAUUAUACUAUUGCUUUUGAAUGGAAAUAGCAUAAAAGUCUUAGUGAAUGAACAAAUUGAAUAGACCAUUUCGCAGAGCAGUGAAAUAGUCCAAAGCUGUGAAGCACAGUGAUAAGCUACAAAUUAUAGUGGUUUGUAUUUAUUAAUUGUCAAUGAAUGGUUGUAUUUGAGCUAUAAUUUGAAUGGAUGUUGCCUAAUUUAAGUAUAUGUUGGUUUUUGUGGGAAAAGCACGCGAUUGAGGAGGAAAUGAAUCGAAAACGCAACAAAAGGGGAAGAAUGCCAAGACACAAGGAUCCGUGGGUGGAUCCUAUGUCCAACGCCAAACAUUGAAAGGGACUUUGCGAGGACUUCUUCUAGUUCUAAUGAUUGGAAAACCCACUCAAACUCGAUUUUGGUAAGUUUUCAAGACCCAUUCUUACCAUAUUUCGGAUACAACUUUGAGAGACUAUAAAUAGGACAUUCUAGGAUGUUUUUAGAUUAGAAAGCAUUUGGCUAACGUUAGUUCAUCAUUUUUAUACCUUCUUUUCUUGAGAGAUCACAAUGGAAGUGUUGAAGAAUCAAAGGAAGUUCAAGAUGGAGAUUGAAGCGGGGAAAAAUUGAGAAGUUUUCUUACUUUUAACUUCUUAUUUUGUCUUUCAUUUGAAUUCUUGGAUUUAUCUAUGAAUAUGUUGAACUCAUUUAUAUCUAAAGUUAGGAUUUUGUGAAGGAGAUUUAAUUAGAUAAAUUAUUUGCUUUUGCUUAGAUUUAUUUAUCUUGCCUUUAUUACAUGUUUAUGUUUUGCCACUAUAGAUAUGCUUUUAGGAUUUGUAUUGAGUUAAGAAGUGAUGUACAACCGUACAUUAGAUAGAUAAACAUACUUAAUAUAAUCAUGAAAGUGGGUUAAACAUUGUAUGGCAUAAUUAUAUCACCUAAUAUUGUAAAGGAUUUAAUUAUAUACUUAUGAUCUCGAGAGCAACGUGAGAUUUCAUUAGACAAAUUUAGAAGUAUUGAGAGAUAAUCUAAAGUACUUUUCCGUGAUACAUCUUUGACUUGUUAAGAAAAUAAUUGGAUAUAUAAUUCCAAUUCGAAAUCAAAAUUUAAAACUCUAGUCUUUUGCUAAUUGUUUUCUCACCUAUAUCUUGUUUGAUUUGAUUAUUUAUUUAAUUAGUGAUUAAAAACCCUCUGAAUUUAAAUUUUGUUAUUUUUAUUAGAGGAAUUAAAGUAGGAAAAAUUAACUCACUCCUGCAGGUUCGACCCCUGGAGUACUCCAAGCAAAUUAUUAUUACGAUCGACCUUGUACAGUUAUAGAAAUUCAUCGAUCACACAGCAACCAAAAAAAAUUAAUGCACAAUAAUGUCAUGAGCAGAAACAGUUCCCAUCUUAGUUGUUCAACAUUCACGGUGGAUUUCAAUUAGUGGUCAACAGAUAAAAGCAUCCAAAAAAGUAAUCUAACUAGAUAAGUGAAUUUAUAUUGUACAACAUAUUUCUUUUUUCUACCGCAAAAACUUAACUAAUUUAAGACAAUGUAGUCCAAGAUAAUUGAAGAUUAAUUUUCCCUAAAAAAUGUUCAUGAUAAAAACUCAUCAAAGAGAUAAUACAACAGCUUACUUUUGCAGGUGAUCUUAUACGGUCUUUAUUAACAAACUAAUUAGCCACUUAAGCCUUUUUUUUCCUUUUGGGACUACGCAUGACAAAAUGAGGAGUGAAUCAGUCGCUUAGUAUCUAAAAUUUUCCCUCCAUAUAAUUAGUUCAACCUGAUUUAAGACUAAAUUUUUACUAUAGGAAUGUUCGUGAUUCAACAAUGAAACACCAUAGAAACUUAUUUUGGGAGAUUGUCCUAGAAGGUAAAAAAUGAGCAACCAAUCAGAAAGUCGUACUCACAUAUCAAAAUCCAUUCAGUCUAAUUAAUUCACCAGCUAUGUAUAUUUCAUCCAUUUUCACAUUAUAGAAAGAACAAUAAUGCAUGGCAUUAUCCAUCAUAAAUUGCUCAUAUAACAUCAAGAUAUUCAUGGUGUGGACCUCAAAUGACUCGUCAUGUCUACUGGCUACAUUUAAACAUAUCUUAUGGCCAGAAUGUUCAUCUUAUCAACUUGACGAGUUUAUUCAUGGUACCAUACCAUUAAAUUAAAAAAUUUUCCACCUUUUACCUUUCAUAGAUAUCAGGGAAUAUAGCUAAUAACGCACUUUUGGCAGCAAUAUUCCUUCAACCAAUUAAAGAUUUUCGGAGCUUAAAGUUCAGCUCCUAAAGCUCUUCUCCACCAACCAACAGAGAAAUUACUUUUAGCAAAGUUGUUAAAUUUUGGCACCAGGUUUUGAUGGUAUCUUGGUAAGAUUGGAAGAUUAUAUUGCGCUUCUAAGAUAAUUUUUAAAAAAGAUAUUUUAGUGAGAGCAUUAUGGUCAAUUUGCCCCUAAUGAUAUUGACAUUAGGUCCCAUCAACAUCAGAAGGGAGCUCAUUGUAUUAUUGGAUAUAACAAGGGUGCGAGUGAAAUUAUGAAAACCCUCAAGGGAGGAUUUUGAAAUUAACCCUAAAAUACUCAUUCCACGCAAGGCGUGGCGUUCCCCUCCUAGUUCCUAUAAAUAGGGCACCAACUCAAUGCACUAGUCACUCGAUAUCAAUAAUUUAGCACAUUAUUUACAUUUUGAGUGAGAUUGUGAUAAAAUGGCAUCUUCAAAAAAUUUGCCCUUUCUUAUUGGCGUUCUCUUUGCACUUGUGCUCCUCAUUUCCUCUGAUGCAACAGCUGCAGGUACCUAGUCCCUUUUUUUUUUCCUUUCAUCCUUUUUUUUUUUGCUGCACCUAAAUAUUUAAAUGAAUGGAGAUUUGGAGACUCAUUAUUGGGAUGUGAAUUUUUAUGGAAGGCUAUUUGUAUAUUAUCAAGCAAGUCAUAUUAAUGUGCUAAUAUCCUUUUCAUUGUUUAGCAAAAGUAAAAUUGGGUUGCUUCUAUCAAUGGUUAGUGGCACAUCUGAUUUUUCAUGCAUCCUUAUAGUAUUGCUGUAAGGAUACACGUUCCAUAGUGUCGCACCAAAGCUUAAACUAACGUCGAAACCAAAUUAAAUGCUUCUAAUUAUAAUUUAAAGCAAAAUAAUUCAUAUCCAAGUCGCACCAUCUUAUAUGCCUGGACUGUUUUGUUUAAUCCAUAGUAUUCUUUUCUUUGCAUAUAUCUUGCAAAUUUUCAGCCUAGCCGGUCACCUAACGUUCGCAGCUUAAGAUAAAGCUCCAAAUAUUUAUGUCUCCUUGUGUCUUGAAACAGAUCAGAAAAGCGUGAAAACCACUGGUGUCCACGAUUCCAGUUCAGGCGAAGAUCGUUGCACAUAUGGUUGCUGCCACUGGUACAAUGGACAUUGCCAAAGAUGCUGUCCACCUGCUGAGGAGACUUGCAGAUAUGGUUGCUGCUACUGGUACAAUGGACAUUGCCAAAGAUGCUGUCCACCUGCUGAGGAGACUUGCAGACAUGGUUGCUGCUACUGGUACAAUGGACAUUGCCAAAGAUGCUGUUAACCUACUGAAGCUACAUCCGGAGAUGAGGUCAAAAAUUAAUGCUAAAUAAAUAAGGGUGUGAGACAGGAUCCGUGACACCUAUAUUAUUACGUUAAUAUGUUAUGUUGUGUUUGCGUUUGAUGGUUGAUUUCCUAUAUGUGUAAAAGACUUGUGCGGCUUCUCUUUGAAUUGGUGUAGAAUCAACAGGGGAAGCAUGUAAUGAGUACUCAGUUCGAGUGCUCUUCUUAUGUUGUUGUCAUGUUGAAUAAAUAAAUCUACGUGAUCAUCUACUACAAUUGAUGAUCUCUAUCUCAGUUACGUCAGAAACUUCUGUACCUUGGACCUGCUAGAAUUUAGCGUGAUUGAUAUAAGACGUGCAGAAUGUUCAAUAUAUGUAUAUAUGUGCUUCUUCAUCGUGCCAUGCCAUUACAAUGUGAAAGAAUUCAGCAUCGACGGAGUGAAACGUACCCAAUCCUGCUCCUGAGAAAGGAAACAAAGUCCCUCAAAAAUGGAUAUUUUGGAUGCCAUCAAGAUUUUGAAUUGAAUGCCAUUUGGAGAUCUGAAUGUUGUUUUUUUUCCCCUUUAUCUUCGUUCAAGAUUUUUUUUGGUGGAAAUGCUUCAUUUAUGGACAAUGCUACAGUGCCUAUAGUUAUGGUAACGAUAUUAGAGAAACCUACUAUUACAGGUUUCUAUUACCUUUAGUGACAGAUCCAAUUUUUUAGCGACUUUUGAAAUAUUAUAUUAAAAUAAUUAAUAUUAAAUUUAGUAAGUUUUUAAUUAAAACUAGUAAGUUUAUGCCUGAAAGAUAAGUUUUAGUCAGAAAUAGAAAUUUACACUUUGAGUAAUUUAAUUUACUUAUUAUUUGACGAAAAUUACUUAUUUUUGAAUUAAACUUACUAAUACUGCAAGUAAAAAAUGUUCAUAUUUAAGUAAAAAAGUUACCAGUUUCUAAAAAUGGUUUUGGGUUCCUGAACCACUUUCGGAUAUUAUCUUGUUAAAGUCAUCUCCCUUCUUAUUACUUAGUUCUCAGUUUCAACAUACGAUUGAAUUCCCAGGCAAAGGUUUCCACUUUGGUCCACACUUUCUCUUGGUGACAAGUGAAUAAAUUUUCCCACUUCAAAUUUUCAUCUUCAGUUCCCACUUUCCCUCUAUCCUUUCUCAUCGAUCGGUUGUUUUUGGGUGCUGCCAUAUGCAGACACAAUAAAAGGGUUAGCGACGGUGGUAGCCAACCAAAGAGCAUAUGAAAAAUAGCAGUGACGAGGUUAGCCUAUCAUGUCCUCUUGAAAUCGUUUGAUUAUAUUGCUGUAAUUUAUUUAUAUUUCAUUUGUUUUGUUUGUCAAGAUUUUCUUGCGAAAUCAAGGCUGAGAAUUUGAAGAUUUUAUUGCAAUUUUGGGGCUGAAAAUGUCCACUGAAACAUCUAGCCUUGAUUUGGUUGUAGUUUUGAUUGUCUGCUGGUAAAAUAUACUUAAUAGCCAUAUGAAGCAUCUAGGAAAGGACUUGAGACUAGGUGUUUAAGUUAAAUGUGAUUAAUUUAUGAAUGCAUAUAAGAUGUUUGGUGAAAUGUCAAAGAGAAAUCUGUGUGUUAUGAUUGCUGCUCUGUGCUCUUCAGCAGCCAGAGAUGAGACCAGCUCUUAAAGAAAUCACCCUCGUCAGUCGACAACAGCGCUCAAGAUCACCCUUGGGAUUGUAAAUUGUAUAAUCUUUUAUACAAUAGAUUAUAAGAUGUAUAAUCUAUUGUAUAAUUUAAAUUAAAUUUAGUUCACCUAUAAAAUGGUCCUAAAAUAAUUAGUACACUAUGAUAAAUGUUAUUUUAACAACAAAAUAUUUUUUUUUUACUAAAAGUCGGAAAUAUCCAUGACAUAUGUAUGAGAGAUAUUUUACCAUAUUUAUAUCUCACAUCUAAUCAUGAAAGUUAAUUUGAGAAAAACUAUUUUUAACAAUAGAAUUAUUUUGAAUUUAACCAACAAGUUGAGAUUUUUUAAACAAUAAAAGUGAAAUAUUUUGGGAACUUUUUUUUUUUUUUUUUUUUUUACAUAAAUAUGGUCUUUAUUGGCAAAGAAAAGAGAAAUUACAUAGAUCGUGUGACUAACCUACCCUGAGACCGUACAGACUCUCACAUACGGAGUUGACAACCUAUCUAACUGCAAAAGAGCCCGAACUUUAGAAGGGAGAGCUCUUUCACUGAAAAAUCGGGCAUCCGUUCGUAGGUCCGAGGAGGCCAAAGCGUCGGCGACCGCAUUAGCCUCUCUGAACGUGUGAACCAGAGACACCCCCAAUUUUGCCACCAAGCACCGAAUAUGCCUAAUUGUGUUGCAUAACGGCCAGCCAGCCGUCAUCUUAACGGACACGAGAUGCACUAAAGUACUAGAAUCCACUUCUGCUAUGACUCCCGUGAGAUUGUUGUCCUGGCAAUACCGAAGACCCUCCAGCAAAGCCAACGCCUCUGAGGAGAGAACGUCUUGCUCUCCAAACUCCUUAUAAAAGGCAAACACUAAAUUACCCUCACCCGAGCGCACCACCCCUCCACCACUUGACCGCCCGCUUACCACACUAGCAUCAGUGUUGAGUUUCACCGCUUGCCCUGUAGGUUUUACCCAAGAAAAGGCUCGAAGCUGUAUCAAUUUGUUCUUGGCCUUACCGAAUUUCACCCAGUCGCAAUCUGUGUCCCCUUUGAAGAACUCCAACUUGAACAGGCCCCCCCUACCCAACUGCUCAACCAAUGCGCACACCUGGUUGGUUACCUGAUCUGACGACAUACUCAUCCCCUCAAAGCGGGCCUUGUUACGGCCCUUCCAAAUAAACCACAAGAUCAAGAGCGGGAGGAUGACACGAAUAUGAUUCUGUGAGACAAACCGGUGAGAAAAGAGCCAACAUGAAAGCCUCGAUGCCACCCCACUCCCCUGGAGUACCAGCCCAAAGCGGCAGGAGAAGUGCCGCCAAACCCUGCUCGCUAAAGGGCCCGAGACAAAAAGAUGGUCUCCUGUUUCUGGCGCUAGGCCACAACAGUAGCACUUUGACGCUAACCUCAACCCUCUACCUUGAAGGAGAUCAUCCAAGGGGAGCCAACCACGCAACAACCUCCACACAAAGAAGGAUACCUUCAGAGGGACCACCGAGCUCCAGACCAGCGAAUCAAUAACAGAUCGAUUACGCUUUGACCGAAGAACGUCCCAAGCUGAAGACACAGUAAAGCUCCCCGAAGGUGACGCCGCCCAAAUCAUUUGGUCUUGCAUAUUGGGAAAAAUACGCAGCUCCAAGAUCUUCGACACUAAGUGCCCCGGAAGCAGCCUUCUGAGCCACUGCUCAUCCCAACCAUCAGAAAGAAAAAAUUCCCCUACCAACCUGUGAGACUUAGGGCCUGGCACCAACCUGGCGAGCGGAACAUCAGUACACCACCUAUCCUGCCAAAAGUCAACUAAGCCCUCCCCCAGACACCACCGGAUAUUCCCCUCCGUGAGGUCCCUCACCUCUAUCAAACGGCGCCAAAUUGGGGACGGGCGGUCAACUGAAACUAGAAGAGGAUGCCCCCCUCUGACAUACUUAACGUGCAUGAACUCUGCCCAAAUGGAUGCCCGUUCCCUCAACUUCCACCAAAGCUUACAUGAGAAAGCCUUAGCGACAUCCUCAAAUGGGCGAAACCCCAGGCCCCCUUCCUCGACCGGACGGCACACCUUAUCCCAAGCCGCCCAGUGGAUCCGUUUGCUUUCAAUAGAGGUAUCCCACAAGAAAGCAUUGCACAGACGGCCUAACUGCAGCAGCACAGCCUUCGGCGGUUGGAGUACCUGGAGUAAGUAGACCGGAAGGGAACACAGGACACUUCGUAAAAGGACAAUCUUCCCCCCCAUAGAUAGCAUCUUUGAGCUCCAAUGGAAUAACUUUUGGCGAACCUUGCCCAGCAACGCAUCAAACACUGCACAUGUGACCCUACCGCGAAUCAUCGGCACCCCUAGAUACCUGAACGGAAAAACCUGGCACUGGUACCCCAGGGUCGUGCUUACCAGGGCCCGCUGGGUGUCUGUAGCCCUAGCCGAAGCGUAAAAAGCACUCUUAGCAAUAUUCACCUUCUGACCAGAACAACUUUGGUAGAGCUGCAAAAAAUCCUUAAUGGACACCAACGCAUCCUGCGAGCACCGAGUAAAGAUGACCAUAUCAUCCGCAAAGGCUAAAUACGGCACUUUCGACCCAGCAGAAACGAAGUAUCUACUGUCCUUGGAAUCAAAAAUCCUUUGCAGCCCUCUCCCAAGAAAAUCCGCCACGAAUAAGAAAAGCGCAGGAGAAAGAGGGUCACCCUGUCGCACCCCUUGAAAUGACUUCACAAAACCCGUUGGUUCCCCAUUAACUAGGAUCGAGAACCAAGUGUUAGAAAACGUUCGAAAGAGCAAAUCCACUACUACCUCUUCAAACCCAUACUGCCUAAGCAGAAAAAGUAGAAAGGACCAAUCAACCCGAUCAUAUGCCUUCUCCAUGUCCAGCUUCAAGAUCAAAUUCGGGUCAAUCAACCUCCUAUCCAAGUCUAAAAUCAGCUCCUGUGCCAAAAGAACAUUGUCCACUAUCCCACGCCCCGGAACAAAACCUGUUUGCCAUGGUGAAAUGAGCUUCGGGAGGAGCUUGCUGAUCCUGAUGGCCAAUAUCUUAGACACAACCUUAGAGGUUACAUUACAAAGACUAAUAGGCCGAAAAUCCCGCCAGUGGGAUGCACCCUCCACUUUUGGGAUGAGCACCACCAUAGAGUGGGACCAGCUCCUGGGUUGCUCCAUACCCUGGAAGAAGUCCUGGAUAGCCAUAAGCAAGUCAUCCUUGACAAUGUCCCAGCAGCUUUGGAAAAAACCUGCUCCAAACCCAUCCGGACCCGGAGCACUCUGUAUCUCCAUUCCAAACACUACCUCAUGGAUUUCCUCCAUCGUAGGAAGACGUUUCAUAAUCUCAUUAUCCUCCUGGGUGGCUCUAGGAACCUCAAAAGGAAGCUCAGUGAGGGCCUGUACCUGACGGUUGGAUGCGAACAAGUCCGAAAAAAAGGAUAUCGCUGAGUCCUUAAUCUCCUGCAGGUCUUCAUGCCAUCCCCCCUCCUCUUUCCUAAUACGGGAAAUGAAAUUCGAGUUCCGACGCUGGCGGACCCAAGAAUGAAAAAAUGCAGUAUUAGCAUCCCCCGCCUGUAACCAUUUAAUACCUGCCUUCUGAUGCCAAAACUCACACUCCAUGGAAAGGGCCCGAUUGUAUCUCGCUCUGGCCUCAUGAAGAUGAAUCUUCGACUCCUCACUUCUAACCAAAUCGUACUCCACCUCCCUCUGUUUUACCUCCUGAUCCGCCUCUGCCACCUGAGAAGAGACAUUGCCAAAGACCACACGGUUCCAUUGCUUCAAUGCAUCUCGCACCGUUUUGAGCUUGUUGUAGAAUCUAACCAUCCCCAUGCCAUAGACCUCCUUACUCCAUGCGGCGAACACUAUCUCCCGGAACUGGGGGUGCCCGCGCCAAACAUUAAGAAACCGAAAGCAAGACGAUGUAGCCCUAUAGCCUGCACAUCGAAUCAACAACGGACUGUAAUCCGAUCUCCCUCUGGCCAUAUGGGAAACCCUAGAAAGCGGAUAGACCUCGGACCACCGCCUAUUCCCCAACGCCCGAUCCAAGCGCUGCCAGACUGACCCAUUAGUCCAUGUGAAUCGAGACCCAUCAAAAUCAAUUGUAGAUAGCCCGCAUUUGAACAUGGAAGCAUUAAAUUCUUCUAUGUUCCGAACAUUAGCUGGAGCCCCCCCUUCACGCUCCGCUGCCGAAGCUAUGACAUUAAAGUCGCCUGCUGCUACCCAGGGUUGAUUGUGUGAGACCGAGGAAGCCACACUUUCCAUUGCCUCCCAGAGUGGCCUCCGCCCAACCCUCGUGCACUUGGCAUAUAUCGCAGACACCCAAAAGGAUGCCCCAGAGCCAAAGGAAACGUGAGCAUGAAGCAUUUGCUCAGCGUACUCGACACAGCUAAAUCGUAAGAGGCACGACCAAAACACCCAUAUUUUACCACCAAUAUAAAGAGCUGAGAAAUCAAAAUUUAAAAACCUCCGAACCACCUCCAACUGACACUCCGCAGACAUUGGUUCUAAUAGAAAUAAUAACCUAACCUUGUUAUCGUAGCACAGCUUCUUCAGAUAGCGCAAAGAGUCCCUUCGGGAAGCCCAUCUGAUAUUCCAAACUAGCAUAUUAAUCGGAUCUAACAUGAGACCGCAAUGAGUAUGAAGCUUGCGCCAAGGGUACACACAUGCCCCCCUUUCUUGGUCUCCCCCGUUUCCGUCUUAGAACCGUGGCGGCAUCAUCCUCCUCCAAGUCAUUACAUAAAUCCCCUUCAAGAAGAGUUAAAGAGUCCAAAACAGUGUCAACACCCUGGACUGGUUGCGCCUUAGCAUUGAAAUCCCGUUGAAACGCCUUCAAUUCUUCAAGCGAGACUGAGACAGCUCUCACGCUAUCCACUGAACGCCCUCGGUGAUGGCAGUCCCGUUUCCAACCUCUCGACGCUGACCGUACAGGGCUCCUGUCUCGCUGCUCCUCAUCUGCGGAUUCACCUUCCAACUCUCCUAGAGCAGCGAAAGAAUUUGUCACGCGUAUGCUUCCCUCCUCUUCGGCGCCUAUACGAGACCCGCCCUGCAGCUCAAUCCACAGGUGACCAGCACUCCUGUGGCCGCACUUGUCAUUCCCCAUUCCUUCCGACUGAAUAACUAGCCUGCCCUCCUUCCCCUUAUCCCCAUUACUCCCCAGACCCAAAGUCUGUACCAUCUUAUUGUCAUCUGCAACAGGCUCCAGAGACGCUGCACUCACUGCCGCAUCAGUCUGUUCCAAUGCUCCUUCCGACUGGAGCAGCGCACAACCAGUACCAGCAGCCAGUCCUUGUUCACCGACAGCAGCCGCCUGCACACUCUCCCGCGACACCUGGUCCUGGCCAGGUGCCACCGCCAACUCCUUCCCAUUCACCACUUUCGGAACGUACACUUGCCGAUGUUUCAGUGUUUUUGCCUGGGCAGCGCGAGGCUGCGGAUCCGGGCGCAAGGAAGGAUUUCUAUGAAAACACUGCUCCUCUGUAUGGCCGAAUCUGCUGCAGAACCCACAGUAGUCUGGCCACCCCUCCAUCUCAACAGGCUGCCAGAAACCGAAGUGAUCAUCACCUAUCCAAAUACGACGCACAGGGGUCGACACUACGUUUACCUCCACCAAUACUCUGGCAACGGACGGACGGCGCAAAUCACACGUUGAUGCGUCAAUCUUGAGGGGCCUGCCCAACGUAGAAGCGAGCUUGAUUAACUGGGAUCUCUGGAAAAAAGGAAUCGGCAAUUCUGGGAAGCAAACCCAGAUUGGAGCUAUGGCUAACUCCUGAUCUGCCUUAAAUUCCAACGACCACUUGGAAAUCGACAUUGGCGAGCUGCUAACAUACCAAAUCCUCCGCGCAAAGAGACGGGUGUAGUCUUCCUCCAGAACGGGACGAAUGAGAACGUGUUUCUGGUCGAGGAGGCCAACCUUACAGUCCCCUCUGAGACCCAGCGACAGAAAGAACUUUCUGAUGACUUCCAUGGGUGGUCUGUUGAAGGAGAAACGCCCCACCAACGAAUUCUGAAACGGUUCCGAAAGCUGCUCAAUUUCCCUACGAGAGAUACGCAAAGCAGGUUCUCCUCUGAAGGUAGAGACCUCCCCUAAAGCUAUGGCAUCAGGUUUAUCCGAAGCGCCUGCCAGAACCGAAGCAAAGGACCUCUGAACCGGAGACUGACUGGCCUGUGUGUGUGACGGCCCACAGGCCGCCAUGUCCGGUAAGAAGAUCUAGCCGCACCCUCAACCCUAGCCGCACCCUCAAACCGUCAAAAGUCGGUAUAUUCUAUAUUUUGGGAACUUAGUUGUUUAUUUUCCCAUAAUUAAAAAUUUAAAAUAUGACAAAUUAUUCUUACAUAUUUUAUAAGGUCAUAUGCAAAAAAAAAAAAUUUUCAUAGUAUAUUUAAAAUGCUUCAAACAUAUAACAUUUAUAAAUGAUAUGUACAAUUGUAAGUUUCUUUAAGUAAAAUAGUAAAUUUAUGCCACAAACUAUUAAGUUUUGAUGAUUAACCAAAUUUACUAAUCUAUCAACAAUAUUUACUAUUAAUCUAUAAAAACUUACUAUUACUUGAACUAAACUUACCCUCCAAAAACUAAGUUUCAGAUAUAGAGUAAUAUUUUAUUUCAUAAAAAACAAAGUUAGUUCCAUAUUUAUUCAAAUUUACUUUUUGAGACAUAAAAGUUACUAAUAUAUUGAGUUAACUUACUAUUCUUUAUGCAAAACUUACUAACCACCAUUUUAGGUACUAUUUCAUUUAGAUGACCAGUAUAACAGGUCAUCAAAUGGUCGCUAAAAGUAUUUUUACCUGUUAUAUCAGGUAAAAAUAAUUUCGUUACCAUAACUAUCGUUACUUCAGACUUUUCCUUCAUUUAUACGAAUUUUCCUAGUUAGUAAAGGCUUCUAUUACACUUGUACAAUACACAUUUAAAAGUAUAACACAAUAAAAGCUUGUGUAGUUCAUAUAUUUCAAAAAUAUUCAUACUUUCAACUAAACUAUAAAAAUACGUAAUAUAUUCUUGAUACAUUAUACUUUACGAACUAUACUUUAAAUUUUAAAAAUAUUUAAUACUAUCACUUAUUAAUAACUCCACAUGUUAGUUUGUCUCCCAAUUCAAUAAAUUAUAGUAGCUAAUUCUCAAAGCUAUUCGACACCAAAAUUCCCUUACUCGUUCACCUCCUAGUGGAUUAUUAUUAAUUACAUUGCAUUUAUUUCCUAAGCAUGAGUUUUGUAACCCCUCAUAUUAAAUCUCAAUGAUUAAUUUUAACGGUUACCAAGGCGUCUAGUAAUUGGUUUGCUAUUUUAAUUUGAACUAGACAUUUAUUAGGUCUAGUAGAAUUUAUUCCUUCUUAUCACUUAGUUCGUAAACCUUAUGAAUCGUUAAAACCAGCUCUAACAUUAGGUAACAAGACUUCUACAAUUUCGGGUUUUGCUUAGAAAUCAGUCUGAUAGUUUAACUUGCUUCGUCCAACUUUAUGAGUUGCUUUUUUUUUUUUUCCAUAUUUGGCAUUUCAUCUGACUUUAAUACGGGGACCAAGUUAGUAUUGUUGGCAUUUCAUAUCUAAGACUUCUUAAUUAAUUGAUUUGUUAUAAGAACUAUAACGUAUGCGUGUUUUGUGAGCUUUCAUGUUUUUUUUUUUUUUUAAUUCUUGUGGACCAGCAAUGGAUAGUUUCUUCUAGUGCCAAGCUUCCUUUGAAGUUCUUUAUUUUUUUUUUGCGUGUCCAAAUGUAAAUUAAAAGAACCAACAACUUUGAACAAGUCUAUAUCUAGUAAAGAUAGAUAUAAAGAGGGAUACGUAUACACAGAUUAUAUAAUUUUUUUUCAAAUGUAUGAUUAAAAGUUUAGUAGUACAAAAAUACGAGUUUAUCAUUAUUAUGGAUAUCAUAUAAAUUCAUAUAUGAAUAGUAUGAAUAAAUAUAAAUGUUAUAGAAUUAGGUAUACAAGUGAAAUUACUAUAAUUUUGAAUGAUUAUGCUAGUUUUAUAUCAAAUUUAAUGCUGAUCCUUGUAUAUAUGACAUCAGAUUUAUUAAAGUUUUAUCACUUUUUUACAUUUAUAUUUAUAAUCCAUCUAAAGUUUGUUAUUUGACAAUACCAUUUGAUAUAUACCUCAAAAGGUACGUCAUUAUCUUGUCUCACUUUUUAAAAUUUAAAGUAUAAAUCAUAAAGUAUAAUGCAUCCAAAAACAAGUAUAAUGCAUCAAGAAUUUAUUAUAUAUUUUUAUAGGUUAGGCGAAAAGUAUAAAUAUUCUUGAAAUACACGAACUAUAGAACCUCUUUUGUGCUAUACAUAUAAACGCGUAUUGUAGAAGUAUAAUAGAACUAUUUACUAGCUAGGCAAAUUCGUAUAAAUGAAGCAUUUCCACCAAAAAAAUCUUGAACAAAGAUAAAGGGUUCAGAUCACUGAAUGCCAUUCCAUUCAAACUCUUGAUAGCAUCCAAAAUAUCCAUUUGAAGGACUUCGGUUUCUUUCUCAGGAGGGAACGGAGUUGAGUUUGACUCCGUCGAUGCUGAAUUAUUUUACAUUGUAAUGACAUGUAUAUAAAUAUUAUUGAACAUUAUGAACGUCUUAUAUCAAUCACACUAAAUUCUAGUGUUCCCAAGUAGGGAUGAGCAAAUUCGGUUCUUACCGAAUUCAUAACCGAUUUCAAAUUCAAUUCGGUAAUUUGAAAUCGGGUAUUUGGUAAUUUGGUACAAAUUCUGUGAGAACUCGAAAAUUUUCUUAUUUUUAUAGAAUAUUACUGGAAUAUUUAAAUGAUUAUUCACUAAUUUUCUUCGAAUUAUUUAUUUCGACCAUUUUAAUUCCAUUUAUAUGGAAUGACGCCUCUUUAUAUUUUUAAAGCGUUUUGUUGAAAAAUUCGCUUUUCGAAAAUUUGUUUAGUCCGGAACGACGGGUGCACGUUUUUCUAGGCCAUACUUGAAUCGGGAGUGUAUUAUUUAUUGGAGAAUUAAGAACGAUCAAUAAUAGAUUAAGAAAGGUUAAAGGAGGAAUUAAUACUCAAUUCACGUGAGGACUCGUAAAAUUAUUAUUUUAAAAUCCCUAAUUUUGGCUAAAUUAAUUACUUAUUUAGAUUUUUGCCACGAAUAAUAUUUUCUAGCCUUUUUAGACCUAAGUACAUGGUUUUAUAGUUUCGUUAUAUUUUUAAAGUGUCUCAUUUCAAAAAUUAUUUUCUUAUAAGCUUGUUUAGUGAAAAGGUGAAAACGUGUCCAAACACUUUAGCCAAUUGGGAAUAAAAUAAGUUCAAAAAUUUGAGACAUAUACAAUGGUUCUAAAAUAGACAAUUUUAGAUUUAAGCACACAAGUGAUAGCUAGUGGUACGAUUGUUAUAAGAAUUUCUCGAAAGUUUCAUUUUAUUGCGCCUAAAUUGGAAAUACGUGUUUUCACGUGCGCGCUUAAUUGAGGGACUUUGGACAAUUAUUUUGGGACAAUUAAGAAUGAAUAAUAUUUAUAUGAAUGUAAGUGCCCUAGAGGUUUAGUGCACUAGUGUAACAAACUUAAGGAAAAUUGAACACAAAACGCGCGAGUAGGGCACUAGUUGCAAUUAAAUUUUUCAUACUUAAAAUAUUAGACGGUCGGCGUUCUUUGUAUGCAAAAAGGAAUCAGACUAACAUUCAUAUCUGCAAGCUUUAUGGACGGCUAGCAACUGCAGCAAAGAGCAACCGAAAACUUCCACCAUUUCCUCUACAAACUCCACCAAAUUCAACCAAAACUUCACACACACUUAGCUCUUCACUUGGACAAUCACUUGGACAAAGAACGAGCUGCACAUUCACGGUUUUUCUUGGGGCUUUUGGACACCAAAAUCUGAUCUUUUAGCACACAAGUAAGGUAACCAUGAUCCACUCUUCAAAUCUUGUUCGUUGAAGGCCAACUCACACUUAAGAGCUUGAUUAUGCUUAUGGGUAGCUUAUUAUUGUUAGAAAUUGUUAAAUGUGGGCUCUAUGAACUCCCACUUUGAGUUGAUGGCUGUGAUGAUUUUGAUGAUGGUUUUAUUGUUGAAUUAGUGCUUAAGGGAGUAGAUUAAAGGUGCAUUAUCGCCAGAAACUUCAUUGAGCUCUUGAAGCAAAAAGUUCCCCUGCUCCGUUCGGUGGCAGAAAUUUGAGAAUUUAAUGGCUUGAUUGUGUUGUUUAUAUGUUGUAAAUUUUCAUUGAAAAAUACUGAGUUUUGGUUGGUCAAACGAAUUUAUUCCCAAAGCUAGUAAUCUGGAAAACGGUUUCAUCGUAAUCCAGACCAGUGUUCGUAUUUCGUCCAUAACUCCGUACUCCGACGUCAAAAUCAAGUUCCGUUAGCGGCAUUUGAAACUAGACGUUCCCAUCUUUCCAACGGUAUAUAAUGCACAUUCUGGUUCCAUGUGUGUGAACCGCACCACUCAUCUGAAUUCAGCUGCCCUGUUUCGCCGUUCUGCCGAAAUGAUUUGAUGAUGCUGCAACUUUAGGCUUAAUUUCGAGCUAGUUGCAUGCUGAAACAUAAAAUGAUUUCUUCUGUGAAAUUAUAGUCCUAUGCAUGUAUUUUCUAACACUAUCAACCAUGCUCAAAUCCGAGUUAAAUUGAGUGAGUUAUGAUCAAAAUACGGUGACUGUUUUGUUCUUGAAAGCCUUGGAUUUGGACAGAUUUGACGUGACAUUUGUGGUGGUCUUACUAAAUGAAUUUCUUGAUACUAAACACCUACCACAUGUACCAUGAAUGUUUCUUAAACUUUCCUUUCGCAUAUGAACCAUGAUUGGAGGAUUUUCUUAGCCAAACGAUUGGAUUUGGGAAGAAAAGGAUUAAGGACAGAUUGUCUUGAGAAUUUUUUCAAACUUUGGUUGAUUGGUUAACCACCUUCCCGAAGGUAUUUUUCCACGAAAUUUUGUAGAGAGAUACCCUUCAUAUAGUAGUACCAUACUACAAAAUUUGGGGUCAAUUCAAGUCCGUUUCGACACUUAACAAAAGUUCCAUAGUCGGAACCAAAUCUGGAAAUUUUGUAACAGUCUUGAAUUUUUCCCAACUUUGAGCUACCAUAUCUUGGUGUUCGAAACUCCGAUUCUCGAUCCGUUUAUUCUACCCUAAACCUUAGUUGCACCUCUAAUUGAGCUAUAAAUUUUAAGGGCUGGUUUGCAACGAGUGAAUUCUGCCGAAUUUCCAAAGUUAGCGAAAAGCCAACCCCGGGUCAAUCCUGGGUGAUCUGGGAUAGCAACUUUAAACUCAUUUUUGAAUACCUUUCAUUUCGAUUCGUGGAACAGUGUCUUCUAAGAACUUUUAGUAAUUUCCAAGAGGUUUCCAACGGUAUAAAGUUUUCCAAUUUUAGACUUGUAUCGAGUGAGAUACGAUUUUUCAAAGAUCCAUAUCAAAACUAAAAUUUUCCAACUUUCAAGGAAAUAGAGAUUUCCAAGAACUUUUUAUUCUUUUGACAUUAUGCAAACAUUUUAACCUCAAUUUCCAAGAUAAAAACCCAAAUGCUCCUGUGCUUUAAGAAACUCUAAUUGAACCUCGAUUUACGAGUAAUUGAGGUUCGAUUUCGUGAAAUUUCCUUAGAUUGUACUAGUGUACAAUCUUCCUUGAUAAUUGGGAUAUAUGAAUGAUAAUACGUUAUUAUUUGCCCAGGCGCACACGAGGACCUUCAAGAGGAUCCUACCGUGCACACUUGAACUUCCAGAAAAUAUUUCUUCUUGAUUUGCUCGGUGAGUGUCAAGUGUAUGACUACUUGAACACUAUGGACUUGAUUCAUGCUUGGCUUACCUGAUUACAUGCUUAGCCUACUUGGUUUUGAAAAAUGGAGUCGAGUGUUUAUUUUAUCGCACUCGUUCUCAUUUGAAACAAAUGACUCAUGCUUAACAUGGUUUGCCUGAUUUACAUGACCUGAAAUACAUGUUUAGACCUGUCAAAUGCUUGAAUACAUGAUAUGGUAUGCUAUGGCUACAUACGUCGUUGGAGUGAAUCUUCUCGACACUUACAUGACACAUGGGGGACGCCCAAACUCAUAGGCCGACCUUGGAACUCGAGCCGACAUGGGAUUGGUCGGGAACCUCAGUGAGCCAUGAGAUUCACAUGGUAAGCUUGAUCUAUUGGAGAGAUCUUGCUUGGCAUACUCGUGGAGUAUCGCCUCAUAAAUAUCGUGCAGGCCCGAAGCGGUGUAUGGUGGACGGAUGAGAAGUAAGUGGUGAUCUACGGUUUGAAAAUAUCAACCCGGUUGACGGAGAGUCAUCACGGGAAGAUAUACGAAUGAACUGGCAAAGCAAGUGGAACUUACCUCUUGAGAGCUACCAUAUCCUUGAAUCGUUUCUGUUUACAUUUUGUUGGCAUUGUUAAUUACUUGCAAGUUAUCACUUGAACUGUUACUUGGGUUUGUUACCUGAACUAUGUGUCUGCAUGUGUGUUCUUGGCCUCACGAGCGUUUUGCUCACCCUAUAGAUUUGUUUUCCUUAACAGAUUUGAACUCGGAGGCGUACUGGAAAAAAACCUCCUGAUGAGCUUUUGUUUAGGAUUUCUAUUAAUUUUGGCUAUGUCUUGGCUUUUGGGUUGUAUUUUGGAAUCCGAAUGUAACUUUUGGAGCAUAAUGUAUAUUUGGGAUAUAUGAUGGUUGUUGAAUACCCGAUGUGCGGGUUGGAUAACGGAUGACUUUUAUUAAACUUGAACGCUUCCGCAUUUAUUGUAUCUAAGUUAUUGACUCGUAUUGUAUGGUCCAGUAAUAAGCUUGAAUGGAAUUGCUUGAGUCCUGGCGAGAAUUAGGCAGGCGUUCCGCGGAUACCCUUUAGUUCGCCUUAGGGAGAAGUGGAGGCGUCACAGUUGGUAUCAGAGCAUAGGCUUUAGAUCUUGUAGUGUAUCCUAGGUUUAAAGUUUAGGAUGCCUGACUGUGGGAUUAAUUUGAAUAUUAUGUGAACUAGAGGGUCUAUUGUAUCCUACGGGUUAAAAAAAUUGGUUACUUGAGAGUUUCUUACUUGGGACUUGUAGAAAUAAAAAUUGAGGAAUUAGCUGUGUUAUAUUGAAGGAAAAUAUGGGAUGAGAGAUUAGUAGUGAAAGAUUGGACGAAUUUGAAUUAUUAUUAUUCUUGUAAGUGUGGAAAGAAGUGAGACAAUUAUUAGUGCUGGCUAAAGCGGAUAAGAGACCGAGAUUUGAUGGUCAAACUCCAUGUAUCGUGAUUGUGAAUCCAGAUGAAAGAGUUUCAAAGGAAUAAAAUGCAUUUUCCUGCUCAUUUACCUCUUAGAGAAUUUAUGCUUUGAAAUUCUAAAGAAAAAAUGAGGAUGUACUAGUUUUAUUUUCAAACGAUGAUUGGAAAUAAUAUAUAUAUGCUUUAAGUAUGUGUAAUUCUUCGAUUUUGGUAAAUAUGUGAAUUUUACUUGAAUUUCAAUUUAAAAAUUUGUGAAUAACUGAUGAGUUUGUUGAAAUUUUGUAUGUGAUGGGCUGAUACAAGGUUAAAAUUUUCUAAACUAGAUUUUCCCCCUUGAUUGUAUACUGGUGUAUUCUCACACUUGAAUUCAUCUAUGCUUUACAAAAAAAAAAAAAAAUAAUAAUAAUUAAAAUAUCUUGAAUUUUCGGAAGAACGGCGAACUUAUGUUUUUAUAAUGAAAAUCUUGAACUUGAUAAGAUUUUUGUUACUUUAAAUAAUCUUCUUAUCUUUUAAAAUUCUUGGUUUUCAAGAAGGGUGAGCCUAUCUUUAGGUGUACGGAUUGAUGGAACUUUGAGAUAUAGAGUAACCGCAUUCAAGAACACGCAGUUAAUGUGAAUUGACUUGGUUUUCAUUUGACACGUAAGUUAGCAAGUUGUACUUAUUUCUUGGGUUUGAACUUGGAGCUUGAAACUUUAACUAUAAAACCCUAAGACUAGUUAUUCUUGGAGAUGAUGGUGCUCUGGUUGGUGGCUUGCUUAUUAAAGAUUUUGAAUUUCGAAUGGAUAACCUUUGGUUUCCGCUUGUGUUAUGGUUUGAUUGGAUCUAAUUUCGUAAAGGCAUUUGAUCUGAUUGGAAUUAGUGAUAUUCGGACCCAUUGGUUUAAUUAAGGACUUAGGAAGGGUGGUGCACGCCGUGAGACCUUUUGUAUCCCGCUUGCAUAUACUUCUACAUUUUGUGACCCUUAAUUGCCUAUAUACAGUAUUUGACAUAUUGGGCUUGUUUUGUGACUUCUUAACUCGUACUAUAACCUUCGAUACAUGUAAAGAAUCAUGUCUUGAUUCUAAAUAUUUUUGCAACUUAUAUAUGCAUUAAGUUCUUUUAUGAUUAAUUAUUUCUUUUCUUGCGCUUAUAGACUCCUAUUAAGUAUGGUAGCAGGAAUAGGAAAAAGGGGUCGUGGCCGAGGACUUAGACAACCCUGUACUCGUGAGAAAAAUUGAUGGAUAGUCUUAUAUAAUUUAAUGAGUUUCUAGUACUGAAUAUGAAUCGAGAAAAAAAUCAGAAGAUUAGAUCUACCAGUGUAUAAUGGAUUAACCUAGUUGGGAACUUAGUGAGAUUUUCCUGUGUGAAAUUUUAAUAACUGUUUUAUACGUAUAUUAUGAUUGGUCCUGUGGCCAUAUUUCAACUUUUGUGAAAGUUUGAACUCCAAAAGUAUUUCGUGGGUUUGGUGAGAUGACCUGAACUCAUUACCAAUUUGUUCUAUUUGAACAAAAGCGCUUUCAAUUUUACUUGACUAAUACUAUAUCCAGAUUCACUUGUUUUACUUUUCACAAAAUUUAUAUAUAUAUAUAUAUAUAUAUGUAUGUAUGUAUACACAUUUUGAACUCGUUUGAGACUCGAAAUCAGAUAGAGUUCAAGUUCGAAUCUUUCUUAGGAACAUGAAUGCCUAUUUGUUAUGAAUCAGAUAUUAGAAAUGACCGGGUUUUAUGUACUUGUAGAGUUAACUCUUGGUUGGAUAAAAGGGUGGUAAAGGUAUUGGAUCACAGGUUAUGCGAAUAUGAACAUACAUGUUUACCUAUCUUUCUUAAAGGUAUUUUCUAAAAUAUACGCCUUACUCGAACAUAGAUUUAACUCGAAACUUUGAGGAAAAGUGUUGGAACACCCUCCAUGUAUAUGUUAUGAUUAUUAUGUAUAUGUUUUAAAAAUCAUGCAUUAAGUUGCAUGAUUAAUAUUCUUAAAUCUAUUUGAGAGAUUUUAAAUAUGUAUUGAUGAUUGUGGUUAAACAUUAUUUGAAAUCUCUUACUAAGAAAACUUAGUUUUGGGUCGUGAAGAAAAUUUGUAUCUUUAACUCUAAUUUUGAAAAUUUUGAAUCGCAUUUUGCCACAGAUACAUUCAAAAUACAUCAAAAGUCUUGACCUUAUCUUGUAAGUCAUGAUUGGUUUGAUUUAGACAAAAUUUUGAGGAAAGGGAUUUUGGUCCUGCUAGUGCGUAACAGUUUUUUUUUGUUAGGAUUUGGAACUUGUUUCAUAUGACGUGUAAUUUAUGGUUUCACUACACACGGGAGUAAGACCUUAGAAUGGAAGUACAUAUCAUUAUAUCAAGAGGUAUUACUUUAGUCGUGUGUGUGGAUUUUCUUAAGUAUCAUUCGAGGAGAGGGAAGAGUAAAUAUACCUGGAUGACUUAGAUGUGUGAGAAUUUACAGGUUGUGGAUAGUUGAGUUUCAAAUUCUGAUUUGCUACUUAUUUAGAUGCUUGAGCUGUUGAUAGGCUAACAGUCAGGAUUAAGAAAAUGGAUGAAUGAAAAGUUUGGAAGAGAUGCGUAUAGAAAUAGAAAUUCUUCACAAGGGGUUGGAAUUCCAAACUAAAUUGGCUGAAUUUUGGGAAGAAAAAAAAAGUCGAGAACUUAGGGUUGAAGAUGGGAUCCAAUGUUUAAUCACCAAUUUGAGAUAUUAAAAGUUGUGAGAUUUGGGUGAGUGAAAGGAAAUAUUUGAUGGCUUGAAUGAGCCUAACGAUUAGGGACCGGAUGUUAUAUUUGGAAUGGACGUUUGACGCUAUAUAUACAUAGAUUAUUGAGAGUUGAACGAUGAGACUAUUAAGAACAAAUGCUCCAUAGUCUCACAUAAACAAGAAUUAUAAUCAAGGGUCAGAAGCAGCGAAUAAGGGAUUUAAAGUAGAGUUACUACCAACCGGGAAUCCUAGAAACUGAUGUGCUUAAAACCACUUCCAAUUCAAGAUGGGGAUGCUUGAAUUUUCAGUUAUGCCAAUUGGGUUGACUAAUGUAUUAGCAGCAAUUAUUGCAUUAAUGCAUCAAGGUUUUAAAUCGUAAUAGGAUUAAUCUGUGAUGGCAUUUAUUGAUGAUGUAUUGAUAUACCCUAAAGUUUGAGAAGAUCAUGAAAAAAAAAAUACCUGAUGAUAGUUUUACAAACCCCGAGAGAACGCUAACUUUUGUUAAGUUCAAUCAAUGUGAGUUCGAUGGGAAGAAAUAGCCUUUCUAAGUUAUAUAAUAUAUAAGGAAGAAAUUGUUGUUAACUCAUCUUAAGUGGAAGCUGUUUAAGAGGAAAUGACUAGAAAAUCCUACCGAAAUUUGGAGUUCUUAGAGGUAGUCGAAUAUUACCUUGGUUUGAUCAGGGACUUCUAAGGAUACGAGACUUGGCAAGUUAUUUGAGAUUUUAAAUGUGAGGAAGAAUUUGAAGGUGAAAAUCGUUUAACCAGUGCACUUGUGUUGGCUUUACCGAGCGGAUAAGGUGAUUUUGUGAUUUAUACAGAUGGUUCAAAGGAUGGUUUAGAAUGUAUAUUAAUAAUAUAUGAUGAGGUGAUUGUAUAUGCCUUCUGAAAGUUAAAAUCUUCCGGAAGAAAGUAAUCAACUCAUGAUUUGGAGUGAGUUGGAAAACGUAAGUCAAUGAUUGAUCUGAUAGGCUUAACCAUGAAGGGAAUGAUAUUGUUCUAAGUAUGAAUUUCGAGGACGAAAUUCCUUUCAAGGAGGGGAGGAUGUGAGAACCCGAAAAUUUUCUUAUUUUUAUAGAAUAUUACUGGAAUAUUUAAAUGAUUAUUCACUCAUUUUCUUCGAAUUAUUUAUUUCGACCAUUUUAAAUCCAUUUAUAUGGAAUGACGCCUCUUUAUAUUUUUAAAGCGUUUUGUUGAAAAAUUCGCUUUUCGAAAAUUUGUUUAGUCCGGAACGACGGGUGCACGUUUUUCUAGGCCAUACUUGAAUCGGGAGUGUAUUAUUUAUUGGAGAAUUAAGAACGAUCAAUAAUAGAUUAAGAAAGGUUAAUGGAGGAAUUAAUACUCAAUUCACGUGAGGACUCGUAAAAUUAUUAUUUUAAAAUCCCUAAUUUUGGCUAAAUUAAUUAUUUAUUUAGAUUUUUGCCACGAAUAAUAUUUUCUAGCCUUAUUAGACCUAAGUACAUGGUUUUAUAGUUUCGUUAUAUUUUUAAAGUGUCUCGUUUCAAAAAUUAUUUUCUUAUAAGCUUGUUUAGUGAAAAGGUGAAAACGUGUCCAAACACUUUAGCCAAUUGGGAAUAAAAUAAGUUCAAAAAUUUGAGACAUAUACAAUGGUCCUAAAAUAGACAAUUUUAGGUUUAAGCACACAAGUGAUAGCUAGUGGUACGAUCGUUAUAAGAAUUUCUCGAAGGUUUCAUUUUAUUGCGCCUAAAUUGGAAAUACGUGUUUUCACGUGCGCGCUUAAUUGAGGGACUUUGGACAAUUAUUUUGGAACAAUUAAGAAUGAAUAAUAUUUAUAUGAAUGUAAGUGCCCUAGAGGUUUAGUGCACUAGUGCAACAAACUUAAGGGAAAUUGAACACAAAACGCGCGAGUAGGGCACUAGUUGCAAUUAAAUUUUUCGUACUUAAAAUAUUAGACGGUCGGCGUUCUUUGUACGCAAAAAGAAAUCAGACUAACAUUCAUAUCUGCAAGCUUCAUGGACGGCUAGCAACUGCAGCAAAGAGCAACCGAAAACUUCCACCAUUUCCUCUACAAACUCCACCAAAUUCAACCAAAACUUCACACACACUUAGCUCUUCACUUGGACAAUCACUUGGACAAAGAAGGAGCUGCACAUUCACGGUUUUUCUUGGGGCUUUUGGACACCAAAAUCUGACCUUUUAGCACACAAGUAAGGUAACCAUGAUCCACUCUUCAAAUCUUGUUCAUUGAAGGCCAACUCACACUUAAGAGCUUGAUUAUGCUUAUGGGUAGCUUAUUAUUGUUAGAAAUUGUUAAAUGUGGGCUCUAUGAACUCCCACUUUGAGUUGAUGGCUGUGAUGAUGUUUGAUGAUGGUUUUAUUGUUGAAUUAGUGCUUAAGGGAGUAGAUUAAAGGUGCAUUAUCGCCAGAAACUUCAUUGAGCUCUUGAAGCAAAAAGUUCCCAUUUUACCCCUGCUCUGUUCGGUCACUUUAAUGCAGAAAUUUGAGGAUUUAAUGGCUUGAUUGUGUUGUUUAUAUGUUGUAGUAGUUGUGUAAAAAUUUUCAUUGAAAAAUACUGAGUUUUGGUUGGUCAAACGAAUUUAUUCCCAAAGCUAGUAAUCUGGAAAACGGUUUCGUCGUAUUCCAGACCAGUGUUCGUAUUUCGUCCAUAACUCCGUACUCCGACGUCGAAAUCAAGUGCCGUUAGCGGCAUUUGAAACUAGACGUUCCCAUCUUUCUAACGAUAUAUAAUGCACGUUCUGGUUUCAUGUGUGUGAACCGUACCACUUAUUUGAAUUCAGCUGCCCUGUUUCGCCAUUCUGCCGAAAUGAUUUGAUGAUGCUGCAACUUUAGGCUUAAUUUCGAGCUAGUUGCAUGCUGAAACAUAAAAUGAUUUCUUCUGUGAAAUUAUAGUCCUAUGCAUGUAUUUUCUAACACUAUCAACCAUGCUCAAAUCCGAGUUAAAUUGAGUGAGUUAUGAUCAAAAUACGGUGACUGUUUUGUUCUUGAAAGCCUUGGAUUUGGACAGAUUUGACGUAACAUUUGUGGUGGUCUUACUAAAUGAAUUUCUUGAUACUAAACACCUACCAAAUGUACCAUGAAUGUUUCUUAAACUUUCCUUUCGCAAAUGAACCAUGAUUGGAGGAUUUUCUUAGCCAAACGAUUGGAUUUGGGAAGAAAAGGAUUAAGGGCAGAUUGCCUUGAGAAUUUUUUCAAACUUUGAUUGAUUGGUUAACCACCUUCCCGAAGGUAUUUUUCCACGAAAUUUGAGAGAGAGAUACCCUUCAUAUAGGAGUACCAUACUACAAAAUUUGGUGUCAAUUCAAGUCCGUUUCGACACUUAACAAAAGGUCCAAAGUCGGAACCAAAUCUGAAAAUUUUGUAAUAGUCUUGAAUUUUUCCCAACUUUGAGCUACCAUAUCUUGGUGCUCGAAACUCCGAUUCUCGAUUCGUUUGUUCUGUCCUAAACCUUACUUGAACCUCUAAUUGAUCUAUAAAUUUCUACGGCUGAUUUGCAACGAGUGAAUUCUGCCGAAUUUCCAAAGUUAGCGAAAAACCAACCCCGGCUCAAUCCUGGGUGAUCUGGGACAUCAACUUUAAACUCAUUUUUGAAUACCUUCCAUUUAGAUUCGUGGAACAGUAUCUUCUAAGAACUUUUAGUAAUUUCCAAGAGGUUUCCAACGGUAUAAAUUUUUCCAAUUGUAGACUUGUAUCGAGUGAGAUACGAUUUUUCAAAGAUCCAUAUCAAAACUAAAAUUUUCCAACUUUCAAGGAAAUAGAGAUUUCCAAGAAUUUUUUAUUCUUUCGACAUUAUGCAAACAUUUUAACCUCGAUUUCCAAGAUAAAAAUCCAAAUGCUCCUGUACUUUAAGAAACUCUAAUUGAACCUCGAUUUACGAGUAAUUGAGGUUCGAUUUCGUGGAAUUUCCUUAGAUUGUACUAGUGUACAAUCUUCCUUGACAAUUGGGAUAUAUGAAUGAUAAUACGUUAUUAUUUGCCCAGGCGCACACGAGGACCUUCAAGAGGAUCCUACCGUGCACACUUGAACUUCCAGAAAAUAUUUUUUCUUGAUUUGCUCGGUGAGUGUCAAGUGUAUGACUACUUGAACUCUAUGGAUUUGAUUCAUGCUUGGCUUACCUGAUUACAUGCUUAGCCUACUUGGUUUUGAAAAAUGGAGUCGAGUGUGUACUUUAUCGCACUCGUUCUCAUUUGAAACAAAUGACUCAUGCUUAACAUGGUUUGCCUGACAUGACCUGAAAUACAUGCUUAGACCUGUCAAAUGCUAUGAUAUGCUAUGGCAUACGUCGUUGGAGUGAAUCUCCUCGACACUUACAUGACACAUGGGGGACGUCCAAACUCAUAGGCCGACCUUGGAACUCGAGCCGGCAUGGGCUUGGUCGGGAACCUCGGUGAGCCAUGAGAUUCACAUGGUAAGCUUGAUCUAUUGGAGAGAUCUUGCUUGGCAUACUCGUGGAGUAUCGCCUCAUAAAUGUCGUGCGGGCCCGAAGCGGUGUAUGGUGGAUGGAUGAGAAGUAAGUGGUGAUCUACGGUUUGGAAAUAUCAAUCCGGUUGACGGAGAGUCAUCACGGGAAGAUAUACGAAUGAACUGGCAAAGCAAGUGGAACUUAGCUCUUGAGAGCUACCAUAUCCUUGAAUCGUUUCUGUUUACAUUUUUUUGGCAUUGUUAAUUACUUGCAAGUUAUCACUUGAACUGUUACUUGGGCUUGUUACCUGAACUAUGUGCCUGCAUGUGUGUUCUUGGCCUCACAAGCAUUUUGCUCACCCUAUAGAUUUGUUUUCCUUAACAGAUUUGAACUCGGAGGCGUACUGGAAAAAAACCUCCUGAUGAGCUUUUGUUUAGGGUUUCUAUUACUUUUGGCUAUGUCUUGGCUUUUGGGUUGUAUUUUGGAAUCCGAAUGUAACUUUUGGAGCAUAUGUAUAUUUGGGAUAUAUGAUGGUUGUUGAAUACCCGAUGUGCGGAUUGGAUAACGGAUGACUUUUAUUAAAUUUGAACGCUUCCGCAUUUAUUAUAUCUAAGUUAUUGACUCGUAUUGUGUGGUCCGGUAAUAAGCUUGAAUGGAAUUGUUUGAGUCCUGGCGAGAGUUAGGCAGGCAUUCUGCGGAUACCCUUUGGUUCGCCUUAGGGAGAAGUGGGGGUGUCACAAAUUCGGUACAUGCCGAAUUCACCGAAUUCUAAUAUGGUAUGAAAUAGGUAAUAAGAUUGUGAAUUUGGUAAUAACCGAUUUCGCAUUCAAAUUCGGUAAUUGAAAUCGGGUGCCGCAUUACCACAUUCGAAUUACCAAAUUGAUAUAUAAAAUUAUAUAAUAUAUAGAUAAAUGCUAUUUAGUAUUAGUAUAUACUACUAAUACUUUAUUAUAUUAUAUAGGUAAAUGCUAUUAAUAAUAAUUAGUAUAUGGUAUUAUCAUCAUAUCAUGUACUUAUAAUAAUAAUAAUAUAUAAUAAUGUACAAUAUAUUCUUUUAGUAUUUAUUAAUUGUUAUAUGACUAUAAUAAUAUAAAUAUAUAGUAAUACAUAACAAUAUAAGAUAACUAUAAUACUUAUUAUUUUAUACAUGAGUAACAUGACUAGAAUUAGAUAAUAAUUAAUACAUAUAUGUAUAAUACUAAAUAUUAAACAAUAAACAUAAUUAAUAAUUAGAAUUUAGAUAUUGGUAAUUUGAUAUAUCAUUCAUGUUUGAAUUAUUGAAUAUUUGAAUGCGUAAUCUGUAACUUGCAAGUAUUAGUGUACUCUACAUAUUUAACAUAAAAAUUCAUAUUAUCUAUUCACUAAUCUUAAUUCUUAAGGCUUUAGCCUUUAAGUAUAGAUAAGACAACUAAGCAGUUAGCAGUGUAAGUGAAUGCAUAUGAAUUGCAAAUCAAUGUAUUAGUGUAUUGACUUUCACGAAUAACAUAUGUAAGUAAAUAAGUUUUAUUUUGAUUUGAAAUAAAUUAUAAGUUUGUAACUAAUAUAACUUACCACUAAUCAUUGUAAUUUGUAAGUUUGUAACUAAUAUUACUUAUUAUUAAUCAUUGUAAAUUAUGAAUUCAUAAAUUAUCACUAAUCAUUGUGUUCCUUAAAUCAUAGACUAAGGAUUCUAGGUAAAAGUUAUCAAAUAAGUUAUAAUUCAUAUUAUCUAUUUACUAAUUUAAGGUUUUAAGUAUAGACAAGACAACUGAGCAGUGUAAGUGAAUGCAUGUAAAUUGCAAAUCAAUGUAUUAGUGUAUUGACUUUCACAAUAACAUGUGUAAGUAAAUAAGUUUUUAUUUUGAUUUGAAAUAAAUUAUAAGUUUGUAACUAAUAUAACUUAUCACUAAUCAUUGUAAUUUGUAAGUUUGUAACUAAUAUUAUUUAUUAUUAAUCACUGUAAAUUAUAAAUUCAUUGUAACUACUAACUAAUAUUACUUAUUAUUAAUCAUUGUAAAUUAUAAAUUCAUAAAUUAUCACCAAUCAUUGUAUAGUCUAAGGUUUAUUCUAGUUUAAAUUAAUAGAUAAAUUAUUACUUUUUUUUAAUAGAUGAAUUUGGUUAAACCGAAUUCAUUACCGUUUUCGAAUUUGAAAUCGGUUGCGGUAUGAAUUUGGUUAUGGCUAAUUCAGAAUUGAAAACGGUUUAGAUUUCUAUAUGUAGAAUAACCGAAUUCACCGAAUUCAGUGCACCGAAUUACCGAUUUUGCACCGAAUGCACACCCCUAUUCCCAAGUUACAGAAGUUUAUGAUGUGUAUUAGGGGUUUCCUCAGCAAUUCGACAGCAUCUGGUGCAUCGUCCAUGGAACCAACGACAGCAACCAAAUCUGCAACAAUCCACGGUUACGGUGUCCUCAUCUCCAAAUUUAUUCUCACGGAUCUCCUCAGCUGUUUGACAGCAUCUCGUGCAAUAGAUGAGGUACCAGCGGCAGCACGAAAUCUGCAACCAGUUAAGUGAUCAAUCUCACCUGAACUGGCAUCCAGCGGUCUUCAUGUUGUCGUGAUCUGUUUCAAGACAUAAAUAUUAGGAGCAUCGUCUUAAACUCCAAAACGUUAGGUGACUGGCUAGGUUGAAAAUUUGCAAGAUAUAUGCAAAGAAAUGAAUACUAUGGAUUAAACAAAACUGUCUAGGCAUAUGAGAUGGUGCAACUUGGAUAUGAAUUAUUUCGUCUUAUAAGCUACUAAUUAAAUAUUUAAUUUGGGUUUUGACGUUAGUUUAAUCUUUGUCCUGUUAAACAAUAGUGUGACAUUUUGGAACGUUUAUCCUUACAGUAAUACUAUAAGGAUGUGAAAAAGAUAUUAGCACUUUAAUAUAACUUCCUUGAUACUAUACAAAUAGCCUAUCAUAAAAAUUCACGUCCCAAUAAUGUGUCUCCUAAGCUCCAUUCAUUUAAGUAUUCAGGUUCAUCCAAAUAAAUAAAUAAAGGAAGGAGGAAAAAGAUUAGGUGCAUUCAGUUGUUGCAUCAGAGGAAAUGAGGAGUACAAGUGCAAAGAGAGCACCACUAAAUUUGUUGAUAUCUAGUGACAAUUGCAUUGAGCUAAACAAUAUUUGUUGAUAUCUAAAUGACCUCAUUUUUUAUGUUGAUGGGACCUAAUGUCAAUAUCGUCAAGGAAAAAUUGACUGUAAUACCCUCAUUUAGAAGCAAAAUAUCAUAUUCCAAUUUUACCAACAUGCCAUCAAAACUCGUCACCAAAAUUUAACAACUUUACUAAAACUAAUUUUCAAAGGCUGGUGAGCUUUGGAGAAGAUCUGAACAUUAAGCUCCAAAAUAUUUCAUUGGGUGAAGGAAAAUUGUUGAAAAAAGUGGCUUAUUAGCUUUAUUCUUUGAUAUUUAUAUAUAAUAAUUAAAAGAUGAAAACUUUUUUAAUUGAAUGUGGAUAUUCACAACAAAAUGAGGUACCGAAUGGAAGUUUAUGGUCUUCAUGAUUGAUGUGGUUCCAUGAAUAAACUCGUAGAGCUGAUAAGAUGAACAUUCUGGCCUUAAGAUGAGUUUAAAAUGUAGCCAUGGUAGACAUGAUGAGUCAUUUAAGGACCACAUCAUGCAUAUCUUGAUAUUAUAUGAGCAAUUUGCGAUGGAUAAAGCCAUGCAUAUGCAUGCAUGUGCUUUAUAUAAUGUGAAAAUGGAUGAGUUAGAUAAAGCUUGGUGAAGUAAAGUUAGUAUACCGAAUCGAUUUUGACGUGUGAGUAGGAUUUUCUGCUUGGUUGCUCUAUUUUAAGUGAUUAUCACUUUGUUGACAAAGAUCUUGUCGGACAAUCUCCCAAAAUAAGUUUCUAUCGUUUUUCUUUACUGAAUCACGAACAUUUCUUUAGUGAAAUUUUAAUCUUAAAUUAGGUUGGACUAAUUAUUUGGAGGGAACAUUUUAGAUGGCAAGUGACUCAUUCACUCCUCAUUUUUGCAUAUAUAGUUGAAAGAAAAACAUAAGUUUAAGCAACUAAUGACUUUGUAAAUAAAGAUUGUAUAAGAUCACUUCCAAAAGUAAGUUUCUAUACCAUAUCUUUGUUGAGUCUUAUCAAGAAAAUUUUGGAGGGAAAAUUAAUCUUCAAUUAGCUUGGACUACAUUAAGCUACUACUUGGUUGAUUGUCAAUUUUAUCAUUUUUAUUGUUAUUAAAAAAUCCAUAAUGUGAACACAAAAGUAAACGAGGAUAUCACAAAAAUUGAUUAUCUAUAAUCAAAAUCUCUAAAUAGUUAAAAUAGUCAAUAAAAAACAAGCAUGUUGUAGUAUAAAAUUUUUUAGGUAGACUACUUUGUCUGUACCUUUAUAUGUUGACUACUAAUUGAAAGCUACCAUGAAUUUUGGAUAAAUAGGACGGACCUGAUUCUACUCAUGGCAUUAUUGUGUAUUAAAAACUUAUUUUUUUCCUUUUAGCUGCUGUGCUUCAUGCCAUUUGGAAUAGUUCACUCCUCAUUUUAUAUGUUUUUUCUUUUUUUCUUUUUUGGAAAUAGCCCUUUUUACAACAUAAAUAUGUUACAAUAUUUCUUUUAGGGCCUAUAAAGGUAAAUAUGGAACAAAGUGUGCUGACAUCAUUUCUUGUCAAUCUAUUGCAUUUCUUUUGUGGACACGGGCUAACUUGGUUACAAAACUAGUUAUAAGUAAGAGUGAUCAGCGUAAUAUCGAAAACAAGAGGGGCACUAGGUGAAAUUGUCCAAACAUUCAGGGGAAGUUUGUGAAAUUAUCCCAAUAGUUUGAGUACCUGCCCUGUUACUUGCAUUAGAGUGGCCCUUUAUUAUUGACUAAUGCAGACGUCCAUGUCUGCACUCUCAGGACGGAGGAAUAAAGUAUUUGUUGUCCUUGUGCGAGUUAUACAUAGUCUUUCUUGACUGCAAAAGUUGAUAAUUGAGCUAAAGAAUCGAAAGAUAAUGUGGCCAUUUUUCAAUCUCUGAUAGGAAGGAUAUCAAUCUCCUACUUUUCCGUCUUCAUGUCUGGAUUGUAUAUCAAUUUCUUUUUCUUUUUCGUUUGUUGGUUAGGUAAACUUUCAUUUUCAUCAGUCUAAAGGCCUAAAGGUCCCUGCCCAUUUCAGAAAUUUACUGAUUUUAAGUGGGCGUAAUAGAGCUUUAAUUAACUCUAUCAAGAUCUUUAUACAUUACGAGCAACUUUCCUGUUAAAAUACUAAUUCAAACAAGCUGUGCAAAUUCAAGGAUGGAACUAGAUGUUGAAAAGGAAUAGUUUAUACUUCAUAAGAAGUACUGAAUUCGUGGAUUAAUUUUCUUGUGCUAUUGCUUUAGAGUUUUAUUUACAUGAGUAGAUUUGAAUGCGCGAUAAGUAAUUGUGAUUCAAACUUGAAGUCAUAUUUUUGCACAUGAAAGAAAUAGUCCAAAAUAUUUUUUUUCUUUUUAGAACUCUACAUGUAGCUUUAACUUGACCAGUCCUAUUACUAGUCGUUGACGAGCACGAGGUAUACAUACAAUAAUUAAGUUCAUUUUACAUUUAUAAAUUGCUAAAUGCUUCAUACACGAUUUUUUGCAAGCAUAUAGAUCGAGAUUGAGUAUAGGGUUUUAAAUGUCGGACUCAUAGGAAAGAUUGUCAAUUACCGAUGAUUUUCGAAUUAUUUUAUUAUUUAGACUAUCACAAGUACAAGAAAUUAAAUCUACGUACACUAUAAACAUGAGAUAAAAGUAAUAAAAAUAACAAUAGAAAGCUCCUAAAAGUAUGAAAUUUCUAACUACUCUUGCAAGUGAAGUUACUGGUUAAGUAAAUAUUAUUAUUUUAGCUAAUUAUGGCGUAAUUCCUAAUGUAUGUGAAACAUAUUCUCGUAGUAAAUCAACUAUACUUGUAAUUAAGCCAUACCUACACAUUCAAACAACCUGUGCAAAUUCGAGAAUGGAACUAGAUUUUGAAAAGUAAUAGUUUAUACUUCAUAAGAAGUACUGAAUUCUGGGAUUAAUUUUCUUGUGCUAUUGCUUUAAAGAUUUAUUUACAUGAGUAGAUUUGGAUGCGUGAUAAGUAAUUGUGAUUCAACCUUGAAGCCAAAAUUUUGCACAUGAAAGAAAUAGUCCAAAUUUUGUUUUCCUUUUAGAAUACUACAUGUAGCUUUAACUUGACUAGUCCUAUAUCUAGUCAUGGUUAAGAAGUUUCAGAAUAUUAGUAAGGUUAUGCAUGAUAAAUUCUGUAUUUAUCCAUUACUUUGUUAAGCCAAUCUCUAGAAAGGUUUGUACUUAUUAAUUCCUUUCGCCAUCUAAACUUAUUGAUAGAACGUAGUAAUUUGUGUCAACACCAGAAACCAGAAAACUCGACCACUAGCUUAUCGAACUGAAUUUAGGUCAUUAAUUUUUUAUGCCCGUCAACUUAAGAAAAACAACAUAUCAUGCAGAUUAAUAAGUGCAGUUCAGUCCAUAGGGUAAAAUAUAAUGCGAAUAGAAUUAAAUCUCUAAAUGUAUAUCCAAGAUAAAACGCGUAUGAUUGAAAUGAUUUGUACUAAAUUUGUUUGAAAUUGCAGUGCUAUAAGUCGAAAAUGUUAAGAGUGCAUGAAAAGCAUGGAAGACUAUGUACUAACUUGACAAAGUGACUUAUUUGAAUAAUAAUGAUAACAUUUUAUAAUUUUUGUGGGUCAAUUUUUGUUUUAAUCUCUUACAGUAACAAGCAUGCUUUGAUUUUUUUUUUUUUUUUUUUUUGGGCUUGUUUGGAUCAUGGCCAGUCCGUAAAUACAAUAAAACCCACCAACCUUUACUCAAAAAAAAAAAAAAAAAAGCACUUCCACCUCAAAAUUUACAAAAAAAAUGGAAGAAAGAAGAAACCCUACUCGUUCUCUUCCAGUGCUAUACGUUUAUCAGAAUAAAGGUCGAAACUUGCAAAAUAUCAUUCUUGAAAGCAUUCAUUAUUCAUCCUUUUUGUCUUACGUCAAAGUUAGACAUCUUGCAAUUCAUAAUUUUCAUGCUUGACAACUCUUUUGGAUAAGAUUGAUGUUCCUCUGAAUAUCAACAUUAAAAUUUUUUUUUUCGAGUAAGUUGUACCGUCGAUACUGAAGAACUUUGAUUCCUUUCUCAGGAAGGAAUAGGAUUGGGUUUAACUCUUGUCGAUACUGAAUUUUUUUUACAUUGUAAUGACAAGGAACGAUGAAGAGCACAACACACAUAUUGAAUAUUCUGCACAUCUUAUAUCAAACACAGUAAAUUCUAGCAGGUCCAAGGUACAGAAGUUUACGAUGUAACUGAGAUAGAGAUCAUCAAUUGUGUUGAUGAUCAAGUGGAUUUAUUUAUUCAACAUGACAACAACAUAAGAAGAGCACUCGAACUGAGUACUCAUUACAUGCUUCCCCUGUUUAUUCUACACCAGUUCAAAGAGAAGCCACAUAAGUCUUUUACACAUAGAGGAAAUCAACCAUCAAAAGCAAACACAACAUUACAUAUUAAGGUAAUAAUAUAGGUGUCACGGAUCCUGUGUCACACCCUUAUUUAUUUAGCAUUAAUUUUUGACCUCAUCUCCAGAUGUAGCUUCAGGGGUCUCCUCAGCGGUUGCGCAGCAUCUUUGGCAUUGUCCAUGGUACCAGCUGCAGCAACGAUAUCUGCAACGAUCUGCAGAUGUAGCUUCAGGGGUCUCCUCAGCGGUUGCGCAGCAUCUUUGGCAUUGUCCAUGGUACCAUCUGCAGCAACGAUAUCUGCAACGAUCUGCAGAUAUAGCUUCAGGGGUCUCCUCAGCGGAUGCACAGCAUCUUUGGCAUUGUCCAUGGUACCAGCUGCAGCAACGAUAUCUGCAACGAUCUGCAGAUAUAGCGUCAGGGGUCUCCUCCGCGGAUGCACAGCAUCUUUGGCAUUGUCCAUGGUACCAGCUGCAGCAACGAUAUCUGCAACGAUCUGCAUUUACGGCAGCCUUAUCUCCAGAUGUAGCUUCAGGGGUCUCCUCAGGAGAUGCACAGCAUCUUUGGCAUUGUCCAUGGUACCAGCUGCAGCAACGAUAUCUGCAACGAUCUUCACUUAUCUUAUCCUGAUGAGCCUCACCAGUGGUCUUCACGCUCGCCUGAUCUGUUUCGAUACACAAGGAGACAAAAAUAUUAGGAGCUUCAUCUUAAGCUGCAAAGAGUUGAGUGACCUGCUGGGCUGAAGAUUUGCAAGAUACAUGCAAAGAAAAGAAUAUUAUGGAUUAAACAAAAUAGUCUACUUAUAAAAGAUGGUGCGACUUGGAUAUGAAUUAUUUUGCCUUAUAGUCCACUCAAUAAAUUAGAAUUAGUAUUAAUUAAUUUGGUUUUCGACUUUACUUUAAUCUUUAUCGUGAUAAACAAUAGUGUGAUAUAAUGUAACGUGUGUGCCUGGAGUUAUACUAUAAGGAUGAAAAAUCAGCUGUUCCACUUACCGUUGAUACAAACAACCAAAAUUUACUUUUAUUAAACAAUGAAAUAGAUAUUAGGAAACUAAUAUAACUUCCUUGAUACGAUACAAAUAGCCUACCAUAAAAAUUCACGUCCCAAUAAUGAAUCUCCUAAUCACCAUUCACUUGAGUAUUUAGGUGUAGCAAAAGAAAAAAUCGUAAGAGAUAAGUAAAAAAAAGAAAGACUAGGUAC